rnacentral:lncRNA from 1 species
GUCGUAUGUAGACAAGGUUCCGAUGACAAAUAUGAAUAUGAGACCAGAUCCUGCCAGUGGCUAUCCUGGUCGGACUUACCGGUUUUACACUGGGGAAACCAUUUACACAUUUGGAGAUGGACUAAGCUACACCCAGUUCAACCACCACCUUGUUCAAGCACCUAAAUCAGUCUCCAUCCCCAUAGAGGAGGGUCACAGUUGUCACUCAUCAAAAUGCAAGUCUGUGGACGCUGUGCAGGAAAGUUGCCAGAAUUUAGUCUUUGAUAUCCAUCUAAGAGUCAAUAAUGCGGGAAACAUAAGCGGAAGUCAUACGGUUUUCUUAUUUUCUUCUCCCCCAUCAGUACACAACUCACCCCAGAAGCACUUACUGGGCUUUGAGAAAGUCUUUGUGACUGCAAAAGCUAAAGCCCUGGUGAGGUUCAAGGUGGAUGUUUGCAAGGAUUUGAGCAUUGUUGAUGAGCUUGGAACCCGAAAAGUUGCCUUAGGACUGCAUGUGCUUCAUGUGGGAAACUUGAAACACUCCUUGAAUGUGAGGAUUUGAAUACUCUUCCAGCAGAAAAAUGCUGGUCUUCAAAUGAAAAGGGUAAAGAUCAAGAUGGAAAUCGAACUACAAUAAGUUGAGAGAGUUAAAGCAAAUUCUCAAACAUAUGUCAUUUGGCCCCAAUUUGUUCAAAUCAAAAUUUUGAAAUCCAAAUGAAGUUUCCAUUUUGAAAUUUCUCCCUGUCUUCCUGUGUGUUGUAGAGGUGGUAAAAAUGCAUGGUUUCUCAGUGUAGACAAGCAAAUUAUCAAUACCCAAGUUUAAUUGAGUUUAAUUUGAACUUAAUAUUCUGCUGUUUUUAAUUUAUUUAAAAACAAGUUUUUGUUGGGUUGGCUGGCUUAAAAUGCCUGGUCAAGGGUUGGCUUCUGUGGAACAACUGCUCUGAUCUCUUAUCUCUUAUCUCAUAUCUAUAGAUUAGAGUUUUAUCUCUUUUGAUUCAAGAGCAAUGUUUUACCUCAAUCCAUUAAAAUUCAACAUUGGGUUGAUUAAAGGCUGUGAGUCUUUGUUUGACUGAGAAUAAAAAUUAAAUUCCAAAGGCUUAUUAUUGAAUUAUAAGUUCUAACGGCGACAAUCUUUUCUUAAUAGAGGUAUUUGUGCCUCAACUUAUCAUUUUUUUUUUCAUAAAAAAAAAGGAGAUUCAUUUUGUAUUGAUAUAAGGUGGAAAAAUUUGACUUUGUUUUGAUUGUAUUUUUUUUUCCUUUUAGAUCUUUAGUUUUUGCAACACUCAAAUCCAACUUCUUACUCAAAAUCAAUUUUAAAAAUUUCUUGUAUUUAUUGACUUAAAAUAUAUCAAACCACCUUAAUUUCAUAACAAUUCAAUUUACCAUAAAUUAACAAAGUUGUUAUAAAGAAAAAUUGAAUAAAACUAAGAUACGAAUGAACCAAAAUUUCAGUAAGAGGAUGUUUAUUUUUUUAGUUUUUUUACUGAAAACAAUUUAUUUUUUAUUUGUGUUUUUUUUUUUUACUUUUUCGUGAUUUAUUAUAAAUUUUUGGUUGAAUAGGAAAAAAAAUUAAAAUAUUUGACUUUUUCUAAAUAAAAAAAAUAACAUAUUGAUUUUUCUUUAUUUUUUCAUAUUUAAUAGAAAUAAGAUAUUAUAAAAAUAAAUAAUUUAAUCCUUAAUACUAUUACACUAUUUAGUUUUAAUUUCUAUUUGAAAAAAAAAAAACACAAGAUGCACUGUUUUAGGAAGUGAUCAUUUACAAUAUAAAUAAUAAGUAGAAUUUCUUAAAUAGAUCAUUGUUGGCCUUAUAGUUGAGGCUAGUAAGGUUUAUUACACCAGUUUAUUCUAGUUUCUAAUUGCCUUACUUCAUUAUUAAGAUAAAUCAUUCCAUUCUUUGUUAUCCGGUAAUUUCUCGAGUGGGGUUUUGGUUUAGAAGUUCAUUUAUGAAAGGAAGUUGAAAUUUGAAAGGAUUUAAGUCAAGAAAAGAUUAACUAAGGUGGAAAAUUUUUGUAUUGAUAUAAGGUGGAAAAUUUUGACUUUAUUUUGAUUGAAAAAUUCUUUUUUGUUUUUUUUCUUUUUUCCUUUUCGAUCUUUAGUUUUUGGAACACUCAAAUCCAACUUCUUACUCAAAAUCAAUUUAAAAAGUUUCUUGUAUUUAUUGACUAAAAAUAUAUCAAACCACCUUAAUUUCAUAACAAUUCAAUUGACCACAAAUUAACAAAGUUGUUUUAAAGAAAAAUUGAAUAAAACUAAGAUACGAAUGACCCAAAAUUUUAGUAAGAGGAUGUUUUUUUUUUUAGUUUUUUUUACUGAAAGCAAUUUAUUUUUUAUAAGUACUUUAUUAUUAUUAUUAUUAUUAUUAUUAUUAUUAUUAUUAUUAUUAUUAUUAUUACUUUUUCAUGAUUUAUUAUAAAUUUUUGGUUGAAUAGAAAAAAAUUAAAAUAUUUGACUUUUUCUAAAUAAAAAAAAGUAACAUAUUGAUUUUUCUUUAUUUUUUAAUGUUUAAUAGAAAUAAAAUAUUAUAAAAAUAAAUAAUUUAAUCCUUAAUACUAUUAAACACUAUUUAGUUUUAAUUUCUAUUUAAAAUUAAAUAAAUACAAAAACACAAGAUGCUCUAUUUUAGGAAGUGAUCAUUUACAAUAUAAAUAAUAAGUAGAAUUUCUUAAAUAGAUUAUUGUUGGCCUUAUAGUUGGGGCUAGUAAGGUUUAUUACACCGGUUUAGUCUAGUUGCUAAUUGCCUUACUCCAUUAUUAAGAUAAAUCAUUCAAUUCUUUGUUAUCCGGUAAUUUCUCGAGUGGGGUUUUGGUUUAGAAGUUCAUUUAUGAAAGGAAGUUGAAAUUUGAAAGGAUUUAAGUCAAGAAAAGAUUAACUAAGCAAAAAAGAACAUUAUUAUUACACACCUUUUCAAUAACGGUUAAUCUUUAAUAUUGAAAGCAAGUUUUGAAGUUAAUAUUUGAAAUAAAUUCACUAGUAAUGAUUGAUAAUCUACCGGAUAAUCAAUCGUUAUUAUGAAUAUCAAAGAUAAGAUUGAAUUGAUAUGUUAAAGUUUUAUAGGACAUUUGUUUUUUUUUUUGUUUUACUGGUUGUUGAAAAUAAUUUGUUUUCAGAUUUUAAAUGUUUUUUUUUUAAUUUUUAUUUAAUUUAUUACUUAUUCUUAAAUAUUUUUCAUAGAAUAAAUUAAACCAAAAUAUUUAUUUUUCUUUUAAUGAAAAAAGUAACAUUUUUAAACCCACACAAAAAUCUGAACCCCCAAUCCUUGUCAUCAUAACGAGUCUCCCCAUCCUUUAUCACCUUCCUAUUUCAUCACUUUACUUGAACCACCACCUUCUUUCUCUUCUUCCACGGCUUCAACUUCAAUAACCUUUAAAAUAAUUUCUAUUAUUUUAAAAUUUUUAGAAAUAUGUUAAAUUAUUUUUGAUCAAUUAAGAAUUAAUUUUAAAAUUAUUUUUCUUAAUACAUUAAGAUGUUGAUUUUUAGCAUAUAAAAGACAAACAACUUAAUACUCGAUAAAAAUAAAAUAUUAAAAAAUAAACAAUUUAAUACUUAAUAAUAUUAAGUACUAUUUAGUUUUAAGUUAAAUUCCAUUGGAAUUAAGUUAAAAAAAAAAAAAAAAUCCAGCACCUCAACGAAUGUUUAAUCAUUUUGGAAAGAAAUGCAAUGAUAAAUCCUUGGUCCAUUUAAUAUUAAACAUUUAUGUGUUAAGCUAGAACAAUUAAAAGCUAGAACAAUCCUUGGUCCAUUUAAUAUUGCAAGGAUUCAAUCAUCUUUACCAUCUAUGAUUGUCCUAUGUACAAAGAGGGUAACAACCAAAUUCCUAAGGAUAUGUUUGGUUUUGGAAAGCACUAAAAAAAAAAAAAUCAGGGAAAAUAAUUUUCUUAUAUUUGAUUUCACUAUGAAAAAUACAAAAUAAAAUAAAAAUAUAUUUAAAAUUAAUUAGAAAUUUACAUAUUUUAAAUUUAUUUAAUUUCUAAAUAAUGAAGAAAAAUUAGUAAAAUGGGUUUGAAAUAACAUAUCAAAAUAAUUUAUUGGCUUAAAAUUUUUUUUAUUCUAUUUUCUCUCAUUUUUUCUUUACUCUAUUUUUUUCUCUUUAUUUUCUUCUCCUUACAUUUUCUCUUAAAUUUUAUGGGACCAAAUAUAGCCUAAGGGAAUUCCGACACAAGGUUAUAAACAUUCUAUAAGCACAUAAUAACAUUACCGCUAAUGUGUGGUUGGAAACAACCCACUUGUCUUCAUUUCAACCUAACUACAUAAACCUUAAUGCAAAUACUGGUGGCAUAUGCAAAAUGAAGUAAGGGACACUCAUCAUUCACAUGCAAAGGAAACCUAAGGGUUGUUUAAGUUAAUAACAUCUUAUUUGCACCUCUUUGACCGAGAUAUAAAAGGUUGGGAGGCUAAUUUUGAUAAGUUUUUCUUCUCUUUUUCUUUAUCCUAUAUGAAAAUUUUUAAGCUAUAACAUAAAGCUAGUAAGGUUGAAGCUAGAAUAGGUAACUCUAGGUUAGCGAAUCUUGGUAAUCUUCAUCACAAGUAGGAAAUAUUUUAGUUUAAAACUUAUAAAAUCCUAUGACAAAGUUGUAUUAAUCCUUAUGAAGGAAGAGAUAUAUCUUUUAUUAAUCCUUAUGAAUUAUGAUAUUAAUGGGUAGUUAUACUCAAUGGAGUUAAUAUGUUAAAAUUCAAAGUUGGUGACUGUUUGAUGAAGUUAUUAAAUAUAUGAAUAAGAUGCAUGGUGGGUUGUGGGUCAUGUGCUGGACUUUGUGAUACAUAUAUACAAACAAUCACGGUUUGAAAUGUUACGAAAUUUCAGUGAUAUUUCGCUUAUGUCGGUCGACAGAUCGAUAAGUUCAAACUUAGGCCAAAAGGCUUGGGUUGAACCUUGGUUACCACUAGGCCAAGUCCACGUUUAUAAAUAUAUGUUUACAAUAAAUAUAUUGAAGUUCAUUAUUAAAAAAAAUUAAUUCUAAUUAUUUUAUUUUAAAUUUUAUAUUAAUUGAUUAAUGAAAGUACAAAAAUCAUUAUUAUAAUUUUCUUAACAAGUCUCUUUUUUAUAUCAUUUAUAUGAUAAUUAAAUAUAAAAAUAUAAAUAUUUUAAAAAUUAUAUAUGUAUCAUCAUUUAUAAUGCAUUUGAAUUAAAUAAAUUAUAGUUUUAAUAUUAAAUGUAUUAUCAUUUAUCUCAUUAAUCCUAUUUUGAAAAACACUAUCACUUCACAUUUAACUUUUUUAUAUUUAUCAUUUUAAUUUUAUUUAAUUUCGAAUGUCUUUAUUUUAAAAUAUUAAAAAUACAAAUUUAUUCAAAAAAAAUACUAAGAUAUAUCAAUAAUAAUAAUGAAUUUCUAAUAUUUUAUAAAUUAAAAUUAAUUUGAUAAGAUAAAUAAUUAAUUAUUAAGACCGAUAUAUCCCUUUUUAUCGAUAUUUUUCUCCUUAACCAUACGUAUAUCAAUUACACUUAUAAAAUAACUUUAAUGUGUGUAUUUUUACUUAUUUUAUCAUUUUUUUGGAGUUUUUCCAAAUAAUUCCAUGAAUUUUGCAUAAUUUUCGUCUCAGCCAUAUUUUUGUCAAAAUCUCCAUCAAUAUUUUUCCAAUAUAUUUGUGUUUAUUAAUAUUUCAAACCAUGAAAAUAACUAACUCCAGCAUAAGACUCAUGCAUAAACAACAUUGUAAAUGGUGAGUAUUGUAGAUGGUGCUUUAGGGCACAGGAAAUGGUGAAUCCUGCAUUGGUAUUGAACGUGACAAAGAAUUGGAAAAAACAAGAAAAAAAGGGAGAUUGACACCAAGGAAAGGUUGGCCUUAUAAUUUAAGGAGGCAUGAUUGUUGGGUGAGAGCCCUUAGAAAAAAAAAAAAACUGAUUUUAGCAUUGCUUUAGGUGCACUUGUGAAUGAAUGAAGGAGCAAUAGUUCUUGGGUAAGAGCCCUUAUAGAAAGAAGAGUAAAGUACCUUAGAGUGAAAGAUCUAAAACAUAUUUUUGGAAGAUCUUAGUUAGAUAGUAGGGGUAUAGAUAUAUGUCCCUAAAAUACAAGUUUAAAUGGCCAAUGCUAUUGUGAGAUUGGUGUAUUUGAAUUUCCUUGGUUGAUGAUGCUUAUGGUGCUAUUAUUGAUACCAUAUGAUUUGAAAUGUUAUGCUACUAAUUGUACAUACUUAUUGAAUACAUCACUUAGCACUUUAUAACUUAAAUUUUAACAUAAAAUCAUUCUCUACUAGGUUGUGUAAUUUAUNNNNNNNNNNNNNNNNNNNNNNNNNNNNNNNNNNNNNNNNNNNNNNNNNNNNNNNNNNNNNNNNNNNNNNNNNNNNNNNNNNNNNNNNNNNNNNNNNNNNAAUUUUAACAUAAAAUCAUUCUCUACUAGGUUGUGUAAUUUAUCCCUUCAACUCAUUUUUCAACUUUAGUUGAAGGUGCUUAUUGUAUUGAAAACUUGAUGCAUGACUUGAAGGUGAUUGAUCCUCUUUGUUGUGUAAAAUAUUGGAAUAAUUGGAAAAAUCCAUUCCAAGCCUUGAAUCAUCAAGGUACAUGCAACUAUCUUCCUAGGAACACUAGAUCUAGGCAAUGAAAGCAUUAAAAACAAUAACACUCUAGAUCUAGGUGCUAAAAAAUAUUACCUAUGAAAUGGAUGUUCCCAAAUAAAUUCCAAUUGAAGAAGAGAAUGGUGCAAAUCUUGAAAAUCCUGCGAUCUUUGUAGACAUACUCGAAUCUCUCCUUUCCUUAUCCCAAAAUUAGGUUAGGUGUAUACAAAAACUUUUAGGCUAUGUUUGGUUGGCUAGAUAUAGCAUGGGAUAGGAUAAGAGAAAGGAUAUCAUAUCCUAUCCCAUGUUUAAUUAGUGAUGGGAUAGGAUUGAGGUUUGAAAUGUCAUGAAAUAUUAUUGAUAUUUCGUUGAAAUUUUGGAUAUUAGAGGCCCCUAAAGUGAAAUUCCUCAUUGAUAGCUCGAUCGAUGGAAAAAUCGGAUAAUAUCGGUGAUAUAUCAGUGUGGUCGAUAAAAUAGACAAUUCAUCGCCAAGAAUCGGGCUAGUUGCAAGAAAUCUAUAAUAUUUAGAUGAUUUUUUCUCAAAAAGUUGGUGAUGUUUCGAUUGCUUCUCCCUUCUUUAAUCAAUGGCUAGAUUUCACCCAAGGUGAUCCAAUGGCUAAAAUUUACUCAUGUUUUUAAGAAGGCCUUCAACGGUCAGAUUUAUAAUCCAAGGGUGGAAAAUGAAUCUUGACUUGAUCCAACAUUUAGGAAGGGUUUCCAAUAGAUAGAUGAAGAUUUAAUGGCCAUAUUUCAUCUAAAUUUUGAUCCAAUGGUUAGAAUUUAAAGGCAAUGGUUUUUUGACCAUCCAAGACUAGUUUGACCAAAUUUUUGUUCUAUAAAUACCUAAAUUUCAUUCCAUUUCAUGCACAAGUGAAUUGAAAGGUUCUUGAUCUUAUAUUGCUCCAAUAGUUAUUUGUAAUUUCUCUCAAAAUUCUUUAAUUUUGGGAAUUUGGUGUUGAAUUUGUGGAUUAACUCCAAUUCAAGGCUAACUAAGGUAUGUUAUAAUAAAUAGUACUUUUAUAUAUGCAUAGUUCAAUUUUAUUUUUAGUUAGUAAUAUAUUAAUAUUAUAUUGUAAAACAUACAAUAGUUUAAUUGAUAUUAUCUAAUUAAUAUGUUUUCAAUCAUUUUAAAGAAAUUAAAUUAAUGGUCUAAUUUGAUUAAUUUUAACAUUAAUGUCAAAUUAAUUUUAAUAAAUUUCAAUUUCAAUUGGUAAUGUUAGUUAUAAAGUUUAAGAAUAAUAGUAAAUUAACUUAGAUUUUUAAUUUUAAUAAUUGUAAAUUAGUUUUAUAUUAAAGUUAAAUUAAAGUGAUUUGUGUAAUUAAUAUCAUAUAUAUAUAUAUAUGCAUAAUUCAAUUUUAAUUUUAAUUUCAAUUAGUAUUGUUACUUAUAAAGUUUAAGAAUAAUGACAAAUUAACUUAGAUGUAUAAUUUUAAUAAUUGUAAAUUAGUUUCAUAUUGAAGUUAAAUUAUUAAUUAAUAUAUCUAAUCUAAAAAAAAAGCUCAAAAUAAAUAAUCAUAAAUUUUUAAGCAAUCUUUCAUUUUUACCAAAAUGUCCUUACACAUAAAUGAUCAAUUCUUCAUAAAACCUUAAAACUUUAUGCCAACAAAGAUUAUGAGCUCAAGCGGGGAUCACUAAGACCCAUAGGAAAAUACCGAGUCUCUUAGAAUCUAAUUAUAAAGUUGACUCAAUAUUCCAUUAAAGAAAGUCAAUUGUGCUCCAAUAAUCUAUGACAUUACAUAAGAUGAAAAUUGAUUAAAGCUAAUUUAAUAAAUUCCUCGGGUUUGUGACCUACUAUCCAUUGGACUUUGAACCGAUAUCCAUAAUCUAAUGUAGUGAAAGCCCUCACUCUCUCAAGAUUAGCUCUACCAUCCUUGAGUCCCAAAUCCUCAUAUUACUUGAUUAAUUGACUUACUCUAUCUCACAAAGAGCAUAUGUCAAUCUCUACUAAAGGAAUUAAUAUGACUACAGAUUUCAUGAUUACAAGUCCUUAAGAUAACCUAAGAGGACACACUAUCUCAAACCUAUGAGAUAUCAUGGUGUCUAUCUUAAGAAUACCUAUUGCUACCUAUCCUAAUCAAUAGUAACUCAAUCCAUAGGGAAUAUAAAGACCUUAGAACUAACUCAAUAUUCUAUCAUGGUUGAGAGACCAUGCGACAUAGUCACUUGGUGAAAUCAUGACUACUCAAUAGCUAACGUCAUGAUGCACCAUAGGUUUUGUCUAAUGUGUAACCAUACACACUAGUGCACUCAGUAUGGGAAACCUAUCUAAUGACCAAGACAAGUCAUAUCUCCAAUUAGGAGGUAGUGCACUUCAGCCUCAAAUGAAUUGCUUAAGUCCAUGAACUAAGUGUGAACUACUCAUCAAAAUACAAGGAACCAUGACUUCAAUUUUUUAUGCAACUCCUAAUGCACCUAAGUCAUGUAUAUUACAAAUAAUGUAGUCUUGAAUGCUAAAAUAAACCAUAAUGUCAAAGUGAGAUAUUAAAGUGAAUCUAAAAACUCAUAAAUACAUCAUGUCAUACUUCUAAGGGCUCUAUCCCAACAAUUGAUAACCUACCAAAUUAGAUGCAUAAAAUUCAUAAAUAAAAACUUGAACUUUGUAGCCAAAUCUACAAUUUUAUAUAAAACCCUGUCAAAAUGGCUAAUGAAAAGUGAUUGAUAUUACAAAAGAACAUAAAACUAAUGCUGUGAAAUGGGUUUUCAAAGUUAGUAAGUGCUUUAGGUAUGUGAUAAAUGAAAUCAAAUAUCAAAAGUCAAAGUCAAUGACAAAUGGUUAUGUGAAGAACUUCUUGGUUAUGUAGAAUUCUCUCAUAUUCAAGAUUUCUUAUAGUUUACUUUUUUAAUCAUAUGGUUGUGAAGCUGGCAUUUCUAUAAAUUGGUNNNNNNNNNNNNNNNNNNNNNNNNNNNNNNNNNNNNNNNNNNNNNNNNNNNNNNNNNNNNNNNNNNNNNNNNNNNNNNNNNNNNNNNNNNNNNNNNNNNNAGCUACCCCUUUGUGAAGCUCAAAGCGAAUUUGGUGUGCCUGAAUUGAGAAGUAAACAAAGAAGAGGAAGAAGAAAAAACAGAAGUUAGUCUAUACUUGAUAUUUGAAGAUGCAUCUUAUUAACAUAUUAGUUUCAUCAUCACUACCACUAUUAUAUAUUAAAACUAAAACUUUAAAUACUUAUUAAUAUUAUAACAUAUAGUUGUAACAAAAAUUAUAUGAUCAAUUUUAGACAUGUUUUAGGCCUGGUUUGAUUAAAAAAAAAUAUACAUGCAUAGAACUAACCUGUGCAAGACGAGUCCCAUGGUCAUUCAAAGGAAGAAAAAUUUCCCCAUGCCAUGAAUCUCUAAAUCCAAUUAUCUCAAGAAGUUCAUCAUCUACAAAAGAUGAUGUAAAGUUUCUCUGCAAAUUACAACCCCAUUAGAAUUGUCAAUAAAACAAUUAAAUUAAGAAAGAUAAAGUUAGCUUGAAUGAAACUGAAAAAAAAAAUGUUUCCAUUAUUCAUUUCUUUUAAUGUAAAACAACACUUUCAAAAGCUCACCUCUUUUUUUCUCCUAAAAUUUGGCUUGCCCCAAGGGUCUAGUCCACCAGGGAAGCUAGGCAUGUUAAGACAAACAAUUGACCUUAUGCUAUAAAUACGAAAAAAGUAAUUAGAAAUAUUAUUGAUGUUCAUUCAAUUGAGAACUAAAUGCUAACAAUAGAUCAAUUACAAAAAGUGGAAGUCCGAAAAAAUAACAUUGCAUGAUAUAAUGUAAUUAAAUUUUGUAUGGUCAUGUCAAGGAGGAUGACAUUUUCAAUGACCGUUCUUGUUAAAUGAAAAAGAUAUAAAGCUGAAAAUAUAUUUGUUAUUCAUGUUAAGGAGGCUAUCUAGUAUUGAUGUAUUGAAGAAUUAGUAAAUAACAAAAAACAUUUGAAAAUCAUUUCAUCAUUUGCUUUUAUUAUUGAGCAUGAAAAAUAAUCCACAAAGGGAUCAACUUUGUUGUUUGGAUUUUCUAAGGAUGGUCACAAUCCAUUUUAGUUUUUGAUUUAAAAUUUUAUUGAUGAAUUAAACAAUUAUAGGUCUUGCUUUUCUAUAAAUUACUUUGACCUUCCUUAUCCUCACUCAACUUUAGUAUUUUAGCUAAUCUCUAAUAAUUGUUCCCAAAUCUUCAUUAAGCUUCACUAUUUUAUCUAAUAUUCAUUAACAUUUACUUAUUCUUUGAACAUUUUACAUUCUUCAAAUUCAAAUUUUAAAGAAAACCAACUCUAGAUGAAAGGUUUGACUAAUGCCUAUUCUUAAAAAAAAUGCUAAACUCAUUUCUUUUUCCUUGCAAUAUCCUUUUUCUAUUUUCCAAUAUUGUAAGAUGUUUCUUCAUUUUCAUGGUAGAAAUAAGGCAGAGAUUCAUGGAUACUCAUCACAUCUUCAUUAUUUAUUCUAGAUAAUUUUUCAGUCUCAUCAUAUAUUUUAGAGGCAUGUAUGCAUGUGACACCAAUCCUAAGAUGGGGUGACACAAAGAUGGAAGUUACAAUGUAUGUCAACCUCAUGACAAAAAUGGUAGAAAAUAAUGUCAUUAGUUUACCUUUGAGGUAAGUUUAAUUUCUUCCAUUGAUGUUGGUGAUCCUUGAUUUUAACACUUAUAGGUAGAGCAAUGUUCCUGCAUCAAUGAAGUUAUUCCUUUCAUGCUUUUUUCAAAUAAUAAAAAAUAAUAUUAAUAUAGUAAGUAAGGUCUACAUUUUUAAAUAUAAUUAUGGGAAAAAUAUAUGAUCCAUACCAUAACCAAUUAGAAAUGCUUGAACACUCUUAAUAAGUCACCUUAUAGCUUAAACAAAUUUAUAGAAAUCAAUCGUACCCAUUCAUCUCAAGUUUUAGUUGAACUCACAAAAUUCAAGGGUAUUGUAUUAUAUAUUUAUAUCUUACUAAUAUUUAUAGUGUUAGUCUAUAUUAAUGAUAAAAUAAUUGUUGGCAACACAUACGAUCAUUGAUUCACAUGUUUUUAGUUCAUUUUCCACUAACUUUAGAAGUUCAAGCUGUGGUAUGGUCUUUAUAGAAAAUAAAAACGUUCUUACCUUUUACUAUCAUUCCAUCCAAAUUAAUUAGCAAGUUAAUAAUGUAUCACAAAGCAUUCCAAAUAGUAAACAUCUACCCCUUGAUUAUUACACUAAAUCGGAAAAUUAUUAUAAAACAUAGAGAAUUAAUUAAAAAUAGUAAUAUAAUAAUAUCACAAUGAUAGAAAUUAUGCCUAAAAAAGUUACCUUGGCCAAGAUUUAAAGUGAGAAGCAUCAAACAAUUCUUGAGCAUCCAACCCUAAUGCAAAUAUAAGAAAGAUAUAAUAUCAUAUAGUUAAGGCAUAUGGUAUAAACAAUCAUCUUAUUCUUAUUGUAUGUGAUCUAAUGCACAAGGAACUAAAUAUCAUUUGUACUCUCAUUGUGCCCAAAAGUUAAAAUAUUCCUAAAUUUAUUUGGAUAAAGGUAAGGGUGAUAAAUUAUUACUUGAAUAUAAACACUCAUCCCAUGUAGAAGACUCAACAUGAAUUGUUCAUCACUAAAAUCAUAUUUUGCACUUGUUUAAAAUUGAAAACCAAAGUAUGUACUAUAGAUGAUGAAAUGUGAUGACUUAACAAUGAGAAAAUUCAAGUAGAAUAAUCACAUAAAUUUGACCACCUAUAUAAAAUGAACUAUAAACAUGCAUAGCUAGCUUCUCAAGUGUAGUAUGAAAAAUUAGAACUACUUGCAUUUUUAACCAAGACACCAACAAGUUGAUUCUAAUGUGAAAAAAAUGAAAAUAAAAUUAAAUCAAAUUUUGACUUUUUCUAGAUGAGUUCAUAAUUUAUUAGUAUAUAUAUGUUUAUUUCAAUCAUUCUAGAUUAGAUUUUGAGCAAGACAAACUUAUUACCACAAAAAUUUUAAAAAAAAAAUUUAGUUGAAAAGCCCUUUCACCACAAAAAAAAAAAAAAAAAAAAAAUCUCAAACAAAAUAUCUUACAUGCUUCAUGAGUGUUUUUAUUUAUAAAAGCUACCUUGGGAUUAGGGGAAACCAAAUAACUUUCUCUUCUAAGCUACUUAGUCUCUCUCAACAUAAGUACCAUAUCCAAAAUUGUCUUUAUUAAUAACUCCACCAUUCUAUUUCUACAAAUGUACAAAAUUCCCUUAUAAAUCAUCAUAUUUAAUAAGUAAGAGAUUUUUCCUUAGAGUUGACUUCAAGUGUAUGUAUUUAUACACACAUAUGUGCAUAUGUAAUUUCUCAUUAUUCUUUAUAAUUAGUUGAGUUUUCCAUUCACAAUCAAGUAUAUGUCAUCCAUAGAUCUCCUCCCAUGUGCAUAUAUAAAUUGGCUAACCCCUUACAAGUAUAAGCACUGUGUGAGCCAACUAUACAACAUAUCGAUAAACUUUCCUUAAAAGCCUCUAGUAUGUUUGGUAUCAAUAGGGAAGUCAUCACUAUCUCUAUAUUAAUUGAGGUAUCAAUAGCUAUAUGGUAGUACAACAUUCUUAUCUCUUUUUAAGGGGGUCGAUGACAUAUUUCUUCAUAGGGGACUUUAAUCACAAUGGAAUAUUUGCAUCCAUCUUGUUAGGAUAAAGCCCUUAAAAAUCAUGACAUGAUAUAAUAAUAAAUAAAUUUUAUUAUUAUUUAAAGAUGAUUCUGGUCUCCUAUUUGCUAUCUUGUUUGUGCAGUAAUCGUGUUAAACAUUCAGGCCUAAUAUCACUUGCAUUAUAUAUGACUUGGGUACAUUAGGAGUUGCAUAGAAAAUUCCAAGUCAUGAAUGGGCUACUUGCAAGUAGAUGAGUGGUUCACAACUGUUUCAUGGACUUAGGAAAUUCAUUUGAGGUUGUAAAACACCACCUACUAAUUGGAAGGAUGACUUGCCUUGGUCAUUGGGAUGAGGUUUCCCAUAGUGAUUGCACUAGUAUGUAUGGUUACACAUUGGACAUGACCUAUGGUGAAUAAUGACAGUUUCAAGUAGUCAUGACUUUACCAAGUUACUAUGCUAUAUGAGUUCUCAACCUUGAGAGAAUAUUGAGUUAGUGUUAAGGCGCUUAAUGGUUUUGACCUAUGUGUGAGACCCUUAGGUGGAUUAGGUUAUUGUUGAUCAAGAGCCCAUUUGAUAGUGAUUCUAGGAUACGUUUCUAACCUUUCUAACACUUGAAUUUUUUAUCAUUCAAAGUAUUAAAAAAGUUAAAAAUGUUUCCUAAAAUCACAACCAAACACACUCUAAGAUAGAUGACAACAAGUAUUCUCAAGAUAGACACCAUGGUAUCUUAUAAGUUUGAGACAAUGUAUUCCCUUGGGUGAUCCUAAAGGCAUGUGAGCAUGAAAAUUAUGGUCAUAGUAGGUAGGUGGUUUUUUUAUGUUACAUCCAUGUGAUUUUGGGUGAUUGAUUUUAUUUAUCAUCUAUCCAUGGGAUUGAUAAGCUCUCAUUGAAUAAUUAAUAAAAAAUGACAAACUAAAAAUUGGUAAUAAAGUUUGAGCUUAGGAUUAAUUUAGGGACUACCUUUUCACACCAUUAUCUCCAAAAAUAGUUUUAUCAUAUUAAGACUACAAAAUUCAUUUUUCAAGUGGUAUUAAAGUAAGUUGGUUUUAAAAAUCAAGUUUUGAACAAUUCUUACAGGUCUUGGUCUGUGAAGAGAGGGUACUUAAAUUAAUUGUCCUCCACUUUUUUUGUGAGCAUAACUACCCUCACUAGAAAGCUAAAAUGGAGUUCGUCUAGAAAAUACUAGAAGAACUUGUAUGGAACACAAUUGAGUUUCGUUGUUACCCCAAUAAAAUAUUGUAGUCCUUUUGAAUUAAAACCCAAGUAAGAGGAGGAUAAAUUGGAUAAUAAAGAGAGUAAGGCGAAUGUCAAAGCCUUUUAUUAUAUUUUCAAUGAGAUUAGUCCUUGACACUUGCAAAUGUGUUAAAGAGGCUUGUUAUACCUUAGCAAUAAGUCAUAAGAACACUUCCAUUAUGAAGUUGUCUAAACUUUGAAUGUUGACUGCUAAGUUUGAAAACAUUAAGAUGAAAGAUGAUGAGGCCUUCUUUGAGUUCUACAUUGAACUCAAUGAUAUUAUUAAUUUUGAGAUCUUUGGGUCCAAAUUGGUUAGGAAAAUCUUGAGAUCUCUCCCAAAGAGAUUUAGACUUAAAGUUUCUACAGUAAAGCAAAGUAAAUAUAUGACUUGAUAAAUGAAUUUGCAACUUCUCUUUAAACCUAUGAGAUGACUCUACCAUCCCCUAGGAGAUCUAAAGGUGUAGCUUUUAAGGCCUCCUCAAAAGAAAAGAAUGUUUAUAAUGAUGAGAGUGAACAUGUUCUCACUCAAUAAAAAAUUUCAACCUUUUUUAAAAAAUUUAAAUUUUUUUUAUGAAAAUACAAAAUAAGAACACAAAAGAUGGCUAAAAAAAGAAAGAAAUCUUUCUAUAAAAAAAAAAAAAAAAAAAAGGAGUUAGUAAAAUUGUCUCAAGUUGAGUGUUUCAACUAUAAGGGUAAAUGACACUUUGAUUUAGUUGCCCUACACCUAAAAAAACAAAAGAAAAAAGAAAACAUUGCAAGUGACUUAAAGUGAUUCUGAAUUUAAUGAUAAUGAGCCCAUGGGAUCAACUAAAAGUGAAGAUAACGACAAUCUUGUUGCUAGUGUCUCACUUCCCACAUCCUCUAAAAUUGAUAGUCCCAUGAAUCAAGUGGUGAGGAAAAAUUAGAUUUUGAUAACCUCCAAGAGGCAUACAAUACAUUGUAUUAUGAGAAAUAUGAACUAAAGAUUGAGAAUAUGAAAUUAUAGAAGAUCUUGAAUAAAUGAUCACUCUCAUUGAACGUCUUGAAUUUGAGAGAAUUGAUUUGAAAGAAAAAUUAAAUUCCUAUGAAUAUAAAAAAGUUGACAUGGAUGGCAAUAUCAAGGAAGAAAUAAGUGAACAUCAAAAUCUUCUUAGUAAAAUUAAGUUCCUUGCAUUUAAAUUUCACAUUGUUCUUGAAAAUAAUAAGUCGUUUAUCUUAAAUUGACAUGGUUGGAAAAAUAAAUUAGGAAGUCAAAAUAAAAUCUUCCCCUCUAACUCUAAGAUCUUAAAUGAAAUGACAUAAAAACAUUAGGGCUUUGGAGAUAAAAGAGACCUAGGUUACAUAACUAAGUCUAAAAUUCCUAUGAAUGAAAGACUUCUUUUAUGAAAGAUAAAGAAAGUUACUCGUCUAGGGAAUCAACCUCAAAGAAGACAAGGUUGCAAUAGAUCUAGACAUGUUGGCAAUAAGUGCUAUGGUUGUUUCUUCAAAAACUUCUAAACACAUGUCAAUAGGCUAAUGAGUGAGUCAAACUCCUUCAGCAAUCAAAUCUUGAAUAUUAAAAGGGAGAGUAAAUCUCAAUUUAUGCCUGGGAAAGGUUAAUAUAGCAUUAAUCCUAAGACUAGAUAAAUUUGGAUCAAGAAAGAUGACUUAAUUACUCCUCAAGGUUUAGGUCUAGUGAGUUCUAAGUCCAUUUCUUCAAAUUCUCUUACUAUUUCAUCCUCUAGGAAAUCUUUGGGAGCUUCCUCUUAGUUAUCAUAUUUUUUUUAUAGCCUAGGGUUUAGUUUUAAUGUUUCAUCAUUUAUCCCUAUAAUAUGCAAUUUUAGGAGUUCUUAAGUCUUUUUGUCUUUUUUUAUUUUAUUUAUUUUAUUUUUAAUUUCAAAAUUUGUUUUUAGUUAGUUUUUAUUGAGUCUAGGUGUAAGAUUUAGGGGGAGCUUAUCAAUUUAUGAGAUUAGGACCUGAUGCUUAGUUGAAGUAAUUUUCUUUAUGGAGUGUCUUAUCCCUUAGAUGCUCUUAGAUUUGAGAACCUUAGGAAAUCCAUAGGGAUUAGUAUCCUAGAUUAAGAUUGUAUCUCUUUUAGAUUUUAGGCUUUUGAAUUUAAGGGAGAAAUUUUUUUAGGGUUCUAAGAUCUAGACUCAUAUUCCUUAAAAGAUCUAAAAUACUUUGAGUUAUUGUUUUCUUAAAACUUUUCGGCAUUUCAUGGAAUUUAGGGCAGAUGGACUUGAAUUUAUUAUCUCCGUCCAUGAUUAGAAACAUUAUAAUUGAUCUAGAGAGUAAAUAUUUUUUUGAAUACUUCAUAAUGUGAUUUAAGUGGUUCCUAAAGUUUUAAAGUUAUGAAAAUCUAUUUCUUCAUAGUUUUCAGAAGGAAUCAAACUAGGUUAUUUCUUCAACUUAAUUUAUGGGUUCUUAGAGUGUUCAUCAUGUUUAAUUCAUUCAUUUGUGAUUUUAAAAAUAUUAAAAUAAUUUUGGGAGUGAAAAAUCUACUUUUAGCAAAUUCUAAAUUUAGUUUCAUUAUUCUAAGCUUGAAAGCUAUCACUUGCAAAAGUUGAAAAAUCCUUAAAAUUUAUGGUAAAGGUGUAAUGAAUGUUUGUGAUUAAUGCUUAUAACUUGUGGCCUUUACAGAAAUUAGAAAUUAUUAAGAGCAGAGAUUAAAAUUUUGGGGAAAUUCUAAAAUCACAUGAUAUGUAUGUAUAUCUAUGUGAAAGAAAUUAAGUAAUGUUAAAUAAACAUCUGACUAGAUGAACUUUAAAUUAAAUGAGUUCUACUUUAGGGCUUUAAAUUAAGUGGUUGAAAUAGUAAGGAGAGAUGAAAUGAGAAUUUCAUGUGUUUAAUAGUUCCAUCUCUUGAAAAUGAAAGUUUUAGUUUUUUCACUAAUGUUUUAUUUACUUUUUUAAAUAUAGAUAAUCUUUUGUCUUCUUGAAAUCAAAAUUGUUUUGAUUCCGCUCAUAGUUUAUCAUGCCUUUGUUGUCAAGAUAUAUAUAUAUAUAGGGCUAAUUUUCUAAAAAAUUAUAAAUCUAUGAGUAUUAAGAAAUUUCUUGGAUAGAAAAUUUUGAUCCUUGUUAGUGUUUAGAUAUUCCAAAAGUGUUCAAAAGUUUUGAAUCUUGAUUUUUAGGAAUUUAAGAAAUUAUUUAAACCUCCUCGUGAAAAUAAGGAAUUUUUGAGGACUUAUUUUGAACUUCAUUGUGAUCAGAGGAGUGAGUACCCAUGUUUUUCCUCUUCCUAACAUGGAUCUCUAAAUUUCUUAAUGUAUUAGGUUGAGAGAAAGAGAGUAUCUAUAUGUGUUAGCCUAAGGGUUCUCCUAAUCGAGUUUUGAUGAUAACAAACCAUGGUUAAGUGACUAAUUUGUUUAAUGGUUAAGAAUCUCAGGCAUAAACUCGAAAAUUCAUCAAAUGACCAAAUGGAUACAAGAUCAAGACGCUUGGAAGACUUGUGAUCAUAGGAAACUAAUGUAAGAUGAAUGCAUGAGUGCACUUAGGAUUUUUAUACGUUUCAUGCAACUUAGAAAACUCGAUUUAUUCUUUAAAACUUCGAUUUCAUUAAAACCUGAGUUUUUAACUAAUGUACCUUAGGAAAAAUGUUUUAUAAUUGGCUUAAUAAUUCACCUAAAGACCUUGACUAAGUGUUUGAAAAGAAAGGAAUUAAAAAAAAUAGGUUUUCGGGGCCAAAAAGGCUCAAUCGGUCAAGGUUAUGGCCAACCGGCUCAACCGGUUGAGGAACUGGUUGACCGGUUGUGCUCGUCCGAUCGAAGACCGGUCGAGGGAGGCCAAAAAGUUUCUCUCUCUCCCAGUAGCCUUCUUUUCCCGAUUGAGGGGAUUCUCUUACCGGUCAAGAUCCGAUUGAUGUCCGGUCGAGGCAACGGUAACCUGUCAUGCAUUAAAUGUUCCAACGGCUAGUGAACCGGUCAACCCCUAGCUCGACCAGAUGAGGUUACCUUUUGCUGUUUUUGACUCCCAGGCUUAGAAACCUAUAAAUUGAGAGCUCCACUUCAUUUAUUGAUAAGAGAACACUUGCAUUCAAUAGCCUACCUAUCUGUUCUUGAUAAAAAAAGCUCACAUUUCUUUCAUAGUACAUUAAAUCACCACUUGCAUAUCCUUUAGUGCACUCUUGUGUGUCAUCUUAGCUUUGUCUUGUAUUUGAGCUAUCCUUAAGCUAGGUUGAGGGAUCAUUUCUUGUAAAAAUCUGAGUGUCAAAGCCUUCAAGAGGUUUGAAUUUUGAAGAGAUUGUGUAAGAGCCCAUUGGAGUCGGAAUCCAAGUGUAAGAAGAUUGGAAGCUUGGUUGAAGCUUCAAGUUAGUGGAACCCUCACUCGGUUAGGAGAUUGAGGAGUGUGGACGUAGGCAAGGAAGUGCCAAACCACUAUAAACCCGAAUUUGAUUUCUCUAAACUCUAUCUCUUUAUUUUGUUUAUAUUAUGUUUGAAUUUGUUGUGAUUGAAAAGAUUUUAAAAACCCAAUUCACCCCCUCACCCCCCCUUUUGGGUGUUUUUCUUAACUAAGCAUAGCCUUUGUUUUCUCAAUAUGUAUUUUGGAUUAUCUUUUGUUACUUUGUUUACUCUCUGAUUCAUGUUAGGUUGUAUAUUGGAUAUUGCUCCAAUUUACACAGGCAUGUUAUAGACCUUUCCUUGGUUAUUUUCCUUAUGUGCCUAAUCAUGCAUUUUUUUUUUCUAUUUUUCAUUUUUGUGAAAAAAAAGGAGUAAAAGGUUGUAAAAAUGUUAUUUGAGUUCAUUGAUUGUAUUUAUGUAUUUUUAUUUAUUCUAUUUUUGGCCAUUCUAUGCUUUUUACUUGUAUAUUAUUUAAGUAUAUAGAUUAUAAAGAGACAUGCAAGCAUAAUAACUAGUUUAGAUUAGAACUUGUUUUGGAUUUAGUAAGGUUUUUAUGAGACUAUAGGGAGCCUCAUUAUAAUUAUUUAUUUUGUCACAAAAUUAUUAAAGGAGGAUAUUAUUGAUGUAUUAGUUUUAUAUUGACUAGUUUCUUCCAUUUCUUAUUAAUUAAGAUGCAUUUAUUCUUAGGUCUUAACAACUAAAAAAACUUUGAGCUACUAUAGAAUUGAGUUUAGGAAGGUAAAAAGUCAUCAAAUUCGAGGUAAGGAUGCAUUUUUGGUAUGGUAAAUUUUUUUGAAUGGAAAUUAUAUGCAAAAGUGUUGAAAAAGCAAUUGAAAAUAGCUUGAAACUUGUGAAAUUGGAGAAUGCACUAAGUAGAAGUUCAACAACAUAAGAAGGGUGUUUAAACGCCUCUUCGUGUUCAAAUAGUUUGUUAUUUUUUGAAGUUUCAAAUUUCAUUUUGAAUUCCAAAACCUUGAUUUUUAAGAUAUAUAAAAAUUGGAAAUUAACUCUUCAUAUCUUUUGAAGAAAAAAGUUAAGAUAAUCCAAAGAGAGAAAUUGUCAUCUACAAAUCUUGAAACUCCAUAUCUCGACACUUUUCAAUGCAAUCUUGAAAGUACUCCUGAUGUUAACAAAGGUCUAAGCUCUAAUUGUUUCAACCAUGAUAAAGGCUUCAAAUGAUUCACUAAAAGUACAAAAGAGUACUACAUUGAGAACGUGGAAGAUAGAAAAAGGUGUUGUCCAUCUAAGAUCCUAAGGAAUGUAUUUAUUCGACUAAGUAAAUCUAUAUACCAUAUUUUCAUAUUUAGUGGAUUAUCUACGGUCAAGGCAACACUCAUGGUGUUUUACACCAAUUAAGUUGCUAUGCUGAGCCAGAGUGGGCUCAAUAGUUAAACCUAUGUUUUCGAGCACAUGUGUAGUGGGGUAAUAAAGUUUGAACUUAGGAUUAAUUCAUGGACUACCUACCCUCUCCCUCUCCUGUCCCUCUUUUGGUAGUUUUAUCAUAUCAAGACUAUUAAAUUUCUUUCAACUUAUGUUUCCUAACAACAUUUAUAUUAUAAUGAAUUGCACAAUAUUUAUGAAAAGAAAAAGUACAAGAAAAUUAAACCCAUUACCUAUUAUAAGAUAGUUCCAAAAUCUUCCACAAAGAUCUUUGUCACCUCCCUGGUAAAAUAUCAUCAUAAGAAGUACAAAUUAAUAAGUUAAGCGAUCUUAUCCACUUCAAGUAUUAAUUCAAAUAAUGACAUAUUUAUUAAUAAAUGAUUAUUCUAAAUUUAAGAUUGCUUUAGAAGAAAUUAAAGCUUAUGGAUGUUUAAGGAGAGUUACUCACUUAGCAAAGUUAAAUGAUUAUAGGUUGGAGUCCCACUAGGAAAAAAGAGAAAGGAAAAGAAAAUUUACCAAUAAAAGAAAAUUCUACCAUGAAGCUAGUAAAGAAAAUGUGAACUACACAUUUUUAACUUAUAUGAUAUAGAUCACAAUCUCUCUCCCAUAUACAUAACUUGCAAUAUCUAGACUUAUUUGGCGAAAAAAGGUGGAGCAAGUUUAAACCCUCACAACUAAUAUGAUAUAUUUUAUAGUAAAGGUACCAUAGCAAAUAAAAAAGAGUAUAAAAAUGUUUUCACCCAUUGAAAUAUGUGUUUCAUCUAUUAAAAUAAAAUUUUCUUAAUCUUAAAAGUAGUAUUUUAGAAAAGUUCAUAAAAUCUUAUCAAUUGUUGAGGUAAGCUAAAUAUGGUAGAAUGGAAAAUAUUAGAUAGUUUUGUCGUGCAUUGGAGUGUAGCAAAGAAGAACCUUGGUAGAAGUAACUUGGUUAGGUCACACCUAAUUAUUGGCAUGACAAUAUGGUCUCUAAAGAAUUUCUAUAUAUUGAUUAACUAUGUUAGCAUUUCAUUAUUGCUAACUAAGGUUUUAUUUUGUGUACCUUAUAGAUUCUAAGAUCUAUCUCCACACUUAAUUGGGCCACUUCUCUAAAGUUGUAAUAUUCUAAUGUAGUUUUGUUAUGCUCUACAACGUUUUCCCAAUCUACUUUAUGUAGGAAUUUCCAUGUCAAUAACCCUAAAUCCUAAUAAGUUAAUAUUUGGGCAAACUUAAAUGAUAGUAGAAUUGAUUCCUCUAAAAGUAUGCAUGAACAACUACAUUAAAGUCAUAGUGAGUACUAGAGUUUGAAGUAUAUAAAUCAAUUCAUACAAGAGGGAUUUUAUAUUUUAGAGGCGUUAUUGAUGUGGUGACAUAUGAUAAAAAAAUCACCAAUUGAUCGACAAUUAAUCUAAACUUUAAAAAAAAAAAAAAAAAACUGAAAAAAGUGGCAAAAUUCAUUAGUCGAAAAUAAAAUUGUGAAAUUGUUUGCAUUGCCACAGAGAGUCGAUAUUUCAUCUAAAAUUUUGGCAAUAAAUGACAAUUUAAUCCUUACUCAAGAAACGUGUGAGGCCAUUAAGGAUGCAUAGGAGAGAAUGGAAACCUCUUCAAAAAAAGUUAGAAAUUCCUUACAUACAUGGUAAUUCAAAUCUCUUACUAACUAAUUUAAAAUUGUACAUAAAGGGGUUUUAAGGAAAAAAGUUCUAACUAAUUUAUAAUUAUACAAGAGGAGUCCUAAAAGGAGAAAAACUCCUAACUAAUUUAUAGUUGUACAAGAAGAGUCCUAAAAUGAGAAAAAUCCUAAAUUAUAGGACCUAAACUUCAAACACAUGUCUAUAAUUUGGUAUUAGCUAAUCUUUAGUUACAACAUCUAUAAUUUGGUCACAUGUCUCAAUAUAUGGAGUCCAAAUAAAACCACUAUCUAGCUUAUUUCUUUAUGAAAUGUCAAUCUCCUUCCAUAUGUUUUAUUUGAUCAUACUGUACCAAAUUAUGAGUGAUGUUGAAUGCAGACUUAUUAUCACAGUAGAAUCUCAUAGGGUAUCUCUACUUGAUUUUAGGAUCAUUUAAAAUAAUCUUAAGCCAUAACAAUUCACAAAUUCCAUGAGUCAUUACUCGAAACUCCACCUUGACACUUGAUUUUGUAACCACUAGUUUUUUUUUACUUUUCUAAGUAACAAGAUAUCCCCAAGAAAAGUAUAGUACUCUAAGGUUGAUCUUCUAUUUAAAAUUAAUCCAACAUAAUUUGGAUUAGUGUAGGCUUUCAAGCAUAACUCCAUAGCUUGUUUGAAUAACAACCUUUUACCAAAAAUUCCUUAACGUGGUAUAUGAUCCGAUAGAUUGCUUGAAGAUGAGUGUCUUUGGGAUUGUGCAUAAACUAAAAAUGCUCACAACAUAUGCAACUUUUGGUCUAGUAUGUGCUAAUUAAAUAAGUCUGCACAUUUGUCAUUAGUGCAUGCCAUGAUUUACAAUCCCAUCCUCCAAGGCCUCUACUAAUUUAUGGUUUGGUUCUAUGGGGUUGUCCACUAGCUUACAUCCAAGUUUCUUGGUUUUUUUUUUUAAGAAUAUCAAUCACAUAUUUCUUUUAUGAAACAAAGAUACCCUUCUUGGAAUGAGCCACAUUGAUUCUCAGGAAAUACUUCAAUCUAACAAGUUCUUUAAUCUCAAAUUCUCUAGUUAAAUACUGUCGAAGAGCUUCCCUUUCUCUAGGAUCAUUACCAAUCAUAAUAAUAUCAUCCAUAGAUACGAAGAAAGUUAUCAGUCCCUUUGAAGUCCAAUGCUUAAUAAACAAAGUAUGGUCACCUUGACUUUGUAUUUCAUUGCCAACAUCACGUUAGAAAAUCUCAUAAAUCAUGUUCUUAGAGAUUGUUUUAAUUCAUAUGAGGUUUUCUUUAAUUUUCAAGCAUUAGUUCUACCAAGAGUUUUGUAAAAUCCUGGAGAAAUUUCCAUAUAGAUCUCUUCUUCUAAGUCCUCAUGCAAAAAUGCAUUUUUGUUUUACAUCAAAUUUUUGUAAGCUCCAACUAAGAUUAGUCACCAAUGAUAAUAACACCCUUACGAUAUUCAUAAUAGCUAUGAAAGAAAAGGUUGCUUGGUAAUCAACCCCUUAGGUUUGUGUUAGCCUUUCGCUACUAACCUAGACUUAUAUCUUUUUAGUUAUACUUGAUUCUAUAUACUCAUUUACACCCAAAUGGUUUCUUCCUCUUAGACAUCUCUAUUAUUUCCCAUGUUCUAUUUUUCUGUAAGGCCUCUAUCUUACCCACAUGACUUGUCUCUAAUUCUCAUUAUUAAGUGCCUCAAAAAGGUUUUGUGGAGUGGUUUUGCUGUACAAAUGAGUGAGGAUUUUUGUGGGAUUGGGAGAAGUUAUUAAAUGACAUAAAUAAUGAUAGAAAAUGUUCCUAAUCGGAAUGGGUAAAUCAAGAUCAUUGUCAACAUUUGAAGUACUAGGAGAGAUAAAACUAUUGUCUAGCCUUGGUUUAGACUCUUGACUAUGUGUGGGUUUAAUGGUGGUUAUUUUUCUCCUUAAGUAAACUUGCAAUGGUUUUAUAACAAUAGUUUCUAGACUAGUGUUAGCAGAAUGAUUCCAAUUCAUUGUUGUUUGAAAAUUGGUUUAAAUCGAGCUUUGUGGUAUUAAGAGAAGAGUAGGUCAUGUGGUCUAUGUCUUCUAAGUUAAUGACCCAAGAGCCAAUGAAGAACAAAUCUAAGGCCCUUAAAAGUAUGACAAAUAGAAAACUUACUUGUUUGUGUCAAAGAACACAUACUUGAUUGUUUAUUCAAAGUACCAAAAAAUAUCUUAACCUUUCUAUCUCUUCUUUGUUUAGUUUUCUAAAUUCUUCAUUGUUGAAACUAUGUUUUUCUCGAGGGCUUUCUUCACAAUUUGCCAUAAUUUCUUGAUUAUGUUUCUUCCAUGCUCUAUUUCCCACAUUCCAAUUCAAGUUUUAAGGUUUUCCAUUAAGUUUCCAACAUUUCUCUUUGGUGUGUUGGGGCUUCUAGUAGUAAGUACACCAAAGUCCUUCACGAUUGAGAUUUUUUACCAACUCAUUAGAAGGUCUAGUUUCUCUAACAAGAUUUGGGUUGAAUUUGUGUGGCUUUGUAGAACCAUGAAUAAAAGACAGUUUGAGCAUCACACUUCUCUUAUUUUCUUUAGCACGAAUGAUGGAGAUGAUUUCAUUCAUGGAUGGAGGCUCCUCUUUUCCCAAAACUUAGACUUGCCCUUGGUCAAACUCCACAUUGAGCCUAACAAGAAAUUCAAAAAUUCAUUCUCUUUCUAUAAUAUUUUUUUUGCACUAUUGCAUCUUCACUACAUUUAAUUUUGAAUGUUAUGGUAGUAGUCAAUUUUCUAUCACAAAUUCUUCAUAAUAUUGGCAAAUUUAAUUACAAAUCUGGUUCCUUGUUUUAUAGUUGAAAUGUUCACCUUGAUUUAAAAAAUUUGAGUACAAUCUCAAACCUUUGAAUAGGUUUGUCGAAUGACUUUGUAAACCUCCCUAGUUGUUGUAAAAAACAUGUUUCACUAAUUUUAAGGGACACUGAAUUCCAUAACCAAGACAUGAUAUGGAAUCCUCUUCAUUCCAGCUCUAAAAGUUUAGAUAUCCAAGCUUUAGUCCUAUGCCAAUCAAAUGACUCAGUUUUCCUUACCAACUAAGACUAUUGAAGAUAUUUCUUUUCAAUAAGGUGCUAAGCAGCUUGGAAGUUCUAUAGUUCCCUCAUGGUUUGGCUUAGUAGUGCUUUUAAUGUUGCCCUAAUAGAACUGAUAGCGGGAGUAUGGUCCAAUAUUUCAAACAUAAUAGUAGUGAUAAAUGGAGAUGAAACAACUAAAAAAGAAAUCAACAAUGAAACCCGAGGAAUCAAAACACCACAAAAAAACUUAAAAUAAGGAUAGGUGGCACUCAAAGUUUUUGCCAAGCACACCAAUAAACUAGAAUAAGCUCUGAUACCAUGUGAAAUUCUAAAUUAUUCUUAUCAUGAAAAUCAAGAUAUAUAUAUAUAUAUAUAUAUAUAUAUAUAACCAACUUCAAUGUGUAUUAUUAUUAUCUAUUUUACCAUUUUUGAGUUUUUUUUUCAUAUUUAUGUAAUUUUCAUAAAUUUUUGUCUUUUUUUUUCCAAAUUUUUGUUCAAUAUUUUUUAUAUUUCCUAAUAUUUUCGUAAAAUUUAAAAAUUGAGAUUUUCAUAAUUUCUGAUAUUUUAAUCCUUGAUCAUGAUGUUGUAAUUUUAUUUAGUUACCAUCUAUAGAAACCAUAAGUUAUAAUUUCUUUAAUAGAUUAAAAUACAAGGAAAUUUUAUUUAAAAUGUGAUCAAAAUCAAUUUUUUAAAAUGGAUAUCAUGAAGAAAAAUUAUAUAUGAAACAAAUCAUGGCUUAUAACGUAAAAGGAAACAAAAAUAAAGUUUUGAAUUGUAAAAAAAGCUUUGUAUGGCUUAAAGUAGUAAGGGUCAAGAGUAUGGAAUAGUAUUUGAUAGAUAUUUUCAAGAUAAUAUUGUUACUANNNNNNNNNNNNNNNNNNNNNNNNNNNNNNNNNNNNNNNNNNNNNNNNNNNNNNNNNNNNNNNNNNNNNNNNNNNNNNNNNNNNNNNNNNNNNNNNNNNNGACCAAUUAUGGCACCCCUAUUGGCAAUAAGCAAUGGGGAGGUUGCAAUUUUGUGCACCAUGGGUCAUUGGCCCAAAAUGGAAAACGGCUUUGUGCAUUCUUUCCUCUAUUUCAUGUACUUGUACUCUUCUCACUCCAUUUUUAUGCUUUGACUAAGCUCCUUUACAUGCACUUACUCACUCAAAAUAGUUGCAAGCCAUUAAAAAAUAGAGAAAAAAUGUAAGAAAGUUGAGCAUAUGCAAGGUAGCACAAAAUUGAGUGAUUGGAGAGUACAAUUGAUGCAAAUAUCAGACAUAAUUUGAUUUCUACUUUGUUGUCCCUACAAUAUUUGACAUCAAUCAAUGUGUUUGUUAGGUAAUUUGACAAAAUUUUAAUAAAAGAGCUUAACAUGCUAUAAGAAAAACCAAUUAAGAUCCACAUGGACCAUAAAUUAGCAUCUACAUUGGUAAAAAUAUAUGAUAUUCUAUGAUCAAAACAAAAACAUUGACAAAAAGAUAUCAUUUUCUUAAAAAAAAUGCAUAAUGAAGAAGUGGAAUUGAAGUACCUUGGUGCUCAUGAUUAAAUUUUUGACAUAUUCAUAAAAGUAUGAAUAUUUAGUAAGUCCAUUGUGCUAAUUGAUUUUUAUAUUAGCUAUAUCUAUUUAUAUAUAUUAAACUUUUUAAUGUUACUUUAACUCCAUUGAUUGAUGGUCCAAGCAUAUUUUUGCUUGGCUUUUUACUUUGAUUAUAGUUACAAAUUUUAUGCUAUAAGUUAAUAAAUUUACUAGAAAAGAUUGAUACAACUACAAAAAUGAUCAUGAUCCCAAAGCAUAUGCAUCGUAGAAAACUAAAACAUUAAUUAUUUGUGCAAAAGAAAAGUUCUCAAUUCGCAAGCAACAUAUUUAUUCUUUUGUAAAUUUAAAAAAUGCUAUAUGACAAAACAUUACCAUGUGCAAUAAGUUGUCUUCGGAAACAUGUCGAACAUGAAGAGUAUUCGGUAUCUCAAGACAAUUUGGAAUUGAUGUCCUCACUACAAAAUUCCAACUGGAAUAAAUUCAACUAUAUUAGCAAUAAGUAACAUACAAUAAAAUCAUUUAAAUUUGGCCCUUGGAAACUUCCAACAAGAAUUAGAACAAGAAUGUGAAUUCUUAAUUACCAUAAAACAAAGUACUCAAACUAAUCAAAUACCAAUUAUUUAAGAAUGUGUAAUAAUGGUAAUCUUCUAUUAUGAAAUGUAUACCUUAGUCGGUGGUGGAAUGUAACUCAAAUUUCUAAUUAAUAUAUACUCAUUUCUAUGAAGAAUAUUAUAUAGAAGAUUUCCUAUGUUGAUAUGUUAUUAUAAUAUAUAUAUAUAUAGAUAGAUAGAAUAAGGAAAAUUACUAGGAAUGUCUUUAUAAAUAUUCUAGGUCAUAUGGGGGAAAAAGUAAUAGGAUGAAAUGGGUUUGUCUACAUGCUAGAUAGAGAUAUGAGGAAUAAUAAGAAAACACCUAGUGAAAUGAAGGUUCAAGAUUCCACAUCUAUAUAUAUAUAUAUAUAUAGAAUAAGGAAAAUUACUAGGAAUGUCUUUAUAAAUAUUCUAGGUCAUAUGGGGGAAAAAGUAAUAGGAUGAAAUGGGUUUGCCUACAUGCUAGAUAGAGAUAUGAGGAUAAUAAGAAAACACCUAGUGAAAUCAAGGUUCAAGAUUCAAGAUGUGGAUAUAAAGAACAAAGAAAUAUAAGAUUUUUUAGGGCUUAAUAUUGGUAUAUAUUUUUCUACCUUUUGUAAUAUUUCCUAUAAUAUAGUAGAAUGAUUUCUCUUAUUAGUAGAUAUAGGCAUGGCUUUUAAACUAUGUUAAAACCUUGUAUUCCGUUGUGUGUUGUUUAUUUUAUCUUUGUAUUCUAGCACUAAUAUAUUAGCAUUAAAGCUUUCACUAGUAUGACAAAUUGGUAUCAAAGCUCAAAUUGAGAAUUCUAGAAGAGACAAAGGGAACAACACACAUAAGUAGAGUAUAGAAAGAAUUAUAGUUGAAAGUAGAGUCAAUUGUUCUCUCAUCAAAAUGUGAUACAAGAAAUGUGGUUUCGUUAUCCAAGAUAACCAUAGCUUCUCUUGUACACUUAUUACAUCCUAAAAGGUAGCAAUGAUGAAGUGUUUAAAUGAUUUAAGUACAUAGCACAUGAUGGGAUUAUGGCACAUGACAAGAUUGUGAUGCACAAAGGUAACAAUGAUAUUUUAGGAGUGUGGUGCACAACGGAAGUUAUGACAGGGAGUAAGGAUUUGAUUCACACAUGUUUAUUAAAGUGUGUAUCAAAGAGAGAUAAAAGAUAAACUUGAUAGAAUUUGAUCAAGAUGAUAAAGAGUUCAGAUCGAUUUCCUUUAAGAUGGUUCUAGUUAGUACUAGAUCAGUGUUUGAGUUAAUUAAAAGAAAGCCAAUAUGCUUUGUACGUUGCAUUAAGUGAAAAAAAAAACUGGAAAAUUAGCCCACUCUUCACAUGAUUUUAAUGCUCUUUAGUCAAGAAAUUUCUAGACAGAUCCACAAUUUCAUAUUAAUGCAAAAGCAUUCAUAAUGUAUUAAACUAUAAAUUUUAGUAACUUUUAGUGAAGUAAUCUAUCUAAACAAGAGAGUAUUAUUUAAUAUAAAAAAAAUCAAAAGAGAGUACUAUUUAAUAUAAAAAAAAUUUUGAAACCUAUCUCAUUAAAAAGACUUCCACAAAAGUUCCCACUAGAAAGAACAUUUCAGUCCCAAAAUCUUGUACUUCAAAAUGUUUUGGAGUUUUAUAAGUGCAAUAGAGAACACUAUAGAGCACUUCAAGAAUCAAAAAGAGCUUUUGGGUAGCCCAAAAGUUGCACCAAAAUGGUGCUCAAAUUUGAAGGAUGCUUAAUAUGGAAUUAUUUAGUCAGAAACAAACGAUUAUAUAUAAAUGAAGCAGAUUGCCUAAGGUUUUGUUCAAUAAGAAGUAUUAAUUAUUUUAUUGACUUUAAAAGGUUUAUUUGAUCCUAACUUGCAAUUAAUUAGGACUUGAAAUUAAGUUACAAGCUAAACUUCCAUUUCUAGCUAAUAAUUCAAUAGACUAACAGAUUAAUUGUGGCUCAAGUGCAAAGAACUAUAAUUUUCCAAGCUUAGAACCAACUAAAAUUAGGUUAAUGUAGCAGAUAUCUAACCACAUGAAUGAGGAGAUAGAUAGAUGUUAUUGAAGAUCAAGCAACUGGGCCGUCAAGGUUUAAAUAGUAAUCCCUUUAGGCCAGCAUAUGGAGCAUGUCACCAACCAAAAUGGAAGGAAUUAAGAAGGCAGAUUUUUUUACAUAAUAGUAACCCAUGGAAGGCUUUUUUUAAUCUUUUUUUUUCUUUUCUGAGACCAUGAGUGGUGGAUUAAGAAAAAUUGAAUCAUAAUUAGGGGAAUAGAUUGGUUCUAUCCCAUAAUAUAAAUUUGAAUAUGUACCAAAUGCUCAGCCAAGGGAGUAAUGCUAUUUGUUAAUUGUUGAUCACAUUGAAGCUCAAAGGUACAGAACUAUAGUGAGGAAAUUGGUAAGGCUUAUAUAUAUUAUGCAUUCUGUUAGUAACAUUCAAACUUUAUUACCUGUCUAUCAAUAUCUCUUCAGCAUCCCUUAAUUUAGGAAGGUAAAAUGCAGGCCUAGAAUCUGUAUCAGAAAGUUGAUUUCCCUGUCAAGUAGUUAACUUAUGCGUUAUCUCUUUAUGUAAUAUAAAUAGGAUGAAGGUAGCAACUUAUAUGAAAAGAUGAUAAUUAUUGUAUUACCCAUCCAAGAGAAAUUGAAAUGUUAACUUGUGUUCCCAAAGGCAUCAAACCAAUUGGCGGUGUCGGAUGGAGUUCCAUAUCACAAACUGCUCGUAAAACCCGAUUUGUUGUAGCAUCACCACCAAAAACCUGGUGAAGCAUAUAUAUAUAUAGUAAUUAUGAUAAAUAAAAGAAAAAAGAUUUUAAUAUAAUAAUUAAUGAAUUUGUUUAAUAUUUUAUUAGAAUAAAUAAUUAUUCAAUUAGAGAGAAUUCUCCAUUUUUAAUUUCACUCGUGUCAUAUUCACUUAUAUCACUUAUGUCAUUUUAAUUAUAUCUCUAUUUUUAUAAUUAUUGACAAACUCGAAUAAUGAUGAUUCAUACAAAAAUUAAUUUUCUAAGCUAAUUAAUAAUUAUUAUUUUUUGUAAUUUUUAAAAUUAACAUAAGCAACUUUAUAUUUUAAGUGGAUUAAAAAUUUGAAUAUAAGAUAAUUUAAGUAAUUAAGAGUGAUUUAUGAUUUUAGUUUUCUGUGAAUAUUUGAAAUAAUUAAUAAGGUAUGGGUCGGAUGAGAUAAAAUUAUGUUUGAGUUUGAGCUUAACAAUUUGUUUUAUUUUUUUCCUACUAUUACUAGAGUUUGAAUGACGCGCCGUUAGAAUUCUUAAGAGCCGAAGCCCAAAUUGGGGCCAAUUGAGUCACAAUUCCCAGGUGCGUUUUGAGGGUACAAAGGAAGCCUUAUAAUUGAAAUUUGAGACAAGAUUAAAUCUUAAAGAUCACAACUACUCAACUUACCAAUAUCCUCACUCUGUCUACAACCUCAGAAUCACUUAUCUGCGGAGUUCUUCCUUUCAAAAACUCUUGAAUGUCAUGUAAUGGCAUGUGAGGAACAACCUCUGAAAUGUCAGAAAGCUGAAAAGUAAAGUUAUUCAAAGCAGCACUAAAACAAAUCCUCUGAAUCAAUCUUGAGGGUGCUUUAAAAUCUAACCAAUUCUGUUGCGAAAAUGCUACGAAGAGAUAGGAGCAAAUCGUUCCCCUGAUUGGCAUCGUCUUUGGGGUUGAUCAUUACAUAAUAUACUAGUUUGCCACCUGGUGCUAACUCAAGUAUGUCAUCCCAACUGCCGCAGUUAAUACACGUUUAGUAUAUGAAAAUAGGAAUUGGAAUAGACAUGAAGGUGUUAUGGUUGAAUGAGGGUUUUAAACAUCUUUUAAUCCCCAGGAUCAUUAGAGAAACAUAAGAAUCCCUCACUUAUGUUAAGGAUUAUCAAAAAUUCUUAUAAUAUAACUAAAACAAUCUAACAUCUUUUAAAUUUAUUAAUCUUUUAAAAAGAAAACCAUGAUAGACACGUGAAUGGCAAAAAAAUAGAAUAAAAAUAAUACUAAUAUAAAAUAAGGACUUAAUUAGUCAUAUAUAUAUUAUGCUAUCUAAAUUAAAAAUCAGUUAUUUUUCCUUAAAAUUAUCUUUGUUUAUUUUAUUUAAAUUAAAAACAAAACAUUUUUUCUCAUGAUUAAGUUUUCUUUUUCUUAAUUUUAUUUCACUACAAAUAAAAAGAAAAUAAAAAAAUUAAUAAAUAUUAUUUAUCAAUCAAAAUUUAUUCUAUUUAACUUUAUUUCUCUACCUUUUCUAAUUACUUCUUUUGUAAACCCAUACACUAGAAGUCAUCUUCAAGAAUAAUAAUGUUCAUAAUUAACUAAAAAUAUAUGUCGUCAUUGUGAAUGCCAAUGAAGGAAAAUUCUAUAUUUUAAUAUAAAUAAUUGGAUUUUAACAUUCAAUAUAAGUCAUUGAUUAAAAAAAAAAAAAACUGGUUAAGGAAAGUGCCAAUCUCCUUCUUAGCUUACUCGUUCAUAUCCUCUUACUCCAUUUUCUACAUGAAAAAAUUCAAAAAUACUUGCCCACAAUCUUAUAAAUUUUUUCCUAUUUAAAUUUUAUAGUCUCCAUAAAAUCUGAACAAAAGUUAAAAAAUAAUAUAUAUAUAUAUAAAACCCACAGGCUUCAAUAAAUUCUCAAAAAUCAAAGAACAAACUCCAUUAAUGAGAUAAUUGCAUCAUUACACAUAAUUUAACCCAUUCCUAUAAUACUUUAUUUGGUAAUUGAUUGCUUAUUUAUAUAUAAAAUCUCGAGUAUUAAUCAAUACAUUAUACUAUAAACAAGUUCUUAUUUAAAUCUCAAAAAAUCUUAAAUAGAUAUUUUGAUUAUAAUAGGUAAAUAUAUCUAUACCAACAAUGUGAUUAGUAUAUGAAAAAUGUGAAAAUAUGAAAAUAGCAACCUACUUAAAAAUCAUGUGACCAUCAUAAAAAAUAUUAAAUUAGAAAGGUGGUAUAUAAAAUCAAGCUGAAAGCAUAGAAACUUACUCCCCUCCUAAGGUUCGGUUCCGCAUAAUAGUGUUGAACGUUGUUGCAGCUAACGGGAGACCAUGAGAAUGGUAUAUCAUUUCAUCCUCCAUUUUCACCACAAUGGGAUGCUUCCGAGGAAGAAAACUUACAAUCCACGUAAUGAGGCCCCAAAUAACCUGAUUGGAAAAGGGCUGCAUACGAUAUAAAUUAUUGGGCCCAACCAUCCUCUUAGCCACACCAUGGAGUCUGGUUGUAAUGAUGAUGACUCUACUCUGAUUUGAUUUGUUACACCACUGGAGUCUCUCCUUUAACCUGAAGUACCAGUCCAGCUUGAUAUCCCAAAUUCCAUCAAACACUAAUAAAUAACUCUUACUCCACAAUGCUUUGCAGAGGGCCUCCAAUAGCUCCUCCUCCUCCACCUCCACACUAUCUCUUUGCCCACCAUCACACUGCUUCAGCAUAGCCUUGAGAAUCUUCUUAAAAUCUAUUUCUCCUUUCUGUAUCGCUUGUAAGUUGAUCCAAAUUCCCACAAUCCCCACACGACUUUGGUUGAAAACUCUUCGGGCCACAAGGGUCUUACCGCAACCCCCAAUCCCCACAAUUCCAAUUUCCUUACUAAAUCCUUCUUCAUCCAAUUCACUUGUACCCAGAACCAAUUUUUCUAUAUUUUUUACUUGGUCUGUAAAGUAAUAGGAAUAAUAAGGGUCUAUCGUUGGUCCAUCAAAUGAUAAAGAGCCAGAAGAAGAAGAAGUUGUGGCUACAUCCGUGACGGCAGAAAGGGAAGUCUGCUCUGGUACUACUGGGUGGUGUGUAGCAACACGCAACUUUUUCUUGAUGUGAAUCAGCUUCCUUUUUGUUUUGCACAGAAACCACAGCUCAGGCAGAGAGUAGUGGCCUUGCCUUUGCCCUUGCCCUUGCUCUUGCCCUUGCCCUUGCCCUUGCCCUUGUGAGGAAUCCUUGUUGAUUUUCAUUUUGCGCUUCUCCAGGAAGAGGAUGCAGUCGGUCAAUGCAAUGCUGAGGUCGUAAAGACAAUCCUUCAUUCCUGUCGACGGCGUGAGGCUUUUAGUUUCCAGAAGCUCUCGAAUUUGUAGAAAAUAAGAAUGGAGGGGGAUGUCAUGAGGUGGAGGGUGUUCCUCCUCUGCUUCUUCCAAUUCAUCCAUGAAUUUGUUCUUAAAAAACUGAAGAAUAUCUGCUGACAUUUUGGCUGUAAAAACCUAAUCUCCCAACUCUCACAAUUAAUAUUUGCUUACAUCGGCAUAAGGCUUUUCUUGUACAAAUGAAGAGAAUUUCGUGUGGUAUAAGGAAACGGACAAGAAUCCAAAGUAGGGCAUUUAAAGAAAGAAAGAAAAAGAAAAAGGAAGGAAAGGAAACGGACAAGAAUCCAAAGUAGGGCAUUUAAAGAAAGAAAGAAAAAGAAAAAGGAAGGAAAUUAAAGCGAAAGAAAGAGGUUUAUGCCGAUGCUUACUUGUUUGACACUCCAAACUACAUCGAAUUCUCAUUGGUGAUGAUUCUCGGAAUUUAUUUCCAUUUUAAUUGUUUUUUUUCAUAAUUUAUGUCAAUUCUAAUUGAAAAUAGUAUAUAUAUAUAUAUAUAUAUAUAUAUAUAUAUAUAUAUAUAUAUACACACACAAAAUUAUAAAAAAUAUAAAAUGUAAAUUAUUUUAUUGGUAUUUCAAUUUAAAAAUAAAAAAUAAAAAAUUUAACAAAAUGUAAGUGAAAAUAUUUUGUCCAAUAUUUCUAUAAAAUAUAAAUAAAAAUAGUAUUAUGGGUGCAAUCCUAUGUUUCUCACUUUAUUGUAUUCCUUACAAAUGAAUUUUUAUUUAUUAAUCUUUCAAAUUUAUUGUGACCCACCAAAAUAUACCAAAAAUAGUAUUUAUAUAUCAAUUAAGAUUUUUUGUUUUUUUAGCUAAACGUGACAAAAAAAUUAAAAUACUAUUUAACUCACCUAUCAACCGUAGUUUGAAAAAUGAAAAACAUAUCAAAGUUGAGUGGAGGAUAUCAAAGAGGAAGGUUUGAGAAUGGAGUGAUGAAUAAGAAAUUUGAAGAAUUUUGUGGUGAUCAGUACAUUCCAAAGUUGAAGAUUUAAUUGUUAAAAUAAGAAAAUUUAUUUAUUAAAUCAUAUUAUUUUUUUAAUAUUUAAGGAAAUCAUUGUUUUAACUUAUUGUAGACCCUAAAAUUUGUCCCAAUUUUAAAUCCCGAUUACAUGUGUUAUUUUAGAUCCACUCAUCCUUUAAUUUUUAAUUUUUAAUUUAUUUUAUUUUAUUAUUUAUUUUAUCUUUUUUAUUUUAUUUUUACUUAUUAUUUUUAUUUGUUAUUAUUAUUAUUAUUAUUAUAUUAUAUUUUUAUAUUUUUAUUUAUUAUUUUAUUUUAUUUUUUAUUUUUCUCUCUCCUCUCUCUUCCUUUUUUUUCCUCCACCUACUCUCAUCCACCCAUUCUUCUCUUUCCACUUCCCUUUGGCCGGCUACCUCACCUUUUUUUUCCCCCCAAAAUUUUCCCCCCUUUUCUUCUCCAUUCAUAUUUCUUCUCUCACUCCCACACCGCGGGCCCCCCAUCCUUCUCCCCCCUCCCUCAUUCCUCAUUUUUCUCCCUUUUUGCUGCUACUUUUUCUGGAGAUAGAAAGAGCCGACCUAUUUUAUUUAUUUAUUUAUUUAUUUCUUCCUCCAUUCCUCUUUUCGUUCCCACGGCCAGCUCCUAUUUUUCCCCCCUUCCCCCUCCAUUCUCCAUUUUUUUCUUUUCUUAUUUUUUUUAGUUUUUCUCCUCCCAUUUUCCCGAGAAGGGCCGACCCCCCAUUUUUCUCUUUCUUUUUUUCUUCAUCCCCUAAUUCCCAGCCGACCCAUCUUCCUAUCUCCUCUUCCAUUUUUUUUUUUAUUUUUCAUUUUUCAACCCCUUCCUAAUUCCCAUACGACCCCAAAAUUUUUUCCUUUUCCAUUUCUUUUUUUUAUUAUUAUUUAUUUCCCAUGUAUUAUUAUUAUUAUUAUUAUUCUUACUAUUUUUUUGAUUUGAUGUUAAUAAUAAUUAUUGUUGAAAUUGCGUUUGUGUAUUUAUGUUUGAUUGUAGGUCUUAUGUUUGGGCUUUGUUAAUUAAUAUGAAAUUUGGGUUAAUUUAUUAUUGAUAGAUUAAUUUGAAAUUGAUUAAUUUGGGUUUGUGGGAUUAAUUUAGGAUAUUUGGACUAUAUCAAUUGCAUAUUAUUUAUUUGGAGUUGGGUCUAUUGUCAAUUUAUUAUUGGUUUGGGCUUAUUAGAUUGAACUUGAAAUAUUACUUUCAUAUUAUUUAUUUAGACUUGGGCAUAUUGUUAAUUUGUUAUUUGUUUGAGCUUAUUGAACUGAACUUAAAAUAUUAUUUCCAUAUUGUUUAUUUGGGCUUGGGCAUGUUGUUAAUUUAUUAUUUCUUUUAUGUAGACUUGUUAAUUGAUGUAAAUUUUGGGGCCCAUAAUGUGGGUGAUAUUUGUUGGAUUAUUUGAAUAUUUGAUAUGGGCUUGACUAAUUUGAAUUAUUUAAUUUGGACAUGGGACAAUUGUGGAGUAUAUUAAAUUAGACCUAGAUUAUGGAAUAUUAUAUUUAGGCCGAGUAUAAUUUAUUUUAAUUUAUCCAAUUUUAGGUUUGAUUGAUUAUGUUUGUAUUUUUUGUUAUUAAUUUGGAUGUUUUAGGUUAAGACCUAUAGUAAUUUGAGCUCAUUUUAAUCGGUGAAAUUUAUGGAAUUAAUUUGAAAUUGGAAUUUGGGUUUGAAUAUUUGUUUGGGAUUUUGUACAUCUUUGGAUAUUUACAUUUGUGUUAUUCUUGUUUUUGCAUGGACCCACUUUGUAAUCUUGUUGAUUGAGUACGAAUUGAUGACACGUGGAGCUUGUUCUAAGUUUAUUUGGGUACAUAUUUCAUUUCUCACUUUUUAUUUAGUUUUAUUUUUAUCAGUUUGUAUAAAUAUUCGUUCGUAUGUAUUAAUUGAGUGUGUAUAGAAUUGAACAUCGAACAAACUAGAAAUUUUGUUUAAAUGAGAGGAAGAAGUCAAUAAAUAUGUUUUAAUAAAAGAAAGUUUUUAUUUUAUCUUAUUUUAUUUAUAAAAAUUCAAAACAAUGCAUUUAGAAAAAUCCAAAAGAAAUGUUUUUAAUGGAAUUUGAAAAUUUGUUUUUAAAUAAUAUUUGUCCAAAAAAUUCUUUAUUUCACAAAAACUUUCCAAAUAUUGUUUUGUAAAUAAAGUUGUCCCAUUUGUAAAUAAAGUUGUCCCAAAAAUUAAUUUUUAAUAAAAUAGUCCAAAAAAAUGUUUUUUUAAAAUAAAUUAUUUUUAUUUAAUUAAAAUUGGAUUAAAAGUCAUUUUUAGAAAUAGAUUAUUUAUUUAUUUAUUUAUUUUAUUUUUUUAUUUUAUUUUUUAUUUUUUUAUUUUUUUAUUUUAUUUUUUUUCCUUUUAAUUAAAAAUUCUUUUGUAAAUAAAGUUAUGUCAUUUUAAAUAAUUUAUAAAAAUCACUCUUUUAAAUGAAAAUGAAUCUAAAUACUUUUGCAAAUAAAAUUGUAAAAAUUCAUUAUUUUCUAGUAAAAGCAAGUAAAAAAUAAUUUUUGUGCCCAAAUUGAAAUUUUGAAAUGAAUUCUUUCGAUACAAUAAGUGUAAAUAGUUUUUUUUAAAAAAAAUUGUAUACAAUUAAAUUUGAGAAAAUAAAUUGUUUCUUUCUAUAAGUAAAUAAAUGGAAAUCAUUAAUUCAAAAUCAUUUUUAAUAAAAUCCUUUGAAAUUUCUUUAAAAUUUUUUUUAAUAUCUUUUAUUUAUUUAAUUCAAUAAAUCAUUUUGCAUAAUUCUCUUAUUAUUUAUUUUGUGUAUUUUUGUAAUUAGAUUUCAUCAUUGUUUUUGUGCAUAUUAAUUCUCACCAUGACUUGUAUAUUGAUUAUUUUUCUUGAUAUCCAUAAUUAAUUAAUUAAUUGCCACAAUUUACUCAAUUCGUUUAGUAGAGGUCGUACGUAUGUGGGCUUAGAGGGGUGCUACGGCUCACCACCGUACCUUCCCAAUAAGUAACCUGACCCCCGGACCUAGACUUGGUUUUUCACAGACCCGUUUUUUUUCCUUCAGGAGUCACACUUAGGGUUUUCUUUCUUAUUUGGUUUUUCCCUUAAAAAAAAUAAAACAAAAAUAAGUGGCGACUCCAAGUCUUUUUCUAAAAAUCAAAUUUUCAUCAAAUAAAAUAAAAAGCGAGUUUCGCCAUUGAGUGGGAACGCAUCGAGAAAAUGCGGGGUCCACAAAAUGGCGACUCCACUGGGGAUUUUUAGAGGGUCAAACUUGAACUCGAGUUGAGAGGAAUGUGGCAUUUGAUUGGUCGAUCAAUGGAUACCCCUCUUUAUGUGUCUUGGUAUGAUUGGUUAUUGAUUACACAUUAAGAGUUUUGACAUGUUUGUCUGUAAUAUAUGUUUGACUGUUAUGUUCAUUUAUGAUGUUGACAUGUUGAUUACAUCGAUUGAUUUUCUCUUACCUACUUUAGCAUAGUGACUCUUCUUGUUGUAUGAUUAUCUUGCUUUCCUGGACAUGUAUAUUCUCAUUUUUGUAUAUCUCAUUCAUCUUGGCAUGAUUGAUUCUAUUUGUUGUAUAUUGUCUUGUUUAUCUCGACAUAUUGUCUAUUCUUGUCAUAUUCCUAUCUUGCUUAUCAUGUUCUUGCCUAGCUUGUGUGUAGAUAUGAGUUAUAUACCUGUUAUUUGCAUGACUACUUUGGUGCAUGACUGCUAUUCUUUUAUGUGAUGCAUGUAUUGUUUGUCUGUGUGGGACACACAUAUAUCCCCUUACCUCCAACUCCCUAGUCUCGGUCGAUCUUGUUUUCCUUGAUCUCGUAUUAUGAUAUGAGAUUUGUUGCUUUGUUUGCUCUUUGACCGAGCUAGCGAUUAGGAGUAGGGUCUAGCGAUGGGCUAUAUCAAUGUUUGGGAGCAUUUUGGGGGAGGCCGACACGUCGAUGCUGAUUGGAGUUCGAUCUUUGAAGACCUGUAUAGCCCGGAGCUAGGUUUCAUGGAUAUUGGUGUGACCAGUGUGUUUCCUUUCCCGUUUUAGCUUCUUAGGGUUAUCGGAUGCACCCACACCGUUCACUGCACACUCUAGUUGACUUUUGAGUGUUGAGAGUUUUGAGAGGUUUCAUCAUAGGAAACCCCCUGGGAUGCUGAGGUAGUGCAUGUGUGGAGGUGAUGACCACUUUGCAUGGAAGCGCCCCGUCUCUUUGGAGGCGCACAGAGGGUAUGAUCGCUUCUGCUAGGGAUCUUUUAAAGUCCACCCAUAUCCAUUUAGAGCCACCUUGACCUCGUAGGUUGAGCCGUAAAUCCUUUUAUUAGGACUCCCUACCUACACGUGGGCCACGUGUAUCCGAGGGCCUUCAAAGCCUCUUUGGUCAUAGUUGGGAUUCAAUAUUCCCUCUUUUAGUCUCCAAUUGAGAGUGCACAGAGAUCAGUACGAGUUUGAGUUACAGUCGGACAAUCCUUCUACAUUUUGAUGUCUUACUCAUUCCAGUUCAGACUAGCAUUUCUUUCAUGUUUUCCCUGUGCCUGCCAUAUCUCGUACUUCAUGCUCUUCAGGAUUGGUUCUUCAUUCUCAGUGCGGAUUUACCAUCUUGGGUUAGAGUACUGGGGAGCUCAGUUCGGUUUUCCGAGAGGUCAGGCAUAGAUCAGCAGACUGUCACAGUUGACUAGUUCACAGAUGCCAUGGAUUCUAUUCAGGUAUCUUGUGCUUCAUGCUCUUCAGGAUUGGUUUUUCGUUCUUAGUGUGGAUUUGUCAUCUUGGGUCAGAGUAGAGGGGAGAUUAGUUUGUUUUUCCGAGAGAUCAGACAUGGAUCGACGGAUUGUCACAGUUGAUCAGUUCACGGCCGCCAUGGCUUCUAUUUAGGAGGCCUUGACCAGUCUCAGGCAGGAGAUAGACAAUCAGUAGAGUAGGCAGUCCUUGAGGAUACUCAUUCAUGUAUGGAUCGUAUUGCGUAGCGUAUCAAGCAGUUGAGAGUAUCUGACAAUUCAUGGACUUGGGAUGAUCUUGAUAGUAUACCAGUGGCUAGUCUACCGGCCAAGUUCAGGAUGCCUGACAUUGAGAGGUACACGGGUGUUGGUUGUCCAUGUAUUCAUCUUCGACUCUACAGUACUGUGAUGAGGGUCCAUGGGUUAGACGAGUCACAGGUGAUCACCAUGUUUCCUUUAUCUCUGAGUGGCGCAACCCAGCAUUAGUUCGCAUCUUUGGAGUCCUCGCGACGUAGGACAUGGGAUGACCUAGCUUAGGAGUUUCUGUGACAGUUCUCACUUAGUACUGUUGUAGAUGUGUCGAGGAGAGAGCUUGAGGGUUUCAGACAGAGAUCAGAUGAGUCCAUUUCUUCCUUCAUCUCCCGCUGGUGGGGGAAGAUGGCAGAGAUUGUUGAUUGACCAUUAUAGAGAGGUGACUUAGUCUUGAGGUUCAUCGAGGAUUGAUUAGAGAUCCUAGAGGGAAGUUCGGACCCAGUUGGAGUGGACUUUAUUUCAUCAGGGAGUUGACCCUAGAGAGCACUGCAUGGUUGAUUGAUUUAGAUGGAAACCGAUUCUUAGAGCCGACCAAUGUGGAUCAGCUAAAGAGGUACUAUGUUUGGGACCAUGGUCGCAUGAUGGGUGGCCAUCAUUUCGGUUAGCCAUAUACCAUUUCACCUUUUUGAUACAUAGAACGUUGCUAGCCCAUUGAGCCUCACAUGUGCAUUAUAGUCUUUCUUUCUUAUCGCCUUACACACAUUUCUACACCGGGAUAGGGGCCCUUUUAGUGUAUGCAUGCAUUAUUUGGGAGUCUCAUGAGUCUUGGACCUACAGGUGCAUCAUUCUCUCAUCAUUUUUUCCUACCAUCACAUUACUGCAUUCCAUCGUAUCUCAGUGGUUGUCCUUCAUCUUUUUUUCUUUGUUCUAUCUACUGCUUGUUUUGUUUCAUAUUCUCUCCACCCUAAGUGGUGAUCCUCCUCAGUUUAUUACAUGGAGGAUAGUCACAUCAUUUCCACUAUCUAUUCUAUGGACACUAGUUCAGAGAUUCUUAGUUUGAGAAGGUCAUCUUGUCAGAGAGAGUUUUUGUUAUCUUAGUUUUGAGAGUGUGUCUAUCCAUCGUUGAUAUCAUCUUUGGGGCUUAUUUUGUUCAUGUUCAGGGUGUGUACAUUUGUAUAUAUGUAAAAAAAAAAAAAAAAAAAAAAAAAAAAAUUGAAAAGGAAAAAAAAAAAAAAAGGAAUGAAAAAAAAAUGAAUGAAAAAAAAAAUUGAAAAAAAAAAAAACGCAUGUGUGUAUUACUUUUUAUCAUUGAGUGUGUAUAUUGAUGUUUGAGGGCCACUUGAUUGAGUAUAUUUGUUGAUGGGAGUUUGUAUGUGAGCUUUUUGAGGCCCUCCAUGCUUUGUAUUCAUUUUUAUUGUAUAUUUCGAGAGUGAGAUGAGUGACCUUCUCUUAGGAGCUCUGGGUCAUUGUCCUUUCCAUCAUUACGUUCAUUGUUGAUGUGACUUCAUUUCAUGUCUGAUUUGAGUUGAUCACUACUCUUAUUUGUGUUAUUUGUUCCAUCAUCAUCCUCGUUUUCACUUCUGAUUCAUCAUUUUCACUUCACGUUUUAUUCUUUUCUUACAGCAACCCAUCUCGGGUUUAAUACUCUCUUCACAUCAUCAUUACACAUGUCACUAUCAGUUCAUUUUGCUUCAUUUGUCUCAUUAUCAACAUCAUAUUCACGUUAGGCAUCCUCAGGUCCAUGACUCACAGGAUUCACUAUACAUGUUGCAUUUCAUAUAUGAGGGCAUGAGUUUUUUAUCAUUGGGUAUUUGAGCUUAGUUUUCCUUCAUUUCUAUCACCUUAUCACCUUAGCCUACGUUAUGUCCCGUGUCUUAAGACCAUCCUGAGGCCAUGGGAUCAGAUGUCGUCUUCGACAGCCUCUACUUGGACAGGUGUUUGAGAUCUGGUUGAUAUUUAGAUAUUGUCAUGCUUCUUCUUCUGGGAGUCGCCUCUUUGAUGUUUAGAUCUGAUUCAGUUGUGUUUGGAUUACCGGGAUCAUGCACUUGACGAUGGAUGAUUUGAUGUCACCUGAUUUUUCUGAUUUAUCACAUAUUCGAUGUCAUACUGGGGCAUAUUCCGUUUCAGGCGAGGUUUACAGAUCUUCAGGGAGUUGCAUGCUUAUCCUCACUUGCGAGAUGUACGUUUGGAUGAUUGAUUGGUUCGCUAUUUUAUGAUGAUCCCUCAAUGGAGCCUCUGUGGAGCCAUUCAAUCAGGCCCACAUUUCUCGGCAUUUGGUUGCCGCCAUGCUUCUUAUCCUGGGAGACGUUCCCUAGUUGUUUGAACUUGAUUUGGAUCACGGAGGUCGUAUGUUCGAUGAUAGAUGAUUCCAUGUCACCUGGUUUCUGACCUACCGUACAUUCGACGUCAUACUGGGGCAUAUUUCCGUCCUGAACGAGAUUUAUAGAUCUUCACGAAGUUAUAUGAUCACUCCCACUUGCGGGAUGCACACCGAGACGAGGACGUGUUCGUUAUCUUAUCAUGAUCUCCCAGGAGAGCCUCUCUUGAGUGAUUCAGUCAGGCGCACACUUUUGACAUUUAGAUGUCCUCAUGCUUCUUCUUUUGAGAGACGCCUUUUGAUAUGUGGGUUGGAUUCAACUAUGGAUUUGGAUGAUUAGGAUCACACAUUUGAUGACAGAUUAUUUGAUGUUGUCCGAUUUUCGGCUUAUUCCACAUUUGAUUCCAUAUUGACAUAUUUUCAUUUUGAUUGAGAUUUAUAGAUCUUCAUGAAGCUACAUGAUCACUCCCACUUGCGGGAUGCACACUGAGACGAGGACGUGUUCGUUAUUUUACCAUGGUCCCUCGAUGGAGUCUUCCUUGAGCCAUCCAGUCAGACCCGUAUUUUUCGACAUUUGUAUGUCAUCAUGCUCCUUAUUCCGGGAGACAUUUCCUUGAUGUUUGGGUUCGAUUUGGAUUACGGAGAUCGCACAUUUGACGGUUGAUGGUUUCAUGUCACUCGAUUUUCGACUUACCAUACAUCUGAUGCCAUACUGGGGCAUAUUUCCGUUCCGGUUGAGAUUUACAGAUUUUCAUGGAGUUGCAUGCUCAUCCCCACUUACGAGAUACACAUUGAGACGAUGACCCUCCAGUAGAGUCUCUCUGGAGCUAUCCAGUUAGGUCUACACCUUUUGGCACUUAUAUGUCAUCAUGCUUCCUCUUGGGAUACGCCUCUUUGAUUUGUGGGUCUGAUUCAGUUAUGGAUUCGGGUGACCAGGAUUGCAUAGUUGAUGAUUGAUGAUUUGAUGUCAGUUGAUCUUUUCGACCUGUCACACAUUCAAUGCCAUACUGGAGCAUAUUCGCCCUAUUGGUCGAGAUCUGUAGAUCUCCAUGGAUUUGCAUGAUCAUCCCCAGUUAUGAGAUACCCGUCAGGUUGAUGAUUCGAUUUCAUUUUGUCCCGAUUCUCUAGUGGAGCCUUUAUUGAGCCUUUCAGUCAGACUCAUAUUUUCUGAUGUUAUCAUGAUUCUUGAGUGGAGUUACUCUAGGCUCAUAGGUUCCCACACCACCAUUUUGGUGGAGUACAUGUUAGAUCUUUUAUGCAUCCUCAUGGAGUUAUUCUUGAGUUAUUAGGGCAGAUCGGGUACAUCUGAUGCCAUGCUGGGGCAUAUUCCUUCCUUUGGCUAUGGAGAUGAUCGUUCUCUCAUAGAUUUGUUACAGUUUUCAUCACUUGGCCGAGGGAUACUGUAUUUGCUUUAUUGGUCACUAUUCUUGUGAUUUUCAUUGAGAUGAGCUUUUAGUGGAGCAUGACAUUCAGGUUGUGAUUGUUCCGCUAUCCACGACCCCGUAGUAGAUUGUUUUGAUGAGAUUGUGGUAGUUACCCUAGCGGAUUAUUCUCUUGAGACUCUCUAGUGGAUUACCCAUUUGAGAUGACGAUGGAUUCCUCCAGCAGAGCAUUCCGAGAUAGAGACGUUUGACUUAUUGUGACAUCUCGUCAGGCCUCGUGAUCCAGAUGGAUGGGUCGCGAGACUAUGUUUAUAGUCGAUUUGAUCAUUCCGACUCGCUAGCAGAGCAUCUUUCGGGACUCAUGGAGUCUCUUUCGGACCCUUCCAACGGAUUGAGGGUUGUGACGACGUGCUACACUAGGGCGCAUUUCCCCAUCAUCAUUUCCUUGCAGUUUGGCGUUCAGAGCCGUCGUUUCAUUUUGGCUUUCAGAGCCACUUCUCAGUUUUAGAGUUCAGAGCCACUAUCGUCUCCCAGUUUUGGCGUUUAAAGCCAUUGUUAGGUUUUCGUUCAGCGUUCAGAGUUGUAGUUCACCCUCGUUCGGCGUUCAGAGCCAUCAUCGUUUCACAGUUUCGGCGUUCAGAGCCAUCAUCACUUCCUAGUUUGACGUUCCGAUUUGCGUUCCCGAUUUCGACGUUCAGAGCCAUCAUCACAUCUUCGUUCGGCGUUUAGAGCCAUCGUUAUCACUUCUCAAUAUCGGUGUUUAGAGUCAUCCUCAUCGCAUUUUCGGUUUUGGCAUUCAACAUCGUCAUCACUUCCCAGAUUGACGUUCAGAGUCGCAUUUUCAGUUUCGGUGUUCAGAGCCAUCAUCGUCGUCUUUUGGUUUUGGCGUUCAGAGCCAUCAUCAUCACAUUUUCAGUUUGACAUUCAGAGUCGCAUUUUCAGUUUCGUCACUCAGAGCCACCAUCAUCGCAUUUUUGGUUUCGACGUUCAGAGCCAUCAACAUCACAUUUUUAGUUUUGGCGUUCAGAGCCAUCAUUGUCACUUCUCAGUUUCGGCGUUCAGAGCUAUCAUCAUCACAUUUUCAGUUUUGGCGUUCAGAGCCACCAUCUUCGCAUUCUUAGUUUUGGAGUUCAGAUCCACCAUGGGUUUUCAGUUUGACGUUCAAAGUCGCAUUUUUGGUUUCGGCGUUCGGAGCCAUCAUCAUCACAUUUUCAGUUUUGGCGUUCAGAGCCAUCAUUGCCACUUCUCAGUUUUGGUGUUCAGAGCCAUCACCAUCUCUUUUCAGUUUCGGCGUUCAAAGCCAUCAUCAUCACAUUUUCAGUUUUGGUGUUCAGAGCCACCAUCGUUGCUUCCUAGUUUCGACGUUCAGAGCCAUCAUCAUCACAUUUUCAGUUUGACAUUCAGAGUCGCAUUUACGGUUCAGGCAUUCAGAGCCAUCAUCAUCGCAUUUUUUUAGUUUCAGUGUUCAGAGCCAUCAUCAUCACAUUUUCAGCUUGGCAUUCAGAUCCAUCAUCAUCGCUUCUCAGUUUCGGCGUUCAGAGCCAUCAUCAUCGCAUUCUUGGUUUCAGCGUUCAUGAGUCAUCAUUAUCGCUUCACAAUUUUUGGCGUUCAGAGCCAUCAUCGUCACAUUUUCAGCUCGACGUUCAGAGUCGUAUUUUCAGUUUCGGUGUUCAGAGCCAUCAUCAUCACAUUUUCAGCUCGACAUUCAGAGUCGCAUUUUCAGUUUUGCGUUCAGAGUCAUCAUCAUCGUAUUUUGGUUUUGGCGUUCAGAGCCAUCAUCAUCACAUUUUCAACUGAACGUUCAGAGUCGUAUUUUCAGUUUCGGUGUUCAGAGCCAUCAUCAUCGCAUUUUUGUUUUGGCACUCAUGAGCCAUCAUCAUCGCUUCUCAGUUUCGGCGUUUAGAGCCAUCAUCAUCGUAUUUUUGAUUUCGGCGUUCAGAGCCAUCAUUAUCGCUUCUCAGUUUUCGGCAUUCAGAGCCAUUAUCAUCACAUUUUCAGCUGAACGUUUAGAGUCGCAUUUUUAGUUUCGGUGUUCAGAGCCAUCAUCAUCGCAUUUUGGUUUCGACACUCAUGAGCCAUCAUCAUUGCUUCUCAGUUUCGACGUUUAGGGCCAUCAUCAUUGCAUUUUCAGUUUGGCCAUCUCUUUUUAGUUCAGGGUUUGGAGCCACUAUCUCUUCUCAGUUUCAGGAGUUCAGGGAGUCGUCGUUCUCACAUUUAGGCAUUUAGAGCCAUCAUCUUUACGCAAUUUGACAUUCAGAACCAUCAUUUCCUCUCGGUUUGGGCAUUCAGAGCCACCAUUCCUUCCCAGCUUGACAUUUAGAGCCAUCAUCCUAUCAUGGUCGGGCGUUUGUCGCCACCUUUUUGGCGUUCAGAGUCGUCGUCCACACUUAGGCGUUCAAAGCCAUCGUUCACAUUCAGGCAUUCAGAGCCAUCAUUCACAUUCAGGCAUUCAGAGGCAUCGUUCACAUUCAGACGUUUAGAGUCAUCAUCUAUAUUUAGACGUUCAGAGCCACAUUACUAGCAUUUAGGAUUGCCAUUUUCUUUUAGAUUAGCAUUCGGAGUCAUUCUUAUCGUUUAGAGCCGCAUCUCCAGUUUCGGCGUUCAGAGUCACCGUCAUUCUCAGUUUCAGUGUUCGAAGCCAUCAUCGUUUCACAGUUUUUGGCGUUUAGAGCCGCAUCUCCAGUUUCAGCAUUCAGAGCCCCCAUCUUUUCUUAUUUUUGCGUUCAGAGCCACCAUUUCUGCCUAGUUUGACAUUCGGAGUCACCAUCUCUUUCCAGUUUGGCAUUCACAGCCACCCUUUCUUUUCGGUUUAGCAUUCAGAGCCGCAUUGUCGCCUUGGCAUUCAGAGUCGUAUCUUCAGUUUAGCGUUCAAAGUCGUUGUUUGUCUUUAGCUCGAUAUCUAGAGUCACUUCUCAGUAUCGGCGUUCAGAGCCAUCCUUAUCGCAUUCUCAGUUUCAGCGUUCAGAGCCAUCAUCGAUUUUUCAGUUUGACGUUUGAUUCAUGCCCAAUUGGUGUCUCAGCUGAUUCGUGUCCAGCUGGUGCUCCUUGAUUGAGGGAGUAAUCAACAAAAUUUAUAACCUAUUACACCAUAUACUAGGGUAGCAAAGAAAAAGCUACUAUAGCAUAGUGGUUCUAGGAUCGUUCACUGGGAAGGGUUUUCAAAUUACAAAUGACACCAAUUCAAAGUGAAUUGGUGCUUUUUCACUUCAAGGUUAGCUUAAGAAAUAAAACACAAACUUUGGUUGGUAAAAGGUUGAGAUUCAAACUAACGGCACAGCAAGUAAUGGAAAUUACUUAAGAAGACAAACAUUCCUUGGAGAUUUAGGUUCACAGGGGAGGUUCCUCAUGCAAAAACAUAGCUCCGGUCAGAUGGUUCAUUUCCUCGCACUAGAGAAUUAACAUAUAGUCAAUUCUCUAACCGGUGAUGUACAGAUGCAUCCCUUAAUUGGAUUUUAGCUUUAAUUCCCUCUCACUGAUGCAACUUGCAAUGGUUCGUGCCUCUCACUUAGCAUUUACCAUUCAAGGUGAUCAUUAACCUUGGACUUCCCUUCUCAAGCUCGCAAGAGAUAACUAAUGGAUGUCUCCUUGGAGUCCAAAAGCUUACCAAGUGUUGGCAAUUCUAGAAAAUCCUACCUUCAAGUCACCUCCCAAAGGCUCGCAAGGGGUAAACUAGUGCAUCUCCAUGGACGAAGAUCACUUGCCUUACCAAGUGUUGGCCCAGGCGACUCCAAGGCGUUUUAAGUUAACUAAAAACAUAGAAAUCACUAAAGGAUCACACUUUCUCUUCAUUCAUGACUGAAACCACAAAGCUACUAAUUCAUGCACUUGGAACCUUUCCCGGCAACCUUAGCUCCAAGGAACUAAAAGUUUAGUUACUCAUUCUCUGGGGAAACUUCCUCAGAGAGUGCAUAACUAGUAAAUGAAAAAUACAAUCAAAUUGAGUAGGUAAGGCAGAGCAAAAGCUCUGUAUUUUUCUUUCUUUCAAACUUUUACAAAAGGUCCGUCGUCCUCGAGAACAGGCUCCCGAGAGCUAAUUAUAUGAAAAUUACAAUAAUAAUUAUUACAUUGAUAUUUACCCUUUUUCCUAACUUAAUAACUAAGGAAUCCUACAAUUGGUGGCUUACAAGGAGAGUUUUGGGAUUUAGACAACAAAAAUUUGAAGACAAAUAUCUCAAUGUGUCGGUCGCAAAUAUCGGGAAGCACUAUGGACCAUUUCGCAGGUGAAAACGAGGUCUGCAAGAUUUCGCAGACGCACAAAAAGGGCUGCGAAAUCACUUCGCAGUAAAAGGUUGAUUUUGCAGCGUUGCGAAGUUGGCUUUCAGCUUGCGGUGUUCGGUUUCCAACGGCUGUAACUCCUUCAUUUCAGCUCCGAAUUGGUACCGUUUGAAGCAUUGGAUUGCUGACUUCCUAAGCUUUAAAAAGACAUAUAGCAUGCAUAAAUUGGACUUCAGGAAGUGCUCCAAAAGUGGCUGACAUGACUGUCAUAAAAAAUGCUUCAUGGCAGAUUUCUCUUUGCUUCCCCUCCUUGCAUUCCGGAUUUGCUUAUGGCAAAGGACUUCAAAGCUUUGGGAUUUCAUGUUUUUGAGCUUUCCAUUGCUUUGCCAUGGAUUCCAAAUAACUCUCCUCAACCUCAUAUUGCUUUGGUGAUUAAAAAGCUAUCAAAACACCAAAACUUAACACAAAUUGAUUAGAAGUGCUUGCAAAGGUCCUUAAUAUGUUAAUUGGGUUAAAAGGCAAUAACUACUACUCAAAAGUGUUUAAAAGAGUUAAUUACAAGCUAUCAAAUAACACUUUUUGAGUAGUAAUCAACAUUCAGAGUGCAUUUCUCAGUUUCGGCGUUCAGAGCCAUCACUUCUCUGUUUGACGUUCAGAGUCACGUUCUUAAUUUCAGCGUUCAGAGCCAUCAUCACUUCCCGAUUUGACGUUCAGAUGUCGCAUCCUCAGUUUUGACGUUCAGAGCCAUCAUCGAUUUCCAGCUUGACGUUCAUAGCCGCAUCUUCAGUUUGGCUCAUGAUUUAUCCACAGUUCAGACGUUCAGAGCCAUCAUUCACAGUUCAGGCGUUCAAAGCCAUCGUCCACAUUCAGGCAUAUAUAAUCACCAUUUCUCCAUAGUUUGGUGUUUAGAGCCAUUGUUCACAGUUUGACAUUCAGAGCCGUCAUGAUCUCUCUACAGUUUGGCGUUCAGAGCCAUCGUUCAUAUUCAAGCUUUUAGAGUCAUCAUCUCUCCGUAGUUUGGUAUUUAGAGCCAUUGUUCACAGUUUGGCAUUCAGAUCCAUUGUUCACAAUCAGGCAUACACCAUUUCCCAACAGUUUGGCUUUUAGAGCCAUCGUAUCCUUAGUUUGGCGUUCAGAGUCGUCGUUCAUGGUUAGGCAUUCAGAGCCAUUGGUCAGCUUGGCAUCCAAAGCCAUCAUAUCUUCAGUUCGACAUUUAGAGCAGUCAGCUUGGCAUUUAGAGCCAUUAGUCAGCUUAGCAUUCAGAGCCUUGAGCUCAUGACCCCAAGUCAUUCUUUUUAUUCUUGGCCCAGAAUCCUUAGCAUUCAGAGCCUUGAGCUCGUGACCCAGAGUCGUUUUCACCCUUUAGGUGUUCAGAGCCACUACUUUCUUUCAUGGGUGUUUAGAAUUAUAGGCCUUCAGAUCUCUAUUUGGCAUUCAGAGCCACAAUUUUCUUUUAUAAGCGUUCAAAGCCAUCUUUUCCAGUCUUAGGCGUUCAAAGCCAUUCAUUUGAUCAAUUUUAGGCAUUCAGAGUCGUGUCCUCAUUUUGGCAUUCAAACUCAUUGCCCAGCUUGACAUUUGGUGCCAUCUUCUUCCUUUAGUUUUGACGUUCAGAGUUGUCGUGCAUACUCAUUCAGGCACCUAAAGUCACCAUCUUUCCUCAUUUUGGCGUUCAGAGUCAUUUUUCCCCAAUCUUAUCAUUCAAGAGAGCCCAUGUCAUACUGGGACAAAUUUGGUGGUCUUUCUUGUUCUUCGGCAAAGUUCACUUCGUUUCAUUCGUGUAUACACUCACUUUACUCGUGAACUCUACCGAAGUGGGGCAUAUUUGUAGACCCCAAAAUUUGUCCCAAUUUUAUCUUUAUAUUAAUUUUGAGCCCAAUUUUAAAUCCCGAUUACAUGUGUUAUUUUAGGCCCACUCACCCUUUAAUUUUUAAUUUUUAUUAUUUUUUUAUUUUUUUAUUUAUUUUAUCUUUUUUUAUUUUAUUUUUACUUAUUAAUUUUACUUGUUAUUAUUAUUAUUAUAUUAUAUUUUUAUAUUUUUAUUUAUUAUUUAUUAUUUUAUUUUAUUUUUUAUUUUUCUCUCUCCUCUCUCUUCCUUUUUUUCCUUUACCUACUCUCACCCACCCAUUCUUCUCUCUCCAAUUCCCUUUGGCUGGCUACCUCACAUUUUUUUCCCCCUUUUCUUCUCCAUUCAUCUUUCUUCUCUCACUCCCACACCGCGGACCCCCCAUCCUUCUCCCUCAUCUCUCAUUUAUUUCUCUUUUUUUCAUCUGGGGGGGGGGGGGUGUGUGCUUCCGGCGGGCCAUUUUUUCUUCAGCCCUCUAUCUCCCCUUGCCCCUCACACGGCGAACCCCUCCCACUCUCCUUCUUCUUCCCUUUGGUCGGCCCCCCAUUAGAGGAGGUUCCUCAAUUUUUUUCCCUUUUUGUUGCUACUUUUUCUGGAAAUAGAAAGAGCCGACCUAUUUUAUUUAUUUAUUUAUUUAUUUCUUCCUCCAUUCCUCUUUUCCUUCCCACGACCAGCUCCUAUUUUUCCCCCCUUCCCCCUCCAUUCUCUAUUUUUUUCUUUUCUUAUUUUUUUUAGUUUCUCCUCCCAUUUUCCCGAGAAGGGCCGACCCCCCAUUUUUCUCUUUCUUUUUUUCUUCAUCCCCUAAUUCCCAGCCGACCCAUCUUCCUAUCUCCUCUUCCAUUUUUAUUUUUUUAUUUUAAUUUUUUAAUUUUUCAUUUUUCAUCUCCUUCUUAAUUCCCAUACGGCCCCAAAAUUUUUUCCUUUUCCAUUUCUUUUUUUAUUUAUUAUUUAUUUCCCGUGUAUUAUUAUUAUUAUUAUUAUUAUUAUUAUUACUAUUUUUUUAUUUGAUGUUAAUAAUAAUUAUUGUUGAAAUUGGGUUUGUGUAUUUAUGUUUGAUUGUGGGUCUUAUGUUUGGGCUUUGUUAAUUAAUAUAAAAUUUGGGUUAAUUUAUUAUUGAUAGAUUAAUUUGAAAUUGGUUAAUUUGGGUUUGUGGGAUUAAUUUAGGAUAUUUGGACUAUAUCAAUUGCAUAUUAUUUAUUUGGAGUUGGGUCUAUUGUCAAUUUGUUAUUGGUUUGGGGCUUAUUAGAUUGGACUUGAAAUAUUACUUUCAUAUUAUUUAUUUAGACUUGGGCAUAUUGUUAAUUUUUUAUUUGUUUGAGCUUAUUGAACUGAGCUUAAAAUAUUAUUUCCAUAUUGUUUAUUUGGAUUUCGGCAUGUUGUUAAUUUAUUAUUUGUUUGGAUUUAUUGGAUUGGGCUUGAAAUAUUAUUUUCCUUGACCAUGUAUAUUUCUUUUAUGUAGGCUUGUUAAUUGAUGUAAAUUUUGGGGCCCAUAAUGUGGGUGAUAUUUGUUGGAUUAUUUGAAUAUUUGAUAUGGGCUUGACUAAUUUGAAUUAUUUAAUUUGGACAUGGGACAAUUGUGGAGUAUAUUAAAUUAGACCUAGAUUAUGAAAUAUUAUAUUUAGGCCUAGUAGAAUUUAUUUUAAUUUAUCCAAUUUUAGGUUUGAUUGAUUAUGUUUGUAUUUUUUGUUAUUAAUUUGGAUGUUCUAGGUUAAGACCUAUAGUAAUUUGAGCUCAUUUUAAUCGGUGAAAUUUAUGGAAUUAAUUUGAAAUUGGAAUUUGGGUUUGAAUAUUUGUUUGGGAUUUUGUACAUCUUUGGAUAUUUACAUUUGUGUUAUUCUUGUUUUUGCAUGGACCCACUUUGCAAUCUUGUUGGCUGAGUACGAAUUGAUGACACGUGAAGCUUGUUGUAAGUUUAUUUGGGUACAUAUUUCAUUUCUCACUUUUUAUUUGGUUUUAUUUUUAUCAGUUUGUAUAAAUAUUCGUUCGUAUGUAUUAAUUGAGUGUGUACAAAAUUGAACAUCGAACAAACUAGGAAUUUUGUUUAAAUGAGAGGAAGAAGUCAGUAAAUGUGUUUUAAUAAAACAACAAUUUUAAAAUAUUAUUUUUAAUAAAAGAAAGUUUUUAUUUUAUCUUAUUUUAUUUAUAAAAAUUCAAAAAAAUGCAUUUAGAAAAAUCCAAAAGAAAUGUUUUUAAUGGAAUUUGAAAAUUUGUUUUUAAAUAAUAUUUGUCCAAAAAAUUCUUUAUUUCACAAAAACUUUCCAAACAUUGUUUUGUAAAUAAAGUUGUCCCAAAAAUUAAUUUUUAAUAAAAUAGUCCAAAAAAAUGUUUUUUUAAAAUAAAUUAUUUUUAUUUAAUUAAAAUUGGAUUAAAAGUCAUUUUUAGAAAUAGAUGAUUUAUUUAUUUAUUUUUAUUUUUUAUUUUUUUAUUUUUUUAUUUUAUUUUUUCCCUUUUAAUUAAAAAUUCUUUUGUAAAUAAAGUUAUGUCAUUUUAAAUAAUUUAUAAAAAUCACUCUUUUAAAUGAAAAUGAAUCUAAAUACUUUUGUAAAUAAAAUUGUAAAAAUUCAUUAUUUUCUAGUAAAAGCAAGUAAAAAAUAAUUUUUGUGCCCAAAUUGAAAUUUUGUAAUGAAUUCUUUCGAUACAAUAAGUGUAAAUAGUUUUUUUUUUUUUAAAAAAAAUUGUAUACAAUUAAAUUUGAGAAAAUAAAUUGUUUCUUUCUAUAAGUAAAUAAAUGGAAAUCAUUAAUUCAAAAUCAUUUUUAAUAAAAUCCUUUGAAAUUUCUUUAAAACUUUUUUUAAUAUCUUUUAUUUAUUUAAUUCAAUAAAUCAUUUUGCAUAAUUCUCUUAUUAUUUAUUUUGUGUAUUUUUGUAAUUAGAUUUCAUCAUUGUUUUUGUGCAUAUUAAUUCUCACCAUGACUUGUAUAUUGAUUAUUUUUCUUGAUAUCCAUAAUUAAUUAAUUAAUUGCCACAAUUUACUCAAUUCGUUUAGUAGAGGCCGUACGUAUGUAGGCUUAGAGGGUGGCUACGGCUCACCACCAUACCUUCCCAAUAAGUAACCUGACCCCCGGACCUAGACUUGGUUUUUCACAGACCCGUUUUUUUUUCCUUCAGGAGUCACACUUAGGGUUUUCUUUUUUAUUUGGUUUUUCCCUUAAAAAAAAUAAAACAAAAGUAAGUGGCGACUUCAAGUCUUUUUCUAAAGGGAGAAUUGUGUUUUGGGCCCAGUUGGGCCCAAAAAUUAACAAAUGGUCCAUCUAUCUAACAAAAUUAAUAGGAAGGCUAUGAGAUAUUAACUGACCAAUAUACCCUUCAUUAGUUCCAAGUCAGCUGGUUGGUAAAUUAAAGUGGUUAAAUUGAAAUGUCAUGUCAUGCUGACUGAAAAAUCUCAAAUAAUGGCAAAAAUGGUCACCAGUCUCCUGCCCCUUUCUCUCCCUCUGUAAACACCAUGGUUAAAGACGAAGCCAACUAUGAAUAUCCCCUAAUCGUGCAGCCGAGGAUUAUGAGCAACUCAGAAAAGCCUUCGCAUGUAUGUGAUCAUCAUCAUUCCCAAAUCGAAAUGAGGGUGGGUGUGAUUAAAUUUUUUGAGAUUUUGAUUUCAUGUUGGUUCCUUUGAUGAUGUGGUGGAUGUUUGUUUACAAGGUUUGAGGAAAGACGUCCGUUUUGAUCUGGUGUUGGGGUGUUCUUAAAAAAUUUUGAACUUAAUAACAGCGUGUUUUAGGGUGUAGGGUGGGGUAUAAAUGAGGCUUUGAUCAUAUCCAUCUUGCCUCAUACAAAUGAAGCACAAGCUAAGUAAAUGAAAGAAACUUCCAGUUAAUCCGUCGGAAAAGAUCUCCUCAAAAUUGGCAUUUUAGCUGUUUGAAAAUUCCUCACUUUAUAAUCUGGUUGUUGGGUUUAUAUUCUAGAGAAUAAAUGGGUAUGGUGCAGAAGGUGAGCUGUGGGGACUAGUUAGUGCACUUAUGAUGAAUAGGAAACCAAAUUGAGUUUCAUUUUCGCCCUUUUCACUGAGCCAUGACAUUGGAAAGUGGUUAACCGGCCCAUAUGCAGUCAUUAAGGUGUACCUAGGUCAAUUUCCUGCAACUGUACAAGGCAUUUACACUAAGUGUACAAGGCCAAUGUACUAAAUGUACAAGGGUGUACAAGGGCGUGUAUCUUAAGGGUUUUCAAGUGAUUUUGAAGAACUUACUCAUUUACUUUUUCCAAUCUUCGGGGACAUUCCUCACACAUAUUGCUUGAAUGGUGCCUCAUUGCACGCAUUUUAUGUGAUGGCUACCAUGUUAAUUCAUUCUAUUAGCUCCCCUACUAAUGAUGCAUAUGAAGCAAAACGAGGCUUAACUUUUUCAUCCUUUUCCCUUAUCCAUGAGAGUGGAAGCAUUGUUUUCCCACCCAUAUGCACUUGUUUGGUCGUCCCUAUUAUGGAUUUGUCCAAUUGUACAAGGCAUUUACACUAAGUGUACAAGGCCAAUGUGCUAACUGUACGAGGGUGUACAAGGGCAUGUAUCUUAAGGGUUUUCAAGUGAUUUUGAAGAACUUACUCAUUUACUUUUUCCAAUCGUCGGGGACAUUCCUCACACAUAUUGCUUGAAUGGUGCCUCAUUGCACGCAUUUUAUUUGAUGGCUACCAUGUUAAUUCAUUCUAUUAGCUCCCCUACUAAUGAUGCAUAUGAAGCAAAAUGAGGCUUAACUUUUUCAUCCUUUUCCCUUAUCCAUGAGAGUGGAAGCAUUGUUUUCCCACACAUAUGCACUUGGUUGGUCGUCCCUAUUAUGGAUUUGUCCAACUGUACAAGGCAUUUACACUAAGUGUACAAGGCCAAUGUGCUAAUUGUACAAGGGUGUACAAGGCUACCUAACUUGAAGGAUUUCAAACGAUUUUCGAAAAAUUCUUUGCUCAUUUCUUUUUUCAAAGGGGGACAUGCCUCGUACUCCCUCCUCAUUUUCCUUCGUACACAUUCAUUGGAAUGUGCUAGCACACGUAUGAUGAAUGGGAACCUAAAUUGGGUUUCAUUUUGCCCAUUUUCACUGACCCAUGACAUCAGCGAGUGGCUAUCCCGCCCAUUUACACUCAUUCAGCUGUAGCUAUGUCAGAUUUGUCCAACUGUACAAGGCAUUUACACUAAGUGUACAAGGCCAAUGUGCUAACUGUACAAGGGUGUACAAGACUACCUAACUUGAAGGAUUUCAAACGAUUUUCGCAAAAUUCUUUGCUCAUUUCUUUUUUCAAUAUUCUUUCAAACCUCCCUUCUUCCUAUAUUCAUCCUCCUUACUUUCGAUGUCACAUAAUGUUGCCUACCAUGACAAACUAAUUUCGAGUGACAUAGUAUCUUCUAAAUGCCUUGAUUUAUGUAAGUGUUGUAUGUGUGCAUAAAAAAUGGGAAGAAAACAUCCAAGUUGUGACAUGAUGUCAUAUUAAUUUAUUAUGAGUGAUUAAUUCCUACUGUUUCAAGGCACCUUGGAGGAUGCAAGACUGACUUUACGCUUUUUGUUUUGUUCGCUCUUAGAUUGAAUUUUUGGUUCGCACGACCGAGAACUUUGAUGAGUUGAUGGUUGCUACAGCUGAGGAAAGCGAAUGUGGAGACUACAAGGAACAAAACUGAAUUAACAUGUUAUGAUCAUACUUGUGUUAGGAGUUUUCAAUUAAAUAUAAACAACAACAACAUAUCAAUUGAUAUACAUAUUUCAUAAUGUUUUUUGAAUUAUUACCAUUACUUAAGUCUUGACAUAAUGGACAUGUUGAUCUAUUAGUUACUGUAUUUAGAAUCUUGAAAUUUUAUCCGAAUGCAUUAUAUAACUGGAUAUAAUUGGAAGGACCCCUUCCAUAUACGGUUGCAUAAUUGAAGUAACCCGUAGCCUUUAUGUGAGGGCAGUGAUAACUUUCGAAUGGUGCCUUCUAUUAUCCCCUUCACCGGCCCUGUGUCAGGCCCUUCGGGCAUGGAUGACAUGGAUCAAAGGCAAAUCAAAUUGAAAACUUAAAAAGCGAUGUCAUUUCAAUAUGCAUGAUUUCUAGUUCAUAAUUUAACCUCAUAUAAUGCAAAACCACAAUCAUACAAUGUUGACUCUCCAAGUUCCAAGCAACUACGUGAGAGAUAAUGAGUGGGCCACCUCGACCGGUCCACGACCGGUUCUCGACUGGCAAGCGACCGAGAAAGUGUAACCGGUCGACCGGUUACCUAUAUGGACGCCCGAUCGCACCCACCCUCGCCUGUAACAGCCGAUCAGAUGGAUCAGUUGAAAGAUGGAGGUUGUACUAUAUCAUACAAAAUUUUUUAGCACCCACAUAAUUUUUUCACAUACUUAAUGUUUUGAUUUUGGAAACAAAUAGUAUUGUUUAGCACCCACAUAUUUUUUUUUCCCAUACUUAUUGUUUUGAUUUUGGAAACAAAUAGUUAAAAAAAUUGCACUUGGGCCCCUUAAAACGAGAAUCAUUAAAAAUAAUAAUAAUAAUAAUAAUAAUAAUAAUAAUAAUAAUAAUAAUAAUAAUAAUAAUAAUAAUAAUAAUAAUAAUAAUAAUAAUAAUAAUAAUAAUAAUAAUAAUAAUAAUAAAAACAACUUCUCUUGAGUAUGCCUUCAUUGAACCCAUAAAUGAGUUCAUUGAUUUUGCAACCAAACACCGAUCACCCACUUCUCUGGAGAAUUCAUUUAAUGCCCUUUUUUAGGACUUUUUUCUCAUCUUGAGUUGCAUAGCUUUGUUAGUUUCUGUUGUGUUUUUUUCAUCCCUUUUUGUUGUACUGUUUAUGUUGUCAUAUCCCUCUUUGAAGGAUAAUUGUUAUAGUUCAGCCUAUUUUUUGGUACUGUUACAUUAGUUUUCUAUACAAUGAGUAGUAUGUUUCUAUUUCUUUUUUUAAAAUCCCAUUAGACCAACUUCCUCACAACAUAAAGCUUCACCUAUAAUUUUCCAGUAUUUAUUAGAAUGAGUUCCAUCACACAAUAAUCCAUUUAUCACGCGUUAAUCAAAGGCCAUAUAAUACUAAUCAAAAGUAAACGUAUAAUUCACAUAAGACAAAAGAAAUCAUAUAUAUAUAUAGUCAGCUGAAAUAUAGAGGAAACAUAGACAUAUAUAGACAUAAACAUAGACAUAUAUAUAUAGUCAAGUGAAAUAUAGAGUAAACAUAGACAACAGAAACAAAGAUGGCAAUGAUUUGCAUCUACGUAUGCUAAUCCUAAAGAGCUCUCGCUGCUAUCACGGCUUAGGAGGUGGUGGUGGAAACACCGAUCAGAUGUAAGCCAUCAUGUCCUCAUGCUGAUUGUCCUGGCGAUCAAGCCUCUGGAGGAUAUGCGCAAAGGUAGCCUGCUGCUGAUCCAUGCGAUCCUCAAUACUCUGAAAUCUCUGCUGCAUACACUGGAAUUGCUCGGUGAAGCCUGUCUGAUAAUGAUCCAUGCGAUCCUCCAUAGAGUGGAAUCACAUAUCCUUGACAAUUGCUAGCUCCUCAAUCCGAGCGCCCAGUGAGCUGAUCUGAGCACCUAAAUCCAUCCAAGCCUGACUAGGGCCGUAUGGAGCUCGAUGAGGUGAUGUAUGUGCAUGAGGUGGAUCAGUGAAUGAUGGUUGCGAAGAUGUUCCCGCUGUGUGCAUUGCGUCAAACGUCAUCCCCCUUGAUACAGUCGGCCCCAACUGGCAACCCUCGGACUGCUGUGCAUGGAUAUCAAACUCAGUCUGUGUAUGCUCAUAAUCUCUCUGAGGGGCAACCCCACCCUCCAUCUCCCCAAUCUCCGCCUCCUCCUCAACGGCAGGCUGUGAUAUUGGUCGCUCCACUUUCCUAAUCCAUGAUCCAUCGGGGCCCUUCUCAAACUUCAUACGGGCCAACGAUUGCUCAUCAUAUGUGUCAUAACUACUUGGGGCCUCAAAGUCCUGCUCCUUGCUCAAAUCAACCCCGGCAUCCUUGAAUACUCGUGUCAGAAAACGGCCAUAGGAGAGAACACGUGUGGAGCUCUCGCAGCAUGCAAGCAUGUGCAUCAUCAUCACAUAUCCAACGUCAAUCCGUCUCCCCGUCAUAAUCGAAUCAAUGAGAAAUGCCUCCAGAUAUGAUACCUCAUCUCGAUGGCCGCCUCGUGGCAAGAGAAUGUACAAGAUCAUGUGGUGAAGGAUGCAAGAUCUGACUGUUAGGCUAUGUGCUGAUGGUUUGCCCAUCCCCCGUGCAUCAGCAAAGCCGCACAUCCUCUGUAUCGCCUCUCUAGGCUCGAAACCCGCCAGAGUGGGCCAAGCCUUAGACUCAUAUACCUUGAGUCCGACUGAAGCGAUGUCUAAAAUGUGGCAUAUGCUCUCCGGGUCAAGCUUGAUCUGCACACCUCUAACGGUCAAAACAAUUGGCCCUCCGUGUCCAUAUGUCACUCGCGAAUAGAAUGCCCUCACUAAUGUCGGAAAUAUCGGCUCGAAAAUAGUCACUAAUGGAAGCCACCCCAUACGUGCGAAUAAUCCCUCAAAGUCGAAAUGUUGUAGUUGGGAGAAAUUAAUAUUUCUCCCUGGAACAACCUUCCUGUGGGAAAACUUCUGCUUGUACCUUUGGUAUUCCUCCAUGGAAGUGAAAAGACCGGUGUCAAACCUUGCCUUUCGGCGAGCCUCCGCCGCACCUGGCUGAGAUGGCUCAGCAGGGCGCUUGCCCUAUGCCCUAGAGGCAGCCGUAUCUCUCCUAGGCGGCAUGAGAGAGUCAAAAUGAAUGAGACGACGGUGGUAGAGAAAUAAAUGAGCAGAUCAAAGUGAUAACAAACCGAAGCAAAGCAGAUUGGCGUGCGGGAACAGGUGAGAAACCGCCUUUGACGCGCGCUGAACGAGGACCCCUUCCAAUACACACAGCCGACCUCCCAAAGAUCAUUCCACACCCUUCAAAACCCACUCCGAAGCCAUGAUAUAGCUGCAAUGCCAUUCAAAGUAGGUUUCCCAAGCUGAAUACCCAAAACCCUUGAAGCCUGAGAUUGUCAAAAUGCCGCGCGGGGGGUAUUUCAAAAGACAACCCCACGAAUCGCUCCAUCGCUCCACCCGUGGUUGACCCCCUCUGUAAGUAAGAAACCGAAACAGUCGCUUUGGCUUGGAAAGUGUGAGAGUUGCUUUGACUCUUGGAAUUCCAAUACUCUAUAACAAUUAAAUGAAAUUGAAUAUAAAUUUCAUUUCUAAUUGAUUUCAAUUGAAUACCUAUGAGUGCAAACAUAUAUAUAUAUAUAUAUAUAUAUAUAUAUAUAUAUAUAUAUAUAUAUAUAUAAGUGAUAAUUUAAAUUUAUAAACAAAUAAUUAAAUAAUUUAAGGAAAUUUCAUAUUGAGAUAUAAAGUUUUCUUAAAUUGUUGGAAUAGUAGAAGAUAAUUACAUUUUGUAAAUUAAACUAAGAUAAAAUAAAAAAAAUCCGAAAAAAUGUUUUAUUUUAUUUUAUUCUUUUGGGGUUGGCUUAAUGUUUAUUUUCUAUUUUUAAUCUUAUUAUUGAAUAAAAUAAUAUUGAUUUAAUGGAUAUUUUGUUUUUAUUCUUAAAAAAUAACAUUUACCACUCCUAAAUUUUAAAAAAUAAUUAAGAUCUUACAAACUAAAUUGUAAAUAAGCAUUUUAGGAUAUUGGACUAACUUAAUAUUUAAUUUUUAAUCAAUUUCUUUAUAUUGAAUACUUUCUAUUAACAUUAAUGACCAUUUUUUAGAAACAACACAAAUCCUCUAUUUUUUCAUAGCAAAAACAAUGUCAAAAGUAGUUCGACCGGUCGAAUGAAUGCGCGCCAGGUGUACCGACUGGUCGACCGGAGCACUUCAGCCGGUUGAUCCCCGGUCGCAAUAGCGGUUGUCAUUUUCUCUCUCUCCCAGUAGCUGUGUGUGAUCGGUUGAGGAAACAGGUUGACCGGUCGAGUGUCGGUCGAUCCUCGGUCGAGAUCCGGUCAAGCGCAUUUUUCGACACUCUCUCUCUCCUAGUGGCUGGUUGUUACCGGUCGCAAACCGGUCGAUACCCGGUCGAAUAUCGAUCGAAAGUAUUUUUUACAAUCUUUCUCUCCUAGUGGCUGUGUGUGACCAGUCAAGGAGGGUGGCUUCCCAGUCGUGUGAACACCAUUGACCGGACGUGAUCCGGUCGAAUACCGGUUGAGGGUUUUUUAACCUGUCGACCGGGUUUGGUUGACCGGUCGGAAACCGGUCGAUAUAUAUUUUAAAGCAAGGUCAUGGGACGGUUCGUGGGGUCGCCAUACAUACACCUUCACUGUACUGAAUAAAUUGUAAACGCUAUGUACACGUGUUGAUGCAUAGGUUUUUUAUAGUUUGUAAUGGCGGUGCCUUUUAUUAGAUGUUUUGAGAGAGCGAGGGAAAAAGCGACUUCAUCAGAACCUUCAUUAAAUAUAUAAGCCAUAAUAUUCGCAAUACAAUGUCAGGUGUAUAUACUUUUUCGUGUAUAAUGUACAAUCAUCUUUAAAAAUCCUCGUCACAUCCUAUUGAAAAGUGUAACUCAAACUGCCAUGAAUCGAUGCCGAUGCGCAUUAUGUGAUGAAAGCAAUAAUCUGCCCAGUAGCUUCAAUCUAUACUUCUUAAUCUUGGCCUGCACUCAUUCAUGUUUAAAAGACAUAUAAGGAAAGGUUAAAUAAGUUGUCGAUGCUAUGCAAUUUUUAUAUAAAUGAUGGCAUAGUGAAAGCCUAUAUGUACAUACCACAUCGAUGGAUUUGGAGAGUCCCCCAUUGGACCAGUUGUCCAUGAAUUUCAUAAUAAAAACGCCGCAGUCAUUGCUAACACAAAGAGCAAUGUGUAAGAACUUAAUAUGCGUGACAUGGGGAGUAUAAUAUUUGGAAAAUGCUAUGAAAUCAAAUUAAACUUAAUUGUGGUAAACACUAACUCAUUUGGUUGGCAUGGUACGUCUGGCAUGACAAAGCUGUACAUGUUCAAGUCUAUAGCAACCAUUUCUUUCUUGUCGGCAACAAGCAAUAGAUCAACCUUGGCCUUAAAGAAGCAAAGUAAUUGACAUUCAAACUUACAGUAUGUUGUACAAUGCAACUAAUAUUAGGAGAGUAGAAGGUACCUUACCAAUUUUUGUUGUAUUCCACUCAUACAACUCCUUUUUCUUCCAGGCCGAGAAUCCAAGAGCUAGAUUCGUUUGUUAUGCAAGUCAUAGACAUAAAGUGUCCAAUGGUUUUUGAAAAGGACCGGUAAGUAGACCUGCAUGAUGCCACAUACAAUGGAUUAGAAAAUAUAAUGGGUCAAGGAGAUCAGAAGUGAAGAAACAUAAAACAUUGGAAUGCAACUCUGACCUGAGUAACAUUCUGAUACGAACCAUCAAAGGCAUACAUAUAUGGAUCAAAACGCGCAACAAUUGCAUCGUGCGUCAAAUGUUUUGCAUUGGAACGAAUCACCAUUUCCUGUAUAUCAGAUGAAAGUACUUAAUGCAUGGAAACAUGUGCAAACGUGUGGACAUGUUAUCAGAACAAGGGAAAUUCAGAUGUAGUGGCCAUUAAAAGCAUUCAUUACAGCUAUGUAGGGGGAGAGAAAUAGUUUUGUCCUUGAUUCAUCAUCGAAUUGCAACAUUCGACAAAAUGCAUCCACGACCUAAAAGAAGAAAUGAUUAAAAUGUAAUCAAUAUUCAGAUUGACUAAUGAGAUGUUACAUCACAUUAAAAUUUAAAAUUAUGCAAACUAGUGGAAAAAUUGAAAUAUUAACAUCAUUGCCAAUCCAACAGUCUCCCUGGAAAGACGCGAGGUUGCCUCUGGUUAAACUUGUGUCGUGCAUUGAAACAAGCUCCUCGCUGCCAACAAAACCAUAUAUGUUAGGGUAAUACCAUUUGUUACAUGUGGAAACACUUGAAAUUGGAGUAGUAUAUGAUAUAACAUGCCUGGGGUCUAAGUCCCCAUCAAAUACAGUUGCAGCUGCCUCUUUUAGGUCCAUCUUGAUGGCAGAAUGUCGGGUUUGUGCCUGCGCUAUGAAUGGUGACAAUACAUUGGGAGCCAUCCGACGCACUCUCCGUUGCCUCCCAAUGCUAUGGGAUCGGGCCACAGUCAUAGAACGCAAAGGUAAGGGGUCACAGACGACUACUUCGUCAUCAGCUGUUUGUGUGGAGUAUCAACAGAUUAGUUAACUGAACCCCAAUACAAUUUGACAUAUUUUCUACGCACUAAUGCAGUAAUGAAUGUGCCCCAAAAUGUUACCAAUAAUAGGUGGCUGGCGAAUAGGAGUGUCUGGUACUUCUUCGGUGCAAUGGAAUGCCAUGUCAUAUCGGGCAGCGGGUGAAUCAUGCUCGGCAUCGGGAAAGUCAUCCGCUGCAUAGCCCGAGUGAUCAACAGUAGGGGAAUGUACACUUCUUUUUCUUCGAGCAUCCAAUCUUUGGAUCAGACCACGCAUGAUGCCAAGCUGAUGCUGAAUGCCCUUUUGAUAAGAAUUUAUUUGGCGUUCAGCUACGUAGUACUUAUCCAAGAUUUCCUGUCACAUGAGAACGAAUUGGCAUAGGCAAAUUUAAUUUCAAACUAGUUAAAAGAAAAUUGGUUAGAAGUUAUUAACAAUAUAGCAAUGAUAACCAAAUUGUUAUGUGAUUCAGAUGGAUUCAAUGCGGAAAGUAACAAGUAGUUUUAGCAUACAUUACUACUUGUCGGUCCACUGUCAUCCUCGACAUGUGUACGGGGAGGUGACGAUUCAUCAAACGCCUGCAUUAUGAGAACAUCACGCAUGUUAAGAACAUAGAAACAUUGGAGGUAUUCAAAUUGCAUGUAAAUCAAUAUAUAACAAACUUCAUGCCGAAUAAAUGACUACCUGGCCAUGUCCAAAACUCCCAAACUCACUUAUCUCAGCAGAUAAGCGCUCCUUUAUCAACUCAUCUGACCAUGCUGAGAGUAGGGGCGCUGUCAUCGGAACAUCAACGGAAGGAAUUUUGAACUUCAUUACGUAAUGGAGCUGCACAAUGGAAAUAAACAUAUGUAUAAUUCUUACUUGUUGGUACUGAUGUUAACAAAUUCAAAGUUACCAAUUAAUGAAUGUUAAAGCAGGCCAAUACCUGGAGGAAAAGAAUGCAACCAUGAACCCAAACGCUGUUCCCUUGCUUAAAUUGUCUUAUACCCUCCACAAGCUGGUCAACAACAAAUUGGCCCCAAUUAACAUCAUUUCUGAAACCAUCUUCAUGGAUGGUAUGCCACAAGUUUCGACAUCCAUCAAUCCUUUAGGUGGGGGCUAAUAGCGUCGCACAAGCGUAGUAAAUGAAUCAUCUACGGAACUCCUCCCCAAUAGGUAAGUUGAGGAGUCUCUCCUCACAUGUGUUGAGGGUACCGAACGGAUGAUCAGACGGGGUAGUAGCAAUAUGUAGAAUUCGUCCAGUCGUCGGGAGGCCAAAGACAAGGCCGACAUCAGCAGCUGUCAGAUCAUACCUUCUGUCGGAUGUAAUGUCAAUGCAUUUGUAGCCAACAUUAAAAUGGGCAAUCAGCCAUAUACAGAUAUUAUGUCGUAUCUCCUUGCAAUUUAAGUGAAGAAGACCUCCAAACUGAAGGUCUCGAACCACGUCCAAUUUCUCAGGUGGCAGCCUGUUGCAUAGUUUUAGAAACCUUGAAGAUGAACAACGUGUGUAUAAUCUGGUGGACUGCAUUGAAAUGGUUGGAGGUCAGUAGUAGUUUACACAUGAAUUUUAUAUAUGAAAAAAAUUAACAUCAAUAGGAAUACGUAAACAUUGUGAAUAAAGCAAUAAAAUUGAAUGAACAAACAAACAUAUUCAUGUGGAAUCAUAAUUUAUGAUUGGAUGUUUAUGUUAUUCAAUCUUUAACAUAAAAAACAACUAUAGGUCGUAAGUUGGAAAAAAUAUGAAGUAUCCGAAAUAAGUUAUCAAUAUUUAAAAACAAGAAAGAAUGCAUCACCUCCGUAGUGGCCAUAGAAAAAUGAAAUGAUUGUUGUAAGCUUCAACCUUGGAAGAACGAGCACCUGGAAAUGCGUGUUAUAGCAGUUAUUGAUGACCUGGAGAAACUAAUAAUAAAGGGAAAGGUCAAUUGACUAUUUCGACAAUUAAUCUGUUUGAUUAAUUUGGUAAUGGUGUUCCAUAAUCAUAGUUGUAAGGAACAAAUAAAUGAAAUACAUAACAAUAUGACAUUUUAGGAAAACGCUUAGAGUUUGGAAGCAAACACGUGUAUGAUCGAUUAUCCAACCAGCAACCAGAUAAAUUACUAGAUAAUUACCAUAUGGACAACGUGUGUAACAAGUAUAUCUAAUUGAGGACAAAUUGAAAGACAAUUUUUAUGACGUCUUAGAAAUUGAUGGCACAUUGAAAUAGGUGCAACCAGAAGAUAAUGCGAUAAGAGGACUAACUCACAACUUGGAAAUAAAUAUAGGGGAAGUCUCGCUUUAUUGAAAAAAAAAUUUGUCACCCUAAUACGUAAAAUAAUGUAACAGAAAUUAUCAUCCUUAAUGAGGCUCCAAAUAAUAAAUGCUCGAUAAUGUAGAGACAGAGAUGGAAUUAAAUAACAACUAAAAAGAAACUGCAUUCAAAGUGCACUUUCAAUUAAGUUGGUUACUGAAAGUAACUCUAAAUAAGAAAAAUUCCAAAAUAGUGCAUCGUGCCUAUAAAUAGGGCAAUACAUAAAAACGAGAAUCAACAACCCCAUACCAUAUACCAUACAACAUAAUGUAUGGAAUGAUACAAAAUGAGGAAAUUGUACAACCAAAUAAAAUGCAAAUGUCACGGCAACGGAUUAUUACAUUUAGAGCGGUUGUGACCUAUUCCAUUGCAUCGAGAGCAAUGAAUUGCUCUCUUAUGACAAAACUGUGAUUCAAUGCGCCUUUGUCGGGGUCUUCCUGGAGGACGUCUCACAUGAGGGGGUUGGCAAGCAAGAAAGGAGUUGCCCGCGCAAUCUAUAACAUAUCCUCCAUCGUCACAAAGUUUCGGCAUAUUGUGUGUUGGUAAUGGUUGAAACUGACCCGAGUAAAUCAAAUCUUGCAUGGAGACAUGAAAACAUGGGUCAAUAUAGUCAUACACGUCGUGUCUCAGUGUGCGGAUGACAGCACAUACGUGUGCACAUGGCAAACCGGACAUUUGCCAUGUCAUGCAAGUACACGUACGUUGAUUCAUAUCGACAACCAAAUAAACCUCUCCAGUAAACACCUUAAACGUCCCUCCCAAAUAGGGUAGCACACUAAUCGGACCAGACCUCAUGAUAUUUGACAUUAACUUCUCUUCAGUUUUCGGUCCAACCACGCUCUUCCACUUUUGUGUACCACGCAUAUGGGUGUCCAACAUGGCUACAAGUUUAUCCAUGUGCAUUAACAAUAAAGUAUAAAUUGUUUGGUGACGCUCUUCUCUUAACCACGCAUUGAACGCCUCUGCAAUGUUACUUGUCAUUUUAUCCCAUCGCUUUUUAAGAAACUUUGACAUUGCCCAAUGUUCGGGAUUGUUUUCCGCAACCCAUUUUGCUAGGUUCUCAUUGAAGCGCACAAGUUUUUCAAAUGCCUCAUUGUAGUCUAUUUCCAACCUAGCAUACGCAAUGCUGUCCAAAAGUAGCAAAGCAUCUUCUUUUCCUUUCUUUCCUCGAAUGUUUUGCUUAUUGAAGAAGCUAGAAAAGUUUUCCUUCACAUGUCGAUAACAAUACGCAUGAUUUCCUGUCCCAAACAACUCGGAAACACUAUGCAAGAUUCCCUGAUGUCUAUCUGAUAUAAUAACAACUUCUUUACCAUCUAAUACCCCCUUUAAUUUAUCCAAAAACCAAUACCAGUCCUCAUAAUUUUCUGAACUUACCACACCAAGGGCUAGAGGGAACAUUCCAUCAUCUGCAUCAUAUGCAAUGGCAGACAAAAGAGCUCCCUUAUAUGGACCGCUUAGGUGGCACGAAUCAAUAGCCAAUACAGGUCGACACCCCAUGAUGAACCCUUGAAUUGAAAAUGCAUGGGCAAUGAACAAUUGCAUGAAGUGACCUUCUUGGGAAGUGUACUCCGCAAUUGUGCCCGGGUUUAUUUCUCUUAGCCUAUGGCAUAACCAAGGGAGAAAAGUGUAAGAGUCGCGUGGUACUCCAUAUAUGCGCUCUUUUGCCUUCUCUUUAAGGUGCCAUGCUUGGUUAUAUGUCAAUUGAACCCCAUGAUCACGUUCAAAAUCCUUACAGAUUUGACGAGGAAGAUAGUCUGGAGUGGUUCUAAACACAUCUUCAACAACAACCGCACCUCUCUUUGAAGAAACCUUCACCUUAGAUGAACACUCAUCCUGAGCUAUAUGAUUAUGAUUCACUUGGUAAGUAUGAACUCGCAAGAUGACAUUUCCCUCGAUAGCGUGAGCUGUUAUCUUCCAAGGACAACCAUCAACCGAACACUUGACAGACAUAUGCGUAGGGGAAUUUUUCUUGUACUUGUAUUCAAACCUUCCACCUAAUGACAUCUGGUAAAUUGCAUUGCGAAACUCCUCGGCAUUUUUAAAUGUAUGUCCAGACCCUAAUAUUGCCUCACGAAAACGAAUCGAUUCCAAAGGGAUGUACUCAGUAUCUGCAGAACGCGACACAAAACCUCUUGAUAACAUCAUAGUUUUAGGAAUUGGAUCGCAUGAUGCAUUAGAGGACGGGAACGUGAUAGGUGGAUCUCUGCAUUGACAUAUAUUAACAUAAUUAGAAUACAUGAUGCGUAAAUUGAUAUUCACAAUAUUUUAAAUAAACAUUGAUGUUAAAGUCCAUUACCGAAAUGCCAACUGUGAAUUCGGGAUAUUUGCUUCAAUGGCUUCCACAGAGGGUAAGUCUACUAGGUAUACAUUUGCAAAGUCAUCACUAUGGGAAACCACGUUAUCCAAAUCAUCCUCAUCUUCUAAAUCUUGGAUGACUCUGGGAUUGAACUUCAGCAUGUAGUGCAUCUUCAUCACAUCAAGGGAAAUGUCAAAUUUCUCUAUGAUUUUUUUGGUGAAAUCUUCAAAUGCCAUUCCUUUAUAUAUGUGAAUACCUUUGCUUCUUCCACCCAAGUAUUCCCAUUGCCCAUCAUUUUUUUGGACAAGUUUGCCACCCACGAAAAUGUAACAAUAUAUCCUAUUAGUUGCGUCCAUUAACCUAUACAAACAUAGCACAAAUAUCAUAUUAUAGACCAAACAAUUAUGCAUAUUAUAGAAAAUGGCCUUCAUAUUUUCUCUCAUAUGGCCUUUUGCUUUGAAGUUCACACUAUUACUAGUCGCCAUGUCUAGAUUAUCACGCAUCAUUUAUGCAUAUACUUUUCCAAAUGUUACUUCACUUAUUCUAUUUUUCACUGGUUGGUCGACUCUUCCUCUGUUUUUUGCAGAUUGCUAUGACCCUCUAGAUCCCAAUAGGAACAUCACAAUUACUUUUCAGACUUAUAAAUGGACAAAUCAUGCCAAUGUCAUUAGUGUUUUGGCUCAUACUCAAUAGACAACUUCAAAUUUAACUUCAUUUCAAUUUGGUUCAAUUGUAUGCUGAAAAUAAUAUUGAGUUGCAUGUGUUUGAUAUUUAGCAAUUGUGAAUAGUAAACAUGGAAAGAGGUAUUUGGCCACUACAAUGAUUGUUAGAAACCAUUCUGGAUUUCAACGAGAAAUCCCUUAAUUGGUUUCUUAUGUAUUGACUUCCUUAAUAUUGGAUUUCAAAAAUAGAAUUAAGGCUCAUUAAACUGCCUUUAAACUGAUCUGUUUCUUUAUUUUGCAUUUAUAUUCAUGUUAGCUACAGAUUUCAUGAAGUUCAAAAUGAUAAUCUAUCUACACAUACUAGGUAUCCCACAAUAUCUCAUACUAUAGGGUUCAAAGAACUUGGGUUUUUUUCGAAAAUAGGUAACAGGCGAACUAGCGUACUAAACUAGACUGCCACACGAGGAAGUAAAUAUAAUGCUCAAUGAUAUAAUUUGAACGAAAGGACAAAAAAUAUGUUUGCAACAAGAAAAUCUAUUUGCAUUUACUUAUCAUAUAUUAGAAUAAAAUUGCACCUAUAAAACUAACUUUUCAAUUCAAUAUGCAAUGCUAAACCAAACAAACAUAAGUGAACCAAGUAAAAUGCAAGGAAAAUCAAAAUAUAUUUUUAUGUCAUCUUCAGCAUCACAAUUAUCAUGAAUGGCAAUCGAGGGUUCUCAUAUUGAUGGAGAAACAAGUGAAUCAUGGUGACAUCACAGUUUAAUAAAAAGAAGUGAUUUUUCCAUGUCAAGGCUAUCAAUCAUGUAAAUCGAACACAAACAUAAUUAUCUAAACAAAAACUUUUUUGAUACCACGACAUGCAUAUGCAAUUAGCCCAUGAGGAUCCUCACUAUUUCAAACUAUGAGCCAUGUCUUAAAAACACCAUAACCCACGCCAUGUCUUAUAGCCAGUUACGGGGUUUAAGCUUUAAGCUUAAAAAAAAAAUACUACUUUACCUGAUGGUCAGAGAAGCUCUCUCCUCAAUGCUUAGCACGGGACGACACCCACGGUGGGGAUUAAUGGCACACUGAAAUCGCCAGAUAAAUUUGGGCAAUGUAUUUGGGCUGAAAUGAAAUGGUCGGGAUAGCCGAAAUGAAGCAUAAACUGAAAUUGUUGAACCUACUAACCUCAACUCUCAACUACUUCGCCACGGAACCCAAAUCUGGUGGUGAUCGUCGACACCAAUUGAUUGACAGAGAUGAAAAACUCCACCGUCUACACCUAAAAUCGGAUGGCCGGGAAACUCCAGAUGAAGAUAGGAUUAGGGCAUUCUUUGGGCAGAAACGAGGGAACACUCAGGAAUGUGAAAACGCCUCUCAAUUUUGGGGAAAACGAAAUGGAAAUCCAACGUCGAUUUUGUUUUUAAUCGGAUGGUCGGCAAACUCCAAAUGAAGAGAGGAUUAGGGCAUUCUUUGAGCGGAAACGAGGGAAACACUCAGGAAUGUGAAAACGCCUAUCCAACGUGGAUUUUGUUUUUUUUUUUACAUUAGCCAGCCAAAGGGCAUUUUCAGCAUAUUAUAAAUUGUAUAGCCUUCUUAUCAAUUUUGAGACUUUGAUUGGGUGUUGGGCUUAAUUUUGUUAGAUAGAUGGACCAUUUGUUAAUUUUUGGGCCCAGUUGGGCCCAAAACACAAUUCUCCCUUUUCUAAAAAUCAAAUUUUCAUCAAAUAAAAUAAAAAGCGAGUUUCGCCAUCGAGUGGGAACGCAUCGAGAAAAUGCGGGGUCCACACUUACACAUUUUGUUCAAGUGUAAAUUUUUUAACAUUUUUUACAACAAACUUAUCUUCUUUCUAACCAAUAUUAUUUACCGGGAAAAAUGUAAUUUGAAAAAAAAAAUACACAUUUCUAAAAUGAAUAUCCAAGAACAAAAAUUUAUCCAAAUAAUAAUUUCUAUUUAUUUUAUGAUACAAACUUAUAACCCUAAAACCAUGUCAAAAUAAUCAUUUAUAAUCUUAUAAUUUAUUUUAAAUUUUCUAUCAAUAAUUUGAAGUUAACAAAUAAUUCUUAAAAUUAAAAACAAUCCCCAUAUUGUAGCAACAUGGAGAAAUUAAUAUUGUUAUUUUAUUUUUAACAAAUUAAUAUUGCUUUAUUAAUUAUUUUAUUAUAAUUUCAAAGAUUUAAUCAAUUAUAACCAUGGUUUGAAAUAUCGGUAAACACGGAUAUAUCAUAAAUAUCAGUAAAAUAUCGGUGGAUAUUUUGAUAAAAAUAUGGGUGAGAUGAAAAUUAUUCAAAAUUCAUGGAAAAGGUAAAAAAAAUUGAUAAAAUAAGAAAGAAAUACAUGUGUUAAACUUAUUUUGUAAGUUUAAUUGACAUAUAUAUGGUCAAGGAUAAUAUUUAUCAAAUAUUUUAGAAAAACAAUUAUCUCAUAUUCCUUUAAUAUAUUUAUAUUCAUUUAUUUUAAAAAUUAAAAACUAUUUUUAUUAAAACAUGUUUUUAUUAUAUUUUAAAUAAAAAAUUAAAUACUUUAAAGAUUUAUAUAAAAUAUUUUAUUUGAGAUUUAAUUUCUAAAAUUUAAUUUUUUGUGGUGACAAUUUUUUGCUAUUGACAUUAAUUUAUUUAAAUAAUUAAAAUUAUUAAAAAUUAUAUUAAUAAUUUAUAUUAUCAAAUUAAUUUUAUUUUAUAAAAUAUUAGAAUUUCAUUAUUAUUAUUUUUAUAUUUAGCAAUUUUUGAAUAAAAUGAUAUUUUUUACAUUUUAAAAUAAAAACAUUCAAAAUUAUAUAUGAUUUUUUAUACUAUUUAUAUUUUUAAUAUUUAAUUAUCAUAUAAAUGAUGGUUUUUAUACUUUAAGUAAUCAAUUAAUAAAGUUUAAAAUAAAAUAAGUAAUUAAUUUAUUUAUUAAAAUAUUUUUAAAUAAUAGAUUUUAAUAUAACUUGUGCGCAUAUAUGUUAACAAUAAUGAAUCAGCCUAGGUGAUAGUUGGUAUUCAACCCAAGCCUAGGCUACAAGCCAGCAACUUCAAAAAAUAUUUAAGGGAGGGAGUUUGACUGAGAGCCCGUCGUUGACUGGCCAUAAAAUCGGGAGAUUUCGGGAAAAAUCCAGAUAAAUGCCAAUAUUUCGGUGAUAAUAACGGGAAAAAAAGAAGAGAAAAAUCGUUGGAUCAACUUUCGAUCCCAUAUUUCGUGUCGGGAAGGCCAGAUAACACACAAUACUGAUUAUUAAUUUAUUUUAUUAUAAUUUCGUAUGAAAAAUUAUUACAUGUAAAAUGAGAAGGAUACGAAGAAUAAUAUGAGAAAUGAACAAGAAAUGAACAAAAAAUGUGAGAAUUCUUCGUACCUUCUUUCAAUUUUUUAUUUUUUAUUUUAUUUUUAAUUUCCAUCAAUUCUAACUUAGUUCCUAUUAUUAAACUAUUUUAUUGCCAUUUCAAGUCAAAAAAACAAAUCUUAAAAUUAUUAAAAUUGUGAAAUUGUAAGUAAUUCUUAAAAUUGUUUUAAAUGUAACAUUUUUUCAUCUCCUCAUAUCCUGCCUUAGAAUUUAAAAUUAUAAUAGUUUUCAUAUCCUCUUAUUCCUUAGAAGUAUAGUAAUAGAUUUUUAUUUUUUAUUUUUUAAUGUAGCUUUGGUACUAGAUUACAUGGAGAAAGGGAAGGUGAAGGAAUUUGUAAUCACUCUUAAAGAUGAAAUUCAUAAGGAUCCGUAUAUCAAUGUGUAGACCUCAAAAUUGGGAUAUAUCUAAAGCAUUUUUUUUGCAAUUAGUUUUUGGCCAGGUGUCGCGCUCUUAGGCAGCCACGUGUCACUCCUGGAUUGGCUGUUGAAGAUUCAGAUGGGCUUUUGAGGAACCAAUAGAAGCUUGACAGAGGGAAAAGAAAAAGGGAUGAAAAGACUGUGAGAAGAGAAACGGCUGAGGGCUCUGAAGCUGCAGGGGAGGCAGAGCUUUCUGGGCUGGCGGCUAGAGAGAGAUGAUUCAGGAGGAGCAGAGAGCUUUUUUCUGCCAUCGGGAAGAGUGAGCAGGGAGGGAGUAUUCUAGAGCCUUGGGGGGAGACCUUUCAGGGAGGGCCGUUGAGAGAGACAUUUUUUGGAGAGAGCUUCCAUCGUCGUUUGAGUUGAAGGAGGGUUUCUAUGGACAUGGCUUGGAGGAGAAGCUAAAGGAAAAAGAAGAGAAAAAGAAGGGGGAGAGACAGGAGAGAAGCGAGUGGGAGGGAUUUUUGAUCAGAGGAGAGAGCUUGCUGGCAGAGAGACCACUUCGACUCCGCUGGGGGAAUCUCUUAGGUUUGACUUUCCGGCACUUAGGUUCUCCAUUUUUACAGUCACACCAUGCCUCUUAUUGAUCUAUGGUUUUUUUAUUUUUGCUGUUGGUAUGUGGAUGCUUGUUUUGGCCAUCAAAGGUCCCGUUUGUUUGAUUUUUGCUUCACUUGCAUGAGUUACAUAAGGGAUACGCUGCUGUUCAUGUGUUAAAUCCACUCGAAAUUUCCUCCUACCUUUCAAAUCUUUUCGAUCUUCAUGCAUCCUCUUCUACCGUCGUCCUAGUUGUUAUUGUCUUGGAGAAGAUUAUCGUCACCCUUAGAUCUCCCUCCAAACCUCCCUCACCCUCUCCCACGACCCCGACAUCCUCCACUCUGUCGGCCAGCAUUCCGAGGGCCACCUCCGGCGCGCCCAGGAGGCGGCGGCUGCUGCUGCAUGCCGCCAUAGCUGCCCUCCAGUCCGUCGUCGGAUCCAAGCGUCAUUCAGAUGGCGGCGAUUGAGGUGUUGAAACUCUAGCCUGUGCCGGUGAUAUUGGAGGUGCGGAGAUGGAACCUGAGAAGCCCAUGGUUUCUCUUAGAGACCUUUGGGCAGAGAAGUCGUGGGUGGCAGCGCUUGCAUGGGAGAUGCCCGGAAUGGCUAAUGGGCUUGAGGGCUUAGGUGAUUUUGCUAUUGGUUUUGAGCUUGUGAUGAAGCCCAGGCCCAAGCGGAAAGACAAAAAAAAAUAAUGAGGAAGAGAAGGCCUCACUGAGUUAUUCACCCAUUUUAAAAUUGGCCCAUUUGUUUGCAUCUACUUUAUAUGAAUCACUUUCUUUAAAGCACUAAUUUCUUAAUAAAUUUUCUAACUUCCAAUUCCCAAGCCCAAUUUAUAAAAUUUUAACCUUCAAAUAAUACUUCAAAAUUCCGAUAUUUAAAAUUCAAUUCCAAUUUCCGAAAAUUCUCAUACUCACUUUAAUUUAUUUAAUCACUAAUACUUUAUUCAUUUAUUUUAAAACUCCAUUCUUAAUUCAUUCUUUAAAAUUUUCGUUUAUCGAAUUAUAUUCCAAAAAUUCCCAUACUCACUUUAAUUUAUUUAGUCACUAAUACUUUAUUCAUUUAUUUUUAAAACUCCAUUCUUAAUCUAUUCUUUAAAAUUUCCAUUUACCGAAUUAUAUUCCAAAAAUUCCCAUACUCACUUUAAUUUAUUUAGUCACUAAUACUUUAUUCAUUUAUUUUUAAAACUCCAUUCUUAAUCUAUUCUUUAAAAUUUCCAUUUACCGAAUUAAAUUCCGAAAAUUCCUAUACUCACUUUAAUUUAUUUAAUCACUAAUUCUUUAUUCGUUUAUUUUAAAACUCCAUUCUUAAUCUAUUUAUUUAAAAUUUCUGUUUGCCGAAUUAAAUUCCAAAAAUUCUCAUACUCACUUUAAUUUAUUUAAUCACUAAUACUUUAUUCAUUUAUUUUAAAACUCCAUUCUUAAUCUAUUCUUUAAAAUUUCCGUUUACCGAAUUAUAUUCCAAAAAUUCCCAUACUCACUUUAAUUUAUUUAGUCACUAAUACUUUAUUCAUUUAUUUUUAAAACUCCAUUCUUAAUCUAUUCUUUAAAAUUUCCAUUUACCGAAUUAAAUUCCGAAAAUUCCUAUACUCACUUUAAUUUAUUUAAUCACUAAUUCUUUAUUCGUUUAUUUUAAAACUCCAUUCUUAAUCUAUUUAUUUAAAAUUUCUGUUUGCCGAAUUAAAUUCCGAAAAUUCUCAUACUCACUUUAAUUUAUUUAAUCACUAAUACUUUAUUCAUUUAUUUUAAAACUCCAUUCUUAAUCUAUUCUUUAAAAUUUCCGUUUACCGAAUUAAAUUUCUAUUUUUAAAAAUUCUAAUAUUCACAUUAAUCUAUUUAAUUAUUAUUAUUUUAUUUAUUUAUUCUAAAAUUCUAUUUUAGACAAUUCAUUUAAAACUUUCGAUUUCUGAAUCAAAUUUCUAUUUCUGAAAAUUUCACUAUUCACAUUAAUUUAUUUAAUUAUUAUUAUGAUAUUCAUUUAUUCUAAAAUUCCAUUUUAAACAAUUCAUUAAAAUUUCCGACUUUCGAUUUUAAUUUCUAAUUCCAAAAACUCCAAUAUUCACAUUAAUCUAUUUAAUUAUUAUUAUUUUAUUUAUUUAUUCUAAAAUUCUAUUUUAAACAAUUCAUUUAAAACUUUCGACUUCCGAAUUAAAUUUCUAUUUCUGAAAAUUUCAAUAUUCACAUUAGUUUAUUUAAUUAUUAUUAUUUCAUUUAUUUAUUCUAAAAUUCCGUUUUAAACAACUCAUUAAAAUUUCCGACUUCUGAUUUAAUUUCUAAUUCCAAAAUUCCAAUACUCACAUUAAUCUAUUUAAUUAUUAUUAUUUUAGUUAUUUAUUUUGAAAUUCCAUUUUAAACAAUUCUUCAAAAUUCAAAAUUCGGAACUUAAUUUCCAAUUUCCAAAAUUCUAAUUUCUUUCAAAUUUAAUAUCCAAAAUUCCAAUUCUUAAAUUUAAUUCUCAAGACUCCAAUCUUCAAAUAAUUUUCGAGACUUCGAUUUCCAAAUAAAUAUCCAAAAUCAAGUUUUCACUCGAAUAGUUUUAAUUCCAUUUCGGUUCUUAAAUAAUCUUCUGAUCUUCUUGAUUUUACAUAAGCAAUAAUGAAUUCUUCAUAAUUCUAAAACACGGGAUUUGUGAGAUUAGCUCAUGAACAAUAAAUCGGGCUUUGUUGGGGGCCCUAUGUUUGACCCCUUUUGACUGUCAAUUAUUGUGCUUACUGUAUUUUGCUUGAGCUUCGUUUUGCACUCCGAUAUGUAUGAGCUAUGUUUUGUAUUCAUUAAUUGUGCACUAAUCCCGUUUCUUGAUAGCGCAUUGUGGCUCUUGGCCCAGGUACGCAUACACUCUCAUUCUGAUACUUCACUAUACAUGUUCCGAUUCUCAUAUGUGCAUGAUCAUUCAGGAUAUUAAUUGAUUUACUCAUCAACUGCCACAUCAGCUUCAUUUUAUCAGUAGAGACCCGACUUUAGGGACUUAGAGGGGUGCUAUGGUCUUCACCGUACCUUCCCGAUAAGUAACCUGACCCCCGAGCCUGAUCCGGUUUUUCGUAGAUCGCCUUUUCCAAAACCAGGAGUCGCACUUAGGGUUUUUCUUUCUUAUUUUGUUUACCCUUUUAAAAAUAAAACAAAAAUAAGUGGCGACUCCAAGUCAUUUUCAAAUUAUCAAUAAAAAUCAAUUUUUCAAAUAAAAAUCGAGCUCGCCAUUCGAGUGGGAAAAGCAUUGAGCCGAAAUGCGGGGUCCACACAAUGGUAGUUCUAACCAUGAUUCACAAUUUAUUUAUAAAAAAGCUUAAUGGUAUUUCAAAUGAAGAAGCGUGCAAAUAGGAAUUGAAUUGUACAGAUGAAGCAAAAACAUUUUACAACAUAUAUGCUAAAGCGAUCAGAUUUAGUGUUUAGAAAGAUGAUUUGAAAUGUGAUAAGAAUGGAGGUAUUAUAUCUCCAAAGUGGGUUUGUUUUAAAGAAGGACAUCGAUUGGCCAAAUGUUUUCAAAAUGAAAAUCGACAAUGUGAGCCAAGAUCAUUGACUAGAGUUCGUGUGAAGCUUCAUUCUGUAUUGGUGUGGACCCCGCAUUUCAGCUCAAUUCAUUCCCAUUUGAUGGCGAAACUGUUUUUUUUUUUUUUUUCCUUUAUUUGGCGAAAAUUUGAUUUUUAGAAAAAAAACUUAAAAUCUCAUAUGUAGGACCCCCACUAAAGCCCAAUUUAUCUUGCAUGAAUUGGUCUCACAAAUUUCAUUAUUUUGGAAUUAUGAAAAAAAAAAAUCAUUCUUACUUAUGAAAAAGAAAAUGAAGGAAAUUAAAGCAAAAGAAAGAGGUUUAUGCAUGACAAUGGGCAAGUCUAAGAUGAAGAUUACGAUAUAUGAUAUUUGGAAAAUAUGUAUAGAUGAUUAACAAUUAUAUUUAUCAAUUUCUCAUAAUUUUAGUAAUUUCACUCUUGUACCUUUUCAAUUCGCUUCUUAAUUGCUUAAUAUCACUCCUGAUAAAAGAAUUUUUAGUAAUAUACCCAAGAUUCUAUUUCAAUGGAUCCUAAUUGUGUCUUUGUAGCUUACCCUUAUUUUGUACCCAGAGUAUCGAAGUUUCUUUAAUAUAUAUUUACUUAUAUAUUAAUAAAAAUUUAAAAUAUUUAUAAGUUUUAUUGAAUUGUUAUUAUAUUUUGAUUAAAAUAUUAAAUUCUUCAAAUUUUUAAAUAAUAUUUUAUUGAAACUUUUCAAUAAAAAAAAUUGUUUGACAACUUUUUGUGAUAAUUUAUUUAAAUUAAUAAAAUUAUAUUUAUUAUUGAUCUUAUCAAAAUAAUUUUUUUAAUCUUAUAUAUUUUUUUAAAAAAAAUUAUAUUUCGGUUAAUUGUCAAAAACUUUAUUAAAAUUUUAAAUGAUAAAUAUAAAAAACUAAAGGUGAAGAGUGAACAAUUUUUUAUUUGAUUAAUGCCAUAAAUGUUUAAUAUUUAAUUCUUUUCAAAUAAAAUUAAUUGGUGAAUAUAGAAAAAAAUUAAAUAUAGAAAAGAAAAUUCACAAAUAUUUUAGUAAAAUCAAUAAAAUUUCGAAUUGGAAGAUUCUUUGUGAUAAAUAUGCAUUUUUUUUUAAUUUUAAAAAUAAAAUUAAAGAGAUAAACAUGGGAAGAAUUAGAAUUACUUUUUUAUUAAUUGUUUUGAUAUUUAAGUUAUUUGUUAAUUAUUUCAUCUUUUUAAUAUUCUAAAGUAUUAAAUCAAUUACAAAAAUGAAAUGAAGGAACAAACUCAAAAAAAUAAUAACUAAAUAAAACCAGUUACAAAAAUAAAAUGAAAUUAAUUAAAAUUAUAAAUUAAUAGACUCUAAUAAAAUCAUUUUUGAAAAAUAAAAUAAUCUAAAAUAUGAUAUAUCUUUUUAUACUUUUGUAGUAUAAAAAAACAUAACAUGGAUAUAUAUCUAUAGACCCCCAUUUAGGCAUGGGUCACUUUUUCUCUAUUUGUUUUUGCAGAUCGCAUUUUUAGCUAGGUGUCGCUAUCCCGGCGGGCCACGUGUCGCAUCCUUAGUGGCCAUAAGGAAUCAACCUCGCUUUUUGAAGCUGAAGAAGGAGUGGGACAAAGAAGGUGGCGGCCGAAAAGGUGGCAAAAAAAGGUGGCUGUAGAAAGAGUGGGACAAAAAAGGUGGCUGCAGUAGGGAUCGUUGGGAAGGCAAAUCCAGAGGGCUUAGGAGAUUUUCUCUGGGAGGUUUUCCAUGGCCAAGAGUGAGUAAAGGAGAGGGGGGGGGGGGGGGGGGGGGGAGGUUUUUCUGAACUGAGAGAGUAAGCUACGGAGGAGGGAUAGUAAGUCCUUGACGGCAGAGAGAGAGACAUUUGAGGUGAGCUGCUUUACUUGAGGAGUCUUUGGAGAGAGAAACUCGUUGAGAGAGCUGAGACUUGAUUUCUUUGCUUGAGGAACCAGGUAUGUACGCAGUUUUCUCCUCGUCUCUCAUUAUUCAUUGAUUUUCCAUAACAUAAUGCUGUUUUGGGUGGAUGUUGAAGGCCAUUGAUCUGUUUGUUGAUAUGUAUGCUUGCAUUUGUGUAGAUUUGUCCAUCUUUUAAUUUGAUAUGCUCCCGUUGUGGUUAUGAAAUGCUUGAGAAUCGUGAGGGUGGUUGCAUUUGAUAUGGUUUACCCACAUGCUCAGAAGAUUCAUGGAUGAUUCAUGAAGUGGAUUUUCUGAGAUUUUCCAUUAUUUAUUCAUCUUCUUUCACGCUCUGUUUCUCUACUUCCCUUGUUUCUUGAUAUCUGUCCAUGGUAUGCGUCCAUUUUCUCAUCCCCGCUCGAAAGAGAUCCUAGAAAAUCUGGAGUAGUUGUCAUGGCAGCAAAGCUCACCUCAUCAGCAUCCCCAUGCCCAUUUUCGUUUAUUAUUCAUCGUUUUAUCCAAUAUGCCUACGUCCCCAUCGUUCAUCUAUCCACCUCUCUCUCUAGGCCGUCAUACCCAUUUCCUCGCUCAAGCUUGCAGGAAUCAAGCAUCCUCCACUGCACUCAUUUUCCUCUCAUUCAUUCUCCAUCCCACUCCCCCACUUACAUGGAGUCUCCCGGGUGCGUACUUUCCUUCACUCUUUCGCAUACCCAUUAAAACCACUCACCCAAGCCUCCAUAUCUAUACAACCCAUACCUAUCCUUCAUGCUAGUCAUAACAACGUUCUACCUUAUCCGGGUGUCUCACUCCCGGAUUCCUUCUGCGCCGCCAUUCCCCCAGGUGUCUCACUCCCGGAAUUCCUCUCCGCCGCCAUUUCAUCCGGGUGUCCCACUCCCGGAAUCCUUCUGCGCCACCAUUCCCCCGGGUGUCUCACUCCCGGUAUUCCUCUCCGCCGCCAUUUCAUCCGGGUGUCUCACUCCCGGAAUCCUUCUACGCCGCCAUUCCCCCGGGUGUCUCACUCCCGGAAUUCCUCUCCGCCGCCAUUCCAUCCUGGUGUAUCACACCCGGAAUUCCUCUCCGCCGACGUCCCACCUUUUCCUUCAUCCCUAGAGCAUUUUCUUUAGGUUCCAAAAUUACAUUUUUAAUAAAGCUUUGCUGCCGCUUUCAUUUCUAGCAAGCAAUUUUUCAUACUUCCUUUGUUUUUAAAAUGUUUUGAAAUAAGCAAGGAAUCAAAUUCUGUAAUUCCAAAUGAUGGAGUUUAUGGAAUUAAUUCAUGAAAAAAUGAAUCGGGCUUUGGUGGGGGCCCCACAUACUUGACUUCAUGAUUGAUUGACUGAUCGAUUGAUUUAUUUGCCAUGCAUGAUUGGUUUACUCUAUUCCUUGACAUGCGCUUAAUUAUACCUGUUCAUUGUUCACUAACCAUGUCUCGCGAUAGCGCAUUCAUGAUUGCCGCCCAGGUACGCAUUUAUUCAUAUUUUGCUCAUUCUCUAUACAUAUUCUGUGUCUCAUAUGUGCAUGAUAGUUCCGGGUAUUCAUUGAUUUCCUCAUCAAUUGCCAUGUCAGUUUCAUUUUAUUAGUAGAGACCCGACUUUAGGGGCUUAAAGGGGUGCUACAGUCUUUAUCGUACCUUCCGGAUAAGUAACCUGACUCUCGAACCCGAUCUGAUUUUUCGUAGACCAACCUUUUCCAAAACAAGGAGUCACACUUAAGGUUUUUCUUUCUUAUUUUGUUUACCCUUUAAAAAAAUAAAACAAAAAUAAGUGGUGACUCCAAGUCAGUUUCUUAAUCAAUAAAAAUCAUAGUUUUUCAAAAUUAAAAUCGAGCUCGCCAUUCGAGUGGGAAACGCAUUGAGCCGAAAUGCGGGGUCCAAAAAAUGGCGACUCCGCUGGGGAUCAUUUAGAGGGUCAAGCUUGAGCUUAAGAUGAAGCAAACAUGGCAUUUGAUUGGUCGAUCAGUGGAUGCUCAUCUCUUGAUUGCACAUUGAGGAUUUCUUGAUGCAUGCUUAGAUGUCAUAUUCAUUUGAGAUUUUGACAUGCUGGAUUAUUGAUGAUUGACCUUAUUGCAUUGCUUAGCGUAUUGAUUCUAAUUUUGGCAUGAUUGUUCUGAUCACUUCACAUGCAUACACUCACCACUGUAUAUCACUCAGCUUGACAUGUUGAUUCUCUUGCUUGUAUAUUAUUUUGAUCGUCUUUUGAGCAUGAUGUCUGUAUCACUAUCCAUCUGAUUGUCGUAUUCUCGCUUAUCAUGUGUGUGGACAUGAUGAUAUAUCUGAGCAUUGCCUGAUUGCAUGUCGCAUGACUACCCUCUUCUGCGUGAUUGAGUGUUGCUUGUUCGUGUGGGUCGCGCAUCUAUCCCCUUACCUCCAAAUCUCUUGGUCUCGGUCAUUUCCUUCAUUUCGGUUCUCACUUUUGCAAGUGUGAGGCCUUCUAUGUGCUUGUUCUCUGACUGGGCCAAAGAUUAGGAGUAGGGUCUAGCGAUGGGCUAUAUCGAUGUACGGGAGCAUCCUGGAGGUGACCGACACACUGAUGUCGGGAGGAGUCCGAUUAUUGAAGACCUGUAUAGCCCGGAGCUAGGUUUCAUGGAUAUUCGUGCGACCAGUGUGUUUUCUCUUAUGUUUUAGCUUCUUAGGGUUUUCGGAUGCACCCACACCAUUCACUGUGCACUCUAGUCGACUAUUGAGCGUUGAGAGUUUGAGAGGUUUCACCAUACGAACCCCCUGGGAUGUCGAGGAAGUGCAUGUGUGGAGGUGAUGACCACCUUGCAUGGAAGCGCCCCGUCUCUUCAGAGGCAUGCAGAGGGUUGCGUACCAAUGGAGGGUACGAUCGCUUCUGCUAGGGAUCUUUAAAAUCCACCCAUAUCCAUUUAGAGCCACCUUGACCUUGUAGGUUGAGCCAUAGAUCCUCCGAUUAGGACUCCCUCCCUACACGUGGGUGCGUCUGAAGGCCUUCAGAGACUCUUUAGUUACAGUUCAGACUAUCAUUCAUUUCAUACUUUUCCUAUACCGUAUCCUCAUUCUGCUUCUCAUCUCAUCAGGAUCGGAUUUCGUUCGCAGUCUGGAUACACCUUCUAGGGUCAGAGUUGAGGGGAGAUUAGUCCAGUAUUCAGAGAGACAGAGUAGGGAUCAACAGGUUGUUACUAUGGAUCAGUUCACGGCCGCCAUGGCUUCUAUCUAGGAGGCUUUGGCUAGCCUCAGGCAGGAGAUCAGUGAUCAGCAGGGUAGACCACCAGCAGUUCAGGAUGAGACACCGUAUGACUCACGUCCACGUCCACCACCCCCACCCGUUCCUUCAGUGCCUUAGGCAUCGCCAUAUGUAUUACACGGGCAUUCUGAGGUCUCUCCGCCCGCUGUUGUCCAGACCGCUGUCGCUGAUGACACGUAUGCGCGCAUGGACCGCAUCGAGCAGCGCAUGAGGCAGCUGAGGGUGUCUGAUGGGUCUGCUGUUUGGGAUGAUUUGGAGGGUAUGCCGGUAGCCAGCUUGCCGGCUAAGUUCAGGAUGCCAAAUAUUGAGAGGUACAUUGGUAUCGGUUGUCCACUCAUCCAUCUCCGACUGUAUAGCACCGUGAUGAGGGCUCAUGGACUGGACGAGUCUUAGAUGAUUACUCUAUUCCCACUAUCUGUGAGUGAGGCGGCUCAGCGCUGGUUCGCGUCUCUGGAGUCUUCGAGACACCGUACAUAGAACGACUUGGCCCAGGAGUUCCUACGACAGUUUUCGUUUAACACUAUCGUAGAUGUAUCUAGGAGGGAGCUUGAGGCUCUAAGACAGAGGGCAGAGGAGUCUAUUUCUUCAUUCAUCUCCUGCUGGCGUAGGAAGAUAGCCGAAAUAGUGGAUAGACAGUCAGAGAGAGAUUAGAUUCGGAUGGUUUUGAGGAGCCUACAGCCGAGGAUCGCCAGAUAUGUGGUCGGGGUCCCGUUCACAGAUUUUGGGUCUCUGGUUAUGGCGUUGUAUGAUGUCGAGGACGACAUCUCGAGAGGUUUAUGGGUAGACUCUUCCCCUAGUGAUGUUAAGGAGAAGAAACCAUUUGUAGGACAGAGGUCGAUAGAUGUUAGUGCUAUCAGUUCAUCCAGUCAGAGGCCCCUUAGGCGUCAUCAGCCAAUCCCACAGCUCCUCGAGACUCAUUCAUCUUACACACCUCAGCAGUUCAGGCCACGGGCACCUCGCCCGACUUAUGAUCAGACAUACCAGCCUCAGACACUAGCUCUGCCUUACUAUGCCACUCAAGGCAUCGAGAUGCCUCCUGUUUCUUAUACAGCCACGGGACAGCCAUGCUAUGCUGCACAGUUCACUCCGAGGCCCGCACCUCAUAUCCUAGGCCUCGAGCUCAGCAGACCUCUGCUCCCUUUGUGAUGAGGACGCAGAGGCAGUUCUCACAAAUAGGCAUGCCAUUGAGCCAGGCUCUUCGGAAGCUCACAGAGGCCGGUUUAUUGACUGCACUCACUCCGAGACCACCUCCUCAGCCUCUCCCUCCUCAGUUCAGGAUGGAUCUACAUUGCGCCUAUCAUCAGGGGUCAGGGCAUGAGACUGAUAGGUGUACCGCACUGAGGCACGUCAUCCAGGACUUGAUCGAUCAGGGUUUGGUUCACUUGGGUCAGCCGAGUGUAACCCAAAACCCAUUGCCGACCCACACUGCGCGUGCGGUUCCCCCUCCGAUCGAUAGCAUGCACUCCAUCGACUUCGCUGAGUUUGACGAUCACAUCCACAUGCUGAGUUGGGAUGAGCCGGAGCCAGAGCCUAUAGUGUUAGACGAGAUUCAUGAGAUAGACAUAGUGACUUUGGGUCCUUGGAUGUCCACACCAUUCAGGCUGACUCCUGAGGCGGCAUCAGUAUAGACGACCACUGUCGAGCCAUUGACUUUCCCACAUUACAGUGUUCGGACUCCGUUUGUCUUGAUUCCAGAUGUUGUUGAGUCUCAGACUCAGUAUGUUGAUGAUUCUCAGACUCUCGACAUUCAGUAUGUUCUCCGAGGAGGUAGAGUGAUGCGACAGCCACCUCCCGCGGCAGCUAGGCCAGUUGAGGGUACAUUCGCUCCCGAGGAAGUCAGAGCUGAGGACGAUGAGAUCUUGAGACAGCUGUAGAGCACUCAGGCUCAUAUUUCCAUUUGGAGCCUGUUGGCAUCCUCGAGCACUCACCGUGAUGCUCUGAUUCGAGCUUUGAGGCAGAUCCAGGUUGAGACUACCACCUCCCCCGAGGGGUUGAUUCAUAUGAUGACGGCCGGCAGAGCCACAUGCAUUGUAUUCUCCGAUGACGACCUACCACCGGAGGGCUCGGAUCACACGCGUCCACUCUACAUAUUUGUCGGUUGUUCAGGCCGCCGAGUCCCGUCUGUUCUUCUGGACAAUGGCUCGGCCCUGAACGUAUGUCCUCUAGCCACUGCCAUUGCCCUCGGAUACGCUCCUUCUGACUUCGGUCCCUCCACUCAGACCGUUCGCACAUAUGAUAGCACUUGGAGGGAGGUCAUGGGUACACUGGAGAUCGAGCUACUGAUUGGUCCGACCCCUUUUGUCGUCGUGUUUCAGGUUUUGAGGAUUCCUACAUCCUUUAACCUGCUUCUAGGCCGACCAUGGAUUCAUAGAGCCGGAGCCAUUCCUUCUUCCCUUCAUCACAAGGUGAAGUUUAUUCAUGAUGGCCGGGUCGUCGUGGUACAGUCUGUGGGUGAUAUGUUCAUCUCUGCCGAGCCUGUACUUGAGAUUAGUCACACUGAUGAUGAUCUGUUUCUGACUGGAUUUACCUUUGAUGAGGUGCAGACCCUUGAGAUGGAGGACUUUUGCCGAGACUUUGUAGCUAUGUCAUUUGACCAGCAUGGCAGCACAAUGGUGCUCGAUAUGAUGAGAGGCAUGUCCUAUCUGCCCGGCAUGGGUUUGGGUCGACGCUAGCACGGGCCUAGCGAGUUCAUGACCAUUCCCGAUCAUGACGUACCAUUCGGGCUUGGAUUCAUUCCCACUGAGGCCGACUAUCGUCAUAUGGCGUGGCUGCGUAGGGAGAGGGUGAGGGUUCGCUUGACUCAUACACCCUUUUAUUAUCCUGUUCGCCCAUACACCUUGAGUCUAGUCGAUUACUUCGUGAGGGCAUCGGAGCCACAUGCACCAUCUGAUGGGAUCAUCGGAGGACUCAGCACCACCCAGGAGGCCGAGCUUCAGCGCCUCAUCCAGCAGUUACAGUUGAGUGACGAAGCCCCUGGCCCUUCGACUUCUGCGUUGAUCGCUCCUCCCUCCCCAGAUCGCACGAGCCUCAUGACGCUUUGCUUCCCGGAUGAGAUCGAUGAGCACGGGGCUUUUGCCGAGAUCUGAGACAUAGUGGACGGAGUCGUGCCACAUGACGAGUACGUUGAUGAGAUGCUCGCGAUGAGCUUGAGCCAGAUUGAGGAGACAGCCCCGCCCGAGCUCGCUUCACCAUUUGAUCUCUUCGGGGUGUCCGUCCUCGAGAUCACCGAGGAGAUCCAGGUCGCCCCCACUCCAGAGGUCGCCGAGGAUGUUAUAGUUGCUGUUGGUUUGUUUGAUGGCCCUGUUGGCCUAGUUGAGGGAGCGUCCGAUCUUGUUGACCCACCUCUUUCCUUUGAUGUUUUAUUGGGAUUUGUCUCCCGUCAUGACUAUGUUUCUGACUUUUCAUCUAUGGAUUUGAGCAUCUUUGAGUAUUUGCUUGUCUUUCAUGUUAUUGAUUUAUCGGCACCAUCUUCACCCACAUCACAUAUUUUUGACAUUGAUGAUGAGAUUGCACAGUACGAUUCAGAUGAUGACUCAUCUUCCGCUACCGAUUCGGAUCCCGUUGAUCAGAGGGUUUCGCCUGCUGUAGGGGACACAGAGAUUGUUGAUUUCGGCACCGCAGAUCAGCCUAGGGAGUUGAGGAUCGGGUCAGAUCUAUCUAUAGAUGAGAGGGACAGCCUCAUCCAGUUGCUCAAAGCAUACUUGGACGUUUUCGCAUGGUCCUAUGAGGACAUGCCAGGCCUUGAUCCAUCUAUCGUCCAGCAUCGUUUGCCACUUCUGUCCUAUGCCAGGCCGGUUAAGCAGAAGUUGAGACGAUUGCAUCCUCGUUGGAGCCUGCAGGUCAAGGAGGAGAUUCAGAAGUAGCUUAGUGUAGGAUUCUUAUCAGUGGUCGAGUACCCGGAGUGGUUGGCCAAUGUCGUCCCUGUUCCCAAAAAGGACGGCAAGGUGAGAGUCUGUGUUGAUUUUCGAGAUCUCAACAAGGCCAGUCCUAAGGAUGAUUUUCCUCUUCCACACAUCGACAUGCUAGUUGACAGUACGGCAGGUCAUUCGAUGUUGUCCUUUAUGGACGAAUUUUUUGGGUACAGUCAGAUCUUGAUGGCUCUAGAGGACAUGGAGAAGACGUCUUUCAUUACCGAGUGGGGCACUUAUUGCUAUAGAGUCAUGCCUUUCGGAUUGAAGAAUGUAGGAGCCACCUAUCAGAGAGCAGCGACCACCCUCUUCCAUGACAUGAUGCAUCGGGAUGUCGAAGUUUAUGUAGACGACAUGAUAGUGAAAUCCCGAGGUAGAUCAGAUCACUUAGCAGCCUUGGAGAGGUUCUUUGAGAGGAUCCGACAGUUCAGGUUGAGACUGAAUCCCAAGAAGUGCACUUUUGGAGUGACUUCUGGGAAACUCUUGGGAUAUAUGGUCAAUGAGCGAGGCAUAGAGGUAGAUCCGGACAAGAUUAGAGCCAUCCUUGACAUACCUGCAUCGAGGACAGAGAGAGAGGUCAGAGGCUUCCUAGGCAGACUUCAGUACAUCAGCAGAUUCAUUGCCAGACUGACAGACAUUUGUGAGCCCAUUUUCCGACUCUCGAGGAAGAGUCAACCUACUGUUUGGGAUGAUCAGUGUCAGCAUGCAUUUAAGAGGAUCAGAGAGUACUUGUUAUCACCCCCAGUCUUGGCACCUCCUAUACCCGGCCGUCCUUUACUCCUAUACAUAUCAGUCUCAGACGUAGCAUUGGGAUGCAUGUUAGCUCAGCUCGAUGAUUCGAGCAAGGACCGAGCCAUUUACUAUCUAAGUAAGAGGAUGCUAGACUAUGAGAUGAGAUAUGUCAUAGUUGAGCGCUAUUGCUUGGCAUUGGUUUGGGCCACUCGCCGAUUGAGACAUUACAUGACAGAGUAUUCAGUGCAUUUGAUAUCCCGAUUAGAUCCUUUGAGAUAUUUGUUUGAUAGACCUGCUCUGGUAGGUCGCCUCAUGAGAUGGCUGGUACUUCUGACUGAGUUUGACAUCCAUUAUGUCACUCAGAAGUCCAUCAGAGGGAGCAUUGUCGCAGAUCACCUCGCCUCAUUACCAGUUUCUAAUGCCAGAGCCAUUGAUGAUGGCUUCCCAGACGAGGAUGUCGCUGCUGUGACUAGUUUGUCGGGUUGGCGCAUGUACUUUGAUGGUGCAGCCAACCAUUCUGGAUACGGGAUAGGCGUCUUGUUGAUAUCCCCUCAUGGUGAUCACAUUCCCAGAUCUGUUCGUUUGGCAUUCUCGGAUCGACAUCCGGCCACGAACAACAUUGUUGAGUAUGAGGCUUGUAUCUUAAGAUUAGAGACAGCCCUUGAGCUCGGGAUUAGACAGAUGGAGGUGCUUGGUGACUCCAAUCUGGUAUUGAGACAGAUUCAGGGCGAGUGGAAGACUAGAGAUGCGAAGCUCAAGCCUUAUCACGCAUAUUUGGAGCUACUGGUUGGGAGAUUUGAUGAUUUGAGAUAUACCCAUCUGCCUAGAGCGUAGAACCAGUUUGCCGAUGCUUUAGCUACUCUAGCUUCCAUGAUUGAUGUUCCUACUGAUGCCACUGUUCGCCCAUUGUUGAUCAAGUCGAGGUCUGCUCCUGCAUAUUGUUAUCUGAUUGAUGAUACAGAGAUAGACGAUGAUCUGCCAUGGUACCAUGACAUUUAUCACUUCCUGAGACUUGGCGUAUAUCCUGAGGCCGCCACGGCCAAGGAUACGAGAGCAUUGAGACAGUUGGCCACCCGAUUCGUGAUCUGUGGUGAGACACUGUAUAGACGAUCACUUGAUGGGAUGUUGCUAUUAUGUUUGGACCGCGCCUCUGCCGUUCGAGUGAUGAGAGAGGUUCAUGCGGGAGUCUGCGGACCACAUAUGGGAGGACAUAUGUUGGCCCGUAAGAUCAUGAGGACUGGCUAUUUCUGGUUGACCAUGGAGAUAGAUUGUUGCCAGUUUGUUCAGAGAUGUCCCGAGUGUCAGAUACAUGGAGAUCUCAUUCACGUGUCGCCCUCAGAGUUGCAUGCAUUGAUGUCACCAUGGCCGUUUUCAGUGUGGGGUAUCGAUAUCAUCGGGAAGAUUUCGUCGAAAUCUUCCAAUGGUCAUGAGUUUAUCCUUGUAGCUAUCGAUUACUUCACCAAGUGGGUGGAGGCCGCCUCAUAUGCGAGAUUGACAUCAGCUGGAGUUGCUAGUUUCAUCAGAUCACACAUUAUUUGUCUCUACGAAGUCCCGCAUGAGUUGAUUUCGGAUAGAGGCGAACAUUUCAAAGCAGAUGUUGACGCCUUAGUGCAGAGAUGCAACAUCCGACAUCAUAGAUCGUCUGCGUAUAGGCCGCAGACGAAUGGAGCGGUAGAGGUCACGAAUAAAAAUAUUAAGAGGAUAUUGCGGAGGAUGGUUGAGACUUCUCAGGAUUGGUCAGAGAAGCUCCCAUUUGCAUUGUGGGCUUAUCGGACUUCUUUUUGCACCUCUACAGGCGCCACACCCUACUCAUUGGUAUAUGGCAUGGAGGCGGUGCUCCCCGUUGAGAUUGAGAUGAGAUCAUUGAGAGUAGCACUAGAGCAGAAGAUUCCCGAGAUGGAUUGGGCUCAGGCUCGAUUUGAUCAGCUCAAUCUCCUAGAUGAGAGGAGAUUGAGGGCAGCGGACCAUGUUCGUGCAUACUAGAGGAAGAUGGCCCGCACUUUUAAAAAGCGGGUCAAGCCCAGACCAUUGCAUGUAGGUGACUUAGUCUUGAGAGUCAUCAGAGGAUUGAUCAGAGAUCCUGAGGGAAGUUCAGACCCAGUUGGAGCGGACCUUAUUUCAUCAGGGAGUUGACUCCAGAGGGUGCUGCAUGGCUGAUGGAUCUAGAUGGAAACCGAUUCUCAGAGCCGACCAAUGUAGAUCAGUUAAAGAGGUACUAUGUUUCAGACCAUGGUCGUAAGAUGGGUGGCCAUAAUUUCGGUUUAGCCAUACACCUUGUUAUUCCCCUUGACGUAUAAACCAUUGCUAGCCCAUUGAGCCUCACAUGCGCAUUAUAGCCUUUCUUUCUUAUCGCCUUGCUCACAUUUUCACACCGGGAUAGGGGCCCUUUAAUGUAUGCAUGCAUUGUUUGAGGGUCUCAUGAGCCUUGGACCUAGGAGCAUGUUUUUCUCAUUAUCUUUUCCUAUCACUGCACCUCUGCAUUUUCAUCUCAUCUUGUUGGUUGUGUUAUUUAUCUCUUCUUCCUUAUCCUAACUACUAUUUGUUUGUUUCAUAUUCUCUCCACCCUGAGUGGUGAGCCUCCUCAGUUCAUCACAUGGAGGAUAGUCACAUCAUUUCCACCAUCUAUCUCAUAGACACUGGUUUAGAGAUCCUUAGUUUGAGAAGGUCAUCUCGUCAGAGAGAGCUUUUUGGUUACCUUAGCAUUUGAGAGUGUGUCUAUUCAUUAUUGGUAUCAUCUUUGGGGUUCAUUUGUUUAUGUUCAGGGCAUGUGUAUUUGUAUAUAUGUAAAAAAAAAAAAAAAAAAAGAAUAAUGAGCAUGAUUACUACUCAAAAAGUGCUAUUUGAUAGCUUGUAAUUAAUCCUUUUAAACACUUUUGAGUAGUAGUUUUGGCCUUUUAACCCAAUUAACAUGUUAAGGACCCUUGGAAUCAAUUCUAAUUAAAUUAUGUUAAGUUUUGGUGUUUUGAUAGCCUUUUGAUCACCAAAGCAAUCCGAGAUUGAGGAGAGUUAUAUGGAAUCUUGGGCAAAGCAAUUGGAAGCUCAGAAACAUGAAGAACCAAAGCCUGGAAGUCCUUUGCCAUAAGUAAAUCCGGAAUGCAAGGAGAAGAAGUAAAGAGAAUCUGCCAUGAAGCAUAUUCUUGAUGACAGUCGUGGCUGCCACUUUUGGAGCACUUUUUGAAGUCCAAUUGAUGCAUGCUAUAUACCAUUUCAAAUCUUAGGAAGUCAACAAUCCAAUGCUUUAAACGGUGUACAAUUUGGAGUUGAAAUGAAAAAGUUACAGCCACUGCAAGUCAAUCAUUCUAAGCUGAAGAAAGCAUUUUGCAAAAGUGUUGCGAAAUCACCCUUUUGUUGCGAAGUGAUUUCGCAGCCUUUUUGAACAGUGUGGUGGAUUUCCUCCUGAAGUUGCCCGAUAUAUGCGACAAGUUGGAAGCUGAGAACCUCAAGAUGAAAGCCAACUUCGCAGCCCUGCGAGAAUACCCUUUUGUUGCGAAGUGAUUUCGCAGCCCUUUUUGAGUGUCUGCGAAAUCUCGCAGACAUCAGUUUCUCUUGCGAAAUGGUCCGUAGUGCUUCCCGAUGUUUGCUACCGACAUUGGGAGAUAUUUUCCAUUAGAUUUUUGUUGUCUAAAUCCCAAAAUACUCCUUGUAAGCCACCAAUUACAAGAUUCCUUAGCUUUUAAGUUAGUAAAAAGAGAAAAUAUCCAUGUAAUAAUUAGUUUUAUAUUAUGUUCAUAUAAAUACCUCUCGGGAGCCUGUUCUCGAGGGAGAGGAGACCUUUUGUAAAGUUUUGGAAAAACAAGUAAAGUUCAGGCCCUUUGUUUUACCUUACCUUCUCACUUUGUAUUUUUUAUUUCUUACUAAGUUAUGCACUCUCUGAGGAAUUUUCCCUAGAGAAUGAGUAACUAAACCUUUAGUUCCUUGGAGCUAAGGUUGCCGGGGAAGGUUCCAAUUGCAAGAAUGCAAAGCUUUGUGGUUUCAGCCAUGAAUGAAGAGGAAGUGAAAUCCUUUAGUGAUUUCUAUGAUUUUAGUUAACUUAAAACGCCUUGGAGUCACCUAGGCCAACACUUGGUAAGGCAAGUGAUCUUCAACCAAGGAGAUGCACUAGUUUACUCCUUGCGAGCCUCUGGGAGGUGACUUGAAGGUAGGAUUUUCUGGAAUUGCCAACACUUGGUAAGCUUUUGGACUCCAAGGAGACAUCCAUUAGUUAUCUCUUGCGAGCUUGAGAAGGGAAGUCCAAGGUUAAAGAUCACCUUGAAUGGUUAAGGCUUAGUGAGAGGCUUGAACCAUUGCACGUUGUAUCAGUGAGAAAAUUAAAGUUGAAAUCUAAUUAAAGGAUGUAUCUGUACAUCACCGGUUAGAGAAUUGACUAUAUGUUGAAUCUCUAACGCGAGGAAAUGAACCAUCUGACCGGAGCUAUGUCUUUUGCAUGAGGAACCACCCCAGUGAACCUGACUCUCCAAGGAAUGUUUUUCUUCCUAAGUUAUUCCCAUUACUUGUUUUGUUAGUUAGUUUAAAUCUAAAUCCUUACCAACCAAAGUUUGUGUUUUAUGUCUUAAGCUAACCUUGAAAUGAAACAAGACCAAUUCUCUUUGAAUUGGUAUCAUUGAUAACUUGCUAAUCCUUCCCAGUGAACGAUCCUAGAGCCGCUGUACUAUAGUAGCUUUUUCUUUGCUACCCUAGUAAAUGGUGUAAUAGGUUAUAAAUUUUGUUGAUUACUCCCUCAUCCAAGGAGCACUAGCUGGACGUGAAUCAGCUGAGACACCAAUUGGGCAUGAAUCAAAUGGCGCCGUUGCCGGGGAAGGUGUCAAGUUUAUAGUGAUACUAUUUCAGAGCACUUGUGAUUUUCAUCACAAGUUUGGUAACGUUUCUUUCAUUUUACUAAUUCUCAUUUUUUCUAAUCCAUAAUCCAAAUUUAUCUUUUAAAUUCAGCUUAGUUUAAUUUUGUUCUUGUAGCCCUAUUUCCUUUUGUUGUCCUUUAUUUUCAUUUUAGUUAUAGAUAGAUACUAGUUGUGUAUGCCAAAGUGGAUACGAGACAGUGGAGGAAGGCUUGUUAAAUGUGAUACACCUCAUAACAAAGAAUUCGAAUUGAGCUUGAAUAUCAUGGAAGCUACACCUGAAGAUCAGCAUAGUCACCAAGGUCAUCAAGAUAAUCUCAAUGAAUUUAGAUCAAUGAGGGACCGCAUGCAUCCACCUCGUAUGAGUGCACCAUCAUGUAUAGUGCCCCCUACAGAGCAGCUAGUGAUCAGACCGUAUCUUGUUCCACUUCUACCAACUUUCCAUGGGAUGGAAAGUGAGAAUCCCUAUGCACACAUCAAGGAAUUUGAAGAUGUUUGUAAUACAUUCCAAGAGGGAGGAGCUUUAAUUGAUUUGAUGAGGCUUAAGUUAUUUCCUUUUACUUUAAAGGAUAAGGCCAAAAUUUGGCUUAAUUCUUUAAGGCCAAGGAGUAUCCGUUCUUGGACUGACUUACAAGCUGAAUUCCUUAAGAAAUUUUUUCCCACUCAUAGAACAAAUGGCUUGAAAAGGUAAAUUUCAAACUUCUCAGCUAAAGAGAAUGAGAAAUUCUAUGAGUGUUGGGAAAGAUAUAUGGAAGCUAUAAAUGCUUGCCCUCACCAUGGCUUUGAUACUUGGCUAUUGGUGAGCUAUUUUUAUGAUGGGAUGUCUUCCUCAAUGAAGCAACUCCUCGAGACAAUGUGUGGAGGAGAUUUCAUGAGCAAAAAUCCGGAGGAAGCUAUGGAUUUCUUGAGCUAUGUAGCUAAUGUUUCAAGGGGAUGGGAUGAACCAACCAAAGGAGAAGUGGGUAAGAUGAAAUCUCAACUGAGUGCUUUUAAUGCUAAGGCUGGCAUGUAUACCUUGAAAGAAGAUGAUGAUAUGAAAGCAAAAUUGGCAGCUGUGACAAGAAGAUUGGAGGAGCUGGAGCUGAAAAGAAUAUAUGAAGUGCAAGCUGUUGCUGAAGCACCAGUGCAAGUGAAGCUUUGUCCUAAUUGCCAAUCAUAUGAACAUUUGGUGGAGGAAUGCCCUGCAAUUUCAGCUGAAAGGGAAAUGUUUAGAGAUCAAGCAAAUGUUGUUGGACAAUUCAAGCCCAAUAACAAUGCGCCUUAUGGAAAUACUUACAACUCAAGUUGGAGGAAUCAUCCAAAUUUCUCAUGGAAGGCCAGAGCAACUCAGUACCAACAGCUGGAUCCACCAUCUCAACAAUCUUCAAGUCUUGAACAAGCAAUGGCUAAUCUCAGCAAGGUAGUGGGAGAUUUUGUUGGAAACCAAGAAGCCAUCAAUGCUCAAAUCAAUCAAAGAAUUGACAGAGUGGAGAGUACUUUGAAUAAAAGGAUGGAUGGAAUGCAAAAUGAUAUGUCCCAAAAGUUUGAUAAUCUCCAAUACUCAAUUUCAAGGCUUACAAAUUUGAACACACUCCAAGAAAAGGGAAGAUUUCCUUCUCAACCCCACCAAAACCCCAAGGGUAUCCAUGAAGUGGAAAGCCUUGAGGGGGAAUCAUCACAGAUGAAAGAUGUCAAAGCCUUGAUCACUCUAAGGAGUGGAAAAAAAAUUGAGAAGCCAACACCCAAGCCACAUGUUGAGAAAGAAGAAGAGAUAAAGAAAGGGGAUGGAAUGGAAGACAAAGAGAGUGAGAUCAGUGAAAAGAAGAAGGACUCUGAUUCAACAAUGAAUGCAAUUCUAGAGAAGGAACUUCUGAAGGAAGAAAUGCUGAAGAAGUCAACUUCUCUUCCUUUUCCUCAAGCAUUGCAUGGGAAAAAAGGGAUUAGAAAUGCAUCUGAAAUCCUUGAGGUAUUGAGACAAGUGAAAGUCAAUAUCCCAUUGCUGGAUAUGAUUAAACAAGUUCCAACAUAUGCAAAGUUCCUAAAGGACUUAUGUACUAUUAAAAGAGGGUUGACUGUAAAUAAGAAAGCCUUCUUGACUAAGCAAGUAAGUGCAAUCUUACAAUGUAAAUCUCCAUUGAAGUACAAAGAUCCGGGAAGUCCUACCAUUUCAGUCAUGAUUGGAGGAAAGGUAGUGGAGAAAGCUUUGUUAGACUUGGGAGCAAGUGUGAAUUUGCUUCCAUACUCGGUCUACAAGCAAUUGGGACUUGGUGAGUUGAAGCCAACGACAAUCACUCUAUCUCUAGCAGAUAGAUCAGUGAAAAUUCCAAGGGGGGUAAUUGAGGAUGUCUUGGUUCAAGUUGAUAAUUUCUACUAUCCGGUAGAUUUUAUUGUUCUUGAUACAAAUCCUACUGUAAAGGAAGCUAAUUUAGUUCCUAUCAUCCUUGGAAGGCCAUUCCUUGCUACUUCAAAUGCUAUCAUCAACUGCAGGAAUGGGCUGAUGCAACUCACUUUUGGCAACAUGACACUUGAUCUCAAUAUUUUCUAUAUGUCUAAAAAGCAAACCACUCCGGAAGAAGAAGAGGGUCCAGAAGAGCUGUGCAUUAUUGACACUCUGGUGGAGGAGCACUGUAAUCAAAAUAUGCAAGAAAAGUUGAAUGAAAGUCUUGCGGAUUUUGAGGAAGGUUUGUCUGAACCCCCUAAUGUGCUUGCUACUCUACAAAGUUGGAGAAGGAUAAAAGAGAUUCUACCUUUGUUCAAUAAAGAAGAAGAGGCAGCUGCUGAAAAAGAAACUCCAAAACUCAAUCUGAAGCCUCUACCCGUGGAGCUGAAAUAUACAUACCUUGAAGAAAACAAUCAAUGUCCUGUUGUGAUAUCUUCAUCUCUGACCAGUCAUCAAGAGAAUUGUUUAAUGGAAGUUCUCAAGAGGUGUAAGAAGGCAAUAGGAUGGCAAAUAUCCGACUUGAAAGACAUUAGUCCUUUAGUUUGUACUCAUCAUAUAUAUAUGGAGGAGGAAGCAAAGCCAAUUCGUCAACUUCAAAGAAGAUUGAAUCCUCAUUUACAAGAGGUGGUGCGAGCUGAGGUGCUGAAGCUACUUCAAGCAGGUAUUAUUUACCCUAUAUCUGAUAGCCCUUGGGUAAGUCCUACUCAAGUGGUACCAAAGAAGUCAGGGAUUACUGUGGUUCAGAAUGAAAAAAGGGAAGAGAUUACUACACGCCUUACUUCAGGUUGGAGGGUGUGUAUUGAUUAUAGAAAGUUGAAUGCUGUAACCAGGAAAGAUCAUUUUCCAUUGCCAUUUAUUGACCAAGUGCUGGAGAGAGUCUCUAGACAUCCGUUCUAUUGUUUCUUGGACGGGUAUUCAGGGUAUUUUCAGAUUGAAAUUGAUGUGGCAGAUCAGGAAAAAACCACCUUUACAUGUCCAUUUGGAACAUAUGCUUACAGAAGAAUGCCUUUUGGUUUAUGCAAUGCACCUGCAACAUUUCAAAGAUGUAUGUUGAGUAUUUUCAGUGAUAUGGUGGAGCGAAUUAUGGAGGUUUUCAUGGAUGAUAUCACCGUAUAUGGAGGUACAUUUGAGGAAUGCUUAGUCAAUUUGGAAGCGGUUCUUCACAGAUGCAUUGAAAAAGACCUGGUGCUCAACUGGGAGAAAUGCCAUUUUAUGGUACGUCAAGGAAUUGUCCUUGGCCAUAUCAUCUCCAAAAAAGGCAUUGAAGUUGAUAAAGCAAAGGUGGAUCUUAUUGUCAAAUUGCCAUCCCCAACAACUGUAAAAGGAGUAAGGCAGUUCCUUGGCCAUGCAGGUUUCUAUAGGAGGUUUAUAAAAGGUUUUUCAAGUCUUUCAAAACCUCUUUGUGAGCUGUUAGCUAAGGAUGCUAAGUUUAUAUGGGAUGAAAGAUGUCAAAAUACCUUUGAUCAACUGAAGAAAUUUUUAACAACAACUCCAAUAGUGAGGGCCCCUAAUUGGCAAUUACCCUUUGAACUGAUGUGUGAUGCCAGUGACUUUGCUAUAGGAGCUGUGCUUGGCCAAAGAGAUGAUGGGAAGCCCUAUGUGAUCUACUAUGCAAGCAAAACACUGAAUGAAGCUCAAAGGAACUAUACAAUUACAGAGAAAGAAUUGUUAGCUGUGGUAUUUGCCUUGGACAAAUUUCGUGCUUAUUUGGUAGGAUCUUUCAUCAUUGUCUUCACUGACCAUUCAGCCUUGAAGUAUUUAUUGACAAAGCAAGAUGCAAAAGCAAGGUUGAUUAGAUGGAUUCUUUUGUUACAAGAAUUCGAUCUUUAAAUCAAAGAGAAGAAAGAAGUGGAGAAUGUGGUAGCUGACCACCUUUCAAGGUUAGUUAUAACACAUAAUUCCCAUCCCUUGCCUAUUAAUGAUGAUUUUCCUGAAGAAUCACUCAUGUUCCUAGUGAAAACUCCUUGGUAUGCUCAUAUUGCUAAUUAUUUAGUUACUGGUGAAAUUCCAAGUGAGUGGAAUGCACAGGACAGGAAACAUUUCUUUGCCAAAAUUCAUGCUUAUUAUUGGGAGGAGUCCUUUCUUUUUAAGUAUUGUGCAGAUCAGAUUAUAAGAAAGUGUGUCCCUGAAGAUGAGCAACAAGGGAUUCUAAACCAUUGUCAUGAGAAUGCAUGUGGAGGCCACUUUGCCUCUCAGAAAACAGCCAUGAAGGUAUUGCAAUCAGGGUUUACUUGGCCAUCUCUUUUCAAAGAUGCCCACAUCAUGUGUAGGAGUUGUGAUAGAUGCCAAAGGCUUGGAAAGCUAACAAAAAGAAAUCAAAUGCCUAUGAACCCCAUUCUAAUAGUUGAGCUAUUUGAUGUAUGGGGCAUUGAUUUCAUGGGACCUUUCCCAAUGUCUUUUGGUAAUUCUUACAUUUUGGUGGGGGUGGAUUAUGUUUCUAAAUGGGUUGAGGCAAUCCCCUAUAAACACAAUGAUCACAGGGUGGUUCUCAAGUUUCUUAAAGAGAACAUUUUCUCAAGAUUUGGGGUGCCCAAAGCCAUCAUCAGUGAUGGAGGUGCUCAUUUUUGCAACAAACCUUUUGAAGCUCUGUUAUCCAGAUAUGGAGUAAAGCAUAAGGUAGCUACACCUUAUCAUCCUCAGACUUCUGGGCAAGUUGAGCUAGCUAACAGGGAAAUAAAGAACAUAUUGAUGAAAGUGGUGAAUGCAAGUAGAAAAGAUUGGUCUAUUAGGCUUCAUGAUUCAUUGUGGGCAUAUAGAACAGCUUAUAAGACUAUUCUUGGCAUGUCUCCCUAUCGUCUUGUCUAUGGCAAAGCAUGUCAUCUCCCUGUGGAAGUUGAAUACAAAGUUUGGUGGGCAAUAAAGAAGCUGAACAUGGACUUGAUCAGAGCCGGAGCAAAGAGAUAUCUAGACCUUAAUGAGAUGGAGGAAUUAAGAAAUGAUGCUUAUAUCAAUUCCAAAGUUGCAAAACAGAGGAUGAAGAAGUGGCAUGAUCAAUUAAUUUCCAACAAAGAAUUUCAGAAAGGGCAAAAAGUUUUACUGUAUGACACAAGACUCCAUAUCUUUCUUGGAAAGCUCAAGUCAAGGUGGAUAGGGCCGUUCAUUAUUCACCAGGUUUACGUCAAUGGAGUGGUGGAAUUAUUGAAUUCAAAUGGCAAGGACACCUUUAAAGUCAAUGGAUAUCGUCUCAAGCCAUUCAUGGAGCCAUUCAAACAAAAAAAUGAGGAAAUCAGCCUCCUUGAGCCAUAAAAAGCCUAAGCAAAGAAGGGUUUGGUGGACGUGGUUUUACCACAGUCCAAAAUUUUUUGUAAAUUUUGUAAAUUUCAAAGUUUUUUUCCAUACUUUUGAUCUUAGUUUUUGAUCUUAAAUCAUGUUUUUAUGUGUGUUGUAAUCUUUUUGAAUGAUCCCAGGUGGAAGAAAAUGCAAAGAAAUUCAAAGGAAGAAAUCAGAGCGAAAUCGGACCAAAAACAGAGUGCAAACAGAGCAAAAACAGGGGUCUGCGAGAUUUCGUAACCUCUGCGAAAUUAGCACUUCGCUGCGAAACCAUUUCGCAACCUAAAAGAAGCCGCAGCGGAAUCGACGUUUCUCUAUGAAAGCGGCCAUCCUUUGCGAAAUCAUUUCGCAGAUCCAUUUUCUCCUCUGCGAAAAUUUUCGAAGCUACGAAGCCAAGUUUGGCACACGAGUGCCACUUCGCAACACAGGAGCCCUCAAUUCGCAGCUGCGAAACGGCUGCGAAGCGAUAAAGCGUAAAAAUCCCUGAUUUCGCAACCAAAGUUCCAUCCCACAGGGUAUUUCGCAAUUGCGAAAGCGAUUUUGGCACACGUGUACCACUUUGCAGCACAGUGACACUCAAUUCGCAGCUGCGAAAUAGAUUGCGAAGUGGCUGCGAAAAUGACUUUUUGCUGCGAAAUUGGCCUUUUUCUGCGAAACUCAAAAUGACCCUUAAUAUUCCGUUAUUUUUAUAUAUACCGGUCAUUUGAGCUACGAAAGGGUUUCAAAAAGAGAGCGCGCCAUACUUGCAGACUGUUCAUCUCCUUGCUAAAGCCCGAUGCCGCACAAACCUCCGUUCAUCUUCUCCGGUCGACACUUCCGGCCAAAUUUCGGCAACCCAAAAUGGCGCGAACCAGAGGGGCCAAGUCUUCCUCUCCUUCAAGCCGCAAGAAAGUCCCGCGAGAGGAGCCCGUUCCAGGUCCCAUUUCUGAGCCUCAGCGGCCAAAAGCAGUUUCUCCUCCGGUGAAGCCCGCGCCGCCAAAGCCUCUGGUGAGGCGUUAUCUCACCAGGUCAGGGGGUCGGCCACUGCAAAAGAGAGACAGGGUUGAAAGCACAGAACCCAUUGAUUUAACGAAGCAGUCCCCAGAACCCUCGCCGGUUCUCUCGCCAGUUUCGUCUCCGGUGCCGCCAGCAGAGCCUUAGGAGCCUCAAUCGCCACUUCCCGAGCCCCAAAUUCUAGCUGAAAUAGCUCCAGAAGAAAUAAUCAGGAGGCCAAUGCUGACUCAGCCUCCAAUUGAGGGGAAUUUGGACUGUAGAGCUCGACCAUUCCACUCUGAGCUGUGAUUUGACAUAGCUACAUUCCAAUUGCGGCCGGAGCUUGCAUAGUCAUUCCACCUGCUGCGAAGAUACCAUAUGGAGCACCUGCUGACUCCAAGAGACUUUUUCUACCCCAGAGUAGCCAUGGAUUUUUAUCAGUCCAUGACUACCAAACAGGUCAGGGAUCCUACUUUAAUUCAUUUUACCAUUGAUGGGAGGCAUGGCAUAUUGGGAGCUCGCCAUAUAGCUGAGGCCUUACAAAUACCAUAUGAGCCAACUCAUUUUGAGGAUUUUAGAGUGUGGACCAGUCCCACUGAGCUGGAAAUGGUGCAUAUCCUGUCCAGAGGAGGUUCCACAUGACCACAUCUGUUGAGGGGGGAGCUUCCUCCAAGCAUGUUUCUUAUUGAUGCAUUUCUCCGUCAUAACCUCUACCCACUGCAACAUUGGACUCAAAGGAGAGGAGUCCUGUUAGAAGGCCUAUUCAAGAUGUAUGAGGGAUAUUUCUUCGGCCCUCACCAUCUAAUUAUGGUAGCCUUUCUCUAUUUCGAAGAGAAGGUACAUAAAAAGAAGUUGCAGAGAGCUGAUGCCAUUCCUCUUCUCUUUCCAAGGCUGCUGUGCCAAAUUCUAGAGCACCUGGGGUAUCCAUCAGAGCCUUAGUUGGAGCGCAAGCGCAUUUGCCGAGAGGUAUUUACUCUCGACAAAUGGAACAACAUGACAGCCUAUAGAGUUGACCAGCCAGAGCGCGAACACCCAGCUGCUAGGAGAGCAUCCCCACGACACAUACCUAAGGGUAUACCUAUUGCUGCUCCUGCCAUUCCCAGAGCUCCACCAGUUACUCCAGCUUCAUCUUAGCCAUCCACUUCAGCUGAACCAAGGAUGGCCAUUCCCAUUUCUGAAUACAGAGAGUUAUGUCGUUCAUUGGAGACCCUCACAGCAUCACAGAGCAGCCUUGCUCAUGAGAUGGCAGCCAUUCGAGCAUGCCAAGAGCAGAUGUUGGCCACCCAGGCUCAGUACACUACCAUCUUAAGGCAGCUCCAGCAUCAUUUUGAUCUGCCACGAGCUGCUGAGCCCUCUACCUCUACCACAGCAGUGCCACACUCUCAUCCCACAGAGCCUCAGGCCCCAUCUAGAGCAGCUACUGAAGAGGCAGACCCGUCUGCCUAGCCCCAGCACCACCCACUCAUCAGAUCAAUAUAUAUAUAUACUGCCUAUGUUUUUUUUUUUUUUUUAUGUAUUUCGUUUUUUAGUUUGUAAGAAAUCUCAUUAUUUUGGUACCAUAUUUGGGAUUUCUUGUAUUGCCUUUCUUUUUCAUUGUACUCAAAUGGAUUCAAAGCAAUACAAGUUUAAUAUUUUUUUUUUGUUAACCUUUAGCAUCAAUUUAUUCUUAUUUCCUUUUCUCACAUCUUUUAUUCUUUUUGAAACAUGUGGUUUCUCCAAUCAGUAUUCGAAAUUGAUAUCAUUCAGGAGGUACCACUUCCUCCCUUUAAUUGCAAUCACUCAUAUCACAUUGAGGACAAUGCUCAGUUCGGUUGGGGGGGGGGGGGGGGGAAUGAGGAAGGAAGUAUGCUAAGUCAUUAUGGUAAUACAAUUAUAUUGGUAAAUCAGUUGUAGUUUUUGCUUUUUACUCUUUUUAUUCUAUUCUCCAUGGAUUUUGAGGAAAAAUUUUCAAAUUAAAAUAGGAGAAAUUGAACUGUUGCUUUUCACUUGACUUAGAGUAUGGAUUAUGCUUACUAAAGUGGUUCAAUUGUUGAAGCUUCUAUUGAAAUCAAAUUUAAUUCUUCCACUUUAAGCUAUUCACACACUGUGCACAAUAGAUUCCGAUUAUAAGAUGAAAAGCUAUUUCCCUCUUGACUUAGAAUAAUUUUGGGACUUGGUACAUUUGACCUUAUUUAAUAAUAUUGAGACACCUUAUGAAAGGCCAAUGAGCCUUUGAAAUAAAGAAAGAAAGUUGUUUUCUUGACUUGAAACCCGAGUAAGGUCUGAGGGGUAUAUGGUGAAAAUCUUUAAAGCCUGGUGCCCUAAGCCUUAAUUGGUUGGGAGUCACCGACCUCAAUGCUCGUUACAAGGGUGAAUAGGUAGAGUUAGCAUAUGGUAGGUGCUUGGGUAUUAGAAAUUCAUUCUCAAAAGUCCGGGGAAAAAUCCGAGGAGUUAGUGGUUGAAAUAUCCUUAAAGCUUGAUGCCCUAAACCUUAAUUGGUUGGGAGUCAUCGAUGGACCCCCAUUACAUGGACAAUUUAGAAAGAGUACCCCAUUAAGCCUCCUUAAAAAAAAAAAAAAAAAGUGUGUUCUUUUCUUAUUGAUUUUGGUCAGUUUGCUAAGUGUUGAAAAGAGAUAGGUUGGGGGGAGAGAUUAGUUUAGCAUAUUAUUUUCGGAAGCUAAGGAACCAAUACACAUAGAUUUUUGAGGAAGAAUAAAGUUUGGUUCUUUGAAAGUGGAAAUGAUUUUAAAACUUCAGUUUGCAUAAUGCAUUCCCUUGAUUGACAGUGUUUAGCAUAGUUUGUUAUAACUCUUGUUGAAAUUUGGGUUUGUAUUUCUUCAAUGUUCCAUGUGGGAGUUAGAUCAUCAUGCCACUUAAAUAUAUAUAUAUAUUUUUUUUUUGAAGUAAUCAGCAUGAUGUUGUAAAUUAUAGUAAUGUUUAUUUUUAUUUUUUCUCCUUUAUUGUUAAGGGACUAGCAAUAUGUCGGUUGGGGGGAGUGAUUACUACUCAAAAAGUGCUAUUUGAUAGCUUGUAAUUAAUCCUUUUAAACACUUUUGAGUAUUAGUUUUGGCCUUUUAACCCAAUUAACAUGUUAAGGACCCUUGCAAUCAAUUCUAAUCAAAUUAUGUUAAGUUUUGGUGUUUUGAUAGCCUUUUGAUCACCAAAGCAAUCCGAGAUUGAGGAGAGUUAUAUGGAAUCUUGGGCAAAGCAAUUGGAAGCUCAGAAACAUGAAGAACCAAAGCCUGGAAGUCCUUUGCCAUAAGUAAAUCCGGAAUGCAAGUAGAAGAAGUAAAGAGAAUCUGCCAUGAAGUGAUUCUUGAUGACAGUCGUGGCAGCCACUUUUGGAGCACUUUCUGAAGUCCAAUUGAUGCAUGUUAUAUACCAUUUCAAAGCUCAGGAAGUCAACAAUCCAAUGCUUCAAACGGUGCACAAUUUGGAGUUGAAACGAAGAAGUUACAGCCACUGUAAGUCAAUCACUCUAAGCUAAAGAAAGCAUUUUGCAAAAGUGUUGCGAAAUCACCCUUUUGUUGCGAAGUGAUUUCGCAGCCUUUUUGAACAGUGUGGUGGAUUUCCUCCUGAAGUUGCCCGAUAUAUGCGACAAGUUGGAAGCUGAAAACCUUAAGAUGAAAGCCAACUUCGCAGCCCUGCGAGAAUACCCUUUUGUUGCGAAGUGAUUUCGCAGCCCUUUUUGAGUGUCUGCGAAAUCUCGCAGACAUCAGUUUCUCUUGCGAAAUGGUCCGUAGUGCUUCCCGAUGUUUGCUACCGACAUUAGGAGAUAUUUUCCAUCAGAUUUUUGUUGUCUAAAUCCCAAAAUACUCCUUGUAAGCCACCAAUUACAAGAUUCCUUAGCUUUUAAGUUAGUAAAAAGAGAAAAUAUCCAUGUAAUAAUUAGUUUUAUAUUAUGUUCAUAUAAAUACCUCUCGGGAGCCUGUUCUCGAGGGAGAGGAGACCUUUUGUAAAGUUUUGGAAAAGCAAGUAAAGUUCAGGCCCUUUGUUUUACCUUACCUUCUCACUUUGUAUUUUUUAUUUCUUACUAAGUUAUGCACUCUCUGAGGAAUUUUCCCCAGAGAAUGAGUAACUAAACCUUUAGUUCCUUGGAGCUAAGGUUGCCGGGGAAGGUUCCAAGUGCAAGAAUGCAAAGCUUUGUGGUUUCAGCCAUGAAUGAAGAGGAAGUGAAAUCCUUUAGUGAUUUCUAUGAUUUUAGUUAACUUAAAACGCCUUGGAGUCACCUGGGCCAACACUUGGUAAGGCAAGUGAUCUUCAACCAAGGAGAUGCACUAGUUUACCCCUUGCGAGCCUCUGGGAGGUGACUUAAAGGUAGGAUUUUCUGGAAUUGCCAACACUUGGUAAGCUUUUGGACUCCAAGGAGACAUCCAUUAGUUAUCUCUUGCGAGCUUGAGAAGGGAAGUCCAAGGUUAAAGAUCACCUUGAAUGGUUAAGGCUUAGUGAGAGACUUGAACCAUUGCACGUUGUAUCAGUGAGAAAAUUAAAGUUGAAAUCUAAUUAAAGGAUGUAUCUGUACAUCACCGGUUAGAGAAUUGACUAUAUGUUGAAUCUCUAACGCGAGGAAAUGAACCAUCUGACCGGAGCUAUGUCUUUUGCAUGAGGAACCACCCCAGUGAACCUGACUCUCCAAGGAAUGUUUUUCUUCCUAAGUUAUUCCCAUUACUUGUUUUGUUAGUUAGUUUAAAUCUAAAUCCUUACCAACCAAAGUUUGUGUUUUAUGUCUUAAGCUAACCUUGAAAUGAAACAAGACCAAUUCUCUUUGAAUUGGUAUCAUUGAUAACUUGCUAAUCCUUCCCAGUGAACGAUCCUAGAGCCGCUGUACUAUAGUAGCUUUUUCUUUGCUACCCUAGUAUAUGGUGUAAUAGGUUAUAAAUUUUGUUGAUUACUCCCUCAUCCAAGGAGCACCAGCUGGACGUGAAUCAGCUGAGACACCAAUUGGGCAUGAAUCAAAUGGCGCCGUUAUUGGGAGUUCGUAUGUGAGCUCUCUGAGAUCCCAUGUUAUUUGCAUUGCUUUGUCAUAUCUAUUUGUGAGAGAGAUGAGUGACCUUCUCCUAAGGACUCUGAGUCAUUGUCCUUUCCAUCAUUACAAUCAUUAUUGAUGUGACUUCACUUUAUGUUUGAUCUGAGUCGAUCACCACCUUUCUUCACAUAUUCAUUGUUUAGCUGUCAUUUUUAUUGUUGCUUGUGAUUCAUCUCAUUCACUUCACAUCUUAUUCUCUCCUUACAGCAACCCAUCUCGGGUUUGAUACUCACUUCGCGUCAUCAUUACACACAUUACUAUCAGUUCAUUUUGCUUCAUUUGUCUCCUUAUCGACAUCAUAUUCACGUUAGGCAUCCUCAGGUCCAUGGCUCAUGGGAUUCACUAUACAUGUUGCAUUUCAUAUAUGAGGGCAUGGUUUUCUAAUCAUCGGGUAUUUGGGCCUAGUUUCCUUUCAUUUCUAUUACCCUAUCGCCUUAGCCUACGUUACGUCCCGUGUCUUAAGACCACCCUGAGGCCAUGGGAUCAGAUGUCAUCUUUGACAGCCUCUAAUUGGACAGGUGUUUGAGAUCUGGUCGACAUUUAGAUAUUGUCAUGCUUCUUCUUCUGGGAGUCGCCUCUUUGAUGUGUAGGACCGAUUCAGUUGUGUUCGAAUUACUGGGAUCGUGAGUUUAACGAUGAUUGAUUUGGUGUCACCUGAUUUUUGACCUAUUGUACCUCUAGUGCCACACUAGGGCAUAUCCUAUUUCAUUUGGAGGUUUACGGAUCCUCACGGACUUGCACGAUCAUCAUCAUUUAUGAGAUGCUCACUGAGAUGUGGACGUGAUCGUUACCUUACGGAGCCUCUCGAGACCCAUCCAACUAGGUCCGCACUUCUUGACACUUGGAUGCCAUCAUGCUUCUCCAUCCGGGAGGUACAUCCUGGAUCUAUGUGCAUGAUUUCAGUUAUGGAUUUGGAUGACCAGUAUUACAUGUUCGACGAGAGAUGACUUCAUGUCAUUUUGUUCUUCGGACCUGUCGCGCACCUAAUGCCAUACUGGGGCAUAUUUCCGUUUUGGAUGAUAUUUACUGAUUUUCAUGGAGGUCACAUGUGCGACGAUAGAUGACUUCAUGUCAUUGUGUUCUUCGAACCUGUCGCGCACCUGAUGCCAUACUGGGGCAUAUUUCCGUUCGGAUGAGAUUUACAGAUCAGGAGGGAGUUGUGUGCUUAUCCUUAUUUGCGAGAUGUAUGCCGAGAUGAUGAUCUAUUCGCUGUCCUCACGAUCAUUCCUUAGUGGAGCCUAUUGAGAGCCAUCUAGCCAGGCCCGCGCUUUUAGAUGCUUAGAUGUCGUCAUGCUUCCUUCCGAGGGACGCCCCUUUGAUUUAUGGGUUUGAUUCAGUUGCAGGCAUAGAUGAUUUGAGCUCAUCUGAUUUUUUUUUUAGCAUGUUGCAUUCUUGAUGCCACACUGGGGCAUAUUCCCCAUUUCGAUCGAGAUGUGGAGAUCCCCCACUGAUUUGCAUGAUCAUCCCCAGUUAUGAGAUACACGUCAGGUUGAUGAUUCGAUUUCAUUUUGUGCUGAUACUCCGAGGAGCCUCUCUUGAGCCGUUCAGCUAGAUUCUUACUCUCUGAUAUAGUCGUGGUUCUUGGACGAAGUUAUGUCGAGUGCCUAGAUUCCCACAUCAUCAUUUUAGUGGGGUGCAUAUCAAGUCUUUUACGCAUAUCAGGAUAGAUCGGGUACAUCUGAUGCCAUACUGGGGCAUAUUGCCCUCAUUUAGCCUCGUGUUGAUUUCAUGGUUGUCAGACGCAUUCGUCGAUCUUUGCGAGUUAUCACCUAGAGCAUCCCCUUACCGUCAGUUUGUUUAGGGCGUUCCCCCUACUGUCAUUUUGUUUAGGGCAUCCCCCUAUUAUUUUCUGGUGUAGCAUUUAGAGUUAGCCUUUUGGUUUGGCUUCCAAAGCUGUUAUUUUCUCAGUGUAGCAUUUAGAGUUAGUUUUUUUAGUUUGGCUUCCAGAGCUAUUAUUUUCUCAGUUUAGCAUUUAGAGUUAGUUUUUUUGGUUUAGCUUCCAGAGCUAUUGUUCUCUCGGUUUAGCAUUCAGAAUUAACUUUUUGGUUUGGCUUCUAGAGCUAUUAUUUUCUAGUCUAGUGUUUAGAGUUAGCUUUUUGGUUUGGCUUCCAAAGCUAUUAUCUUCUCAGUUUGGUGUUUGGAGUCAGUCUCGUAAUUCAGAGUCAGUUUGUUUAGGGCAUCCCCCUAUUUUUAGCUUGUUUAGGGCAUCCCCCUAUUUUCAGCUUGUUUAGGGCAUCCCCCUAUUUUCAGUCUGUUUAGGGCAUCCCCCUACCUUCAGUUUGUUUAGGGCAUCCCCCUUUGUUUCGGUUUUUCACCACCAUAGAUCAGACAUCUAUGGGCAUUUCAGAUUAUCACUACCAUAGAUCAGAAAUCUAUGGGCAUUUCAGAUUAUCACCACCAUAGAUCAGACAUCUAUGGGCAUUUCAGAUUAUCACCACCAUAGAUUUUCAUCUAUGGGCAUUUCAGUCAUUUCACCACCAUAGAUUUUCAUCUAUGGGCAUUUCAGUCAUUUCACCACCAUGAAUUUUCAUCCUUAGGCUUUCAUAUUAUCACCACCAUGGAUUUUCAUCCUUGGGCUUUCAGAUUAUCACCACCAUGGAUUUUCAUCCUUGGGCUUUCAGUUAUCUCACCACCAUAGAUCAGACGUCUAUGGGCAUUUUUAUUGUAUCGCCACUGUAGGUCUUCACAUAUGGGCCUUCUAGUCUAGUGUUUAGAGUUAGCUUUUUGGUUUGGCUUCUAGAGCUAUUAUUUUCUCAGUUUAGCAUUUAGAGUUAGCUUUUUGGUUUGGCUUCCAGAGCUAUUAUUUUCUCAGUUUAGCAUUUAGAGUUAGCUUUUUGGUUUGGCUUCCAAAGCUAUUAUUUUCUCAGUUUAGCAUUUAGAGUUAGUUUUUUUUGUUUGGCUUCCAAAGCUAUUAUUCUUUCGGUUUAGCAUUUAGAAUUAGCUUUUUGGUUUGGCUUCCAGAGCUGUUAUUUUUCUUAGUUUAGCGUUUAGAGCCAGCCUUGUCGUUUAGAGUCACAGCUCCUGACGUUCAUAUUCACUGGCAUUGCACGUCUCCCCUUCAUGGAUUUGCACUUAUUCUCACUCUCCUCACCCCGUUACCCGGUGCUUAUCGUAUAUUUAUCACGUAGUCGCAUAGGGCAAUCUCCUUUGGACGCAUUCUUGUUCAUACUCCAGGGUGGUUCGACCGUUACUUAUUUUUGACAUCGAUUUUUGGGUCACUUUUGGAGAUAUCUUAGAGAGAGCCUGGAUCCUUAGUGUAGCUUCAGAGGCACUUGAGACAUCAUAUUUCUCUUUUAAGAUUAGAGCCUUUGUGUUCGUUUGUUGGCCUGAGCGACUUUGCGUUUCACCAUUGUCCCUAUGGGGGUCUCCUUGGUUCUUCAGUAGAGUUCACUUCAUUCCACUCACUAUUCACACUUGCUUUUCACUCCAGCAUUCAUAUUCCUUACACUCGUGAACUCUACCAAAGAGGGGCAUAUUUGUAGACCCCCAUUUAGGCAUGGGUCACUUUUUCUCUAUUUGUUUUUGCAGAUCGCAUUUUUAGCUAGGUGUCGCUAUCCCGACGGGCCACGUGUUGCAUCCUUAGUGGCCAUAAGGAAUCAACCUCGCUUUUUGAAGCUGAAGAAGGAGUGGGACAAAAAAGGUGGAUGCCGAAAAGGUGGCAAAAAAAAAAGGUGGCUGCAGAAGGAGUGGGACAAAAAAGGUGGCAGAAAAGGUGGCUGCAAAAGGAGUGGGACAGAAAAUGUGGCUGCAGCAGGGAUCGUUGGGAAGGCAAAUCCAGAGGGCUUAGGAGAUUUUCUCUGGGAGGUUUUCCAUGGCCAAGAGUGAGUAACGGAGGGGGGGGGAGGUUUUUCUGAACUAAGAGAGUAAGCUACGGAGGAGGGAUAGUGAGUCCUUGAUGGCAGAGAGAGAGACAUUUGAGGCGAGCUGCUUUACCUGAGGAGUCUUUGGAGAGAGAAACUCAUUGAGAGAGCUGAGACUUGAUUUCUUUGCUUGAAGAACCAGGUAUGUAAGCAGUUUUCUCCUCGUCUCUCAUUAUUCAUUGAUUUUCCAUAACAUAAUGCUGUUUUGGGUGGAUGUUGAAGGCCACUGAUCUGUUUGUUGAUAUGUAUGCUUGCAUUUGUGUAGAUUUGUCCAUCUUUUAAUUUGAUAUGCUCCCGUUGUGGUUAUGAAAUGCUUGAGAAUCAUGAGGGUGGUUGCAUUUGAUAUGGUUUACCCACAUGCUCAGAAGAUUCAUGGAUGAUUCAUGAAGUGGAUUUUAUGAUAUUUUCCUUUAUUUAUUCAUCUUCUUUCAUGCUCUGUUUCUCUACUUCCCUUGUUUCUUGAUAUCCGUCCAUGGUACGAGUCCAUUUUCUCACCCCCGCUCGAAAGAGAUCCUAGAAAAUCUGGAGUAGUUGUCAUGGCAGCAAAGCUCACCUCAUCAGCAUGCCCAUGCCCAUUUUCAUUUAUUAUUCAUCGUUUUAUCCAAUAUGCCUACGUCCCCAUCGUUCAUCUAUCCACCUCUCUCUCUAGGCCGUCAUACCCAUUUCCUCGCUCAAGCUUGCAGGAAUCAGGCAUCCUCCACUGCACUCAUUUUCCUCUCAUUCAUUCUCCAUCCCACUCCCCCGCUUACAUGGAGUCUCCCGGGUGCGUACUUUCCUUCACUCUUUUGCAUACCCAUUAAAACCACUCACCCAAGCCUCCAUAUCUAUACAACCCAUACCUAUCCUUCAUGCUAGUCAUAACAACGUUCUACCUUAUCCGGGUGUCUCACUCCCGGAUUCCUUCUGUGCCGCCAUUCCCCCAGGUGUCUCACUCCCGGAAUUCCUCUCCGCCGCCAUUUCAUCCGGGUGUCGCACUCCCGGAAUCCUUCUGCACCGCCAUUCCCUUGGGUGUCUCACUCCCGGAAUUCCUCUCCGCCGCCAUUUCAUCCGGGUGUCCCACUCCCGGAAUCCUUCUGCGCCACCAUUCCCCCGGGUGUCUCACUCCCGGAAUUCCUCUCCGCCGCCAUUCCAUCCUGGUGUAUCACACCCGGAAUUCCUCUCCGCCGACGUCCCACCUUUUCCUUCAUCCCUAGAGCAUUUUCUUUAGGUUCCAAAAUUACAUUUUUAAUAAAGCUUUGCUGCCGCUUUCAUUUCUAGCAAGCAAUUUUUCAUACUUCCUUUGUUUUUAAAAUGUUUUGAAAUAAGCAAGGAAUCAAAUUCUGUAAUUCCAAAUGAUGGAGUUUAUGGAAUUAUUUCAUGCAAAAAUGAAUCGGGCUUUGGUGGGGGCCCCACAUACUUGACUUCAUGAUUGAUUGACUGAUCGAUUGAUUUAUUUGCCAUGCAUGAUUGGUUUACUCUAUUCCUUGACAUGCGCUUAAUUAUACCUGUUCAUUGUUCACUAACCAUGUCUCGCGAUAGCGCAUUCAUGAUUGCCGCCCAGGUACGCAUUUAUUCAUAUUUUGCUCAUUCUCUAUACAUAUUCUGUGCCUCAUAUGUGCAUGAUAGUUCCAGGUAUUCAUUGAUUUCCUCAUCAAUUGUCAUGUCAGCUUCAUUUUAUUAGUAGAGACCCGACUUUAGGGGCUUAAAGGGGUGCUACGGUCUUUACCGUACCUUCCCGAUAAGUAACCUAACUCCCGAACCCGAACUGAUUUUUCGUAGACCAACCUUUUCCAAAACAAGGAGUCACACUUAGGGUUUUUCUUUCUUAUUUUGUUUACCCUUUAAAAAAAUAAAACAAAAAUAAGUGGCGACUCCAAGUCAGUUUCUUAAUCAAUAAAAAUCAUAGUUUUUCAAAAUCAAAAUCGAGCUCGCCAUUCGAGUGGGAAACGCAUUGAGCCGAAAUGCGGGGUCCACAAUAUCUAAUUUGACUAGAUUAAGAAGAAUGUGACCGUAGUAAUAAUAUAUGAAAAUUAUAAUGUAAAUAUGAAGAAUAUGAUUAAGAUAUGAAAAAUAUUAUUAGAGUAUGAAAAAUGUUACAAAAAUACUAAAAUAUGAAAAUAACAGCGGAAUUAAAAAUCAUGUGACCAUGAUAAAAAGAAAAUAUAACCAAAUAUUAAAUUAGAAAGGUGGUAUAUAAAAUACAAAAUAAAUAAAAUUAAUAAAAUAUUAUGUAAAUAUUUGUAGUCUCGAAAUGAUAAUAUAUUGUGUAAAAAACCUCAUCUAAAGCUUAUGAUGUAAAAAUAAUAAACAAUAAUAUUAUAGAUUAUUGUCUACAUCUUGUUGAGUCUUCCUUUGUCUUGUUUCCCUUUUCUAAUUAAGAAUUCUCUUCUGAAUUCAAGAGAUGUGCUUGAGCAGGUUUCUGACCAGAUUGACUGCUUCUUCCAUCACUUUCAUUUCAACCAAACUGGGCUUCCUAUGAAUUUUCUUGCAAGUUUCUCUAGUGCGCCUGCCUUUAUUGCAGAAAUUGCACCAAAGGCUAUCCAUCUCAUUUGGUUUUCUUCAACAAAUUUCUCACUAGUAGCAGCACUAUUUUUGCUUUGAAUUCACCAGAGUCGAGCCAUUUGAUGGUAUUAUUAAGCACAACACAACGAUUGUAGAAGGAAAAAGUUGAGUCAUUAGGGAUUUUGUUUGCAGAUAGAGUCUACAUUUGGUUCCUUUUUCAGGAAAAAGUAGUGUUGGGACGUCUAGAACUGGUCAAUUAUGGAUAAUCAGGUUAACAAUGUCAAGGAGGUCUUAGGUUUGUUUGGUCACCUUUAUUUCAGGUCAGUUGAGGAACAGGAAAGGAUUGAAGGUUGGAUUGUCCCUCAAUUCCGAUUGACCCUUUUAAGAUGAAGUAAUAAAGGAAACUGCUUUUAGUAUAAAAAGAAUAAGGCACCAAGUCCUGAUGAGUCCUCAAUUUCUUAUGAAAGAUCAGGCUAGUAAGAGUGACACUUUUAAGAGGAAAAGAAUAAAGCUCCAUCCCCUGAUGAGUUUUCAUUCAGUUUCUUUUAGAAAUGUCAGCUGACUAUGAGGGAGGACUUUCUGAAAUUGUUCUCCUUGUUCCAUAAUUAGUUGCUCCAUGCUACAUAGGUUGAAUAGUUUUUGGAAAAUUAGAAACAGUCUAUAAAUAUCUAACCAAGCUGCUGCUUCUUUAACCUUUUAUUAUUGAUGAAAACUGAAAAACUAUGUAGCUACCAUCCAAGUUACUCCAAACACUAUCCGAGCCAAGAUUUCUUAAGGAAAAAUCCUUUGCAAUGAGAUGAAACCAGAAAGUUCUGGAUAAUCACUUAGUAUAUUUCUUCUAGGAAAUCAUAAAAAAAUCCUUACAAUAAGUAGGUUCUUCUCCUUUAAUUUUAGCCUCAACUACUUUUUGAUGGUUUCCAAUAUACAAUUAGUAGCCUUUAUGUGUUCGUAUACUAUAGUUCUAGUAAAACUAAAAAAAUAAAAAAUAACUGACCUUUUGACUUCUAAUUUAAUAAAAACUUUUCCCAUGAUAACUAUUCAAACUUGCUAUCAAUUCUCUAUUAAGGACUCUAUCAUUCUCUCCUCCUUAGAAGAAACUCGUCCUCAAGUUUGGUGUUGUUGGAGACCUCUUUUACUUUCUCAUGAGUGUGAGAAUGUUGAAUAUAUUCCCAUAUGUUUUGACAAAUCAACUGCAUAAGCAUUCUUCCCAAUCUUCUUGAUGAUUCGGUGGGGUCCCAUCUUUCUUUUGCAUGUUGUGUUGACUGCUUAGCGGUCUUUGCAAUUAAAUUAGAAGAUCAGUAAGACCUCCUCAGGGAUUUGGCUAUAAUGAUAUGGUAGCUUACUCUCUGAGCAUAGGGGAAGAAUUGAGCUAUGCAGAACCUAAAAAUUAUUUGGAAGCCAUUUCUUGCAAAGAUUCUCCAAAGUGGAUGACUGCUAUGCAAGAGGAAUUUGAAUCACUGCUAAAAAAUGGAACCUAGAAGCUUGUUGAUAAGCCUAAAGGUUGUAAAGUAGUAUGAUGAAAGUGGGUGUUUAAGAAGAAAUUAGGAAUCCCUGGUAUAGAACCUGAAAGAUUUAAAGCAAGAUUAGUUGCCAAAGGUUAUACACAAGAAAAUGAGUGGAUUUUAAUGAAAAUUUCUCGCCUGUGGUAAAGCACACCACCAUUCGGGUAUUACUUGCUUUGGUGUCAUUGUGAAAUCUUGAACUUGAGCAAAUGGAUGUUAAGACGACAUUCUUACAUGAAGAAUUAGAAGAAGAAAUUUUUACGUAACAGCCAGAGGGUUUUAUAGUUAAGGGAAAAGAAAAUCAAGUUUGUUUGCUUAAUAAAUCGUUGUAUAGGCUAAAACAAUCCCCAAGGCAAUGGUAUAAAUGGUUUGACAAGUUCAUGACUAGUGUUGGAUACUCAAGGAGUAAGUUUGACAGCUGUGUAUAUAUGAGAAGGCUAAUAGAUGGGGGUUAUGUCUAUUUGUUAUUAUAUGAUGAUAUGUUAUUGGUGAGCAAUAGCAUAACGGAGAUAACUCAUUUGAAGACAACUACAAUAUGAAUUUGAGAUGAAGGAUCUUGGAUGUACCAAGAAGAUUUUGGGGAUGGAGCUAUAUAGGGAUGGAUCUAUUGGUAUUUUGACAAUCUCCCAAAGAGAUUAUAUUGAGAGAGUGUUGAACACAUUUAACAUAGGUGCUGCAAAGGUUGUUGAUACACCAAUUGGAGCUCAAUUCAAACUUUCUUAUGAUUUGUCACCAAAAACAGAAUAAAAAAUGCAAGAGAUGUCUAAUGUACCAUAUGUUAAUGGCAUAGGAAGUAUUAUGUAUGCCACGGUCUGCACAAGACCUGACAUAGCCUAUGGUGUGAGUUUGCUUAGCCGUUAUAUGAGUAAUCCCGGAAGGGAUCAUUGAGAGGCUUUGAAAUGAAUUUUGAGGCAUCUCAAGAGUAAUGCAAAUUUUGGGCCCAUGUACCAAAAAAAGUAGAUGACAACUGGUUCGAUUGAAGGUUAUGUGGAUUCAGAUUAAGCCAAGGACUUAGAUGAGAGAAGAUCAAUAAUAGGUUAUUUGUUUAGGGUGUGUGGAUUCAUAGUAAGCUGGAAGUCUACACUACAAAAUGUUGUGGCUCUCUUUACCACUGAAGCUGAGUAUGUAUCUAUUAUAGAAGCCACUAAAGAACUUUAUGAUUAAAAGGUCUAGUAUCUUAAUUAGGAAUGAAUUAGAGAAAUGUAACAGUUUUCUGUGAUAGCCAAAGUGUUAUUUGUUUGACAAAGAAUCAAGGUUUCCAUGAGAGGACUAAACAUAUAGAUGUGAGAUUCCACUUCAUAAGGGAUAUCAUGAGUUAGAAUUUGAGAAGGCAAAACUCUGUUCUCUUCGUAGGAAAAACAAGAGUGAAAGAGUGUUUAUAUAUUGUUCAAGAAACUAUAUUACAAGAAGUAAAGACAACUGUAGAGAUAGCUGUCAUAACAGAAAGUACAGCUCACAAGAGCUUCUAGAAAGAAGUUGUUACAACAGAACAACACAAAUAAAGGAAACAGAAAGCAAGUAAAGACUAUCAUGUGGGAUCUGUAACCACUUCCUCUAUCUUUGGCUUAUCAUCCCCCCUCAAGUGAAAGGGUCUUGGAGCUAUGCAAAGCUGUGACUUGAGAGACAAGAACCGAGAACUUGUAAGAUGCUUAGUCAAAAGAUCAGCUGGCUGAUCUUCAGUAGGAACAAAAUACAGUUGUAUCUUGCCUCGUAUGACUUGAUCUCGGAUGAAGUGAAGAUCUAUUUCAAUGUGCUUCGUUCUAGCAUGAAACACAGGGUUCUUUGCCAUAUGAUAAGCACUGAUAUUAUCAUACCAGAGCAGGGGAAUCGCAGGUAUAGGAACACAUAACUCUUGCAACAAGGCUUGCAUCCAUAUAAUUUCUGCAGUAGCUAAGGCAAGGCCACGAUAUUCAGACUCGGCACUGCUGCGAGACACCACCUUUUGUUUGGUAGAGGACCAAGAAACUAAGUUACCUCCCAGAUACACCAAAUAGCCACUAGAACUUCGCCUAUCAUCAGGUUGAGCACCCCAAUCUGCAUCUGAGAAGCCUUCGAUUGUCAAAUUGGUUAAAGGACUCAGCAAUAACCCAUCUUGCAUUGUUCCUUUAAGAUAACGAAGGAUUCUUUUGACUGAAAGCCAAUGAGCUGAGGUAGGCUAUUGCAUGAAUUGACAUGCCUUAUUAACUGCAAAAGCUAUAUCAGGCCUUGUUAUUGUUAGAUACUGAAGUGCCCCUACCACACUUCGAUAUUGAGUGACUUCGUCCAUAGGAUCACCAUCAAACUUGGACAAAUUCUUCCCAACAGCUCCGGGUGUUUGUGCUGGUUUGGUAUCAAACAUUUUAGUUCGAUGAAGCAGAUCAGAAACGUAUUUGGUUUGGCUUAAAUUCAUAAAGCCUUCAUGGUAAGAGACUUCUGUACCGAGGAAGUAUGAUAGCUGUCUCAAAUCUCUCAAAGUAAAAAUAGAAUCAAGCUUAGCAAUGAGUGAGGAAAUCUGUGUUGAGGAGCAGCUAGUGAUGAUUAUAUCAUCAACAUAGACAAGAACAAUCAAAGUAGUAGACUCACCAAAGUGUAGAAACAUAGAACUAUCAGUUCUAGAGUUGCUGAAUCCCCACUGUAUAAGGGCAGAACUGAGUCGUUGAAACUAGGCUCGUGGUGCUUGUUUCAAACCAUAUAGAGCCUUCUUCAAUCGACACACUUUGGUUGGGAAUGUAGUAUCCAAGUAGCCAGGAGGUUGAGACAUGUAGACUUGCUCUUCUAACUCACCAUUGAGAAAAGCAUUGUGAACAUCAAGCUGCCUAAUUUCCCAUUGAAAACCGAGAGCCACAGUUAGUAUGAUUCGAAUGGUUGCAGCCUUAACUACUGGACUAAAGGUCUCAAAAUAAUCAAGACCAUGAGUUUGGUUAUACCCUUUAGCCACAAGUCGGGCUUUAUAUCUCUCUAUGCUCCCAUCUGGCUUGUGUUUCAACUUGGAUACCCACUUACAGCCUAUUAGAUUAACUUCAGAAGGCUGUUCAACAAGAUCCCAAGUUUGAUUCCGAUGAAGAGCAGCAAUUUCUAAAUCCAUAGCUUGAAUCCAAUUUGGAUCCUUGAGAGCUUGUUUGAGUGUAUACGGUUCUGAGAUCUUUACAGCAGAGAGAUCAAGAAUGGUCUUCUUCUUGGUUAUACCUCGUAUUAGCCUUGUUGUCAUGCGUGGAGCAGGGGAAGGGGAAGGAGGUUGAUCCUCAUGUAUAGCUUCGGGUAAGGUACUAGAGGCAGGAGUAACAGUAGGACUACUCACAGAAUCAGAAGCUUCACUCGUGGAAGGAGAGGAAGAAAGUGAAGAUGUGUGGCUGCCAUUAGAACAGAAGGUUGGAGAAGGAAAGGAAGUUAUAAUGGCUGGAGUUAAAGUAUCUGUUGAAGUAUCUUUGGUUGGGGAGAGAGGGUGAGUUUUAGCUAGAGGAAAUUGUCCCUCAUCAAAAACAACAUGAGGGGUGAUGUAAACUCGUCCAGUCAGAAAGUCAAGACACAAAAAUCCUUUGUUAUGAAGACUAUAACCAAGAAAUAGACUUUGAACAGAACGAUAUUGAAGUUUGUGACUGUUGUAAGGACGAAUGAAUGGGUAACACAAGCAGCCAAAGACUCUAAGGGACUUGUAAUCCGGAACCUUUUGAAAAAGUGUGAAAUAAGGGGAGUUAUUCUGGAGUACCUUACUUGGCAUUCUAUUGAUGAGAAAUGUAGCUGUCUAGAAGGCAUAUUGCCAGAAUUCCAUUGGUAAGGAGGCAUGAGCCAACAAGGCCAACCUGGUUUCAACAACAUGCCUAUGCUUUCGUUCAACUCUCCCAUUCUGAGCUGAGUUAUACGGGCAAGAAAACCGAUGAAAAAUGCCUAUUUGUUGAAGAAACGUCUUGAAGGAUCUGAACUCACCACCAUUAUCAGACUGUAGGCAUUUGAUUUUAGCAUCAAAUUGAUUUUCUACUUGGAGUUUGAACUUCUUAAAAGCAGGAAGGGCUUGGUCUUUUGUUUGAAGAGGAUAGAACCAGGUGUACCGUGAGUAGUCAUCUAGAAACAAGAUGAAAUAUCUAGCACCAGAGGUAGACUUGACUGAGGCAGGUCCCCAAAGGUCAGUGUGAACAAGUUCCAAAGGUUUGGAAGCACAAGAAAGUGAAAGAUGAGUAGGUAAUCUGUGACUUUUAGCAAGCUGACAAGAAGAGCAAACAGUAGAACAAACAGUAUUUUUAUUCUUUUCAAAAGAGACAUUACAACUCUGCAUAAUUUGGGUUACAAUGUCAGUAGAAGCAUGACCUAGUCUGUGAUGCCAUAACUUCACUUUAUUAUCAAAGAUACUGGAAUUAUGAGAGUAAAAAGUAGAAGAAUUAGUAGCACCAACAAAGGCUACUUUCUUGCUGUUCAAAACUGGGAAUCGGUAAAGUCCAUUCUCAAGCUUGCCUUGAGCAAGCACCUUCUUCGUAUGUAGAUCCUUCACAAAGAAACUAUUAGACCGAAACUCAAUUAAGGCAUUAUUGUCUGAGCAGAAUUUAGCAACACUUAUCAAGUUUGCUGAUAUAAAGGGGACAUGAAACACCUUUUUGAGAUGAAAAGAACGUGAAUCAGAAAGUAAACGAUGAGAACCAGUGUUGGAAAUGGAUAGGUGCUUACCAUUACCAAUUGUCACCUUAUCUGUGCCCGUGUAUGGUGAAGAACUGGUCAGAUUGCCCACACUCUGAGUCAGAUGAUGACUGGCUCCAGAGUCAAGAUACCAAGUGUCAUCUGCAAGAUUAUUAGAAGAGGCAACCAUAGCAGGUAUAGAGUUUGGAUUCCCAGCAUUUGAGGGAGAAGUAUUACUGCUCUGAGAGCUUUGAUAGGAGAUAUCAAAUCUGUGAUAACAGAUCUGAAUGGUAUGACCAAAAUUGCCACACAACUGGCAUUGUGGCUUCUCAGAACUGUUGGAAUUGUGCCUCCCAUUUUGGCCAUAUCGACCCCCUCGACCACGACCUCUGUAGGUAUAGUUGCUGAUGUUUGGGGUAUGAUUCUGUCCUCGACCGCCGUUAUACCUCCUUCCACCGCCUCUGCUAUUAGAUGAAGAGGCAUAAUUGGCUGAUAUAGGAGAGAAUUGUUCAAUCGAGCUUUGUUGCUCAAGGCGAUGUUCAAACGCAAGAAGCAUACUAUGAACAGCUUCAAUAGAGAUCUUGUCAUCUCUAAUAUUAAUAGCAGUUACAACUGCAUUAUAGUCGGAUCCAAGUCCGUCGAGGAGAUUCAUAACCUGGUCUUGUUCUAAGAUAGGUUCUCCAAUUACUGCUAGACUAUCUGCAGCUCCUUUAACCUUCAUGAUAUAAUCGAUCAUAGACAGAGAACCUUUCUUGGUUGACUGUAACUCGAGCCUUAGCUGCAUAAUUCUGGCUCUGGAGGAAGACGAGAAGGUUUUCUCCAAUGCAUUCCAAGCAGAGUGAGAAGAGUUGUGACCAAUGAUUUGUGCCAUGAUCGUUGGUGUGAGAGACGAGUAGAGCCAGUUGAGGAUCGUUCGAUCUUGUCUUUUCCAAGCAACAAACGCAGGAUUGAUCAAUCCUGAACUGAGUUCUUUAUCUGGACAGAUGGAAGAUCCGUCUAUGAAAUCUUCAAAUCCAUUGGAAAAAACAACAUUAUCAAUCUAAGAUUUCCAUAGAAUGUAAUUAGUCUGAUCAAGUUUCACAGGUAGAGUAUGAUUGAGCAUCUGAUAAGAAGGAUGGGACUCCAUUGUAGUGCUUUGUCCAGAUCCAAUCGAGCCAGAGGAUGAAGAGGAUUGAGUGGAAGCGGAAGCCAUGAUUGGAUCUUAAGGAAAGAGAUGGAAAACUAAGAAAAAAGAGGAGAAAAAAAAAUAGGAGAAUACUCACACCUUUGAUCGAGAGGCUCUGAUACCAAGUUAGAAUUUGAGAAGGCAAAACUCUGUUCUCUUCGUAGGAGAAACAAGAGUGAAAGAGUGUUUAUAUAUUGUUCAAGAAACUAUAUUACAAGAAGUAAAGACAGCUGUAGAGAUAGCUGUCAUAACAGAAAGUACAGCUCACAAGAGCUUCUAGAAAGAAGUUGUUACAACAGAACAACACAAAUAAAGGAAACAGAAAGCAAGUAAAGACUAUCACGUGGGAUCUGUAACCACUUCCUCUAUCUUUGGCUUAUCAUUAGGAUAGGUCAGAAUGAAGCAGGAAUGAUAGCAGAAAUGGGAGCAGCAGCUACUAAGGUAACCCGGACCUCGUUUGGCUAAUCCCGGAAGGACAAGGAUAGCAUUGAGAGGUUGUAAAUAAGAUGGCAGGUUGGGAAUAAACGCCAAUUGGAAAUCUUUCCUUGCGUUGGUGCACCAUCACCAUGUCACCUUCUUGAAAGCUUAGGUUAUGCCUCUUCUAAUCUGCAUAUUUUUUUUACUUUUUAUUCGACUCCUCCAUCUUCAAUCUGAUUUCUUCAUGCAGUUUUUUUCACUAAGUUAGCCAUAUUUUUUCCCUUUAAGCUAUCUCUUCCCAUUUUUUGUAAUGGAGCUAAAACAUAGAGAUCCAUUGGUUACUGCCCAUAAAUAACUUCAAAAGGACUUUUGCUUGUGGUUCGAUUCUCUACAUAGUUAUAGGCAAAUUCGGUUUGUGCAACCAAAGCUUCCCAAUGCUUUCAGAUUUUCUCCAAUUGAGCACCUCAAUAAAUCUCCAAACUUCCAUUGACAAACUUAAUUUGUCCAUCUAUUUGAGGAUGAUAAGAAGUACCGGAUUGCAACCUAGUUCCAAGCUUCUUCCAUAAAGUUCUCCAAAAAUGAGAGAGAAACUUGGAGUCUCAAUCUAAUGUGAUUGAUUUUGGAACUCCAUGCAAUUGAACACUCUCUCAAAAGUAGAGAAUUGCUAUAUUUGAUGCAUCCAUAGUCUUCUUGCAACAAAAGAGAAAAGCCAUUUUUAAAAGUCUAUCAACCUCCUCAAAGAUGGAAUCCAUUCCCAUUAACUUCUAGGCAGCCCUACCACAAAGUCUCUUAGAACUGCAGGAAUUAGCAGGGUAGUGUACAAACCUCUAUUUUAAACUUUUCCUUUUGAUUCCUUGCAUGUUUGAAACCUUUUAACAAGUUUGUAAACAUCCCUCCUCAUUUUUGGCCAAAAGAACUUUUGUUCAAUCAUAGCAUAUGUCUUACCUUGCUUAAAAUGUCCACCUACGCCUCCAUCAUGCAUGUCUUGAAUAAUCUUUUCCCUCAAGGGGCAAUCUAGAACUUUUUUUUUAUUAUUAUCUUGGAAUAGGAAGUCAUCAUGCAACAAAUACUUUCUUGGCUGCCCAUUAGUACAAUCUUUCCAAAUUGAACCAAAGAAAGGUUACCCGGGUAAAGAUAUUUGAAGGAAUCAAAACCCUUAAUGGUAAUAGACAUACUAAAUAACAACUAACUUCUUUAACUAAGUGCAUCUGUCACUUUGUUAUUUUUCAUCACAAAUGAGAAUCGUUGCAAGUAAGAAACCCAAUGGGCAUGCCUCUUGCUUAACUUUUGUUGGUUGUUGAGAUGCUAUAAAGCUUCAUGAUCUACAUGCAAAAUAAAUUCUUAAUGUAUCGAGUAAUGCUCCCAAUGCUUAAGAGCCUGAAUGAUAGCAUAAAAAUUCUUUAUCAUAAGUGUUAUAUCUCCUUGUGUCAUUCAAUUUUGCUCUAGAAUGAUACAGGACUGCCUUCUUGACUUAUAACAGCUUCAAUCCUAAUUUUGAAAGCAUCGCACUCUACUACAAAGAGCUUUUUAAAAUCUGGCAGAACGAAUACACGGGUUGAGAUGAGCAUCUCUUUAACCUUUUGAAAACUUUCUUUAGCUUGUUCUGACCAUUGAAACCUCUCUUUCUUCAUGCAAUCAAUUAUAGGAGCAAUUAUGGUGGUGAAAUUCUUGAGGAAGCAUUUAUAUAAUGAGGGUUCAAUAGUGUCUUUUCUUUCUAUCCUGAAUCACGUGUCUUUCUCCUAAGAUUGAAAGAGGUAAAUAAAAAAGUCAAAUCGCACCAUCUCUGUAAUAGGUAAAUGCCUCGUUUUCUCCUAAAGUAGUUAGAAUUAUUCGUGAUAAGAUAUUGGCUACAAUUGAAAAGGUCUUAUCAAUAAAAUUUCCAUUUAUCCGCGAUCUAGGCAUAGGUAGCAAUCCAUUUUAUAAUUCUUUCCAUUACCACUUGUGGGAAAAUAAUCCCACAAACAAAGGAAUUGUACAGUACGAAAUAACAAGCCGUUGAGUAUUGGAAACAAGCUAUAGCACUUACUCCUAAUAAUUAUAUUGAAGUGCAUAAUUGGUUGAAGAUCACGAGGCAUUUCGAAUAAAAACACUUUGUUUAUUAUUUAGAAUUUUUUAUAUUUCUUAUUAUUUGUUGGACCUAUCAGUAAAAUGAAAUGGAUCAUUCCUAUGCCUAUGGGAAGAACCAAUCAAAGAAUUUCAUUAUAUCCCUUCUAAGAUCAUUCUAUUUCAUUGUAUCUCGUAGGGAUAAACGAUACACAAAUACAUUAGAGAAUAUAUUUCUUUAUUUUCUGAUUCUUGAUGAAGGGUCUACAAAAUGAGUCUAACUUCUAAUUGCUUUAACCUUACUGUUAUCAACUUUUAUUCCUUCAACACUAACUAUAUAUCCCAAAAAUAGUAAAGAAUCAAUGAAAAAUUUGUACUUCUUCAUAUUGGUAUGAAGCUUUUCUCUUUUGAGAACAUCUAAUACUUCCUUCAAGUGCUGCAAAUGAGACUCCUUGAAUGAGCUAUAAAUAAGUAUAUCUUCAAAACACACCAUCACAAACUUUCCAAUGAAUGGCUUCAAAACAUUUAUCAAAUGCAUAAAUGUGUUGGGUGACCAAGAGUCAUCAUAGUCCAUUCAUAAAGGCCAUGCUUAGUUUUGAAUUUUGUUUUCCACUCGACACCUUCUCGAGUCCUAAUAUGGCAAUAGCCACUUUUAUUAUUUUUCAUUGUUGCACAACCUUGGACUUGGUUGCAGGCUUGAAAGUGAGUGUUUGAUCUAAAAUUCUGUAAAUCAUCAGUCUUUGCCACUGAUUUCUACUUGAUAUCUCCUUGAUGCCUAUUACCCUUCAAUUGAUUAGGCCCCCUCACACGUUUAAUUGAGUGGUUGUUAAGCCAUCUUUGCUGACCUUCAACCUUCAUGGCUAACUGAAUAGCACCAACUAGUGUCCAACAUGGUUGUAGCUCCACCAAAUUUCUAAUAUUUGGCCUCAAUCCCAUCAAAUAAUGUUGUAUCAUCUACACAUUCAUUUCAAUUAGUUGUAUUCUAGGCUGCAUUUUGUAAAAUAAUGUUGAUCACAAUUUGUAGUAUGAUGAAAUGUUUGUUGCCUCUCCAAAGGUAAGACUCCACCAUCUUCAUUUGAAAAGUCCCCUAUUAUUUGCUGGAACUCCUCAAUAGUAGGUUGAUUUCUCAAAUUCUUCCAUUUGUAUGUUCAAAUAUUCUGACUUAUUUGGCCUUUUAAUGGUGGAAUUCAGAGCACUAAAAAUACCAGCUUGCUGCAACCUAGCACAUAACUGAUUAAGGUGCUAUUGUAAGUUUAAAUUUUUUUCUCUAAUUGGACCUUUUCCUACUAGUUUUGAUAAUGUAGCAUUCAAAUGAUUCCCAGCCUAGCCAUUGAUUCAAAACAAUCAUAAAUCUGAAACAGAGGCUCUGAUACCAAUUAAUGAAAAUUGAAAAGUUAUUCUAACUAUUUAGAGAGGCAGGAAUGGUGUAGGUUCAGCCUAGGAGCUUAAGUGACAUGAUGAUUAUCUCUUUUAUGUGUUUUAGGGACUCCACUAGAGGCAAGACCCUAUGGAGGAUUGCUUGUCUCACUUUGAUUUGGAUCAUGUGAAGAAAGGGAAAUGCUAGGAUCUUUUAAGGACAAAUGGAAGACUCCUGGGAUGAUGUGGGACUUAGUUUGUUUCUAUGGUUUUUUUUUUUUUUUUUUGGGCUUCUUGCAUUGAUGCUUUUAAAGGCAUUCCUUUGAAUGUCAUUCAACUAAGUUGGAGUUCGGUAUGUAUGCCCAAAGGGGUGGGCUGAUUUGUGGAUGAGCCUACUGGUGUUUGAGGAGUUGUAAUACUUGUAUAUUCUUUUUUUUUUUUUUUUUUUUUUGUAUAGAUCUCCUUUUAGAGGAGGGGUUUUUUUCGAUGGUUAGAUUAGGUUUGUUGUCUUCAUUAGGUUGUGUAUUUAUGGGAAGGAUUUCUCAUCCUUCUCAUUGAACUUCUUUAAAGCAAUCAAUGUAUUUCUUGUUUUCUGAUUAAAAAAAAAGAAGUUAUUAUAGCUACUAUCCAAGUAGACUACAACCAUGUUACUCCAAACAACUUCAAAGCCAAGAUUUCUUGAGAAAAAAUCUAGGAAAAACCCUUUGCAUAAUAAGCUUUAUCCAGAAAGUUCUGGAUAAUCACAUAGUAUAUUUCUUCUUGAAAAUUAUAAAAUAAAUUCUUUUAAUAAGUAGGUUCUUCCCUUUUAUAAUGCUAGCCUCAACUACUUUCUCAUGGUUUCCGAAAUGCAUUUAGUAGCCUUUAUAUAUUCAUUUACUAUGGUUCUAGUAAAACUAAAAAAAAAAAAACCGAUCUUUUGACUUCUUAUUUAAUAACAAACUUUUCCCAUACAAACCUUUGACUAUUCAAACUUGCUAUCAAGUCUCUAUUAAUGACUACAUUAAUUAUGUUGUGGCAAGUUUAGCAUUUGUGGGAUGCAUGUUUUAACCUUAGGGCAAGCUUUUUAAGGUUUCUUUAAUUGUGGGUACUAAAUGAAUAUUAGGACAUUUUGUUGUCAUAUUAUAACUUUCCCAAAAUAAUAUUAGGAUUAAGAGAUAUGUGAUAUUUUCUCCUCUCAAUAAUUGUUCACACACUAUAAAUCUUUGAAAGUUGCUUCAUGAUUUGCACUAAUUGUAGAGUGUUACCCUCAUUUUACUAAGAGUUAAAAGGUUUUAAUUGUAGAAACCACUAAUCUUGCAUUUAUUAAUUAUCAUAUGUGGAAUUCCAAAAUUGGAAAUUAAUUAUUUUUAGAGUUUAUAUAAAUUUUUAGUACUUUUGACUUUCAAACAGAUAAUAAAAUAUUGCAUUUGUCCCCCCUUUUUUACUAUAGUAAUUCAAACUUCGAAAAAAAUUUAAAGAUGUAGCAGGUGGAAUAUGUGUCAAUAUGAACUCCAUUCUUCUUGCUAACCCUUGAGAACCAGUUCAAUCUGCAUUAGAUUUUUUCUUUUUUUGCCAAGUAUGAAGUUCAGUUUUCUACAAUAUUUUCUCUCUCUCUUUUUUUUUUUUUUUUUUUUUGUAAAUGAUUUGAUUUUUUUGCUAAUAUGACUGAUUCCUUUGAAUUGUAUUUACAGAUGCAAGGUUCUAUCACCAGUCCGCCGGUAGUGGCUGAGAAAUUGGUUAGUCUGGAAGAAAAUGUUGUUGGUUCAGAUAAAAAUGUUGCUGAUCUUGACAAAAAAUAAUGAGGAAUCCUUGACUUUGGCAUAAAUACAAUGAAAUUAUGCUAUUUUGAGUUGUUGCAGAUAGUUAUGUAUAAAUUCCAUUUCAUGGAUGCCAGAUUUAAUCGCAUGCUUUGGAUGUCAUUGCUGAGAUUUGUUUUGUAGUCUCCUUGCAACAGUUUUCCUGGGCAAGAUCUUUAUUUGCUUACCUGUCAGUCAUAUUUGCAUCUUAACCUCUUCAUGUUAAUUAUAUCAACCAUUUAUUAGUAUGGAGUUUCUUCUUGUUUUGAGUUCUUAGGUGUCAACCCCAAUUAGAUGCAUUGUCUUUAUGUUUGAACAUGUAAUGAACUUGACCACAAGCUUACGCAUGUAACUAAGAUUCAGUGACAUCCAUUCUGUUUUCACUUUUCUCAUGUAUCUAUACGAACCUUUAAAGCUUAGGCAUAGUAAAGAACUCAUGUAAUAAAUUUGACCAGCUUUGUGGCUUUGAGAUCAUCAAAUUGGCUUCAAGAUUUCAUCUGAUCUGUGGUAGUAGUUGCUUUAUUAGAUUUGGGUAUUAGUUUCAAUUUUUAGUGUAACCUUCAUUGCAGAGGUUUACUUUUGCAGUUACUAAAGUUUAUUGACAAAAUGAUUUUACUUGUUAUUCUGGUUAUGUGCCUAGUUCAUUACUCUAAUUACAACUUCAUAAUCAAGAUGUACCUCAACUUCUAGCUACUCUAAUUACAACUUCAAAUAUCUUUUAAUUUUAAAAACAAAGCUAGAAAUUAUCAAACCAUUUCAAGGAUUAAAUAAUUAAAUAUUAGCUCAAAUUCUCAACUAAAUUACUUAUUAAAAUGGUGUAACUUUUUGAAAACUAGAUAAACACGAGGAAAUAAUUAUAAGAAGAAAGGGGGAGAAAGAGUAAUACCAAGUCUUGAUAUAGAAAAUCUCCAAAGAGAUGAAAAACAAGCAGCCUAUAAGAUUUACUUAGUUCAAGUCCAUCAAUCCAUUCUAGACUAUUUGAGUAGUAUUUUCCAACUUAAGCUAUACAUUUUCCAGAGUAUACUUAGAGUUUACAUUAAGUUCGAUCUUGACCUCUUCUUGAAUCCCAAUAAAAAAAAAAUGAGUUUUACCAUGAUCUAAUAACAAUAAAAGACAAUGAUGAAAGAGCCAAACAAAUCAAGCUCAUUUUAAAAUAAAUCUAAUCAAAAUUGUUUUGAAGUUCAAAAUGAGUUGGAUUUUCUUGGAAGACAAGCAUACUCAUGCUUGAAAGGGAAGAGGAGUUCAAUGGAGUGUGUCAUGAUUGCCUAAUGUUCUCCAACUUGAAAACAAUAAUUAGGGUUUAUGUAGGGAGAAAAAAAAUUCAAUCCAACAAUUGGAAAUAUCUCACAUUGUGAAGUUGGAUUGAUCCUAUUUAAGGUUAGAUCUAUUUUGAAAAAGGAUAAAAUAAAAUAAAAAAAAUAAAAAAAGGGACUUAGCUAAAAAGAGUUAUCCAGUUACUCCCAAAGUUUCUUUCUGAAAUCCAAGAUAACCAUUAAUUUGAAAAAUCUGAUUAAUUCAAUCUCAUCCAUCCACCACCUCAAUUGCAUAUCUAAACUUUCAAACACUUUCAACACCUUGAUCAUCAUUAGAUAAGUAGUCUUUGGGAGAACUCAGAAAACCUGAGUUUGAAAGUACACUUAGGGGUUGUUAUCCAUAAUUGUCAACCUAGCUAAAACGCUUACAAUCUUCCCUUUUGACUAUUUUGGUACAAAAACCCUUUAGAACACAAAUAAGUACAAGCAUACCUCAUCCACUCUCAUACAAGGAGUACUCACCUGAUCAACCUCAUAAACUAGAUACCAUUAACCUUGCAAAUAAUGAUCAACAAGUACACAAUUAGUAGCACUUGCGCAUAGACUAGAGUAUAGCAUAAAACAAGUAUCACAAUGCAAUAAUUUAACAACAGUAAAUAUCCUUCUCCCCUUUCUUAUCCUAGGAAAAAGCAAAAGGGAAGUUCAUUUAUUGACAAUAUCAUAUCCAUAAUAUGCAAUAAAGAAAAAUGAGAAUAUUGAGACAUAUAGCCUACUAUGUCUGUAGAGAUCCGAAUCAAAGAGUGCUCAAACAAACACUUUAUAUCCCUAAACAAAGAUACACAAUGACAGAUCAAAUCAGCUCAUUUGAAGCCCAAAACUAGCCAAUCAAUUGAAAUAUCUGAGGCAAUUAUUACCAACAUACCCAUGGCAAUAUGAUAAAAAGAAGAAAGUGUUUAGCAAAUGGGAAAAAUGUUAUCCAAGCAACUAACUAAAGUGUAUCAAAGAUGGUCAUGACUAAAAACCUACAUAGAUUACUAGCAUAAGCUAAGAAGCAUAAAUAUGGAAUACCACCUAUGGAAACUUAACAAAGGCUCUAGGAGUUAUGAAAAUAGAUAUAACAAGGAAAACUUUCCUUUACCUCUCAUUACAAGGGCUUAAUCCAAAACCUUGAGAAGGUGUUCUACUACUAUAGAAAUGAAUUCCAAGCCACAAAGAUUUGCCAUCUUAGACUUUGGAGACAUGAAAAAUAUGUUUCAUGCACUCACAAUAAACAAAUAAAAGGCUAGAUCUAACAUUACUAGGAACCAAAAACAACAAAUUCCCCAAAGCAAUAAGAAAUCCCUUAAACAUUCUACUAUGAGAAUAUCCACAAAUGAAAGUUGGAGAAACAACCAAACAAUGGACUUAGAUUAAGACAAAGGGAUUGAAAGACCAUGGAUGCAUGAUUGUCAAAGUCAAAAGACUGCCAGAGAGAGAUGAAAUAGUGUCAAAGAAGUCUCAAAUGAACACCCACGGAGAAGACUUUAACAUCAGCUAUGAAAGGUGAACUAAACAACUUCCUAGAUAAAUUUAACAAAAAAAAAAAAAAAUACUUGUCUUGGUUUCCAUAUUAAGUUUUAUUUUGAGCUAAGGUACAAUUUACCCAAACAUCUCUAUAAGCUAUUAUUGAGCUUAAAAAGAGUUUGAUAUUGUUUAUGUUGCAUAGAUUUAAGAUGUCAACAAACUAUGACAAUAGUAAUUUUUUAAGUGGAAUUUGACAUAUGUUUUUUUAAGUUAGGAUAUGUUAGUUGAUCACAUAAUAAGAGAAUUUGUAACUUAAGAAUGGUAUAGGUAAUCCUAAGAGGCUAAUAGCUUUCAUCUUAUUAAAUUAGAAACACUAGGUUAUGGGUAGACUGUAUACAAUGGAAAGUAGGUCAUAGACCCAAGCACUUAGUGUCUCAUUGUAAUAUACACAAGUUAAUAGAGUGCAAUUAACUUUCUAUAGUGGAAUGUUGAGUCAAUUUCAAAAUUGAAUUAUAAGGGAAUCGAUACUAUCCUUGUGGGUCUUAAUGGUCCUUGCUCGAACUCAUAUAUCUUGAUGAUAUGGUUUAAGAGGGUUGAAUCGAUUUUUAGUUCACUUAUGUACAUAAAGGUGUUUUGAUGAUUGCAAAAGGUUGCACAAAAAUUAAUGAACAAUAUCUCUUAACUUGGCUAAUUGAUUAAUUAGUCUCCUAUUGGAUUGUUAAUUAAUUAGGAUUCUUUUAGACUCGAUUAAAUAACCUAAGCCCAAGGUAGGCUCAAGUCUCUUGAGUGUAGAGGGAAGUCUAUAAAUUCCCCCAUAGGGGUUAGGGCUUUAGACUAAUGCCUCUUCCAUUUUUUCCUCUAUGUUUAUAUAGAGAAUCCUAGCCUCCAACCUUUAAAGAUCUCCACCAUCCAAUGCUAAGGCUCAAGGACAAAUGAUUGGGUGGAAAAUUAGUGGGUUUGGAAGACUUUCAACUACCACCGUGCACUCGACAACAUUCUUGAUUGCAAGGAUCAGUUCUAGGAACAUUCGAAUUUUCGAUAAGCACUUCUAACCCGUAAUACUAAUUCCUAUUAAGUUUUGAAUGUUAUUGUUUCCGUUGGGCAUAGGGAUCUAGUGGCCCUAGGAAUAGUUGCAUACACCAAAUGAGAUUCAAGGCUUGAGAACAAAGUAAUUUGGGAUUCAUAAAAACUAGUUCAUAAAAAGUUGUGUCUUUAAUAUUUCUCUUCUACACACAACUAUAUUUUUUCAAAUGUUCUUACUAAGCAAAUAGAUUCUAAAUCAUAUGAGACCAAAUCAAAUAAAACUUAAUGCUUUCAAUUCUUUAAUGGAUCUACUAAUUUUUAGAGUUUGCAAAGUUGACCUAAUUAUAUAUAUAUAUAUAUAUAUAUAUAUAUAUAUAUAUAUAUAUAUAAAAUAAAAUAAAAACUUGGCUUUUUUAGGUAUUAAAAAAAUUGAAAAUUUUCUUGUUUUUUUUUUCAAUACAUUUCAAAUAAAAAAUUAUUAACCAAAAAAAAAAAAAUCAAUUAUACCUUUAUGAAGAUGUUAAUAUUCAUAUUUCAUAAUAUAUACUACAAUAAUAUAUUUUUAAAAUAUAUAUAAAUUUUUUAUUUCAUUAUAAUAUUAAUAUUCACAUUUUAAUAAAAACUAUUUAUUUGUUUAUUGAUUUGAAAUUACAAUUUUUUUUAAUAAGACUUGAAUUAAAUUUAAUUAAUCUUCUAAAAAUUGAAUUAAUAUCUUAUAAAAUCAAAAUAGAAAAUAUUAUUUUAAAAAAAACUAAAAAAAAUUAUCCAAAAUUUUAUUUUAUUUUUUGCUCUUUAAAAAUGUUUUUAAAAAACACCUUUAUUUUUAAAAAAUACCAAAAGACUGUUUUUUGUUCUUUAACUUAAAUAUAUAUAUAUAUAUUAAAUAAGUUCUUAAAAAGACCCUUAGAUAUUUUUUUAUAUACAAUAUUUAUGUUGGAAUUAAGCCCUAAAAAGGAUAACAUGAUGUAAUAGAUAUAGAUGUAUUUAUAAACUUAUUUAUUUAUGUUUCUUGGUUUCCUUUUAUUAAACCAUUUGCAUUAAUAGGUUAUUUGAGCAUUCAUGCCCCACAUCACUCACAUUGUACAUAGUUUGGGUGUAUUAGGAGUUGCAUAAAAAAUUCAAAUCAUAGGUUCCUUGUAGAGUGAUGAGUUGUUCAUUGUCGGUUUAUGGAUUUGGGCAAUCCAUCUGAAACUGUAGUAUACUACCUCCUAAUUAGAGGCAUGAUUUGUCUUGGCCGUUAGGAUGGUUUUUACAUGGUGAGUGCACUAGUGUAUGUAAUGCGCAUUGGAUAGGACCUAUGGUGAAUCAUGACGUAAGGUUAUUAAUUAUCAUGAUUCACCAAGCUACUAUGCUGUAUGGACCCUUAACUUUGAGAGGAUAUUGAGUUUGUAGCAAAGUCAACAUAAGGCUUUGACCUAUGAGUGAGAUCCUAAGGUAGUCUUAUAUCUCUAUGUAUUGAGUCACAAUUGAUGGAAAAGUAUUCUAAAAAAAGGCAUCAUGAUAUCUCAUGGAUUGAAAUAGUGUGUUCCCUUAGGUGACAUAUUCUCUAAAAUACUAUAGUCAUAGCAUUUUUUUUAAUAGAAAUUUGGCAUAUGUUCCUUGGAGUUAGAGUAUGUCAAUUGAUCAUAUAAUAAAUGAAAUCUAUAACUCAAAUAUUAGAGAGGUAAUCUUGAUAGGUGAUAGCACUAUCUUAUUAAAUUAUGGACACCAAUUCAUGGGGAGUCUGCAUGUAGUGGAUAGUAGGUCACAAACUCAAGGUACGUCUCAUUGUUAUUUAUAUAAGGUAUUGAAGUAUAAUUGAUUCUCUUUAGUGGAAUGUUGAAUCAACUUCAAAAUUGGAUUUUGAGGGAGCCAAUACUCCUAUGGACCCCCCUAGUUCCUAUUCUAAGCUCAUAUACCAUGGUGACAUAGUUUAUGAGGGUUAAAUUGACUUUUGGUUUACUCUUGUGCAUAAGGGCAUUUUGGUAAUUGUGUAAGGCUACACAAGGGAUGGUGAACAAGUUAUUUGAAUUAAGCUAAUUGAUUAAUUAGAUGACCUUAUAUGGUUAAUUAAUCAAUUAAAACCCAUUUUAGAUUAAAUUAAGUGACCAAUCUUUGGUAGGCUCAAGUCACUUAAGCUUAGUAGGGGAACCCUAUAAAUACCCCUUUAGAGGUUAGGGUUUCCUUCACUUUUGGAGAGAGAAUCGUCUUCCACCUCUAAAAAGAGAAAGCUUAGGAUUCCUCUAUCCAAAGCCCACACUUUAGAGUGUCAAGAUCGUGGUUCAAGUCAUCGAGCAAAAGAUCUUAGGUGUGCAAGACUUUCAGAUUCUUUGUUCUUCAUUUUCAUCGAGUAGAAUUGAUUUAAGAACAUCCAAAUCAAAGGUAAAGUUUUUUAAUACUUUUCCUUUUGAUCCUAGAUUCAUAAAAAUAUGUUUUUUUUUUUUUUUUGCUUCCAUUGCAUAGGAUCUAGAGGCCUAAGGUAGUUUGCAUACACCUAUAUGAUCAAGGUAUGGUAAUGGAGAGGUCUAAGGUCUCCAACAAUUUACUAACUAUUUCUUCAUGUUCUUGGUCAUAGAAGUCUUGUAUUUCUACAAGUUGAAGUUCACUCUACUAUGUUUAUGAGCUAGAUACGUGUGAUUUGCCUUGUUUUUUGCAUUGGACUAAGGUUUGGUUAAUUUCAUAUUAUGAGGAUAACAAAACAAGGCUUGAUUCUAAAGUUCUUUAAUUGUAAUUGACAAGAAGAUUCCCUUGGAGUAAUCAAGAAAAAAACUAUAUGAAGUUGAAGAGGAAAUAAAAAACAAGAUUUAUCAAGAUUAUUUUUAGGUUAAUUUAUGUAAGAUUAUGGGUAUUCUAAGUUAGGAUUGCAUAUCAUUUAUUUAAACAUUCAAAACCCAUCUAAUUGAACUCAAACUUACCGUAAAUUUUAAUUCUUUAUUGUUUCUUUCUUCUAUUUUUCCUCUCUAUUUUCUUUUCCUUACAUUUUCCUUCAAAAUUUUCAAGAAUCAAACAUAGCCUUAAGUUCAUUUAACUUUCUAAAUAAACAAUCUAGCUUUUCUAGGUAUUGAUCAAUCACCUUCCUAUGACAAGUUUUGACAACGAGACAUACUUGAGACCAGUAAUAACAUUAACCUUGGAUAGAGUGUUGUCUUAUACUUUUUAAGUUAUUUAAACAUGAGAAUGAAUGAGAAAAAGAAUAAGAUAUCCAUUACUAUUCCUUAUUUUCUCGCAUCAAACACGCCUUUAGGGUAAAACUCUUAUAAAAUAAUAUUCUUAAGGUUGAGAACCAGAAGAAAAUAGUCUCAUUAGUUUCUGAGUAUCAUUACCCAAUAAUAUGGCUAAUUAACAGUAAAAAAAAGUCUUCAAUAAUCAACCCUAGAAGCCCAUUGAUUCCUAUUUUGAUAGACUAAUAUAAUUUCGUAAGAGGAAACAGUUUAAACAGACAUGCCUAACUAACGAUGAUCGUACUCCUAGAAAAGGAGAAAAGGAGAACACAAAACAGAUUGAGUACCCAAACUUUUCUAGUUGACCAAGCACUGUUUCACCUCUAGGUGUUUAACCAAAUUUCAAAGCCUUCAAUCACCAAGCUAGGUAACUUCAACUCCAGCAAUGUCUAAAAUUUGAUUGUACAUCAUUGUUGAUGUAUGAUUCAAAAAAAACAAAAACAACAAAAAGCACCAGUUUAGAUUUUAGUAAAAUCCACACAAAGAAGGCAACAACGUUAAAAGACAUUACACAUGUGCCUAGGGCACUUGGGUUCUGCUAAUUCAACUCAGCUACAUGGGUGAUUCUGCCAAUUCUAUUUCUAAAUUCCUAAAACAUGUUACAUGAUCCAGCUUACUCUUUUAGGUUCUGCUAUUAAUCAUACUGCUGCCGGAGCUGCAUCUCUGUCUCACUUUUCCAAGAAGCAUGAGAUGACUGCCCCUUCAUCCUCUUGUUCUUCUCCUUUUCUUUGAUGGUUGAUCCCUUCUUCUUGUCAGUCUCUUUAUUUGCAUCUGCAAGUGGGCGAUCCCCACAUUGUGGGCAGACCAUUCCUCGCGCACUGGAGUAUGUCUUGGGUAUUCCACAUUGCAUACACAUCCUACAACCAAAACCAGAAUUGAGAUUGAUAGGCUGAUAAAUAGCUAGAUAGAUGGGGUUGUGUUCAUUAACUUGGGCUACCCAUUGACAAAAAAGCAAUGAUGAUGCACCUCAGAAGUUCAGCAGCAUCUUCUGCAUUAGGAUUAGCAGCAGUUGCCACCCGCUUCCCUUCCCCUUGUGUUGUGCUCAAAGAACCCUUUGGAGGUUGAACUGAUGAUUUUGGAGCAAGGUUACCCUCAAUAUCACUUCUCACUCUCUCAUGGAUUCCAACUAGCUGGGCUUUGGAUUUCACAACAGCACCUAAAGUAAUAUAAGAUCCAACUUUAAAGUUACUUCUCAUGAUCUAAGGGAUAACAUUAAAUCAAGACAAAAACCAUUUUCUUGCAGAGGAACAAAACAAUAAAUUGAGACAGAAGCGCAUGAGAGCUGAAUCUAUCUCACAACACCGAAAACAAAGUUCUAUCUCACAUUUAGUCAAUAGUUUGAAACACAUAAUUCUUAGGAAUUUAAAAACCAUAAUUAGUGUAUGAUUUAUUAUAUUAAAGGCUUUGAUGUAGCACAUCCCUCAACUGUUGAGCAAGGUUGUUUAUAAUCAAACAACAUUCUGCUUGAACUACAGUUGUACAUGUGAGAUGUAGAUGAAAACAAAGUUCAUGAGUAGAUAACGGUAUGAGUGGUUAUGUCCUUUUAAGUGGUUUAAGGAUUGAAAAUAAAUGCACAAGCUUGUUGAAUUCUGGACAAGCAAGGAAGAAGAUUAAAGAGUUUGGUAAUGGAGUAAAAAUAGGGAAAAGGUUUCUGAUUGAAGGUAGGGCUUCAGAAUAAAGUGCACCAAGUGGUGCUGGUUAUUUGUAGAGCAGGAUGGACAGCUUACCAUAAAAUAAAUAAAUAAAUAAAUCAAGAAGAAAAGCAAAAGAAGAAGAUAGAAAACUUUCCAUAAGCCCAGUUGUCAAACCCAUCUCCUACUAAAAUUUAGAGACUUCCGAAAAAAAAGGAAUAAAUUAUGUAAUAACUACAUAAGAGCAUCGUAUCCACUAUGAAAGGUGGAUCCUUCAAUUUCACCAAAAAUAGCCGUAUUGACACGAAAUGACAUGAGUGUGGGUGUAGUAUCCUUGUAGGACACUCCUAUUUUACUUUAGCUGUGACUGUUUGAUUUUCUUUCAUUGAUAUCAUUUUAUUCUUUUAACUUUAUUAGUAAUAAUCAUAUUAGAGAAAAAGAAGAGUUAAUUGAAAAGUGAAUUAUUGAAAAAAAAUUGAAGGAUAAAAGGAAAAAAAAGAAAUUAGAAGGAAAAGAUCGCAGCUUUUAAAAAUGAUAUCUUCACUUCAUAUUUAUUCUUAAUUGAUUUUUCUUUUAUUAUGUCGUAUCCUAUAAUUGUGCCCCUUUCUAGAUCUUUUAGUCAAGUCCUCAUAUCCUAAAAUUGGUGAAGGAUCGGACACUUAGACACAUACCGGUAUCUGACAAUCAUACUCACAACCAUGCAACAUAGCUUAUCCAAAUAAAUAAAUAGGACCAAACAAGACCAAGAAGGUGAAAAGAUUGAAAAAAACCCUAAUCAAGCAAUUAAUUUGGCAUAGAACAUGCAAAACAUAUUUAAUAUUGAAAGUGUAAAUUUCUCCAAAUCUGAGGAGCCAGGUAGGGUGAACGAUGCCCCAGGAUUUCCUUUCCUUUUAGGCAAUUUUAUAGAUUUUUUAUUUUUGGUUCUUUUGAUAGGUAAACUAAGGCACAAGGAAAUUAAAAGGAUCAAUUUUUUACAUAUACCAAGUUCAGGUAACUAAAUCCUGAACAAUUUAAUACCAGAAUAUCUUUGGCUUGACAUUUCAGUGAUUGUUACCACUUUUCAAAUCCUGAUAUUAUGUAGCCAUCCAAAGUUCAAGCUUGGAAUUGGAUUUCUAUUAACUCCAUUGGCUCAUGCGACCCAUCCAAACAACAUAUUCAAUUCCCCGUCCAAAUGAAUAUCAAUGUAAAUUAGACAACUCAUCCAAGACCUUUACAGAACUGCCCCAGAAACCAGGUAACAUCAUCCAACAAUAUAGAAGAUGAUUCACUAAACCAUCAGUCAUCACUUCCUCUGAAUCAAAAGAACGAUUUAGAGAAGCAAGAUGCAGCUACAUCUUAUAACAGCAAAGUGUGGGGCAUAGCUGGAGACAAUAAAUUGAGAGGUUAUGGUUGGUUCCCAAAAGAUUUAAGAGAAAAUGCGAGGGAAAAACAUAUAGAAGAAAAAUGAAAGAAAAAGUGAGAAAAUAAAAUUUUAAAUCAAUAAAUUAUUUUUUUAUAUUAUUUCAAACUCAUUUCACUUAUUUUAACUCUUUUAUAUAAAGAAAAAAGAAUUUACAUACGAGUUUCCAAAUAUUUUAUAUUUGAUUUUCUUUCGCAUUUUCCAUUACAAUAAAACCAAAUGUGAUAAAAUCAUUUUCUUUAAUGAUUUUUUCAUUCUUUAGUACUUCCCUAGAAUCAAACACAGUGGGAAUAUCCUAGGAAAGUGAGAAAAGUGACUUAAUCAGCUUAUUUUGGGCUCUCGGUGAAAGAUAAAGAACACUAAGAGAAAUUUAAAAGAAUCAUGUGUUAAUAAAAUAUUAAAUUUGUUGUACAUUGAGAUAGAUCAAGCAAGAAAUGCUCACACUACUAAUUUGGCAAACCAAAAAAGAUCAAGCAAUUAUAAAUUUAUUGAUAUUCUGCAAGAAAUUAAGGACCGUUUAGUGGUUGAAGUGACAACAAUUUGUUUUCAGAAAUAGAGAAAAUGAAAAAUGACACAAAAACAUAAUUAGUGCUCAUUUGUAUACACACCUUGUUAAUUUUUUUCAAAAAUAGAAAAUGGUAGUAAUUUUCAUGUACAAGAACUCUUCGAGACUUGCCUUAAAAAGAUGAUAACUUAAAAAAUUGUUUAAACCAUUUGAGAUAUUAAAAAAAUUUUACUACCUCAAAUUUUAAAAAUUUUAAAGAUAAUUUUGAAGAAUAUAAGGUAAGUUCAUAAUUUUUAUAUAAGAGUUAAAGUUAUUAUUUUUUAUUUUUGAAAUUAGAAAAUAUGAAGUGUGUCCAAACAAGCAAUAGGUAACACACUUUUAACAACUUUUUCAAAAACAUAUCCUGAAAUUGGUGCAAUUUUAGUUACCCUAUGUUUGGUUAUUGGAAAAUUUGAAGGAAAUGAGAGGGAAAUAAAAUAAAGAGGAAAAAAAAGAAAAAAAAAGUGAAAAAAAGUAAAAAAAAUAGAAUUAAAAUUAAUAAAAAAAUCAAACACGAGAAAAUCAUUUUUUUUUUUAUCAAUUUACUUGGGUUACAUUUGGAUCCUAGAAAGUAUGGAGGAAAGAAAAAAAGUGCUAAGGAAAAUAGUUUUCUCAUGUUUGAUUUCACUAUGGGAAAUAUGAAAGAAAAUAAAAUAUAAUUAAAAUUAAUUAAAAAUUUGUACAUUUUAAAAUUAUUUAAUCUUUAUAUAAUAGAGAAAAAUAAGUAAAAUAAAUUUAAAGAAACAUAUAAAAAUAAUUUAUUGACUUUGAACCUAUAUUUUAUUUUUUUUUAGUUCCUCUUUCCUUCCACUUUUCCUCUGGAUUUUCUUCUCCUUAAAUUUUCCCUCAAACUCCAGGAACCAAACAUAACCUUGGUAUUUUGCUAGAAUCAAAGAUAGCCUUAAAACCCUAAAACUUAUAUAUAAAAGUUUCAAGAAACAAGAAAUUUAACAAUAGAAACCAAUCCAGAAACAAACAUGUCCACCAUUCAAAUUUUCAAAACCAAGCAAACCUGAAUGUCCCACAAUCAGGGAGGAAAUGAACCAACCACAUUGAUUCCAAGGUCUAAUAAAAUCUCCAAUCAAAGAUGAAAGAACUUUGGACUAAAAGAAAUACCUAGAACCUGUGAUAAAAUUCCCACUUAUUUGCAGCAUGGGAAAAAAAAGAAAAAUUUUAAUCAAAAUUUCCACUUGUUUGCUGAAAAUACAUGGUACUAGAAAAGAAAUCAGGAAAUUGCAAUGAAAAUUCCCAUUUGGUUGCUGAGAAAACAUGGGCAAAUGAAAGGAACCAAGAAGUUGUAAUCAAAAUUCAUUUUGUCGCUUAAAAAGGCAUAGAAAAAGAAAAGAAAGCACGAGACUGUAAAAAAAAUUAUCACUUCAUUGCUCAGAAAAUGUGGAGAAGAGAAAACAAAAAAGUCCUUAAGAUAAUUAAGAGGACGCACCUACCCUAAUCAAUAGUGACCCAAUCCAUAGGGAAUAUAAAGGUCUUAACACUAUCUCAAUAUUCUAUCAUAGUUGAGAGAUUAUGUAGCAUAUUAGCUUGGUGAAAUCAUGAUUACUCGAUAGCCAACAUCACAAUGCACCAUACGUCUUGUCCAAUGUGUAACCAUACACACUAGUGCACUCAGUAUGGGAAACCUAUCUAAUGACAAAGACAAGUCAUCUCUCUAAUUAGAAGGUAGUGCAUUACAACCUCAAAUGAAUUGCUUAAGUCUAUGAACUAGGGGCUAAUUACUCAUCAAAAUACAAGGAACCAUGACUUCAAUUUUCUAUGCAAUUCUUAAUGCACCUAAAUUGUGUAUAUUACAAAUGAUGCAAUCUUGAAUGCUAAAAUAAACCAUAAUGUAAAAGUGAGAUAGUAAAGUGAAUCUAAAAACUCAUAAAUACAUCAUGUCAUUCUUUCAAGGGCUCUAUCCUAACAAUUGAUGACCUACCAAAUUAGAUGCAUGAAAUUCAAUAAUAGAAACUUGAACUUUGUAACCAUAUCUACAAUUUUAUAUAAAACCUUGUCAAAAUGGCUUAUGAAAAGUGAUUGAUAUUACAAAAGAACAUAAAACUAAUGAUGGGAAAUGGGUGUUCACAGUUAGUAAGUGCUUUAGUUAUGUGAAAAAUGAAAUCAAAUAUCAAAAGUCAAAGUCAAUGACAAAUAGUUAUGUGAAGAACUUUGUGGUUAUGUAGAGUUCUCUCAUAUUCAAGAUUUCUUGUAGUUUACUUUGUUAAUCAUAUGGUUCUGAAGUUGGAGUUUCUUUAAAUUGGUACAAUAGUAACUUCAUCUUAACUAUUAGAGUUUCCCUCAUGUUGGUAAUUGCAUUGAUUUUUAUGAAAUCAUGAAAAUAUCCAUCAUAAGGUUGUAUAAUUGACAUUUCUAAAUCAAUACCAUAACAAAGAAGUUUAUAUAAAGAAACCUAAAUGGGUUUAUAGGUUAUAAAUGUAAGUGAAAUAUAAUUUCAUCAAUAUCCACCCAUCAAAUAUUUUUGGCUUUAUAUAUAUAUGCAUAUAAAGUUUUUAUCAUGUUAUCCUCAUAUAAAGGUUUAGCAUGAAAACCUCAAUGAAGAUUUCAACCUUGUUGAGAAGAUUCAAUUGGAAUAGGACUUAGCUUUGUUUGCUUUUUGAAGCAUUGCAAGCAUUUUGGUUUUACAUGAAUAAGAGAUUUCAAUCAAGUAGUUGUUAUCAUCAAUAAGGAUAGGUUGUUUCCAUCUUGUCCCAUCAAAAUUCAUGUAAAUAUGCUUAGUUAUCCCUUUGUGAGUCUCAAAGCGAAUUUGGUGUGCCUGAACUAAGAAGUAAACAAAGAAGAGGAAGAAGAAAAAAUAGAAGCUAGUUUAUACUUGAUAUUUGAAGAUGCGUCUUAUUAACAUGUUAGUUUCAUCAGCACUACCACUAUUAUAUAUCAAAACUAAAACUUCAAAUACUUUUUAAUAUAUAGCAUAACAUAUAAUUGUAACAAAAAUUAUAUGAUCAAUUUUAGACAUGUUUUAGGCUUAGUUUGAUUAAGAAAAAUAUAUAUGCAUAGAACUAAUCUAUGCAAGACGAGUCCCAUGGAUAUUCAAAGGAAGAAAAAUUACAACCCCAAGAAGUUUCAUCAUCUACAAAAGAUGAUGUAAAGUUUCUCUGCAAAUUACAACCCCAUUAGAAUUUUCAAUAAAACAGUUGAACAAAGAAAGAUAAAGUUAGUUGCAUGAAACUGAAAAAAAAAAAAUGUUUCCAUUGUUCAUCUCUUUUGAUGUAAAACAAGACUUUCAAAAGCUCACCUUGUUUUUUCUCCUAAAAUUUGGCUUGCCCCAAGGGUCUAAUUCACUAAGGAAGCUAGGUAUGUUCAGACAAACGAUUGACCUUAAGCUACAAAUAAGAAAGAAGUAAUUAAAAAUAUUAUUGAUGUUCAUUUAUCCGAGAACUAAAUGCUAACAAUAGAUCAAUUACAAAAAGUAGAAGUUAGAAAAAAUAGCCUUGCAAGAUAUAAUGUAAUUAAAUUUUGUAUGGUCAUGUCAAGGAGGAUGGCAUUUUCAAUGACCAUUGUUGUUAAAUGAAAAAAAUAUAAAGCUGAAAAUAUAUUUGUUAUUAAUGUUAAGGAGGCUGUCUAGUAGCAAUGUAUUAAAGAAUUAGUAAAUAACAAAAAGCAUUUGAAAAUCAUUUCAUCAUUUGCUUUUAUUAUUAAGCAUGAAAAAUGAUCCACAAAUGGAUCAACUUUGUUGUCUGGAUAUUCUAAGGAUGAUCACAAUCUAUUUUAGUUUUUGAUUCAAAAUUUUAUUUAUGAAUUAAACAAUUAUAGAUCUUGCUUUUAAAUUACUUUUACCUUCUUUAUCCUCACUCAAUUUUAGUAUUUUAGCUAAUCUCUAAUACUUGUUCCCAAAUAUUCAUUAAGCUCCACUAGUUUAUCUAAUAUUCACUAACAAUUACUUAUUCUUUGAACAUUUUACAUUCUUCAAGCCUAAAUUUAAAAGAAAAGCAACUCUAGAUGAAAGGUUUGACCAAUGCCCAUCCUUCAAGAAAAUGCCAAACGCAUUUCUUUUUCCUUGCAAUUUUUUUUUUUUUUUUGUUCAAUUUUCUUAUGUUGUAAGAUGUUUCUUCAUUUUCAUGGUAGAAAUAUGUUAGAGAUUCAUGAAUAUUCAUCACUUCUACAUUAUUUAUUCUAGAUAAUUUCUCAACGUCAUCUUAUAUUUUAGAGGCACAUAUGCAUGUGACACCAAUCCUAAGAUGGGGUGACACAUUGUUCUUGUUGGGAUUUUUCCUUCUUAGAUCUUUAUUUGUUUUGAUUAUUGGAUUUUUGGAAUCAAGGCUAGACAUAGAAAUCAUGAUUGCUUCAUUUUCAAUUUCAUGCAUAGAUUGUCUUCCAUGCAUUUAAAAGUCUCACUUUGAACAAUUUACAAUCCUAUAAUCUAAUCUUCUUGUUUUUAGCCAUGCUAUUUAAAUCUUUAUCUUAUAAAGUUUGAUUAGUUUUAAUAUUAUUUUAUUUACUUGUUUAUUUAUUCAUUGUUCAUAGUUUAUAGUUAUUAGAAUACUUUAUCCAAUUUUUCAUCUUACAAAGUUUAAUAGAUUUAGUAUUUACUUGUUUUUGUCAUGCUUAGUUUCAUGUCAUUAGGAUGGUCUCCAUGAAAAGGUUGAUGAUGGUAUUUAAUUUGUUUUAGGUUUGUUGUAUUAGUUUAUUUCCCAUGCCAUUAAAAAAAAAUCUUAUCUUGUAAAAGUUUGAUAGUUUUAACAUCUUCCUUUUUAUCGAUUUUUUUGGCCUAUUUGCCUUAGGAAUUUUAGUUAUUAUCUUGAGAUCCCAUGAUAUUUAAUUUAUGUUUGAUAGUUUUAACAUCUACCCCUUUAUUGAUCUUAGCCUCAUUCCCUUAGAAAUUUUUAGUUAUUACAAAAUGCCAUGCUUAGUAUUAAUUAUUUUAGGUCAACUUGUAUUUUUAAUUUAUCAUGCUUAGGUUACUUCGAUUGUGUUAAUUUAUGUGCUUAUAAAUAACAAUUAUUGUUUUAUUGAUUAGUAUAUAUGUAUAUCUUUGAAUUACUUAGGCAAGUGUCCUUUAGUUUAUUUUAUUAAUUACAUGUUUAUAAAAUCCCAUGUUUAGUAUUAAUUAUAACUUGUAUUACUUAGUUUAUCAUGCCUAGGUUUAUUUUGAUUGAGUUAUUUGACGUACUUAUAUGUUAUAAAUAUUUCUUUAAGAAUUUGUAUGCAUAUUUUUGAGUCCUUUAUGUGAGUCUCCUUUAGUUUAUUUUAUUAAUCAUAAAAUCCCAUGUUUAGUUUUAAUUAGUUUAGGUUAUCUUGCAUUAUUUAGUUUAUCAUGUCUAGGUUAUUUUGAUUGUUAUUUGAUGCACUUAUAAAUAAUUGAUAUUGGAUUAUUGAUUAGCAUAUAUGUUAUUGAGCUAUGUAGGUUAGUUCCCUUUAAUUUGUGUUGUUUUAUGCUUUCGCAACCCCAUGCUAUAGUUUUAUAAACUCAGGUUAGCUUGUAUUCUUAGUAUUCUAUAUUUAGGUUCCUUUGUUAAUAUUGUUUUAUAUACUGUUUGUUAGUUUAUUAAUUAGAGAUUAGUAAAUUUUUUUAGGCUUAGUUUCCAUUAGUUUGUUGAGAUAAUUUUAUGCUUUCAAAAUCCAAUGUUUAGUUUUAUGAAUUUAGUAGUUUGGUAUGUUAAUUUUAUACUUUAAAAAAUCCCAUGUUUUAGUUCUAUAGUUUUAGUAUAAGCCUGUGUUCUAGCUUCUUAUGUUUAAGUGCCUUUGAAUUUGCUAUUUUCUGAUAUUUAGAUUAUAGAAAAUAAUGAAGCAUUUCUUGAUUAUUGUAAUUUAGUUCAUGUGCCUUGAAAAAUUUCUUAGAUUUUAGAAAAUAAUUAAGUAUUUCUUGAUUGUUGUAAUUUAGUUCAUGUACCUUGAAAAUUUUCAUUUGUUAAAUUUGAUUAUUUUUGUUUUAUGAUAUUUAGGUUUUAGAAAAUAGUAGAUAUUUCAUGAUCGAUAAGUAAUGAGGCUAGCUUUUGAUACCUUGAUUUAUAGUUUGUAAUCUUUCAAAUUAUUUAAUUUUUUUUUUAGUUAACCUAUUACAUGUUAGUUUAUUUAAUAUUUCAUGUUUGUUAAUUUAUUUGAUGCAAGUUUGCCAAGUUUUCUUUAUUAAUUAAUUCUUUAAAAAUGUAUUGGUUGAUCGUGUGUAGUUUCUCAAGCUAAUUAGUUUUAUUAGUUAAUGUAUUGCAUAUUAGUUUAUUAAAAUACUUCAAGUUAGUUAUUUUAUUAGAUAAUUUUCCUUUUUAAUUAUUUUUAAAAAAAUGGUAUUGAAAAACUACUGAAAGUUUAAUAGGGAAUACCCAACUAAGGUAAAUGGGGUGAUUAAAAAAUUUAAAUAAAUAUUUGUAUAUCAUACCAAAUUCUUUUAACCUAAUAGAUAUUAGGGGUAUCCCAAAUAACUAAAUGAGUCAUACCUAAAAUCUUUAGAUAUAUAAAAAACUAAUUUUUACCUUUUAGAAAUGUCAUGUGAUUAGUUAAAGAUAAAAUAAUAUAAUUAUUAAUGUUCAAAAUAUAUGCCAGGAGAUGUUAGGGAUGAUAAUAGUUACCAAAAUGACCACUCUAAUCUCAAUAACAACCUAACAAAUCAAUCAAAGGAAUUCAAUAUAAUCAAUCAAAAUAUAAGUAGGAAUAUAAAGAUAUUCAAUGAGACAAAAGAUUUUUACGUGGAAAACCCCAACAAACAAUGGACAUAAAAAAUCAUGAGGUUUAAGACCUACUAAUCUAAAUCCACUAUUUGAAAUCAAGUUACACAUAUUUACUUGACCAUUUUACCCUAAAGACUUACUCUACAGAACCUACAACUCGAUUCACGUUUGCAAUGCAGUAACUUCCUAUUGCUCCUUAGUAGAUCCUUCAGCUACUUCGAAGGGAUGAUAAUCUUCAACCUAAUAAUCAAAGAUCAAAUCUUUGAAUGAGAUAUCAAGAAUGAAAUGGCAUGUUAGGGUUUCUCUCUAAGAUCUUUAAAAAGAUCUUCUUAAUGAAACCCUCUCAACUAAAGCAAAAUCUCUAACCUUUAAUGGUUAUCAAGGAGGUAUUUAUAAGCAAAAGCCUAAACAAUUUCAAUAUCUUAAGUUUUAAAAUUAGAGUUUGAGUGAAAUUCAUCCAAAAUCUGUUUCUAAACUCAAUAAGAUGCUCAUGACCGCUUAAGUAGACUUCAAACCGAUUGAGUGAACUCAAAACCACUUGAGCAGGAUUAAUUGCUUGAGUAGUCCUUAUUUCUUUUGAAAAGUCAUUUUAAAAUAUUUAGUAGGUAGAGAGCAUCUCAUAUUAACCUCUUUGCCUUAAACUAUUAGGAUAGAGCCCUUAAAAGCAUGACAUGAUGUAACAAAAUUUGGAAUUCAUUAUUUAUUUAUUAAUAUUCUAGUUUCACUUUUAUCUAUCCUUAUUUCAUGUAUUACACUUUAUGAGUAUUCUUGUCUACAUCUUUUGCAUUGUACGUGAUUUGGGUGCAGUAGGAGUUGCAUGGAAGAUCCAAGUUAUAGGUUCCUUACAAAUAGAUGAUUUUUUCACAACUGGUUCAUAAGUCUAGGAAAUCCAUUAGAGGCUACAGUGCACCACCUCCUAAUUGGAGGGAUGAUUGGUUUUGGCUAUUGGAAUGGAUUUCCCAUGGUGAGUGCACUAGUGUGUAUGGUUACACAUUGGAUUGGAUCUAUGAUAAGUCAUGACUUAAGGCUAUCAAGUAGUCUUGACCUCACUAAGUUGCCUCAUUGUGUCAUCUCUCAAUCUUGAGAGAAUAUUAAACUUGUGUUAAAUUUAGCAGUGGUUUUGACCUACAAAUGAGAUCGUAAGUUAAUUAUAUAUUCCUUAUGGAUUGGGCCACUGUUAUUGGAAACCGGUAGCAAUAGGUAUUCUUAAUGGAGGCACCAUGAUAUCUCAUGGGAUUGAGACAAUGUGUCCCCUUGGGUGAUCAAAAUGAGGUGUUUUCACAGAAACUAUUGUCAUAGUAGUUCCUUAAGUGGAACUUGACAUAAGCUCUUUGAGAGCUAAGAUAUGUCAAUUGAACACACAAUAUAAGGAUCUAUAACUCAAAAAUAGUAAAGGUAGUCUUGAAAGGCCGAUAGCUUUCACCUUGUUAAACUAUGGACACUAGUUCAUGGGGAGACUAAACACAAUGGAUGGUAGGUCACGAACCUAAGUACAUAGUCUUGUUGUUAAUUACAUAGGAUACUAGAGUUUAGUUGAUUCUUUAUAGUGGGAUGUUGAAUCAACUUUAGAAUUGAAUUAUAAGGGAGCCAAUACUCCUAUAGGUCCCAAUGGUCUCCGCUCUGAGCUCAUAUACCUUGUUGGCAUGGGUUAUGAGGGUUGGAUUGACUCUAGGUUCACUUUUGUGCAUAAAGGCGUUUUGGUAAUUACACAUGGUUGCAUAGGGGUAAAUGAAUAAGGUAUUUGGAUUAGGCUAAUUAAUUAGUUAGUAGGCCUUAUUGGGUUGGUUAAUUAAUUAGGACCCAAUUUAGGCUAAAUUAAGUGACCUACGCUUAUGUGUGCUCAAGUCACCUAAGCCUAGUUCGGAACUUUAUAAAUACCCUAUAGAGGUUAGGUUUCCAUAACCUUUUGUCUUCCACCAUCCAGAGAGAAAGAGAGUCAUAACCUCCACCCUCAUUUCCUCUCCACUCAAAGUGUGCUAAAAACAAGGUUGAGUCAUUAGGUAGAAGCUCGUGGGUUUGUGAGAUUGCCAACAACUUCAAGGUCAUCUUCAAUACUUGGAAUUUAAGGUUUAGGAACAUCUAAACCUAAAAGUUAGUACUUUAACCCUAAAAAAUCAUUUUUGAAAAUUUGAUAUUGUUUUCAUUGCUUAAAUCUAAGAUUUUAACAUAAACAUGAAAAAUUCCUAAGACAAGAUUAGCAUACUUUUUAAGUUCAACUCUCAAACUACGCAAGUAGGACCAUUUUAGGUGAUUCAACUAUUUUAUAUCUAAAUUAACAAAGAUCCUUAAUAUCAAUAUUAUCAUGUGAAGAGUUCCAAUUUUAGGAUUGACCACUCUUACUAUUAAAAUAUCUAGUCUUAUGUUUAAGAAAAUCUUCAUUCCUUAAUUCCUUUGCCCAAACCACUAUUGAAAUUGGCAAUGAUCGAGAAUUGAGAUGGACUUUAAGAUGAUGAUGAAAGUCCAUACCCUUGAUGGGCUUAAUAUUGGAGGCUAUAGGCUUGCCUAUGAACUACUCUUACUUGAUCAUUUGAAUUGAUUAAGAGCUUUAGGGUUUUUGUAAUUACGAUGAUGAAUAAAUUAUCUUCUAUGUCUAAAAAAUUUUGAAAAUUUUUAUUUCAUAAAUUAGAAACAUUUUGUAAUAGGGCAAUGUGAACUUUUAAAAUUUUCAUCACAAUAUUUUUUUGAAAAUUUAAUUUGAUAAGAAAUAUGCUCUCAAAUUCUAAAAUCUAUUUUCAUAAAAUUGUCAUUUACAUAAUUCCAAUUUGAUAAAUAUCUUAUCUUGGAAAUUUUUUCAAAGAAAUUUAUUUUCAUCAAAUUACUAAGUUUCCUUAAAUCAUUUAGUAAUGUCCUUUAAUGAAAGAUUACUUCCUCUAAAAUUUUCCAAAAUAUUUAUUCUCCAAAUUGGGAACUCUAAUAUAAUAAGAAACUUCAAUUUAUGAAAAUUUGAGAGCAUCUCCGAUAAGGAAAUAUGUAAUUUUGGAAGAUUCUAAAAAAAUAUUUUAAGAAAUUUGAAAAUCAUUAAGAAUAAUAAUAAAAUAAGCUUUAGUUCUCACGAUUAAAAAUUCCUCAUAAAACAUACUAUCCUUAUUUCUAUACCUUUUCAAUUUAAUAAAUAUUGUUAGAUUUGGAAUCUAAUUUUCAUACCAAUUUAUUGCAUUAAAAUGAUUAUAACUAGAAGUUCUAAUGAUAUUCUUAAAGAUAAAUUAUGCAUUUUAAACAAAGUUUCAAUUUUUUUUUUAAUUGAGGAAUAGUGCAAUAAGAAAAUUUCUAAAAUUUGAAAAUAAAAAAUAAAAAUCCAAACAACACUUUAUCCAAUAAGGAAAACUUUAAUAAAAAUAUUUAAAAUCCUUGAGAAUAAUUUUAAAAAAGAAAAUUUUGCGCUUUUGAUUUAAAUUUUAUUUUAACAAAAUUUAUUUCCUUAAUAUAUAGUAUUCAUAAAUUUAAUAAGUAAUAUCUUUUUAGACUCUAAUUUUCUCAAAAAUUUAUUUCCAUCAGAUUACUAAGUUUGUUUUUUUUUUGCAAAACAUAUAUAAUAGGAAAAAUAUAUAUAUUAGGCAUAAAAAAUAUAAAAAAGAAAAUUCAAAUAAUUUCCCUCAGCCUUAGGGAUCCUAUCACAUACUUGGUAAGAUUUCUUGGGAUUUAAAAAUCCAAAUUUACCAAGAUACCCUUAUAACAAAAAUUACGGUUAGUAAAAACAAAAAUCCUUAAAAUCUAGAAAAACAAGUUAGUAUUGGUCGUUGUACAAAGGAGUGUUUGAGUGAGAGAAUGAGUGAGAGCGAGAGAGAGAUAGAGAGAGGAGGGUUGGGUUUUUUGAAAGACCACUAGUAUGAAAGGUAGGGUCUAACCUUAAAACCCAAGGGGUUUAUAUAUACUCUCUUGUGAGCUCAAGUGACUUUGACCCAACUUGGGCUUAGGUCUUAAUCCAUUCCUUAAUGAACUCUAAUUAAUUUAUUAAUUCAAUCUAGAAAAACUUAAAAUAAUUAAUUAUAAUUCUUAAGAAAUCUUUCACUUCUAUCAAAAUGUCUUUAUGCACAUAAAUGAUCAAUUCUCCAUAAAACUUUAAAACUUUAUGCUAAUAAAGACUAUGAGCUUGAGUGGGGCCCACUAAGACUCAUAGGAAAAUAUUUUCUUUUAGAAUCUAAUUCUAAAGUUGACUCAAUAUUCCACUAAAGAAAGUCAAUUGCACUUUCAUAACCUAUGACAUUACACUAAGAUGAAAAUUGAUUAAAUCCAAUUUAAUAAAUUUCUCAAGUUUGUGACCUUUAUCUAUUCGAGUUUGAACUAGGGUCCAUAAUCUAACAUAGUGAAAGCUAUUACACUCUUAAGAUUACGUCUACCAUCCUUGAGUCUCAAAUCCUCCUAUUAUAUGAUCAAAUUGACAUAAUAUAUCUCACAAAGAGUAUGAGUCAAGCUCUAUUAAAGGAAUUACUAUGGUCCCGAAUUUUAGGCUAACAAGUCUUUAAGAUAACCUAAGAGGACACACUAUCUAAAAUAAAAUCUAUGAGAUAUCAUGGUACAUGUCUUAAGAAUACCUAUUGCUACGUACUAAUUAAUAGUGACCUAAUCCAUAGGGAAAAUAAAUACCUUAACACUAGUAUAGUAUUCUGUCAUGGUCUAGAGACUAUAUGAUAUAGUAGCAUGAUGAAAUCAUGAUCACAUGAUAGUCAAUGUCACAAUUCACCAUAGAUCUUAUCUAAUGUGUAAUCAUACACACUAGUGCACUCAACAUGGAAAACCUAUCUAAUGAUAAAGGUAAGUCAUCUCUCUUAUUAGGAAGUAGUGUGCUAUAACCUUAAAUGAAUUACCUAUGUCCCUGAACUAGCUAUAAGCCACUCGUCAAAAUACAAAGAAUUCAUAACUUCAAUCUUUUGUGCAACUCCUAAUACACCCAAGUUAUAUAUAUUACAAUCAUGCAGUCUUGAAUGAUAAAAUAAACCAUAAUGUAAAAGUAAGACGGUAAAGUGAAUCUAAAAACUCACAAAUAUGUUAUGUCAUACUUUGAAGGACUCUAUCUCCACAAUUGAUAAUCUACCAAAUUAAAUGCAUGAAAUUCAAUAAUAAAAACUUGAACUUAGUAACCAAAUCUACAAUUUUAUAUAGAACCUUGUUAAAAUGGCUUAUGAAAAGUGAUUGAUAUUACCAAAGAAUAUAAAAUCAAUGAUGUGAAAUGGAUUUUCAAACUUAGUAAUUGCUUUGGUUAUGUGACAAAUGAAAUUGAAUAUAAGAAAUCGAAGUCAAUGACAAAUGGUUAUGUGAAUAACAUCUUGGUUAUGUAGAGUUCUCCCAUAUUCAAGAUUUCUUAUAGUUUAAUUUGUCAAACAUAUGGUUAUGAAGUUGGCCUUUCUAUAAAUUUGUACAAUAGUAGUUUCACCCUGACUAUAAGAUUUUCUCUCAUUUUGGUAAUUGCUUCGAUUUUUAUGUAAUCACUAAAAUAUCCAUCAUAAGGUUGUACAAUCGAAUAUCUAAAUCAAUAUCAUAACAAAGAAGUUUAUAUAAAGAAACCUAAAUGGGUUUAUAGUUUAUAAAUUUGUGAAAUAUGAUUUCAUCAAUAUCCUCCAUCAAAUCUUUUUGCUUGUAUAUAUAUACAUAUAAAGAUUUUAUCAUGUUAUCCACAUAUAAAGGUUUAGUAGGAAAUCCUCAAUGAAGAUUUCAACCCUAUUGAGAAUAUUCAAUAGAUGUAGGACUUCUAGCUUUGCGUUUGCAUUUUGAAGUUGAAGUUGCAAGCAUUCUAGUUUUAGAUGAAUAAGAGAUUUCGAUCAUGUAGUUGUCAUCAUCAAUAGGGGUAUGUUGUUUCCAUUUCAUCCCAUCAAAACUCAUGUAAAUAUGCUUAGCUAUCCCUUUGCAAAGCUCAAAGCGAAUUUGGUGCACCUGAAUUGAGAAGUAAACAAGAAGAACAACAAUAAAAAGCAGAAGUUAGUCUAUACUUGGACAUUUGAAGAUGGAUAUUAUUAACAUGUUGGUUUCAUCAUCACUACCACUAUUGUAAAUCAAAACUAAAACUUCAAAUACUUAUCAAUAUUUAGCAUAACAUAUAGUUGUAACAAAAAUUAUAUGAUCAAUGUUUAAACGUGUUUUAAGCUUGGUUUGAUUGAGGAAAAUAUACAUGCAUAGAACUAACCUGUGCAAGACGAGUCCCAUGGCAAUUCAAAGGAAGAAACUUUUCCGCAUGCCAUGAAUCUCUAAAUCCUAUAAUCUCAAGAAGUCCAUCAUCCACAAAAGAUGAUGUAAAGUUUCUCUACAAAUUACAAUCCCAUUAGAAUUUUUUAAUAAAACUGUUAAACAAAGAAAGAUAAAGUUAGCUUGAAUGAAACUGUAUAUAUAUAAAAGUUUCUAUUUUUCAUCUCUUUUGAUUGAAAACAAAACAUUCAAAAGCUUACCUCUUUUUUUCUCCUAAAAUUUGGUUUGCCCCAAGGGUCUAGUCCACCAGGGAAACUAGGCAUGUUAAGACAAACAAUUGAUCUUAUGCUACAAAUGAAAAAAAAAAAACAAUUAGAAAUAUUAUUAAUGUUCAUUCAAACAAGAACUAAAUGCUAACAAUAGAUCAAUUGCAAAAACUAAAAGCAAAAAAAAAAAAAAAACAACAAAUAGUCUUGCAAGAUAUAAUAUAAUUAAAUUUUGUAUGGUCAUGUCAAGGAGAAUGACAUUUUCAAUGAAUGUUGUUGUAAAAUAUAUAAACCUGAAAAUAUAUUUCUUAUUCAUGUUAAGGAGGCUAUCUAGUAUUGAUGUAUUGAAGAAUUAGUAUACAACAAAAAGCAUUUGAAAAUCAUUUCAUUAUUUGCUUUUAUUAUUGACCAUGAAAAAUGAUCCACAACGAGAUCAACUUUGUUGUGUGGAUUUUCUUAAGGAUGGUGAUAAUCCAUUUUAGUUUUUGAGUUAAAAUUUUAUUGAUGAAUUAAACAAUUUUAGGUCUUGCUUUUCUAUAAAUAACUUUGGUCUUCCUUAUCCUCACUCAACUUUAUUCUUUUAGCUGAUUUUUAAUAAUUGUUGUCAAAUCUUCAUUAAGCUCCACUAAUUCAUCUAAUAUUCAUUAAAAUUUACUUAUUGUUCAAGCAUUUUACAUUCUUGAAGCCUAAAUUUAAAAUAAAACCAACUCUAGAUGAAAAGUUUGACUAAUACCCAUCCUUAAAGAAAAUGCUAAACUCAUUUCUUUUUCCUUGCAAUAUCAUUUUUUUUUUCUAUGUUGUAAGAUGUUUCUUCAUUUUCAUAGUGGAAAUAGGGCAGGUUCAUGAAUACUCAUCACAUCUACAUCAUUUAUUCUAAGAUAAUUUUUCAACCUUGUCUUAUAUCUUAGAGGCACAUAUGCAUGUGACACCAAACAAUUAAAAAAAAUAAAGAUGAUGUGACACAAAGAUGGAAGUUACAAUGUAUGUCAACCUCAAGACAAAACUAAUAGAAAAUAAUGUCAUUAUUUUACCUUCGAGGUAACUUUAACUUCUUCCAUUGAUGUUGUUGAUCCUUGAUUUUAACAAUUAUAGGCAAAGUAAUGUUCCUGCAUCAAUGAAGUUAUUCUUCUCACAUUUUUUUCAAACAAUAAAAGUAAUAAUAUUAAUAUAGUAAAGAAAGUCUACACUUUUAAAUAUGAUUAUGGGAAAAAUACAUGAUCUACACCAUAACCAAUUAGAAAUGCUUGAACAACCUUAAUCAAUCUUAAUAAAUCACGUUAUGGUUUAAACAAACUUCAAGAAAUCAUUCGUACCCAUUCAUCUCAAGCUUCAGUUGAACUCACAAAAUUCAAGGCUAUUACAUUAUUAUAUUUUCUCUUAGUAAUAUAUUAUAGUGUAAGUCUAUAUUAAUGAUAAAAUAAUUGUUGGCAACACAUACAGUCACUUAUUCGCAUAUUUUUAGUUCAUUUUUCACUUAUUUUAAAAUUUCAAAUAGUAGUACAGUCCUUAUAGAAAAUAAAAGCAUUCUUACCUUUUACUAACAUUCCAUCCAAAUUAAUUAGCCAGUUAAUAAUAUAUCCCAAAGUAGUAAACAUCUACCCCUUGAUUAUUACACUAAAUUGGAAAAGUAUUAUAGAACAUAGAAAAUUAAUUAAAAAUAGUAGUAUAAUAAUAUCAUAAUGAUAGGAAUUGUACAUCAAAAAGUUACCUUGGCCAUGAUUUAAAGUGAGAAUCACCAAAACAUUCUUGAGCAUCCAACCCUAAUACAAAUAUAAGAAAGAUAUAAUGUCAUAUAGUUAAAGCAUAGGGUAUAAACAAUCAUCCUAUUCUUAUUGCAUGUAAUCUAAUGCACAAGGAGCUAAAUAUUAUCUGUAUCCUUGUUGUGCCUAAAUCUAUAAACAUUCCUAAAUUUAUUUGGCGUGGAAAAUGUUAGAAAUAUGUGGAGAAAGAAAAUAAAGGUAAGCGUGAUAAAUGAUUACUUAAAUGUAAGCAUUCAAGUCAUGUAGAAGACUUAAUGUGAUUUGUUCAUUACUAAAAUCAUAUUUUGCACUUGUUUAAAAUUGAAGACCAUAUACUAUAGAUGAUAAAAAUGUGAUGACUAAACAAUGUGAAAAUCCAAGUAGAAUAAUCACAUAAAUUUGACCACCUAUAUAGAAUGAAUUUGAAACAUCCAUAUCUUACUUUUUAAGAGUACCAUAAAAAAAAUUAAAAUUUCUUGCCUUUUUUACUAAGACACCAAUAAGUUGAUUCUAACGUGAAAAAAUGAAAACCAAAUAAAAUCAAGUUUUAACUUAUUCUAGAUGAGGUCACAAAUUAUUAGUAUAUAUAUGCUUAUUUCAACCAUUCUAGAUUAGAUUAUGUGUAAGACAAACUCAAUACCACAAAAACAUCAUACUUUUUAGUUGAGAAGCUCUUUCACCACAAAAUAUUCUCAAACAAAAUGUCUUACAUGCUUCAUGAGUGUUUUAUAUAUAUAUAAUCUACUUGGGAUUAAGGGAAACCUAAUUAAAUUUCUCUUUUAAGCAACUUAGUCUCUCUCAACAAAAGUAUCAUAUCCAAAAUUAUCCUUGUUAUUGACAACUCCACAUUUUGUAUAUAUGUAUACACACAUAUGUGCAUAUCUAAUUUCUUGUUAGUCUUUAUAAUUGGUUAAAUUUUUCAUUCACAAUCAAGUAUAUAUCAUCCAUAGAUCUCCUUCCAUGUGCAUAUAUAAAUUGGCUAACCCUCCUGAGUACAAGCAAUGUGUGAGCCUACUAUGCAAAAUGCUAAUAAACUUUCCUUAGAAGCCUCUAAUAUGUUUGGUAUCAAUAUGGAAGUCAUCACUAUCUUUAUAUUAAUGGAGGUAUCAAUAGCUUUAUGAUAGUAUAACAUUCUUAUCUCCUUUUAAGAGGAUUGAUAACAUAUUUCUUCAUAUAGGACUUUAAUCAUGAUGACAUAUUUACUUGCCUCCUAUUAGGAUAAAUCCCUUAAAAACAUGACCUGAUGUAAUAAUAAAUGGAUUUCAAUAUUAUUUAAAGAUGAUUUUGGUUUCGCAUUCACUAUCAUUGUACAUGAGAAUACAAAAUGAGACAAACACAUGAGAUGGCUCAAAGAAAGAACAAAAAAAUCUUUCUCUAAGAAAAAAUAAAUAAAUAAAAAGUACUCAAUAAAAUUAUCUCAAGUUGAGUGUUUUAACUAUAGAGGUAAAGGGCACUUUCAUUUAGAUUUCCCUAUUCCUAAAAAGAAAAAGAAAACAUUGCAAAUGACUUAGAGUGAUUUCGAGUCUAAUGAUAAUGAGUCUAUAGAAUCAACUAAAAGUGAAGAUAAUUGGUAGGGUGGAUCCUUAUUAUGAAGACAGUAGGUAGCCAUUUAAUUUGCCAUCUUAAGCCAAAUUUUAUUUUGGUUUUUAUUUGCUCCAUGCUGCCACUGCCAAAUCCCCAUUUUUACACUAAUAAAAUCUUGCAUUUUUUCUUCCAAUAAGAGCCUACCUAUAUUUCAACUAAUGGAAGCAAUCUUUGGCCUUCAAUUAUUGCAUAUAAAUAACAAGCUUCUAGUGAUCAUUUGGUGAGACAAAAAAUUCCAACCAUUGAGAGUUGUGUAGAAAAGUGAGACAAAAAGAGCACUAAGUGAUAAAAUUUUGAUGAUUACGAGCAUAUCCUAGGGUGUGUUAAACUCAAGUAAGGAUAAUACUUGAGUAAUAUUUUGUCCCAAUUUUAUCACAUAGUGAAUUCUUUUCUCAUCUUUGCCCAGUGGAGGUUUCCCUCAUUAUGAGGGUUUUAGCACGUAAAUUAGGUGUUCCUUUUUAUUUGUCACUUUUAUUUUAUGUGGAUUGGCACUGCCACCCAUUUACUAAUUUAAAUUUCUGAAGGUUGACAUAGCCACCCAACUGCUUACUUAGGUGGUGUUUGUUUUUUGGCUGAAUAGAAAAAGCCAAAUAUUUUGGCUUUUUCUAUUCAGCUAAAAGUACCUUAUUGAUACUAACCAACAUAAUUAAAGUGAACUUAUUAUCAAUAAGUUUAAUUUAAUGAUGUUGGUUGAUGUCAAUGAGUUACUUCUAGCUGAAUAGAAAAAACUAAAAUAUUUGGCUUUUUCUAUUAAGUCAAAAAACAAACAUAACCUUAAAUUUCUAAAGGUUGACAUAGCCAUCCAACUUAUUCAUUUAAUUUCCUAUGGAUUAGCAUUGCCACCUAAUUACUAAUUGACAAUUAUGGUGGAUUGGCAAAGCCACUCAAAUAUUACUUGUUGUAAUGUUUAAUAGGUCACACGCAUUCCCAACAACUGGUAUUAGAGCGUGAUUAGGAAGUUCAAGUUCGGGUAGAAUCAUGGCCGAAAAUUAUUUGGGUACCAUGAUUAAAUUUACAGCUACAAAUUACUCAUUUUGGAAAUCCAUGAUGGAGGAUUUCCUCAAUUGACAAGAUUUAUACGAUCAUAUUGAGGGAGAUAAUGCUAAGCCAAGUGAAAUGCCAGACGCAGAUAGAAAGAAAUUAAAGAAGAAAACAUUGGGUUCUAUUUUCCAAUGGGUGGAUAUUAGUCUUUACAACCAUGUUGCCAAAGAGACGAAUCCCCAAACUCUUUGGAAGAAUUUGGAGAGCAUGUAUGAGACAAAAAAACGUACAAACAAAAAUUUUAUUAAUGCAAAAGUUGAUAAAUUUAAAGCUAAAGAAGGAAUGAUCAUUUGUUGAACAUUUGAAUUAUUUUGAAGGUUUGAUCACUCAAUUACCUAUUGCAGGCCUUUCUCUUGAUGAUGAGACCCAGGCAUGCUUGCUACUCAGUUCAUUACCUGACAACUAGAAUACUUUGGUGGUACUAUAGGAAAUUUAGCCCUAGAAGGAAAAGUCACAUUGGGUAUGGUUAGAAAUAGCAUAUUCAAUGAGGAAAUUCAAAAGAAGGAUUUGAUGGGCAAUGACACACAUGCCCUUGUCACAGAGAACAGGGGUAGAAGUAGAAGCAAAGGACGUUAUGGGCAAACAAAUCAAGAGGCAGAUCAAAGUCUAAAGAGAAGAUAAAAUGUUAUCAUUGUGGUAAAAUGGGCUACAUGAAAAGGAACUGUAAAUUUCUAAAACAGGGAAUAGACAAGAACCAAAAGCGGGUAGACGAUAGGAAUACCACUACUACCACCUCUACCAGUGACAACAAAGUGACCUUACUCUACAACCAAGAAGAUUGUUUUCAUGUAGCAGAUCAAGAUGACGAGUGGAUAGUGGCUCAGCAGCAUCAUACCACUAUAUUAAAAAUAGAAUAUUUUUCCAUUUACAAAGUGAGAGACUUUGAUGUUGUGAAAAUGAGAAACACAAGUGUUUCUCAGAUCGUGGAGAUUGGCGACAUCUGCACAUAAACAAGUACAAGGUACACAUUAACAUUAAAAUAUGUGUGACACUUUCUAUGUCUACGUUUGAACCUAAUUUCUAUAUGUAUGCUAGACAAGGAUGGAUAUAGCCACUUUAUUGGUAACAACAAUUAGAAACUCACCAAAGGAUCUUUGGUGGUGGUGUGAGGCAAAUUAUGUUGCUUAUUGUACAAAACACACGUGAAAGUGUGUGAAGUCAACUAAAUGCAAUUGAAGAUGAUGCUUCUCUAGAUUUAUGGCAUAAAUAGCUGCUGCAUAUGAGUGAGAAAGGGUUAUAACUUUUGGCCAAACAGCCCCUCAUUCCUAUAGCCAAAGGCAAUCAAACCCCUAUGACUAUUGUAUAUUUGGAAAGCAUCACAGAGUUUCAUUCCAGAAGAAUUCCAAUCAAAAAUUGGAGAAAUUGGAAUUAAUGUAUUCUAAUGUUUGUGAAUCCAUGGAAAUAGACUCGUUGGGCGGUAACAAAUACUUUGUUAGUUUUAUUGAUGACGCUUCAUGGAAAACGUGGGUAUACCUGAAGUGUACAAAAAAAAUCAGGUAUUCCAAUAUUUUCAACAAUUUCAUGCCAUGGUAGAUAGAGACGAGAAAUCCACUAAAGCUUCUUCAAAUAGAUAAUGGUGGAUAGUACAUCUUUAAAGAACUUAAAGAAUAUUGCUCAAAGCAUGGAAUCAGACAUGAAAAGACGGUUCUUGGUAUGCCACAGCACAGCAGCGUUGUUGAACGGAUGAAUCGAACUAUUAUGGAAAAAUUCUAGUGUAUUUUGAAAAUAGCUAAACUUCCUAAGUUAUUUUUGGGUGAAGCUGUCAACACCGCUAUUUACCUAAUUAAUAGAACACCAUCAGCUCCUUUGGACUUUGAUAUUCCUGAGAGAGUUUAGACUGGAAAUGAUGUUUCAUACUCUCACUUGAAGGUGUUUGGAUGCAAAGCAUUUUUACAUGUACCUAGGGAGCAAAGAUCAAAGCUUGAUGAUAAAACAAUUCCUUGUAUUUUCAUUGGAUAUAGGGAUGAGAAAUUCAAAUACAAGUUGUGGGAUUUAGAAAAGUAAAAGAUAGUCAGAAGUAAGGACAUCGUGUUUCACAAACACGAGACCAUUGAAGAUAUGGAGAAAAACGUGGGUAGUGCAAAACUCACAUAUGAAGGUGUUGCAAAUUUAACACCAGGGCAGACUUCAUUAGAGGGUACUACAAAUGAAACAAAGAUGAAAGGAUCAGAACAAGGAACAAAAAUGGAAAAACCAACCAUUGGGGAUGAGAAAAAUGUAGACGACAAUAAUACAAGAGGUGCUAACCAGGGGAGCAAACCCUUCCACCAGAAAAAGAACCUCAAUUAAGAUAAACUACUGGAGAACUUCAAUCAUCUACAAGGUAUCCCAAUUCUAAGUAUAUUUUAAUUACUGAUGAGGGAGAACCUGAAAGCUUCUAGGAAGUGCAAUCUCACAAAGACAAAGACUAUUGGAUAAAAUUCAUGCAAGAAAAGAUGAAUUCCUUGUGGAAGAACCAUACAUACAAGUUUACAGAACUACCAAAGGGGAGGAAAGCACUCAAGAACAAAUAGGUGUUCAAACCAAAGAAAGACAACGAGAAGUUGUUAAAGUACAAGGCUCGAUUAGUGGUAAAAGGAUUCGGUCAAAAGCAAGGUAUUAAUUUUGAUGAAAUAUUUUCAUCUGUUGUGAAAAUGUGUUCAAUUUGAGUUAUACUGGGAUUAGCAGCAAGUAUCAAUCUCCAAUUGGAGCAACUCGACAUAAAUACUACAUUUUUGCAUGGUGAUCUUGAUGAAGAGAUCUUUAUGGAGCAACCAGAAAGCUUCAAGGUUAAAAGGUAGGAGACCAUGGUUUAUAGGUUAAAGAAAAGCCUAUGUGGAUUAAAACAAGCACCAUAAAAAUGGUAUAAUAAAUUUGAUUCUUUCAUGAUGAGUCAAGAGUACAAGAGAACAGUUGCAGAUCCAUGUGUAUAUGUUCGGAGAUUCCUUGACGAUAAAUUCAUCAUUCUCUUAUUAUAAGUUGAUGAUAUGAUGAUUGUAGGACAAGAUGCAGAUAUGAUUUGGAAACUAAAAAGAGAAUUAUCAAAGACAAUUGACAUGAAGGAUUUGGGUAUUGCAAAGCAUAUCUUGGGGAAGGAGAUCCUACGAGAUAUAAAUUGACAAUUUUCUUCCAUUUCUUAUUAAUUAUGAUGAACUUAUCUUUAUAGGUCUUAACAACUAAAAAAAAUUUGAGGUACCACAGAAUUGAAUUUAGGAAGGUAAAAAGUCAUCAAAUUUGAGGAAAUGAUGUAUUUUUGGUAUGGUAAAGUUUUUUUAAAUGGUAAUUAUAUGCAAAAGUGUUGAAAAGGCAAUUGAAAAUAGCUUGAAACUUGUGAAAUUGGAUAAUGUACUUAGUGGAAGUUCAAAUAGAUAAGAGGGGCAUUCAAAUAGUUUGUUAUUUUUUAAAGUUUCAAAUUACAUUUUGAAUUACAAAAGCCUUGAUUUUAAAGAGAUAUAAAAAUUGGAAACUCUUCAUAUUUAGGGUUUAGGUUUCUUGAGUAUAGAUUUGUUUCUUUCAACUUAUGUUUCCUAAGAACAUUCAUAUUAUAAUGAAUUGCAUAAUAUUUAUGAAAAAAAAAAAAAGUACAAGCAAGCUAAACCAUACCUAUUAUAAGAUAGUUCCAAAAUCUCCCACAAAGAUCUUUGUCACCUUCCUGGUAAGAUAUCAUCAUAAGAAGUACAAAUUAGUAAGUUAAAAAGUCUUAUCCACUUCAAGCAUUAAUUCAAAUAAUGAAUUAUUCAUUAAUUAAGUUAAAAAGUCUUACCAAUAAAAGAAAAUGCUACCAUGUAGCUAGUAAAGAAAAUGCAUAUUAUACAUUUUUUUUUAAUAUCUCCCAUAUACAUAAUUUGUAAUAUCUAAAAUUAUUUAAUUAAAAGAGGUGGAGCAAGUUUAAACCCUCAUAAGUCAACUGAAAAUGAUGCCCAAUCAACUAUUUAUACUAAUGUGACUACUAUAAAAAUAGGAGUACACAUGUAUGAUAUGUAGAUAUAUUUUGAAGCACAAUGGUAGAUAGCAAAAAGUAGGGGAAAGUGUCUUCACCCAUUGAAAUAUAUGUUCCACCUUUAUGGGUGUUUGCUCAAAAUAAUGCUCGAUAAACUAUUUGUACUAGGAGAGAUAGAGCUAUUACCUAGCCUUAGUUCAGACUCUUGAGUAUACAUGGGUUCAAUGGUAAUUGUUCUUCUUGUUGAGUAAACUUACAAUGGUUUUAUAACAAUAGUUUCUAGACUAAUGUUAGCAGAAGGAUCCAAUUCAUUUUUUUAAAAACUGGUUUAAUUCAAGCAUUGUGGCAUUAGGAAAAGAUUAGAUCAUGUAGUCUAUGUCUCCUGAGUCAAUGACCCAAGAGCCAAUGAAGGAUAAAUAUGAGGCCCUUAAAGUAUGAGAAAUCAAAGAUUGCCUUAAAUUAUGAGAAAUAGAAGACUUACUUGUUUGUGCCAAAGAACACAUAAUUAUUUAUUCAGAGUACCAAAAAAUAUCUUAGCCUUUCUAUCUCUUCUUUGUUUAGUUCUCCCAAUUCUUCACUAUUGAAACUAUGUUUUUCUUAAGGGCCUCCUUCAAAAUUUGCCAUAAUUUCUUGAUUACGAUUUUUCCAUGCUUUAUUUUCCCUAUUCUAAUCCAAGUUUUAAGGUUUUCCAUUAAGUUUCCUAUACUUCUCUUUGGUGUUUUAGGGCUUCUAGUAGUAAGUACACUAAAGUCCUUCACGAUUGAGAAUUUUCAACUUAUCAAGACGCCCAGUUUCUCUAACAAGAUUUAAGUUGAAUUUGUUUGGCAUUAUAGCAACCAUGGAAAAACCAUGAAUAAAAUACGGUUCAAGCAUCACACCUCUUUGAUUUUCUUUAGCACAAAUGAUGGAGAUGAUUUCAUUCAUGGCUAGAGGCUCCUCUUUUCCUAGCACUUAGACCCAUACUUGGUUAAACUAUAAAUUGGGCCUAGCAAGAAAUUCAAAAAUUCAUUCUUUUUCUAUAAUUUUUUUUGGCACUAUUGCAUCUUCACGGCAUUUAAUUUGAAUGUUAUGGUAGUAGUCAAUUUCCUAUCACAAAUUCUUCAUAAUAUUGGCAAGUUUAAUUACAAAUCUAGUUCCUUAUUUUAUAGUUGAAAUCUUCACCUUGAUUUGAAAAUUUGAGUAGAAUCUCAUAUCUUUGAAUAGGUUUGUUGAAUGGCUUUGUAAACCUCCCUAGUUGUUGUAAAAAACAUACAUGUUCCACUAAUUUUAGGGGACAUUGAAUUCCAUAACCAAGACAUGAUCAUAGAAUCCUUUUCAUCCCAACUCUAAAAUUUUAGAUUUCCAAGUUUUAGUCAUAUGCCAAUUAAAUGGUUCAAUUUUCCUUUACCCUUUAGGGAGGUUCACACUAACUAAGAAUAUUGAAGAUAAUUCUUCUCAAUAAGGUGCUAAGUAGCUUGGAAGUUCUACAAUUCCCUCAUGGUUUAGCUUAGCAGCGCUUUGAAUGUCGCCUUAAUAGAACUCUGGUAGCAGGAGUAUGGUUCAAUAUUUCAAACAUAAUAGUAGUGAUGAAUGGAGACAAAACGAAUAAUAAAUAAAUCAACAAUGAAACUCAAGAAAUCAAAACACCACAAAAAACUUCAAAUAAGGAUAGGUAGCACUCAAAGUUUUCAUCAAGCAUACAAAGAAACCAGAGAAAGCUUUGAUACCAUGUGAAAUUCUAAAUUAAAAUCAAGAGAAUGUAUUAAACCAACUUCAAUGUAUAUGUAUGUAUGUAUGUAUGUAUUAAUUAAACAAACUUCAGUGUGUAUUAUUAUUAUUAUCUAUUUUACCAUUUUUUUUUUCAUAUUUAUGUAAUUUUCAUAAUUUUUUGUUUUAAAAAGACACACACACACACACACAUAUGUAUGUAUGUAUGUAUUAAACCAACUUCAAUAUGUAUUAUUAUUAUCUAUUUUACCAUUUUUUUUUCAUAUUUAUGUAAUUUUCAUAACUUUUUGUCUUAAAAAGAUUUUUUUCCAAAUUUUUGUUCAAUUUUUUUAUAUUUCCUAAUAUUUCUAUAAAACUUCACUAUUGAUAUUUUCAUAAUUUAUGAUAUUUUAGAAACCAAAAGAUUAUAAUUUCUUUCAUAGCUUAAAAUACAUGGAAAUUUUACUAAAAGUGUGAUCAAAAUCAAUUUUUUAAAUGAAUGUCAUAAAGAAAAAUUAUAUAUGAAACAAAUCAUGGGUUAUAAAGUAAAAGGAAACAAAAAUAAAGUUUUGAAUUGUACAAAAGCUUUAUAUAACUUCAAGUAGUAAUGGGUCAAGAUCAUGGAAUAGUAUUUUGAUAGAUAUUUUCAAUAUAGUAUUCUUACUAAAUAUCUUGUGACCAUGUGCUCUACAUAUAGAAAAUAAAAAUAUGAAAUACUUGAUUUUUACCAAAAAUUAUCUAAGCACGGAAGUGCGAGAUAGAGGAAAACAUCCAAAUCAAGAUUACAUCAAAAGGGAUCUACACUAAUCUAAACUAAAACAUGAAGAAAUCAAAACCCUAAAAAUAUAUCAAAGAGGCCUUAAGACAAACCCCUUUCCAACUGCAAAAUGGGAUAUUUAUACCAUUCCAAGGUUGCCUUAACGUGGAGAGAUGUUGAGAAAUUUUAAUCCCAAAGAUCUAAAGGAUAGGAGAAAAAUUCCAAAAAAAAAUGUGUCCAAGCAUAAACAAUUAUUUUAAUAGAGCUGGUGUCACCCUUAGGAAAGCAUUGCACCCAAAGUGGCAAUAAGCAAAGGGGAGGUUGCAAAUUUGGGCACCAUGGGUCAUCAUCCCAAAAUGGAAAAUGGCAUUAUGCAUUCUCUCCUCCUCCCUUUCCCCUUUCCCCUUCCCCCCUCCCCCCUCCCUCCUCCCUCCCUCCUUCCUUCCCUUUCCUAUUUCAUGUCCUUGUACUCUUCUCACUCCAUUUCAAUACUUUGACUAAGCUCCCUUAUAUGCACUUAUUCACUCAAAAUAGUUUCAAGACAUUAAAAAAUAGAGAAAAAAUGUAAGAAAGUUAGAGCAUAUGCAAGGUAGCACAAAUUUGACUGAUUGGACAAUACAAUUGAUGCAAAUAUCACACAAAAUUUGAUUUCUACUUUACUGUCCCAACAAUAUUUAACAUCAAUCAAUGUGUUUGUUAGGUAAUUUGACAAAAUUUUUAAAAAAAAAAAAAAAAAAAGCUUAACAUGCUAUAAGAAAAACCAAUUGAGAUCCAAAUGGACCAUAAAUUAGCAUCUACAUUGGCAAAAAAUAUGAUGUUCCAUGAUCAAAACAAAAACAUUGACAAAAGAUAUCCUUUCUUAAAAAAAAAAUGCAUAAUGAAGAAGUAAGUGGAAUUGAAGAACCUUGGUACUCAUGAUUAAAUUUUUGACAUAUUCGUAAAAGUAUGAAUAUUUAAUAAGUGCAUUGUGCUAAUUGAUUUUUAUAUUAAUUGUGGAGACAAAUACUAUAAUAUAUAUUAAACUUUUUAAUGUUACUUUAACUCCAUUGAUUGAUGGUCCAAGCAUAUUUUUACUUGGCUUUUUUACUUUGAUUAUAGAAACUUGAAUAUGGAAAUGACAAAGUUUAUGCUAUAUAUUAAUAAAUUUACUAUAAAAUAUUGAUACAACUACAAAAACAAUCAUGAUCCCAAAACAUAUGCAUUGUAAAAAAUUAAUGCAUUAAUUAUUUGUGCAAAAGCAAAGUUCUCAAUUUGCAAGCAAAAUAUUUGUUCUCUUGCAAAUUAAAAAAAUGUUAUAUGACAAAACAUUACCAUGAGCAAUAAGUCGUCUUCAGAAACAUGUUGAACGCGAAGAGUCUUUGGUAUCUCAAGACAAUCUGGAAUUGAUGUCCUCAUUAGAAAAAUCCAACUGGAAUAGAUUCAAACUAAAAUCAUUUAAAUUUGGCCCUUGGAAACUUCCAACAAUAAUUAGAACAAGAAUGUGAAUUCUUAAUUACCAUAAAACAAUGUACUCGGACUAAUCAAAUAUCAAUUAUUUAAGAAUGUGUAAUAAUGGUAAUCUUCUAUUAUGAAAUGUAUACAUUUGUCAGUGUUGGAAAGUAACUCAAAUUUCUAAUUAAUAUAUACUCACUUCUAUGAAGAAUAUUAUAUAGAAGAUCUCCUAUGUUGCUAUGUUAUUACAAUAUUAUAGUUUUUUUUUAUAGGACAAGGAAAGUUAUUUGGAACGUCUCUAUAAAUAUUCUAGGUUAUAAGGGGGGGAAAAGAAAUAAGAUGAAAUGGGUUUGUCUACAUGCUAGAUAGAGAUAUGAGAAAGAGUAGAAGACGCCUAAUGAAAUGAAGACUCAAGGUUCAAGAUGUAGAUAUAAGGAAUAAAGAAAUAUGAGAUUUUUUAGGACUUGACAUUGGUAUAUAAGGAACAAAGGUUCAAGAUCUGUAAUAUUCUCUAUAAUAUAGUAGAAUGAUUUCUCUUAUUAGUAGAUAUAGGAAUUAUUUUUAAACUAUGCUAAAACCUUUUAUUCCUUUGUGUGUUGUUUAUUUUAUCUUUAUAUUCUAACACUAAUAUAUCAGCACUAAAGCUUUCACUAGUACGAAAAAUUGGUGUCAAAGCUCAAAUUGAGAAUUCUAGAAGAAGCAAAGAGAACAAAACAGAAAAGAAGAUUACAAAGGAAUUUUAGUUGAAGGUAGAGUCAGUUGUUCUCUCAUCAAAAUGUGAUACAAGAAAUGUGUUUUCUUUAUCCAAGAUAAGCAUAGCUUCUCCUGCACACUUAUUCCAUCUUAAAAGGUAGAAAUGAUGAAGUGUUUGAAUGAUUUAAAUCCAUAGCACAUGACGGGAUCAUGGCACAUGACAAGACUGUGAUGCACAAGGGUAACAAUGAUAUUUUAGGAGUGUGGCGCACAAUGGAAGUUAUGAUAUAUAGUAAGGAUUUGAUUCACAUAUGUUUAUUAAAGUGUGUAUCAAAGAUAGAUAAAAGAUAAACUUGAUAGAAUUUGAUCAAGAUGAUAAAGAGUUCAGAUUUCCUUUUAAGAUGGUUCUAGUUAGUACUAGAUUAAUGUUUGAGUUAAUUAAAAGAAAGCCAAUAUGCUUUGUACAUUGCAUCAAAUGAAAAAAAAUAAAAAUUAGCACACUCUUUACAUGAUUUUAAUGCUCUUUGGUUGAGAAAUUUCUAGACAAAUCCACAAUUUCAUAUUAAGGCAAAAGCAUUUAUAAUGUAUACGAUUAUAAAUUUUAGUAACUUCUAGUGAAGUGAUCUAUCUAAAUAAGAGAGUAGUAUUUAAUAAAUAAAAUAAACCUAGCUCAUUAAAAACCACAAAAGUAUCCUACACGAGCUCCCACUAGAAAGAACUUUUCAAUUCCAAAAUCUUGUACUUGAAAGUGUUUUGGAGUUUGAUGCAAUAGAGAACACUAUAGAGCACUUCAAGAAUCAAAAAGAGCUUUUGGGCAGCCCAAAAGUUGCACCAAAAUGGUGCUCCAAUUUGAAGGAUGCUUAAUAUGGAAUUAUUUAGUUAGAAACAAACGAUAAUAUAUAUAAAUGAAGUGAAUUGCCUAAGGUUUUGGUCAAGUAGAAAUAUUCAUUAUUUUAUUGACUUUAAAAGGUUUAUUUGAUCCUAUGUUGCAAUUAAUUAGGACUUGAAAUUAAGUUACAAACUAAACUUCCAUUUCUAGCUAAGAAUUCAAUAGACUAAUAGAUUAAUUGCGGCUCGAGUGCAAAGAACUAUAAUUUUCCGAGCUUAGAACCAACUAAAAUUUGGUUAAUGUAGCAAAUAUCUAACCACAUUAAUGCAGAGAUAGAUGUUAUCGAAGAUCAAGCAACUGGGUCGUCAAGGUUUAAAUAGUAAUCCCUUUAGGCCCGCAUAUGGAGCAUGUCACCAACCACAAUGGAAGGAAUUAAGAAGGCAUAUCUUUUUACAUAAUAGUAACCAAUGGAAGGCUUUUUUUUAGUCUUUUGUUUUUUCUUUUCUAAGACCAUGAGUGGUGGAUUAAGAAGAAUUGAAUCAUAAUUAGGGGAAUAGAUUGGUUCUAUCCCAUAAUAUAAAUUUGAAUAUGUACCAAAUGCUCAGCUAAGGGAGUAAUGCUAUUUGUUAAUUGUUGAUCACAUUGAAGCUUGAAGCUCAAAGGUAUAGGACUAUGGUGAGGCAAUUGGUACGGCUUAUAUAUAUUAUGCAUUCUGUUAGUAACAUUCAAACACAAUUAGCAUACUAUGAUUUGUAGAUUCACGGAGCUAACAUCUCUCUGAAAUGUAAAAUUAAUUAAAUAAGAUUAGAUUUAGAUCUUUCUCAUAUUGUUUCCAGUUUCACAAGGGAAUGCCUACUGUGGACUGCUAGACAGAUUGCAAAAUUAGUCAACAUAUAUGGCAAUAGAAUAAUAUACCAUAGGAAUAACUAAGGUGCAUUAGGCAUAAAAACCACUGACAAUGACAUAUCUACAAUGUACCUAGUUAGACAUUUACCAUAUCCAUCAGUAAGGAAAUGUUAAGCGCCACUAAGCCUCUAUUAACUAGACCAUCACAAUCCAAACUUUUCACCAAAAAUGAAUAUAAAGACUGAAGAGAUUAGUUUUCUGAUAUUGGACACAAAAAUUGAAGUGCAAGCAGUUGGACCAUGUUAAUUAGCUUUCUAAAGCAUGCCAUCCAAACAACAAAUGAAAUUCAAAAAGUCACGUACCAUUUUCCUAACUAUAACUCAAAUUUCUAAUUAAUAUAUACUCAUUUCUAUGAAGAAUAUUAUAUAGAAGAUUUCCUAUGUUGACAUGUUAUUAUAAUAUAUAUAUAUAUAUAUAUAGAAUAAGGAAAAUUACUAGGAAUGUCUUUAUAAAUAUUCUAGGUCAUAUGGGGGAAAAAGUAAUAGGAUGAAAUGGGUUUGUCAACAUGCUAGAUAGAGAUAUGAGGAAUAAUAGGAAAACACCUAGUGAAAUGAAGGUUCAAGAUUCAAGAUGUGGAUAUAAAGAACAAAGAAAUAUAAGAUUUUUUAGGGCUUAAUAGUGGUAUAUAUUUUUCUACCUUCUGUAAUAUUUCCUACAAUAUAGUAGAAUGAUUUCUCUUAUUAGUAGAUAUAGGCAUGACUUUUAAACUAUGUUAAAACCUUAUAUUCAGUUGUGUGUUGUUUAUUUUAUCUUUGUAUUCUAACACUAAUAUAUUAGCACUAAAGCUUUCACUAGUAUGACAAAUUGGUAUCAAAGCUCAGAUUGAGAAUUCUAGAAGAGACAAAGGGAACAACACACAUAAGAAGAGUAUAGAAAGAAUUUUAAUUGAAAGUAGAGUCAAUUGUUCUCUCAUCAAAAUGUGAUACAAGAAAUGUGGUUUCGUUAUCCAAGAUAACCAUAGCUUCUCUUGUACACUUAUUACAUCCUAAAAGGUAGCAAUGAUGAAGUGUUUAAAUGAUUUAAAUACAUAGCACAUGAUGGGAUUAUGGCACAUGACAAGAUUGUGAUGCACAAAGGUAACAAUGAUAUUUUAGGAGUGUGGUGCACAAUGGAAGUUAUGACAGGGAGUAAGGAUUUGAUUCACACAUGUUUAUUAAAGUGUGUAUCAAAGAGAGAUAAAAGAUAAACUUGAUAGAAUUUGAUCAAGAUGAUAAAGAGUUCAGAUCGAUUUCUGGUUCUAGUUAGCACUAGAUCAGCGUUUGAGUUAAUUAAAAGAAAACCAAUAUGCUUUGUACAUUGCAUUAAGUGAAAAAAAAAAAAAAAACUGGAAAAUUAGCCCGCUCUUCACAUGAUUUUAAUGCUCUAUAGUCAAGAAAUUUCUAGAUAGAUCCACAAUUUCAUAUUAAUGCAAAAGCAUUCAUAAUGUAUUAAACUAUAAAUUUAGUAACUUUUAGUGAAGUAAUCUAUCUAAACAAGAGAGUAUUAUUUAAUAUAAAAAAAUCAAAAGAGAGUACUAUUUAAUAUAAAUUUUUUUUUGAAACCUAUCUCAUUAAAAAGACUUCCACAAAAGUAUCCCACUAGAAAGAACAUUUCAGUCCCAAAAUCUUGUACUUCAAAAUGUUUUGGAGUUUUAUAAGUGCAAUAGAGAACACUAUAGAGCACUUCAAGAAUCAAAAAGAGCUUUUGGGUAGCCCAAAAGUUGCACCAAAAUGGUGCUCAAAUUUGAAGGAUGCUUAAUAUGGAAUUAUUUAGUCAGAAACAAACGAUUAUAUAUAAAUGAAGCGGAUUGCCUAAGGUUUUGUUCAAGGAGAAAUAUUAAUUAUCUUAUUGACUUUAAAAGGUUUAUUUGAUCCUAACUUGUAAUUAAUUAGGACUUGAAAUUAAGUUACAAGCUAAACUUCCAUUUCUAGCUAAGAAUUCAAUAGACUAACAGAUUAAUUGUGGCUCAAGUGCAAAGAACUAUAAUUUUCCAAGCUUAGAACCAACUAAAAUUAGGUUAAUGUAGCAGAUAUCUAACCACAUGAAUGAGGAGAUAGAUAGAUGUUAUCGAAGAUCAAGCAACUGGGCCGUCAAGGUUUAAACAGUAAUCCCUUUAGGCCAGCACAUGGAGCAUGUCACCAACCAAAAUGGAAGGAAUUAAGAAGGCACAUCUUUUUACAUAAUAGUAACCAAUGGAAGUCUAUUUUUUUUUUCUUUUCUCAGACCAUGAGUGGUGGAUUAAGAAGAAUUGAAUCAUAAUUAGGGGUAUAGAUUGGUUCUAUCCCAAAAUAAAAUUUUGAAUAUGUACCAAAUGCUCAGCCAAGGGAGUAAUGCUAUUUGUUAAUUGUUGAUCACAUUGAAGCUCAAAGGUACAGAACUAUAGUGAGGCAAUUGGUAAGGCUUAUAUAUAUUAUGCAUUCUGUUAGUAACAUUCAAACUUUAUUACCUGUCUAUCAAUAUCUCUUCAGCAUCGUAUAAUUUAGUCAAGUAAAAUGCGGGCCUAGCAUCUGUAUCAGAAAGUUGAUUUCCCUGUCAAGUAGUUAAAAAAAAACCAUCUCUUUUAUCUCUUUAUGUAGUAAUAGAAAUAGGAUGAAGGUAGCAACUUAUAUGAAAAGAUGAUAAUUAUUGUAUUACCCAUCCAAGAGAAAUUGAAAUGUUAACUUGUGUUCCCAAAGGCAUCACACCAAUUGGCGGUGUCGAAUGGAGUUCCAUAUCAUAGACUGCUUGUAAAACCCGAUUUGUUGUAGCAUCACCACCAAAAACCUGGUGAAGUAUAUAUAUAUAUAUAUAUAUAGUAAUUAUGAUAAAUAAAAGAAAAAAAGAUUUUAAUAAAAUAAUUAAUGCAUUUGUUUAAUAUUUUAUUAGAAUAAAUAAUUAUUGAAUUUGAGAGAAUUCUCCAUUUUAAAUUUCACUCGUGUCAUAUUCACUUAUAUCACUUAUGUCAUUUUAAUUAUAUCUCUAUUUUUAUAAUUAUUGACAAACUGGAAUAAUGAUGAUUCAUACAAAAAUUAAUUUUCUAUGCUAAUUAAUAAAUUUUUUUUUGUAAUUUUUUAAAUUAACAUAAGCAACUUUAUAUUUUAAGUGGAUUAAAAAUUUGAAUAUAAGAUAAUUUAAGUAAUUAAGAGUGGUUUAUCAUUUUAGUUUUCUGUGAAUAUUUGAAAUAAUUAAUAAGGUAUGGGUCGGAUGAGAUAAAAUUAUGUUUGAGUUUGAGCUUAACUGUUUGUUUUAUUUUUUUCCUAGUAUUACUAGAGUUUGAAUGACGCGCCCUUAGAAUUCUAAAGAGCCGAAGCCCAAAUUGGGCCCAAUUCAGUCACAAGAUUCAAUUGGGAUGUUAAAUUACAAAGGAAGCCUUAUAAUUGAAAUUUGAGACAAGAUUAAAUCUUAAAGAUCACAACUACUCAACUUACCACCAUCCUCAGUCUGUCUGGAACGUCAAAAUCACUUAUCUCCCAUAUUUCUUUGAAAAACUCUUGAAUGUGAUGUGAUGGCAAUUGAGGAACAACCUCUGAAAUGUCACAAACCUGAAAAGUAAAGUUAUUCAAAGCAGCACUAAAACAAAUCCUCUGAAUCAAUCUUGAGGGUGCUUUAAAAUCUAACCCUUUUUGUGGCCCAGUUGCUACGAAGAGAUAGGAGCAAAUCGUUCCCCUGAUUGGCGUCGUCUUUGGGGUUGAUCAUUACAUAAAAUAAUAGUUUCCUUUCUCCUAGUAACUCAUGUAUGUGAUCCCAACUGCCACAGUUAAUACACGUUUAGUAUAUGAAAAUAGGAAUUGGAAAGCCAUGAGUAUGGUUGAAUGCCCGAGUAGAUGAUUUAAAGAAACAUAAGAAUCCCUCACUUAUGUUAAGGAUUAUCAAAAAUUCUUAUAAUAUAACUAAAACAAUCUAACAUCUUUUAAAUUUAUUAAAUAAUACGCCAUAUAUAUCUUCCAUUUUUAAUAUAAAAUUCAAAUAUUAAUACCUUUUGUAUAAACUAUGAAAAAAUAAAUGUUAUUGAUUUUAAUUUUUUUUAUAUAUAUUUUAAAUUUCUAAAAUAAAAUAUUUUUAAUUUAAUAAAAUAUAAAUUAUAUAUUUAUAAAAUCACAAUUCAAAACUAUAAAUUGGCAAAUUUUCAAAUUCAAUCUUUUAAAAUAUUAUUUAUAAAUUGAAGUAAUUCAAAACAAAAUUCAACAAAAGAGGCAAAAAUUCUUUUUCUACAUUUUCUACAUGAAAAAAAUUCAAAAAUACUUGCCCACAAUCUUAUAAUUUUUUUCCUAUUUAAAUUUUAUAGUCUCCAUAAAAUCUGGACAAAAGUUAAAAAAUAAAAAUAUAUAUAUAAAAAAAACCCAUAGGCUUCAAGAAAUUCUCAAAAAUCAAAGAACAUAACUCAAAAGGACUAACUAAAUAAAAAAAGUUACAAAAAUAAAAUGAAAUUAAUUAACAUUAUAAAUGAAUAGACUCUAAUGAAAUCACUUUUGAAAAAUAAAAUAAUCUAAAAUAUGAUAUUUCUUUUUUUAAAUUUUUCCUUUUUAUAUAUUUUGUAUUAUUAUUAUUUUUAAAGGAAGAAAGAGAUAAUUGCAUCAUCUACACAUAAUUUAACCCAUUCCUUUAAUACGUUAUUUGGUAAUUGAUUGUUUAUUUACAUAUACAAUCUAGAGUAUUAAUCAAUACAUUACACCGUAAACUUUCUUAUUUAAAUCUCAAAAAAUCUUAAAUAUAUAUAUACCAACAAUGUGAUUAGUAUAUGAAAAAUGUGAAAAUAUGAAAAUAACAACCUACUUAAAAAUCAUGUGACCAUCAUAAAAAAAUAUUAAAUUAGAAAGGUGGUAUAUAAAAUAUACGUAAAAAUCAAGCUGAAAGCAUAGAAACUUACUCCCCUCCAUAGGUUUGGUUCUGCAUAAUAGUGGAGAACGUUGUUGCAGCUGACGGGAGACCAUGAGAAUGGUACGUCAUUUCAUCCUUCAUUUUCACCACAAUGGGAUGCUUCUCCGGAAGCCUGUCCGUAAUAUGGCCCCAAAUAAUCUCAUUGGAAAAGGGCUGCAUACGAUAUAAAUUAUUGGGCCCAACCAUCCUCUUUGCCACACCAUGGAGUCUGGUUGUAAUGAUGAUGAUUCUGGGCCUGCGCCUUCUACUCUGAAUUGAUUUGUUACACCACUCGAGUCUCUCCUUUAACCUGAAGUACCAGUCCAGGUUGAUAUCCCAAAUUCCAUCAAACACUAAUAUAUAACUCUGACUCCCCAAUGCUUUGCAGAGGGCGUCCAAUAGCUCCUCCACCUCCACACUAUCCCUUUGCCCACCAUCACACUGCUUCAGCAUAGCCUUGUGAAUCUUCUUAAAAUCUAUUUCUCCUUUCUGUAUCGCUUGUAAAUUGAUCCAAAUUCUUCGGGCCAUACGACUUCGGUCGAAAACCAUUCGGACCACAAGGGUCUUACCGCAACCCCCAAUCCCCACAAUUCCAGUUUCCUUACUAAAUCCUUCUUCAUCCAAUCCACUUGUACCCAGAACCAAUUUUUCUAUAUUUUUGACUUGGUCUCUAAAGUAAUAGGAAGAAUAACGGUCUAUCGUUGGUCCAUCAAAUGAUAAAGAGCCAGAAGAAGAAGAAGUUGUGGCUACAUCCGUGACGGCAGAAAGGGAAGUCUGCUCUAGCUUUUUCUUGAUGUGAAUCAGCUUCCUUUUUGUUUUGCACAGAAACCAUAGCUCAGGCAGAGAGUAGUGGUCUUGCCUUUGCCCUUGCCCUUGCUCUUUCCCUUGCCCUUGUGAGGAAUCCUUGUUGAUUUUCAUUUUGCGCUUUUCCAGGAAGAGAACGCAGUCGGUCAAUGCAAUGCUGAGGUCGUAAAGACAAUCCUUCAUUCCUGUCGACGGCGUGAUGCUUUUAGUUUCCAGAAGCUUUCGAAUUUGUAGAAAAUAAGAAUGAUGGGGGAUGUCAUGAGGUGGAGGGUGUUCCUCCUCUGCUUCUUCCAAUUCAUCCAUGAAUUUGUUCUUCAAAAACUGAAGAAUAUCUGCUGACAUUUGGCUGUAAAAACCUAAUCUCCCAACUCUCACAAUUAAUAUUUGCUUACAUCGGCAUAAGGCUUUUCUUGUACAAAUGAAGAGAAUUUCUUGUGGUCUAAGGAAACGGACAAGAAUCCAAAGUAGGGCAUUUAAAGAAAGAAAGAAAAAGAAAAAGGAAGGAAAUUAAAGCAAAAGAAAGAUAUUUAUGCCGAUACUUACUUGUUUUACACUCCAAACUACAUGGAAUUCCCAUUGGUGAUGAUUCUCGGAAUUUAUUUCCAUUUUAAUUGUUUUUUUUUUCAUAAUUUAUGUCAAUUCUAAUUGAAAAUAGUAUAUAUAUAUAUAUAUAUAUAUAUAUAUAUAGUAUUUGAAGUUUACAAAAUUAAUCUUAAAAUUAUAGAAAAUGUAAAAUGUAAACUAUUUUAUUGGUAUUUCAACUUAAAAACAAAAAAAAAAUAACAAAUCUAAGUGAAAAUAUUUUGUCCAAUAUUUCUAUAAAAUUUAAAUGAAAAUAGUAUUAUGGAUGCAAUCCUAUCUUACAAAUGAAUUUUCAUUUAUUAAGCUUCAAAUUUAUUGUGAUCCACGGAAAAAUAUACUAAAAAUAGUAUUUAAUAUACCAAUUAAGAUAUUUCAUUUUUUUUGCUAAACAUGACAAAAAAAAAUUUAAAAUACUAUUUAACUCACCUAUCAACCGUAGUUUGAAAAAUGAAAAACAUGUCAAAGUUGAGCGGAGAAUAUCAAAGAGGAAGGUUUGAGAAUGGAGUGAUGAAUGAGAAAUUUAAAGAAUUUUGUGGUGAUCAAGACAUUUCAAAGUUGAAGAUUUAAUUGUUAAAAUAAGAAAAUUUAUUUAUUAAAUCAUAUUAUUUUUUCAAUAUGUAAGGAAAUCAUUGUUUUAACUCAAGUGUAAAUUUUUUAAACAUUUGUUACAACGAACUUAUCUUCUUUCUAAUUGAUAUUAUUUAUGGGGAAAAAAUGUAAUUUGAAAAAAAAAAAAAACACAUUUCUAUAGUGAAUAUCCAACAACAAAAAUUUAUUCAAAUAAUAAUUGCUAUUUAUUUUAGGGAAAAGUGAGAUUUGAUUCACUAAUAUAAAAAUAUAUAGAAAAAAGAACCUCAAAUAUUUUAAAUUAAUAUUAUCUUCAUCUAUUUAUUGUAAGAGUUUUUUUUAAAUAUAAAAUAUUUUACACUAUGGUUGUACUUUGAUAUAUAGUAUAAAAAUAAUUAAUUAAUUAAUUAAUUAUUUUAUAUUAAAUAAACUAAUCAUAAUUAAAAUAAUUAUAUAUUAUUAAAUUUAUUGUUUAUUAUUUAUUAUUUAAUAAACAACGUUAUUACUUUUUGAAUUAAUAAUUAUGAUUAAAUAGGAUUUGUUUGAUAAUAUUUCCUCUUAAAAUUCUAGGAAAGAAAAAAAUAUAUUAAUGAUUUUUUGCACAAUAUUUUUGUAGAUUCCAAAAUUUAUCCCAAUUUUAUUUUUACAUUAAAUUUGAGCCCAAUUUUGUCAAUAAAUUCUAAAUCCUAAUUAUAUGUGUUUUUUUGUCCACUCAUCCUUUAAUUUUUAUUUUUAUUUUAUUAUUAUUAUUUUUAAAAUUAUUUUAAUUUUAUUUUGUUUACUAUUAUUAUUAUUAUAUUCUAUUUUAUUUAUUUUUAUUUUUAUUUUCCCUCUCCUCUCUCCUCUCUCUUCCUUUCUCCUUCACCUACCCUCACCCACCCACUUCUUCUCUCUCCUCACCAUCGGCCAUCAUUUCACAUUUCCUUUUCAAUUUUUACUUUUAGUUUUUAUUUUAUUUUGGAUUUUUUAUUUUGAUUUUGAUUUUUUUCUCCCUCAAUUUUUUCCCUCCCACUCUUCUCUCUCUUCCCCAAAAACUCCCUUUGGCCGGCCCCCCCUCCAUCUUCAUUUCCCUCCAAUUUCUCCCCCCAUUUCCCAAGAAGGGCAGCCCCAAUUCCCAAGGACGGCUGCCAUUUUUUUUGGGGGCCCCCUUCUUCUCCUUCCUCUCCCGAGUCUGCUACGGGAGGCAGAGGGGGCUCCUCUAUUUUUUUUGGGCUCUCCUCCUCACAGCUGGGGAGGGCCUUUUUUAUUUCUUUGAUUUUCUUCCUUCCCGGAACACCCAUUUUGGGACGGCCAGGAACCGAGACUUCUCCCCCAUUUUUUUUAUUUUAUUUUUUUCUUUCUUUCUUUAUCCUCUUCCAUCAUACCCGACUUCCAAAGGCACCAGGAUCCUUCCUUCUCCCCUUUCAUCUCAUUUUCUUCCAAUCAUUUUCCAUUUUUUUACCCACCAAUCUCCCACUGUCGCCGGCGAGCCUCGGCCAGUCGCCGCCGACGGCCCGUUCCCCUUCUCUCUCGCUCCCUCAUUCCCUCACUUCCCCAUCCCAUCCGUUUUCAUUAUUAUUAUUAUUAUUAUUAUUGUCAUUGUUAUUGUUAUUGAUAUUGUUGUUGUUGUUAUUUUCUUUAAUUUUAAUAGUAACCGUUGUUUGUGAAAUUUGGAUUGCUGAAUUAAUAUGAAAUUUGAGGUUGAUUUGUUAUUGGUAGAUUAAUACAUAAUUUGAUUUCAUUUAUUGUUAGUGAAUUAAUUUGAAAUUUGUUAAUUUGGGUUUGUGGGCAUGUUGUAUUUGGUGAUUAAUUUGAGGAUAUUUAGAUCAUAUCAAUUGCAUACUAUUUAUUUGGACUUAGGCCUAUUGUUAAGUUGUUAUUUGUUUGGGCUUGUUAAUUGAUGUGGAUUUUGGGGCUCAUAAUGUGAGUGAGAUUUGUUUGAUUAUUUGAAUAUUUGAUAUGAGUUUGACCAAUUUGAAUUGUUUAAUUUAGACAUGAGACAAUUGUGGUGUAUAUUUAAUUAGACUUAAAUUAUGGAGUAUUAAAUUUAGGUCUAGUAGAAUUUAUUUUAAUUUACCCAAUUUUAGGUUCGAUUGAUUGUGUUUGUAUCUUUGACUAUUAAUUUGGAUGUUCUAGGUUAAGACCUAUAGUAAUUUGGACUCAUUUUAAUUGACGAAAUUUAUGAGACUAAUUUGAAAUUGGAAUUUGGGUUUGAAUAUUCGUUUAGGAUUUUAUAUAUCUCUGGAUAUUUACAUUUGUGUUAUUCUUGUUUUUGCAUGGAUCCACUCUGCAAUCUUAUUGGUCGAGUACGAAUUGAUGACACGUGGAGCUUGUUGUAAGUAGUUUAUUUGGGUAUAUAUUUUAUUUCUCACUUUUUAUUUGGUUUUAUUUUUAUUAGUUUGUAUAAAUAUUCGUUCGCAUGUAUUUAUUGAGUGUGUACAGAAUUGAACAUCGAACAAACUAGAAAUUUUGUUUAAAUGAGAGGAAGAAGUCAGUAAAUGUGUUUUAAUAAAACAACAAUUUUAAAAUAUUAUUAUUAAUAGAAGAAAGUUUUUAUUUUAUUUUUUAUUUAUUUAUAAAAAAAAUACAUUUAGAAAAAUCCAAAAGAAAUGUUUUUAAUGGAAUUUGAAAAUUUGUUUUUAAAUAAUAUUUGUCAAAAAAUUUCUUUGUUUAACAAAAAUUUUCCAAAUAUUGUUUUGUAAAUAAAGUUGUCCCAAAAAUUAAUUUUCAAUAAAAUUGUCCAAAAAAAAUGUUUUUUAAAUAAAUUCUUUUUACUUGAUUAAAAUUGGAUUAAAGGUCAUUUUUUAGAAAUAGAUGAUUUAUUUAUUUAUUUUUAUUUUUACUUUUAUUUUUAUUUUUUCCUUUUAAAUUAAAAAUUCUUUUGUAAAUAAAGUCAUGUCAUUUUAAAUAAUUUAUAAAAAUCACUCUUUUAAAUGAAAAUGAAUCUAAAUACUUUUGUAAAUAAAAUUGUAAAAAUCAUUAUUUUUUAGUAAAAGCAAGUAAAAAAAUGAUUUUUGCGCCCAAAUUAAAAUUUUGUAAUGAAUUCUUUUGAUACAAUAAGUGUAAAUAGUUUUUUUUUUUUUAAAUUGUAUACAAUUAAAAAUUGAGAAAAUAAAUUGUUUCUUUUUAUAAGUAAAUAAAUGGAAAUCAUUAAUUCAAAAUCAUUUUUAAUAAAAUCCUUUGAAAUUUCUUUAAAACUUUUUUUAAUAUCUUUUAUUUAUUUAAUUCAAUAAAUCAUUUUGCAUAAUUCUCUUAUUAUUUAUUUUGUGUAUUUUUGUAAUUAGAUUUCAUCAUUGUUUUUGUACAUAUUAAUUCUCACCAGGACUUGUAUAUUGAUUAUUUUUCUUGGUAUCCAUAAUUAACCAAUUAAUUGCUACAAUUCCCUCAAUUAGUUUAAUAGAGACCGUAUGUAUACGGGCUUAAAGGGGUGCUACGGCUCACCACCGUACCUUCCCAAUAAGUAAUCUGACCCUCGGACCUAAACUUGGUUUUUCACAGACCCGUUUUUUUCCUUCAGGGUCACACUUAGGGUUUUCUUUCUUAUUUGGUUUUUCCCUUAAAAAAAAUAAAACAAAAAUAAGUGACGAUUCCAAGUCAUUUUUUUUUUCAAUAAAUAUAAUCAUUUUCAAAUAAAAAACGAGUUUCGCCAUCGAGUGGGAACGCAUCGAGCAAAAUGCGGGGUCCACAAUUUCCUAAACUUUUAGCAAACUAAAAUAAGAAUCUUACGGGGCAUUUGUUUGAAAUUAUCAAUUGAUUUAAAUGACAUGGCAAGUAAAAUGACAUUUUUGGGAAUAAUUGGAUGACUCAUUAAAAAUUGCAUGUAUUUAAAUUAUUUUUAAAUAGAUGAAGUUAAUACUAAUUUAAAAUAUUUGAGGUUCUUUUUACUAUAUAUUUUCAUAUUAGUGAAUCAAAUCUCACUUUUCUGUUUAUUUUAUUACACAAACUUAUAACCCUAAAACAUGUCAAAAUAAUCAUUUAUAAUCUUAUAAUUUAUUUUAAAAUCUUCUAUCAAUAAUUAAUAUUUUUAAAAUUAAUAUUGUUUUAUUAAUUUAUUUUAUUGUAACUUCAUAUGAAAAAUUAUUAUAAUUAAAAAGAAUGUAAAAUGAGGAGGGUAUGAAGAAUAUGAGAAAGAUACGAAGAAUGUGAGGAUUCUUCAUACCCUCUUCCAUUUUUUAUUUUUUUUUAAAUUUCCCUCAAUUCUAACUUAGUUCCUAAUAUUAAACUAUUUCAAGUCAAAAAAACUUAAAAUUAUUAAAAUUGUGAAACUCUUAAGUAAUUCUUAAAAUUGUUUUAAAUGUAACAUUUUUUCAUCUCCUCAUAUUCUAUCUUAGAAUUAAAAAUUAUAAUUAUCUACUUUAAGAAUUUCCAAAAAUAUUCAUUUCCUAAUUAGAAACUAUUGUAAUAGGAGCAUGUCAAUCAUGAAAAUUUUAAAAUUUCCAUAAGAAUAUUUUUCAAAAUGAAUUUUGAUAAAAUAUCUACUCUCAAAAUUUUUAAAUCUAUUUUUCUAAAACUCUCAUUCUAUAUACAAUUCCAAUUAAUAAAUGUUUUAUUUAGCAAAUGUUUCAAAGAAAUUUAUUUCCAUCAAAUUACGAAGCAUUUUGGUAAUAGUCUUUUAAUUAUAAAUUAUCUCUCAUGAAAAUUUUCAAAAUAUUUAUUUUCCAAAUUAAAAACUCUAGUGUAAUAAGGAAAUUACCAAUUUAUGAGAUUUUGAAAAUCUUGAGAGUGACUUAUCCAAGAAAGGAACUUCAACUUCUCACAUUCAAAAUUUGUCACAAAUUUACUUUUCUUAUCCUUACACCAUUCCAAUGUAAUAAAUAUUCUCGUGAAAACUUCAUAAUAAUUUAUUUCACUAAAUACUACCAAAAUCACAACUUUUUUUAAUAAUUUCUUAAUGGAUAAUAUAUUCUCUAUAAAAAAACUUCCAAAGAUGUUUAUGUCCUUAAAAGGAAUAAAACAAUGCAUUUUGGAUUACGUCUCCAUUAAAUUACUAAAAGUUUUCAAAAAUAUUUUGGUAACCCUUCUGAUUAUAAAUUCUCUAUCAUGAGAUUUUUCAAAUCUAUUAUUUUUCUUUUAAACUAAGACUCUUAUGCUAAAAUAAUUGCUCUUUUAUUCUUUAUCCUUGAACUAGUUAUAUCCAAAGUAAAUAAUUUCCUCAUCCUCUUAGAGGGGGAGGAGAUUGGAGGACUAUAUAGGUGUAAUUCUCCUUUUCUUGGGGAAGAGUUGGGGGGGGGGGGGGGGGGGGUUGGGGAGGGGGAACCCAAGAAACCCCCNNNNNNNNNNNNNNNNNNNNNNNNNNNNNNNNNNNNNNNNNNNNNNNNNNNNNNNNNNNNNNNNNNNNNNNNNNNNNNNNNNNNNNNNNNNNNNNNNNNNCCUAAAGUUAAAAUGCAGUCUCUAAACAACCACAUUAUUGAGUUUUAUGGAUCACAUUCAGAUCAAGAGUAAGGUGGUGUUUGUUUUUUGGGCUGUUUGCUGAAAACCAUUUAGUUUUGGAAUUUAGGUUGUUUGUUGUUGUACUUUUUCAUGACUUUUUAUAAACUUUUUACUAAAUAGAAAAAGCCAGAAUAUGUGGCUUUUUCUAAAUAGAAAAAAUAACACAAUGGUUUUUUUUACUUUUUAAUACUUAAUAAAAAUAAAAUACUACAAAAACAAACAACCUAAUAUUUAAUACUAUUAAGUAUUAAGGUUCUAUUUAGAAUUAAGUAAAAAAACAAACGCCACGUGUUUGGGAGGGGGAGCCUAGAGAACCACCUAUACAUAAUCAAGUGGAUGGUUUAAAAAGGAAUAACAUUCUCAUUAGCAACAAACAAUUUAAAUAAAUAAUCUUAGAAAAAAAUUUCUCUUGAAAAUUUACUAAGAAUAUAAAAAAUAUUGUUUUUUUUUAAAAAGGUUUGUGAGAAAAUAAAGGCCAAUCUUAAUUACGAAAAUACCCAAGAAGGAAGGUAAAUUGGGUUUUUUUAAAAAAAAAAUUCAAACACAAUAUAUUUAAGCAAAAGAAGCACAAAUAUAAAGAGAUAAGGUUAGAGAAAGCAAAGUUGGAUUUUAUAAUGGUUAGACAUCCUUUGCCUACGUCCACUUUCCUCAAGCUUCUAACAAAAUGAGGGUUCCACUAUACUUGAAGUUUCAACCAACCUUCCAACACCUUUACACUUGGAUUCCGGCUCCAAUGGGCUUUUACACAAUCCCUUCAAGUCUCUACUCGCUUGAAGCUUCUAACACUCAAAUAACAAAUUUAAAUAUUUCAACCUAGCUCAACAAGAGCUCAAAUACAACUCAAAUGCUAGGAAAAAUCACAAGGGUGCACUAAGGAAUAUGCAAGUGGAUAUUUAAUCCAUCAAGGAAAGAAUGAGAGCUUUUUGAUGAAGAACAGGUAGAUAAACAAAUAUAUCUAAACUUUUCACCCCUCGUGAACUUGUUGAACUUUCUUGUGAUGAAGGCUAAGUCUUCACUUUUUUUUUUUUCUUCAACUUCUUCUUUUUCCUUAGUCGUAGCUUGAGAGCUAUGCUCUUCUUCUUUUUGUCUUCUCCUUCUUGUUGCUUCUUUGCCAAAGUGAUCUCAUAUGUCAUCAAUGAUCCUAUGAGCUCCUCCAAAGAUAGCUUUGUUAAGCCUUUGGCUUCUUGAAUUGCGAUGACCUUUGCAUCCCACUUUGAUGGAAGUGACCUCAAGAUCUUCAUCACCUUCUCCAAUUCCUUGUAGGUUUUUUUCAAGGCUUCAAGACCAUUUACAAUAUAGGUGAACCUAGUGAUCAUCUCAACAAUAGUUUCAUUAUCUUUCAUAAAAAACAAUUCAUAACUAUGAACAAGUAAAUUGAUUUUUGACUCUGUAACUUAAUUUGUUUUAUGAGUUACUUCAAGUAAUCUCCAAAUUUCUUUAGCCGAUUUGCAUUGACAAAUUCUAUGAUAUUCAUUUCUAUCUAUAACACAUUGCAAACUAUAAACGACUCUAGCCUUUAAUUGAAAAUUUCUUCUAUCACGCCCAUCCCAUUCUUGUUUGGGUUUUGGAACCAUGACUCCAUCAACUAGUUUUGAAGGAAUAGUUGGGUCAUCUUCAAUGAUAUCCCAUAAGUUUAAAUCAAUUGAUUGUAGAAACCAAGUCAUUUUAGUUUUUUAAUAGAGAUAAUUAAUUCCCGUAAAAAAAAAAAAAAAGAGGUCUAUUAGUUGCAAAACUUUCCAUGUGAGAUAAGCUUGAUGGAUUAGUCAUGUCCUCUUAAAUGAUUAAGUUUUAAACAAGAGGCCUAACUUUGAUACCAAUUGAGAAAAUAAAGGCUAAUCUUAAUUAAGAAAAUACCUAAGAGAAUGAGGAGGAGGGGAGAAGAGGGGGAGGAGGUGAAUUGGGUUUAAAAAAAAAAAAAAACCUUUUCAAACACAAUAUAUUUAAGCAAAAGAGCACAAAUAUAAAGAAAUAAAGUUAGAAAAAGCAAAGUCAGAUUUUAUAGUGGUUCAACAGCCCUUGUCUAUGUCCACUCUCCUCAAGCUCCUAAUUGAGUGACGAUUCCACUAUACUUGAAGUUUUAACCAAGCUUCCAAUACGUUUACACUUAGAUUCUGACUCCAAUGGGCUCUUACAUAAUCCCUUCAAGUCUCUACUUACUUGAAGCUUCUAACACUUACAUAACAAAUUUAAAUCUCUCAACCUAGCUCAACAAGGGCUUAAAUACAACUCAUAUGCUAAGAAGAAUCAGAAGGGUGCACUAAAGAAUAUGCAAGUGGAGAUUUAAUGCACCAAAGAAAGAAUGAGAGUUUUUUUUAUGAAGAACAGGUAGGUAAACAAAUAAAUGUAGGUGUUUGUAAACCCUCAAUUUUGUCCCUUUAGCACGUCUUUAAGUUCACUUCCAAUGCUCCACAGUAGUUCCCUGGUGGCCCAUUGCUACUCAUAUUACUUACUUUUUUUGAGUCAUCUUGGAGACUUUAGUUGAGGGAUUUAUCUUAUCCCUUAUUGUGACCCUUGGCAAUCUUGAGUUAAGUCUAGGAUUUUCCUUUCUUUUUUGGACAGCUCAUUUAGAUACACUUUUAGGAUAGCGCACUUAGGCACCGUAGGUCACCUAUAGAUGUUUCUGCAUGGUUUGCACGGUUGCAUGACUCAUAUUUUCGUAUAGUUGCAUGACCCGUAUUUUUGCAUGGUUGUAUGACUCAUAUUUUUUGUGGUUACAUGGCUUGUAUGGCUUGCAUGUGUUUGAUUUUUGUUUUUAUUUUAUUUUACUUUAUUUUUAUUUAUUUAUUUUUUAGGUGCGUGAUUUAAAUUUCUUUUGAUCUUCAAUUUCAUGAUAUUUUUUUAUGUUAAUCUUUAUUUUAUUUUAUUUUUAUUUUUAUUUAUUUUUAUUUUUACCUUUAUUUUAUUUCUUGCAUGAGGAAACGGGAUGGCAUUCUUUUUGGAAGGAGGAUAACCAGAAUCUUGGAGAAAGGAAAGUGGCAGAUUUUUUUAGUAGGAGAAAGGAAAAUUUCCUUUUUUAAAAAAAAGGAACAAGAAAAGAAAGCAAGAGAACAAAGGAGGUUUUCAAAAAGGGGACUGGCAGCACACAUGGAGAACAGGGGAAGAAGGAAAAUAGGGAUUCACGAUUUUGUUGAGGAUUUUCAGAGAAUAACCAUAGCAGGGAAGCCAAGUAAUCGGGUGGAGACUGCCCAGGAUGAAUAUUCCGAGAAAGGUGGGAACUUUAUAAAGGCUGUGUAAAACGGGGUUUCUUGGGGUUAGACAGAUGCAGAGGUUAUCAUAGUCCCUGAAGGUUCUUAGUUUGUGGCAUUCUGGGUUCAAUGUUCGUGGAUUUAAACUAUGAAGAUGUUCCUCGUAUAUUUGUGAUUGAUUGACGAAUCUGCAUUCUUUGGGUUUUGUACGGUAAAAAAUGGGCAUCUAAGGUUUGAUAGUUUGGUUGAAAUUGAGGUUUUUCUCGGCAUUGAAAGUCAAGAAGACAACCAGUGGAUUGAGGAUUUCUCUCGGGGAAGUAGUGGAAUGGAGUUUAGUUCAAGCGCUGCGGAAUCUUGCUCUAUAUCCUGGCGGAACAGUGUUUAGUCUGAGGCUACAUCCUCAAAAUAUGUUGAAAUGCUAUUAAAAUAUGUUGGGCAGGAAGAAAUUGUUCCAAGUCAAACUACUGUCAAGGACCCAGGUGCCUAUGAUGAGUUGGGUCGGAGCAUGCUGUUGAAGUCAGCAACAGAGGUGCAGAAAAUUGUGCCAUAUUAGAGCAGAGGAUAACCUCCCAUGCGCAGCUGACUUAUGGAAAGAGCAGUUUUGUGAAGAAAAAUGAUGAUUUGUUGGAAAGUGGGAACCAAUUGAAUAGUGAAAUUUCAACUAGUCACUUGAACACUUCUCUGUCAUCUGAGGAAACCAAUGAACUUUCUGAAGGUAAUUAUUAUGGAAGUGGAAGCCAUCAUGAGGGAGAUAUUUCUAGUAAGCUUGCGGUAUCUUCUUCAGUUGAACUGCGUGGGGAAUCACAUACAACUGAAAAUGUAAAAUGUGUAAUUGGAGUUCAUGGAAAAGAUAUAAAUGCUGAAAAGAUCGUGUUCUAAUUUCCACUCCAUCAGCCUACUCAAAUACGCAUUCAAAACGCAAUCUCCAGGCAGAGUGGUGCUCAUAAUUUUGAUUCAGAUGUUCCUGUUGUUGGGGUGCAGAAUGUGAAGUUGAGUACUGAUUUGAGUAAUUUGGAACAUGAGAUUGAUGGAUCCUUGUUUAUUGGUGAAUGUAACAGAGAAAGUGAGGAUGAUAGUGUUAGCUUUGGAUUGAUUGUUAUGGCAGUGAAUUCUUCUUCUGAACAUGAUACAGUGGCUUUUAUAUUUAAUGAAGGCAGGGUAAAAGAAUUAAUUUUGCGGUCGUUUGAAGAGGCGAAGAAGUAGGUAAUCACAGGAGCCUGAACUUUUCUUCUGAGAGUAUUAUUCAGGAUGAGAAGCUGUCCCACUUCCAACUAUAUUCAUCAGUAGAAACAAUGAAGAAUCUAAUUACCUGUAGCAAUGCACUUUCUCUCAGUAUCGAUACAUCAGAAUCUGAAUUUGGUGAUGUUCCCAAUCGUUUUAUAGCAAUGAGACCUCCUUACACAUGGCGAACUCAGCUCUAUCAAACAUCUUUAUCCAAGGAUGUGACGGACCGCCAGAUGUCACUUUCCUGUGGUCUGAGAGCAAAUAAAGAAACUGAUUUUCCAUACUGCAUGAGGACCUUUUGGCUUUGAUAUUUCGUUAGGUGCCACUCUUGCCACAAUAGGAAAUGUUCAGAAUGGUUUUAAUGCAACCCAAGUUAGUCCUUGUGGAGGGUGAGGCGAAUGAUGGUCAUCAAUGAAGUCAGCUGCUGUAGAAAUCAGUGAUGAAUGAUUCAUCCAAUUUUGCAUCUUUCAUGUGUCAGUUCUGGUUCAUAGAAUAUAGAAAAUCCCUGAAUUUGUUGAUUAUUUAUGGAGAAGUCUGAAACUGAAGCCCUACUGAAGCUUUUGCCUUGGCCUAAUUUUGCCCAGUUUUCUGAAAUGAUACUUAUUGCUCCACACGAUUUGGAUCUGAUCUACCUUCUACAUUGUAUUCUCCUCAGAAAUCGUUUUCCAGUAAUGGCAUAUUUUAAUUCGGAGUUCGACUUGAAGGAUUUCCGCAUCCCUGAUUAUAUUCUUGUUCCAAAAUCAGAGGUUGAGGUUGUUUCUUAUGUACCCGAGUGUUCAGUGAUAGUGUUCAUCAACUCCAAGAGCAGAGGAUCCAACUGGCAAGGGCAAUCUAUAGUGAUUCAGAUGUGUUUUUCCUAGAUGAUCCCUUUAGUGCAGUAGAUGCACAUACAACUGCAAUUCCUUUCAAUGAAUGCGUUAUGGCUGCUCUUGCUCAUAAAACCGUCAUUCUAGUGACUCAUCAAGUGGAGUUUCUCUCUGAAGUUGAUAAAAUUCUGGUUAUGGAAGCUGGACAGAUAACUCAAUCAGGAAGCUAUGAGGAGCUCUUGACAUUCGGGACAGUAUUUGAGCAGCUCGUAAAUGCACACAAGAAUGCAGUAACAAUAUUGGAAUUUUCAAAUGAUGAACAAGUAGAACCUCAAAAAUUGGAUCAGAAUCUGCUAGAGAAGUCUCAUGGAUCUCUCUCCACCAAAGAAAACAGUGAAGGAGAGAUUUCUAUGAUGUUAGGUAAAAGCCACAAUCUUGUAUCAUUAUUGCACAGGGAAUAGAAUCUUGUUGCUGAUAUAUUUUCAAUUUUAACUAUUACAAUAGCAUCUGAAGCUAUUAUAUCUUGUGUUCUUAAAUUUAUUAAGAACCUGUUGAACCUUGAUAGUGAAUUGGAUGACGAAGACAUCACUAUCAAAAAUGUUCUACUUCCGAACAUUGAGACUCUCAUCCGCAGCUUGCAUUGUCUUUUCCAAAGUUGUAAUGCCACAAAAAGCAUAUUGGUCAAAUAUCCUGGAGAAACAGAGCUUAGAAUUUUCAAAUUGUUGUCAAAAUAUAUAAAGGAUCCAUUGCAAGCAAGAAAAUUCAUUGAUAACUUGCUCCCCUUUUUAGGAAAGAAAGCUCAGAAUUCUGAUGCAUGUUUGGAAGCUUUGCAAGUUAUUCGAGAUAUUAUACCAGUUUCAAGGAGUGAAACUUCUCCAAAAAUUUUGAAUGUUGUUUCUCCUCUUCUAAUUUCUGCUGGAUUGGAUAUGCGUUUGACCAUUUGUGAUCUUCUUGGUGUUCUUGCUGAAACCAACCCUUCGGUACUCUCUGUGACAAAUCUUAUAAGUGAAUUGAAUAUGACCUCUGUUAUGGAAACGGGUGGCCUGGAUUAUGACACCAAAGUUCAUGCUUAUGAAAAGAUUAGCAUGGAGUUCUUUUAUCCUAUCCCAGAGAAUCAGGCACUGGUCAUUUUGUCGCGUUGUAUAUAUGAUAUGUCAUCCAAUGAACUGAUCCUAAGGCACAAUGCAUACAGGUUAUAGGUUUCUUUUGUUGAAUUCUCCGUCCAAAUUCUUAAACUUGGAGUGAAGAGUGAUCAUGAAAUGUCUGAAGCAAUGGUAACAUCCAUAGCUGAUGGUUAUUGAACUGAAGCAUGCAUUCAGCGCAUGAUAAACAAAUUCCUUUUGAAACCGGCAGUAUGUUGGGCAUGGAGUUUGCCAAGAGAGGUUCUGAAACUGUUGAGGUGGCUCUCUAAAUUUGAUUGAAUGCGAGACUCAUAAGAAUGCUGUAAGAGCAACCAGAAAGCAGGCAGAAAAACCACAUACAAGCAGCUUUAAAUCAAGUUGCUGCAUUCGUGAUUAAAGGAAGUUACAGGCACCAGGUCAGGGAAUGGACGAGUAUUCAUGGGUUUGGAGAAUGUUGACCUCAGAAUGUACAUGUACUGGAGUUCCCUAGCUGCUUCAAAUUACUUCCAGGUUGCACAUUUGCUCUCUUUUUCCUCACGUUGGAAAUUCAGCAUUUUCCACUAUGAAGCCAGUCCGUGAGAUGCUGUCUUUCAGUGUGUUCACUCCAUAUUAUUCUGAGACUCUGCUUUAUAGUAUGGAUGAACUCCAAAAGAAAAAUGAGGAUGGAAUAUCAACUUUGUUUUAACUCCAGAAAAUUUUUCCAGAUGAGUGGAAAAACUUUCUUGCUCGGAUUAAUCGGGAUGAGAAUGCACAAGAUUCAGAACUUUAUGAUAGUCCUAGAGAUGUCCUUGAGCUUAGAUUUUGGGCUUCUUACCGGGGACAAACAUUAGCAAGAACUGAAAAAAGAGGAAAAGCCUGAUUAUGUGAGGGGUGCUGUUAACGCUGUUCAAGAUCUCUAUGAUGUUGUGCGACAUGAUGUACUUUCUAUUAAUAUGAGGGAACAUUAUGAGACAUGGAAUCUGUUGUCAAAAGCAAGGGUUGAAGGACACUUAUUUUCUAAGUUUUUUUCACAAAUUCCUUUUCAUGAAGAUGCCUGCAGCUAAGCCAGUCCGUGAGAUGCUGUCUUUCAGUGUGUUCACUCCAUAUUAUUCUAAGACUCUGCUUUAUAGUAUGGAUGAACUCCAAAAGAAAAAUGAGGAGAUGGUCAGAGCAUCAGGGAAAUUAAAGCUACUUGAUCGUUUCCUCCCAAAACUUCAGAAAGCAGGGCAUAGAGUGCUGCUUUACUCACAGAUGACUCGCCUUAUGGACAUUCUAGAAGUCUAUCUACAAACGAAUGAAUUCAAGUAUCUGAGACUGGAUGGCUCAACAAAGACCGAGGAAGGGGGACCAAGCUAAAGUAAUUUAACGCUCCGGACUCUCCUUACUUCAUGUUUCUUUUAAGCACUCGUGCUGGAGGUCCUGGUCUGAACUUAUAAACAACAGACACUGAUAUUUUUGGACAGCGAUUGGAACCCUCAAAUGAACCAACAAGCAGAGGAUCAGGCCCAUCGUAUAGGGCAAGAGAAAGGGGUAAGAGUUUUUGUGUUGGUAAGUGUUGGAUCAAUUGAGGAGGUAAUCCUGAAGUGUAUAAUUUCGAAGUCCUAUGCUCUCACUGAUUCUACAGAGAGCCCGGCUGCCACGAUAUUUUUUUUUCUUGUUCCAGUCACAUCGAAGACUCAGAGAUGAUGUCUGACCAACUUCAAAAUCAGCCAGAGGACUAAACUGGCCCUUUUAUAGCAAUCUCAUUCGUGUCUUCCCCACUCUCAUACCAAAGAGCAUAUUUAAAAUGCCAGUCAUGUACAGAACAAGAAUUGUAGCUACCCCAACUAAGCAAGCUGGAAUUAUCGUUUCCUGUUAAGUUCCAUUGUCACCCGUGAUUGAAUGAAGCUCUCAAGCUCUCUUCCAGUAAUGUCUUUGAUAUCAAAUGCCCACCAGAAUCCCUAUUCAGUAACUGCUUCAAGUCAGUAGUAAAGUGAAGAGCUGUGACUAGAUUUGCUUCAUGAACUCUCCUCAUCAGGGCAGUGGACCAUUUUCCAUACCAUAUCAGUCACACUCUGGUGGCCUAUUAUGUGUCAGUUUGAGCUCAUGGAUCCAAGGGAGACACGGAUAUGGAAAGCUGAUUACGCCAGGGUCCGUAUUUCUCAAGAGCAACUCAAGUUUGCUGGAACUCUUCACCCCUCACCAGAUAUCACUAAAGCUUUGAACAACAGGGAGUCCCGGAAAGUGCCGAAAGAAAGCAGAAUGUAUUCAGGGAUUCAACACCAGCAAGGCAGUCAGUCACGUCUCCAGGCUUCACCCAUACAGAUGCCACCUUGGUGCCCACCAUCCUCUUCUUAUUACUUAUUUUCUUUCUUGUGAACUUACACGUUUUUUUAAUUUGGAUUUCAAAAUCUUUUCCAUUAAAUAACUCUUUUUUUCUUUAAAAUCCCAUCCUUAGGAGUUCAUAGACAUUAAAAUCCAGAUUUCAAUAAAUCUUUUACUGCCAUUUUUCCUCUUGGCAUGCAUUUUCACUAUUUUAUUUUAACUUUCAACCAUUUUCUUGAUUUUCUCAAAUUUUCGGCAAACGUGAACAAACUUCAUGAUUCCAAACAAUGGAAUUCAAAGAAUCAAAUCAUGCAAAAUUAAUUAGGGCUUUGGUGGGGCCCGACAUCCACGAUAUUCUCUUCAAUGUUUGCUUGAUAUCUGAUUGAUUGUGCUUCCUCUUUGAGGUACGUGAGAUUAUUAUGCACCUUGUUUCCCAUAGAGGUGUGGAUGCUCGCUAAUUAGGUACGCUCUUUCUACCCUCCAACUCUAAAAUUCUAUGAAUGUGUAUGUUAUCAUGAGUCAUGUCCAUGUUUGAUGCCAUACUUGAUUGCCUUGAUGCUUGUUUGAUCAUCUUUGAUAAAAAUGCAUGUUAUGUGUCAUAUUUUCAAACUAACCUUUGAUGUCUUUUGAUGGUGCUUAAGAAGCGGUUCAGGUAUGCACCCUAACUCUCCUUUAUUGUGAUUUGAUAUUGUUUUGCAUGCUAUUUUUUGAAAAUCACCUUAGUCUACCUAGGUACCCUCAAUUAAUCAACUGAUUGCCCCAUCUCCCUCAACUUAGUCGGUAGAGACCUUUAUAGGACUUAGAGGGUGCUACCUCUUAGAGGUACCUUCUCAAUAGGUAACCUAAUCCCUGGACCUAGACUUGAGUUUUUCAAAGACAUGCUUCUCCAAAAAUUAUAGAGUCGUUUUUUAGGGUUUUCUUUUUUGUUUUAUUUUUCUUUUAAAAUAAAAAUAAAAUAAGUGGCGACUCCGACUUUUCCAAAACUAAUUUUUUACUAAAUAAAAGCAAGUCUUGCCGAUUGAGUGGGGAUGCAUGUGAAAAAUCUGGGUCCACGGUGAGCUCAUAAAUGAAGUGAAGCUCUCAAUUUAUAGAUUUCUAGCAUCGGGAGUCAAAAUGCCAAAAAGUAGCCUCGAUUGAUCAAAGAAGGGGUCGACCGGUUGACUAACUAUUGGACAAUAAAUGCAUGACAGGUGACCAUUAGGCCUUGACCAGAUCUUGACUGGACCUUGAUCGGGAAAGCGUAACCAGUUGAUUGGUACCCUAAUCGGUUAAGUCGGUUGUUUAGUGUCUCAAUUGGUUCACCAUUUUUUGCUCAAAAAUCUAUAUUUUUCUAUUCAUUUUUACUUCUAACACUUAUGCAAGGUCUUUUGGUCAAUGAAUACGUCAAUUUUGAAAUGAUUUGCCUAAGGUUCAUAUGUUAAAACUCAGGUUUUAAUGGAAAUUUAACUUUGAUGCAUAAACCAAGUUUUUAAAGAUGCAUGAAAAUAUAUGAAAAUCCUAAGUGCACCCAUGCAUUCAUCUUACAUAUGUUUUCUAUGAUUAAAGGGUCUUCCAUUUGUCUUGAUCUUGCAUCCAUUGGGUCCUUUGAUGAAUUUCUCGAAUAUCCUUUUGAAUUUUGAAAACUAAAACUUGAAAUUCUUUUUAAUUCAAAACAAUUAACAACUUGACUAUGGUUUGUUAUCAUCAAAACACAAUUAGAAGAACCCUUAGGCUAAUAGUUUGAACACUUAUUUUACUAACUUUUUUAAUUAUAAAUUAUCUAUCUAAUUUCCAAAAUUAAUUUAUUUUCUUUAAUUUCGAAAUCUUAUGCAAAAAAAAAAUAUUUUAUAAAGAUUUGGAAAAUAAAAGUUUUUCCUUAAAAGAAAGAUUUUAUUCUUAGAGAUCUCAAAGAUUUGAGAAGAUUUUAAAUAAAAUUAAAAUCUCUAAAAAUUAAUUUUAAAAAGGAAAGAAAGUUCUUGAUCCUUUUCGAAUUUAUUUUUUCUUAAAAUAAAAUUUCCUAAUGAUGCACAUUCCAAUUUAAAUAAGUUUUCUAAUUUUGAAAAAUUCAUGAAAAUUUAUUUUCAAUUAAGAAUACCAUUAUUAUUUAGGGCCACAUAUGUAAUUAAUAAAGAUAACAUAUAAUAAAAACAAGGGAAUAAUUAAAUAGAAAUAUUUCUCAUGUCCUUUAUGGACUUUAUUGCAUAUUUGGUAAUUAAAAUUAGGACAAAAUUCAAAUUACCAAAAUAGCAUUAUAACCAAAUAUUAGGUUUAGUAAAAAUUGAAAAACCCCAAAAGGCCCGAUUACCACUAAAAAAUGAGCCCAAGAAAAGGCCCCAACAACCAAAAACAAUUUGGCCCAAAUUGAAUCCUAAAACAACAUGCUUUUUGCACAAUCUUGCUUCAAUCAACUAUAUCUCUUGUUUAAACUCCAAAUUGCAAAUCGUUUGAAGCGUUGGAUUCCCAACUUCCUAAGCUUGAAAACUAUAUAUGGUUUGCCCUAAGAAACUCACAGGACUAGCCCCAAUUUUAAGUCACAGUCAGCAUCAUUGUGUUAUCAUGCUCUUUGUGUAGCUUUGCUUCAAUUGGUCAAAUUUUCCCUUAUUUCAACUUUGAAUUGUGAUCCAUUUAAAGCAUUAGAUUCCUAAAUUCCUAAGCUUCAAAAAACUCAUGAGAGAUGGUCUCAAGUUUGAGUUAAAGUUGAUGCCAUUGUUCUGCCAUGGAUCUCAAAACAAGAACUUCGAAGAAUAUUUCUUUUUUCUUAAAUCACAAUAGGAUUACAAAAAGAAACUUCAAGGUUCUUUCUUUUCUCUUGGGUCACAAUAGAUGGAUAUAAAAAACUAAAAUUUUUACAAUAAUAAAAAUUCUUAUGCUCCUUUAAUGGAGCUUACAACUCAUCUAUUAGGAAAAAAAAUACUCUUACAAUCAAAUAAAAAUCCUUUACCCCUUAUGGAGUGUACAACCCAAUCUAGAGAAAACAAAGAAUCCAAUCAUAAUUAUAUCCAUCAUGUUAUAUUGAAAACCCACAUACAUUUGUCUUGAGGCCAUGGAAUAAACCAAAAUACCUUAUAAAACAGAGUUAGCAUACCCUAGAGCUGAUCUAACAUACAAAAACCUACCUUAGGGCUCUAAUGCCAGUUAUUGGGAACCCCGAAUUUCUCUAUUCCCUAUCUCUGAAUCUGGUAGAGUAAAUACAUCUAUCCCUAACAAUCUUUAGAUCUAACACAUUGAAAAAAAAAAAAAAAGGCUUCAAAAACAAUUUUAUAAUAAAGAUCUAGAGAUCGAUUUGAAACUCAUACCUGAAUCUGGAUGUUCUCAUAUCAAUUCCUAGUUGUGAAGAACAUGCUUGAAGGUCUCAUACACCCAAGAUAUUCUAAUCGAUGACUUAUACCACAAUCUUGACACUCCAAAUUCCCAAGCAUCAAAACCAUAUGUGGCUUACCCUAAGAAACUCAUGGGAGAUAGUCUUAAUUUUAAGUUAAAGUUGAUGUCGUUGUGUUGCCAUGGAUCUCAAAAAAAGAACUUCCAAGAAUAUUUCUUUUUUCUUAAAUCACCAUAGGAUUACAAAAAAGAAACUUCAAGAUUCUUUCUUUUCUCUUGGGUCACCAUAAAUGGAUAUAAAAAGCUGAAAUUUUUACUAUAAAAAAAUUCCUAUGCUUCUAUAAUGGAGCUUCUAACUCAUCUAUUGAAAAAAAAAUAUUAUUACAAUCAAAUAAAGAUCUUUUACCCCUUAUGGGGUGUACAACCUAAUCUAGAGAAAACAAAGAAUCUAAUCAUAAUUAUAACCAUCAUGUUAUAUUGAAAGCCCACAGACAUUCAUCCCUGAGGCUAUGGGAUAAAUUAUAAUACCCUAUAAAAUAGAGUUAGAGCACCCUGAAAUAGAUCUAACAUGCAAAAACCCAUUUUAGGGCUCUAAUUACCAAUUGUUAGGAACCCUGAAUUUCGUAGGGUGCAUGCAUCUAUUCUUAACGAUCUUUAGAUCUAACAUAAUGAAAAAAAAUGGCUUCAAAAGCCAUUUCAGAAUAAAGAUCUAAAGAUUUGAAACUCAUACCUAGAUUUGGAUGUUCUCAAAUCAAUUCCUAGCGGUGAAGAACAUACCUAUAGGUCUCAUACACCAAAAUAUUCAGGUCGAUGACUUAAACCAUGAUCUUGACACUUCAAAGUGUGGGCUUUGGAAAUGAGGAAUCUUAGGCUCUUUUUCUCUUUCUCUCUGGAGGUGGAAGACAACUUUUACGCUAAAAAGUGAUGGAAAUCCUAAUCCCUAAGAGGUAUUUAUAAGGUUUCCCUAUUGGGCUUAAGUGACUUGAGCCACCAGGGCUUGGGUCACUUGAUCUAGCUCAAAACAAGUCUUAAUUGAUUAAUUAACCACACAAGUUCAUCUAAUUAACCGAUUAGCCCAAUUCAAAGAACUUGUUUAUUAUCCCUUGUAAAACCUUGCAUAAUUACCAAAAUGCCCUUAUGCAUAAGAAUGAACCUAGAACCAAUCCAAUCAUCAUAAACCAUGUCAUCAUGGUAUAUAAGCUUAGAAUGAGAACUAUUGGGACCCGUAAGAGUAUUAGCUCCCUCAUAAUCAAAUUUUGAAGUUGAUUCAACAUUUUACUAAAGAUAAUCAAUUGCACUCCAGUAUUCUUGUGUAAUUAAUUAGAUUGUCUUGUAAGGUUAAUUAAUCAAUUCAGGCCUAAUUUGGGUAAGAUUAAGUGAUUGAUGCCCAUAUGGGCUCAUGUACUUAAACUUAGUAGGAGAAUCCUAUAAAUACCCCUUUAGGGGUUAGGGUUUCUUAAUCACUUUUAACGUUGUAUUUCAUUUUUAUAGAGAGAGAGUCAAACCUUCCUUUUUUCCAUUGCCCACCUUUUGGAGUGUCAAGAUCAUGGCUAGAGUCAUUGAGCGAAAGAUCUUGGGCAUACAAGACCUUUAGAUUCUUCUUUUUCACCACAUGGAAAGGAUUUAGGAACGUCCAAAUCGGAGGUAAAGUGUUUUGUAACCUUUAAUUUAGAUCCUUAAAUGUUAAAAAUGUUAUGUUUGCUUUCAUUGUAUAGGAUCUAGAGGCCUAGGGUAGAUUGCAUGUACCUAUACGAUCUAGGGCAUGAAAACAGAGAAAACCAGGGUUCCCAUCACUUCCAUCAUCCUAGCACAUAUAGCUUGCUUGCAAAAUUCCUUAAAAAGCCUGUCAUUUCGCUUUAUUUUGUUGCAUUUCUUCUCAAAUACAUGCACUAGCUCUCAAAAGGACUCAAGUUUGUAUUCAAGGUAAAACACACUUUUGUUUGUUUUUUUAACUUAUUGUUGAAAGUAACUUGCUUUCAAACUUCAAUUAAUAUGUUUUUAACUUUUUAUUUGACUUAUUAUUUAUUCUUAAAUAUUUUUCACUGAAUAGAAAAAAAAAAAUCAAAAUAUGACUUUUUUAAAACAAGAAGUAAUUUAUUCAUCUCUCAUCCUCAACCUAGUAAAACACGAUAGCAACACUCAUCCCUUAUCUCAUCUCAUCCUAGCUACUUAGUUUUAUGCUUUGUCCCAUUCAUUACCUGCCCCUACUACCAUUAUCAUCACAAUUGCCUAUCAGCAUCCCACUUGCCACACCUCUCAUUUAAGUCACACAACAAUAGUUUAACCAUAUUUAAUUUUAAAAUAUUUUAUUUUGAUUAUAUAAAAUAAAAAUAAAAAUAAAAAUUAUUUUUUCAAGGAUGAUAAUGAUAAAUUAUUUAUUAUAAUAAUUGCUAUUAUUUUAAGAUUUGUAAAAAUAUGUUGAACUUUUUGGUCAAUAAGAAUUAGUAUAAAAAGUAUUUUUCUUAAUGCAUUUAGAUGUUGAUUUUUAGCACAUGAAAAGCAAACAACUUAAUGUUUUGUGGACCCCGCAUUUUGCACUAUGCGUUCCUACUCAAAGGCGAAACUCAUUUUUUUAUUUUAUUUGAUGAAAAAUUGAUUUUUAAAAAAAGACUUGGAGUCGCCACUUAUUUUUGUUUUAUUUUUAAGGGAAAACCAAAUAAGAAAUAAAACCCUAAGUGUGACUCCUUAUUUGGAAAAGAUGGUCUGUGGAAAACUGAAGUCAGGUCCAAGGGUCAGAUUACCUAUUAGGAAGAUACGGUGGUGAGUCAUAACACCCCUCUAACCCUCUAAAAACUGGUUUCUACUAAAUAAGGUGAGAUGAGUAUGGCAAUUGAUAAGGAAAUCAAUGGAUACUAAUGAAAUGAUCAAAUACUAAAAUGAAACAUGCAUAAGAAUAAGCAAAGUGGGAGUGAGAUCGUACCUUGGCAAUAGACAAUAAAGUGCUAUCAUGAAACAAGGUUAGUGCACAAUGAUAAGUGUAAAACAUCUCACACAAAACCAAUCGAGAUCAAACAAUAUCAAUCAUGCAAUUCACUUGAAUUAUUUUCGAAAGAAAUGUUAUGAAUGUUGGACCCCCACCAAAGCCUAAUUGAUUUUGCAUGAAUUAAUCCCACAAAUUCCAUUGUUUUUGGAGUUACGAAAAUUCAUUCAUGCUUAUUAAAAAUCAAGGAAAACAAAAAAUUAUUUUAAAAUCAAAGAAAAUUUGAGAAAAGUGUUUACUUGAAAGGAAAUGUAGCAAGUUUAUUUAAAAAUGAGAUUUUUAGCAGCUUAAAACCUUAAUUGAUGAUGAAAAGUGGUAGAAUUAAAAAAAUAUUUGAAAAUUAGAGUGAAAUUAAAAUUAUUUAAAAGAAAACUAGAGUUUUGAAAUUUAUUUGAAAAUUGAAGUCUCGAAAAUUAUUCAAAAAUUGGAGUUUUGAAAAUUAAAUUCAAGAAUUGGAAUUUUGGAAAUUAAAUUUGAAAGAAAUUGAAAUUUUGAAGAUUGUUUGAGAAUUGGAGUUUUGAAAGUUAAAUUUAAGAAUUGGAAAUUUGGGAAUUAAAUUUGAAAGAAAUUGGAAUUUUAAAAAAUUAUUUGAGAAUUGGAGUUUUGAAAAUUAAAUUUGAAAAUGGAAUCUUUAAAAAAUUAAAUUUGCAAAUUGGAACUUUGGAAAAUUAUUUGAAAAUGGAAGUUUUGAAAAUUAAAUUUUUUUUAAAAAAAUUGGAAUUUUGAAGAAUUAUUCGAAAAUGGAAGUUUUGAAAACUAAAUUUGAAAAUAAUUGACGUUUGGAAAGUUAAAAUUUUGAUAAUUAAACUUAAAAAUUGGAGUUUUGAAAAAUUAAAUUAAAAAUUGGAGUUUUGGAAAUUAUUUGAAAAUGAAAGUUUGAAAAAUUAAAUUUAAAAAGAUAAUUAAAGUUUGGAAAGUUAAAGUUUUGAAAAUUAAACUUAAAAAAUGGAGUUUUGAAAAAAUAAAUUGAAAAUUGGAAUUUUGAAAAUGAGAGUUUUGAAAAUUAAAUUUGAAAAUGGGACUUUUGAAAAAUUAUCUUCAAUUUAAAGUUUUGAAAAUUAAAUUUUUGGCAUCAAAAGUUGAAGAAAAAUAAGAAAAAAAAAUGACAUAUGGCCUUAACAUCAUUGGCCAAACGUGUACAAACAUAAUAUAAGGAAUAACAAAUAGAAAAGGCGGAGCACCAGCAGCACCACAUUGAUGCCAAGUUCCCAGCAAACCAUUUCCAGUAGCCACCCAUAUUGCAAUAUAAACAGCUCUCCCAGCAAACCGGAAGCUCAUAGUUUUAGCAUCACUGGAGUUUGCAGCUCUCUCUUUCCUAUUUUUAUCUCUGUAAUCCUCUCUAAGGAUCUUGGACCAGUCUGGAAUGUUUACCGGCAGCGAGCUGACCAUCACGGUGCUACGAUCGCCUGACUCUCCACGCUUCGACGGCUUUUUCGCGAGUCGUGAACUCGAAACAGGCUUGCGGAACUUGGGCAAGGCGGAGUGGGAGGAGCUCCAGAUAUCGAACUCGUCGACCUCUAUGACGACCUCGGAAGCGAUCACAGGAGCGUCACGAUUAGCUAGUAAGAGUGGCAGGGGCGCCACGGAAGCCAUCUGAGUGGUCAACUGGGGAGCCGACAUCGACCGCGGCGCGGCGAAUAGGGUUCGAUGUCCAAAACCAGUGGAGCUAGGCUACUGAAACAAUGGGGUUGUUGUUGUUGUUGUGGUUGUGGAUGAGAGAAUGGAGUGGAGAAGAAAGAAGUUGAGUGAGAAAUGAAUGGUGGAAGGCAUGAUGAGAUGAAGGUGGCCAUGCGCAUAAGACUCCAUGUACGUGAGAAGGGGAGGGAAGUGAACCAAGAGUGAGGGGGGUGGUGUGGUGAAGGAGGUGAUGAGCUGAACGUAGGUUAGUGGGUAUUAAAAAAUGAUGAUGUGGGUAUGGUGAUGGGUAUCGGCUGCUGGUAAAUAUUGUCCCAUUUCUUUUGCAACUUUGUUGUAGACUCCAAUCAGCAUCUCUAAGCAUUCCAAUGUGGUCCACAUGGCUCUCAAACAUCCGGAAAUUUCCAACAACAUGAAAAAUGGCUCUCAUGGUGCUCUCCCAGAAACACCCCCAACCAAGAUGGCCAACCCAGCGACUGGGAUACUCUCAAACACAACAAAGACCAAAACAAAGCAAAGAAACAAAGCAUGAUUUCUGUUUCUAUAAAAACCGAAAAAAACGAACAGAAAGUGUAUGUAGACCGACUCCGAUAUGUAUGAUCUCUAAUGCCCACUCUCAAUCAUCAAAACCAACUAUCAGCGAAAUAAAAGAGCAGAAUGAUGCAAAAAUGGGAAAACAGAGCAUACGAUGGUUGUACCUGAAUAGGAGGAUUGCUCAACUCUAAGCACUUGAGUCUGUAGCUUUUCCCCACUCAGCAAAAGCCUUCCCCUGCUUCCUUGAUCUUUCCCUAGCUCUCUCUUUUUUUCUCCGUGUCCUCCAACCUAAUCCACUGCUCCUGCCAUCCUCCUCUCAAGCUCACUAUGCCAACCAUCAUCCUUUAUUCAGAAACGUCCCUCUCCCAACCACCACCAUGGCAAGAUGGCAGUCCUUUGCCACACGUCCCAACAUGCUUGGUUCCUCCAGAAACCGAUCCCCACUCUAGAAACUAGUUGUCAGCUUUUCCUGAGGUGGUAAAAAUAUGCUCCAAAAACAACAAAAAAAAGACUUAGAACAAAAUGAGGUCUACACACUUAACACUCUUAAGCACCAUUUAAUUUUAAGUUAAAUUAAAUUUUAAAAUUAAUUAAAAAAAACAUUAUAAUAGACUAAUACUUGAAAGUAUAAUUCAAUUUUUGUUAAAAAUCAGUUCUUAUAUAUAAAAGAUAUGCCUUUUUUAGCGCUAACCAAUAGUCUCAUUGUCCCCAUUUUCGAAAUUAAUAAAAUUAAACUUUUACCAAUAAUUCUCUAGAGAACAAAAUUUGUGUAUAUAACUUCACAAAAUAUUUCAAAAUAACAAAUACCCUGGAUGAAGCUUUGAAAUUAUUAUUAUUAUUAUUAUUAUUAUGAAUAAUACAAUAUACCGUGAGAACUUUCCCAAAUGCUUCUCAAACAUAAUUAUGGUAUACUUAUUUUUUUAUCUUGUAAAUAUGUAUAUACUAUUCCAUUAUAUAGAAUCACUUCUUAAUCAAAAACAUGUUUGAUGUUUAAUUGAAUAAUGAGAAAUUAUAAAUUAUUUUUUAAGCUCAAUAAGAGCUUAUAUGUCUAGUUCACUAAUUUUGUUGAAAGAGCUCAUGACUUUAAAAAUAAUAAUAAUAAAAAAAUAAAAAAAUAUUGAUUUUUGUAAAAGUUCUAUUUUACCUUAUACAAAAACUUCUUUUAUAUUUAAUAUAACUUUAAAAAUACUUUUAUAUUAAUCACAUGAAUUUAAUAGAUUGUAGGAAAAAAAAAAAACAUUUAAAAAUAUUAUGACUAGUUUGAUAAUAUUUUCGAAAAUAGUUUUCAAAAAACAGUUUUUGAAAAUAGUUUUUAUAAAUAGUUCUCUAAUAUUUUUUAGAACAAAAAUUUGUUUUAGAAAUUAGAAUGAUUUUAAUAUAUUUUAUGUAUUUUUAAAUAUUUCUUAAAAAUAUAUUUUCUUUGUAUUUUAUGUUUAAUAUUUUUUUAUAUUUAUACAAUUAUUUUUAAAAUAGAUCUUAAAAAAAUAAGGGAAAACAUUUAAAAACAACUAUAGAAAAUAAACUCUGGUUGAUAAAAAAUUGAAGGAUUGAGUUUCUAUUGUAUAUCUGUUGUACGUAUACAAGAACUUUAAAUAGAAAUUGAAAAGUUGUUAGCUAUACUCCUAAACAAGUGGAGUUUGUUGAGGGACUUUGAACUCCUGAGAUAAAGGAGUCUUUUGUGGAUGAAUUGGUCUCAUUGACCUGUUCUUCUACACGCCCCCUCAAUCGAAAGGGUAAGGAAUGAACCCUGAGAUUGUCACACAGAAGAAGAAAUCUACUAGAGGUCAGCGGCUUCGUAAGUGCAUUUGCAUGCUGAUCCUUGGUAGAAACAAAUUGAACAUGAAGUUGGCCACGAAGAACUUGAUCACGAACAUAGUGAAAGUCAAUUUCAAUAUGUUUCGUGCGAGCAUGAAAUAGAGGAUUACUGGUUAAAUAAGUAGCUACUAUGUUGUCACACCAGAGAAUCGGAGAAUGGGCAAUUGGAACACGAAGAUCAGUGAGCAAAGACUUUAUCCACUGAAUUUCUGCAACAACAUUGGCAAGAGCUUUGUAUUCGGCUUUUGUGCUACUACGAGCAACAAUUUGCUAUUGUUUGCAGCCCCAUGAAAUGAGAUUGUUGCCCAAGUAAACACAAUAAGCACCAAUUGACCUUUUGUCAUCACGAUCGGAUGCCCAAUCUGCAUCGCUGAAUGUGUGAAGCUUAAUAUUAGUAGUUGGUUGGAUCAGUAAAGCAUGAGAAAUGGUGUUCUUCAAAUAAUGCAAUAUGCGUUUGACAACUGCCCAAUGUGGCUCCAUUGGAUUUUGCAUAUACUUGCUAACUUUAUGGACUGCAAAAGUAAGGUCAGGUCGAGUAAAAGACAGAUAUUGCAGCCCGCCAACUACACUUCGAUACAAAUGAGGGUUGUGAAAAGGUAUGCCAGCAGAUUUUAUUAAGGGCUAUGAAGUCAACAUUGGAGUAACACAGGGCUUUGCUUUGUCCAUUUUACUACGUAUAAGGAGAUCAAGAAUGUAGUGACGUUAAAAUAAAUACAAACCAUGAUCCCUUUAGAUGGCCUCAAUGCCUAGAAAGAAACUCAGUUCACCCAUGUCUUUUACUGCAAAGUUGUCCUGCAACAAGCUUAUCACUUUGUUAAUGUCAUGUAUAUCUGCACCAGUUAUAAUUAUGUCAUCGGCAUAAAUUAAAAAAUAAAUAAGAGUGGAGCUAUGGUGAUAAACAUAAAGUGAAUGAUCCGCCUGACUUCCUAUAAAACCAAGGGCUUGUAGCUAAUCAAUCAAGCGAGAAAACCAUGCUCGUGGUGCUUGACGAAGACCGUAGAGCAAUUUUUGCAACUUACAAACAUGGUGUGACAAUUAAGGAUGAAUGAACCCUGGAGGUUGAGUCAUAUAGACAUCUUUUUGCAAGAUGCCAUGUAAGAAAGCAUUCUGUAUAUCAAUUUUUCGAAGAUGCCAACCACGAGAGACUACUAAUGAUAGAACCAUCCUUAUAGUGGUAGGUUUCACCACUGGGCUGAAUGUCUCUCCAAAAUCAACACCCUCCUGUUGAUGGAAUCCUUUGGUGACUAGGCGUGCUUUAAAUCGUUCAAUACCACCAUCAGCUUUUCUUUUAAUUUUGUACACCCAUUUGCAGCCAACAAGAUUGGCAUGAGGAGUUUUAGGAACCAAAGUCCAAGUUCCAUUAGCUAACAAGGCAUCGAACUCUUUAUUCAUAGCCUCCCGCCAAUUGUGAUGUUUAAUUGCAGUUGAAUAGCAAGUUGGUUCUUUUUCUGGUGGUUGGAUGGUGGCCAUAAGUGCUUUGGGAAUGGGAUAUCGAAUAUGGGAGUCAGAUGCUAAUUUUGGCUUGUAGAUGUUGUUUUUGCUUCUUGUAAUCAUGGAGUGUAUAUUCUGAUGUUGCGGGAGAGGUGGAAAAGGUAAGAGAAGAGGUGCUGGAUGGUCUUCAUGCUGAGAUAGAGUAACAUCCCUAGUAGGAGAACCCGAAACAAUAUGAAGAUUGGUGUGAGGACGAGAUGGCGAGGCCAUAUGUAGAGGGCUUGGUGCAGCAAACUGAACAUUUGUACCUGCAAAAACAGAUGAGCUAGAGAGUGAUAGAUUGAGAUUUGGUGGGAGAACAAUAGGAGCAGGUUUUGGAGUAGGCUCGAUAGACUCAGGACUUGUAUAUGGAUAAAGAGAUUUGUCAAAGACAACAUGACGUGAGACAAAGAUUUUUCUUGUGGACACAUCUAAACACUUGUAACCUCGAUGACCAACACUAUACCCAAUAAAUAUGCAGGUUUUGGAUUGAAAGUCCAUCUUAUGUUGAUUAUAUGGACGUAAAUAGGGCCAGCAAGUGCAACCAAAGGCACGUAAAAAAUUAUAAUCGGGUUUGUGAUGAUGGACCAUUUCAUAUGGUGAUCGAUGCUGUAAAAUUGGAGUUGGCAAUCUAUUGAUCAGCGCCACUAAAAGACCGACGUCUACUCCCUUCUGAUCCUCAAUGGCCUCUUCAUCCUCUGCAACCUCAAAUCAUUCUAUUGAUCCUACUACUACUGUCCCAUCCCUCUCCAAUCUUCCAUUUACUAUUAGCGUCAAACUCAACUCCUCCAACUAUCCUAUAUGGAAAGCUCAAGCCCUGCCCUACUUUAGAGGUCAAGCUGUUUUUGGCUACCUUGAUGGCACAAUCCCAACCCCACCUUAAGAAAUUGAUGCUCCUCAUCCCAACACAGGUGCUAUUAUUAAAAUUCCCAAUCCUUAAGAUCUUCAAUGGCUUCGUCAGGAUUCUUUAAUCCUCGCCACCCUUAAUGCUUCGCUCACUGAAGAUGUUCUCACUCAAGUCAUGUCUUAUACAACCUCUCGGCAGGUUUGGCUUGCACUAGAGCGAACCUUUUCUUCAAUUUAUCGUGCUAAAGCAAUUCAGAUUCGCACUCAGUUGGCAAAUGCUAGAAAAGGCGCUCUAUUCGCUAAUGCAUAUUUUCUCUCUAUCAAGCGAAUGGCUGAUGAACUUACUCUUGUUGGACAGCCACUUAAACCUAAUGACAUAAUCACCUAUGUGCUUGUAGGACUUGGCUAGGAAUAUGAUUCCUUGGCUUCAACAAUUACUUCUCGGUCUGACCUUAUCACCUUGGAGGAAUUUUACUCACUCCUUCUAAUCUGUGAGUCAUGAAUCCAUCACAAUAAUCAGUUCCUUCACGUUACUGCUUCCGUAAACAUUGCCACCAAGCAACCUCAACAGCAAAACCAAUCCAUUUUUCGUACGGCUGCAAAUUUUCAACAAUCUCACUGUGGUCGCGGUGGCUACCAUGGCAAAGGACGUGGUGGUCAUUUCACUUCCCAUGUUUAGGGUCCAUCAAACUCCGUUAUAUGUCAGGUAUGCUUCAAACUGGGACAUACUGCCAAAAAAUGCUAUCACCGUUUUAAUUUCUAUUAUCAGGACCAACAAACUCCCAAAAAUCAGCCACAAGCCAUGGUUACUGCGCACUAUCAACAUACUGAUAAUGAGUGGCAUCCCAACACAGGAGCUACCCAUCAUCUCACCAAUGAUGUGGACAAUAUUCAUCUUCAACAUGGAGACUAUGGCAGUCCAAAUCAUAUCCAGGUGGCUAACGGUGCAUGUCUGAAAAUAGUCCAAAGUGGAACUUCCACUCUCUCAUCUUCUUCCAACUCUUUUGUACUUAAUCAAAAUUUGCUUGUCCCAGAUAUUAAGAAAAACCUUCUCUCUGUUCAGCGUUUUUGUCUAUACAAUAAUGUUUUCUUUGAAUUUCAUGCUUCUUUCUUCCUUGUGAAGGAUUACUUGGGGAACAUCCUAUAUCGAGGACCACUCAGUAAUGGUCUUUACAACUUCUCAACUUCUCUUGCUCGUCUUCAGCCACAAGCUCUAUCUAGUGUUCGUGUGUCUACCAAUAUCUGGCACCGUCAUCUUGGUCAUGCUUCCUUUCCCAUUCUCAAUAAGGCUAUUUUAUUACCUAUCCCAAAUAAAAAUAUUUCUAUUUGUUUUGAAUGUCAGCUGGCUAAGAGCCAUGUUAUGCCCUUUAAAAAUGUGCAUGUUUCUGCUUUGAAACCAUUGGAGUUAAUAUAUUCAGAUAUUUGGGGGCCAACUCCUGUUUUAUCAACCUCUGGUGCACGUUAUUACAUCAGUUUUCUAGAUGAUGUUACUCUAUCUCAGCAUGAAGACCGUCCAACACCUCCUCUCUUACCUUCUCCACCUCGUUUGCAACAUCAGAAUAUACACUCCAUGAUUACAAGAAGCAAAAACAACAUCCACAAGCCAAAAUUAGCAUCUGACUUCCAUAUAUUGAUUUCCCAUUCCCAAAGCACUUAUGGCCACCAUCCAACCGCCAGAAAAAGAACCAACCUGCUAUUCAACUACAGUUAAACAUCACAAUUGGCGGGAGGCUAUGAAUAAAGAGUUCAAUGCUUUGUUAGCUAAUGGAACCUGGACUUUGGUUCCUAAACCUCUUCAUGCCAAUCUUGUUGGCUGCAAAUGGGUGUACAAAAUUAAAAGAAAAGUUGAUAGUGGUAUUGAACGAUUUAAAGCAUACCUAGUCACCAAAGGAUUCCAUCAACAAGAGGGUGUUGAUUUUGGAGAGACAUUUAGCCCAAUGGUGAAACCUACCACUAUAAGGAUGGUUCUAUCAUUAGCAGUCUCUCGUGGUUGGCAUCUUCGACAAAUUGAUAUACAAAAUGCUUUCUUACAUGGUGUUUUGCAAGAAGAUGUCUAUAUGACUCAACCUCCAGGGUUCAUUCAUCCUCAAUUGUCGCACCAUGUUUGUACGUUGCAAAAGUCGCUUUACGGUCUUCGUCAAGCACCAUAAGCAUGGUUUUCUUGCUUGACUGAUCAGCUACAAGCCCUUGGUUUUAUAGGAAGUCAGGCUGAUCAUUCACUUUAUGUUUAUCACCAUGGCUCCAUUCUUAUUUAUUUUUUAAUUUCUGUCGAUGACAUAAUUAUAACUGGUGCAGAUGUACAUGCCAUUAACAAAGUAAUAAGCUUGUUACAGGACAACUUUGCAGUAAAAGACAUGGGUGAACUUAGUUUCUUUCUGGGCAUUGAGGCCAUCCGAAGUGAUCAUGGUUUGUAUUUAUCUCAACGUCGCUACAUUCUUGAUCUCCUUAUACGCAGUAAAAUGGACAAAGCAAAGCCUUGUGUUACUCCAAUGUCGACUUCACAAUCCUUAAUAAAAUUUUCUUGCAUACCUUUUCAUGACCCUCAUUUGUAUCGAAGUGUAGUUGGCGGGCUGCAAUAUUUGUCUUUUACUCGACCUGACCUUGCUUUUGCAGUCCAGAAAGUUAGCAAGUAUAUACAAAAUCCAAUGGAGCCACAUUGGGCAGUUGUCAAACGCAUAUUGCGUUAUUUAAAGAACACCAUUUCUCAUGCUUUACUGAUCCAACCAACUACUGAUCUUAAGCUUCACACAUUCAGCGAUGCAGAUUGGGCAUCCGAUCAUGGUGACAGAAGGUCAGUUGGUGCUUAUUGUGUUUACUUGGGCAACAAUCUCAUUUGAUGGGGUUGCAAACAACAUAAAACUGUUGCUCGUAGUAGCACAGAAGUCGAAUAUAAAGCUCUUGCCAAUGCUGCUACAAAAAUUCAGUGGAUAAAGUCUUUGCUCACUAAUCUUUGUGUUCCAAUUGCCCAUUCUCUGAUUCUCUGGUGCGACAACAUAGGAGCAACUUAUUUGGCCAGUAAUCCUCUAUUUCAUGCUCGCACAAAACAUAUUGAAAUUGACUUUCACUAUGUUCAUGAUCAAGUUCUUCGUGGCCAACUUCAUGUUCAAUUUGUUUCUACUAAGGAUCAGUAUGCAGAUGCACUUACGAAGCCGCUGACCUCUAGUAGAUUGAGUUUGACGCUAAUAGUAAAUGGAAGAUUGGAGAGGGAUGGGACAACAGUAGUAGGAUCAAUAAAAUGAUUUGAGGUUGCAGAGGAUGAGGAGGCCAUUGAGGAUCAGAAGGGAGUAGACGUUGGUCUUUUAUUGGCUCUGAUACCAUAUAGAAAAUAAACUCAGGUUGAUAAAAAUCUGAAGGAUUAAGUUUCUAUUGUAUAUCUGUUGUAUGUAUACAAGAACUUUAAAUAGAAAUUGAAAAGUUGUUAGCUAUACUCCUAAACAAGUGGAGUUUGUUGAGGGCCUUUGAACUCCUGAGAUAGAGGAGUCUUCUGCGGAUGAAUUGGUCUCAUUGACCUGUUCUUCUACAACAACAAAAAUAUGUUCUCUAUGUUUUCAAAACAAGCUUUCAAAAACUUGUUUGUCAAAAAAUUAUUAAGAAGUGUUUUUCGAAUUUGAAAAACAAAUUUUGGUAAAAAGAAGAUACUUUUAGAAAUAGUUCCAAACAUGUUUUUAAUAGUUUUUGGAAUAAGUUUUCAACAAACUAUUUUGUAUAAAAAAAAUAAAAAUUAUAAAAAAAAGUUUUUUGAAACAUACUGUUAAUACGUUUUGUGGUAACAACGAUGUACCAUUUAAUAUGGGAAACAAAUUUAUACCAUCUUCCGGGAGUUGUUUGGAUGGAUCUUUAGAAGAUAAUGGUUAUGGUCUCAUGCCAUAUGGGCAUAUGGUAAAGAGAUGACGGGAACAAUAAUGUAAAAAUUAUUAUUUUUUGAUUUUUUUUUCAUUUAUUUACAUGCGUUUAAAAAAAAAUUAUACAAACAAUUUGAAUGAAAGAUUAAAAAAAUAAAAAAGAAAGAAAUAAAUAAAAAAUAAAUAUGUACACAUAUUUUGGUGGAGCCGUGAGUGUGUUAAUGUUGUGGAACCGCAGGGAGUGCUGACUAAGUAAGGCUUCUGGGUGGUGCGGGUUUUUCUCAUAGAGGCGGCGGCAGUGGGUGGAAUGAUGACAGGUGGGCGUCUUUGACCGGGUUACUGGUCUCCCUUCUCAUUCUCUUUCUCUCUCUUUUUAUUUAUUUAUUUAUUUUUUUAUGAGACAUCACUCAAUACCACUAUUUUUAUUAUUUAUUUCCUUUCAUUUUCCCAACCACUUACUUUCAAUUUUCCAACCAUUUCCUUCACCCUUCGCCACCAUUGCCCCCUUUGACACUCCCUCUCCGCCAUUGCUAACCACUACUCUCCUCCUCUCCUAUCUCCCCCUCCCCCAAUUCUCUCCUGCAAAUUCAACUUCAACGAAUAUAGGUUCAUUUUCCCGGAAAAUCCCCGGACUUUUUCAUCUGGGACUAUUUGUUCGGCCAGUGUAACCAAACUCUCCCUCUAUGCUCCGCGGCACCGCCAAUCCUCUCCAACGCAUUCAAAUUCAAGGAUAUGGCUUCCCUUUCCUGGGAAAUUCCGGGGAGUUUUUGGUCUGAAGACUUUCUGUUGGGUGAGUGUUGACUUGAGUUGACCCACAAAGUGCCUGUGCGUGAGAGGGUGGUUGAUGAAGAGUUUGGGGUGCUAGCUGCGGAGAGGUGGCGGUUAUGGAGCCGGGGGUCUUCGGUUCGGUUUUUGUUUCCUUGAUUAUAGUAUUCUCUGCGUUUCUGAGGGUCUCUGGUAAUUCCGAAGGUGUGUUCUCUCAUCCUUUUUUAGUGAAUUUGAUGGAGGUUUGGAGGUUUUAAUUGAUUUAGGAGAUGAAUGCGAUGAAUUGUUUGUUUGUUUUCUUUAUUGGAUAUUUGGUAUUGAUUGCUGUAGAAUCGAAUUUGGAAAAUCCAUGGUUGACAACUUUGUUUGGUUUGACUUUCUGGGUUUUGUUUGGUUGCUGAGAAAUAUGUUGCAAUACACUAAAGCCCUGUUUGGCAAUGCUUUUUCUGCAGUUUAAAACCACUUCUUUGGGAUCUGUUUGUGGCAAGGCUAGUUUUUUAGGUAGUUGUUACUAAAUAACUUGCUUGGUCAAUUGACCAGACUUGUAAUUUGUAAAUUUCUGCGUAUUUCCUUUUUUAAUUUUAAUUUUAAUUUUUAUUUAUUUACUUAUUUUAAUGUUUCUUUGUGUGUGUUUGCGCACUUGUCUAAAACAAGAAGUUGGGACCUGUUUAAUAUAUGUUUUUUUUUUCCAAAGCUCUGAAAUUCCUCACCUCUUAAUCUGAAUUUUCAUCUUAAUUAAUAAAAAACUAUCUGAACCCUUUUUUUUUCUUUUUCUUUUUUCCAAAUUUCCCUUUAUUCUGCUGAACAGGCCUGAGUGUUGUAUAUAAUUUCCCUUCAGUCUGAAGUACUUGCAGACUUGCAGUUGAUGUGACUUUAUGUUUUUGACCAGAACCUGAUGUUUGCCUCAUGCAUGUGAACCAGGUGAUGCUUUGAAUGCGUUGAAGUCAAAUUUAGAAGAUCCUAACAAUGUUUUGCAAAGUUGGAAUGCUACCCUUGUCAAUCCUUGCAAAUGGUUUCAUGUUACACGCAACAGUCACAAUAGUGUUACAAGAGUGUAAGAUGCUUACUUUUGUUAGAUUUUUUCACCCAAACGCAACAAGUUAUAUUGUUUCUUGCCAUUUGGAGUCAAUGUUGUCUUUAUAUGUUAUUUUUCGGCUGUUAUAUUGACAUUUUUCCAACUGUAUACUCACAGUGAUCUUGUAAAUGCAAAUUUAUCCGGUCAACUGGUUCCACAGCUUGGUCAGCUUACAAAUUUGCAAUAUCUGUGAGUCAUAUUUCUAUAAUGAAAUUUGUUUGCCAUAUCUGUUUGAUGUUCAAGCAUAUAUGCUUGUUAUCUUUUAUGUUCCCUUCUGAUCGCUUUUCCCCCCAUUACAGCCAAAGCCAUAAAUUGCAAGGUUUCCAUUUCUGUGUUUUUAUUUCUCAUUGAUAUGUGGUAAUAUUUUUAUGAGCUUUACAUUAGUUUCUUGUAGAAAUAUGUAGCCUUGGUCCUUAGAAGGGAAAAUAAACUUCAACAAUUCUAUUGGUUACUUCAGAAUUUUUGCUUCGAUAAUAAUAAUAAUAAUAAUAAUUUCUUCAAUAAAGAAGCAUGUGGUUCAGUGUUCAGUUGCAUCAAGUUUUCAGGGGACAAAUAUUCUCAUUUGUUCUUCUUAUGCGUUCAUGACUUACAUUAAGAAUUCAUAUUUUUCCUGGUUACAGAUUCUGUCCCAACAUUAAGGUUUCACUUAGAGAAAUGAACUUCAAGAGCUUGUUUGGCUGUGUUUCACAUUUUAUGUUUCUAAUAGUGUUUUAAUUAUUUGCUUGUGAUAUCUGUUUUCUUCAAUUUGCCCUUUUUCUAAUCUUUCAUGUUUUACAUAUUAACACUCUACAUUGCUUUGUAUUCAUCAAAUUCACCUGAUAUGGCAUUUUGAUUUCCAUUUUCUAAAUAGAACAUGUUUCAAGAAGUGCAUCCAAAUGAGAACAAGUGUCUUUCUAGAAACAUGAAAUGUUGUCAAUCUUUCUUUGAUCAACAUAUUGGUUUCCUGACCUCUGCUCUAUCUUACAUGUUCAUUCUUGUCAUUUUAAUCGGUUAGAUGUUGUCAUGUUAUAUAUUCUGAACUUAGUUGGUUUUGAUAAUUCCUGUUAGGAUUAUUUUAUGAUUUUAUUUGAUGAGGUGUUACGAGUGUUUGUUCACCCCUUUACGUAUUUACGAUUAACUGCUUCAAUAAUUGUAAUACUUCCAAAAGAGUGUGUUUCUGUUCACCAUAAGUGUCUAUCUAGGGAAAACCUUUUAUAUGUUCAGAAAAUUCUCUGUGAGUCAUAUUUUUAUAAUGAAAGUUGUUUGCCAUAUCUGUCUGAUGUUCAAGCAUAUAUGCUUGUUAUCUUUUGUGUUCCCUUCUGAUUGCUUUUCCCCCCAUUACAGCCGAAGCCAUAAAUUGCAAGGUUUCCAUUUCUGUGUUUUUAUUCCUCAUUGAUAUGUGGUAAUAUUUUUAUGAGCUUUACAUUAGUUUCUUGUAGAAAUAUAUAGCCUUGCUCCUUAGAAUGGAAAAUAAACUUCAGCAAUUCUAUCGGUUACUUCAAUAAUAAUGAUAAUAAUAAUAAUAAUUUCUUCAAUAAAGAAGCAUGUGGUUCAGUGUUCGGUUGCAUCAAGUUUCAGGGGACAAAUAUUCUCAUUUGUUCUUCUUAUGUGUUCAUGACUUACAUUAAGAGUUACAGAUUCUGUCCCAACAUUAAGGUUUCACUUAGAGAAAUGAACUUCAAGAGCUUGUUUGGCUGUGUUUCACAUUUUAUGUUUCUAAUAGUGUCUUGAUUAUUUGCUUGUGAUAUCUGUUUUCUUCAAUUUGCCCUUUUUCUAAUCUUUCUUGUUUUAGAUAUUAACACUCCACAUUGCUUUGUAUUCAUCAAAUUCACUUGAUAUGCCAUUUUGAUAUCCAUUUUUUAAAUAGAAUAUGUGUCAAGAAGUGCAUCCAAAUGAGAACAAGUGUCUUUCUAGAAGCAUGAAAUGUUGUCAAUCUUUCUUUGAUCAAAAGAAAGAUGUCGUCACUUUACAUAUUUAAAUAUAACUGAGUUGGUUUUGAUAAUUCUUAUUAGGAUUAUUUUAUGAUUUUGUUUGAUGAGGCUGUUAGGAGUGUUUGUUCGUCCCUUUACAUAUUUAUGAUUACUUGCUUCAAUAAUUGUAAUACUUCCAAAAGAGUGUUUCUAUUCACCAAAUGCGUCUAUCUAGGGAAAACCUCUUAUAUGUUCAAAAAAUUCUAGAACUUUACUAUCUUACUUUUUAUGUAAAAAAAGAAGCGUAGUGUGGACCCACAUUAUUCAUGUGAGUCCCUUACUUGACAGCAAGACUCACUUUCUUGUAAUGAAAAACUGCAUUCUUGUAAAAACUGGAGUCAUCACAUUUUUUUUCUUUUUCUUUUUUGUAAGGGAAAGUAAAAUAAGAAACUAAAACCCUAAGAAAAAUGACUCCUUAAGUUUUGGAAAAAUAUGUCUUUAAAAAAUUUGAUUCUAUAUCUGGGAAUCAAGUUACCUAUCGAAAAGGUAUGGUGAUUAAGUUAUAACACCCCUUUAAGUUCGUAUACCUAUGGUCUUUACUAAGCGAAUGAAGCGAUUCAUGACAAUUGAUUAAUAAAUCGAGGAUACCAAUAAUACGACAAUAAGAUACAUAUAAGUCAUGCGGUGUGAAACACGUACACAAAAAUGUAUACAAUUAAUGAAUGUGAAACACACAAAAUAGAAUUUAAUCAUUUGUUAAAGUUGCAACAUUUCAAAAGAAAUUUAUUUGUAUUGGAAACAAUUCUAAAUUAAAGAAGUCAAACUUAUUUACUCACAAUGUUUCAAUUUAUUUACAAGAGAUUCAAUUUUUAUUCACAUCCAAAAUUAAUUUUAAAAAAAAAUUCUUGAUUUUAUUAAAAGAAUUUUGAUUGAAUUUGAAUUUGUUAAAGAAAAAAGUUUCAAUUUGAUCUUCUAUUAAAAAAGAAAUGAUUUUGGUUUAAACUUUAUUAAAAAAAAAAAACAAGAUUCCACAAUUAUAAAGAAACAUCAAUUCUAUUUUUUGAAAAAUGAUUUUUACAAGGAAAAGGGGAUUUAUUUAAUUUAAUUACAAGAACCAAAUUUCAAUUUAUUAAGAAAACAAAUUUUUACAACUUUUAUUUCCUCUAGAUUUUUAUUAAAACAAUUUUCAAGAUUUUUUUAUUCAAUCAAAAUUUGGAACUUUAUUAAAACCAUUUUGAAUAUUUUUUUUAUUAAAACAAAAUCUUAUAACUUUUAUUAAGCAAACUUUUGGAACAUUUUAUCAAACACAAACUUAGAAAACUUUAAUUUAAAAUAAAAUUUGAGGACUUUGAUUAAAAAAUUAACUUCGAGAAAAUUUAUUAAAACACUUACUUUGAGGGUUUUUAUUAAACAAUUUUUAGAAUUGAUUAAAACACUUAUUUUGAGAAUUUAUUAGGACACUUAUUAAAACUUUUAAGACUUUUAUGGAAACAAACUUUAAGUAAAUUUAAAAGACAUAACUUGGAGAACAAUUAUUAAAAUAUUUAUUUUAAAAAUUUUAAUUAAACCAAAUUUGAGAACUUUUAUGACUUUUGUGACUUUAAUGAAAACAAACUUUGAGAAUAUUUAUUUAAACACUUAUUUUAAGAAUUUUCAUUAAACAAACCUUAUGAAAAAAACAAUUUUAAAAGAACAUUUAUUAAAAUAUGCUUUUUAGUAAACAAACUUAUUAAAAAAAAGGGUUUUGUAAAGAACAUUUAUUAAAACAUAAAUUUUAGUACACAAACUUAUUAAAAACAAACGAUUUUCUAAAGAAAAUUGAUUAAAACACAAAUUUUAGAAUUUCAAUUUUAUUAAAAAAACAAUUUUCUAAGAGGCAUUUAUUAAAACACCAUUUUGAGUAAACAAACUUAUUUUUAAAAAAUGAUUUUCUAAGGGAUAUUUAUUAAAAACGAUGUUCUAAGGAACGUUUAUUAAAACACAAUUUUUAGUAAACAAACUUAUUAAAACACAAUUUUCUAAGGAAUAUUUAUUAAAAAAACAAUUUUCUAAGAAACAUUUAUUAAAACACAAAUUUUAGUAAACAAACUUAUUAAAAAAAAAAUAUUCUAAGGAAUAUUUAUUAAAACACAAUUUUCGAUAAACAAACUUAUUAAAAACUAAUUUUCUAAGGGACACUUAUUAAAAUACUAUUUUUAGCAAACAAACUUAUUGAAAACGAUUUUCUAAGGAACGUUUAUUAAAACAUAAUUUUUAGUAAACAAACUUAUUAAAACCCGAUUUUCUAAGGGACAUUUAUUAAAACAAAAUUUUAAGCAAACAAACUUUUAGGACUUUGAACAUUUUUAUUAAAAAAAAAAAAUUUCUAGAUUUAUUAAAAAUGAAUUUUUUGAUUUUGAAAUGAAAAAAGAAAAGAAAAAGAAACCAUUUUUUAAAUAUAUUAUAAAAACAAUUUUUUUUGAAUUAUUAAAGAAAAGAAUUUUAUGAAUUUAUUAAAAAAAAUAAUUUUUUGAAUUACUUUAUAUUAAUCCAAAUUCCUGAAUUUAGUAAUAACAGUUCUUUUAUAUUAAUUUAUUAAAACCAUUUUUUUUUUUUUGCAAUUUAUUGAAUAAAAUAAAGAAAAACUCAUGUAAGAUCAAUCAAAAACCCAAAUAUGACAGAAAAUGAAAUAUGAGGAAAAAAGACUAGCAUAAAUAGAAUUACAAAAAAUUUAAGAUAUAACGAAAUAUGAGACAAUAAGAUUAAUAUAAACAGAAUUACUAAAAUUUAAAAUAAGAUGAAAUAUGAGACAACAAGACUAAUAUAAAUAGAAUUACAAAAAAUUGAGGAUCAAAUUUACACAAAUAUAGAAAACUUGAAAUAAAAUAUAAUACAUACAUUAUCAACAGAAUAAUAAAUAAAAAUGACAAACAUAUAGAUGAGUAGAAAAAUUUAGACAAAUGUGCAUACAUACAAAAUAUAGAGCAUAAUGAACAGAUAAAUAAAAUAGGUAGAGAACUGAAUAAAUGAUAGGAUAAAAUAUUCAACUACCAAAAUGCUCACAAAUAUAAUAAAUAUAAUUUCUGGUGUUUCCUUUAAAUUUUGUUGUUCUAACUUUAUUUGUUCUAUUUCUUUUCUAACAAAUUUUUCUUCUUUGACUAAUUGUUCUUUAAUAUAAUCUAGUUAUUUCUUAACAUAUUAUGGUUCUUAAAGUUUUCCAACUUCUUUUCUAAUUCCUAGGACUAUAUUUAAUUUUUCUAAGGAUUUUCUUUGUCUUAUCUGGAUUUCUUCUAAACAAUUUAUAUUAUUUGUAUUUUCUUUCUGAAUUUGUUUUUUAUGUUCUCGUAAUAUUACAUUUGUUAUUUUUAAUUGUAUUUCUACUAAAAAUUUAAUUGUUUUACCUCUUGGGUUUGUAGAUAAGGGUUCAUGAAUUUUCAUUAUUUUCUAAUCAGAUGAGCUAGAAUAUAAGUUGUCAAUAUAAUAUUUUAUAAUUUCUCUUUUAAUUAGGGUUUUUGUAGCAAAAAGUUUGUCAAAUGAUUCUUUUAUAGCUAUUUUGUAUUCACUCAAAUAUUUAAGAGAGGUUAGGUUUUUAAUAUCUCUAGUUAAAUCUUUUACAGUAGUCCUUAAAGUAUGCAAUUUAUCAUAGUUUUAUCUAAAUGCAAUUUAUCAUAGUUUUAUCUAAAUUCUUUACGUUGAACAUACAACCUGUUAUUAAGUUAUUUUACAUGAUCAUGAUUUAUAUUAUAUAUACCAAGAGGAUAAGGGAUAAAAGACAUUAAUUCAUAUCAAAUCAGCAAGCUAAAUAAACAGAUCAAGUGAAUAUAAUCAGACUUUUAAUGGGGUAAGAUAAAGUUCAGUACUCUAAAAAAUUAAUUUGAAUCAAGAGUUAUUUUUUUCUAAUUAAUAUACUAACAAUAUGCAUAAAGUUCUGAUACCAAUCUUUUCACAAACUUUUCACAUAGUCAAGGCAAAUGGCUAAAACUUUGAAUUUAGUCGUUGAAAAUCAGAGUGUAAACCAUGAGAAUCAAAGUUUAAAACCAAAACCAGUGUGAAUGCAUUUAUUAUACAAUUUAUUUAAUGUAAACCCUUUCAAUAUACAAUGUAAAAGCAUUUAUUACAUAUAAAUACAUUUUUUGAAGAUCAGAUAUCUCAAAAUUCUCUAAAUGAACUCAAGAUUUUAAAGCAUUAUUUCGUGUCAAGGUAAUACCCCCUUUUUGACCAGACAAAGUCUCCUUAACAUGCCAAUUUUCCGGCAAAAACGAGUUAAGGUCAAUUGUUAAGACUAAAAACUCUAGUUUAAAAACCUGAUUUUACACCAAAAACUUUUUCAAUAACCCGAUUUUUUUAUUUUAAUAAUUUGGCAGAAACAUUAUAUAUAUAUAGGAUCUAUGUAUAUUGCAGAUAUUAAUAUUAGUAUAAAUAAAACUGUGAUUCAAAUAAUUUUCAUUUCCCUACUUUAUCUGUUUACCCCUUUUACCUCUUAAGGGUUAGAAAAAAAAAACACACAAAUAAAUUAAAUUACAAAUAAAAUAAGAACAUAAAUUUAAUAGAAAUUUCUUACUUUUUAUUAUUGAAUGUAGAAAUUUACAAUUGAAGAUACAACUAAAAUUUCUCUAUUUCUCUCAAUCUCUUUAUUGAUCAUUGGUUGAUCCACUAUCAGUUUGCAACUCAUUUAUAGAUAAAAUUUUUACAACACGACAAACUAAAGUUAAUUAGGGUUGUUGGCAGUUACAUUUACAAAGUCAUAAAGGUUUGGUAGAAUUCAAUGUAACUUUUGACUUCCUUCCUUCUUUCUUCUUUCUCUAAUUUCUAGAUUCUUUCUUUUUCUUUUAUUUGUCAUAUGUGUUUUACACAGUCAAUGGGACUUUAUUACUUUGUCUGCCACUUUCAUUUCUCGUGGUUAGGGACGCAUUUAUUGCUUCAAUGUCGUCAUUGAUGACAUCAACGUUCCAUUGUGUUUUACACAUUUUGAUAGCUUUCUUCAUCAAGUUUUUCCCAAAAUGAUGCAUCAUCGCUGAGGUAAGAAGAUGGUUCUAGUAAUUCUACAGUAAGCUCGGUUGUAAAAUCUUGUUCUUUAGGGGUAACAGAAGGUUUUGGAACAAUAAUAUGUUAUAAAGGUUUAUUUCUCCAUAUAGACAUGAUUUUUGUUUCUCCAAUGAGAUAAAAUAAUUUAUUUCGGGUUGGUCUAAAAUCAUAAAUUUGAAAAGCUCUAAAACGAGUAAAAAAUUCUGGAAAUUGAUUUAAACGAGUCAUUUCCCAUUCUGGUUCUUGUUGAGGAAUAAGUGAUUCUUUAUUGUGUUUUAUAUAAACAUGGUGAUAGGCUAGUACUAUCGAUCCAUUGAUUUGAAAUAAAGGUGGAAUGGUUUCAAAAGAAAUGCAAAAACUGAAAUAGUAAGAUACAAUAAGCCAAAAAGACUUCAAUGGAAAACCAAAACAUAACUUUUUAGCUCUUUACAACCAAUAUAUGAAUAUGAAACAAUAUUAAACAUAGAUAAUACACAAGACCUUUAGAAAACCAUAGAAAAUUGGGAUCAAUCCUUAAAUUCAACCGGUGUAGUAGUAUCCUUUGAGGUUUAACUCUUUAUUUUCUCAAAACCUUUUUUGAAGAACAUAAAGUUAUUAUAGAUAAUUUUUGGUCUCUAAAACCAAAAAUUUUUCCAAACCAAAAUUUAGAAUAUGCUUAUGGAAAAACCGUGUCAGCUUUAGCCCAACAUUUACAAAACCUUCAAAACCAACUGAUUGCUUUAGAAACCCAAAAAUUUGAAAACCUUAAAAUCCAAGAAAAUCAAGAAAGACUGAUAAAGGAUUUGAAAACCAGUACAAUGUCAACCAGUCAAACUAGUUGUUCAAAUGGUCAACCUAAAAUACUUAGUUUAAUUAAGAAAUCAGCUCUUCUGUUUGAAAAAUAUGAAAAACUUGUUAAAAACCUAAUUGGAGCAAAUAACUACUCUUUAGUCGAAACCUUCUUUCUGCAAACCCAAUAUAACAAAGUGUUUAAAAAUCAAGAACUUUUGUAUAAACAUUUUAGAACUAAAAAUGUUAAGAUAAAAACAGGGUAUAUGACAUAUCAUGACCUUGAAUUUUUCUUUGUUAUAUAUUUGGAGUACCCUAGUUCAUGGAUCAAGGAACUUUAAAAAAUGUUUUUAUGAACCAGAUAUCUCAAAUCCCUGAAAAUUUCCUAAAUAAAUGAAAAGAUAUUUUAACCUAUCUAAUAAAUGAAAAGAUAUUUUAACCUAUCUUUUCAAAAUCGAAAAAUAGAUAGACAUUUCUUUUGAAACCAUUCCACCUUUAUUUCAAAUCGAUGGACCAUUAGUGACAGCCUAUCACUAUGUUUAUAUAAAACACAAUAAAGAACCAUUGAUUCCUCAACAAGAACCAGAAUGGGAAAUGACCCGUCCAAAUGAAUUUCCAGACUUUUUUACUUGUUUUGAAGCCCUUCAAAUUUAUGAUCUUAGACAAACUCAAAAUAAAUUAUUUCAUCUUAUUGGAGAAACAAAAACCAUGUUUAUAUGGAGAAACAAACUUUUAGAACACAUUAAUGUUUCAGAAUCUCUUAUUACUCCUAAAGAACAAGAUUUUAUAAUCGAACUCAGUGUAGAAAUACCAGAAUCAUCUUCUUACCUCAGCGAUGAUGCAUCAUUUUGGGAAAACCUUGACAAUGAAAGUUAUUAUAAUCUGCAAAAUGCAAUGGAAUGUUGAUGUCAACAAUGACGACAUUGAAGUAGUAAAUACGUCUUCAACUACAAGAAUUUAAUGCAACAGCAGAAGUUCAAAAUCAAUAAAGCCACGUAUACUGCAUGUGAUGAAAAAGAAGAAAGAGGCAAGGAAGAAGCCACUAGACAUAAGGUAAAAGAAGAAAGAAAAGUCAAAUCUCAUAAGUCUUUACCAUCUUUGCAUUUAUUGUUAACUAAACCUUUGAAGACUUUGUAAAUAUUUUUGCUUGUCAUAUACCAACUGCCAACAACCCAAUUAAAUUUAGUAUAUCAUAUUGUAAAAAUUUUGUCUAUAAAUAAGUAGUAAACAGAGAGAGAAAAAAAACGAGAAAGAAAAAGCAAGUUGGAAGUGAGCAAUCAAAGAGCAAUUAAAGUGUUAGUUGUAUAUUCAACCUGUAAAUUUCUACAUUCAGCAAUAAAAAGUAAGAAAUUUAUGUUAAAUUUCUAUUCUCAUUUGAUUUUAUUUGUCUUUUUUCUUACCCUUAGGGGUAAAAUGGGUAAAUAGAUAAAGUAGGAAAAUGAAAAUUAUUUGAAUCAUAGUUCAGUUUUCUUUUACUAGUUAAUAUCUACAAUAUACAUAAAUAUUUCAUAUAUAUAAUGUUUCCAUCAAAUUUUUUUUAAAAAAAGGUUAUUUAGAAAGUUUUUUUUUUAAUGUAAAAUCAAGUUUUAAAAUUAGAAUAUUUAGUCUUAACUCUUGACCUGUAACCCCUUUUUGUCAAAAAAUUAGCGUGUUAGGGAGACUUUGUCUGGUCAGAAGGGGGGUAUCACCUUGACGCGAAGUAAUGUUUUAAAAUCUUGAGUUUAUUCUCUGAAUUUUUUUAAAAUAGUUGAUCUUUAAAAACAUAACUUUGAUACAAUAAAUGCUUUCACGCUAUAAACUGAAAGUAUAAAUUUAAAUAAAUAUUAUAAUAAUAUGUGAUAAAUGGUUUCACACAGUAUGUUGAAAGUUUUUAUUUUAAAAUAACAAUAUAAUAAAUGCCUUCACACUGGUUUUGGUUUUAAACUUCGAUUUUGAAUGAAAAAUUUUCAAGUUCCUGCCAUAGCCUUGACUGUGAAUAUCUAAUUAUGUAUGUGGAUGAGAAAAGUUGGUAUCAGAGCUUUAUGUAUAUUGUUAGUAUAUUAAUUAGGAAAAGUAACUGUUGAUUCAAAUUAAUUUUCAGAGUACCAAACUUUAUCUUACCUCGUUAAAAGUCUAAUUAUAUUUGCUUGAUCUAUUAAUUAAGUUUGCAUGUUUAUUUAGUCUGAUAUGAAUUGAUGUCUUUUAUUCCUUAUUCUCCUGGUAUAUAUAAUUUAGAUUAUGAUCGUGUAAAAGAACUUAAUAGUAGAUUGUAUGCUCAAUGGAAAGAAUUUAGAGAAACUUGUGAUAAAUUGCAUAAUUUAAGGACUAUUGUAAAAUAUUUAACCACGGAAAUAAGAAACCUAACUUCUCUUAAAUAUUUGAAUGAAUACGAAAUAACUAUACAAGAAGCCUUUGAUGCACUUUUUACUACAAAAACCUUAAUUAAAAGAGAAAUUAUAAAAUAUUAUAUUGAUAAUUUAUAUGUUAGUUCAUCUAAUUAGAAAAUAUUAAAAACUAAUGAACUCUCAUCUACAAACCUAAGAGGUAAAAUAUUUAAAAUUUCUAGUAGAAUCACAAUUAAAAAUAAGUAGUCUUACAAGAACAUAAAAACCAAAUUCAGAAAGAAAACCAAAAUAAUAUAAACCAAAAUAAUAUCAAUUGUUUAAAAGAAAUCCAAAGAAGACAAAGAAAAUCCUUAGAAAAACUAAACACGAUCUUAGGAAUUUGAAAAGAAGCUGAAAGACUUUAAGAACCAUAAUUUGCUAAUAAAUAACUUAGAUUAUAUUAAAGAACAAUUAUCUAGAGAAUAAAAACAAUUAGUUCAAAAUUAUAAAAUAACUAGAUUUUUAAACCAACAUACUAUAUGUUCAAUAGGAAAUAUUAUAUAUUUAGACUUAGUAUCUCCAGAAACAAAACAUAAACUAUUAAAAAAUAAAACCAAUAAAUAUAUGCAUUUAGGAAUAAUUUUAAUAGGAAUAAUAGGACUUCAUCAUAAAGAAAUUUGAGCACUUAUAAAUAUUAACCUUUUAGUUACUAGAAACAAUAUAGUAGGACGAGCUCUUUUAGCCAGCGCAAAAGUUAAUAUGAACUAAAAUUACUUAGUCAUUGGCUGUAUACCUCAAUUUUGUAUAGAUCUUAUGGAAUUCAUAGAAAAAAUAAAAAUAACUAUAAAUACUAAAGGUUAUGAUAUGGAAUUAGGAAGUAAGAACCUUAGCAUAGCUAUAAAAUUUAUAUGAAAAACCACUAAUGCUCUAAGCUUAAAAUGUAUGAUGGAAUUUGAUGAUAUAGUAAAAACCUUUGUAAGUAAGACUGUAAAUAUGAUAGAAGCAAAACCUAUAAAUAUAGACUAUUUGCUUGGAUGAGAGUGGGAAUUACCCCAAAUAAAUAAACUAGUAAUAAAAUAUUCAACAUCUAGUAGUUUAUAUGAAAAUCAAGAUGGAAGCACAAGGAUAACCUUUGGAAACUAUAAAACCAUAAAUGUAGAGGUAGAAUCAAAUAGUGAGAUGGAAUCUAUAAAUGUUAUACAAGAAGAUAUUUUAAUAAACAUUGAAAUAGUAGAAAACCUAUACAAAAAUUCAGAACUAGUUAAUAUAAUGUUAGAAGAAUUCAGUAACCCAACGUUACUAGAAGAACAUGUAGAUCAAGAAAACUUUGUUGAUAUAAUGUCUAAAAACUAUACAGAUUAGCAAAUAAUAAAACAACUUUAUAAAACCAAUUUGAUAAAAAAACUUAAAGAUAUAGAAACAAUAAAUCAAUUUACUAUUCAACCAAAAACUAAAGAAAACCUAGAAAUAAUCUCAAAUGAGUCGGUAAAUACAAUAAAUGUAGAAAAAGAAUUUGUAAAUAUAAAAACUGAAAUAGUAAGGUGUAGUAAGUUGUAUGGUAAGCCAAAAGGACCUCAAUGGAAAACUAAAACAGAAUCUUCUAGUUCUUUACAACCAAUAUAUGAAUAUGGAAUAAUAUUAGAUAUAGAUAAUACACAAGAUCUUAAGAAAACCAUAGAAAAUUGGGAAGAAUCCUUAAAUUCAGCCGGUGUCGUAGUAUCCUUUGAAAAUCAACAAAAAAUUUAUGAAUUUUGUAAAAGCACCCUUGGAAGAAUUGUAUCUUGACCAUAUAAGAUCUGAAUGUCUUGAACUUAAAAAACCAUUAAAUGAAUGAAGUAGAAAAACCCAGGUAAAAAUAAACCUAAAUAAUGAGUAUUAGAUAGAUAGUGAAGAAGAAGAACUCAUUAGUGAAUUAGAUUUUGAAAGUGGAAAUUCAAGUGUAUGUAGUAUAGAUGAUAGUGAAACCGAAAGAGAAGAAAUUUGUACAAUUAUUGAAAAAGAGGAAAAUCAACCUAAGAGAACCUCUUUAAAUUUAGAAAACCUUAUUCAAUCUUUAGAAAGUAAAAUAAAACCUUAUAAUAUGUGGAAAGACUUACAAGUAAUAAUUAAAGGAAAAAUCUUGGAAGAAGAGGAAGGCAGUUCAAACUCUAAAGAAAUAAAAGAACCAAUAAGUCUUGUAAAAUAAAUAAAAGAACUAAUAAGUCUUGUAAAAACAACUAUACAAACAAUAGAACAAGUAAAUAUGACAAAUAAAGUUAAAUCUAUGAUUUUUCCAACAACAAUUAAAUUAAAAACCAUAGAAUUAAAAGUAGAUGCAAUGUUAGAUAUUGGAGCUAGUAAAAACCUUUUAUUUGAAACCCUAGUACCUCAGGAAGACUAGAAAAAAUUAGUUCAACUAGUAGAAUUAGUCCAAUAUAAUCAACAAAAACUAAUACUAACCAAGUUAUUUCAAAUGUACUAAUCAUAAUUAACAACAUAACUUUAGUGUUACCUCAAACCUAUCUUGUACCUACUAUAAGUUUAUAUCCUUUCAUUUUGGGUUUAAAUUUUGUACAUUCUUUACAAGAAGGGAUAACAAUGCAAAAUAACUAAAUCAGUUUUCAUCUUAAAACGACAACAAUUAUUUAUGCAAACAUGGAAAAUGCAUCAAAUAAAAAUCAUAAUGUAACCUCUCAUCAAAUUAACAAAGUAGAAGCACAAAAGGAUAACAUAAUUAAUGAUUAUUCAGAACAAUUAAGAAAUGCAGAUAGGUUAAAAAACCUUAUAUUAGAAACAAAAAAAUAGGAAUUAUAGGGGAAAAGGAAGAUAAUUUAAACUCUCAAAAAAUAAAAGAACCAAUAAAUCUUGUUGAUACAACUAUAUAGACAAUAGAAUAAGUAAAUAUGAAAAAUAAAGUUAAAUUUAUCAUAUUCCCAACAACAAUUAAAUUAAAAACCAUAGAAUUAAACGUAGAUGCAAUGUUAGAUACUGGAGCUAGUAAAAACCAUUUAUUUGAAACUUUAGUACCUUAAGAAGACCAGCAAACACUAGUCUAACCAGUAGAAUUAGUCCAAUAUAAUUAACAAAAACUAAUAUUAACAAAGAAUAUUUCAAAUGUACCAAUCAUCAUUAACAACAUAACCUUAGUAUUACCUCAAACUUAUCUUAUACUUGUUACAAGUUUAUAUCCUUUCAUUUUAGGUCUAAAUUUUGUACAUUAUUUACAAUGAGGGAUAACAAUACAAAAUAACCAAGUUAGUUUUUAUCCUAAAACUACAACAAUUGUUUAUACGAAUAUAGAAAAUGCAUCAAAUAAAAAUCAUAAUAUAAUCUUUCAUCAGAUUAACAAAGUAGAACACAAAAGGAUAGUAUAAUUAAUAAUUAUUCAGAACAAUUAAGGAAUGUAAAUACAUUAAAAAAAACCUUGUAUAUAUUGAUGAUAUUCUUGUUUUUUUUUUUUUAUAUACUUUUCAAGAACAAAUAAAGCAUUUAGAAUUUGUUUUUGAAAAGCUAAUUAGUCAUGGACUAAUAAUAAGUACAAAGAAACUGAAAUUAUUUAAAACCCAAAUAGAAUUUUUAGGAUUAGAAUUGGAGGAUGGACAAAUAAAAAUACAAGAUCAUAUAGUACAAAAAAAUAAAUAAUUUUCUAGAUAAACUCGAAGACUUAAAAACCCUUCAAAGUUUUUUAUGAUUAUUAAACUAUGCUAAACCAUAUAUUAAAAACCUUAGUAGAUUAGUUGGUUCUCUUUAUAGUAAAACAAAAAAUACAAGAUAAAGAUAUUUUAACUAAGAAGAUGUUAAACUUUUACAAAAAAUAAAGGAACUUCUAAAGCAUAUUCCAACCUUAUAUUUACCCUUAGAAAGAGAAUACAAAAUAGUUCAAAUUGAUGCUAGUCAAAUAGAAUGGGGAGGUAUGCUUUUAGCAGUUACUAAUACUGGAGAAGAAAAAUUUUGUAGAUAUUGUAGUAGAACUUUCAAUGAUUAUUAAAAGAACCUUAGUUUACAGACUUAGAAAUAGAAGCAAUAAUCUUAGUCUCAGAAAAAAUUCAACUAUUUCUAAAUGAAGAACAAUUUACCUUAAGAACUGAUUGUGAGAACAUUUAAAAGUUCUUUGAAAAUAAAAACUCUUCAAAAUUGUCCACCAAAAGAUGGAUAAAGUAUCAAAACUCUUUAAUUGAUUUUAAACCUAAAUUUGAACAUAUUAAGGGAAGAAGUAUUGAAUUCAAACUUAAGGUUUAACUCUUUAUAUUCUCAAAACCUUUUUGAAGAACAUAAUGUUAUAGUAGAUAAUUUUUGGUCUUUGAAACCACAAAGUUUUCCAAACCAAAAUUUAGAAUAUGCUUAUGGAAAAACUAUGUUAGCUUUAGCCCAAUAUUUACAAAACCUUCAAAACCAAUUGAUUACUUUAGAAACCCAAAAAUUUCAAACCUCAAAAUCCAAGAAAAUCAAGAAAGAUUGAUAAAAGAUUUGAAAACCAGUACAGUGUCAACCAAUCAAACCAGUUGUUUAGAUAAUCAACCUGAAAUGCUUAAUUUAAUUAGGAAAUCAACUCUUCUGUCUAAACAAUAUGAAAAACUUCUUGUUAAAAACUUCUGUCUAAACAAUAGUACCAGCCUAUCACCAUGUUUAUAUAAAACACAAUAAAGAACCACUUAUUUCUCAAUAAGAACCAGAAUGGGAAAUGACCCGUUCAAAUGAAUUUCUAGAAUUUUUUACUUGUUUUCAAGCUUUUCAAAUUUAUGAUCUUAGACCAACCCAAAAUAAAUUAUUUCAUCUCAUUGGAGAAACAAAAACCAUGUCUAUAUGGAGAAAUAAACCUUUAGAACACAUUAUUGUUCCAAAACCUUUUGUUACCCUUGAAGAACAAGAUUUUAUAAUCGAGCUCACUAUAGAAUUACUAGAACCAUCUUCUUACCUCAACGAUGACACAUUAUUUUAGGAAAACCUUGAUGAAAAAAGUUAUUACAAUUUGCAAAAUGCGAUGGAAUGGUGACGUCAGAAAUGACAACAUUGAAAUAAUAAAUGCGUCUCAAACUACAAGAAUUCAAUGCAAUAAUAGAAGUAUAGAAUCGACAAAAGAUCUAAUAGCCAUGUAUACUGCAUGUGAUGGAAAAGAAGAAAAAGACAAGGAAGAGACUAUACAUGCGGUAAAUAAAGAAAUUAGGGAGAAGAAAGGAAAAUCAAGACUUCAUAAAUAGAGUUAUAGAAAUUUAAAACAAGAUGAAAUAUGAGACAACAAGAUUAACAUAAACAAAAUUACAGAAAAUUUAGGACAAAAUUUACACAAAUAUAGCAAACUUGAAAUAAAAUAUAAUACAUAUAAUAUCACAUGUCAAUACAUAUCAACAAAAUAAUAAAUAAAAAUGACAAACAUAUAGAUGAGCAGAAAAAUUUAGACAAAUGUAUAUACAUACAAAAUGUAGAAUAUAAUGAAUAAAUAAAUUAAAUUGGUAGAGCUCUAAAUAAAAUAUAGGAUAAAAUAUUCAACUACUAAAAUGCUCACAAAUAUAAUAAAUAUAAAACAAGAUAAAUCUAAGAAAUCCUAAAAGGAACAAAAACAUGAUUCAAAUAAAGAGAUGAGAAAGAAAUAACUUACCUAAAUGUAGCCCUAAAUCAAUCCUAACUCUCCAAACCUCCAAAGGCAACUCCAAGAUACGAAUCUAGUAUAAAAAAACAAAUGGAUAGCCCCACAGUAAAUACACGAUAAGGAAAAACUUUCACUCACCAACGAUAUACAAUAAAGAAAGAAAGAACCCUAAGAAAAGUAAGAGAAGAACACUAAAAAACAAAGUAGCAGCACCUCGCCUCUCUUUGGUUAUCCUCCCCCCUACUUAGGGCUUAUGUGCCCUUUAAGUAUAGUUUUCAAGACUUUCUCCCUAAGAAAUCUUAUGGGCCCCUGCAAAACAAAUAAAGCCCAAAAUGAGGACUGAUAACCCAAGCCCAAUUAAAAUAAAAUAACCUAAGUCCAAUUAAAAUAAAUAACUGAAGCCCACAACUUAAAAUCUAAAUACUCACAAUCUAAAAAUAAAAUAGCCCAAACCCAAUUAAAAUAAACUAACCCAAAUCCAAUAAAAUAGCCUAGGCCUACAACUUAAAAUCUAAAUACUUAUAACUCGAUAAAAAUAAAAUAACUCAUAUCCAUUUAUAAGGAAAUUUGAAUAUCAAUUCACGCAAUUUUGGAAAAAAAAACUAAAAUUGAACCUCAUGCAAUUUUCUAACAAAUAAAUAAAUUUAUAAGUAUAUAAAAAAAUAGAUAAGUAAAGAAAUAAAUAAUACAAAAUAAUAAUAAUAAUAAUGAUAAUAAUAUAGACAUUAAACACUAUAAUCAAAAUUCAAAUGUUAAUCUAGUGUAAUUAAUGAUAAAAAAAAUGAAAAGUUGAAAUCUCACGACUAAAUAUUGAAAAUUUAAUCCAAGCAAUAAAAAAAAAAAAAAACAAAAAAAAAUAAGUCAAAUACUCACUUAAACUCAUAAUCAUGUAAUCACAACUCAAAAAACAAGCCUAAGUGCACUAAGCCUAAAGAAUCUUUCUUAUAAGUGAACCUAAGUGGGUUGGGUGAAAUUACCUAAAAUGUGCCUAAGUGAUCUAAAUGGAAAAAUCUCUCAGUGAACUAAGUGGAAUCUAACCUAAGGAGGUGCCUAAACGGGCCUAGGGGAGUCUAGAUGGGCCUAAGUGGGCAUAGUGUCCUAGGAAAUGCCUAAAUAUAUUGUCCUAAAAGGGAAAGUGCACCUAAAAGGGCUAACCUAAGAGAAAAAGGAAAAAGAACCUAGAUCUAACUCAAGGUUGCCAAUGGUCACAUUGAAGGGCCACAUAAAUCCCUCAACCAGAGUCUCUAAAGUGGCUCAAGCAAGUAAGCUACAUGAAUAGAAAUGGGUCAUUGGGAACUAAUGUGGAGUAUUGAAAAAGCACUUAAUAGGGCAUAAGAGAAGCACAAGAAUAUACCUAGUAUCCUAUGUACAUGGAGGAGAAAAUUGAGGGUCUACAUGUAGUUUGUUAUGGAUGUAGAAAUUCAAUUGCUUUUGUUGUGAAGCCAUUGUUGCAUGCUUUUCUUUGUUAGCUGCAUAAUCCAUUGUUGCAAAUAUUGAAUAUAUAUACAUUCACUAGUCAUACAAUCCAUGCCUUUUGAGUCUCAAGUUUAUAUUAUCUACCUCCUAGAGUUGGCCAUUUGAUUCUGCUUAUUGUUAUAUAUAUUGAAUUAUAGGUUAUGGAUGUUCUAUGCCUUUUCUUUUUUUAUAAAAAAUAAAAAUAAAAUGCUUAGAAUAUGCUUUCGUUACUUCUUUUUUUGAUCCAUGAAUUAUCAAAAUUAAACUUUUAUGGCAGGGAACUUCAUAAUAAUAAUAUAAGUGGAAAAAUACCAAAGGAGCUUGGGAAUUUGACGAACUUGGUGAGCUUGGAUCUUUCAAUGAACAAUUUAAAUGGUACAAUUCCGGACACAUUGGGCAAGCUUACAAAACUACGUUUCCUGUAUGAAUACACAUCCUUCAGGAACUUUCUUCAAUCAUUAAAUUUUCUUACCUUCUAGUUAAUUUAGCUUCCUUCAUAUUUCUUUUUGUGUCUACUAAUUAAAAGGAUUGCUCACAAUAAGCUAGUUUAGCGCUGAUAAUUCAGAUGCUUGUACUUAGGGCAAUUGUGUUUAAAAAAUAUCUUUUGGGUUUGUUCUCUGCUUCAUCUAAUCAUGAUGGUAAAAAAUUUGAUACACGUGUAUUUAAUUUUAAGAAAUGCAUUAGCAUACAUUAUUGAUCAUAUUGAGUCUAAUAUAGUAUAUUUCUAUUUUGAUAGAAAUGCAUAGCUCUUUAUUUCCAUUGUGUUUGAGACAUCAUAUUGCAUUUUUACUAUUUUGAUUUCUUAAGUACAAAUUUAAUCUUCAUUUAUUUAUACUAUCUUAGGGGAAGGGUCUUCUCUGUUCACUUUUAUACCUUACAACUAACUUUUUGCAUUAAAUUGUAAUAUGGCAUAGGUGUAAACUUAAACAGAAAUUAUUAGUAGGUUGUUUAGUUCCCAUUCCUCCUUUCCUUCUCUAUAGGAGGUGUAACUCUCUUUUGUACAUGCAGGACAUACAUUCUUCUAGUUGUAUUUUAUGACAGAGAAAAUAUUACAAAUUGAUAGGUCUAGUUUAUUGUAUUUAUUCCUUCCCUUUUUCAACCAAUCCAUACAACCAUUUGGAGAGUAAACAUCUAUUUUGGACAACCUAGUGUAGUCCAAGAGUCAAUUGUUUGGAUAAUUGCUGAUUGGUCCCCUUAGAACUCAUUACCACUGAUGGGGGAAAACCUUUUAAAGUCUAUUCAAUAAGGAAAAGGAAGACCUAAGUAAACUUUAAGUAGGAUUAAUAUUAAUUAGAAUUGAAUUAGGAUUAGUAUUUGUUGGAGUCAAAUUAGGAUUAGCUAGUUAAAUUAUAACAUAAUUAGAGUUUAAGUCUUGAUAGAUUAUUAGAGUCCUAGUAGACUUUGGAUUUUAUAAUUAGAAUUAGAGUUAUAAUAAAUUAUUAGAGUCCUAGUAGACUUUGAAUUUCUUAGAGAAGCCUAAAAAUAGGUUAAUCAAUGUAAAGCAAAUGGAUGAAUUGAUUGAUAUUAAUAAUAUUAUGUUUUCUUCAUUGCAAGUGUUGAAAUCCUCAAUGUUGAGACUCCAUAAAUUUUUCUUCUAGGUGAGGUCCUAGAGGGCCUUAGUGAGACUCUAAGGUUUUCAUUUUUUCUUCCUCGUUCUUCUUUCUCUCUAUUUUUUUUUUCUUUACCAUAAAAUUUAUUCAUAGUUCCUCUUUUUAUACUCUAAAAUCAAAACCCUAGCCCACCUACUUUUGAGUGUAGGCAACCAUCUUAGGGUUGUCCUACAUUGGUUUUGGUAUUAGAGUAAAAGUUCUUGGCUUGAAGGCAUAUGCAAUUGAGGAGAUGAGCAACUUAUGCAAGCAUGAGUUCCAAAAAAACUUCUAACAAUCAAGAUGCCGUACAACAAUCCCAUCAAGAUGCUAUAAUAUAAUUAAAUAGAAAACUUGAUGAGAUCAUGAAGUUAUUAGAAAAGAGUAAAGAAAAAAGACCAAUUGAAGAUGAGAUUAGAAGUCAUCAAUUUAGACAAUUGCCAAGUCGAUCACCCGAAGAACAAGACAAUUUUAUGAUGGGGAAUCAAAGAAGGGGCAAACUCUUUGAGCAAGAUGAUGGUAUGACAAAAAAGGUACACCUUGAAGUUACUGAAUUUUAUGGAAAAUUAAAUCCAACGACUUUUCUUGAUUGGAUUGUGUUGAUGGAAGAUUACUUUGAUUGAUAUGCAAUGCUCGAAAAUAGAAAAGUUUGUUUUAUGAAGGCAAAGUUGAAAGAAGCAACAUGUCUAUGGUGGGAUAAUACUAAGAAUCAACUUCAUAGAAUUGGCCAACCACCUAUAGACACAUGGGAAGAGAUGAAGUUGAAGAUGAAGGAGCACUUUCUCCCAACUGAUUAUGAACAACUUAUGUACACAAAAUUGUUUUCCCUUAAACAAGAUACUUAGUCCGUUGAAUUAAUACAGAUAAAUUCCAUGAAUUGAGCAUUUGAAAUCCAGUUCGGGAAAGUGAUGCUCAACUUGCAGCCCGUUAUAAAGUUGGACUUUGAAUGAAGAUUCAACUUGAGAUGAUAGCUACACACACUUAUACAAUAGACGAUGUUUAUCAACUAGCCCUUAAAAUAGAAGAAGGGCCCAAGUUUCAAGCUUCCAGACAUCCAAAUUCACAAAUUGGGAGCACUUUCUCCAACUGGACAACAAGUAAACCUUUAGGCACCACAAAUUUCCAAACUUCUAACCAUGUGAAUAGUGAAGGCAAUAAUAAACAAGCCUCACAUGUGCCUACUAGAGAUGCUAAUAAGGGUAAAACUUCAAUGAACAUUGAAGACAAAAAGGUAACUAUGACUCCUUUAUGCUUUAAGUGUGGUAGGCAUGGUCAUUAUGCUGUUGUGUGCCCAACCAAAGGUUUACACUUUUGUGUUUAAGAACCAGAAUCUGAAUUGGAGGGUUACCCAAAGGAAGAAUAAACCCACAAUGAAAAUGAACUUAGUGAAUAAUGUGACUACUAUGAUGGUAUGACAGAAGGACAUAGUCUUGCAAUACGACCUUUAUUAGUUGUCUCAAAGGUAAAAGGAGAAGAAGAUUGGUGACAUACUAGCAUUUUCCAGACAAGUAUUUCUUGCCAAGGGAGAUUAUGCACCAUGAUCAUUGAUGGAGGUAGUAGUUUGAACAUAGCUUUGCAAGAACUUGUUGAAAAGCUAAACCUUAAAAUAGAGAUGCUUCCAAAUCCAUUUCGAGUAACAUGGGUUAAUGACACCUCUAUUUUGGUAAGUUUUUGCUACUUAGUAACAUUCCUUUUUGGUAAGGACUUUGAAUAGUCUGUAUGGUGUGAGGUCUUACCAAUAAAAGUAAGUCAUAUUUUACUUGGAAUACCUUGGCUUUUUUAUAGAAGAGUUUAACAUGAUGGUUGCAAAAAUACAUGUACUCUCAUACACAAUGGGCUUAAGAAGAUCCUUUGUCCAAUGAAAGAAGCCCCACCAAUUAAGAAGUCAAAGGACGCACAACCAAAAAGGGUGCUUAUUAUGCGUUAAUUUGAAAAGAUACGAGAAAAAAUCAAAAUCAGCAAUGAGAACUAUAAGGAGACAAUAGAUGCGCAUCAAAGUUAUAUUCACUUUCAAGAAGGUGAUCUAGUAAUGGUUCAUCUACGUCUAGAAAGAUUUCAUCCGGACACAUAUCAAAAGCUUCAAGCUAAGAAAAUGGGUCUAUUUCGGGUACUAAAGCGAUUGGGUGAGAAUGCAUAUUUGUUAGAAUUCACUUCAGACUUGCAUUUUAGUCCAAUAUCUAAUGUUGAAGAUUUGUUUAUUUACCAUGGCCAUCAAAAUGAGGUAAGUGGAGAAUUGGAUCUUUAAUUACCACCUACUCUUAGCCCAUGUCUUGAGAUUGAGUAUGUUCUUAAUGAUCAACGUGUGUCUACUUAACAAGGUGUAUGGUGUGAGGUCUUACGAAUAAAAGUAAGUCAUAUUUUACUUGGAAUACCUUGGCUUUUUUAUAGAAGAGUUUAACAUGAUGGUUUGCAAAAAUACAUGUACUCUCAUACACAAUGGGCUUAAAAAGAUCCUUUGUCCAAUGAAAGAAGCCGCACCAAUUAAGAAGUCAAAGGACGCACAACCAAAAAGGGUGCUUAUUAUGCGUUAAUUUGAAAAGAUAUGAGAAAAAAUCAAAAUCAGCAAUGAGAACUAUAAGGAGACAAUAGAUGUGCAUCAAAGUUAUAUUCACUUUCAAGAAGGUGAUCUAGUAAUGGUUCAUCUACGUCUAGAAAGAUUUCAUCUGGACACAUAUCAAAAGCUUCAAGCUAAGAAAAUGGGUCUAUUUCGGGUACUAAAGCGAUUGGGUGAGAAUGCAUAUUUGUUAGAACUCACUUCAGACUUGCAUUUUAGUCCAAUAUCUAAUGUUGAAGAUUUGUUUAUUUACCAUGGCCAUCAAAAUGAGGUAAGUGGAGAAUUGGAUCUUCAAUUACCACCUACUCUUAGCCCAUGUCUUGAGAUCGAGUAUGUUCUUAAUGAUCAACGUGUGUCCACUCAACAAGGUGGAUACCAAGAAUUUUUGGUGAAAUGGUGAGGCAAACCAUGUUCUGAAAAUACACGGAUUAUGACAAUAGAUUUUCAAAAGCUUAACCCCGAUCUCUAUUAAUUUUAUCAAACAUCUAACUCGUUAGAGUCGAGUUCUUUCAAGAUGGGGGGAAUUGAUGGUGAAAAACCUUUUAAAAUCUAUUCAAGGAGGAAAAGGAAGACCUAAGUAAACUUUAAGUAGGAUUAAUAUUAAUUAGAAUUGAAUUAGGAUUAGUAUUUGUUGGAGUCAAAUUAGGAUUAGCUAGUUAAGUCAUAAUAUAAUUAGAAUUUGAGUCAUGAUAGGUUAUUAGAGUCCUAGUAGACUUUGGAUGUUAUAAUUAGAAUUAGAGUUAUAAUAGGUUAUUAGAGUCCUAGUAAACUUUGGAUUUCUUAGAGAAGCCUAUAAAUAGUCUAAUCAAUGCAAAUCAAAGGGAUGAAUUGAUUGAUAUUAAUUAUAUUAUGUUUUAUUCAUUGCAAGUGUUGCAAUUCUCAAUGGUGAGACUCCAUUAAUUUUUCUUCUAGAUAAGAUUCCUAAAAGUCCUUAGUGGGACUCUAAGGUUUCCAUUUCUUCUUCCUCAUUUCUUAUUUCUCUCUAUUUAUUUUAUUUUAUUUAUUUUUUUGCCAUAAAAUUUAUUCCUUGUUCCUCCCCUUAUACUCUAAAACCAAAACCCUAGCCCACCUACUUUUGAGUGUAGGCAACCAUCCUAGGGUUGUCCUACAUCAACCAUUGUGCAAAGAGUUUUGUUUAGUUUCUUUGUUGUGCAAGUAUAUGUUGAUUGUGUUAAAGAAUAUGAUAUAUAUAUAUAUUGUGGACCCAAAUCCUACAAGCUUAAGCUUUUAGGAAACUUGGUUAUCUAACAUAGUAUUAGAGCCUCAUUUGGUGGGAGGUCAUGUGUUCGAGCGUCAUUACAUUUUUCUUUCCCCAAUUUAUUGAAUCCACAUGUAUUAAGUCUACAUGCAAGGUCAAAAGAGGUUAAUUGUGGUUGUUUGCCUUCAGGUCUUUAUGUGUGCAUGAUCUCGUGUUUGAGCCUCAUCACACUUUUAUUUCCCCAAUUUGUUGGGCCCACAUGUAAGUCCAAAAGAGGCUCUUUGCCUACAUGAGAGAGGGUGUUAAAAACAUGAUAUACAUUGUGGACCUAAAUGCUACAAUAAAAUUGGUUGUCUAAUAGAUUAUAUGUCUUUGCUUUGUUUGUUGUUUGCUUUUCAAUGAUUAUUAUGAAACCUAACAGUGUUUAUUUUGUAAACUGUCUGCAUGGAAAUAGGCGGCUUAACAACAAUGCCUUGACAGGAACUAUUCCAAUGUCUUUAACUGCUGUUAUAACACUGCAAGUCCUGUGAGUACUAAGUUGAUGUCCUAUCCAGAGAAAGCUAUUUUUUCCCCUUAGCUUCCAAUGACAUGAUUUUGUUGCAAGAAUAUGACAUUAUAAUAUUCUUAUGUGGAUGCAGGGAUCUGUCGAACAAUCACCUAAGAGGAGAUGUACCAGUAAACGGCUCGUUUUCAUUAUUUACUUCUAGCAGGUAAACUGGGUGCAAUGUCAUUUUUAUGAUAGUACUAUUGGGUGACCUAUCUAAUCCGUAUGCUAACUGCUGUGUUGCAAUUUUGCAGUUUUAACAAUAAUGACCUAAACCAAAUUCCACUUGUUCCACCUCCACCAAUUUCUCCAACACCAAUAACUUCUUCGGGUUUGUCAUUAUUAUUUUCUGUUUUUAACUAGUAUUAGGUCCAAGUUAUCUGAUUAAAAGAAAGUAUCAACUCAAAGUUGUUGCUGAUAUUGGACCCUUCUGUGUUUUCAUUGCUAUGUUUUCCUUUCACUUUCAAUUGGACAUGUCUUCUACCCCCUUGUCUGGUCAAGUCAUCCUGUACAUGAGUUUUAUCUAGUUUCGUAACUCAUCCAUCUUUUUUUAUUUUCCUUUUAUCUGAUAUAUAUAAUUGAAAAUAAGCAGAGAGAAACUUUAUAAUUGAUGAAUGUGAAUUUAAGAAAAUCACUUCAGAGGAUGGUUUAUUUAGUUUCAUCAACAUAGUAUCAUUUUUGAGCAAUUAUUGUUUCUAUUAAAAAUUUUGGUGUUUCUUUGGCCUAAAUUGCUGGUUAUUAACUAUUUUCUGAGCUUUUAGAGAAUGUGGAUUGGACUUAAUCAAUAUCAGAAACAGGCACUCGUGAGUAUCAAAUUCAAUUAGAAUCUAACUUUUCUUGGAACAUCUUAUAACUCACUCUAGAAAAGAAAUGAAUUGCUUUAUUAUUUAGAGGUUCUCAGUUAAUGUUCAAAUGUUCUGAUUAUCACAAAUAAUAAUGAUAAUAAUAGUAUCAUUUUUGAGCAAUUAUUGUUUCUAUUAAAAAUUUUGGUGUUUCUUUGUCCUAAAUUGCUGGUUAUUAACUAUUUUCUGAUAUUUUAGAGAAUGUGAAUUGGACUUAAUCAAUUUCAGAAACAGCCACUUGUGAGUCAUCAAAUUCCAUUAGAAUCUAACUUUUCUUGGAACAUAUAACUCACUCUAGAAAAGAAAUGAAUUGCUUUAUUAUUUAGAGGUUCUCAGUUGAUGUUCAAAGGUUCUGAUUAUCACAAAUAAUAAUGAUAAUAAUAGUAUCAUUUUUGAGCAAUUAUUGUUUCUCUUAAAAGUCUUGGUGUUUCUUUGGCCUAAAUUUCUGUUUGUUAACUAUUUUACGAGCUUUUAGAGAAUGUGGAUUGGACUUAAUCAAUUUCAGAAACAGGCACUUGUGAGUUGUCAAAUUCAAUUAGAAUCUAACUUUUCUUGGAACACCUUAUAACUCACUCUAGAAAAGAAAUGAAUUGCUUUAUUAUUUAGAGGCUCUCUCAGUUAAUGUUCAAAUGUUCUGAUUAUCACAAAUAAUAAUAAUAAUAAUAGUUUACUAUAUUUAUGUUUUUUUGGAUUUCAUUGAUGUAGAAAACAGUGCCACUGGAGCUAUUGCUGGAGGAGUUGCUGCUGGUGCUGCACUUCUGUUUGCUGCCCUUGCAAUAGUGCUUGCUGGAGGAUUUUUAUAGUUUGAGUUUAUAACUUAGUGGUGCAUCCUUUUAUUUACUUCUUUGAACUCUUUUGAGUCUUUUUUGAUAUUUGUUUGGUGUUGGGGAUUUCAGCUAUGGCUUCUAGUUUAUAAUAUUGGGGGUGGUUAUUCAGAGAUUACAAGUAGGUGAAUUUGUUCCAUACUUUCCCUCACAGAAAUCCAAUGAUCUAUUUCAACCUUGACGUCAUUCAAGUGCUUAAAAUAAUGUUGUUACAAUUACAAGUUAAAGUGAUGCACAACUCAGAGACCUCUCAGACUCCUGUUCUUGUAUUGAUUUUAGUGAAAGACUUUAGAUGGCAAAGUCGUGUUUUCAAAUGGUAUGAAAAUUAAACUCAAGUUAUCUCAUACUUUUCCUAGCAAGUCAAAAGAGUAGAAUUACGUACGUGAACUAUGGCAAAGACUAUAGUCAAAGCAGUGUAACCAUAAGGGUCACAGAAGUCUUUUCCAGAGAGUAAGUGGGUAUCAAAUAUAGAAAAUGGUCCUAAUUUACAAACAAUAGAAAGCCUGAAAGAUGAAUUAGCUUAAUACAGUCAAUGUUUGUAAAGGACCAAUCAUACUAUGUAAUCAGUGAAAGUUAGUUUGGUUAGACUAGUUCAAAUUGGACUCAAAUUUUAGAAUGGAUAGGAUUCCUUGAUUUGAGGAAUUUUAGAAUGGAUAGGUUCUUUUAUUUGGGGAAUUAUUUGAAUUCUAGUUUUUUUGUAGGUAGUAAAAGUUUUAUUCAGAUUAGGAUUAGAAUUAGAUUUGCUUUUAGGUUUCCUUAUUUUUAGCCUAGGAAUUUUCUAUUUGUUGGUUAUUUAAACAGAUGUAGCCUGUGUUAUGAAAAAGUGCAAUAAAAUAAAAGUUUAUCCAAAAAACCUUUCACGGUUUUAUGGUAUCAAAGCUAGAGAGAAAAAAAAAAGUUUAAAACACUUUUGUCUCAAGUUCACCAAAUGUUGAUCCCUCACCAUCUUGCUCUCAAGCACAAUCAGGUAGAACUCAAUACCCAUUUAGUGCCUUAGCCAAUUCUUAUAAACCUUGGAUCAUUGAUUCUGGAGCUACAAAUCACAUGAUAGGGUCACCCACUUCAUUUUCAACAUAUGUACCAUGUGCUGGUAAGAUGAAAGUUCGAAUUGUGGAUGGGUCAUAUACCCCGGUCGCUGGAAAAGGAACCAUCUCCUUGAAAAAAACUUUUUCUCUUGAAUCAGUCUUUCAUGUCCCAAAUUUGUCGUGUAAUUUAUUGUCCAUUAGUAAACUCACUAGAGAUCUCAAUCGUGUAGCUAAAUUUUCUUCUGCUGGUGUUAUUUUUCAAGACUUAGCUUCGAGGAGGACGAUUGGUAGUGCAUGUGAGUGUGAAGGUCUAUACCACUUUGAUGACCGUGAAGUUGUGUAAGGACAAGCCGUUGUUUCUGGUAGAAGUGUUUUAUCUUUUCUUUUUUAUCAUGAAAUAAUGUUAUGACACUAUAGAUUGGGCCGCCCUAGCUUUCCUUAUCUUAGGUUCUUGUUUCCAAAACUUUACAAAAAUAAAAGGUUGUCCAAUUUUCAAUGUGAAGUGUGUCAAAUGGCAAAGCAUACCAGAUUAGUAUUUCUUGCUAACCUUAUAGGCCCUCAAAUCCUUUUACUCUCAUACAUAGUAAUCUUUGGGGACCAUCUCCGGUAACAAAUCUAAUUGGUGCAAAAUGGUUCAUUACCUUCAUCGAUGAUCAUUCAAGAAUUUGUUGGGUUUACCUCCUUAAAGAAAAAUCUGAAGUCUUUCAAACCUUCAAAAAUUCCUAUUCAAUGAUCAAAAAUUAGUUUCAAACGUCCAUUAAAAUUCUUAGAACUGACAAUGGUAAUGAAUAUAUAAAUGUUGUUAUUAGAGACUUUUUAUCAACUAAUGGGAUUAUUCAUCAAAAAAACAUGUGUAGAUACUCCACAACAAAAUGGAGUUGCUGAAAGAAAGAAUAGACAUCUCUUAGAAGUUGCUCGGUCCUUAUUAUUUUCAAUGAAUGUUAGAAAAAUACAUUGGGGGGAUGCCAUUCUUACAACAGCACAUUUGAUCAAUAGGAUGCCCUCAAAAGUUCUUAAUUUUAAAAUUCCCAUUGCUGUUUUUAUUGCUUCAUUCCCAGAUUCCUGAAUUUGCCAAGAUUUACCAAAUAAAAUUUUUGGGUGCACUAUUUUUGUACAUGUUCAUUCACAUAAUCAUGGUAAACUUGAUCCUAGGGCUAUAAAAUGCUUAUUUUUAAGAUAUGCAGCAAUUAAAAGAGGAUAUAGAUGUUUUGAUCCUAUUAAUCAGAAACUGUACAUCUCUAAAGAUGUAACCUUCUUUGAAUAGCAGCCCUAUUAUACUUUGCUUCAGGGGGAGAAUUCUAGUGAAGCUUCGUCAUGGGAAAUUCCACAAUCUCCUAUUCUGGUUCCUACACUCCUAGCAACCAGUCCGGUGUCUACUCAAAUCAGUCCACUCCCAGCAACCAGUUUGGUGUCUACUCAAAUCAGUCCACUCCCAGCAAUUAGUCCACUCCUGGCAACCAAUCUGGUGUCUACUCAAAUCUCUCCAUCCAUUCAUUUCGUUCAAUCGAACCCAACAAUAGUUCCAAUACAUAACAGAUUAUCAAAUGCAAGGGAAUUGCCACUAACAACACAGUCUACACUGUAGUUCAAAGUUUACUGAAGGAAGUGUAUAGUACCUAAUACACUCACGCCUUGCCAUGAGGCUACAUCGGAGAUAAUGCCUGAAUUAGGUUUGGAUAAUUCUUCACCCCCCUCACAUUCCUCACUUCCUACAGAUCCAGUGCCUAGUGACUUAGAUCUCUUGAUAGCACUUAGGAAAGUUGUUAGAUCCUGUACCAUUCAUCCCAUAUCUAAUUUUGUCUCUUAUCAUAGAUUAUCCUCAUCUUUUUUUGCUUCUAGCUCUCACCUUUCUUCCAUAGAAAUUCCAAAAAAUGUACAAGAAGCAUUUGGUGAUCCAAGUUGGAAAACAGCGGUUGUGGAGGAAGUCAAAGCUUUGAAAAAAAUGGAACAUGGGAACUUGUUACCCUACCGAAAGGUAAAAGAACUAUGGGAUGUAAGUGGGUCUUUUCAGUAAAAUACAAAUUUGAUGGCUCGGUGGAAUGGUACAAGGAAAGAUUGGUUGCUAAAGGAUUUACUUAGACUUAUGAGAUAGAUUACUAGGAGACUUUUGCAUUGGUGGCAAAAUUGAACACAAUUCGAAUUCUUCUCUCUUUGGCUGCAAUGAUUAGCCUCUUCAACAGCUAGACAUAAAAAAUGCUUUUCUCAAUGGGGAAUUAGAGGAGGAGGUUUACAUGGUUGUACCACCAAGACUUGAACAAGAAAGCUCCAAUAAAGUUUUUCAAUUGAAGGAAGCUCUCUAUGGUUUCAAGCAAUCACCCCGGGCAUGGUUCGAAAUACUCUCAAGAGUAGUAAAACAAUAUGGCUAUCUUCAAGGACAUUAAGAUCAUACCAUGUUUUACAAAUCUACUGAUGAGGGUAAAAUAAUUGUUCUCUUAGUUUAUGUUGAUGGUAUGAUUUUAAUAGGCAAUGAUCAUGUAGAAAUUGAAGCUUUGAGGAAGAUCCUAGCUAAGGAGUUUGAGGUGAAGGACCUUGGGGCACUAAGGUAUUUUCUAGGGAUGGAGAUUGCUAGAAAUAAAAAUGAAAUCUCUGUUUCUCAAAGAAAGUACACUUUAGACUUACUCAAGGAAAUAGGGAUGCUUGGUUGCAAGCCCAACGACAUUCCAAUUGAUGCAAGACACAAGAUAGACCCAACUGAAAAAAAGGGAUCCAGUUGACAAAGGAAGAUACCAAUGGCUGGUUGGAAAGCUCAUCUACCUCUUUCACACUAGGCCGGAUAUUGCUUUUGCAGUAAGUACAAUCAGUCAGUACAUGCAUUCUCCAUAUGAAGCACACAUGAAUGUUGUCUAUAAAAUACUGCAAUAUCUCAAAGGAACCCCAAGAAAAGGACUUCACUUUGGAAAGCAUGACCAAUUCAAAAUAGAGGCCUUUACGGAUGCAGAUUGGGCAGGGUCUAUAGAAGAUAGGAGGUCAACAUCUGGCUACUGUACAUUUGUGUUUGGAAAUCUCAUCACAUGGAGAAGUAAAAAGCAAAAUGUGGUAGCUAGAAGUAGUGCUGAAGUUAAGUUUAGAUCAAUAGCUCAUGGAAUUUGUGAAGUCUUGUGGAUCAAGAGAGUAUUAGAAGAACUAAAGAUUACAAUUCAUCCUUUAGCUAUGAUGUAUUGUGACAACAAGGCAACUAUAAGCAUUUCCCACAAUCCAGUCCUCCACGAUUGAACAAAACAUGUUGAGGUGGACCGACCACCAUUUCAUCAAGGAAAAAAUUGAGCAAGGGGAAAUAUGCAUGACAUAUGUGCCAUCCAAAAGCCAAAUUGCAGAUGUUUUAACUAAAGGGAUCCCGAGAGAAGACUUUGAAAAUAAUGUGGACAAGUUGGGUAUGAUAGACAUUUAUGCCCCAACUUGAGGGGGAGUGUUGGAAAGUUAGUUUGGUUAGACUAGUUCAAAUUGGACUCAAAAUUUGGAAUGGAUAAGAUUCCUUGAUUUGAGGAAUUUUAGAAUGGAUAGGUUCCUUGAUUUGGGGAAUUAUUUGAAUUCUAGUUUUUUUGUAAGUAGUACAAGUUUUAUUCAGAUUAGGAUUAAAAUUAGAAUUGUUUUUAGGUUUCCUUAUUUUUAGCCUAGGAAUUAUCUAUUUGCUGGUUAUUUAAACGGAUGUAGCUUAUGUUAUGAAAAAGUGCAAUAAAAUAAAAGUUUAUCCAAAAAACCUUUCAUAGUUUUACAUAUAAUAAAAAACAGGGUGAAAAGCAACCAGAAGCAAUAGUCUACUACCAUUAUUGGAAAUUAUUGUGUUGAUAAGAUCCCAAGAAGAAAUAAUCAAUGAUCUGAUAAGUUGAGAUUCAAUAUGUGGGGGAAACAUUGCAACCAACAUUUACCUUAGGCAGUGUGCUUCCAGACAAGACAAUGAUAAUUGGGCAAACUCUAUUACAUAGGGUAUAAGAUUUUUGUCCUUUUUUUGGUUUGAAGAACUCAAUGAUAGUACCUAUAUAUAUAAAACCCAAUGAUAGAGAUUUUAGAAUUAGCAGUUAGUUUCAUGGUAGAGGCUAUAUUUAUCUAGGGGGUAGACUCUCAUUCAUAGUCCAUUUCAAGCUUGCCUAUCCAUGAUCCUGUUAGAGAAGAUCUAAAGGGACACUUUUAUUUGUGUGGGUGGGGGUUUGUUGUUGAGACAGGUAGCAUGUAACAUCUUUAGUUGGGUGACUGUUUUUACACCAAAGAACAUGUCUGGGCUAGGACUAGAAUUUUUUUUAUUUCUAAUAAAGCUAAAGAGGCUUUGGAGGAUUAUUAUGGUGGUUAGAGAUCGAAAAUAGGCUUUGGAAAAGUGUCUUAGGGGAAAAGUUCCAAAGAGAGGGAUCUUGUUCACAGUUGAUAGGAAAAUGUAGUUUCUUAAGCUACAAAUGUUCCUUAGAGCUUGAUGAGGUGGGGCAUAAUCAUGUGGUUAGGAUUGAAUUCAUGACCUCCCACUAAACAAGACUCUAAUACCGCGUUAUGCAACUAAUUUUCCUAAAAGUUUAAGCCAUUAGGUGGUGGACCAACAGUGUAUAUCAAGCUCAUUUGGGCUUUGUUACUAACCUGGCUGAUGAUUAUCUUGGGGGAUAGUUUCCGGGCAUUGGAAUUUUAGGUUCUCUAGAAGUUUCCAUGAUUGAGAGUUGGAGAAGGUGUAAAGUUUUCCAGCUUGCAUUUAUUGGCAUAUUAUCAGGAGAAUGAGAGGAUGUGUUAGUCUUUAGAUAAUCUAAGGGAAUUCUUUCUUCAGAUUCUCUUUUAGGUUAUUAUUGUCAUGGCCUAAUCUUACCGUGCUAACAUCUGCCAGUUGGAGUUUUUGUGUGCCAUCCAAGUUUAGCUUUCUAAUGCUAGAAGUUGUUCAUAAGAACAUUCUCAUCAUAGACCAGCUGAUGCAAAGGAGUUAUACCCUUGGGAAGUGGUGGUGUUUUUGCAAUUAGGACGAUAAAUAGGCAAAUUAUUGCUAGAUAACAUGUGAUCUAUGGACCUUUGUGGCUUUUUGUCUUUGCUUUUGUUUUUUCUUUUUCCCUGUUGUUUGUUGUCUGUUUGUUUGUUUCAUGGAUUUUGCCUUCUUUAAUCAAAAGAACCCUGUUCUGGCAAUUUAUGGGGAAAAAGAGGCAGACAGUUUGAAGGAAUGCUCUACUCUACCCUUUUUUUUGACAAUUUAAUGUGAUCUCUUCACUCAUUAGAAAAGAAAAAGUUGAAAGGAAAUGUUGAACAUAGAAGGCUGGGUCAAACUCUUGAGGCAUGGUAAAGUUACUUUUUAGAACAAUGGGAAUCUUUUAGAAGCAUUUUCCCUGUGUGGAACCCCCAUACCAUUUUAUUUGUCCUCCUUUUUGGGUAUGGUCUCAAAGUAGAAGGCACUUUGUUUUGGCUAGGCUCAUAGUAGUAGUUCUUCAACGUUUCCUGUAUGUAGCACUAAGAAGAUUGAAGUAAAUAUAGGACCUAUUAUAUAUAUGAGAAAAGAGAUUAUAAUGAUGUUUGAUUAGAUCUCUGGUACUAUUUCAUGCACCUAUUUCCAGAGUCACCUAGAGUCUCACGGAUGAGAAAAAAAAUGCUUCGCCUGCAUCAGCAUAGCAGUGAAUUGCCACAAAAUUUGCUAUUUGGAUGGUGAACAAUUCAGGAAAGCACUAGCAAGAGGGAACAUAGCAAAAAUGAAUAAAAAAAGCCCAAAUAGUACAAGUAAAGCACCUCUUGUUCAAGGACAUUUAAGAAAUUGUGUUUGGGAAUCAUUCAAGAAAAGGAAGAAACUAGGGAAAAUUGCAGAAGAGUUGGUGGAAGAAACAAGUGAAGAAACAAGAAAGCAAAUUGAAAGUGUCUAGAAGAGAAGAAUUCCAGAGAGGAAGCAUGAGCACACUCAUCUACAAAUUGAUGUAUAAUUCUUUUCCACAUAUAAUAAUCCUAAUGAAUCUAAUAAUGGUCUCAUUAUAAAAAAUAAUGAGAAUAAAAUGUUAACCUUGAAAACAACUCAUUUUAUGAGUGGUAUUGACAUUGAAGAAUAGCUGAUACCAACAUUUGUUGUUAGAGAAUGAAUUUCCCUAGGAAAAAGACAAUAUAUAUAAAGAAAGAGGUCAUUGUUGGAAUAUGUGCCCAUAAACAAAUGAGAUGUUUUUUAUUUUGUUGAUUAUUAAUAUUUUUUUAAGGAAUAUGUGCCCAUGUUAUAGAUGCUUUAUAAAUAUCGAAAACCCUAGAUUAUUUAAUUGUAACUUUAAAUAUUGUAUAUAAGUGUUAUAUACAGGAGGAUAAUAUUUAAAGUAAAAUAAUCUAAUAUGUUCGUAAUUAAAAAUUAAAGUUGGGAUCUUUAAUUUAAAAUUACUAGCGCGGUUCAUUACAUUCUGAAUGAAAUGAUCUUAUCCGGAUUGUUAAUAAUGAGAUUAUUGGAAUGAAAGCGCUUCAUAUAAUUUGAUUAUAUAGGACUGGAACACGAUUAAUUAUGAAUCUCUGAUAAAUUCCGUUAUAAUAUAGAGCAUUCAAUAUUAAUCAAUGAUGGUCAUAUAUGCAUUGAUCUUAAUUCUGAGUAAUUAAUAGACUCCUAUUUAUUGUAUUGUAUUUUUUGACAUACCGGGUAAUGACACAAAUACAUAGUGUCAAAUUCUUGGUGUAUUGGAAGUAUAAUAAAAUAAAUAGUCGGGAAUAUUAAUAUACAAGAUGAAAUCCAUUCCUUCGUUAAGAAGUCAGAUGGACGGUUCCCAUAAGUAUUGGUUCGAGCCUUGAAUGAUAAGAGCGCUCAAUUUAUGAUUAGACCAUAAAUAUAUUAUUCAUUAGAGAACCAAUGGCACUUAAGGAGAAAGAUAUAAUUAAAGAGGUUAACAGAAAAACCUAGCUUUAAUUAUGAACAGUUUAUGGAGGAUUGACUCAUAUGUAGUGACUAUAUCAAUGGGCAAUUCAAAUCAUUUGAAUAUAUUUAAUUUUAUAAUUUUAAGAGUGCAAUUCCAAAUUUUUAGUGGAGUAAUUUUUGGAAUUAAUAAUUUGAUUUUUUAAUUAAGUUGUUAAUUAAUUGUCAAAAUUAUUGGAGCUUAAAAUUAUAAUGUCCAUAGUUCCUCUCAACGGCUCCAUUAAAAUUAUAUGAACAUUUUUUUUUAUGUUGGGUUGAUUUUAUUAGUUUGGAAUUUUGAAUUCUAAAUUAAUUUCACACAAUCUUGAUUUGAUUUAUUUAUUUUAUAAUUUGAUUAUUUAAAAUAUUUUUUGAUACAAUGUGGUGAAGACCACACUUACUUGUAUUCCCUAAGAAACACUUUUUAAGUGGGGAUCAUGGGGAGAGAUAUUCUCUCCCUGGUUUUUCAAAAUUCAAAAUUCAAAAUAUGUUAGUUAUUUUUUCUUGGUUGUAUUAAAAAAAAAAAAAGUUUUUUUUCUCAAUGAGAAGGGGGAUGAGAAUGCAAGUUUUCAAUAGAUUAAGUUGUGUGAUAAAAACCCAAAAAAUAAAAAAACGCCUACUCGUUUUGAGUUCAUCAUAAUUUGGAGAACGUAAGAGAAAGAUCCAUGGUGCUUUAGAGGAUUUGGAAUUCUAAGAUCUUUUUGACGGAGUUCAAAUUUAUCAGCCUAAUCGCAAGGUACAAUUCUAAAUUACCUAUAUUUGUUAUUUCAUUAAAUUAAUACAAGUAUUGAUCAUUGAGAAAAAAUUUUGAGAAAAUUUUUCUGGUUUCUGUUUUUUCUUUUAUUUAUCUGGUUUCAAAACCAACAAUUGGUAUCAGAGCAGGUUGAUACUCUGUAUUAAUUUAAUGAAUGAUUAUUUGAUAAUCUUUGCAUGGUUUUCGGUAGGCACUUUUGCAUAUUGAUGUUUGUUUGUUUUUUUUUUUUUUUUUUAUGUUCAUGGUGAUGAAUGUUUGUGGGAAUGGAUUGGUCGUUUUUUUUUUUUAUUUAUUGGUUCCAUGGAUUUUGUUAUUUUUGCAAUAAUUAUUUUAUUAGAUCUUUUGUAAAUAGGAUUCUUGCUGUAAUUCCUAUUUUAUAAGAUCUUUUGUAAAUAGGUUUGCUGCUGUAAUUGUAAAUCGGUUUUGGGUUGUAUUUAAUGUCCAUGGAACCUGGCCAUUUCCGUUUUUAUAUUUAUAAAGUUGAUGAUUACUUUGUCUUGCAAGGAGUGGAGCCAGGGGAUUCAAACCCAUGAAGGAUGGGUAUUCCCUGAUUGUACCACCAGGCUAUGGCUCCUAGCUGGUUAUGUAUAUGAAGAAGGUUUAUUUCACGUUGCCCCUGAACUUUAUCCCUGGCUCCACCACUACCCUUGUUUUAGCAUGUCAUUUUAGUUAGAAAAGUGCCUACCUAUUUUUGUAUGUCAUGCAUUCAUGCGUUUAUUUUAUUUUGCUAAAAUUGUUUUACUUAAUUAAUGUGAUGGACCUUGUAACAAAUUUAAUGAGAUUAAAUUUGUUUUUUAAGUGGGUCAAAUGUGAUCAUUAUAAUUUUUUUUUAUUAUUUUAUUUUAUAUAAUGUCACAGAUGACUUAAUUUAUAAUUUUAAAUUGUUUAAAAUUAUAAAGGCUUAGUAAUUUAAAAUGUUUAAAUUGUCUAAGGUUUAUGAAACAAUAGUUGUUUUAUAAAUUAAAUACACCUUUUGCAAUAUAAUGAGUGGGAGCGGGUAAUAUUACAAUAUAAACCCUAGGUCUCCACCAUUAAUACAACACUGUGAGUUUUUAGUAGCGCUUAGAGACGCUUUGAUUUCGUCCUCCCUACGGAAAGUGUCUACUAAUUUCAAUAACAAGGUUGUCUUCCAUGAGACAGGAUUUUAAGAUGUAUUUUAGAAUUGACCUACCCUACGGCGGCAAUUUCUAAAUUAAGUCUUAAAAAUCUGAUAUGGUGGGUUACACUCAUAAAGAUAUAAUUAAAUUGGUUAAUUAUUUUCUUGACCGAACUUAAAGGAAAUUAAUAAGUAUUAGAAAUAUGAGAUAUUUUGGAUAAUAUUUAUUAAUUGAGAAAGUCUCACUUUAAUUAGCAAUUAUUUGACCUACCCUACGACGACACUUAGUUGUGGUAAUUAAAAUUCCUUAGGAUGUUAAAGUAUAUUUUUUGGUGUAUUUUAUCAUGAGCAUUCUUGCUUCAUAUUUACUUUGCCUUUAAUUUUCUUAUGACAUUUAUGCAAUUAUUUAUUGAAAAUAUUUCUUAUUUUUGUUCAGCAAAUAUGUCAAACCCAAUUUUCUCACUUCUCGCCUCUCAAGUUUUAACUGGUGAAAACUUUGUAAAAUGGAAAAGCAACAUGAACAUUCUUCUCAUUAAUGAGAACUACCACUUUGUCCUUAAGGAGGUUUGUCCUCCAGUGCCUCCAGCUAAUGCCUCCAAGGCUGUCUCAGAAGAGUAUAACCGUUGGAUUAUUGCAAAUAACAAGGCCUGCUGCUACUUGUUAGCAGCAAUGGAUGAAGUGCUUAGAACUAAGCACGAGGGCCUUGAAACUGCAAGCGAGAUUAUGGAAUCUCUACAGCAGAUGUUUGGACGGCCCUCUGAGCAGGCCCGCCACGAAGCUGUGAAAGCUGUUAUGAACAGUAAAAUGAAGAAUGGUUCUUCAGUUUGUGAGCACGUCCUUAAAAUGAUUCAUCACUUUAAUGAGGCUGAAAUCAAUGGAGCUAAAAUUGAUGAAAAUACUCAGGUUGGCAUGAUCUUAGAGACGUUUUCUCCUUCUUUCCUCCAAUUCAGGACAAACUACAUCAUGAACCAUAAGAAAUGUAAUUUGACAGAAUUCCUAAAUGAGCUGCAAUCUUAUGAGACCCUUAUAGAUGAUAAGGAAGGCAAGACAAAUAUUGCUAAGGCUAAUGCAGUUGUGGGAAAGGCUUCUUCUUCAAGGAAUAAGAAGAAGAGAAAUGUGAGAAAUCAAAAGGACAAGAAGAAGAUCCAAAAGAAGAAAAGGAAGGCUGUUGAGCCUAAACCUAAGGGGAAAUGUUUCCAUUGCAAUCAAGACGGCCAUUGGAAAAGGAACUGUAAGAAGUACCUUGAUGAGCUGAAACAAAAGAAGAAACAAGGUAAAUUAGAUUUAUUAGUAAUGGAAACAUGCUUAGUUGAGAAUGAUUUCUCAAGCUGGAUUAUUGAUUCAGGAGCAUCUAACCAUGUUUGUAUUUCUUUGAAGAUGCUUGAGUCAUCUAAGGAUCUUGAAGAGGGAGCUUUCAUGAUGAGAGUUGGCAGUGGGGCAAGAGUUUCAGCGACAGCAGUUGGGACAGUACGACUGUCAUUUGCUAAUAAUAAAUAUUUGUUAUUGCACAAUGUUUAUUUUAUUCCGGAUUUCAAACGGAAUUUGAUUUCGGUUUCAAAGUUACAUGAACAAUUUAUUUCUGUUUCUUUUGAUGUUGACUCUGUUUCAAUCUAUAAGAAUGGAAUGAAUAUUUGUUCAGGUUAUGUUGAUAAUGGUAUAUAUUUUGUUAAACCAAUUUUCAAUAAUUUACUUCAAACCGAAAUGUUUAAAGUCGCUGAACCAACCCCUAAAAGAAGAAAGAUUUCUAAUGAUAAAAAUGACACAUAUUUGUGGCACUUAAGGCUUGGUCACAUUAACAUAGAUAGAAUUGAAAGAGUAGCAAAGGAUGGUCCUUUGAGAGAGCUAAAAGUUGGCACUCUACCAGUUUGUGAAUCUUGCUUAGAAGGCAAAAUGACCAAAAUGCCAUUUUCGGCUAAGGGUGAAAGAGCAAAAGUACCUCUAGAGAUCAUACAUACUGAUGUAUGUGGACCUUUGAAUGUCAAAGCAAGAGGGGACUAUGAAUAUUUCGUCACAUUUAUUGACGAUUAUUCAAGAUACGGAUAUGUAUACCUGAUACAAAGAAAAUCCGAGGCUUUUGAAAAGUUCAAAGAAUUUCGUGCUGAAGUAGAAAAACAACUUAGCAAAUCAAUCAAAACUCUUCGAUCAGAUCGAGGAGGAGAAUACUUGGUUUAUGAAUUCAAGGACUACUUGAUUGAAAAUGGAAUAUUAUCACAGCUCACGGCACCUGGGACACCUCAGUAAAAUGGUGUAGCCGAAAGAAGAAAUCGCACUUUGCUUGACAUGAUGAGAUCAAUGAUGAGCUAUUCUUCUCUGCCAACCUCAUUUUGGGGAUAUGCAUUACAAACGGUAGUAUAUAUUCUGAACAUAGUUCCAUCUAAGUCAAUCCCUAACACUCCCUUAGAGUUAUGGAAUGGUCGCAAACCUAGUUUGAGACAUAUUCGCAUAUGGGGGUGCCCUGCACAUGUGUUAAAGGGAAAGAUUGGGAAACUAGAACCUCGCUCUGAGGUAUGCAUGUUUAUAGGAUAUCCUAAAGGAACAAGAGGAGGUCUGUUUUAUAGCGCUCAGGAUAACAAAGUAUUUGUGUCAACAAAUGCUACGUUUCUCGAGUAUAACUAUAUGGCAGAUUUUAAACCUAGAAGUAAAGUAGUUCUGGAAGAGUUGCUAGUUGAUGAGAUCAGCCCCACGCCAACAACAGUUGUUGAACGACAAAGAAAAGAAACCACUGCUCGAGAUCUAACACCACCGCCACCAUGACGUAGUGGGAGGGAAAUAAGAUUGCCCAUUCGCUAUCGUGAAAAUAGAGAAGCACAAGUUGCAGUCACUGAUGGCAGUGAUGAUGAUCCAUUGACAUUCAAAAUGGCGAUGGAUGAUGUUGAUCAAGAGAAAUGGCAGGAAGCUAUGAAACUCGAAAUAGAGUCUAUGUACUCAAAUUCAGUCUAGAAGCUUGUAGAUCUACCAGAAGGCAUUAAGCCUAUUGGUUGCAAAUGGAUCUAUAAGAGAAAAAGAGGACCUAAUGGGAAAGUAGAGACUUUCAAGGCAAGACUGGUGGCAAAGGGUUUUACCCAAAAGGAAGGAGUAGACUAUGAGGAUACUUUUUCACCAGUCGCUAUGCUAAAAUCCAUUAGGAUUCUCUUGUCCAUUGCUGCUUAUUAUGAUUAUGAGAUAUGGCAAAUGGACGUCAAGACAGCAUUUUUGAAUGGCCAUCUUGAAGAGACUAUUUAUAUGGUCCAACCAGAGGGUUUCGUGGUCAAAGACCAAGAGCAGAAAGUGUGCAAACUACAAAGGUCCAUUUAUGGACUUAAGCAAGCUUCUAGAUCUUGGAAUAUCAGAUUUAACGAAGCCAUAAAAUCUUAUGGUUUUGAACAAAAUCUGGGUGAACCUUGUGUCUAUAAGCAAAUAGGAGGAGAUAAAGUGGUUUUCUUAGUUCUUUAUGUGGACGACAUUCUACUCAUUGGAAAUGAUGUAGAAUCUCUAUCCAAGGUAAAGAACUGGCUAGCCAGCCAAUUCCAAAUGAAGGAUUUGGGAGAGGCAAGCUACAUUCUUGGUAUCCAAAUGACUAGGGAUCGUAAGAAUAGGCUUCUGGCAUUGUCUCAGGCAACAUACAUUGACAAGGUGCUUGUCAAGUUUGCAAUGGAGAACUCUAAGAAAGGGAAUUUGCCUUCUCGACAUGGAGUUCAUCUCUCUAAAGAGCAGUGUCCAAAAACACCGCAAAAUGAGGAGAAAAUGAGACGAGUUCCCUACGCAUCAGCAGUUGGUAGUUUGAUGUAUGCAAUGUUGUGUACAAGACCUGACAUAUGCUUUGCAGUGGGAGUGGUUAGUCGAUACCAGUCAAACUCAGGAUUAGAUCAUUGGGUAGCAGUCAAGCAUAUACUUAAAUAUCUGAGAAGGACGAGAAACUAUAUGUUGGUAUACUCUGGUAGGGAAUUAAUUCCUAUCGAAUAUACAGAUUUUGAUUUCCAAUUAGAUAGAGACUCUCAGAAGUCUACUUCUAGGGCCGUUUUCACUUUGGGAGGUGGAGCCAUUGUAUGGAGGAGUGUCAAGCAAACUUGUGUUGCUGAUUCAACCAUGGAGGCUGAAUAUGUAGCGGCUUGUGAAGCAGCUAAAGAGGCAGUCUGGCUUCGCGAAUUCUUGAAAGAACUGGAAGUUGUUCCAAAUAUGCAUGAGCCAAUUAGACUAUAUUGUGAUAAUAGUGGAGCAGUGGCUAAUGCCAAAGAACCCAGGAACCAUCGCAAAGGAAAACACAUAGAACGGAAAUUCCACCUGGUAAGAGAGAUUGUUAGUAGAGGAGACGUUUUAGUUGAAAAGAUCGCAUCUGCGAACAACAUAGCUGAUCCGUUCACUAAGACUUUACCGGCCCGGAGUUUUGAGCAACAUCUUGAAGGGAUGGGACUUAGAGACAUGCCACAUUUGCUUUAGGGCAAGUGGGAGAUUGUUGGAAUAUGUGCCCAUAAACAAAUGAGAUGUUUUUUAUUUUGUUGAUUAUUAAUAUUUUUUUAAGGAAUAUGUGCCCAUGUUAUAGAUGCUUUAUAAGUAUCGAAAACCCUAGAUUAUUUAAUUGUAACUUUAAAUAUUGUAUAUAAGUGUUAUAUACAGGAGGAUAAUAUUUAAAGUAAAAAAAUCUAAUAUGUUCGUAAUUAAAAAUUAAAGUUGGGAUCUUUAAUUUAAAAUUACUAGAGCGGUUCAUUACAUUCUGAAUGAAAUGAUCUUAUCCGGAUUGUUAAUAAUGAGAUUAUUGGAAUGAAAGUGCUUUAUAUAAUUUGAUUAUAUAGGACUGGAACACGAUUAAUUAUGAAUCUCUGAUAAAUUCCGUUAUAAUAUAGAGCAUUCAAUAUUAAUCAAUGAUGGUCAUAUAUGCAUUGAUCUUAAUUCUGAGUAAUUAAUAGACUCCUAUUUAUUGUAUUGUAUUUUUUGACAUACCGGGGAAUGACACAAAUACAUAGUGUCAAAUUCUUGGUGUAUUGGAAGUAUAAUAAAAUAAAUAGUCGGGAAUAUUAAUAUACAAGAUGAAAUCCAUUCCUUCGUUAAGAAGUCAGAUGGACGGUUCCCAUAAGUAUUGGUUCGGGCCUUGAAUGAUAAGAGCGCUCAAUUUAUGAUUAGACCAUAAAUAUAUUAUUCAUUAGAGAACCAAUGGCACUUAAGGAGAAAGAUAUAAUUAAAGAGGUUAACAGAAAAACCUAGCUUUAAUUAUGAACCGUUUAUGGAGGAUUGACUCAUAUGUAGUGACUAUAUCAAUGGGCAAUUCAAAUCAUUUGAAUAUAUUUAAUUUUAUAAUUUUAAGAGUGCAAUUCCAAAUUUUUAGUGGAGUAAUUUUGGAAUUAAUAAUUUUGAUUUUUUAAUUAAGUUGUUAAUUAAUUGUCAAAAUUAUUGGAGCUUAAAAUUAUAAUGUCCAUAGUUCCUCUCAACGGCUCCAUUAAAAUUAUAUGAACAUUUUUUUUUAUGUUGGGUUGAUUUUAUUAGUUUGGAAUUUUGAAUUCUAAAUUAAUUUCACACAAUCUUGAUUUGAUUUAUUUAUUUUAUAAUUUGAUUAUUUAAAAUAUUUUUUGAUACAAUGUGGUGAAGACCACACUUACUUGUAUUCCCUAAGAAACACUUUUUUAAGUGGGGAUCAUGGGGAGAGAUAUUCUCUCCCUGGUUUUUCAAAAUUCAAAAUAUGUUAGUUAUUUUUUCUUGGUUGUAUUAAAAAAAAAAAAAAGUUUUUUUUCUCAAUGAGAAGGGGGAUGAGAAUGCAAGUUUUCAAUAGAUUAAGUUGUGUGAUAAAAACCCAAAAAAUCAAAAAACGCCCACUCGUUUUGAGUUCAUCAUAAUUUGGAGAACGUUAGAGAAAGAUCUAUGGUGCUUUAGAGGAUUUGGAAUUCUAAGAUCUUUUUGGUGGAGUUCAAAUUUAUCAGCCUAAUCGCAAGGUACAAUUCUAAAUUACCUAUAUUUGUUAUUUCAUUAAAUUAAUACAAGUAUUGAUCAUUGAGAAAAAAUUUUGAGAAAAUUUUUCUGGUUUCCGUUUUUUCUUUUAUUUAUCUGGUUUCAAAACCAACAGUCAUAACCCCAGCGAAGUAGUGGUUGCAGAUUUUGGGCUGGCUAAACUCGUGGACUACAGGGAUACUCAUGUUACCACGGCUGUACAUGGAACACUUGGGCAUAUUGCCCCAGAGUACCUCUUCACUGGAAGGUCUUUGGAGAAGACUGAUGUUUACGGAUAUGGGAUCAUGCUUCUUGAGCUCAUCACUGGGCAGAGGGCUUUUGAUCUUGCCCGUUUGGCCAGCAAUGAGAAUGUUAUGUUGACUUCAAGCGAUGCAUUUUCUUAAGUAGUUCUUUGAGUUCUUGAAGUCCUUUUGCCACAUGUUGGGUGUUGGGGUUUUCAAUUAUUACUUCCAGGUAACUGGCUGGGGUGCAGGGUACUCAGAGAGCACAUGCCAGUGGACUCUUUUCAGUUUUUCACAUAAAUCAAAUGAUAAAUUUUGACUUUGUAACAUUCAAGUGUUUUUCCUAACACUUGUCAUAGGUAAACGCAUCCAUGCUUACAAGAUAAUGUGAUGUACAACUUGGUGGAUCUCUCAGGCUGCUGUCCCUAGUGUAAAAGCCUUAAAAUCAAAGUGAUGUUACCAUAAGGGUCAUAAAAUUUUUCUCCAGAACUGAGACAAAGUGGGAAUCAGAACACACACACACACACACAAAAGGCAAUGAUCUUUAGACUGUUGCAUGCCCAAAACACAAAUAAGUCUAGGACCCGCUACUGUUUGUAGAGGACCCAUCAAUACUCACAAUAACAAUAGGCACUGAGAGAAUAACAAAUAGUAUGUAUUCUAAUAACUUUCAAACAGUAAACAAUCACCCAUUCACAGAUUGAAGCAUGAGCCAAGAAGGAAGAGGAGUGAAUAGAAGCACAAAUAGGGAGAGAAACAACCAGCAGCAAUAGUCCCCUCAAUGGAAAUUCUGGCAUGGCACUGAUAUACCUCAAAAAGAAAAAAUCAAUUAUAGAUUGAAUAUAUGGGACAAUGCUGCAACCAUUAGUUAUCCUGAACAACAUGCUUCAGUAUAAUGAUAUUUUGUCCAUAUAUUAGAAAGAGUAGUGAUAAUAGAGACUGAAGAUUGCUGACCUCUUUUGAAGUGAAGAAUGCAGUGAUUGAGAGAUCUGCAAAUUCACCGGCAUCAGGGAAAGGGCUACAGUUAUGUAAGUGAUGUAGUCUCGUUCUAAUUCAUAGUAAAUUUUCAAGCAUGUCUCUUUACCUUACAUACUCCUUUGAGAUGCUUAGAGAAGCUCUGAAGGUAUUUUCUCUGGGCUAGAGGUGAGAAAGUACCACAUUUUGUGAACUGGGUGACUUUUUCAUGCCAGAAAAUUUUGGUGGGAUAGGAAUUAAAAAUUUGUUGGUUUUAAUGGAGCCUUGAUUGGUAAGUGGUUGUAGAGAUUUUAUCCUUUUUGUUUUUUUUUUCACAUGGGGUGUGUUGGUAGGGGAUUGCAGGGCAGGUCAUUUGAGGCUUGGGAGAAAUAUCUCAGUGGAAAAGUUCUGAAAGAUGGAAGGGACUAGUUACCUGCGGCUCAGGGGGUUCUUCAGGAUGAAGCCUUUGGAAAUCUACUAGGAAGGAUUAGGUCGUUCUUCAAGCUUGAGUUCUUUAUUAAGUAAUGAUUAUAGGACAAAAAGUUUUAGCUUGAUAUGAGGUUUGAGGAAGUGUGCCUGAGGAUUUGGUUCCCAUCUAUUUUUGCUUUGACUUUUUGUAGGGAAACCUGGAUAGCUUUCAAUUGAUGGAUGGUAGUUCUGGACAUUAGAAUGGGUCCACUAAAAGCUUUCAUGAUUGAGAUUUGGAGAAGAUGGGGAUUUUUCUGGCAUACAUUUAUCAGGGAAAUGAAAGAAAAUGUGUAAGUUUGUAAUAUCAAUGGAACAUUUUUUUUAUCAAAUCCCUUUUGCAGCAGCAUCAUCAUGGCCUAAUUUUAGCUUCCUGGUAUCAUCAUUCAUCCGAUUGGGAAUUUUUUUUGCCCCAUCCGAUGUUGCCUUUUCUGUGUUGGUAGCUACUUGUGAGAAGAUCCAAUGGACUAGCUGAUGCAAAAGGGGCUAGGGGUUAUGCUGCACUAAGCUCAAAGUAGGAGAGGUAAUCGUACUUGCCCUUUAUGCUGCACUAAGGAGAUCGAAGUAAAUGUAGAAUUGACCAAUGAUGUGAUGUAAAGACUGGAGGGAAAGUUAAAAUGAAAAGCCCUUUCUCCGUAUUGCCUUAUCCCAGCAAUAUUUUCCAUUACAAUCUAACCAAUUUCCCUAUAGAAUUUAUUUUCUUUUUCUUCAUUCUGUUUGUACCAUGAAUGUUGCCCUAGUACAUAUUGUGGCUUAAAUCUUAACAGCUUAAGCUUUUAGGGAAGUUUGUAACUUAAUCAUAUCAAAGCUAGAGAUCUUGGGUUGGAGUGUUUUAUCACAAAAGAGAAACAGAGUAGAGAAGAAGCUCACGUCAUUCUCAUUCAUCAUACAGAGAAAAGUGAGUAGGAAGGUUCUAGAUAUAGGGGGCUAGAAAAGAGUGCUCUAACCAAUUUGUGACUAACUCCAGCUCAUCCUCUUGCAAAAAAAACAGAAAAAAAAUACAAAAGUAGUUGUUUAACUAACAGAGCUUAUUAUUACUGUAAUGAGAAUCUUAAUAUGUUUCCUAAUGCUAUUGUCCCCGUCUAUUUAUCUACUCAGUUUUUAGGAAAGUUGGUAGCUUGGUAAUAGGCUUAGUUUUUUUUGGGUAGGUAAGAUAUGGACUUCUUGACAGAAACUUCUUUUGAAAUUCACUUUCAUUUUCUUUUAGUCCUUAUAUAAACUCACUACAUUGAAUGGGUCUAUUUUUCUUUUCUUGACACUCUGGAAUUAAGGCAUUUUAGAAUUUCAAUUAGGAACUUCAUCCUUUUUGUUUCAUUUAUGGUGACUAUGGCCAUACCUUCAUAUCGCAUUAUAAACUUGUAUAUUUGAAUGCUGCCCAAAACAAAAUUUGACAACUUCAAUUCCAUGGAAGCCCAAACACUUAUUUAAUGUAAUCCUCGCAGUUAACACUAAAUCUCUUUUUUUUUCAGUAGUUUCAUUCUAACAUCCUAUACAUGGCACAAGCUUUUUCCAGAAUUUUAUUUUCCAUUGCUGACUUAUGUGUAUAUUUGCUGCUCUUUUGGAAAAUUUAAGGUCAAGGAACUGUUGAACAACAAGAAAUUGGAAACACUGGUUGAUUCUAAGCUGCAGGGCUAUUACAUUGUAGAGGAGGUAGAGGAGCUAAUCCAGGUGGCUCUCCUUUGCACACUAAGCACAGCUUCAGACCGACCCAAGAUGUCAGAUGUGGUUAAAAUGCUUGAAGGUGAUGGUUUGGCUGAAAGGUGGGAACAGUGGCAAAAGGAGGAUAUAAUUUGCGGAGAGCAAAAUCAUAGCAACUUCCCCUCUAAUAAUUGGAUUAUAAAUGACUCCACUCCAGGCCUUCAUCCUGAAGAAUUGUUCGGUCCCAGAUGAUGCUUUUGCUAUUCCAUAUGCAUAUGUAUAAGUAUCUCCUUUAUUGGUGUCUCUGAAAUCCAGAUCAUUAAAUAAGUGCAUAUAAUCUCUUUUUCUCAUUUUAUUUUUCCUACUACCAAUUUAUAUUAUUUGGUAGAGUUAAUUGACAAUGAUUAUAUAUUGUCUAUUGUCUGUAGGGUUGUUUCGGUUCACACCUGAAGUCUCAGUUUCUAGUUUGUAGCGAAGUGUAUAUUAGAACAAGCAGAUUUGCAUAGGUGUGCCAUAGCUAUGAGUUUAAUCAAUCUAAUUCAACUUUUGCCCCGAAUUAUCAUGAUCGUGAAAAAUGUUUACAGCACAUCUUCUAAAUGCUAACAGAAGAUCAUCCAAGGCAAGGACUAGACCUGCCUAUGUUUUGUUGUAUAAGCAUUGUAAGUGAAUUGGAUCAAUCCAUAUCAAAGUUGAAGCAAAAUUCAAUAGAAAUUUAGUAAAAAUCAUGUAGUCGGAAAAGCUUAGUUACCAACACAUCCCUCUUCCUGACUGUUCCGAGCCCUCAUUCUGCUCCCCCAACUUCUCUCCUCGUGCACCAUUCUAUAGUUGGACCUUCUCUUCUCAAGGAUUAAUUUACUCUUCCCAUCUCGCCAUCGUUGUAUCUGACUUCAUUUUCUUUCCUGGAAUCAGCCAAACCCAUAUCAUAAUCAUACUGCAUUCGUAGAGUGGGAUCAGACAGUGUCUUGUAAGCUGCAUUCAGCUGUAUAAACAUCAUUGUUGAUUCUUCCUUCAUGGAAGGAUCACAAACAUCAGGGUGAUAUUGCAGGCUCAUCCUCUAUAAACUCUAUUUAUAUCAUCAAUGCCUGCAUUUUCUGGAUGCCAACCAAUUAGCUUAUAGCAGUUGGGAGACUCAUUUUUACAGGACAACUUGGGUGCUCAUCUUGCUGCUCUGCAUGAGACCAAAACGAACCUGGAAGGCCACUGACAAUUAUGAGCUAGUAGAUGAAAAUAGCAGUGAUGAGGCUUGAUCUGAGAGAAAUGUCCAUGGGAGUCUGGCUGAUCACCUUGUGUUGAACGUGGAUGAAGAAGGGUUUGAGUAGUGCAUAUAGAUAUGGAAGAGAAUGAGGAGAAGAGGGAGGAAAGCAUAAGGAAUGUAUGUGAAGUAGGCGACAAAGCCAAGACUGCUGCUUCGGAAUUCAAGGCUGUGCUUCGGAGACAUCAUCUUAUGGACAUGGGAUGAAUAUCUUUGAAAAGGUGAAGUCGUGUCCAUGCAUGAUCUUAUAUUAAUACGAGGAGGUUCAUGGACGGUUUAGUAUAUAAUUUGAAAGAGAAUCCCUCUGAGGUUCAUGGAUAGUCUUUUUUCUUCCAAGAGAAUUCUAUGGUACACAUUCCCUAUCUGUUGAAAGCUUAUAAAAAUAUAAAGUUCUGGCUAAAGGCUAAAGGCUAAAGUUAAGGUUCAAGCGGGAAAUGACGUCAUGCUCCUUUUUGGUUUUUAUUUUUUUAUUUUCGGUAUUUUUUUAAUUAUAAAUAAAACAGGUAUUAACAUAUAAAAAUAACCAUUCAAACCUUCAACGAUGCACAACCCCAUUUGGCAGGCUGUCGACGUUUAUUGAUCAACAAGGGAAUGGAAACAACGUGUAGGCUUGACCAUAGACAAAAUGUCGAUGAUUUUGGAGGCCUUCUAACUCAUGUUGGCUUUUCUUUAUCAAAAUUUCUGAGCUCCAGAUAUAAUAUUGUUGGAAGAGGAUAUUCUUUCUUUUAGAAAUGAUUUCAUAUUCUUAUAAAACAAAUAUUUUAUUGAGAAAAUGUUAUUUUACGAAUUAAAGGAAUUGAUCUGUUGUAGAAAAUGUUGACAUUUAAAUGUUGGAUCUAAAGACAUAUAUAGGGUAGGUAAUAAAAUCCAAGUAUGUGGCUAACCUACUAUGCUUUUACAAUAAAAUAACUAGAAAAAAUGAGAUCAUUCCUUGUCUUUGGUGUAGAAUGAACUAUAACUCCAAUAUCCACAAUCUUCCAUUCUAUCCUACGAUGGUGUACCGUUGAGUGCGCCAUGAUGCUUUGCAAGAUUUGAGUUGGACUUGCUCUUUGGAUGAAAGGGAAACUGUUUGUUUUUUGGUUUCUAAUAAUUUAUAGGAGGUGAAAAAUGAGAGGAAUGACCUACUUUGGUUUUCCAUGUUUCCUUAUAUACUAAGGGGAGAAAAGACCAAAAUGCUUUCCCAUAUUAGAAAACAAAUCCAAUCUCUAAAUUAAGUUCUAUAGAGUCUCAAAUUUCGUGCACAAAAAUUACACCUAUGAAGGUAGCUCGAUUGAGGACCAAUGAAACAUCUAAUUGUGGUUCCCAUAAAAUUAAUCAAACAAAAUUUGAUAGUCAAUUGAUCACACCACUAAAGUCAAUUGACUGCACUCCACUAAUAAGAUCCAACUAUAUGAAGCUAAUAGCUAUCCCACAACCUACUAAUCCUUGUAUUUAUUCCCAAAUGAAUUGAUAUCUAUAAUUUAAUUGAUAUGUGUUAUUUACUAAUAAAUUACAUCUUUACCUUCGAGUUGCAAAUUCACCUUUCACUACUACAAAAAACUAAAUUAAUGGCGUUCUAUUUCUUAACGCUUAUAAAAAAUGUCAUUAUUUGUGACUAAAAUUAGUAAGCAUUGACGCUUGUAUAUCAUUGGCGCUUUACAAGGAGAAGCAAUGGCGUUUUUAAAUAAUGACCCUUUUAAAAACGUUAUUGUAUGCUGAAUUUUAAAUAAUGACACUUUUACAAGUGUCAUUGUUGGACAAGUUAAAUAGUGGCAGUCUUUCAAAGUGUCAUGUCCAGUUUCUUUAUAUAAAAACUCCUUAUUUCUUAAUUUAAAAAGCCUAACACUCUAGCCCACAAUCACACCCAACAAACUCACUGCCCGACACCCACACUCAAACCCUAACCUCCAUGGAUGACCCUCUUUGAAACCCUAACCCUCUCUAAAACUCUAACCCUGAAAUUUAUGAGGCCUCUGCUACUAUUUGACUGAUUGUGGAGGAGGCAUAUCCAUGUUUGGCCACCAUUAGCUGACUGGUAAAUCUCUUUCUCUCUCAAAAUAUUUUCGAUUUUAUAGUUUAGGGUUUUUUCUUUUGGGUGUUUAUGAUUUUUUAUGGGGUGUUUGUUAUGGCUAAAUAUCUAAUCUAAUAAAUAUAACAAUUUGUUUGUGUUUGUUUUAUUUUUAGAAAUCCAUUCCUUCAUGUUGUUUGGCAUUCGACUGCAAUUUUUGGCAUUGACACCUAAUGUAAGCUCUAACCUGUAUCUAUUCAUAUCCAUAUUUUGUAUUAUUGUUUUUUUUUUCUUUUUUUUUUUUGUAAAUUUUGGGUUUCAAUGUACCUGGAAUGAAAUGAUGCAUGUUGCUCUGUUUUUCGGGAAGUGGUGGCUGGAACUCUGUUUUUGGAAAAUAGCAGCUAGAUUCUCUUCUCAUACAUGCAGAAUUAAUGUUGUUAAUUUGUGGGAAAUGAAUUUUCUGCAAUGGGUUUUGCAACUAAUUGCAAAAAUAAAAAUUUCUUACCAGAUUUUUGUACUAAAACUAAAAACAUAGAAACCAUAAACGGGUUACACUUUCUCUUCAUUAACAGCUGAAACAACAAAACUACCAAUUCUUGCAUUCGGCACCUUACCCAGCUACCUUAGCUCCAAGAAACAAAAAGCCUAGCCACCCAUUCUCUGAGGAAAAAUCCUCAGAGCUUGUUUGGCUAGUAAGAAAAAUACAAUCAAAUUGAGUAGGUAAGGCAGAGCAAAGCUCUGUAUUUUACUUCCUUCAAAACUAUACAAAAAGUCGUCUCCCAGAACAAGCUCCGAGAUAUCUGUAAUGAAAAUUACAAAAUAAUAUAUAUGAGGUUAUUCACCAUUUUGUUCUUAUUUAAUAACUAAGGAAUCCUAUAAUUGGUGGAUUACAAGGAGAAAAUGGGGAUUUAGACAUUAAAUAUCUGAAGCAAAAAAUCUAAAAAUGUCGGUCACAAAUAUCUGGAAGCACUCAGGAGGAUUUCGCAGGCGUGCAAGAUGGCUGCAAAAUUUUGCAGCCAUCACCUUGUGAUUUCGCAGCCAAAGGCUGAUUUCGCAGCUUGUAAAAUUGGCCUUUAGCUUGGUGUGAUUGGCUUCCAAUAGCUCUAACUUCUUUAUUUCAACUCCGAUUCAUGCACCAUUUGAAGCAUUGGAUUGAUGACUUCACGAGCUUCGAAACGACAUAUAGUAUGCAUCAAAUGGGCUCUAGAAAGUGCUCCAAAAGUGUCCAACAGUCCCUGUCCUCUUGAAUUCUUCAUGUUAGAUUUCUCUCUUUACUUUCAUCCUUGCAUUCAUGAUUUGUUUAUGGCAAAGGACUAUAAAGCUUCAAAGCUUAGGUUCUUCAUGUUAAUGAGCUUCCAAUUGCUUUGCCAUGGAUUCCAUAGAACUAUCCUCAAUCUUGGAUUGCUUUGGUGAUCAAAUUACUAUCAAAAACACCAAAACUUACACAAUUCGAUUAUAAACGAUUGCAAAGGUACUUAAUAUGCUAAUUGAGUUAAAAGGUAAUAACUACUACUCAAAAGUGUUUAAAAGAGUUAAUUACAAGCUAUCAAAUAGCACUUUUUGAGUAGUAAUCAUUCCCCCAACCGACAUAUUGCUAGCCCCUUAGCAAUAAAGGAGAGAAAAAGAAAAAUAAAAAGUACUAUAAUUUACAACAUCAUGCUGAUCAAAAAACAAUUUUCAAGUGGCAUGAUGAUCUAACUCUCACAUGGAACACUAAAGAAAUAAAACUCAAACUUCAACAAGAGCUAUCAAAUACUUUACCUAAUCACAAUUCAUAAAGAUAAGGCAUUAUGCAAAUUGAAGCUUUAAAAUCAUUUCCACUUCCAAAGGAUCAAACCUUACUGUGGACCAGCAUUUUUCACGUGCGUCCCCACUCGAUCGACGAGACUCGCUUUUUAUUGGUGAAAAAAAUAAUUUAGUUUUGGAAAAGUUGGAGCCGCCACUUAUUUUAUUUUUAUUUUAAAGGGAAAAUAAAACAAGAAAGAAAAACCCUAAAAUGUGACUCCAUAAUUUUUGGAAAAAGCAUGUCUUUGAAAAACCUGAGUCUAGGUCCGGGGAUCAGGUUACUUAUUGGCAAGGUACCUCUAGGAGGUAGCACCCCUCUAAGCCCUAAAGAGGUCUUUACUGACUAAAUUGGGGAAAUGGGGUAAUUAAUUGAUUAAUUGUAGAUACCUAAGUAAACUAGGUGAUUUUCAUAAAGUAGCAUGCUAAAUAAAGAGAUCAAUCACAAUAAAGGAGAGUUAGGGUGCGUACCUGAACCACUUCUUAAGCGCUAUCAUAAAACAUCAAUGGUUAAUUCAGAAAUAUGACACACGACAUGCAUUUUUGUCAAGGAUGAUCAAACAAGCAUCAAGGCAAUCAAGUAUGGCAUCAAACAUGGCUCAUGAUAACAUACACAUUCAUAGAAUUUUAGAGUUGGAGGGUGGAAAGAGCGUACCUGGAUAGCAAUCUAGUACUCCUCUAUGGGAAACAAGAUUACCCAGAUAACAGAUUAAAAAUAAUCUCAUAUAUACCACAAAGAGGAAGCACAAUCAGUCGAAUAUCAAACAAACACUAUCAAAGAGAAUAUUCGUGAAUGUCGGGCCCCCACCAAAGCCCUAAUUAAUUUCGCAUGAGUUGAUUCUAUGAAAUCCAUUGUUUGGAAUCAUGAGAUUUGUUCAUGCUUGUUGAAGAAAAACGAGAAAAUCAUAAAGAUUAGUAGAAAAUAGUGAAAACGCAUACCAGAAAGAAAAUGGUAGCAAAAUAGUUUGUUAGAAUCUAGAUUUUGUGCUUAGAAACUCCUAGGGAAUUUUAAAUAAAACUAGAGUUAUUUCUUACGGAAAAAGAUUUUGAAAUCCAGAUUAAAAAUGUGUAAGAUCACAAAAAGAAGAAGAAGAAACAUUAGGAGUAUGAUGUGUGGCAAAGUGACCACUAUGUGAGUGAGGUUUGGAGGUGCACUUGAGACUAAAUGGUUGAAACAGAUUGCAUAAGGAGGAUUCUGUAGACCACUGGUUGUCUGGAAAGAAACUGAAUGUAUUCGUUUCAGAGCCCAUGUUCACUGGAUUUUAGGGUGCCAUCUCAUAUAAAAAAAAAGGCUUCAAUACAACUCUAGUUUCUCACGAUCACAACUUGAAUUAUCAACAGAAGCUUCUGGUGAAGACGUAAUGCUCAAUUUCAGAUUAAGUUUCCGGUUCUAUAACUCGUUUUCUCUGAAUUUUCCUUUUAUGUUUGUGCUUUCUGAUCAUAUAAGUUACCCGUCUGGUUCCUUGUUUGAGACUCUGCAGAACCUGGAAUAAUGCUCUUAGGUCUAGCAUGGCUGUGUAGGCGACUCCAGUAUUGUUCAGAUCAGCCUUUGAACAUGAGGGGAGGAGAGCAUUAUAAAUUCUGUUUCAAUUUUCCUACUUCCAAUGACAUUUGCCUCAGUUUUUGGAGAACAGCUUCGUCGUCUAGCCUGGCCAUUUGCAAUUCUUUCGAGAAAUUCUUGCAGCCUGCAUCAUCUUGAUCACUUGGUUUGUUGUGAAAAACCGUUUGUUCCUAUGAGAGGAGCAAAUAUUGAUUCUGCAUUCGGUGCAUAGGUGGAUGGCCAGAAACUCCACUCUUUCAUCAUAAACUGAGUAUUCGUCAUAGGGUGAGUGCUAUUGAAGCAUUAGAAUCCUCCACUUAAAAUAUUUGAGCGUUCCAGAACCUCUUGGUAGAGUACCUUCUAGCACUAUAGGAGACAAAGGUGAAAUAAUUGGCUGGAUUCAUAGUAGCAUAAUCCUCCAGUGAUGCAGCGCUUUCAAUGUGUUCCUGACUGAUUCCAAGAGCAUUUUGCUGCUCUUUGAGGUCAACGGUCUGACCAAUAAAAAUUUCAGCACUUGUAUCAACUAGAAAAUUCAUCAGCUGAUGGCCAAGAGAAUCCCAAGAUCUGUCUCGCAAUGGGUUCAGUUUUGAUGCGAAUGUUGCCCUCUUUAUCCUCGGGCAAUCUGUUGAUAAAGCUUACCAUCCUUUCACAUUCAACCCAAUCUUUUUCCCUCAGAGCAAAACUGGUAGGAGGAGACCUCCCAGGAGGGAGUUGCCCAUAUGUUUGAACUUGAAUUAUUUCAGAGACAGCGGCUAAAAUUUCCAACAUGGGAGGAGUGAGUGUAUAAGGAUGACGCUUGAAAAGGAGGUUUAAGGCCCUAAUUUUUCCACUCUCAGCAAGUGCAGCAGCAGCUUCAUUGAUAAGCAUAAUGCGAAAUUUGUUGUAUUCCUUCACGGAGAACCUACCCAUAUUUAUCCCAAGAAAUGUCUCCAGCCUGUCUCUAAACUGCAAUAACUGUAAUCUUACCUUACGGAAAUCCCAAAUUUGGCCAUUCCCAUGGUCAUCUCAUUCAGAAAACCUAUACCGACUAGUUAGAUGGAGCCCAUAGGCAAAUAGAGCCUUCACAGCAUCUUCCAUUGGUCCAAUUUUAUUAACACAUUCAGACAAUGCAGGAUCCUGAAUGAGUGAAGAUUUAGCACCUCUAGAAGCUUCAGCACCAUUUCUCUCAGUAAAUCAACCCAUUCCUUCUGAACAAAAUUUUCCUUGCCCAUUACAUCUGCCAUAUGCUUCAAAAGGAAUUUGUUUAUCAUGCGCUGAAUACAUGCUUAAAUCCAACAACCAUCAGCUAUGAAUGUUACCAUUGCUUCAAGCGUUUCAUGUUCACUCUUCACUUCAAGUUUAGGAAUUUGGACGGAGAGUUCAGCAGAAGAGACCAAUAACCUAUAUGCGUUAUGCCUUAAGAUCAGUUCAUUGGAUGACAUAUCAUAUAUACAACGCGACAAAAUGAUCAGUGCCUGAUUCUUUGAGAUAUUAUUAAAGAACUCCAUGCUAAUCUUUUCAUAAGCAUGAACUAUGGUGUCAUAAUCCAGGCCACUCGUUUCCAUAACAGAGGUCACAUCCAAUUCAUUUAUGGGAUUUGCCACAGAGAGUACCCUAGGGUCAGUUUCAGCAAGAUCACCAAGAAGGCCACAAAUAACCAAACGUAUAUCCAGUCCAGCAGAAAUUAGCAGAGAAGAAAUGACAUUCAAGAUUUUUUUGGAGAAGUUUCACUCCCUGAAACUGGUAUAAUAUCUCGAAUAAGUUGCAAAGCUUCUACACAUGCAUCAGAAUUCUGAGCUUUCUUUCCUAAAAAGGGGAGCAAAUCAUCAAUGAAUUUCCUUGCUUGCAAUGGAUCCUAUAUAUAUGUUGACAACAAUUUGAAAAUUCUAAGCUCUGUUUCUCCAGGAUAUUUGACUAAUUUCCCUUUUGUUACGUUACAACUUUGGAAAAGACAAUGCAAGCUGCAGAUGAGAGUCUUAGUGUUCGGAAGUAGAACCUUUUUGAUAGUGAUGUCUUCAUCAUCCAAUUCGUUAUCAAUGUUCAACAGGUUCUCAAUAAACUUAAGAACACAAGAUAUAAUAGCUUCAGAUGCUGUCGUAACAGUUAAAAUUGAAAAUAUAUCAGCAACAAGAUUCUAUUCCCUGUGCAAUAAUGAUUCAAGAUUGUGGCUUCUACCUAACAUCACCAAUCUCUGUUUCUUCUUCUUCGGCGAGCUGAACCCCAGGCAGUCCCCUCAUAGAAAUCUACCCUUCACUGUUUUCUUUGGUGGAGAGAGAUCCAUGAGACUCCUCUAGCAGAUUCUGAUCCAAUUUUUUGAGGUUCUACUUGUACAUCAUUUGGAAAUUCCAGUACUGUUACUGCAUUCUUAUAUGCAUUUACAAGCUGCUCAAAUGUUGCCUCGGAUGUCAAGAGCUUCUCAUAGCUUAUUGAUUGAGUUAUCUAUCCAGCAUCCACAACCAGAAUUUUUUCGACUUCAGAGAGAAACUCCACUUGAUGAGUCACUAGAAUGACGAUUUUAUGAGCAAGGGCAGCCAUGACGCAUGCAUAGAAAAGAAUUGCUGCUGUAUGUGCAUCUACUACACUGAAGGGAUCAUCUAGGAAAUACACAUCUGAAUCGCUAUAUAUUUGCCCUUGCCAGUUGGAUCCUCCGCUUUUGGAGUUGAUGAACACUAUCACUGGACACUCGAGUACAUAAGAAACAACCUCGACCUCUGAUUCUGGAACUGGAACAUAAUCAGGGAUGCGGAAAUUCAGCCCAACUCCGAAUUAAAAUAUGCCAUUACUGGAAAACGAUUUCUUUGAGAAGUAUUUCUCAGCUUCAAACGAGAUCCGUUCUCCUUCCCUAAAACCCACCAAAAGGCCAUGAACACCAGUUCCUUUUCAUUCUCACCAAAAGCAAUGGAGAAUUCUUCCUUUCUUCCCCUUUUCCUCAUGCGUGCUACUAGUCUCCUCUUCCGAGAUCCUCCACUAUUUCAAUUAGGUUCUUCAUAGUAUCACCACAAAAACUGAUCACCAAGUUGAGCAAUCAGAACAAGUGCAAAUCCCCUAUGUGUUAAGUAUUGGAGCAGUGUGCUGCUAUUACGUGGGUACAGCAUAUUGCUGGAUCAUCAAAGUUCCAUGGAGUGAGAAUGAAAGGAAGUGGAGGAAGCUUUAGCAUUGCGGUUCCUUGUGACCAAUGGGAUUAUAAUGCGUAAUCAUCAGGAAAACUUAAUCAGGCUGCAGCUAAUAUAUUCAAAGCUUCGAUAUCUCCAAAUAAAACUUUCCAGAAUGAUAAAAGAUCAGUUAUCCUCGAACCACAAGUUUAAAAGCAAAGUUGGAGAAUGUUACUUUCUGAAGCAACAGACAUAGAGAAACACCCGUAAAGAGGCAAUAGCUGUUCUUUAGUAGAAGAUAUGGAUGCCAAAUUUGAGCUGCUUGUCAAUAAGUUCUGGAAAGAAGUCAAUCCAAACUGAAGGUUCUUAACCAGUUCGGAGUUUUCAUCGGUUGUCACUUUCCCAUCAGAGACUACAAGGGAAUCAUCAGAAAUAUUCCGUACAAAGACUGAUUUAUCUAUUGUAUCAGUUUGAACCUCAGGUGUAUUGAAGGGUGAGCCAUUAAGAUUAAGUAUGUCCUGGUCAUCCGAAACUGCAGCAUCUUGGUUGUGAAUUAAAAAUGAAAUAAAACCAAGAAAGGCAAUACAGAAUGCUUCUGGUUCACUGAUCUUGAAGUCUGGUUGAUCAUUAUAGGCUCUCAAGCACACAUUACCGACAUAAGGUUCUUUCCAUAAUGCUCUAUAUAAAGGAAUUUGAAUCUUUCACUUCAUAUGAACCAUCUGGGACAGUUUGAUUGACUUCUUGCGUCAUCGAAAAUUUUGGGCAGUGGAGUCCAUGUCAAAGGAACCUCCUAUGUUUCUGGGAAAACCUCUUUCUGGGGGAUUUUGGGUGAGGAGUUUUAUCAAACAAUCUGGGUACAUGAACCAUGGAAUUGAAUUUACAAUACCAAUUCAUUAAAGAAUUAACUAUUCGAAGUCGGUGAUCCCUCUCCAUAUAAUGAUAAGAUCAGCAGAGAAUGGCAACAAGGCUGCUUCCAUGAGGAUCAUCAGUUGCAGCAUGAACUCCCAUCUUCUAACAGAAACAAAAAUCAAACUCCCAGAAUUUCUUCCCUAUUUCCCGAGGUUGGUAGUGUGGGAUAGAUCUGAAUUUCAAUGAUGCGUAUUCCAGAUUUCUGUAGUUCACUAGAAAAACCUCGGAAUCAACUAUCCAAUAUUUGAGUGAGAUUGUUGCAUACUUCAUCUCGUAUUAACACUUCCGUCACUCCUCAAUGUACACCCAAGAGUAAUGAGAAGGAUUUGGGCAGCAUACAGGAAAAGGGAUAGGGGAGAAAUAAAAUGAAAUAAAAACGAAGUAAAACUCAGAGGAGGAAAGAACAGAAGAUGUUGAUCAAUAAAAAAAAAAAUAGCCCCCACUUCAAGUAUUAAUCCAUGGGCUAAGAACAUAACAAGGGAACAAUACAAGAUAGGAUUCAAACAAACAAAAAAAAAAAAUGUAGGAUCACAUUCAAGCAUGGAGUUGUAUAUUUCUGAAGACAUUCAUGACGCGUAAAAUAAUCAAAAUCAAAAUUGAAUAAAGAAGUAAACAACCAAGCUCAGCAGAACAACUUGUGGCCCUUAACGUCCACACCAACGAACAAUAUAUUAAAUGUUCCGAAAACAAAUAUACGGAGAAAUCGAAUAUGGGUAAGAAUUUCAAGAGUAACAAGAAACAUACCUGGAUGAACUCGGCUACUCUUGCUCCUUUCCCGCUUUUCUGUGCUUUUCCUCAAGACUAUCUCCCCUUCCCAAAAAAUCCUUCAAAUCUACUGGGGGAAAAUCCCCUCAUUUUCUUUCCUUUUUAUGCAAUGCAUGCCUUCCUUUUAGUGCCAGAUCUCGGUAUCAAAUCCCCUUGCUAUUCAUGCCUCUAAUUAGAAAAUCAUAAAAUCUUGCCUUUCUUUCCAUGUAUCUGCCCGUCCAUGGAGAUUGCGUCUCUCUAAAAAAUCCUUUUUGUAUGGAAGUUUCCAUAUAUUCUUCUAUGGGCAGCAACCUCUUCCUUUUCCUUUGUCUUCCUUAUAUGCAUGGUGGAGGUAACUUUAUAAAAUAAUGCAGCUGUCACUUUCCUUUCUCUAAAAUUUUGGUGAUCUUCCCCCUAAAUAGAUGGCAACCGUUUCCUCAUGCAAGAAAUAAAAUAAAGAUAAAAAUAGAAAUAAAAAUAAAAUAAAAUAAAAAUAAAAUGAAGAUUAAAAUCAAUAAAUAUCAUGAAAUUGAAAAUCAAAAGAAAUUUAAAUCACGCACCUAAAAAUAAAUAAAUAAAUAAAUAAAAAUAAAAUAAAAAAUAAUUAAAAACAAAAAAUAAAAAUAAACCACAUGCAAGCCAUACGAGCUAUGUAACCACCAAAAAUAUGAGUCAUGCAACCAUGCAAAAAACACGAGCCACGCAACUAUGCGAAAAUACGAGUCAUGCAACCAUGCAAACCAUGCAGAAACAUCUAAAGGUGACCUAGGGUGUGUUCUAGUGCGCUAGGGCGAACGAAGUGGACCAAGUGUGCUUAAGUGGGCCUAAGUGGGUGCCUAAUGAACUAGGUGUCUUAAAGUGAUUGGGAUACUGUCUAAAUGACCUAAACAUGCCUAAGAACUAUCUUAAAAAGGAAUGGAAAGCUUAAGUCUAAAUCGAAACUGCCAAGGGUCAUAAUAAAGGGGUUAGGCGAUCCCUUAACUAGAGUCUCCAAGGUGGCUCAAGAAAGGUAAGUAGCGUAAGUAGAUAUGGGCUACCAAGGAGCUAACUAUAAAGUAUCAAACAAGUAUCUAAUAAGACAUGUGCUAGGAGGACAAAAUUGAGGGUCUAUACUUACUCUUCCACAAAAAUCUAAGUGUUACUUGAUAGCUUCCGAAUAUAGUAUGCUAAACUAAUCUCUCCCCUUAACCUAGUUCUUUUCCAACACUUAGCAAACUGACCAAAUUCAAUAGGCUAAGAACGCACCCUUUUAUUUCACAAUUUUUUUUCAUUGUAGGAGUACAAGGUUUAAAGGUAUUAUUUUCUAAUUUGUCCAUGUAACGGGGGUCCAUCGAUGACUCCCAACCAAUUAAGGUUUAGGGCAUCAAGUUUUAAGGAUCUUUCAACCACUAACUCCUCGGAUUUUACCCCGGACUUUUGAGAAUGAAUUUUUAAUACCCAAGCACCUACAAUAUGUUAAACUCCACCUAUUCACCCUUGUAACGAGCAUUGAAGUCGGUGACUCCCAACCAAUGAAGGCUUAAGGCACCAGGUUUUAAAGAUUUUCACCAUAUACCCCUCAGACCUUGCUCAGGUUUCAAGGCAAGUAAAACAAUUUUUUUUUUUUUUCAAAAGCUCAUUGGCCUUUUAUAAGGUGUCCCAACACUAUUAAAUGAGGUCAAAGGUACCAAGUCUAAAUUUUCCUAAGUCAAGAGGGAAAUAGUUUUUCAUCUUAUAAUCGGAACCUAUUGUGCACAGUGUGUGAGUAGCUUAAAAUGGAAGAACUAAGCUUAAAUUCAAUAGAAGUUCAACAAUUCAUCAACUUUAAUAAGCAUAAUACAAACUCUAAGUCAAGUAAAAACAAAAAUUCGAUUUCUCUUAUUUUAAUUUGAGAAUUUUUCCUUAAUAACCAUGGAGAGUGGAAUAAAAACUUUAAAAAUUUUAAAAUUAAACAAAAAUCAACUAAAUUACAGAAAUACUUAGCAUUAACAACAAAAAACUUCCUUCCUCAACUCUUCUCCCCCCAACCAAGCUGAACAUUGUCCUCAAUGUGGCAUGAGCGAUUGAAAUUACAGGAAGGAAGUGGUGUCUCCUGAGUGAUAUGAAGUUCGAGUAGAAUAGGAGAAACCACAUGUUUCAAAAACAAUAAAAGAUAUGAGUAGAGGAAUUAAAAUAAAAUAAUGCCAAGAGUACUCAAAAAUGAUAGAUUUGUAUUACUUCAUGAAAAUAUACUAUAGAGGAAAACAAGUAAUACAACCAAUCCCAAUAUAUAAAAUAUCAAAAGCAUGGGAUUACAAGUGCUACUAUAGUAAGGAAAUACAUAAAGGAAACUAUGCAAAUGAUCAGAUAGUGGGAGGAUGAUGAUGUGAAGAUGAUGGGUCAGCUGUAGAGGACGGAAUGCUGGGGGUGGAUGCCUCUGCUUCUCCUAUAGUCGGCUCCUCAGAGGGCAUAGUCUGCUCUACGAAAAGAAGGGCUUGUGAUGGCUUUGUGGGCACUGAGAGGAUAGGAAUGGGGUGCUUAGGAGCUGAUAGCAUACCCAUAUGGUGCUGAAUCUGCCUCAGGAUGGCAGUAUGCUGAGCCUGAGUAGCAAUAAUCUGCUCCUGAUGAGCACGAAGAGUUGUCAUCUACUGAGUAAGGAUGCUCUGAGAAAUGGUCAAUGCCUGCAAAAUGUGACAUAGGCCUCUGUACUCGGAAAUGGAUAUGGCGAUCCUAGGCUCAGAUGAAGGAGGGGGCUCUGAUAUAGAUGGAAUAACAGGGGGAGUCUAUGGUGUGGCAGGAGGAGCAAAGGGUGCAACCUCAGGUAUCUCAACCAGUUGUGGCUCCUCUGGCUGCUUUGGAUGUGGAAUCUCUGGAUGCUCUGCUCCAACUGGGGCUCUCGGCUCUGCACCAUAGGCUGUCAUACUUGUCCAUUUGUCGGGAGUGAAUAUCUCUCAGCAAAUGCGUUUGCGCUCAAGCUGAGGCUCAGAUGGGUACCCCAAGUGCUCCAGAAUCUGACAUAGCAAUCUGGGGAAGAGAAAUGGAAUAGCAUCCGCUCUGAGCAGCUUCUUCCUAUGGACCUUUUCUUCAAAGUACAGAAGAGCGGCCAUAAUGAGAUGAUGAGGGCCAAAGAAGAAUCCCUCAGAUAUCCUGAACAAUGCCUCUAGCAAGACUCCUCUCCUCUGCACCCAAUGCUGAAGUGGAAAGAUGUUAUGGCGCAGGAGUGCAUCUAUAAAAAACAUGCUGGGAGAGAGCUCCUUCUUCAACAGAUACUGGCGUGUGGAUGCCCCUUUGGACAGAAUAUGAACUAUGUUGCUCUGGGAAGGAUGAGUCUAUACUCGAUAAUCCUCUAGACGGGCUAGCUCAUAGGGAAUACACAAUGCCUCUGCUAUAUUUCUGGCUCCCAAGAUACCAUGGCGUCCGUCUAUGGUGAAGUGGAUGACAGUAGGAUCUUGGACCUGGUGUGUGGUCAUGGACUGAUAAAAGUCCAUUGCUACACAGGGAUAGAAAAAAUCCCUGGGAGUCAUCAAGUGCUCCAUAUGGUACCUUUGCAGCAGAUGGAAGGAGUCCCUGAGCUCUGGCUGAAGUCUGAAAGUGGCUGUGUCAAAGCAAAGCUCGGAGUGGAAUGGCCUAGCCCUACAAUCCAAAUUACCCUCAAUGGGUGGUUGAGUGACCAUGGGACGUCUGAUAACCACCUCAAGGGUCAUCCCUGAGGGAAUUUGAGACUCUGUGGCUGGUGGCUGAGACGGCUGAGGCUCUGAUGGAGGCUCUGAAGACGGCUCUGAUAAGUCAAUUGGUGCUGAUACCCUGGCUUUCUUAUUUGAGGGAUGGCUACCUGACUUUUUGGGACAAGAGGAGCUUGCCCUAGGUGUGGUGGGUGGUCUCCUCGUCUCAUAGCGUCUCGAAGGAGGACUCAACGGUGGGUCCUCAACUGGAGGUGGGACGACCAGUGGAUGUGGAGGCUCGGGAAUGGAGCCUUGAACAGUGGUCUCUCUUGGGGUUCUCAGACGGCUUGAAGGAGACGAGGACUUAGCUCCUUGGGUUUUUGCCAUGGUGAUUACUACUCAAAAAGUGCUAUUUCAUAGCUUGUAAUUAACUCUUUUAAACACUUUUGAGAAGUAGUUAUUGUCUUUUAACCCAAUUAACAUAUUAAGGACCUUUGCAAGCACUUCUAAUCAAUUUGUGUUAAGUUUUGGUGUUUUGAUAGCUUUUUGAUCACCAAAGCAAUAUGAGAUUGAGGAGAGUUAUUUGGAAUCCAUGGCAAAGCAAUGGAAAGCUCAGAAACAUGAAGAACCGAAGCUUUGAAGUCCUUUGCCAUAAGCAAAUCCGGAAUGCAAGGAGGGGAAGCAAAGAGAAAUCUGCCAUGAAACAUUUUUUAUGACAUUCAUGUCAGCCACUUUUGGAGCACUUCCUGGAGUCCAAUUUAUGCAUGCUAUAUGUCGUUUCGAAUCUCAGGAAGUCAACAAUCCAAUGCAUCAAAUGGUGCAUGAUUCGGAGUGGAAAUGAAGGAGUUACAGCCAUUGGAAGUCGAUCACUCUAAGUUGAAGGAAGAAUUUUGCACGGCUGCGAAAUGACCCUUUUGCUGCGAAAUGAUUUCGCAGCCAUUUUGCACAGUGCUGUGGAAUUUCUCCUGAAGUUUCCCGAUAUUUGCGACCAACACUUUUGGAUAUUUUGCUUCAGAUUUUUGAUGUCUAAAUCCCCAUUUUCUCCUUGUAACCCACCAAUUAUAGGAUUCCUUAGUUAUUAAGUUUGGAAAAGAGGUGAAUAACCUCAAAUAUUUUGUAUUGUAAUUUUCAUAUUUAAGAAUCAAUCGGGAGCUUGUUCUCAUACGACGCAUCCUUUGUACAAUUUUGGAAAGGAAGUAAAAUACAGAGCACUUGCUCUGCUUUUCAUAUAUAUUUUUGUUUUCUCGUUCUUUUUAUUUCUAGCCAAUCAAACUCUGAGGAUUUUUCCUCAGAGGAUGAGAGGCUAGGCUCUUCGUCUCUUGGAGUGAAGAAAUUCGGGUAAGUUUCCACAUGCAUAAAUUGGAAGUUUUGUGGUUUCAGCUUUUAAUGAAGAGAAAGUGUGACCCGUUAAUGGUUUUUAUCUUUUUAGUUAACUUAAAACGCCUUGAAGUCACCUGGGCCAACACUUGGUAAGGCAAGUGAUCUCCGUCCAUGGAGAUUCACUAGUUUAUCUCUUGCGAGCCUUUGGGAGGUGACUUGAAGGUAGGAUUUUCUAGAAUUGCCAACACUUGGUAAGCUUUUGGACUCUAAGGAGACAUCCAUUAGUUAUCUCUUGCGAGCUUGAGAAGGGAAGUCCAAGGUUAAUGAUCACCUUGAAUGGUAAAUGCUAGGUGAGAGGCACGAGCCAUUGCGAGAUGCAUCAGUGAGAGGGAAUUAAUGCUGAAAUUCAUAAAUGGGCUGCAUCUGUACAACACCGGUUAGAGAAUUAACUAUAUGUUAAUUCUCUAAUGCGAGGAAAAGAACCAAAGUGACCAAAACUCUGUUUUUGUAUGAGGAGCCUGAUCCCGGUGAUCCUAAAACUCCAAGAAACACUUUUCUUCAUAAGUAAUUCCCAUUACUUUCUUUUUAGUUAGCUUAAAACCAAACCCUUUCCAACUCAAGUUUAUGUUUUCUUUUAAAGCUAACCUUGAAAUGAAAAGGCACCAAUUCAACUUUGAAUUAAUAUCAUUUGUGAAGUGAAAACCCAUCCCAGUGAACGAUCCUAGAGCCACUAUGCUAUAGUAGCUUUGUCUUUGCUACCCUAGUUCAUGGUGUAAUAGGUUAUAAAUUUUGUUGAUUACUUCCUCAAUCAAGGAGCACCAGCUGGACACGAAUCAACUGAGACACCAAUUGGGCAUGAAUCACAUGGCUAUCUCAGAGAAGAUAGCCGAAGGUGCGCACGCGGCUUGGGCUCAGAUGGGAGGGAGAAGACGGAAGGUUGCUCUGGUUUGGCUUCUCUUUGCCACCUAUUUGAAGUUCAAAUGACCGGUUUAAAACAAAAUAUGGAAUUUAUAACGUUUAAAAAUGGAUGCCAAGGGACGGUUUUAAUUUUCGCAGCAGGGGGGCGAUUUAGCAGCGGAUGGGCAUUUUCGCAGCCCAUUUCGCAGCUGCGAAAUGAGGAGUGGGGGCUGCGAAAUGGCACUCGUGUGCCAAAGGGUGGUUUCGCAGGUGCGAAACCCCUUGUGAAAUGGGGCUUUGGCUGCGAAAAUUGGAGUUUUAAAGCUUUGGGGAUUUCGCAGCCCAUUUUGUAGAUGCGAAAUGAGGUGGGGGGCUGCGAAAUGGCACUCGUGUGUCAAAGGGUGGUUUCGUAGCUGCGAAAAUUUUCAUAGAGGGGGGCAUGGGGCUGCAAAAUCAUUUCGCAGCCAAGGGGAGUUUUCGUAGACAUGACCUGAUUUCGCAGCGCACUUCUUGGGGCUGCGAAAUCAUAUCGCAACCAAGGGCCAUUUUCGCAGAGGCCACUUUUGGGCUGCGAAAUCUCACAAGCCAUGAAUUUUCCCUUGCUUUUGAACUCCUUUUGGCUCCAAGAGGCCUUCCUUCAAUUUCUUUGCAAUUUCUCCUAAAUUAGAUCAUUCAAAAAGAUUAAGUUACAUAUAAAUAACACAACUUAAGACCAAAAUUAAAAUCAAAAGAAUUAAUAAAGCUUUUAAAUUAACAAAAUUAAACAAAAAAUAUAGACUUUGGUGAAACCAAGUCCAUCUAACCAUUUUUUGAUUAGGCUUUCUGUGGCUCAAGGAGAUUGAUUUCUUUCUUUUCUUGCUUGAAUGGCUCAAUGAAUGGCUUGAGACGAUGACCAUUGAUUUUAAAAGUGUCAGUGCUAUUGGAAUUCAAUAAUUCCACCACUCCAUUGAGAUGCACUUGGUGAAUAAUGAAAGGGCCUAUCCACCUUGACUUGAGCUUCCCAGGAAAGAUAUGGAGCCUUGAAUCAUAGAGUAAGACUCUUUGUCCUUUCCGGUAUUCUUUGUUGGAGAUUAAUUGAUCAUGCCACUUCUUCAUCCUCUGUUUUGCAACUUUGGAAUUGAUGUAAGCAUCAUUUCUUAAUUCCUCCAUUUCAUUAAGGUUUAAGCACCUCUUUGCCCCGGCUCUGAUCAAGUCCAUGUUUAACUUCUUGAUUGCCCACCAAGCCUUAUAUUCAACUUCUACAGGGAGAUGACAUGCUUUGCCAUAGACUAGGCGAUAGGGAGACAUGCCAAGAAUAGUCUUGUAAGCUGUUAUAUAUGCCCAUAGUGAAUCAUGAAGCUUAAUAAACCAAUCUCUUCUGCUCGUGAUCACCACCUUCAUCAAUAUAUUCUUGAUUUCCCUUGUUUGCUAGCUCAACUUGCCCGGAAGUCUGAGGGUGAUAAGGUAUAGCUACCUUAUGCUUUACUCUAUACUUGGCUAAUAGGGUUUCAAAAGGUCUGUUGCAAAAAUGAGUACCUCCAUCACUGAUUAUGGCCUUAAGCAUCCCAAAUCUUGAGAAGAUGUUCUCCUUGAGAAACUUGAGAACCACCCUAUGAUCAUUGUGUUUACAGGGGAUUGCCUCAACCCAUUUAAAAACAUAGUCCACCAUUACCAAAAUAUAAGAGUUACCAAAAGACAUAGGAAAUGGUCCCAUGAAGUCAAUGCCCUAAACAUCAAAGAGAUCAACUAUUAGAAUGGGGGUCAUGGGCAUUUGGUUUCUUAUUGUAAGCUUCCCGAGCCUUUGGCAUCUAUCACAGCUCUUACACAUGAUGUGGGCAUCUUUGAAAAGUGAUGGCCAAGUAAACCCUGAUUGCAACACCUUCAUGGCUGUUUUUUGAGAGGCAAAGUGGCCUCCACAUGUACUUUCAUGGCAAUGGCUGAGGAUUCCUUGUUGCUCUUCUUCAGGGACACACUUCCUUAUUAUUUGAUCUGCACAAUACUUGAAAAGGAAAGGCUCAGGAAAGUCAUCAUUAAUAGGUAAGACAUGAGAAUUGUGUGCUAUAACCAACCUUGAAAGGUGGUCAACUACCACAUUCUCCACUCCUUUCUUAUCUCUGAUUUGGAGAUCGAACUCUUGUAAUAAGAGAAUCCAUCUAAUCAACCUUGCUUUUGCAUCUUGUUUUGUCAAUAAAUACUUCAAGGCUGAAUGGUCAGUGAAAACAAUGAUGAAAGACCCUACUAGAUAAGCACGAAACUUGUCUAAGGCAAACACUACAACUAACAAUUCUUUCUCUAUAGUUGUGUAGUUCCUUUGAGCUUCGUUCAAUGUCUUGCUUGCAUAGUAGAUCACAUAGGGCUUUCCAUCUUCUCUUUGGCCAAGCACAGCUCCUAUAGCAAAGUCACUGGCAUCACACAUUACUUCAAAGGGUAGUUGCCAAUUAGGAGCCCUCACUAUUGGAGUUGUUGUCAAAAAUUGCUUCAGUUGAUCAAAACUCUUUUGACAUCUUUCAUCCCAUAUAAACUUAGCAUCCUUAGCCAAAAGUUCACAAAGAGGCUUUGAAAGCUUAGGGAAAUCUUUUAUAAAUCUCCUAUAGAACCCUACAUGGCCAAGGAAUUGCCUUACUCCUUUUACAGUUGUUGGGGAUGGCAAUUUGACAAUAAGUUCUACCUUUGCUUUAUCAACUUCAAUGCCUUUCUCGGAGAUGAUAUGGCCAAGGACAAUUCCUUGAUGUACCAUAAAAUGACAUUUCUCCCAGUUGAGCACCAGGUCCUUCUCAAUGCAUCUGUUAAGAACCGCUUCCAAGUUGACUAAGCAUUCUUCAAAUGUACCUCCAUAUAUGGUGAUGUCAUCCAUGAAAACCUCCAUAAUUCGCUCCACCAUAUCACUAAAGAUACUUAGCAUACAUAUUUGGAAUGUUGCAGGUGCAUUGCAUAAACCAAACGACUUUUUUCUGUAGGCAUAUAUUCCAAAUGGACAUGUGAAAGUGGUCUUCUCCUGAUCUUCAACAUCAAUUUCAAUUUGAAAAUACCCGGAGUACCCGUCCAAGAAACAAUAGAAAGGAUGGCCAGAGACUUGAUCAAUAAAUGGCAAUGGAAAAUGAUCUUUCCUUGUCACAGCAUUCAAUUUUCUAUAAUCAAUACACACCCUCCAACCUGAAGUGAGGCGUGUAGUAAUUUCUUCUCCUUUUUAAUUUUGAACCACAGUAAUCUCUAACUUCUUUGGUACCACUUGAGUAGGACUCACCCAAGGGCUGUCAGAUAUGGGAUAAAUAAUACUAGCUUAAAGUAGCUUCAGCACUUUAGCUCGCACCACCUCUUGCAAAUGAGGAUUCAAUCUUCUUUGAGGUUGACGAAUUGGUUUAGCUUCUUCCUCCAUGUAUAUAUGAUGUGUACAAACCAAAUGACUAAUGCCUUUCAAGUCAGAUAUUUGCCAUGCUAUUGCUUUCUUACACCUCUUAAGAACUUCAAGUAGACACUUCUCUUGAGGACUAGUAAGAGAUGAAGAUAUAACAACAGGGCAUUGUUUAUUCUCUUCCAGGUAUGUGUAUUUCAACUCCAUGGGCAGAGACUUCAAAUUGAGCUUUGGGGUCUCUUCUUUAGCAACUUCUUGUGCCUCCUCUUUAUUGAACAAAGAUAGAAUCUCUUCUCUCCUCCUCCAACCUUAUAGAGUAGCAAGCACAUCAAAGGGUUCAGGCAACCCUUCUUCAAGAUCCCCAAGACUUUCAUUCAACUUGUCUUGCAUAUUCUGAUUACAAUGCUCCUCCACUAGAGUGUCAAUAAUGCAUACCUCUUCUGGACCUUCUUCUUCUUCCGGAGUGAUUAACUUUUUAGACAUAUAAAAGAUAUUGAGCUCAAGUGUCAUGUUGCCAAAGGUGAGUUGCAUGAGUCCAUUCCUACAAUUUAUAAUUUCAUUUGAAGUAGCAAGAAAUGGCCUUCCAAGGAUGAUAGGAACAUAAUUAGCUUCCUUGACAAUUGGGUCCGUAUCAAGGACAACAAAGUCUACUGGAUAGUAGAAAUUAUCAACUUGAACUAAGACAUCUUCAAUUAUCCCCCUUGGAAUUUUCACUGAUCUAUCUGCUAGAGAUAGAGUGAUUGAUGUUGGCUUCAAUUCACCAAGUCCCAAUUGAUUGUAGACAGAGUAUGGUAGCAAAUUCACACUUGCUCCCAAGUCUAACAAAGCUUUCUCCACUACCUUUCCUCCAAUCAUGACUGAAAUGGUAGGACAUCCCGGAUCUUUGUACUUCAAAGGAGACUUGCAUUGUAUGAUAGCACUUAUUUGCUCAGUCAAGAAGGCUUUCUUGUUCACAUUCAACCCUCUUUUGAUAGUACACAAGUCCUUUAGAAAAUUUGCAUAUGUUGGAACUUGUUUAAUCAUAUCCAACAAUGGAAUAUUGACUUUCACUUGUCUCAAUACUUCAAGAAUUUCUGAUGCAUUUCUGAUCCCCUUUUUCCCAUGUAAAGCUUGAGGAAAAGGUGGAGAGGUGUGUUUCUUCAACAUUUCUUCCUUAAUAAGUACUUUUUUCGGAUUUGCUUUCACUAUUGAAUCAUGGUCCUUUUUUCCUUCACUGAUAUCUUUUUUCUUUCCUUUGAUUUUCUCCCUCUUCUUUGUCUCUUUUUCUUCUUCCUCUUCAAUAUGUGGCUUGGGUGUUGGUAGCUCAACUUUUUUACCACUCCUUAGAGUGAUCAAGGCUUUAACAUCUCUCACCUGUGAAGAUUCUCCUUCAUGAGUUUCCACUUCAUGGAUACCCUUGGGGUUUUGGUGAGGUUGAGAAGGAAAUCUACCCUCUCUUGCACUGUGUUCAAGUUAGUGAGCCUUGAGAUUGAGUAUUGGAGAUUAUCUAUCUUUUGAGAUAAGUCAUUUUGCAUCCCAUCCAUCCUUUUAUUCAAAGUAUUCUCCACACUGUCAAUUCUUUGACUGAGUUGAGCAUUGAUGGCUUUUUGGUCUCCAACAAAAUCUUCCACACUCUUGCUGAGAUUCACUAUUGCUUGUUCAAGGCUUGAAGCUUGUUGAGAUGGUUGAGUUGGCUGUUGGUACUGAGGUGCUCUUGGCUUCCAUGAGAAAUUUGGAUGAUUCCUCCAACUUGAGUUGUAAGUAUUUCCAUACGGAGCAUUGUUAUUGGGCUUGAAUUGUCCAAUGACAUUUGCUUGAUCUCCAAACAUUUCCCUAGCAGCUGGAAUUGUAGGGCACUCUCCACCAAGUGUUCAUAAGAUUGACAAAUAGGACAUAGCUUUACUUGCACUGGUGUUUCAGAUACAGCUUGCACUUCAUGCAUCUUUUUCAGUUCUAGCUCCUCCAAUCUUCUUGUCAUAGCUGCAAACUUUGCUUUCAUAUCAACAUCUUCAUUCAAGGUGUACAUCCCAGCCUUAGCAUUGAAAGCAUUCGGUUGAGACUUCAUCUUCCCCACUUCUCCUUUGUUUGGUUCAUCCCAUCCCCUUGAAACUUCAGCCACAUAACUCAAGAAAUCCAUAGCUUCCUCCGGAUUCUUACUCAUGAAAUCUCCUCCACACAUUGUCUCGAGGAGUUGCUUCAUUAAGGAAGACAUCCCAUCAUAGAAAUAACUCACCAAUAGUCAUGUAUCAAAACCAUGGUGAGGACAAGCAUUGAUGGCUUCCAUGUAUCUUUCCCAACACUCAUAGAAUUUCUCAUUCUCUUUAGCUGAGAAGUUUGAAAUUUGCCUUUUCAAGCCAUUUGUUCUAUGAGUAGGAAAAAACUUCUUGAGGAAUUCAGCUUGUAAAUCAGUCCAAGUACGGAUACUCUUUGGCCUUAAAGAAUUAAGCCAAAUCUUGGCCUUAUCCUUUAAAGUAAAAGGAAAUAGCUUCAGCCUCAUUAAGUCGAUUGAAGCUCCUCCUUCUUGGAAUGCAUUACAAACAUCUUCAAAUUCCUUGAUAUGUGUAUAGGGAUUCUCACUUUCCAUCCCAUGGAAAGUUGGUAGAAGUGGAACAAUAUGUGGUCUGAUCACUAGUUGCUUGUAGGGGGCACUAUACAUGAUGGUGCACUCAUACGAGGUGGAUGCAUGUGGUCCCUCAUUGAUUUGGAAGCAUUGGGAUUGUCCUGGUGACCAUGGUGACUAUGCUGAUCUUCAGGUGUAGCUUCCAUGAUAUUCAAGCUCAAUUCCAAUUCCUUGUUAUGAGGUGUAUCACGUUUCACAAGCCUUCCUCCACUAUCUCGUAUCCAAUUUGGCAUACACAACUAGUAUCAACUGUAACUAAAACAAAAACAAAAGAAAACAAAAGAAAACAAGACUACAAAAAGACUAAAAUUAACUAUAACUGAAUUAAAAGAUACAUUAGAAUGUGAACAAGUAAAAUAAACAAGUAAAAGAGUUAGUAAAAUGAAAGAAAAAUUUACCAAACUUGUGAUGAAAAUCACAAGUACUCUGAAAUAAUAUCACUGUGAAGUUGGCACCUUCCCCAGCAACGGCGCCAUUUAACUCAUUCCCAGGUUGGUGUACCAGCAGAUUCAUGUCCUCUCAAUGGUCCUUGGUAACAGCGCCAUUUGAUUCAUUCCUAAUUGGUGUACCUUGAGUUUGGUCCUCAGACAGGAGUAAUCAACAAAAUUUAUAACCUAUAUCACCAUGCACUAGGAUAGCCUUAGCUAAUAUAGCAUAGUGGCUCUAGGAUCGUUCACUGGGAAGGGUUUUCAACUUACAACUUAUACCAAUUCAAAGUUGAAUUGGUGCUUUUUCAUUUCAAGGUUAGCUUCAAAAGAAAACAUAAACUUUGAUUGAAAAAGGAUUGGUUUCAAGCUAACGAAAAAGAAAGUAAUGGGAAUUACUUAUAAAGAAAAAGCGUCUCUUGGAGUUUUAGGAUCACUGGGGUCAGGCUCCUCAUGCAAAAAACAGAGUUCCGAUCACUUUGGUUCUUUUCCUCGCAUUGGAGAAUUAACAUAUAGUUAAUUCUCCAACCGGUGUUGUACAGAUGCUCCCCUUUUAUGGAUUUCAGCACUAAUUCCCUCUCACUGAUGCAUCUUGCAAUGGCUCGUGCCUCUCACCUAGCAUUUGCCAUUCAAGGUGAUCAUUAACCUUGGACUUCCCUUCUCAAGCUCGCAAGAGAUAAGUAAUGGAUGUCUCCUUAGAGUCCAAAAGCUUACCAAGUGUUGGCAAUUCUAGAAAAUCGUACCUUCAAGUCACCUCCCAAAGGCUUGCAAGAGGUAAACUAGUGCAUCUCAAUGGACGGAGAUCACUUGCCUUACCAAGUGUUGGCCCAGGUGAAUUGAAGGCGUUUUAAGUUAACUAAAAACAUAGAAACCAUAAACGGGUUACACUUUCUUUUCAUUAACAGCUGAAACAAAAAAACUACCAAUUCUUGCAUUCGGCACCUUACCUAGCUACCUUAGCUCUAAGAAACAAAAAGCCUAGCCACCCAUUCUGAUUACUACUCAAAAGGUGCUAUUUCAUAGCUGGUAAUUAACUCUUUUAAACACUUUUGAGUAGUAGUUAUUACCUUUUAACCCAAUUGGCAUGUUAAGGACCCUUGCAAUCAUUUCUAAUCAAAUUGUGUAAGUUUUGGUGUUUUUUGUUAGUAAUUUGAUCACCAAAGCAAUCCAAGAUUGAGGAGAGUUCUUUGGAAUCCAUGGCAAAGUAAUGGAAAGCUCAGAAACAUGAAGAACCAAAGCUUUGAAGUCCUUUGCCAUAAGCAUAUAUGGAAUGCAAGGAGUAUGGGCAGACUGUCGGAAUGUCGUAGCAAGGCUUGUGCACUUUAGUCAAUGAUCCAGACAACAUAUCCGGAUAGGAUAUGCUAUCGUUCGGAUGUGAUGAUUGCGAGUGCAGAGUGCUUCUCCAUGAGGGAGUUCGGAUAGGGGAGCGCGCCGCGUGUCCUCUUGGGGAUUCAGAUGGAGUUGAUCCGGAUGGGUCCCUACACCUUGCACACGCAGACGAUCCCCCUUGCAACGUUCCACCUUCUCCGGAUGUAUAACAGCCGCCAUUCUGUUCGGCCGAAGUUAUACCUUCUCCAGAUGUAUCACAGCCUCCAUUCUGUCCGGCUGAAGUUCCACCUUCUCCAGAUGUCUCACAUCCGACAGACAUAUCCGGAUGGGAAAGGAGGGCAUUUCAACUUCCUCGGUCAGACAUAUCCAGAUCUGCUGAUAGCGCUUACCCGGAGAGUUUAGCAGCCAUUUUGCACAGUGUCGACAACGCUUACCUGGAGAGUUUCACAGCCAUUUUGCACAGUGCCGCGGUGUUCUCCUGAAGCUUCCCGAUAUGUGCAACCGAUAUUUUGAGAUAUUUUUCUUUAGAUAUUUUGAGAUAUUUUACUUUAGAUAUUUUAUGUCUAAAUCCCCAAAGUCUUCUUGUAACCCACCUAUCAUAGGAUUCCUUAGUCUUUAAGUAAAAACAAAGGGUGAAUAACCUCUUAUAAAUAGUUUGUAAUUUCCUUUACAGAAGAAAUGGAUGAUAGAUCGAUCAGAUAUCCUUUGUACAGUUUUGGGAAGGAAGUAAAAUACAGAUCACUUGCUCUGCUUUUCAUAUAUAUUUUUGUUUUCUCGUUAUUUUUCUUUCUAGCCAAUCAAACUCUGAGGAUUCUUCCUCAGAGGAUGAGAGGCUAGGCUCUUUGUCUCUUGGAGUGAAGAAAGCUGGGUAAGUUUCCACAUGCAUAAAUUGGAAGUUUUGUUGUUUUAGUUUUUAAUGAAGAGAAAGUGUGACCCAUUAAUGGUUUUUAUCUUUUUAGUUAACUUAAAACGCCUUUAAAUCACCUGGGCCAACACUUGGUAAGGUAAGUGAUCUCCAUCCAUUGAGAUGCACUAGUUUAUCUCUUGCGAGCCUUUGGGAGGUGGUUUGAAGGUAGGAUUUUCUAGAAUAGCCAACACUUGGUAAGCUUUUGGACUCCACGGAGACAUCCAUUAGUUAUCUCUUGCGAGCUUGUGAAGGCAAAUCCAAGGUUAAAGAUCACCUUGAAUGGCAAGUGCUAGGUGAGAGGUAUGAGCCAUUGCAAGGUGCAUCAGUGAGAGGGAUUUAGUGUUUGAACCCAUUAAUGGGAAGCAUCUGUACAACACCGGUUCGGGAAAUAACUAUAUGUUAAAUCCCCAAUGCGAGGAAAAGAAACAAGUGACCGGAACUCCCUUUUUGUACAAGGAACCUGAGCCCAGUGAUUUAAACUCCAAGAGACACUUUUCUUUGUAAAUAAAAUCAGUUACUAUUUUUGGUUAGUUUAAAACCAAAACUUUUUCCACUAAAGAUUAUGUUUUCUUUUAAAGCUAACCUUAAAAUUAAAAGGCACCAAUUCAGCUUUGAAUUGAUAUCAAUUGUGAAGUGAAAACCCAUCCUAGUGAACGAUCCUAGAGCCACUAUGCUAUAGUAGCUUUGUGUUUGCUACCCUAGUUCAUGGUGUAAUAGGUUAUAAAUUUUGUUGAUUGCUCUCGUCUGAGCACUAAAAUCAAGACACUAGCUGGACAUGAAUCAGCUGAGACACCGACUGGGACACGAAUCACAUUCUCUGAGGAAAAAUCCUCAGAGCUUAUUUGGCUAGUAAGAAAAAUACAAUCAAAUUGAGUAGGUAAGGUAGAGCAAAGCUCUGUAUUUUACUUCCUUCAAAACUAUACAAAAAGUUGUCUCCCAGAACAAGCUCCGAGAUAUCUGUAAUGAAAAUUACAAAACAAUAUAUAUGAGGUUAUUCACCCUUUUGUUCUUACUUAAUUACUAAGGAAUCCUAUAAUUGGUGGAUUACAAGGAGAAAAUGGGGAUUUAGACAUUAAAUAUCCAAAGCAAAAAAUCUAAAAAUGUCGGUCGCAAAUAUCUGGAAGCACUCAGGAGGAUUUUGCAGGCGUGCAAGAUGGCUACGAAAUUUCGCAGCCAUCACCUUGUGAUUUCGUAGCCUGCGAAAUUGGCCUUCAACUUGGUGUGAUUGGAUUCCAAUGGCUCUAACUUCUUCAUUUCAACUCCGAUUCAUGCACCAUUUGAAGCCUUGGAUUGCUGACUUCCCAAGCUUCGAAACGACAUAUAGUAUGCAUCAAAUGGGAUCUAGGAAGUGCUCCAAAAGUGUACAACAGUCACUGUCCUCUUGAAUUCUUCAUGUUAGAUUUCUCUCUUUUCUUUCAUCCUUGCAUUCAUGAUUUGUUUAUGGCAAAGGACUAUAAAGCUUCAAAGCUUAGGUUCUUCAUAUUAAUGAGCUUCCAAUUGCUUUGCCAUGGAUUCCAUAGAACUCUCCUCAAUCUUGGAUUGCUUUAGUGAUCAAAUUACUAUCAAAUACACCAAAACUUACACAAUUCGAUUAGAAAUGAUUGCAAAGGUACUUAAUAUGCUAAUUGAGUUAAAAGGUAAUAACUACUACUCAAAAGUGUUUAAAAGAGUUAAUUACAAGCUAUCAAAUAGCACUUUUUGAGUAGUAAUCAUAUACCUAGAUAACUACAUUAGAAGAUUACUAAAUGACUUGUGAAUUUUGAUUAUAGGCUUUACUUAUAGUAGAAUAGCAUAGGAAGAUACCUAAUUCAGAUUUAACAUCAAAAUUUCCAAGGUUUUCCCCAUCCUUAAGAAUAUAACAUUCACUGCCAAAAGUCCUAAAAUACUUAAGGUUAGGUUUACUCCUAGUCCAUAAUUCAUAAGAUGUCUUAUUUGUUCUAGGCUUAAGAAAAAUCCUAUUAGCAAUAUAACAUGCAGUAUUAAUAGCCUCUACCCAAAAUUGCAUAGGGGUAUUAUGGAUGUGAAUCAUCACCCUAGCACUCUAUUCUUUCUUUGAACUACUCCAUUUUGUUGAGGAGUUCUAAGGGUUGAAAAUUCAUGUCUAAUUCCAUUAGAACCACAAAAGAGUUCACCAUCCACAUAAUCGAACUCUUUCCCCCUAUCACUCCUAAUCCUUACAAUUUGAUGAGAAAUUUCCACUUGUAUUUUAUUGAAUAAUGACUUCGAAUUUUCUAUGGCCUCAUAUUUCUCCCUUAGAAAAUUCACAAAAGAGUAUCUUGAAAAAUCAUCUACAACCAUAAGGAAAUAUCUCUUACCACCUCUGCUUUCAGUUCACAUUGGAUCCAUAAGAUCCAUAUGAAGAAGAUCUAAAGGUCUAGUGGUCCUUAUCUCCUUAACCUUUUCGUGUGAACUAUUGGUUUGUUUUCCUUUCAUACACUUACCACAGAUGGCUUUAGGUUCACUAGUAAGUCUAAGGAUACCUCUAACAUUUUCAGUAUUCACUAAAUGCACAGGGUCCUUGUAAUUUAUGUGACGUAGUCUUCUAUGCCAGAGCUCAGUAAGAUCAAGCUUUGCCCUAUUGCACAUAAGAGGUGUUCUAAAGUCAAAUUUAUAGCAUAACAAUUAUCCAUAGUCGUAUGUGCUGUGAUGACUACUUUUCCCUCUUUAUUAACCACCUCACAUAAGUCUUGGUGAAAAAUCACCUUAUGAUCUUUGUCACAUAUUUGACUAAUGCUUAAGAGGUUUGUCUUGAGUCCUUAAACAUAUAGAACUCCAUCUAGUUUGGGAUAGCUAGGGAAAAUAAUACUCCUAUUUCCUUUCACACGAGCUAAGUUUCUAUCUCCAAAAGUAACAAUCCCACCAUCAUAGUUUUCAAGAGAAGUAAAGUAGGUUCUAUCUCCUAUCAUGUGUCUAGAGCAGCCAUUAUCGAGGUACCACUCACUAGAAUAUUUGGCUUUAAGUGCAUUUAACACAACUUGACAUUUAGAUCUAUCAUUUCUCAACCAAACUUGUUUAGUUCUAGGUGGUAGCUUGGAGAAACUAAAUUGAAUUUUAGGUUUAUGAUUGGUUUUAUUCCCUCUCCCAUUAUUGAAGAUGUUAUUUUUAAGGGAAUUGAAAUCAUUCAUAAGUCUAUUCAUUUGAGUUUCAAACCUUUCAAGAAACCUAAUGUAGCAGCUAAUUUGAGGAUGUCCAAUGUUCUUAUAAUAUGUGCAUAGUGAUGUCUUUUUCGGAGAUUCUACUUGGUUAUGGGCAUCAUCCUUACCUUUGAUAAACACAGUUUCUCCACUAGAGAGAGUUUCAUCUUUAUUAAUGUACCCCAAACCUCUUUUAUCCCCAUGGAUUUUACAUUUAUGAAGAAUUUCAUUAAGCAUUUUAGUUCCAAAGUGAAAAUUUUCAUUCAUAGAUGAAGAAGACUUAUUACUUUUUUCAGAUUCUUGGUUCUUGUAGAACCUUUCAUUGAAUUUCAUAGCCCCUUUAAUCCUUUUGGCCAUAUGUGCUAAUUCAUCAUGAGUUAUAUCAUAUGGCUUUUCAAUGUCUUUCUUCUCAUCCUCAAAAGCCUUAAAGGUAGAGUCUUUAGGCUUAUGGGAACUAGGAAGGGUCAUCUCAUAUUUUGAAUGGUCCUUACAAGUUCAUCAACUCUUAUGGAAUUGAUGUCCUUACUCUCCUCUAUGGUAGUUACUUUAGGUCUAAAUCUCUCUAGAAAAUAUCUCAAUAUUUUCCUAACUACCUUAGAAUCAGGAAUAGGUUCUCCAAGGCGGUUACUACUCAAAAAGUGUUAUUUCAUAGCUGGUAAUUAACUCUUUUAAACACUUUUGAGUAGUAGUUAUUACCUUUUAACCCAAUUGGCAUGUUAAGGACCCUUGCAAUCAUUUCUAAUCAAAUUGUGUAAGUUUUGGUGUUUUUUGUUAGUAAUUUGAUCACCAAAGCAAUCCAAGAUUGAGGAGAGUUCUUUGGAAUCCAUGACAAAGCAAUGGAAAGCUCAGAAACAUGAAGAGCCGAAGCUUUGAAGUCCUUUUCCAUAAGCAAAUACGGAAUGCAAGGAGUAUGGGCAGGCUGUCGGAAUGACGUAGCAAGGCUUGUGCACUUUAGUCAAUGAUCCAGACAACAUAUCCGGAUAGGAUAUGCUAUCGUCCGGGUGUGUGAUGUUCGCAAGUGCCGUGUGCUUCUCCCUGAGGGAGUCCGGAUAGGGGAGCGCGCCACGUAUCCUUUUAGGGAAUCUGGAUGGAGUUGAUCCGGAUGGGUCCCUACACCAUGCACACGCGGACGGUCACCCUUGCGACGUUCCACCUUCUCCGGAUGUAUCACAGCCGCCAUUCUGUUCGGCCGAAGUUCUACCUUCUCCGGAUGUAUCACAGCCGCCAUUCUGUCCGGCCGAAGUUCCACCUUCUCCAGAUGUAUCACAUCUACCAGACAUAUCCGGAUGGGAAAGGAGGGCGUUUCAACUUUCUCGGUUAGACAUAUCCAGAUCUGCUGAUAGCGCUUACCCGGAGAGUUUCGCAGCCAUUUUGCACAGUGCCACGGUGUUCUCCUGAAGCUUCUCGAUAUGUGCAACCGACAUUUUGAGAUAUUUUUCUUUAAAUAUUUUGAGAUAUUUUGCUUUAGAUAUUUGAUGUCUAAAUCCCCAAAGUCUCCUUGUAACCCACCUAUCAUAGGAUUCCUUAGUCUUUAAGUAAGAACAAAAGGGUGAAUAACCCCUUAUAUAUAGUUUGUAAUAAUCAGGAAAAAGAUAAAACUUAGAAUAGAACUGGGAGCUUGUUCUCAGGACGUAUCCUUUGUAAAGUUUUGGGAAGGAAGUAAAACACAGAGCACUUGCUCUGCUUUAUAUAUAUAUUUUUGUUUUCUCAUUAUUUUUCUUUCUAGCCAAUCAAACUCUGAGGAUUUUUCCUUAGAGGAUGAGAGGCUAGGCUCUUCGUCUCUUGGAGUGAAGAAAGCUGGGUAAGUUUCCACAUGCAUAAAUUGGAAAUUUUGUUGUUUUAGUUUUUAAUGAAGAAAAAGUGUGACACGUUAAUGGUUUUUAUCUUUUUAGUUAACUUAAAACGCCUUUAAAUCACCUGGGCCAACACUUGGUAAGGCAAGUGAUCUCCAUCCAUUGAGAUACACUAGUUUAUCUCUUGCGAGCCUUUGGGAGGUGGUUUGAAGGUAGGAUUUUCUACAAUAGCCAACACUUGGUAAGCUUUUGGACUCCACGGAGACAUCCAUUAGUUAUCUCUUGCGAGCUUGUAAAGGCAAAUCCAAGGUUAAAGAUCACCUUGAAUGGCAAGUGCUAGGUGAGAGGUAUGAGCCAUUGCAAGGUGCAUUAGUGAGAGGGAUUUAGUGUUUGAACCCAUUAAGGGGAAGCAUCUAUACAAAACCGGUUAGAGAAUUAACUAUAUGUUAAUUCUCUAAUGCAAGGAAAAGAAACAAGUGACCGGAACUCCCUUUUUGUACAAGGAAUCUGAACCCAGUGAUCUAAACUCCAAGAAACACUUUUCUUUGUAAGUAAAAUCAAUUACUAUUUUUGGUUAGUUUAAAACCAAACCUUUUUCAACUAAAGUUUAUGUUUUCUUUUAAAUCUAACCUUGAAAUGAAAAGGAACCAAUUCAGCUUUGAAUUGAUAUCAAUUGUGAAGUGAAAACCCAUCCCAGUGAACGGUCCUAGAGCCACUAUGCUAUUGUAGCUUUGUCUUUGCUACCCUAGUUCAUGGUGUAAUAGGUUAUAAAUUUUGUUGAUUGCUCCCGUCUGAGGACUGAAAUCAAGACACCAGCUGAAUGAAUCAACUGAGACACCGACUGGGAACGUAUCAAAUGGUUAAGUGAGGAAUUUACAAUAUCACCAAGUUUAGAAUAAAGAAAGAAAAAGUUUGUUUUUCAUGCACCCUAAUAUUCUCAAACUUAACAGCAAGUAUUUUCCACUUAGAAAUCUUUAUAGUAGAUGUACCUUCAUGAAUGGCUUGAAGAAUAUCCCAUGCUUCCUUUGAAUAUUUGUAAUUUGCUAUCUUGCAAAACUCAUGUGGACAAACUCCAUUAAAAAUACUAAAUAAAGCCCUAGCAUUGGCUUCACUACCUUCAUUAUUGGCUUUGUCCCAUUCAUGUUAAGGUUUACAUUCUCAUGUUGAUCUUCCUAUAGCAUCAAGGAUUAAUUGUGGUCCCCAACCAUAUUUAAUUGAAUUUCAUACCCUUUUGCCUUGCAUUUUAAGGAAAAACAUCAUAUGUGUUUUCCAAUGGGAGUAAUUAUUCCUAUCAAAAUAGGGAGAACUAUUCAAAGGAGCACCUCUUUUAUAUUGUUUCAUAUUGGACUAAUAGGAUCAAUAAAAUUUUGAUUUACAAUAUAAAUAAUAAAAAUUAAAUCUCUAAUCAAUAUGAUAAAGAAUCGAUUUUUUAUCUUGCUCUAAUACCAAGUGAAAAAUGGGUAUUGCUUUGAAUACCACUUGAAUAAUAAUCGAAAAUCCAAUAGGAAACUGUUGGGAUUGAGCUCCAAAAAGCAAGACAUGAUGUAACAAAGUUAGACUUAACUAUCUCUUGCUAUCCCCUUGGUAUAUUGACAUUGAUUUGAGUAUUCAAUCCAUGUCUCUUACAUGGUAUAUGAUUUGGGUGUAUUAAGAGUUGCACCGAAGAUAUAAGUCAUAGGUUCCUUGUAAGGAGAUAGAUUGUCCAUAAUUGGUUCAUAGAUUUGGUCAAUCUAGUUGAGAUUAUAGUGCACCACCUCCUAAUUGAAGGGAUGGCUUCUCUUGGCCGUCAAGAUGGGUUUCUUAUGGUGAGUGUGCUAGUGUAUGUGGUGCACACUAGACAGGACCUACGGUGAAUCUUGAUGCAAGGCUAUCAAUUGCUAUGAUUUACCAAGCUAUUAUAUUGCAUGGACUCUCAAACUUGAGAGGAUAUUAAGCAUGUGACAAAAUCAAUAGGAAGCUUUGAUCUAUGGGUGAGACCCUAAAGUGGUCAUAUAUCCAUAUGGAUUAGGUUACUAUUGAUGGAGGCUGGUGGCAACAAAUAUUCUCAAUAGAAGCACCAUGAUAUCUCAUGGGAUUGAGACAGUGUGUCCCCUUAGGUGAUCCAAAGGACAUGCGAUCUUGAAAUCUAUGGCCAUAGUAAUUCCUUUAGUGGAAUUUGACAUAUGCUCCUUAGAGCUAGAGUAUGUUAGAUGAUCACAUAAUAAGUGGGAUCUGUAACUCAAGGAUUUGAGAGGUAAUCUUGAUAGGUGAUAGCACUACCUUGUUAGAUUACAGACACUAGUUCAUAGGGAGUCUACAUGCAGUGGAUAGUAGGUCACAGACCUGAACACUUGGUGUCUCAUUAUAAUAUACAUAGGAUACUGGAGUAUAGUUGACCCUUUGUAGUGGGAUGUUGAGUCAAUUUUAGAAUUUCAUUAUGAGGGAGCCAAUACUCCUAUGGGUCCCAAUGGUCCCCACUCUGAACUCAUAUUCCUUGAUGACACGAUUCAUGAGGGUUAGAUGGGUUUUAAGUUCACUUUUGUGCAUAAGAGCGUUUUGGUAACUACGCAAAGUUGCAUAGGGAUAAGUGAGUGGCAUCUUUGGAUUAGGCUAAUAGAUUAAUUAAGGCCUUGUGUGGUUAAUUAAUCACUUAGCAACCUUUUUGGGCUAUAUUAAGUGACCCAAGCCCAUGGUGGGCUUAACUCACUUAAGCCCAAUAGAAAACCUAUAAAUACCCCUUUAGGGGUUAGGAUUCUAUGUCUUGCUAAUAUUCCCUCUAGUUUAGAGAGAGAACCCUAACCUCCACCCUUGAGAUCUCCACCAUCUUAGUGCUUAGGCACAAGGAAGAGUCAUCGGGCAGAAGAUCAUGGUGUUUACAAGAUCUACUAUGACUUUGGAGUUAUCUAUAUCGAUUGGAAUUGAUCUAGGAACAUUCAGAUCAAAGGUAUGUGGUUUUAUUUUCUAGAUCUAUGUUUUCUAUGGUAUUCUUAUUGUUUUUGAAUACUUGUUUAUCCACUGUGAUCGAUUUAGAGAGCCUAGGAUAGAUUUGUAUGCACUCUACAUGAUCCAAGGUAUGUGAACACAGUAAUCCGGGGUUUCCAAUAGGAACACCCAAAGGGAGAGGGAGGGGGAGUAAAUGAGUGAUUUAAAAUUUUAUAACAAUAUUAAUUUGUAAAUCAUAACCAACUUUUCUUACUCCAAUAUAUAACAGGGAUAUCCUAAAUAACUAAAUAAAUUAUCCCUAAAGUUUUUAAGUAUACAAAAAUAUAAUUUUUAGUUUUUAGGGAUACCUUGUAGUUGGUUAUGGAUAAAAAUAAUUUAAUUAUUAAUAUCCAAACAAUAUCCUAAGAGAUGUUAGAGAUAAAAAUAAUCAAGUAUAAGGAGAACAACCAUAACCACCAAGAUAACCACCCUAAUAACCUCAAUAGUAAUCCCAACCAACCAAACAACCUAAUCAAGUAAUACAUGCAGGAAUAAAUAGAUAUGUACUUUUUAGGAAAACCCUACAAGAUAUUAGGAAUAAUCAAUUUAAUUUAUUCUAGGUAAUUCAAACAAAUAUUAAAUAUAAGAGAUAUAGAUAACAAGGUACAAGAUUUUUACGUGGAAAACCCCCACAAACUGUGGAGAUAAAAAAUCACGAGGUCUAAGACCUAUUCAUCAAAAUCCACUAUUAGAAAUCAAGUUACACAAAUUUACCUAGUAGUUUUACCCUAAAGGCUUACUCUCCAACACCUACAACUUGAUCCACGUCCGCGAUGUAGCAACUCCCUAUUGUUCCUUAAUAGAUCCUUUGGCCACUUCGAAGGGAUUAAGGUCUUCAACCAACGAUUCAAAGAUUCAAAUCCUUGAAUGAGAGAUCAGGAAUGAUGUGGAAAUAAGAUUUUUCUGACAAGAAGUCCCUCUUUAAGGAAUGAGAGGUCUCAAUGAAGUAUUUUGAAUCUCUCUAAAAAUCUCCACACGAUCACUCUAGGAUCUCUAACACUCAAGGGGUUACAAAAGAGGUAUUUACAGGCAAAAACCAUAAGAGUUUUGGUAUCUUAAAUUUUCAAAUUAGAAUUUGAGUGAAAUUCAUCCAAAAUACGUUUCUAAUCUCGGUAGGACUAACAUGAUUACUUGAGUGAACUUAGAGCACUUGAGAACUUCACUUGAUCAGUUCCUACCACUUGAGCAGGCAAACCGCUUAAGUGGGAUUAAUCGCUUGAGCGACCCUUGCUUCUUAAAAAAUCAUUUUAAGUCGGAAAAAUGAUAUCAAACCUUAUUAUACCUUAAAUAAGCCUUUAUAUGCCAUAAACUAAACCUUUUUAAAUGUACUUGUGACUUCCCAGUUGGACGAACAACAAUCCUUGAUCUUCAAUGGAGAGCAAGUCAUUAUCUAAAAAGAUUUCUAUGACCAAACAUUAAUUGGAACAAAAUUUCCAAAAAAUACAUAAGCUCAAGGUCCUAACAUAUUUAAUGCUCAAUCAUGCAAGUAGUAUGUUGUUGUUCAUAUUGAAUAUCAGAGGUACAUAAUAUAUAUAUAUAUAUAUAUAUAUAUAUAUUGUGAUUGAGCCCCUAAAAGCAAGGCGUGAUGUGACAAAGUUAGACUUAACUAUCCCUUUGCUAUCCUUUUGGUGUAUUGACAUUGAUUUGAGCAUUCAACCCAUGACUUGGGUGCAUUAGGAGUUGCACAAAAGAUAUAAGCUAUGGGUUCCUUGUAAGUAGAUAACUGUCUACAAUUGAUUUAUGGAUUUGGGUAAUCCAGUAAAGACUAUAGUGCACCACCUACUAAUUGGAGGGAUGACCUGUCUUAGCUGUCGGGAUGGGUUUCCCAUGGUGAGUGCACUAGUGUAUGUGAUUCACACUGGACAAGACCUAUAAUGAAUCAUGACACAAGGCUAUCAAUUGUCAUGAUUCACCAAGGUACUAUACUGCAUGGACUCUCAACCUUGAGAGGAUAUUAAGCCUAUGCCAAAAUCAAUACGAGGCUUUGACCUAUGGGAGAAACCCUAAAGUGGUCAUAUAUCCCUAUGGAUUGGGUCAUUGUUGAUAGAGAAUGGUGGCAACAGGUAUUCUCAAUAUAGGCACCAUGAUAUCUCAUGGAAUUGAGACACUGUGUCCCCUUGGGUGAUCCAAAGGACAUGUGAUCAUGAAAUUUAUAGCCAUAGUAAUUCCUUUAGUGGAAUUUGAUAUAUGCUCCUUAGAGGUAGAAUAUGUCAGUUGAUCACACGAUAAGUGACAUCUGUAACUCAAGGAUUUAAGAGGUAAUCUUAAUAGGUGAUAGCAUUACCUUGUUAGAUUAUGGACACUGGUUCAUGAGGAGUCUGCAUGCAGUGGAUAGUAGGUCAUAGACCCUUAUGGAUUGGGUCACUUUAGACGAAGCUUAGGGUCUAUGACCUACUAUCUACUGCAUGCAGACUCUCUAUCAGCUGUUAUCUAUAAUUUAACAAGGUGGUAUUAUCACCUAUCAAGAUUACCUCUCCAAUCUUUAAGUUAUAGAUCGUACUUAUUAUGUGAUCCAUUGACAUACUCUAGCUCUAAGGAGCCUAUGUUAAAUUUCUGCUAAAGGAAAUGCUAUGACCAUAGUAUUCUAGAUCAUAUGUCCUUUGGAUCACCCAAGGGGACACAUUGUCUCAAUCCAUGAGAUAUCAUGGUGCCUCUAUUGAGAAUACCUAUUGCAACUAAUCUCCAUUAAUAGUGACCCACUCCAUAGGGAUAUAUGACUAUUUUAGGGUCCCACCCAUAGGUCAAAACCUCCUGUUAACUUUGGCACAAGCUCAAUAUCCUCUCAAGGUUGAGAGUUCAUGUAGUAUAGUAGCUUAGUGAAUCAUGACAAUUGAUAGCCUUGUGUCAUGAUUUGUUGUAGGUCCUAUCCAAUGCGCAUCACAUGCACUAGUACACUUAUUAUGGGAAAACCAUCCUGACAGCCAAGACAAGCUAUCCCUCCAAUUAGAAGGUAGUGUACUAUAGUCUCAUAUGGAUAACCCAAAUCCAUGAACCAACUAUGGACAACUCAUCACUCUACAAGGAACCCAUGGCUUGGAUAUUUUGUGCAACACCUAAUGUACCCAAGUCAUGUACAAUGUAAGUGGUGUGGGGCUUGUAUGCUCAAAUAACCAAUUAAUACAAAUGAGAUAUUUAAGGGACAUAUGCUCCUUGGAGCUAGAGUAUGUAAAUUGAUCACAUAAUAAAUGGGAUCUGUAACUCAAGGAUUUGAGAGGUAAUCUUGAUAGAUGAUAACACUACCUUGUUAGAUUAUGAACACCAGUUCAUGGGGAGUCUGCAUGUAGUGGAUAGCAGGUCACAGACUCGAGCACUUGGUGUCUUGUUGUAAUAUACAUAGGGUACUGGAGUGUAGUUGACUCGUUGUAAUGGGAUGUUGAGUCAAUUUCAGAAUUUGAUUAUGAGGUAGCUAGUACUCUUAUGGGUCUUAGUGGUCCCCGCUUGAGCUCAUAUUCCUUAAUGACAUGGUUUUUGAGGGUUGGAUGUGUUUUUAGUUCACUUUUGUGCAUAAGCACAUUUUGGUAAUUACAUAAAAUUGCACUAGGAUAAGUGAGUGGUAUCUCUGGAUUAGGCUAAUUGAUUAAUUAGGGUCUUGUAUGGUUAAUUAAUCAAUUAGCAACCUUUUAAGGCUAGAUUAAGUGACCCAAGCCUAUGAUGGGCUUAAGUGAUAGGAAAUUUAUAAAUACCCCUUUAGGGGUUAGGGUUUCAAGGUCUUACCAUUCUCCCCUUCAGUCUAGAGAGAGAACCCUAACCUCCAUCCUUGAGAUCUCCACCAUUUCAAUGCCUAGACACAAGGAAGAGUCAUCAGUUGGAAGAUCUUGGUGUUUACGAGAUCCAUCAUGACUUUAGAGUUAUCUACAUCGAUUGGAAUUGAUCCAGGAACAUUCAGAUCAAUGGUAUUUGACUUUAUUCUCUAGAUUUAUGUUUUCUAUCCUAUCCAUAUUAUUUUUGAAUACCUGUUUAUCUACUGCGAUAGAUUUAGAGAGUCUAUGAUAGAUUUUAAUGCACCCUGCAUGAUCCAGGGCAUGGGAACGAAGUAAUUCGGGGUUCCCAACAACUGGCAUUAGAGCCCUAGGGUAGGUUAUAGCAUGUUAGAUCUGUUAUAAGGUGUGUUAACAUUGUUUUUCAGGAUUGUUUUAUUCAUCCCAUGACCCUAAAGGAUGAAUGAAUGAGAUGUUUUUAUUCAUUUAAUUAAAUAUAUCAAUAUAUUUGGAUUGAUUGAUUAUAAUUGUGAUAUGAUAUUUGAUUAUCACUAUAAGAAAAAAAGGGUAAUAAUGACACUUUUAUAAGCGUCAAUAAAUGUAUACGAUGACGCUUCUCUAAAGCGUCCUUUUCGCCUCUAUCAAGGAAUGGGUGCAGGCAACCAUGUCGCUUCUAGAAAGUGUCAUUGUUGAUUGAUCUAUAUUAACACGUUAAAAAACGUCAUUAUUGAUCUACCUAUGUUAACACUUACACUAGCGCCAAGGAAUGACCAAAAUAUCAUUUGUCUAUUUCGACACUAAAAAAAGUGUCAUCUUAUGUGGAUAAUAAUAUUGAAAAUCCUCCUAUUGAAAUGAUAUAUUUUGUAUGUCCUGUUAUAUAUAAUUUUGGCUGCAUGAUUAUUUAUAAAGUACAAAACAAUAACUUCAAUAUUAAUAACUACAUCUUCCAAAAGAAAUUGAAUAAAUUUGGGAAUAAUAUCAUGAUAAAGAACUAAUGUCUACAUAGUUAAUUAAUACGCAAAUUUGUAAAUGUAUCAAAAUAUUUACAAGAAUAUUUUCCAACUUCAACUUAUAUAAAACAAGUACACAUGUACCAAAAACACAAGGUCUCUAAAUUCCUUAUUAAAAAUAAUAUUACAAGAAGAAGAAGAAGAAGCCAAAAGUAUUUAUGUUGGUUGCAUAUCCACUCCUGAACUUGAAAUCUUUUACCUGUAUACAUUUAAAAAUAAUAAUAAUAGAAGAAACAAAUUAUAUAUGUUUAGUUAAUAUACAUGCAAUCAAAGUUAAAUUUAAAUCCAUAAAUGGUCCAUGAAAGAAGUGCAAAUGAGAAUAACUUGGUAUUUAAUGAGAUGUUAUAUAUGCUUCAAUGAAGAUGAAAAAUUGUUUAAUUUGAUACUUGUUUAUAAAAUAUUAAUAGACUUCUUAGUUCAUUAUUAAGUUAAAGGAAACAAGUUAGGCUUUCAAUGGUAUAAAUUCUACAAUAUGGAAUGUAAUAUAAUAUUUUCUUAUCUAUGUCUAACAUAUGAAACUCAUUUCUCAUAAAUAAAUAUAUGAAGAUACCGAUAGGUAUGGUUUAUAAUUAUUUUCAUUCAUAAAUCAUCAUAUCUAGUAGUAUAAGACAUUUAAUAUUAACCACUUGAAAAUGCCUUAAUUUCUUCUUACAACUUUCCUAUAUUACCAAAUUUAGUUGACUAAUAACAUUCCAUAAGGAAAAAAAGAGUAUUAAACUAAAAAUUAAUAGAGCAUAACCAAGGAAAUAGAAACCUACAAAUCAUUGGUUAAAUGUCAUAAUAACAACCAUUCUAAAACUUGCCUUUAUUUCCAAUUCCAAAAUUAUAACCAAAAUAUAAUAAUUAACCCUACACAAAAAAAGCUCUCUACCAUCCCUCCAUCCAACAACAACCUUUUGAUGCAACAACAACCUUUCCAACAACAAUAACAAUUUCUCCAUGUAACAACAACAACAACAAUAAUUAUAUUAGUAAUAAUUUGAUUUGUUUAGUGAUCCAAACAUAUAACAAAAACAACUUCUCUAUGCAACAACAACAAUAAUAAUGACAACAUUGAUGAUAAAGAUAUAAUAAUUUGAUUUAUUGAGUUCACAAAUUACAUGCUUCUUCUCCAUACAACAAUAACAAAAAUAACUUCUCCAUGUAACAACAUUGGUGAUGAUGUAAUAAUUUGAUUUGUUAUAUUGAAAUAGUUUAUGUAUAAAACUAUUAUCUUCUAUUACUAUGGAGGAAAAAAUUACUUAUCAUGAGAUGAGAACAUAUGAGAAUUGUCAAAAUGUGAUCUACAACUCUUACUGGACUGAAAUGAGGGCAUCUGCAUACAUAAGAUGGUAAAUAAAAAAAAUUAGUCCAUUCAAGACUUCAUUAAUAAUGAAAAUCAAGCAUUGUAGAUGUUAAUUAUACCUUCAGGCAUGGGUAAGAAUUAAUUGAGUUACCAACAUAACCCACUCAGAUCGUACUUCAUUAAGCUCAGCUUCACUAUACGAUUUUUUCCCUUUAAACUAAUAUAUAAUUGUACAUACAUGAUGAUUAGUUAAGAUAACAAAAAAUUACUAAGUAUAGAAACUAAUAAAAUUUAUUAAUGAGUACAUACCUUUGUGGAUAGGAGGCUUGGAUCAACAAUUAUAUCUUUCAUGUAUCUCAUCACAUAAUAGCCACACUCCACACUACCUAGUUGUCUAGGGCACUAUAUGCACACAUAUGAAUUUUGGUACCAUAAAAACAUUAAUAUCAUGAUGUUUUAUGUCAUUAUUAUCUAAGUGAGAAAACAUAAAACCAUAUUCAAAUUUUAUGGGUUGAUAUAAGUGGUCAUAUGAUAUAUCUUACUCUAAAUAACUUACCACUACUUUUACCCAUGUCGGCUUCCUCUUUGAUGAUCUUUGUUUCUCUGGUGGAUGAAUUCGUAGUGCCCUACAUGGAAAAAAAAACAUUUUAGAUACUAUGCACUAUAUUCAAGUAUGGAAAUGAAGACACUUACAUGUUAACAAUUUCCUUAAGAUCAUCACAUGGUUGCUUUUGCAUCGGAUCAAGGUAGUACACAGUCAUUGUCCUCAUAUCCAAUGCUACCAAGACCCAGUGGAAACUACAAUAGUACAUUAGAUAUUAUUUACUUAUUAGCAUUGAUUAAGUUAUUUAACAUAAAAAAACUUAAUGUUUUUCAUAACUUACUCAGGGUUAUAUGGAAUAAAAAUGUAGUCAGCACGUUUUGCAUGCAUUAAACGAUUUGCAAUCAACCUUGACCUAUUUUCCUUUGUUGUCUCACCCAUUCCAGCUUUAGAGACUAAAGAUGGAUUGAUAAAAGCAAAUCGUUCUGUGAGCCUAGCAUCACUUAGCUUUUUCUGCAGGUGCCUGUUUAAUUCCACAUACCUUGAUAAGAAAUGAAUAUUUUACUUUUAUAUAUAUAUAAAAAAAAAAUUAACACACAUUAGCAAGUUAUAAAAUUAUUUACCAUAUAUAAAAAUCAACACACACUUCCUUAAAUGAAGUUAUCAUAUCCAUGUCUUCUUUCAUAAGGAAGGUCUUAAAACUCUCGCCAAAUACAUCAUUUGGGACCUCACACCUUGUGCUUUCCCCUCAUUUAGCAUGAGACCUACUAAUGCAUCAAAAUUCUUGAUAUCUUGAGGGUUUUCACCAACUUUCAAUUCAUUUUCUGUUGUUUUUUGUCUUUUCCCUUUUUGAGAUCCCUAUAAAAGAAACCACCAUGUUUUCAAAUGAUAUACGUCUCUUUAUAAACUAUUGCAAAUGAAAAUAACACACCUUGAUGAAUUUAGUACUCAAAUUGACUAAAUGGGUUGGCCAUAAAACUUGGUAGCCCACUGCCGCUCCAACUAUUGUAGCUUGACCAGGAAUAGGAAUAGGAAGUGGUGUAUUUGACUCAUAGGGAGCAUCCAAAACAACUAGGUAGUUGGGACCACAAUCCAUUACAAUUGUUCCACCAGCCACUGUAUUUUCUCUGGUCCCUACUGCCAACUCACAUUUUCUUGCCUUCAAAAGUAAAUUAAAUUGUUAAUUUCAAUAUAAAAAAAAAUCAAUAAAUGAAGUUUAAAGUGCAUUGACUAUGUUAGGGCUAUAUUUAAGACAUAAAUUUCCAUAUUUUAUAAGUACUAGUUGUAGUGGAAUAGAAUAUUACUAGUAUUAAUUAGACUAUAAUAGAAUCUACCUAAAAUGCAAGUAUCAAUCUAACAAAAAUAGAAGCAAUUGGAAGCAAUUAUUUAUGAAAAUUAUCUAGGAAUUUGUUACAAUUACGUCAUUGAAAUAGGAAAUGUAAACUGAAAAUAACACACCUUCAUGUGUGGUUCUAUUUUCAUAGGUAAGGUCUCCUCCUCAACUUGACGAAUUGGUUUCUCCACUACUUCUGGUAGAAGCAAUAGUUUUGAUUUCAUGUUGGAACUACUCACAUCGGAUUGUGGUGUAGCAACUCCUAUUUGAGAUAGUCUCGCUAAUACAUCAGCCUCAAACUUAACUUGACGUUCUUGAGUUGCUUUUAAAAUAUCCCUCACAACACGUUCUGACAUACUAUUGAAAUAUUGUCCAGGUGUGUAGUGCUUCCCUUUAGCCCGAACCCGACCAGUAUACUCAGGAGUACCUAGUGCUUGAGAAAGUAUGUCAUUGCUCCCACUAUAGUUUAUGCCACUCUCUUGAGAUUCUUUCAUCAAUUCAUCCUAAAACAAGAUGAAGUUAUGAAGUUAACUUUGAAAUAGGUAAAAUAAAAUAAGGUGUUUAAAGAUGUGAUUUUUGGGUACAAAAUGUCUACUUACUAUCUUUUCCACUACCGGUAUGACCACAUCAUCAUAGCUGCCAUCUUUUUUUUGCAUUGCCUUCUUCCAAAGUAAACUCCUAUCAAUGAUUUCUGUGGAGCCAGCUUCAAUCAUCUAAUAGAAAUGGAAACUUAAAGAUAGUUAUUAGAUGACACAUGUGUUUUUAUUUUUAUUUUUUUGUCAAAAAAGAAACAAUUAAGAAAACCAUAUAAACUAUUCAUUCAUUACUUAUACAAUCAUAUAAAAUUAAACCAUAAUAAGAACUAAUAAAAACUUACCAUCUCUUCCUCAAGUCCAACAUACCCUUUUCUACUUAGAUGAUGAUUAUAUAUAUGCUUCUUUCUUCUCUAUUUUUGUACUUCCCUAUAUUCCUACAAAUUAAAAUGGAUGGUUAGUAUAUAUAUGUGGAUGCAUGUAGUAUGUUUAAUGUUAAUUGUAUUUGUACUUGGAAUUUUUCAGACAACCUAUUUUUCACAAAAAUAUUCCAAUCUUCAUCAUCGAUAAAAUGAUAUUCAACUGGUGGUUUCUUAAGAAGCUCUGGCUCAUCUUUGAAAGGAAGAAUAUGUUUCACAGUCAACGUGUUCUUAAAAGAUCGGAAACAUUUUCCCAAUGUAAGCAUACAAUUCCUUCUGCUUUUCUUGUCUAAUGUAAAAGCAAUCUACAAAUUGCAAAGUCAUUAGUACCUCCAAAUUUUAAAGAAAUAUAGAGAUUGUAGAAAACUUAUUUAUGUAAAAAAAAAAAAAAUGAAGUAACCUCAAUAGAGUCCCACAACUUAUCCUUCAAUUGUUCAGGGACAUCUCGCCAUGUGUUAUAUCUUAUUGGUACCAUCAUACGUGCAAAUACACCUAAGUAGCUUGUUAGGUGCACAGAAGAUUCUCCUACAUAGAUACCAUCAGCAUUGUACUUUAUGACCAACUUUAUCCCUCUAUUCCUAUUCCUUAUAAUCAUGGAUUUCCUUGUUGUCCCUCUAUAUUUUUUUUUUUGUAGGGGGUUUUCUCUUCCUUUGAAUCCAUGCCUAUAAUACAUAAAUGACAAAUGAUAAGUAAACCCAUUAAUUGCAAGUAAAAUUGAAUUUUUUAUAACAUGCACUCAUAUUAGUAGCAUGAACAUACUAGGAAUAUUUUACAUGCUAGAUAACAACAUUCACAUGUUGUCAUGAAAUAUUUAAAAUAAAUAAUAAUAAAUAACUUACUAGAAAAUCCUCACCAAACUUUUUUCUUAUGGAACUAGAAAUCAUAAGCUUUGAGCUAAGACAAAUUGAUAUCCUUGUAUUACCCUUUAGAUCACUCUAAGAUAUGUGCAUAAUAAUAAUCAUGAAAUAGGGAAUCAAUAAAUUUAUAGACAUGAUGAAUUUAAUGACAUUAGAAAAUAAAUAAACUAUUUACUGAAAUGCAGAAUUUCAAUAUUAACAAGUUAAUGGGAUAGUUGCAACCUUCACAACAAAACAACAAGGUCCUAAAUUUAGUUACAUAGAAGAUUUGUUAUCAAUCCAGAAUCCCUCACAGUCUCCUCGAAUGCAAAUGACAUCAGAGUCAUCCAUUGUAUCAAAUGAUUCAACUUGUGGCAAGGUGGUAAUGAGAGGAUGGUGUUCAAUAGAAUUAUCCAUAAAGUCAUCAGAAUCCUCUGCUGAAAUGGAGAAGUCCCUUUGAGGAGUUGACAAAACAACUGACCAUCUUAGAUCAAGUUGGUCUUGUACAUAGAACACUUGCUUGGCUUAGGAGGCUAAAAAUGAAUGGAUCUAAUUUAUGAGCCAUCUUAGUGAAGUCAACUAAUGUCAGCCCAAACUCAUCAACUUUGAUGCCGUUCUUAUUAUCAACCCAAUUGCAUUUGAAAACUAGAAUCCUAAACAUGGUAUAAUCAAGAUCCCAGAUCUCAGUAAUAAUACCAUAGAAACAUAGCUCACCAAAUACUAGAUUUUUAUCCUUGGCACUAGAAAUUUGCAUUGUUGUUGCUACAAUGCUGACUCCACUAUUCUAGGUAACUCGUAAUUCAUCACGGUCUUUUGUAUUGUAGUGACACCCAUUUAUAACAUAGCCAUGAUACUUGGACACAUAGUGGGUAGGACCAUGUGCUAUCCAUCUUAGGGUUUCAGAUAUAGGUUCUUUGUCAGCAAUGGAAACUUCUACCUGUUUCAAUGGGCCAUAGUUAUUAAUAUUUUUUUAUGAUUUGUGCUAAGAAUGGUGCAACUUUUACAAUAAAUUCAAUACCUUUUUUCGUAACCAAUGAGUGAAUGUUCGCAUGUGUUCUUCUUGUAGCCAUUUUUGUCUCUUAGAUUGACGAGGAUUGUUCAAUUUCAACCAUUUCAUGUGUUCUCUAUAAGAUAUGUAUAAGAAAGUAACAAUAAGUUUCCAAAUUUAGUUUAAGUAAUCUACACAUAAAAUCAAAAUAGUUGACCCUUACUCGAUAUAAGGUUGGAUGAUAGUUGUAUUUUCUAACACAUAAUGAUGUGCUUGCAACAACAAAUUAGAAUCAACUUCGGUGAUAUGACCUCCAGGAAUAGGUGCCCCAACUUUAUGGUCAACAUUAGUGCUACUAGGAACCCCAAUUGCAUCCACAUUUGAUAAGUACUCUGUACAAAUUCAAUAGCUUCCUCUGCAAUGUAGCAUUCAACAAUGCAACCUUCAGGGUGGUUACGGUUUCGCACAAAACCCUUUAAUACUUUCAUGAACCUUUCAACUGGUACAUCCAUCUUAAAUAAACCGGUCCAUAAAGUCUCACCUCUCUAACAAGAUGAACUGUUAAAUGAAUCAUGAUAUCAAAGAAGGAUGGUGGAAAAUACUUUUCAAGCAAGCACAAUGUCACAACAAGUUCAUUUUGUAACUUAUCCAAUGUAGACACAUCAACCACCUUCUUACAUAAAGCAUUGAAAAAAAAGCUCAAUCUAGCAAUAGCAUGUCGUACAUGCUUUGGCAAAAGUGAUCGCAAUGCCACUAGUAACAAUUGUUGCAUCAGUGUAUGAUAAUCAUGGGACUUCAGGCCAUAAAGCUUCAAAUCUUCCAUUGACACAAGAUUUCUAAAGUUUGAGCAAUACCCAUCAGGAACCUUUAACUUAGCUGAAGUUUGACAAAAUACUUUCUUCUCCCUUCUAGACAAUGUAUAACAUGCAGGCGGAAGGUAAGUUCGAUUCGAUUCAAACCUUGGUGCCAGUUCACACCUUAAGCCCAUGUCCAUAAGGUCUAGGCGAGAGUUGAGUCCAUCUUUUGUCUUCCCUGGGAUGUUAAGUAAUGUACCAAUGACGCUUUCACAAACAUUUUUCUCAAUGUGCAUUACAUCCAAAUUAUGACGAACAUGCAAAUAUCUCCAAUACUCAAGUUCGAAGAAUAUGGACUUUUUCUUCCAAUAAUUGGCAUAAGUCACAUUGGAUUUAUCAUGUUUUCCCCCUUUUUUUCCCCCAUGAAUUACAAAUGGCAUUCAUUUUCAAUAGUAUUUCAUCUCCACUUAAUGGUUGUGGAGGUGAUCGAAACUCCUGCUCACCAUUGAAUGCCUUUUUAUGUCUUCUAAAAGGAUGAUUGCAUGGAAGAAAACAUCUGUGGCCUGUAAAUGAGUUCUUUCUCCCAUGCAAAUUUAUGAUAUUGGACAAGCAAAAUAUCCUUUGACUGUGCAACCAGAUAAGUUUCCCUAUGCAGGAAAGUCAUUUAUUGUCCAUAAUAGAACAACCCUUAAUGUAAAGACUUCUCUUUGAUAUGCAUCAUAAGCUUCAACCCCUAUCUCCCACAAGGUUUUAAGGUCCUCAAUCAAUGGUGCUAAAUAGAUAUCUAUGUCAUUGUCAGGUUGUUGUGGACCCGAUAUUAACAAAGAUAACAUCAUAAAUUUUCUCUUCAUGCACAACCACGAUGGAAGAUUAUAAGUGAUCAUGACAACUGGCCAACAACUAUACCUGCUGCUCAAGGAACUAUGGGGAUUUAUGCCAUCUGCUGAAAUGGCAAGUCUAAGGUUUCUAGGUUCUACAGAAAAAUCAGGCCAUCUAUGGUCAAUUACCUUCCAUGAUGGCGAGUCGGAUGGAUGACGCAUUUUUCCAUCAAAUUCUCCACCUUGUGCAUGCCAUAUGAGGUCUUUUGCGAUUUUUGAGGACUGAAACAUUCUUUUAAAUUGUGGGAUAGGUGGAAAAUACCACAUCACUUUAGUAGGAACUCCUUUACUCUUUUUGCUUCCUCUUCUAUUCACCUUCCACCUUGAAGCUCCACAUAUAGGACAUGAAGAUGCAUCUUUUAACUCAUUCCUAAAAAGUAUGCAAUCAUUGGGACAUGCAUGUAUUUUUUCAUAUUCCAUUCCCAAUGCAUUCAAUGUUUUUUUUGCUUCAUACAUAAACAAUGGCAACUCAUUGUUGAUAGGCAACAUAUCACCAAGUAAGCUUAAUAGCUCAGAGAAGCUUUUAUCAGACCACCCAUAUCUUCCUUUUAGAUUGUAUAAUUUAACUAAAGCAGAUAAUUUGGUGAAGUUUUUGCAAUUGGGAUACAAAGGUUUUUCAGCAUCUUCAAGCAACCUUUCAAAUAAUUUUGGAUUAGCCUUACAAUCAUCUUGUGCAGCUUCAACCAUUUCUACUGUAUGAUCCACAUUACCAAUAUGAAUUCUAUCAAAACAUUCAGCCCUUGUAGUUGGGGGUCCACUACUUAGAGCUGCUUCCCCAUGCCAAAACCAAGUAUGGUAGCUUUGGUCAAUUCCAUAAAAGAAUAGGUGUUCUCUAAUCUUUUGAGGAGUAUUGAAUAUCAAAUUUCCACACUGUAGACAUGGGCAUUUGAUGGAGUUUUGAUGUGCAGAAUUUUGAAUUGCAAAUGAAAUAAAAUUUUCAACCCCAUCCUCAUAGUCUUUUGAUCUUCUAUCUUUUGACAUCCAGGAACGAUUCAUUUGCCUAUAAUAGGUGAACUCAAUUCCUAUAUAGCAAACAUAAGCAAACAAUGGAAAUGGAAAAGACUUAGAAACGUUACCUUUAGAAAACACUCAAAACUUUCAGUUUCUCAUUUGUGACAUCCAAAAUUUCUUUUUAAUUAUCUAUGGACAAACAAAUAGGAUUCAGAUGCAAUAAAAAAUUUGAACUCCAUCCUAAAAAAAAAUGAUUAACAAUAUGACAAUAGAACCUUUUGAUGCAUGUUUUUAUGCCUUUUAACAUGUCCAACAUCCAAAAUCGGGUAGUAGUUCCUAUCCCAUGUAGGAAUAAAUAAUCCCUAUGUGUUAACUGCCAAUAUACUCAAUUUCAUUUUGAAGAAAUUUUGGCAGCAUUUCCCCAUAGUUCUCCAAGUACACAAAAUGAACAAGGUAUAAUAUGUGACCUUAUUCAAAUAUGCACCCAGAGAACAAGAGGAAAUUAAAGACUACCAAAAUUUCUAAAAAGUGAAUUAAGCACAAGUAAUCAACUUCAUAGAUAUUAUGUUUUCCUACACUGUCCAAUCGGACAAUUCAAGCAUCAUUGCAAAAAAAAUAUCUUUAUCACAUUCUAGACAAUUUAAAAGUUGUCAACUUGAAAGUGGCUUGGAUAAAACCUUUUUCACCUUUGACAACUUAAAUGUCUUUAGUGUGUAAUAAGAGAAACUUUUUAUCUUACAAUGAUAGUUGAAUGGGAACUCUAAGGUUUCAUGCAUGCAUGUUUGAUUAAAAUUAAAACACAAUUACUUAUUGAAUAAUCUAAUAAUUAUAAAACACCUAAAGAUGUUCCAUAAUUAUUGGUAUAUUUCAUGUUAUCCAUUAACCAUUAAACAAGAUUAUUUUAAGAAAGCAUACGUAUGGCCAUGAUUUGCGAAUCAAGUCACACCAGUCUAUGUCAUAGCCUUGGGUCAAAAUUUGGGCCUUAGUAUCAAACUAAGCUGGGGAAUAACUUGUAGAAUUCAGGUACUCAAUAAGAUUUAAAAAAAAAUUAAAAUAACGCCUCCAUUAUAUUCUUCUAACCACCCAAAGCAAAACUGGCAUUAUAAUUAAAAUAUGUUGGUUUGUAUAAGGAAAAAUAAUGUACCUUCCUUAGUCUGUCUUUGUCUCAAGUCUUGCAUCACACACCUCUCACAGUCCAAUGUAGCUCACUGUCCCUUAAAAUAUGUAUAUGCAAAACAAAUAAUAAAUAAAUAAAUAACAUAAAUCCAUUAGUAGAUAUUAACAAAUAAAUAAUAAAUAAAUUAAAAUAAGAAAAUAAACUAAGAAAAAAAGACAUAUAAGUAAGAAAAAAAAGAUUUUCACACGUGCAACAAUGGUUAGAUAUUUUUAAAAAUUUAUAAAAUUAUUAAAAUUAAACUAUUUUAGUUAUUAAUUUUUUUAAAAUGGUAAUUAAUACUCCUAUAAAAUAAAAUAUAUGCAUGGUGAGAAAGCUAAGAAGAUUCUUCCUUGUGCCUCUUUUCAUUUGAGAUUCUGACUUUUGGUGAUGACCUAAUGGUGGGUGAACCGUGAACCACACUGUCUAACCCGGGUCAAGUUCUUAUUUUUUGAAAGAUGACUGCAAGAUGGGUAGAACUUAAAUGAAUGAGAUAGAAAAGCCUGGUCUAAAUUAAGGUGGCUUAACAAUAUUGUAAUCAUCUUGGCUAGGUUGUAUCAUAUAGUGAAAAAAACGUUACAGGCUAGGUCUUCAGCAUCCAACAAUUCCACCCUUUGAUUUUUCCAACAAGUUACACCAUCUAAUAAUAAUACCUAUGAUCCUAUACCUUAGUUUUGAUUCGUUAUGUAUACAAAGUGUAUAUAGUUACACUACAUUAAAGUUUUUUUUUUUCUCUAAAAAGUAAUGAGUGUAAAUUUUUAAAUUAGGCUAAUAUUCAUUUUUUUUUUCACUUCUUAUUUUUUGUUUUGAAAAUAGAAAAUAGUUACAACUCUUAUACAAAAUAUUUUACUAUUUUUUGUUUUUAAAAUAGAAAGUUAGAAAUUGUAUUUUAAAAGCAAUAUUCUAUUUCAAUCCACACAAAUUAUACAAGUUUGGAAAUAUUCCAUUACCAUAUUUUGAGUAAUAUUUUGAAAGGGUUAAUUUUAUUAAUUUCCCGUCAAGAUUUGACUAAAUAUAAUGGCCUUUAUUGGUUUAAAAUUCAUUAAAUACCUCUCUUACUUUGAGUGAGAGUAGAGUUCAUCGAAAAAAAUAAAUAAAAAGAAUAGUAAAUAUGUUUGAUAAAUUUCAAACUAAUGAAGAUUAGAUAUAUUUAGCUAAAAACUUAAAGGUGAAUGAAAUUAAUCUUAUUUUUAAAAGAUAAUAUAUUUUUGAAAGUUUAAAAAUAUUCAACUACCUUAUAUUUUUAAAAAAGAUUGUAAUUUGGAGUAUUCUUGAAGCAUUGUAAACUACUUAUUUUCAAUCUAUGGCAAAACCUUAUGUAACUUUUGGCUAUCUCCUCAUCCUUAGUAAGAAAUUGGAAUUUUAAUAAUUUUGUAUUUUGAUUUCUCAUAAUUUAGAUCUUUUUCCAUAAUUAUAUAUCAUUUCCUAAUUUUAUAUCUAUUAUUCUAAUUGAAGAUUAGUUUAAUAAGGAAAGUUCUAGAAAUUGGAAAAAAAAAAUUCUAAGAAGCUUUUAUCCAAUAAGGAAGACUUUUAUCAUUCAAGGGUUCUUAUAGAAUAAAUUUAAGGAAAUUAAAAUAAUUUUUCAUAGACUUAGGAUCCUAUCACAAAUUCGAUAUUAGAGGGGUAUGUUCAGAAAGGGGAUGUGGAGGAGGCGAGGUUGAUAUUUGAUCAGAUGCCAGAAAGGAACAUAAUUGCUUCCAAUUCAAUGAUUGUAUUGCUUGGGAAGAUGGGGCAAGUGAUGGAGGCAUGGAAGUUGUUUAAUGAAAUGGAUGAAAAAGAUAUGGUUUCUUGGAGUGCAUUGAUUUCGGGUUAUGAGCAAAAUGGGAUGUACGAAGAGGCUCUGGUUAUGUUUAUUGAGAUGAAUGCUAAUGGAAUGAGGUUGGAUGAGGUUGUGGUGGUUAGUGUUCUUUCUGCAUGCACUCACUUGUCCAUUGUUAAGAUAGGGAAGAUGAUCCAUGGAUUAGUCAUAAGAAUGGGGAUUGAAUCUUAUGUGAACCUUCAAAAUGCUUUGAUUCAUAUGUAUUCUGGUAGUGGGGAAAUAAUGGAUGCAGAAAAAUUGUUCAAUGGAAGCCACAACUUGGACUAGAUAUCUUGGAACUCCAUGAUAUCUGGGUACAUGAAAUGUGGGUCAGUCGAAAAGGCCAGGGCAUUGUUUGAUGUCAUGCCAGAGAAGGAUAUUGUGUCAUGGAGUGCAGUGAUAUCGGGUUAUGCCCAACAUGACUGAUUCUCGGAGACUUUGGCAUUGUUCCAUGAGAUGUAGCUAGGACAAAUAAAGCUUGAUGAGACAAUUUUGGUGAGCAUCAUCUCAGCUUGCACCCACUUAGCUGCCCUUGAUCAAGGCAAGGGCCCGCGAAGCAUCGGGCAACAAUACUGAUGACAAUGAAGCCAAGGAGAGGGAACUAGAAAACAUUAUGGCAAUGUGGAAGAGAGCAGCACAAGUAGGAGAGAGAUGAGAAGAAUGAAAGGUUAACUCAGUUCCGAAUGUCAAAAAAAAUGCCAGUAAGCUAGAAAAGAACAUCAUGGUGCUUAUAACAGGUUGACCAAUGAUAAUAGGAGGAACCAAACUCUUGAAAUGGAAAGCAAAGAAUUGAUGAUAGGUGAUAGAGAACCUAAGAAAGCGCAGUCAUCCUGUAUCGAUACGUCCAGAUUGUACAAGUCUUGCCUCUCCAGUCAUCAGUCAUCGUUCAUGAUUCUGUAGGAGGGACGAGGUGGACCAAACUAGGCAAGAUCGCAGGCUUGCAUUGAGCCAUAGUUACCUUCAGCCGGAUGGGCCCAAAUCUAGCCACAUCCAAAAGAACAUACCAAACCCAGUCCAAAUUCCUACAUCCUAAAGUAAAAUUUAAAUUGUGGAAAGUCUACAGUCUAUUUCCAACCGAGCCAAGCCCAUAUAUUUUGGACCUGGUGCCUCAACCCUUGACUGCCGAACAACUAAGAAUCAGACCCAAGCCCACCAGAGAAAUUUUUAAAACAUGUCUCUUCCAAACACAUCAUUUUUGCCAGUUGUUCCCCUCUCAAUACCAUUUAAAAAAUCCCCCAUUCUGCAGCUUUCUCAACUGCUGCAGCCUCACUUGUCUUUUCCUUGGUGUACGAACACGGCAUGUCCAUACCUACAGACAGUAGAGGCUGCACCUCCUUUAGCCCUAACCUCCAUCCCGAUCACCAUGCUCGCUGCUGCAUCUCCUUAUCACUACACAAAGCAAAAACAGGGUGGCACUUCCCACCACAAUUGAAAGGAGAAGCUGGAACAACCUACCACAACUUGCAACGCACCAGGCAUACUACUUCUAUAGAUGUUAUUUACACCAACCAUUUGGUUAUUUACAAUAAGAACAAAAAUGCUCUGUAUUUAUUUGGGAUACCAUUUCCCUGAUUUUUUCCUCCCAAAUUAAUUUCCUCAUCUAUGAAACAAUAAUAUCAGAUAUUUGGAACAAUGAAAACCCUUCCAUUUGUCUUUAUUUGAACUAAUCUAUUCAAGUAUGAGGAAAACAACAUUAGUUGAGAAAGAGAUUUACCUUAACUAUGAUGCUCUAUAGUUGAUUUUCACAAUGGUAACCUCUCAUGCAUGAAAGUUAGACAUGGCCAUUCCAACGGAUUAGGGCAUUUUAGUGGUGGACUUUGCAAGGGGAAUGGAUUUUGGCAACUGAUGUGGAGUGAAAUGACUUUGCAAGGGGAAUGGAUUAGGGAAUUUUAGUGGUGGACUUAGUGAGAGCUAUAAGGUUUCGGGGUUUCUUCAGUUCUGAAAUGGUGGAGGGAAUGUUUGGAGGGCACUCGUACGUAGAAAGGGAAAAGCUUUUAAUUAAUAUAUAUUCAGAACAUAUAUAUAUAUAUAUAUAUAUAUAUAUAUAUAUAUAUAUAUAUAUAUUAUUUAAUGUCACUCCAUGAAAUAUCACAACUAUGACACUUCUAUAAAGUGUCAUGACAUAACUAGUUAUUCUUAUAAUUAAAGGCCUUAUCAAACAAUGAUACUUUAAAUAAGUGCCAUGAAAUAAAAAAAACUACUAUAAAAAAUGACCCCUUUAGAAAAACGCCAUUGUAUAUCCCAAUAUAAUGAUACUUUAUGAAAGCGCCAAGGAUUAAAGCUAUGACACUACUAUAAAGUGUCAUGACAUAACUAGUUAUUCUUAUAUAAAGGCCACAUCAAACAAUGAUACUUUAAAUAAGCACCAUGAAAUAAAAAAACUACAAUAAAAAAUGACCCUUUUGGUAAAACGCCAUUGUAUAUCCCAAUAUAAUGAUACCUUAUGAAAGCGCCAAGGAUUAAAGCGUCAUAAUUUUCUAUUUUUGUAGUAGUGUAUUAUUCGCUAGAUUGGGUUGUACACCCCAUAAGGUGUAUAGGAUUUUUAUUUGGUUGUAAAAAUCUUUGUUUUUCAAUAGAUGAGUUGUAAGCUUCAUUAAAAGAGCAUAGAAAUUUUCAUUGUUGUAAAAAUUUCAAUUUUUUAUAUCCAUCUAUUGUGACCCAAGAGAAAAGAAGGAACCUUGAAAGUUCUUUUUGAGAUUCUAUGGUGGUUAAAGAAAAAAUAAGCAUUUUUGGAAUUUCUUGGUUUGAGAUCCAUGGCAGCAUAGUGAUGUUGACUUAAACUAAAAAUUAGGAUUACCUCCUAGUAGUUUCUUAGGGCAAGCCACAUAUGGAUUUAAAGCUUAAGAAGUUGUGAAUCCAAUGCUUUAAACAUAUCAUAAUUAUGAAGGAGAUAUGGCCGAUUGAAACAAGGUUGUGCAAAGUGCAUGGUAGCACAAUGAUGUCAACUUUGAUCCAAAAUUGCGGCUACUUCCAAUAAGUUUCCUGGGGCAAGUCACCUAUGGUUUUGAAUCUUAGAAAGUCAAGAAUCCAAUUAUUCUUCAAACAAAUUGUAAUUCAGAGUUGAAACAAGAGAGAUAUGGUUAAUCGAAGCAAUGUUGUGUAAGGAGCAUGCUGUUAUAGGAUUGCAUACGGGUCCAAUUCCUUUUAGUUGUUUGGUUUGAAUUUUGGGCCUCUCCUUGGACGUAAUUUUUUGUGGAAAUUAGGCCUUUUAGGUUUUCUAUUUUCACUAACCUUAUUUUUGGUUGCAGGGCUAUUUUUUGGUAAUUUGGAUUUUUUUUCCAAAUUUUAAUUACCAAAUAUGCAAUAGGAUUCCUCCGAGCCAUGAGAAAUUUUCUAUUUAAUUACUCCCUUAUUUUUAUUGUAUGCUCUUGUUUAAUUGCAUACGCGGCCUCAAGAUAUUUUGGUAUUCUUAAUUGGAAAUGAAUUUUUAUGUUUUUUUUCAAAAUAUGAAAACUUAUUUAAAUUGGAAUGUGCAUGGUUAGGAAUUUUUUUUUCUUUUUAAGAAAAGAUAAGUUGGAAAAAGGAUUAAGAGCUUUCUUAACUUUAAUUGUUAAAGACUUUAAUUUUAUUUAAAAAAUCUUCUCAAAUAUUUGAGAUCUCUAAGAAUAAAAUCUUUCUUUUAAGAAAAAGCUCUUGUUUUCCCAAAUCUUUAUAAAAUAGUAUUUUUCCUAUUUUGCAUAGGAUUUUGACUUAAAGAAAAUAAGUUAAUUUUUGGAAUUCAUGAUAGAUAAUUUAUAAUUAAGAAUGGUUGCCAAAAUAAGCAUUAGAACCCAAAGAAACAUUUUUUUAUGUUCUAUUUAGGCCAACUUCUAUAUACUCUAGAGCACUUUGCAAAAUUAAAUUAUUUUUUGAUCUUUUUAAUUUAAAUGAAUAUUUUUCUCUAUAUUAUUGACUUAUUGAAAUUGAAUUUUGACACAUAGAAUAUUAGAAAAUAUGCUUUCUUGAGGGAGAUAUGAUUUUUCAAAGUUGUACCUACUAUACAUGAUGGAUUCUGGACAUCUCAUUAAUUUGAGUGUUUAAAAAAAAUACUUUUGAGUGCUAAAUGACUCUAGAUUUAUUUUUUCUAUAAACUAGACACCUUAAAGGACAUGUAUGAUUUUUUUUAUGAUUUUAGGAGGCCUAUGAAUAUUUUUACAAAUUCAAUGUAUGCACGUUACCGUUUUCUGCCCAUUUCAAGACUUCCUAUAACUUUUGGGUGUUUUUGCUUAAAUAUGUAAUAUGAAUGGGUGUUUGGGCUUUUUUAUGUUGUUCUAGACAUGUAGGAGUUGUUUCCUGAAAAUAUUUGUAAUUAAAUUCCACUCCAAUAUAUUUUUUUAGGGUUUGUGUCAUGAUGCUCCCUAUUCUGACUACAUGCCGAUGAUCUUGUACUUUGCUUGACUUUGUUAUUUAUUUUGGGAAUUGUUCGACUUAUCUUGGCUCGAAUUUGGCUUUGGUAUUAUAUAUUAGACAUAAUGAGGAUGUUGUAUAAUUCAUUACAUAAUCAAAAAUGUUUCUAGGUAUUUAAUUAGAAUUUUUCUUGUAUAAGCUAUUAUUCCGCCCCUUUGCCGCUUGUCCUAUCAUGGUCGCUAAUUUUGAUUUUUUUACUCUCUUGUACAUUAGUUUAGCUUUAACCUUGAACUGCAUAUAUGUCAUAUAUGAUAGUUAAUGUUAUUUAGGGUCUCAAACUAAUUUUUGACAAUGUAUGAAGGCUUGUUUUGUUGAUUAAAUGAGAUAUACGUCUUCAAGUUUAUUUUUUUCCUUGUCAUUCGAUCUUGCUAAGUUUUUGCCAUUUCAUUUGAAUUAUGCAUGUGCAAUGUGUAUUAGGAUUCACUAUCAUUAUUAUUUGUCAUUAUACUUGUUCUAACCCACUCUAGCAUUUUUGGAAGCACCUUGUAAAUUAUGCAUGCUAUCUAGGAAUGCCUCUCCUCCCUUUUAUCCUUCUAAGUUGUAUGAAUAGAUAUGCUUUGUGUGUAAAACACCCUCAUGCUUGAUUGUGUUUUAGAUUGCUUUGAUUAGUGCCUAGUAUUGUGAAUAGAAUAGAUUGCAUGUUGUAUGUUAUCUAUCUUGUUGUUUAAACUAACUUCGAUGUAUUGUGAUAGUGCUUAAGUUGCGGUUCAGGUACGCAUACUACCAUUUCUUUAUGAUUGUGUUUUGAAUUCUUCUUUGGCAUGCUAGUGAUCAUAGAGUUUUGAAAUCAUCUUAGCUACUUGGGUGUCCGUAAUCAACCAACUAAUUUCCAUACUUCCCUUAAAUUAGCUAGUAGAGAACUUUAUAAGGCUUAGAGGGGUGAUAACUCUUUAAAGGUACCUUUCCAAUAGGUAACUUGAUCCCCGGACCUAGACUCGGGUUUUUCGCAAACAAUUUUUCCAAAAGUCAGUAGUCAUUUAAGGGUUUUAUUCUUACUUGAUUUCCUCUUUAAAAAUAAAUAAAAGUAAAUGGCGACUCCAAAUUUUAAUGAAAAUAUAGUUUUUUCACAAAUCAAAAGCGAGUCUCGCCAUUUUGAGUGAGGAUGUAUCAUGAAAAAUACGGGUUUACACAUCUCAUGCUACAUAUGGAAAGGAUAAAACCUACUAGACACAUCACCUCGAUCUAAGCGAAGUGCCUUAAUAUGUUUACCUUAUAGGUUAUCCGAUUCCACUUUAAAUUCAAUAAAUUUAUCCAAGGCAUCAGAUUUCCUAUCUACAUAUCCAAACCUAGAGUAUUUAUCAAUAAAAUAAUUAAAUACCCAUACUUUCCAUGCAUAAACACAAAAAGGUUCAGAUAUGUUAGUAUGCACUAACUCCAAACAUUCCCUGGUUUCAUGUCCUUUAGAAAUAAAAGGGUCAUCUGGUCAUCUUACCAUCUAUACAAGAUUUGCAGACUGAAAUAUCAUUUGGACUAAAAGUGUCCAGACUUAAUCAGUCUUUGGAUCCUGUUUAGAUUAAUAUGACAUAGGGAUUAGAAGCCAAAUGUUUGAUUAGUGCUAGGUUCUUUCUCUUAGUGAGAUCUGACUACUCUCAUUACUUGGGAAAGUGAUAAUGGAGUCUCACAUAAAAGAGGUAAUACCUCCCACUAACUUGCACAAUUAAUCUUGCAACUGAAACUAAGGUAAGUACAAUCCCAUCAUGUGAAACCCUAUAAAGAACUAUAAAUAGUAUGUCUGAAAUCUAUCCACCACAAUUGGUGAAAUCCACAAUUAUGUAUUCAACAAUGAUAACAUGAUGUGUUCUUGCUUAUCCUUAGGCACUCUAAGCAUUGUUUUUAUAAGUGUCCCAAAAGGUCAUAAAGGAAUCAUUGCCCAUGAGUUUGUUCUCUCAUUCCUUUCCUUGAACUUUCCUUAUUUGAUGUUGUUCUUCUUCUUAUUGGUAGAAGAUCCUAAAGAACCUUGACUUCCAUUUUAACACCCUUCCACUCUUUGAGAAUCUUUUUAUCCAUCUCAAAGGAUUUUAGUAAGAUGUCCAAGAUAACAUGAAUCCUGGUGUUCAUAAUAGUCUUAAGGGUAACUUGUCUAGUUGACUUGCCCUUAUCACCAGAUAACGCUUGCAACUUUAAAUACAAUAUCAUAGACCAUGGCAAUAAACACAUUUUACUUUUGCAACACAUUAUCUAAAGACCCAAGUAUGAGACACUUAGUCUUCUAAUUCAUCUUAUGCCACCUUUGAUAUGCUUCUCUUACUUUAUGUCAGGUUUGUUAAAAGGAAAUAACAAACUCUACCUAAAUUAGCUUUUAUACAAUUAAUACUAUAUCCAUAUUACUUUUAAUCUAUAACUAGGUCCAAUUUAAACAUGAGAUAAGAGGUGAUAGGUUAAGGACUUGAUAUCUGUAAUAAAUAUAACAAUUCCAUGCAUUAUUAAAAGUAAUUGAGCAUUCAAGCAAGUUGGUAAUUAAUUUAGCAAAAAUGUAGUGUUGUCAAACUACAUGUCAUUUUGCAAAGUAUCCUAGUAUCAUAAGAAUCAAGCCUACUUUAGGUAGGUCAUGACUCUUAUUACUAGGGUAGAGACCUUCUCUAAUUGAUCAACUUGCCUUAAACUUUAAAAGUUAUCCUAAGGCAUUAAUCAACAUACCCUUUUUGUUAAGCCCUUAGCCCAUGCAAAUGGAUCACUUUAGGUGAUUCUACCACUUCAUGUCUAAGUUAAGUGUGUAACUGAGAUCCUUGACAUCAAUGUUACCAAGUGAAGAGUUUUAUCUUUAGGAUUGCUCACUCACACUACAAACAUAUAUAGUCUCAUCCAUAAAUGAUAGUCUAUAUCCCUUGAUUCCUUGGGCCACCCCAUUUUUAGGAUGGUGAUGCACCCAAAAUCAAAAUGGACUCAAUCUUGGAGGUUAUGGGCUUACCUAUGGCCCUCUCCCACUUAAUAUUUUGAAAUUAGAGUUUUUAAAACAUUAGUAAUUACCUAGAUGAAUAAAUUAUCCUUUUUGAGAAUUUCCAAAAAUAGUUAUUUCUUAAUUGGAAACUAGAGUUACAGAAGAAUGUCCAUAUGCAAAAUUUAAAAUUUCUAUUAAAGUAAUUUAUCCAAAAAGGAAUUUUGAUAAAAUUUCAACUCUCAAAUGUUAAAAAUCUACUUUCAUAAAAAAUUCUCCUUCUUCACACAAAUCUAAUUAAUAAAUAUUUUUUCUAGGAAGUAUUUUUAAAGAAAUUUUUUUCCAUCAAAUUACUAAAUAUCCUUUUGGUAAUAACCUUUAAUGAUAAAUUAUUUCUAAAAAAAAUUUCCAUAAGAUAUUUAUUAUUCAAAUUGGAAACUUAGUGUAAUAAGGAAACAUCCAAUUUAUAAAAUUUUGAAAACUUGAGAACACUUUGUCCAAUUAGGAAAGAUUUAAUUCUUCAAGGAUUCUCAAAAAUAAAUUUAAGAAAAAUAUUUCAAAUCCUUAAGAAUAAAUUUAGAAAAGAUCUUUAGCUCUCAUUGUUGGGAACCCCAAAUUACUUCGUUCUCAUGCCUUGGAUCGUGCAGGGUGCAUGCAAAUCUAUCAUAGGCUCUCUAAAUCUAUCACAACAAAUAAACUGGUAUUCAAAAACAAUAUGGAUAUCAUAGAAAGCAUAGAUCUAGAGAAUAAAGUCACAUAUCUUUGAUUAAGAUGUUCCUAUAUCAAUUCCAAUCAAUAUAGAUAACUCUAAAGUCAUAAUGGAUCUCUUAAAUACCAUAAUCUUCCACCCAAUGACUCUUCUUUGUGUCUAGACACUGAGAUGGUGGAGAUCUCAAGGGUGGAGGCUAAGGUUCUCUCUCUAGACUGAAUGGAAGAAUGACAAGACCUUGAAAUCUUAACCCUUAAAGGGGUAUUUAUAGGCUUCUUAUUGGGCUUAAGUGACUAAAGCCUACCAUAGGUUUGUGUCACUUAAUCUAGCCCAAAAAGGUUGCUAAUUGAUUAAUUAACCAUACAAGGUCCUAAUUAAUCAAUUAGCCCAAUCUAGAAAUACCACUCACUUAUCCUUAUAAAGGGGUAUUUAUAGGCUUCUUAUUAGGCUUAAGUGACUUAAGCCCACCAUAGGCUUGGGUCACUUAAUCUAGCCCAAAGGGUUGCUAAUUGAUUAAUUAACCAUACAAGGUCCUAAUUAAUCAAUUAGCCUAGUCUAAAGAUACCACUUACUUAUCCCUAUGCAACCUUACAUAAUUACCAAAAUGCCCUUAUGCACAAAAGUGAACUAAAAACUCAUCCAAUGCUCAUAAACCAUGCCAUCAAGGAAUAUGAGCUUAGAGUAGGGACCAUUGAGAUCCAUAGAAAUAUUGGCUGCCUCAUAUUAAAAUUCUGAAAUUGACUCAACAUCCCACUAUAGAGAGUCAACUACACUCUAGUACCUUAUGUAUGUUACAACGAGACACCAAGUGCUCGGAUCCAUGACCUACUAUCCACUACAUGCAAACUUCCUAUGAACUAGUGUUCAUAAUCUAACAAGAUAGUACUAUCACCUAUCAAGAUUACCUAUCAAAUCCCUGAGUUACAAAUCCCACUUAUUAUAUGAUCAAUUGACAUACUUUAGAUUUAAGGCGCAUAGGUCAAAUUCCACUUAAGGAAUUAUUUUGGCUACAAAUUUCAUGAUCACGUGUCCUUUGGAUUACCCAAGGGGACACAUUAUCUCAAUCCCAUGAGAUAUCAUGGUGCCUCUAUUGAGAAUACCUGUUGUCAUCAGCCUCCAUCAAUAGUGUCCCAAUCCAUAAGGAUAUAUGACCACUUUAAGGUCUUACCCAUAGGUCAAAGCUUCUUGUUGAUUUUAGCAGAGACUCAGUAUCCUCUCAAAGUUGAGAGUCUAUGUAGUAUAGUAACUUGGUGAAUCAUGAAAAUUGAUAGUCUUGCAUCAUGAUUCAUCGUAGGUCCUAUCCAAUGUGCAUCACAUACACUAGUGCAAUCACUAUAGGAAACAUCCCGACCAUCAAGAUAAACCAUCCCUCUAAUUAGGAGGUGGUGCACUACAGUCUGUAUUGGAUUGUCCAAAUCCAUGAAACGAUUGUGGACAACUUAUCUACUUACAAAGAACCCAUGACUUGUAUCUUUUAUGCAACUCCUAAUGCACCCAAGUCAUGUACAAUAUAAAAGACAUAGACUAAAUGCUCAAAUCAAUGUCAAUAUACCAAAGGGGUAAUAAGGGGAUUGUUAAGUCUAGCUUUGUUACAUCAUGUAUUGAUUUUUGGGGCUCAAUCUCAACAAACUCCUACUUGCCCCAAAACCAGACUAGGUACUACCAAAAGAUUAUGCUCCAUAGUCAUAUCACUUCCAUGUACUAUCUCAUAAUAAGGUAACACUUCCUCUUUAUGUGUUUUGUCUUCUAGUGGUACUUCGGUUCUUUAGACCAUGCCACCAUCCCACUGUUAUCACAUAAUAGGAUCUUAGACAAUAUAGCCAAGGGAACUACCCAUAAGUCGAAAGGCUUUCUUUAUUGCUAUGGAAACAACAAAAAAUAGCUUAGAGUGUACACAUACCUAGAGGUAGACCUGCAAGAGUCCUUAUCAAAUUGAAAUUCAAUUUCUAGGUACAAAAAGAGUACCAACUCAUCGCAAAGACUCACAAACAUAUAAUCCCUCGUUCUCCAAAGAUACUAGAGUAUAUGUUUGACAUUGGCUCAAAGCUUUAAUAAGGAAAUGGACUAAUAUCCACUCAUUAUUCCUACAACAAAGCAAAUAUCUGGCAGCAUUGAUACUUAAAGCUAUCCAUUGCAAAGACAUUGGAUACCGCCUUAAUGCAAUCUCUUUCCAUAGAUGUCCAAGGACAUUAUUCCUAGGAAAGACAACUCCAAAUCCAAAAAGUAACAAACCCUUCUUGGAGUUUUCCAUUAUGUGCUUGAUCAAAUGCUUAUCUAUGUAGGUGACAUGGCAUAUAUUUUCUAUUCUUGCAGUCCUAAAAGACCUUAACCCUAAGAAUAUAUUGCACCUUCCUCUAGAUUUUCAUCUAGAACUGAGUAGACUACCAAAUCUUGAUUGAUGGUAAUAUCCCUACAUCAUAUCCAAUGAGUAGAUUGUCAUCUACCUACAAGAUCUUAGAGCAUCACCACGCUUCCCUGUGCUUUCUUAUACACAUACACAAAGGGCCCUUUGCUAUGAAAAUGUUUGGUUGUUAUAUCUUACAAAUGAGACACACUACAUUAGAUAGGAGUAAUAUGAUGGAUUUGAGUAUGACCGUUGUUGAAAAGGUUUUCCAUAGUUGAAACAAAGUUUCAAAAUAUAACCUUUAGCUACAAUCUUAACCACAUAAAACUCAAGUUUUCCAUCUACUUUUGUGCUCCUCCUAUAGACCAACUUACACCUAUGGGUUUUUUUUUCCCUUUAGGUGCUUCUACAGGAACCCAAACUAUGUUCAAAUAUAAAGAUUCUAACUACCUCUUCAUAGCUCCUUGCUUUAAGUGAGUGCAAACAUUGCUCACUCCUUCAUCCUAAUCUAUGGGAUAUAAGCCUCUCACUAUGAUGAGGCACUGGUGUACUAGAAACAUAGGAAUGGUAUGUCUUUAACCCUUUGGAUCCAUAAUAUCCUAUGCAAUGUGGGACUAUCUUCUAAUAAAUCUUACAAUCUAUAUCACUCUUUGCCUUAUUCCUUAUCAUAUAGUCUUCAUAAAAAAAUUUGACAUUUGUGUCAACAAAUAUUUUCUGAUGAUAUUCAUUAUAAAGGUAAUAACCCAAAUAUCCUUUGAGAUGUCCAAUAAUGUGAUAUACCACUUAAGAAAGAGAGGUAUUACAUAGUUUAUAAGACAUAUCCCCAAAAGAAUCUGGGAAAAGAUAAGAAUCCUAUCCACAAUCUCAUUAUGUCCAUCCAAGUUUGAUGUCUUCUUUCCACCUCUCCAUUUUGCAAUGGAGACCCUGGUGCACAUAAUUGGGAAAUAAUCCUAUGUUCCAAUGAAAAGAAUCAAACUUAUUAGACAUAUCACCUUGAUAUAAUCAAAGUGACUACUCAAUAGGUUAUCUGAUCCCGCCUUAAAUUCAAUGAAUGCAUCCAAGGCAUCGGAUUUCCUAUGUACAUAUCCAAACCUAGAGUAAUCAUCACCAAAAGUGAUGAAAUACCCAUAUUCUCUCCAUGCAUGGACACUAAAAGUUUUAUACAUGUUAGUAUGCAAUAACUACAAACAUUUCUUGUCUCUAGUCCUCUUGUUCAUUUUACCAUCUAUAUAGGAUUCGUAGAUUGAAAGAUCUUCUAGAAUCAAAGAGUCCAAACUUUAUUAACCUUUGGAUCCUAUUUAGAUUAAUAUAACCUAGGUUUAGAAACCAAAUGUUUAAUUAGUUCUAGGAUACUACCUCCCACUAACCUGCAUAACUAACCUUGCAUUUGAAGAUAAGAUAAGUAUAAUCCCAUCAUUUAACCUUCUCAUUUGUUGAAUAUCCUAUAAGGACUUACAAACAGUGAGCCUAAAAUCUAUCCACCAUAAAUGGUGAAAUCCACAACUAAAAAUUCAACAAUGAUAAAAUGAUGUAUGGUUUCCUUUUUUUCUUUAGGUAAACUAGGCAUUCCUUUUCUAAUUAUCUAAAAGGUCACAAAGGAAUCACUUUCCCUUGAGUUUGUUUUCUUAUUCCUUGUCUUGAACUUUUCUUAUUGGUAUUGUUCUCUUGUUCUCAAGAGAAAAACUUGAAAAACCUUUAAAUUCCAUAUGAACACCCUAUAAUCUUUGAGAAUCCCCUUAGCCAUCCUAAAGGAAAAUGGUAAGGUCUCUAAGAUCAUAUGAAUAUUGGUGUUCAUAACAGUCCUAAGAGUAGCUUGUCAAAGCUAACCUACCCUUAUCACACAAUAAUCAUUGCAAACUAGAAAAAAAAAAUCAAAGUCUCUAGUAAUAGAUAUGUGUUGCUAUUGCAACACAUUAUCCAAAGAUCCAAGUAUUAGACACUUGGUCUUUUGAUCCAUCUAAUACCACCUUGAUAUACCACUCUUUCUUUUGACUAGGUUAGUUCAUAAGGAAUAGUUAACUCUUCCUAAACUAACUUCAAUGCAAUUAGUUACUAUAUCCAAAAUAAAAUUAGUCCAAUUGAUUAGUUGGGCUUAGCCUAUUAUGAGAAAAAGAGUGAUAAUAACACCAACAUGAUAUCUGUAACAAAGAAUAUAACCAAGUAAAUGACAUAAUUGAGCAUUCAUAGCACUUGGUAAUUUAGCAAAAAUGUAGCGCUCUUAAACUACAUGUCUUUUUUCAAGGUAUCCUAGUUUCAUAAGAAUCAAACCUACGUGGGGCAAGUCAUGACCUUAUUACUAGUUAGAAACCUUCUCAUAUUGAUUUCCUUGCCUUAACCAUAAAGGUAUCUAAAAGCAAGAUCAACAUACCUUUUAUUUGGCCUAUUGACUAUGCAACUGAGACUACAUGAGGCGAUUCUACCACUUCAUAUCCAAUGUCAAGUGUAUAACCAUUGUCCUUGAACUAUCAAUGUCACCAAGUAAAGAAUCCCUUUGUGGGGGUGGUCGCUCCCACUACAGAUAUAUCUAGUCUUGUCCAUGUGGAGCAUAUCUCUUGAUUCUUAGGGCUAACCCACUGUGGGGGUGGUGAUGAACCCAAAUCAAGAUGGACUCCACAAUGUAGGUCGUGGGCUUGCCCAAGGCCCUUUCUCGCUUAGUCUUUUGAGAUAAAUAAGAGCAUUUCAAAACAUUAGUAAUUACCUUGAUGAAUAAAUUAUCUUCUUUGAGAAUUUCUAAAAAUAUUUAUUUCCUAAUGGGAAACCCAAUGUUUCAAGAGAAUGUCCAUAUGCAAAAUUUAAAUUUUCUAUGAGAAUAUUUUAUUCAAAAAAGAAUUUUAAUAAAAUGUUUACUCCUAAAUUCUCAUUCUUCACACAAUUCCAAUUAAUAAAUAUUUUUUCUAGGAAAUAUUUUCAAAGAAAUUUAUUUCUAUCAAAAUUAAAAAAUAUCUUUUUAGUAAUAACCUUCAAUGAUAAAUUAUUUCUAACAAAAAUUUCCAUAAGAUAUUUAUUAUCCAAAUUGGAAACUUAGUGAAAUAAGGAAACUUCCAAUUUAUAAAAUUUUGAAAACUUGAGAGCACUUUAUCCAAUUAGGAAAAUUUAAUUCUUCAAGGAUUCUUAAAAAAAUAAAAAAUAAAAAUAAAUUAAAGCUCCUUAAGAACUAAGACAUGUCAGUUGAAUACACAAUAGGAGAAUCUAUAACUCAAGGAUGGUAGAGGUAGUCCUGAUAAGCUGAUAGCUUUCACCUUGUUAGACUACAGAUACUAGUUCAUGGAGAGACUGAACGUAAUUGAUAGCAGGUCACGGACCCGAGCAAGUAGUAUCUUGUUGUUAUUUACAUAGGAUACUGGAGUCCAGUUGAUUCUCUAUAGUUGGAUGUUGAAUCAACUUCAUAAUUGGAUUUUAAGGGAACUAGUACUCCUAUGGGUCCUAAUGGUCCCAGUUUUAAGCUCAUAUACCUUGUUGACACAGAUUAUGAGGGUUGGAUUAGCUCUAGGUUCACUUUUGUGCAUAAGGACAUUUUGGUAAUUAUGCAAGGUUGCAUAAGGGUAAAUGAACAAAGUCUCUAGAUUAGGCUAAUUGAUUAAUUAAUAGGCUCUAUUGGGUUAAUUAAUCAAUUAGAACCCAUUUUAGGUUAGAUUAAGUGACCUAACCCCAUAUGGGCUCAAGUCACUUAAGCCCAGUUAGGAUCUCUAUAAAUACCCCCUAGGGGUUAGGGUUUCCAUAACUUUUGUCUUCCACCAUUCACAAAGAAAGAGAGUCAUAGCCUCCACCUUCCUUUUCUCACCACCGGAAGUGUGCCAAGAACAUGGUUAAGUCAUUGUGUGGAAGAUCAUGGGUUUAGGAAACUUCCAACAAAUUCAAGGUCAUCUUCAACACUUGAAAUUUAAGGUUUAGGAACAUCCAAACCUAAAGGUUGGUACUUUAACCCUAAAAUAUCAAUUUUUUUAAAAAUCGGUAUUGCUUCCGUUGAUUAGAUUUAAGAUGCCAACAACCGGUAUCGGAGCAUAAUGUUAUAAGCAUGCUUAGAUUUUUAUUUAGGGGGUGCUAACAUCUUUUUUGCAGCCUUGAUAGUAUCCUAUGGCCAAUGGACGCAUAUAUGUUCCCUUUUAUUAUUGCUUGUGAUGAUUGAAUGGGAUAAUUUGUUUUCUUUAUUUGUUUCUUCAUAGAUUUGGUUGUAAUCUUCAUUAAAGGAGCAUAAGUUUUCUUUUUCUCUUGUAAAGUUUUAAUAUUUUCCAGUGUUUGGGUUGUAAGCUCCAUUAUAGGAGCAUAGGAAUUCUUUUAUGAUGUGAAGUCUUGUUUUCUAUUAUCUAUAAAGAGCUAUAAGAGAAUAAUUCCUCAAUGAUAUUAAUAAAGAUUAGAUAUUUAUUAGAUAAUCAUCUAUGGAGAUUCAAGGAUUCGAAUGGCAGGAGAAGAAAGGAUGAAUCCUUCCUUUCAUUAAAUAAAGAAAAAAAAAAAAAGAAGGAGAAAGUUUUUUUUUUUAGAUCUAUGGUUAUACAUCAAUGUUCUCUUUGACUCAAAAUCGGGGCUUCCUCCUUUGAUUUUCUUAGGGCAAGCUGCAUAUGGUUUUAAAGCUUAGGAAGUCAAGAAUCCAAUGCCACAAACAGUUUGCGAUUCAGAGUUGAAACGAGGGAUAUGGUCAUUUGAAUCAAAGUUGCAUAGAGGGUAUGCUAUUAUAGGAUCGCAUAUGGGUCCAAUUCUUUUUGCUUGUUUGGGCUCAUAUUUCAGGCCACUUUGUCGGCUUGAAAGUUUAUGAAUUGUGGCAGCUAUACAGGACCUUCUUUUGGCAAGUUUUGAUGCUAAAUAUUAGUGUCAAGUCGAAGACAAAUGGCUUUGGUUUGCAAUUGGAAAAUUGUGAAAAAUAUCCCUUGGUCAUGGAAAUUUUGAGAGUGGAUAUUUUAUUAAAAUUCUUUUUGAAAAUUAACCUCAUGGAAAUUUUAAAUUUUUUGUGUUGGUAUUCUCCUAUUACACUAGGUUUCCAAUUAGGAAAUAAAUGUUUUUGGAAAUUUUCAAAGUAGAUAAUUUAUUCAUCGGGGAAAUUACUAAUGGUUUUAAAAUGCUCUUAUUUAUCUCAAAAGAUUAAGUGGGAGAGGGCCUUAGGCAAGCCCACAACCUCCAUUGUCGAGCUUAUCUUGAUUUGGGUUCAUCACCACUUUACCGGCAGGUUGGGCCUUAGGAAUUGAAGGAUAUGAACUCUCUAUUAGGAUGAGACUAGACAUGUCUAUAGUGGGAGCAACCAUCUUACUAGUGGGGUUCCUUACUUGGUGACAUUGAUGGUUCAAGGACAAUGGUUAUACACUUAUCAUUGGAUUUGAAGUAGUUGAAUUGCCCAACGCAAUCCCACUUGCAUAGUCCAGGGGCUAAAUAAAAGGUAUGUUGAUCUUGCCUUUAGAUACCUUUCAUGGUUAAGAUAGGGAGAUCAAUCGUAAAGGGUCUCUAACUAGUAAUAAGGUCAUGACUUGCCCACUGUAGGCUUGAUUUUUAUGAUACUAGGAUACCUUACAAAAAGAUUUGUAGUUUGUGAGUACUACAUUUUUGCUAAAUUAAUUGUCAAAUGCCUUGAAUGCUUAAUUAUGUCAUAAGCCUGGUUAUAUUAUUUGUUAUAGAUAUCAUGUUGGUUUUAUUAUCACUCUCUUUCUCAUAAUAAACCAAGCCCAACUAAUGAAUUGGACGAAUUUUAUUAUGGAUAUAGUAAAUAAUUGCAUAGAAGUUAGUUUAGGAAGAGCUAGUUAUUCCUUAUGAACUAACCUAGUAAAAGGAAAGAGUGGUAUAUCAAGGUGGUAUUAGAUGGAUCAGAAGACCAAGUGUCUAAUACUUGGAUCUUUGGAUAAUGUGUUGCAAUAGCAACACAUGUCUAUUACUAAAUACUUCAACAUUCUCUUUCUAGUUUGCAAUGGUCAUUUGGAGAUAAGGGUAGGUCAGCUUUGAUAAGUUACUCUUAAGAUUACUAUGAACACUAGUUUCAUAUGAUCUUAAAGACCUUGUCAUUUUCCUUCAAGAUGACCAAGAGGAUUCUCAAAGAUUAUAGGGUGUUCAUAUGGAGGUCAAAGUUUCUUUAGGUUCUCCUAUCAAAAAGAAAAAGAACAAUACCAAAUAAGGAAAGUUCAAGAGAAGGAAUAAGAGAGCAAUCUCAAGGGCAAGUGAUUCCUUUGUGGCCUUUUAGGACACUAGAAAAGGAAUGCCUAGUUUACCUAAAGGAAAAAAGGAAAGUAUACAUCAUUUUCUCAUUAUCAAAUAUUUAGUGGUGGAUUUCUCCAUUUAUGGUGGGUAGAUUCCAGGCCCGCUGUCUGUAAGUUCUUAUAAGACAUACAACAAGUGAAAAGGUUAAAUAAUAGGAUUAUACUUAUCUUAGCUUCAAAUACAAGGUUAGUUAUGCAGGUUAGUGGGAGGUAAUAUCCUCUUCUUUUAUAUGUAUUCCAUUAUCACUUUGCCUAGUAAUGAGAAUAGUCAAAUCUCAAGAUUAAACCUAGCACUAAUUAAACAUUUGGUUUCUAAACCUAGGCCAUAUUGAUCUAAAUAGGAUCCAAGGAUUGGUAAAGUCUAGACUCUUUGAUUUUGGAAGAUCUUUCAGUCUAUGAAUCAUGCAUAGAUGGUAAAAUAACUAAGAGGAUUAGAGCCAAGGAAUGUUUGGAAUUAGUGCAUACUGACAUGUAUGGAACUUUUAGUGUCCAUGCAUAGGGAAGGUAUGGUUAUUUCAUCACAUAUAGUGAUGAUUACUCUAGGUUUAGAUAUGUGCAUAGAAGAUCUAAUGCCUUGGAUACAUUCAUUAAAUGUAAGGGAGGAUCAAAUAACUUAUUGGGUAUACAUACCAAGUCACUUCGAUUGGAUCAAGGUAGUAUGUCUAGUAAGUUUGAUUCUUUCUAUUGGAGCACAAAAUUAUUUCCUAGUUAUGUGCACCAAGGUCUUUAUUACAAAAUUGAGAGGUAGAAAUAAGCUAUCAAACUUAGGUUAACAUAGUGAGAUCAUGGAUAGGUUUUCCAUAUUUUCCCGGAUUCUUUUGGAGAUAUGUCUUAUAAAUUGUGUAAUACCUCUUUUUCUUAAGAGGUAUAUCAGUUUAUAGGAUAUCUAAGAGGAUUUUUGGGUUAUUACCUUACAAUUAGGACACUAGAAGAUAUUUAUUGACAAAAAUGUCAGAUUUUUUAUGAAGACUAUAUGAUAAGGAAUAAGGUAAAAAGUGAUAUAGAUUGGAGGAUAUAUUAGAAGAUAGUUUUAUGUUGCAUGGGACACUAUGGAUCCAAAGGUUUAAAGGCGUACCAUUCCUAUUAUUUCUAGUACACUAGUGCCUCAUUGUAGUGAGAGGUUUAUUUGCACAAAUCAUGAUGAAGCAAUGAGUAGAGUUUAUGCUCACUUAAGGUUAGGAGCUAUGAAGAGGUAGUUAGAAUCUUUGUAUAGGUUCAUGUAGAAGCACCUAAAGGGAUAAAACACAUAGGUGUAAGUUGGUCUACAAGAGGAACACAUGAGUAAAUGGAAAGCUUAAGUUUUAUGUGUCGAAGACUGUAGUUAAAGGUUAUAAUUUGAAACUUUGUUUUAACUAUGGAAAACCUUUUCAACAGUGGUCAUACUCAAAUCCAUCAUAUCAUUCCUAUCUAUUGCAGUGUGUCUCAUUUAUGAGAUUUAACAACCAAACAUUUUCAUAGCAAAGGGCCUUGUGCGUACAAGAAGACAUAAGAAAGCGUCGUGAUGCUCUAAGAUUUUACAGGUAGAUGACAACCUACUCAUUGGAUAUGAUGUAGGGAUAUAGUCAUCAGUUAAGAUCUGGUUUUCUACUUAGUUCUAGAUGAAAAUCUAAAGGAAGGUGCAAUAUAUUCUUGAGGUUAGGGUCCUUUAGGAUCGUAAGAAUAGGAAAAUUAUGUCAUGCCACCUACAUAGAUGAGCAUUUAAGCAAAUACAUGAUGCAAAGUUCUAAGAAGGGUUUGUUACUCUUUGGAUUUGGAGUUGUCUUUCUUAGGAUUAAUGUCCUUAGACAUUUGUGGAGAGAGAUCGCAUUAAGGUGAAUUCCAAUGCCUCUACAAUGGAUAGCCUCAAGUAUGCGAUGCUAUGUGCUAGACCAUAUAUAUGCUUUUCUGUAGGAAUAGUGAGUGGAUAUUAGUCCAUUUCCUUAUUAGAGCUUUGAGCGUAUGUCAAACAUAUACUCAAGUAUCUUUAGAGAAUGGGGGAUUAUACGCUUGUGAGUCUUUGUGAUGAGCUAGUACUUUUUUCAUACUAGGAAUUCGACUUUCAGUCUAAUGAGGACUCUCACAAGUCUACCUCAAGGUACGUGUACACUCUAAGUGAUUUUUUUUUGCUUCUAUAGCAACAAAGGAAGCCUUUUGGCUUAUGGGUAGUUCCCUUGGCUAUGUCGUUUAAGAUAAUGUUAUCUAAUAAUAAUGGGACGGUGGCAUAGUCUAAACAACUAAAGUACCACUAAAAGAGGAAACACAUGGAGAGCAAGUGAUACCUUGUUGUGAGAUAGUACAAAGAGGUAAUGUGAUAGUAGAGUAGAUUCUUUUUGCAAUACCCAGUCUUCUUUUGGGGCUAGUGGGAGUUUUUUGGGAUUGAGCCUCUAAAAGCAAGACAUGAUAUAACAAAGUUAGACUUAACUAUCCUCUUGUUAUCCCUUUGGUGUAUUGACAUUGAUUUAAGCAUUCAACCCAUGUUUCUUACAUUGUAUAUGACUUGCAUGUAUUAAGAGUUGUAUAGAAGAUACAAGUCAUGGGUUCCUUGUAAGUAGAUAAGUUGUCCACAAUCGGUUCAUGGAUUUGGGCAAUCCAGUAGAGACUGUAGUGCAUCACCUCCUAAUUGGAGGGAUGACUUAUCUUGGUCAUCGAGAUAAGUUUCCCAUGGUGAGUGCAAUAGUGUAUGUGAUGCACACUGGACAAGACCUACAGUGAAUCAUGACGCAAGGAUAUCAAUUGUCAUGAUUCACCAAGCUACAAUAUUGCAUGAACUCUCAACUUUGAGAGGAGAUUGAGCCUGUGCCAAAAUCAACAGGAGGCUUUAACUUAUGGGUGAGACCCUUAUUGGGAUUGAGCCCCUAAAAGUAAGACAUAAUAUAACAAAGUUAGACUUAACCAUCCCUUUGCUAUCCUUUUGGUGUAUUGACAUUGAUUUGAGCUUUUAGUCCAUGUCUCUUACAUUGUACAUGACUUGGGUACAUUAGGAGUUACACAAAAAAUAAAAGUCAUGGGUUCCUUGUAAGUAGAUAAGUUGUCCACAUUUGGUUUAUGGAUUUGGGCAAUCUAGUAGAGAUUGUAGUGCACCACCUCCUAAUUGAAGGGAUGACUUAUCUUGGCCAUCAAGAUGGGUUUCCCAUGGUGAGUGCACUAGUGUAUGUGAUGCACACUGGACAAGGCCUAGGUGAAUCAUGAUGCAUGGAUAUCAAUUUUCAUGAUUCACUAAGCUACUAUACUGCAUGGACCCUCAACCUUGAGAGAAUGUGAAGCAUGUGCCAAAAUCAACAAAAGGCUUUGACCUUUGGGUGAGACCUUAAAAUGGUUAUAUAUCCUUAUGGAUUAAGUCACUAUUGGUGGUGGUUGGUGGCAAUAGGAUUCUUAAUAUAGGCACCAUGAUAUGAGAUUGAGAUAGUGUCCCCUUGGGUGAUCUAAAGGACAUGUGAUCAUGAAAUCUAUGGCUACAGUAAUUCCUUUAGUGGAAUUUGACAUAUGCUCCUUGGAGUUAGAGUAUAUAAGUUGAUCACAUAAUAAGUGGGAUUUGUAAUUCAAGAAUUUGAGAGGUAAUCUUGGAAUAAUGACAUGUAAAAUUUAUUUAAAGGCUAUCAUGACUUAUAAGAUGUAACCCUAAAUAAAAAAAAAUUAAGUCAAGGUAUAGUCGAUAGGAAGUGAAUCUUAUUUAGUAUAGUUCCUGUGACAUAUUCUUUAUAAGUCAAGGAAGAAAAUUUUAUUAUCUUUCAAGGUUGCUUGUAUGAUAUAUUGAAACACUUGCCUUCUGUAUUUUUCAGUCUACAUUAAACAUCAUACUUGUAUCAAAAGAGAAACCACCAGUAGGAGCCAUCAAGAACAGGUGGCAACCAUUGAUAACUAAUAAGGAUGGGCAAGUUCCUAAGAUUGACUUUUGGUAGCCUCCACAAUUGUGCACCAUAUACUCACUUGACAAGGAUUCAAUCAAUCAAUAUCAAGUUCUUCAUACAUGAUGUGGAUUCAAAGGUAUGUGCUUAACUUAGAGUUAGAGUUUUUCUUGAGAGAAAAGUUGUUUUCAUAGAUUCGUUGUAAUUUCAAAGUUUAUGUUCAUUUACCCAAAGAAAUUGCUUUCUGUGGCAACAUAAAUCAUGGGUUUUAACUCUUUAUGCUAUAUUCUCACAAAAAAAUGAAAGACGUAUGCCAAGUUGUUUAUGUAAAAUCAUCUCUAGAUAAUGAAGAAUGUUGUCAUUAGAGUUGCCAUAAUUUUUUUGUUUUUGGAUAAGAAGUGAUCAUCCACAUGUCCUACCAUUAAAAAAUUUCAACAUUGUUUUCACUACAAACCCAUAUCUAUGCAUAUUAGUGCCCUGACAUCCUUAUGAACAAUUGUUAAAAUCAAGUGUAUAAAUUAUUUAAUUUGUAUUUAACUUCCAGAUGUUGACAUCUUUCAAGUGCCUUCCGAAGCACUGUAUAUUUAUUUAGAUUUUCCCACUUAGAUUUUUUCCUCUUAUAAAACUAAAAUGUUAGAGAAAAAAAAAUUAAAGGCUUACAAUAUGCAGUUAAGUUUUCUUGCAUGGAAAAUGUUUUUCCAUUUGCAUUUGGUAUUUUGCCCAGAUAUAGUUUUCAAAUAAAUGUUAAGUUUGUUUUAGAAAAUUACAUAUUUAUUUUAUUGCUAACAAGUUAAAAGUCUCAUGUCUAAGUGGCUUAUAUAUGUUUUGCCAGUUUAACACAUGUUUACUCUUUUAUAACUCAUGUUUUGCUAAUUUAAGAUCUUAUGUUCUGUUAUUAUGCUGCUAACUAGGUUUUUAUUUUUAAAUGAAUAUUCAACAUUAAAAGAAUUGACUAUUAAGUGUGUUAACUCUAUUUUUCUCGAUUUUUGUUGUUAUUAGGUCCUUGAUGAAGCAGUUAUCGAAUAUACUUGUCACAUAGAUUUUGGACCUUUAAUCUAACAAAAGUUUCAAUUUAUUUUUUUUAAGAAUUAUUAUGUUCUGACUUUUAACUUUAGGCUUUGUUUAAGUUAAGGCACUUGUCUCUUUUUUGAUUUGAUAUACUUAUGGGAUUCGUUUUCAUCUGAUCAUCACUGUAGGAACUAAGGGGAUAUUUUUUAUGACAAGUGUAUUCAAUGUAGAAUUAAUUGUUCUCAAUGCAGAUUGAGCUCAACCAGUUCAAGUUUGUGACCAAUGCGUGUAUGCACUUUUGGUGUUUAACUGCUACUACUGUUAUUUUUCUUUUAUCCUUUGGCUCUGAUUGGAAAAUUUAAAUUUCUUGUUUCUAAGACUGAUCCAAUUGUUUGAUUUUCUUUAUCGGUAGAAGUAACCUAAAGACGAAGUAGUGCAAGUGAAGUAGUAGGAUAAGCAGAAUCACGAAGAUCUUGCAAAAAGGCUUCAAGUGUUUUAAGAUUUCCACCCUAAGAAUCUAAAACGUUGAGAUUGUAUUAUUGGAUUCCUAUGGCACUUCAACAAGGAACAUGACACUCUAUUAAAUGAGCCGAGGGGACAUAGGCUAGUUUUCUUGAUUGAAGAUUUUUUUUGGCCCUUAUCUACUUGAAUUGAAGUUCUGAUUUCAAUGAUGAAACACUAUAAUUCUAAAUAUAUUUAUAUAAAGCCCAAAACUUUGUUCAUGCAAUCAUUUGUCCUAUACUAAAGAAAAAUGUUUCUCCUUUUCUUUAUGACACACUUGCUAUCCAUUGAUCUACAGGCUUGAAGUUGCUUGUCCAACUUGCACAGUCCAUUUGAAGGUUUCUAUCCCUAUUCAAUUUAUUGUUGAUUAUUAGUAUCUUAUAAAAUUUUCAUUUCUAUUUGGAAUGGGUGAAACUGAACUUAUGUUCACCAAAUACUUGCAACAUAAGGCUUUUAAUGGCUUGUGUAAUGUAGGUUCAUCUUUUAUGUUGUCAAUUGGUUUUUCUCAGGUUUAUCUAUCUUUUGUAUAUUACUAAUCCUUUGAGGCAAUUGUUGAUUCUCAUAUAGAAUCAAGUUCCUCCUUUUCCAUAAGAUAUUGUUAUAUCUAUUGUUGAGGAAGAGCUUUAAGCUCUCGUGAGUGUUAUGUUUGAUUAGUUUGACUAUGAACCAAUAGUUGUUGUGAAUCAUGUAUAUUUGGUGGAAGCAUUCCAAGGAGUUUAUGAGAAGGAUAAGGUAAUUAUUUCUCAGUUUUGCGGCAUAGUCAUGAAUGUUUCGUGGUUCUUGAAUCUUAGAGUUAUUUCUAUGUGUGGAUGAUUUUCUUAUUGCUAGAAACUCAUUCUUUCAUGUAGGUCCUUCAAGCAAUGAUCCAGAUGGGUGUUCUCGUACCUAUUGGAGCUAUGACACCUAUUAGGUGAAUAACACAGUUCUUCCUUAAUAGGCGUUUUUCAAUGAAUAAGUGAAUAAAAAGAUUAAGAAAAAAGUUUACCUUGGGUUCUCUUUUCAUAGUCAAAACCAAGAAAAGGCCGAUAUUGGGUGAAUUAUUUGUCCCAAAUCAAAACAACUCAUAGCUUUUAUUGUGGGGAUUAUACUCUCAAGGAUGACAUGCUAUUGACUGAUAAUAAUCAUUAGUAAUAAAAUAGUUGGUGUGUUUUGUCUCAAUCUACUCUACAUUAUGUUGUACCUGCAAAAAUUGGCUUGAUAUAUUGUUGUUUCUCACUUUUAAUAGAAAUAUAUAGGUUUAUUUAAAGAUUGUUUGUGUUGACCAAUAAUGCUAAUUUUUGGUUGCAUGGUGAAUUUUAAUGUACAAAAGAAAACCUUUAGGUCAUAACCAAUUAAAGAAAAACAUCUAAAAUUAUGAGUGAUAAAUCAUUGUCAAAAAAUUUAUAUAACCAUGGAUAUCUAACUUUUGCAGUUCUAAAGAGCGUCUUUUAGCACAUAGAAAAGAAAGAGAUGACAAUAGAAGAACUUAGAUUUAAAAAUCAAUUAAGCAAAAAGGAAAAAAUAAAGAAAAAGAAAAUUGGUAAUCCACUUGGUAUAUGAUUCAAUUUUGUUUUAAGAUUAUUGUUAUCAAGAUUUCUUAACUCUUUAUCCAUUUGAGUAUCAAUAAUUUGAUAGAGGACUAUCUUUUCCUAAGAUUAGUGAAUUUGGCUUACCAUGAGGUGGAGUUUGUCACUGCAAAAUCAUGGUUAAAGUUCAAGUUGAGGUUUUGCAACCAAUGUUUGGAUGAUUGAUGGAGACCAAACAUGCAUUAUGCUAGAGAUUGCCCUAUUUCUGAAAACAUUAAUUAAGAUUUGAAAAUUAGUUUGUUAUGUAUUUUGUUAGGGUAUAUGUUCCCUUUUGAGAGUUUUUUUCUUUUUCUCCUUAGUGUAGGAUUCAUCAUCCAUCCAUUUGUUUUUAAAUUAUAUCUUUUUUAAUAUUAUAUUUCUUUUUUUCUUCUUAUUCUUUGUUCUUUUUGGUUCAUUGAUUGUCAAACUCUUCUAGAGUUAUGUGGAAAAUUCAAGUAACUAAUAUAUAUAUUCUAAUUUAGUAUCCUAUUCACAAGUUUGUUUAUCAUUUGUUUAUAUAUUAAGUAUACAAUUGAGUAGCUUUUCUUUGGAGGAUCCUUAUUUUGGAUAGAUUUGUUGUUCUAUGUUAUUUUUUUGUUGUUGUUGUUUUUUUUUUUUUUUUUUUGUCACUCUUCUUUUAAUUGUAGUAUCCUUGUAGUUAGACUUAGACAAACCCAUAGGAAACUAAAUCAUGAUGAGUGCUUGAUUUGACAUAGCUUAGCAAUAUAUUCAGAGAUUUUCUUAUGGGAACUUAAGAACAAUUAAUGAAAAUAAUAAUAAUAAUUUACAAUUCAUUUAUGUAGCUUGUUUUCUUUUGACUAUUUGGUAGUGUAUUAUUAUUAUGUAGACCCUCCAUUUUGUCCCAUUGGCAUAUGCCCUAAUUAAGUACUCUUUCAAUACUCCACAAUAGUUCUUGGAGUCCAUUGCUACUCAUAUAGCUUACCUCUUUGAGUCAUUCUGAAUAUUAGGUACACUUUUAUGAUAGCUUAGACAUAUUUAGGUCCAUUAGGCACACCUAACCUAUCUAGGUGCACCUAGUCAGCUUAGGCUUGCCCCAACACCCCUAAGUCAUUUGCAUGGUUGACGUAGCUUACAUGGCUUGCAUGGCUUACGUGGCUUGCAUGCCUUAUGUGGCUUGCAUGGCAUACAUAGCUUGCUUGGUUUCUUUAUGAAUGUGUCAUGUAAUUAUGUUUAUUUAUUUAUUUAAUCAUUGUUUAUUUUUGUUAUUAUCAUCUUGAGGAUUGUUUUUUUGUAUUAUUGCUUUUAUUAUUAUUAUUAUUAUUGUCAUUAUUACUAUUAUUAUUAUUGUUCGUACUAUUAUGUUUUAUUUUAUUAUUAUUAUUAUUUUAUUUUAUUUUCAUUUCGUUUUUUCUAAAACACUUUAUUUAUUUGUUUAUUUUAUUUUUUAUUUUUUUGCUUAUUUAUUUGAAAAGAAAAAAAAAUGUUAGAGAUAAUAAUGGCAUGACUAAUUGUUCAAAAACACCAAAGCAUACGUGCAUGCCCAAGCAUAAGUCCCAUACACAUGCAUGCAGCUUUUGCCAUGCAUGACCAUUUUUGAUCCUUUAUUUCAUUUCAUCAGGCCAACCAUUUCCACUUCCAAGGCCUAUCAGUAGCCCUUAAACUCCAGUGGCAGCCCAAGAAUGGCUGCAUGAGAAAUCGAAGAAGUAAUGAAGGAGCACAGAAAAAAAAAAAAGGGGAGGACGGGCUGGGACAUGAGGGAGAUGAAAGGAGUCUUGGUGGGGAAUGAACUACAUGGGAAAGGAAUAGGUUAGGAUUCCCGAAGGGACAAAGAGUGAAGCCUUAAAAAGAAAAUCUUCAAAGAGAAAAGAGAAGGAAGAGGAAGGACAUCAUAGGGGGAGUAGAGAAAAAGGGUGUAAGGCUCACUGGUUUCGUUGGUUUUUGGAAGAGGACACAAGACACUUAAAUCCCAGUAAAACCUUAUUAGAGAGGAGUUCUUCCAGGUAUGAAUGUAAUGGUUAUUUGUUCAUUUGAAUUCUUAUUGUUCUUCUACAUUUCCUGUUGAUAUCUGAAUAUUGAUGGCUUGCUUAGGAAUGGAUGGUAAAGGCCACUCAUUGCUUGUUGGAAUUUGAUCCUGAAUCCUUAUUUGCUAUUGCUAAUCUCACAUUAUUUUGCCUCUACUGUGAGAUGCUUAAGAAUCAUGUCAAUAAUUACAGUUGUCAUAGUCUUUCCCACCUAGUCAGUAGGCUCACUGAUGACCCAUGAAAUGAAGCCUCAUUGGAUGAUCUCAUCAAUUUUAUAUUAUUUUUAUUUAUUUAUUUUUUUGUGUUCUGUUUCCAUGGUUGUCUUCCUAUUUUUAUUUUCCCAUACUCUUGGUACAUUUUUCUGGUGUGCAUAAGUAUGUACAUCAUCAGUUGAUGAUGCUGAGGGUGAUUUGUGUCCAUGCACCAAGCCAAUCUUGUAUCUUUUUUUUUUGGUAGAAUGCCAUCACUUCUAUAGUGUGCUGCAUGAAAGCUUGUAGGGGGGAAAUAACAGACAGUUGAAAUUGAAAAAGGGUGGGAGUGUGUGUGCAUGGUUUCAACUGUCAUAGUGCGUAGUGAAUGACCCAAAAAGCUGCAGAAACUGAUCUCUCUUAUUCAAUUUCGUUGCUGAGUUCCCAAUUAUCUGGGACAAAAGAGAAUUGGAUUGAAUUUCUCUCAUGGGUUGUCCUUGAAAGGAAUAGUAGAAGUAGGGUUUAGGUAAUGUGUUAUCAUCUAAGGUUGAGUAAAUUCCUCUCUGAGUAGGGAUUUCUGGCAUUUUCUUUUUCAUUAUUUGGAUAUUGGUGAGUUUGGUUGUUCAAGGAAAAUGUUCUCAUAUGUGGGUUUUUAUUACAUCUUGUUGAUAUUGAUGUUUUCCUUUUCCUUUCUCUUCAAGUGUGGAAAAUGAAGGAACUGUAAAGGAGUUUUAGUAUUUCAGAUAAAUAUCAACAGAAGAAUAAGUUUCUUUUCCAUAGUAUAGUAUUUUUAUAGUUUUUUUCUUUCUAGUUGUUCUGUUGGUGGGCAUUUUGAUUGCCUUUGAACAGUGGAUUAGGGUUUUGUCAUGGGAAUUUCUAGGUGUUGGGUGGGACAUUUUCUCAACUGGGUCUUGAUGAUCCAAACAUGGCAAGUUGAAUUUCUUGUACAAAUUAGAGUCUUUGUGGUGUUCUCAAAUUUAUGGUGGUUAGUUUUAGGCCUAGGCUCUAUGUCUUCCAUAGCCAUUUCAUAUGGUGGGAAUGACCCUGUUUUGUUUUGUGUUUUUUUUUUUUUUUUUUUUUUUUUUGUGGUCUAAAAUCAGACGGGUCUCAUCUUGUAACUCGUUAUGGAUCAAAUUCUGCUAUAAUCUAUGGAACCCCCUGUCUAUUUCCCCUUUUUGGGACUAACUGCCGGGGACGACUUUGUGUGCUAGCUCUUGAUGAAUUUCAACCAGACUUACUGCUGGGGAAGUAGUCGUUAUGUUUAAAUGGGCUAAGAAUUUAGAAGUUAGUGCAAGCAAUUACCAUUUAUGUGGAUUGAGAAAACUCUUGACAGGUAGGCUUGGGAACUUUUCUUUUGUUGAUUGUUGGGGAGCAUCUCUGUUCACGCUGGCAUGUUGCCAUAAAAGAGACAGUUUGUACCUUUGAAAAGGGCUCCAAUCACGCACCAUGAGGACCAGAGAGGGAGAUAAAAUUAAUAGUGAAGAAAAGGUAUUAUAGAAGUGGUUGUUAGUGGACAUAUUUGAAUUUUGGUGGGAAUAAAAGAAUGUUCAGAAUAUUUAGAGGGAAGUCUUUAGAACUUUGGGGUGGCAAGCUGAUUGUGUAUGACUGUUAAUGGUGGAGAGGUAAGUUGAUAGUGCAUGGCUGUGAGGAGAAAAACAAUAAGCACAUGAUCACACCAUCAGAUUUUGAAACCACCAGAUUGCUAGGCACACAUCAGAUUACUGAAUUUUGAGAAUUUGCAUAAGCUUGUGAAAAACAACACUACCAGCUGAAUUUCAGAAAACACACACUAGCCAAAUUGAUGAAGAAAGCGCAGACAGCUGCAUAGAGAAGGAGACCACUAGGUUGCGACUAUAAGCACACACACAUCAGCCAUACUUUCACUCUCAUCACACACAACUCAGCCUGCUUCACUCACUUUCAGCACACACCACUUUGUUUCUUUAGGAAAUUUCUUCUUUUGGUUGUAUGAUUUUAUGUGAUUAUUUGCGUUUGUUAGUGAUUCAAAAUGCUUAUCAAUGUAGCUUUCUAAAAAAGUUAAUUCUAAAUUUUUGAAAUUCAUCUUAGACAUUGUUAGGUUAUGAAAAUUCAAUUUUCCAAAAUUCAUGCAACCAAUUUUAUUCGGCAUGCAUAUUUGAAAAAAAAAAAAGUUUUAAAAGGAAUUUUGGUUUUGAAUAUAUGUGAAUUAAAUUUCAUCUCUCCAAUCAAUGGAGUCUUUAUGGAUAAAUUUGUGGAAAUUAAAAUGGGAUUUAAUUGAUCCUUACAUACAUGGUUUUUCCAAAACAUAGUUUUUCAUUGAAAUUGUGGAUAGUUUACUAUACUUCUGCAUUCGUAAAUUGGAAUCUAACAAUUUAGAAACCCUUUUAAAUUUUCCUAACUAUUCUAUGACAUUAUAGAAUCCUUGAACUUGAUUUUAGAAUUUUUUUGGGUUAAAUAUGGUUUUCCAAUUAGAAGAUAUAAAUUAAUUUUUUAGAAGGUUCAUUUUUCACUCUGUUUUUAACACUUAGUUUUGUUUCACAAAAUUAAAUUACUAAACAAUCUCUUUAAUUUGUUUGAACAUUUUAAUAAUAAUCUAGAAUUCUUAAUUUAAAUUUUGACACAUAAAAAAUUAUUAAAUUAUUUUUGAAAUAAUAUAUAUAAUUUUUUAUUCUUGCACCCACUACAUGAGUGCUCUUUUGGAGCUGAGAGAUGUUUAUUUAUUUUUAAAUAUAUUAUAAAUGUGUUAUUUCCUUAUAAUUAUUUUUCAUAUAAAAUAUACACAUUAAUAUAUUUGUGUACAUUUUUGUAUGAUUUUAAGACAUUUCAAAGUUAAUUAGAAAAAUCAAUUAUUGAAUACCUUAAAAAGAUGCCCUAUUCUAGACCUAUUAUCAUCAUUAUGAAAUCUGGUACUAAACGAGGGUUGGUUAACUAAUUUGGCCACUUAGAUGAUAAACUAAACAUAUAGGAGAUGUUCUCUGAAAAUUUUCAUAAUAAAACUUAACUUCUAGAUAUUUGUUUUAGAUUUAUUUUUUACAGUCUUCUGUUCUGAUCAUUUGCUGACCUUUUUUUGUGAAUAAAAAUUGAUAUUAAUUGGAAUAUAAUUGAUUAAUUUAGCCAAUUGGAAGUUAAUUUGGACAUGUUAAAGAUGUUAUCUGAUUUUUAUUUUAGUGAGAUAGUCUUUCUUGAUAUUUACUUGAAGUUUAUUUUGUGAACCAAUAUUCUACCCUUUUAAUGAUAUUUCCUUUGCUUUUGAUAAUUUGGUAACUUUUGAACAUGCUUAUGAAUUUCCUUGAUUUGAGGCAUGCUAAGUGUAUAUAUAUAUACAUAUAUACACAUAUAUACACAUACAUGUUGAGAUAUUAGGAAUGUUUUCCUUAUAUCAUUCUUUCCUUAUAUCAUUAAGUGUUGAGAUAUUAGAAAAGUUAAGAUAUUAGGAAUGUUGAGAUAUUAGGAAAGUUGAGAUAUUAGGAUAUUAGUUGUUCUUUCCUUGUAUCAUUCUUUCCCAUUCUUAGAAUGGUGAUUACCCUCUAUAUAUACUUUGUACAUGAACGAAUGAAAUAAUGAAUGAAAAAACUACCAUUUAUCAAUUUGAAGAUGGUAUCAGAGCCAUGGAACUGAAAUCCUGGAUAGUUUGUCACUAUGGCAGUCCGACAGCGAUCAACCAUCCUAAGACAAGCCCUAAUAUUGAUAAGUCAACCUUCAAAUGCACUCAUUGCAAUAAGACUGAUCCCACCAUAUCCCACAAUUUCAAAGCAAUGACUCUUGGUAUGAUUAGGAAAACAAUGAGGAACCAAGGGUUUGUACCAUGGACCUUUAGAUCAUGUUUAGGCUAUCACCAUUUUGUUAUUAAUGAUAAUAAUUGUGAUCAAUGGAAGAAGGAUUCCAAGAAAACCUCGACUGCAACUGUUAUUGAAAUGAAAACAAAGGUUAAUGUUGCUGAGAAAGGCUCUACGUUGGUAGCCGCUACAGAUUAUGGUGGUAAGUUUUUAAAUACUUCUACACCUGUUAUUAAUAGUGCAUGGAUAAUUGAUUCCGUUGCUACAGAUCAUAUGACUUUUGAUUCUAGACAGGUUUCACCCCUUAGACCUUCCUCACAAAAAAUUGUUUCCACGGCCAAUAGUAACACAACCCCAGUCAUUGGGAAAGGAUCCUUAACUUUUACUAACACUUUGAAUUUGGAUUCUGUUUUAGUUGUUUCAUCUUUAGAUUACAAUCUUUUGUCAGUUUCUCAAAUCACUACAGCCUUAUCUUGUAUUGUCAGUUUUUGGCCUGAAUUUUGUGUUAUUAAGGACAUCCAAACAAGACAGACGAUUGGUUGUGGUAUUAAGCGGGGAAAACUCUAUUACUUGGACUUGCAGUCAAAGGAUUUAAAUAAGUUGCAACAAGCCUUGAUGGCAGAUGGAUCUGAGGGGGAGAAGAAAAAGUCUGAAAUUUGGUUGUGGCAUCGACGUCUAGGACAUGCUUCCUUUGGUUAUUUAAAAAAAUUGUUUCCUAUUUUGUUUGCAAAUAGUGAUAUUUCUAGUUUCCGUUGUGAUAUUUGUGAAUUGGCUAAAAGCCAUCAUGCUUCGUUUCCAUUAAUUUUGAAUAAAAGUUCGCUUCCUUUUAUGGUUAUAUAUUCUGAUGUUUGGGGCCCAUCCAAAGUCCCAACUUUAAGUGGCUCGUGUUGGUUUGUUACUUUUAUUGGAUUGUACCAGAAUGACCUGGUUAUGCUUGAUGAAGACCAAAGAUGAAGUGAACUUGUUGUUUCAAAAAUUUCAUAAAAUGAUUGAAACUCAAUAUAAUGGUGGAGAAUAUCAGAGUUCUGAUCUUCAAAAGUAUUUGGAAGGACAUGACAUCAUUCAUCAGACUACUUGUUCCAAUACACCCUAACAAAAUGGAGUCGCUGAACGGAGAAAUCGGCACUUGUUAGAGGUUGUUCAUGCUUCCUUGAUAGCAGCAAAAAUACCGAUAUCUUAUUGGGGAGAAGCAAUCACAUCUGCCGCAUACUUGAUCAAUCAGGUACCUUCAAGCUCAAUUGACUUCCAAACACCUCUCCAAGCUCUUACUAAUGUCGUAGUUGCCCCAAUCGUCACAAAUCUACCUCCUCGUGUUUUUGGUUGUGUGGCAUUUGUGCAUCUACACAAGCACCAACGCACCAAGUUAACUUCCCAUGCAUUGCAAUGUGUGUUUGUUGGAUAUGCAUUGCACAAAAAGGGAUAUCGAUGUUACCAUCCUCUAACUCGACGAAUGUUUAUUACAAUGGAUGUGGUGUUUCAUGAAGAUUUGAUAUAUUUUUCAUCUAAGUCUGAACUUUAGGGGGAGUAUCAUAAGGAAAUUCAGACUCUCGAUUAUGAUUAUAUAUCUCUAAGGAUGAUGAAUUUGGACAAUCUGAACUAGUGAACCAGGAAGCGGGUGAAUUGGAUAUGAGUGGUACAACUCUAAAACCAAGUAGUAAUGACCACCCAAAAGCUGAAGAAGUGAUAGAAGAGGGGAGAGACAGUACAAUUCAACCAUAUAAACAAUUUGGGUCCGAAGAUGCCUUCAUUGAAAUACCAAACCAAUCGUCAUCUACUAAGGGUGUUCUUAAUUUGGAACCUGAUCCAUUCAUGAAACGGUUACCACACCGUCAUAAUAGAGGUAUUCCUAAACCCACAUAUGAACCUGAAUUGUCUACCAAAGUCAAAUAUCUCAUGAGCAACUAUGUGUCUAACCAUCGUUUGUCUGAAUCAAAUAAGUCAUUUAUAAAUCAAUUAUCUACUGUAGCUAUUCCUAACAGUGUGCAGGAAGCCUUAGCUGAUCCAAGGUGGAAAGCAACCAUGAAUGAAGAGAUGAAAUCAUUGUAGAAGAAUGAAACAUGGGAACUUGUAGAAUGUCCACCAGGAAAGAAGCCAGUUGGGUGUCGUUGGAUCUAUACUGUGAAGUACAAGGCAAAUGGUAGUAUUGAACGAUUUAAAGCAAGACUGGUAGCAAAAGGGUACACUUAAACUUAAGGAAUUGACUACAUAGAGACAUUUGCACCUAUAGCUAAGAUCAACAUAGUUUGAGUAUUAUUGUCUUUAGCUGCAAACCUGGAUUGGCCAUUACAAUAGUUCGAUGUUAAAAUGCCUUUCUACAUGGCUAGUUAUCUGAAGAAGUAUAUAUGGAUCUUCCACGAGGAUGCAUGGUCUCAGAAAAGCAAUGUUAAAAGGUGUGCAAAUUGAAGAAGUCGUUGUAUGGGUUGAAGCAAUCCCCGAGAGCAUGGUUUGGAUGGUUCACAAAGUCAAUGAGAGCUUUUGGCUAUUGUCAAAGUAACUCAGAUCACACUUUGUUCCUGAAAAAACAUGGUAAGAUUACAACACUCAUCGUAUAUGUGGAUGACAUGGUAAUUACAGGAAAUGAUCCUGAAAAAAGAAAAACUCUGCAGAAUUAUCUAUCUAGAGAAUUCGAAAUGAAAGAUCUAGGCCCUCUGAAAUACUUUCUUAGGAUUGAAGUUUCUCGAUCAAGUGAAGGAAUUUUUCUGUCUCAAAGAAAGUAUGCCUUAGAUCUUUUACAGGAGACUGGAAUGUCGGGAUGUCAACUUGUUAAUACACCAAUAGAAGAAGGUCUGAAAUUGUGUGUUGAGCCUAAUCAAGUAUCAACCGAUAAGGGAAGAUACUAGAGACUUGCGGGCAGAUUAAUGUACUUAGCUCAUACAAGACCAGAUCUUGCUUAUGCAUUGAGUGUAGUGAGUCAAUACAUGCAUAAUCCUAGAGAGCAACAUAUGAAUGCAGUCAUGCGUAUUUUGAGGUAUUUGAAGAAUGCUCCUAGGAAGAGAAUUUUGUUCGCUAAAAAUGUUGAUCAUCAGAGUAUAGAAGUAUAUAUUGAUAUUGAUUGGGCCAGUGCAGUGGAUGAUAGGCGAUCUCCAUCUGGUUACUUUACCUUUGUAGGUGGUAAUCUUGUGACAUGGAAAAGUAAGAAGCAGAAUGUCGUCACUCGUUCAAGUGCAAAAGCGGAAUUUAGAGGUAUGGCUCUAGGACUUUGUGAGGCAUUAUGGCUAAGACUCCUCUUAUAGGAUUUAGGUUACCUAUCUAGGCAACUAAUUUGAUUGUUUUGGGACAAUAAAGCCACAUGUGACAUUGCUCAUAAUCCAAUACAACAUGACCGUACAAAGCAUGUCGAGGUGGAUAGAUUCUUCAUUAAGGAAAAGUUGGAUGAUAAGAUUGUGGAAUUGCCUAAGAUUCGAUCAGAAGAUCAAUUGGCCGAUAUCCUCACCAAAGCUGUCUCAAGUCAAGUGUUCUCAAAAUUUUUAGACAAGUUGGGCAUGUGUGACAUCUAUUCACCAACUUGAGGGGGAGUGUUGAGAUAUUAGGAAUGUUUUCCUUAUAUCAUUCAGUGUUGAGAUAUUAGAAUAUUAGUUGUUCUUUCCUUAUGUCAUUCUUUCCUUGUAUCAUUUUUUUCCAUUUUUAGAAUGAUGAUUACCCUCUAUAUAUACUCUAUACAUGAACGACUGAAAUAAUGAAUGAAAAAACUACCAUUUAUCAAUUUGAAGAAUACACACACAUAUGUGUGUGUGUGUGUGUGUGUGUGUGUGUGUGUGUGUGUGUGUGUGUGUAUGUAUAUAUAUAGAUUUAGUUUGUGAUUAUUCUUUAAUCUCAUUAUUAUUAUUUUUAAGUUAACCCCAUUUUUAUAGAAGCGUUAAUACUUUCUACUCAGGUACACUCUCUAUCUUCCCAUUUCAAAGUUCCAUGAAUAUGUAUGUCAUUGGAAACUAUAUCCAUGUUUGAUAUUGACUUCGGGUGCCUUGAUGUUCAUUUGAUUUCCUCUAAUAAAAUGCAUGUUGAGUGAUAUAAUCCUUGAACUAACUUUGGUUUUUUGUGAUAGCAUUUAAGUUAUAGAUCCAGGUACACAUAUUAUCAUUUCUUUAUGAUUGUGGUUUGAAUACUAGUUUGGCAUGUUAGAAUUAGCCGAGUUUUCAAAUCACCUUAGCCUACCUGAGUAUCCUCAAUCAACUAACUAAUUGUCAUAUUUCCCUCAACUCAGCUAGUAGAGAUCAUUUUAAGGCUCAAAGGAGUGUUACCUCUUUGGAGGUACUUUCCCGAUAGGUAACCUGAUCCUUGGACCCAAACUUUAGUUUUUUGCAGAUAGCUUUUCCAAAAGUCAGGAGUCAUUUUAAAGGUUUUGUUCUUACUUGAUUUCCCAUUUUAUAAAAAAAAAAAAGUAAGUGGUUACUCCAUUUUUUACAAAAAUAUAAUUUUUCAUUAAAAGAAUGCGAGUCUCACCAUUGAGUGAGGAUGCAUCAUGAAAAAGGCAGGUCCACAUAUUAUAUUCUAGUUCAUCAUAUUUACUUGGAAUUUCCAUUUAUGUGGCUUAUUUUUCUUUAACCAUUAGCCAAGUGGGAUGUUCUAGAAGUUUUUAUGAGGGAAUUAAUCGAAGUUGGAACAAUGAAAGAUGCUUGUUAGAAACCUUGAAGUAAAUUUCAAUGUCCCUUACUUUUUCUAAUCGAUAAAAACAAAGAUAGCUAAGGUAAAAUUAAUUUUUAAAAACUAGAUACAAAACCUUUCUUUUUCUAUUUUUAAAUUUUUCAAGAUGAAAUUUACAUCACAUGUGACUUUUUAAGCUGAGAUUGAAUAAUUUGCUUUUAGAUAACUUCAAUUUCCUUUUUUUUUUUUUUUAGUUCUUGUUCCCUAUAUGGUUGUUAGUAACAAGAUUCAAAAACUUAUCUAGCACCUAAUACGUCUAAGAUUCGUUCUUCUUUUUUUUUUUUUUAUCUUUUUUUUUUUGUUAUGAACAAAUAGAAGAUUUUCUUUUUGUUUCAUAAUGGCAAAUUGAACCACCAAGGUCUAAGAUUCCCUUUUCUUAUUGAUGAUGAAAUAGAAGAUUUUCUUUUUAUUUUAUAAUGACAAAUUGAACCAACAAGGUAUUUGACCUUGAAAAUUUGUUGCUUACUAACUUCUCUAGCUAAGAGCUUAUUUAGGAAAAAAUUUUAUUCUUACUUUCAAAUCCCUACAUUUUGAAACUAAUCCCACGUUGUUGUUUCCGUAGAACAUAUUCUUUCUUUAAUGCUAGAAAAGUAUCUUUUUUUUUUUGUUAUUUUAUGAUUUGAAAUAAAUGAUGAAUAUUCUAUUAAUUAUCUAGAAAUAACUUAUUUAUUUUUUGUUGCUUUUUUUUUUUUUUUAUAAUCAUAAAGGUGGUACAAGUGGCAUCAAAGUAAAAGGCAAAUCUAAAGCUCCCUUCUUCAUUAAAAUAAUUAUUCUAUUCCUGAUUUUUUUUUCAGUAUAUCUCUUUGACUAUAACUACUAGUUGUUAUAUAUUGUAGCCAAUGUACAUAAUAUUUAAGCCAUAUAAAAACUUAAUAACUGAUAUACACUCAAUUCAAUGGGUGUUUGAUUCCUAGAACAAUAUGGGACCUAUUAAAGAGUUCUUCCAACAAAAACAAGAAAAAAAUUAGUCUUACAUUUUUAUUUUUAUUUUUUUGUUAUUUAACAAAAUACUUGAACAUUUGUUGAGUUAUAUUUUAUGGAUGUAUUUGUUAAUAUUUAGGAAAUAACAAUCUUAUUAUUAAUCUAUUUUUUCUUCUAAACAUUCAAACACAAACUUAAAACUAAUGUAGCUUUUUUUUUUUACUUGCAAUUGGUUAGGUGACAUACAAGAGCAAUGAUUUUGAGAGUCCAAGAUCAUGUGCAAGCUUUAUCUUUCUUUUUAUCUAUCUAUCUAUCUAUCUAUCUAUCUAUAAUGUACAAUCGUUUGAUUUGUAUUUUUUUUUUUAAACACCUGAGUGUUUAUCUUUUAAAAUCUAAGUGAAAUCAUGUAUAGGUUUUUUCAUCAUGUAUAUUGUUAGAUUUCUUGAAUAUAUUUGGGUAUAUUGGUUAUCUAUGUAAUUGAAAUUAAUUUAUAAAUUUAAAAUUGAUAUGUAUUUAUAUUUAAAAAAAAUGGAAUUUAUAAGAGUUUAAAAUUGAUGGUAGUGGCCACCUUCCUUUCUCAAAAUUCCAAUCUCGGAUCUCCAAUAUUACAUGUCUUCAACCGCUUUCCUAAUGAUUUUCCGCUUUAAAAAUAAAUCCAACCUUCGCAUAAACAUUUUUUAAAAUAACAACCAUUUCAUUCCCAUUUACACAGCCAUUAAAGCUUUCCAUUAAAACAUUUUUUUUAUUAUAAAAAAUUCAACCACCAUUUACAUGCAUACCAUUGGAAACUUUAUUGAAGCAUUUUAAAAAAUAACUACCAAAACUAUUUAUGUACAUGACAUAUUAAGAAUUUUAUAUUGAGACAUUUUAAAAAAUUAAUUUACGAAAAUUCUAUUUAGCAGAUUAAAAAUUUUAUAAUGAAAUAUUUUAAAAAAUUAACUUACCAAAAUUCUAUUUAGGUACUUGACAUUAAAAAUACUUUAAAAAAGUAACUUAUCAAAUUUUUACUUAUGUACAUGAUAUUAAAAAUUUUAUAUUGAAACAUUUAAAAAAAAUUAACUAACCAAAAUUUUACUUGCCUACAUGACAUUAAAAUUUUAAAUUUAAAAUGAUUUACAAAAAUUAACUUAUCAAAAUUUUACUUACAUACAUCACAUUAAAAAUUUUAUAUUGAAACAUUUAAAAAAAUUAACUUACCAAAAUUUUACUUACAUACAUGACAUUAAAAAAAUUUAUAUUGAAACAUUUUAAAAAGAAUUAACUUACCAAAAUUUUACUUACAUAUAUGACAUUAAAAAUUUAAAUUUAAAAUACUUUACAAAAAUUAACUUAUCAAAAUUUUACUCACAUACAUCACAUUAAAAAUUUUAUAUUGAAACAUUUAAAAAAAUUAACUUACCAAAAUUUUACUUAUGUACAUAACAUUAAAAAAUUUAUAUUGAAAUAUUUUAAAAAAAAAUUAACUUACCAAAGUUUUAGUUACGUACACACCACUAAAAAAAAUAUAUAUUAAAAACACUUCAAAAAAAAAUUCUUACCAAAAAUUAAGUGAACUUUUACAAAGCAUCUAAGUAACCUACACCAAAAAAUUGUCCAAGUAAAAUCUAACCUAAAAAGUGUUAGGAUAAAACCCUUAAAAGCAUAACAUGAUAUAAUAAAUUUGGAAUUCAUUAUUUAUUUAAUGAUAUUCCAGUUUUACUUUUAUCUAUCCUUAUUCCAUAUAUAAUACUUUAUGACCAUUCUUGCCUACUUCUUUUGCAUUGUACGUGACUUAGGUGCAUUAGGAGUUGCACAGAAGAUCUAAGUCAUGGGUUCUUUGCAAAUAGAUGACUUGUUCACAAUCAGUUCAUGGACCUAAGCAACCCAUUAGAGGCUGUAGUGCACCACCUCCUAAUUGGAGGGAUGGCUAGUUUUGGCUAUUGGGAUGAGUUUCCCAUGGUGAGAGUAGUAGUGUGUAUUGUUACACAUUGGACAAGACCUAUGGUGAGUUAUGACUUAACGCUAUCAAGUAGUCAUGACUCCACCAAGCUGCUUCAUUGUAUUGUCUCUCAACCUUGAGAGAAUAUUGAGUUUGUGUUGAAGUUAGCAGUAGCUUUGACCUACAGGCGAGAUCGUAAGUUGAUCAUAUAUUCCCUAUGGAUUGGGUCAUUAUUGAUGGAAGUUGGUAACAAUAGGUAUUCUCAAUAGAGGCACCAUGAUAUCUCUUGAGAUUGAGAUAGUGUGUCCCUUUGGGUGAUUCGAAGGAGGUGUGUUUAUGGAAACUAUGGUCAUAGUAGUUCCUUAAGUGGAACUUGACAUAGGCUCUUUGAGAGCUAAGAUAUGUUCAUUGAACACAUAAUAGGAGGAUUUGUAACUCAAGGGUAGUAGAGGUAGUCUUGAAAGACUAGUAGCUUUUACCUUGUUAAACUACAAACAUCAGUUCAUAGGGAGACUGAACACAAUGGAUAGCAGGUCACGAACUUGAGCACUUGGUGUCUCAUUGUUAUUUACAUAAGAUAUUGGAGUUUAGUUGAUUCUCUAUAGUGGGAUGUUGAAUCAACUUUAUAAUUAGAUUAUGAGGGAGCCAGUAUUCCCAUGGGUCCCAAUGGUCCCCGCUUUGAGCUCAUAUACCUUGUUGGCAUGGAUGAGGGUCAGAUUGGCUCUAGGUUCACUUUUAUGCAUAAGAGCGUUUUGGUAAUUACAUAAGGUUGCAUAAGGAUAAGUGAACAAGGUCUCUAGAUUGGGCUAAUUGAUUAAUUUGUAGGCCCUAUUGGGUUAAUUAAUCAAUUGAAACCCAUUUUGGGCUAGAUUAAGUGAUUCAAGCCCAUGUGGGCUCAAGUCACUUAAGCCCACUUAGGAAACUUAUAAAUACCCCCUAGGGGUUAGGGUUUCCAUAGCUUUAGUCUUCCACCAUAUAGAGAAAUAGAGAACCAUUGCCUCCACCCUCUUUUCCUCCCCACUGGAAGUGCAUCAAGAUUAAGGUUCGAGUCAUUAGGCGGAAGAUCGUGGGUUUACGAGAUCUACUACAACUUUGGAAUUAUCUACAUCGAUUAAAAUCGAUCCGAGAACAUUCAGAUCAAAGGUAUGUGGCUUUAUUCUCUAGAUCUAUGUUUUUUAUGGUAUUCUUAUUGUUUUUAAAUACUUAUUUAUCUGUUGCGAUAGAUUUAAAGAGUCUGGGAUAGAUUUGCAUGCACCCUACACAAUUCAAGGCAUGGGAACGGAGUAAUCUGAAGUUCCCAACAAAAAGUGCCUUGGUGAACUAAACUUAAGAAAUGCAUCUAAGUGAAGCCUCACCUAAGCUCAAAGGGCGAUCAAGGUCAUAAUGAGGGUCUAAAUGAGAGCCCUUUAACAAAGGGUUCCUAAAGGUGGCUUAGAAAAGGAAGUUGUAUAAGUGUCAAUGAUCCACCAGGGAACUACUAUGGAAUACUGAAAGAGCACUUAAUAGGGUCUAUGCUAAGAGAGCAAAAUGUCAACACAUAUUCAUCUAUACAAGAUCCAAAGAUUGGUCAAGUUUGGAAUAUUACACAUUUUGAUUCUAGAGGAUCUUCUACUUUAUGAAUUCUGUAUAGAAGGUAAAAUGACCAAAAGGCUCUUUGUUGUUAAAGAAGUUAGAACCAAAAAAUGUUUGGUGUUAAUGCAUACUAAUGUGAGUGAGCUUAAUGAAUACUAAUGGGUACAGGCCUUUUAACGUUCAUGAGUGUGAAGGGUAUGAAUAUUUCAUUAUCUUCACUAAUGAUUACUCUAAGUAUGCUUAAGUUUACCUUAUGUAUAGGGAAUAUAAUGCCUUAGAUAAAUUCAAGGAAUUUAAAGUGGAAUUGAAAAAGUAGUUAGGUAAACAUGUCAAGGCACUUUGAAUUGAUUGAGGUGGUGAGUAUAUGUCAAGUGAGUUUCUAUGAACUAGUUGUUAACAACUAAUUAAGUUACAAGGAACCAAACUCAAGAUAUCACCCAUAGCUUAAAGCUAUUGAAGACCUUAGCACUCAAUCAAUAUUCUUUCAAGGUUGAAAGUCUAUGCAACAUAGUAACUUGGUGAAGUCACAACUACUCGAUAGCCAAUGUCAUAACUCACCAUAGGUUUUGUCUAAUAUGUAACCAUACACACUAGUAUACUCAUCAUAGGAAACUCAUUUAGAUGAUCAAGACAAGUCAUCCCUCCAAUGAAAAAGUAAUGCACUAUGACUUCCAAUGGAUUGCGUAAAUCCAUGAACUAGUUUUUAACAACUAAUGAAGUUGUAAGGAACCUAUAACUUGAAUCUUUCAUGCAACUCCUAAUGCACUCAAGUCAUGUACAAUACAAGUAAUGUAAACCUUAAAGAUAAUUAGUAAUAAUAUAUUAAUGGAUGGAAAAAUAAAAACUAAAAUCAUAAUAUUUAAAUAUAUUAGUGAAAUCUUAUUUUGUUAUAUCAUGUCAUACUGCUAAGGGCUCUAUACUAAUAGCUAGUCCCAAAAUAGUUAUUUCUUUGUGUUAGAGUAACAAACAAUCUUAUUUUGUUACAUCAUGACAUACUUUUAAGGGCUCUAUUAUAACAUCUAGUCCCAAAAUAGUUAAUUCUUUGUGUUAGAGCAUCUUGUUGGAGUAUUAAGAAAUGAUACAAUGUUGGUGGGGGAUUCUCAGGUUACUAGAUGGGAGAGAGUGAAUAAGGCAAAAUAGAGAAUGAGUCACCUAAUAUUUUUAUUCAUAGUUAGGAUUAUUGCAUAGUUGCUAAUGAUUACAAAAAUUAAAAUACAUGUUGUUAUAUGUUUGCCUUAAUUUGAUUCACUCUACAGAGGAUAUACAUGGAAUGAACAUAAACUUUCCCAUUGAGUUAUAAACUCACCCUAUCCUUUCCACGCUCACUAAAAGUCAGGGGACACUUAUCGGAAAUGAUGCUUGAACUUUUCAUGUGCUGCUAAUUAGAUGUUGUUUUGUUCAUAUUAAGACUUUUUUUUUUUUUUUGAGGUCUUUUCCUUUCCACCAUAGGAUGACUGGAUCAUUUUAGAGAUAGGUAGUUUAUGUUAUUUAUUUUUUUAUUUGUAAUAUAGGUCACCCUUAGUGGACUAUAGGGAUUAAUACGUGCAAAGUAAUGUUGUAUAAGAUUUGGUUAUGCUAAAUGAAGUAUACUUAAAGAUUUGUCUAAAAGGGUUUGAUCCUAGUAUACAUAUUUCUUUAUACAAGUCUCCACAUCCUUAUUUUAUAUAAGAAAAUUUCAUGAAACAUAGCAUCUUCUUUGUCUUAGUUAUGAGAGCACUAGUUGAGUCUGGUAUUUAUAUGACUGGUUAGUGAGACCGAAAUCAUGGGCAUGACAAGUAUCUCAAUUAAACCUUAAUUGAAAAAUAUUCCCUGCUUUGAAAAUAGUUCAACCAAAAUUUUUUCAUUAAGGGGCAAAGAAUAUGCAAAGUAAAGUUAUAGGUAACUCUCCAAUCAUUAUAUAUUUUCAUUUUAAACCAUUAAAUCCAAGACGAAACAUAAAUUAAUUAAUUAAUUAAAGUGGUGUUUGUAUGCACUUCCUAUUCUUUAUUUUUAAAAAUAAAAACUCUUGUAUAAAAGGAAGAAAUUUACGUUGUGCUCCUCAAAACUCCUCAAAAUUUAACAAAUUUUUGCAAUUGGAAUUUUUUUUACUUUUUUAGAUGUUAAAUUUUUUAAAGGUGUUUUAAUAUAUAGAUGAUAUAUAGCUACUUUUUAUAUAAGAAAUCUUAUCAUUUGUAUAGAAUUUUCUAUCUUUUUUUUUAAAAAAAAAAAAAAGAAUAAAAAGUUUUAUCAUCAUAUGCAAAAAUGUUGGCUUACAAAAUAAAUUUACUUUAAAAAGUCGGCAAGCUGAUAAAAAAUGAAUAUUUUUAUGCGCAGUACUCAGUGGAAGUUCCACACACAUAUAUACAUAUAUAUAAUGAAUCCAUUUUACUGUGUGCUCCUAGAAAAAAACAUCUCCAAAUUCCCAACAUCAUCACCAAUCAGAAUUGCAUGACGUCCUGUGGACUGUCACACUACCAAGCAUCAGCAUGAACCUCUUUCUUAUGCUUUAGUUUCCUUGCUUUUCUUUUUCUUUCUUUAAUGCCCUGCUUUGUAUUCUUGUCCAUUUUUGCUUCGACCACAAGAAAAGCCUAAGAAUAUGUAUGUGGGUACUGUGUUAAUUGUGAGAGUUGGGAAAUAGGUUUUCACAGCCAUUGCCAAAAAUAAAAAAGUCAGCAUAUAUUCUUCUGUUUUUGCAGAACACAUUCAUGGAUGAAUUGGAAAAAGCAGAGGAUGACAUCCCCCUCCAUCCUUAUUUUCAAAAAAUUCAAGAGGUUCUGGAAAGUGAAAGCAUCACGCCAUCAACACCCAUUAGAAUGAAGGAUUGUCUUCACAAUCUCAGCGCAUUGCAUUGACAGACUGUAUCAUGCUCUUGGAGAAGCGCAAAAUCAAAGGCAAUAGGGAUUCCUCAAAUGGGCAAGGCCAUUACUCUCUGCCCGAGCCAUGGUUUCUGUUCAGAACAAAAAGGAAGUUGAUUCGCAUCAAGAAAAAGCUUGUUGCGACAGGCCACCCAGUACUAGUGCAGACUUCUCCUCCUGCCAUCACCCACGUUGCCAAAACUUCUUCUUCUUCUUCUAGCUCUUUAUCAUUUGGACCACCAGUGGAUUUCGUAUUCUAUAUGUAUGAUGCUUAUGGAUUUGACGAACAAAAGGAAAAAAAUGAAAUUUGUUUAUGGGUUCAAACGAAUUGGACAAAAGGAUCGAUUUACCUAGGACAUUGGAAUUGUGGGGAUUGGGGGUUGCGGUAAGACCACUCUAGCCAGAAUGUAUGUUAUUCUACAACUGUGAUGUAGCAUUGCAUGAACACUGUGAUGCAGCUCUUUAUCAUUCAUUCAUGCACAAAUGAAAUGAAUAUCACAUAUUGAAUGAUGUUUGGCAUUGGAAGUGGAAAGUAAUUGAAGGAAGAAGGUGAAUAGUUUAUUAGAGUCAUUUUCAGUCUCUCUUCUUCCCUUGGAAGUUUGCUAUACUUACAUAUCAUCCAUUGUUUAUGCGUAUGAAUGAUUUUGGAGGUGCCAUCACCAUAUGUUCAUGAAAAGUGAAAAUAUACUGAAAAUUCUUAUGGGUAGUUCUCACUCCAUGGAAUAAUAUGUGGACUGAUAAACAUCAUCCACAUGUUACAGGGGAUUCUAGUUAGGUGGUGUUUGUUUCUUUAAUUUAAUGUUAAAUCUAAUUUGCUUUCGGAAUUUAGAUUAUUUGUUUUUAAUUUUUUUAUUUAUUAUUUAUUUUAAAAAUUUUUUUACUAAAUAAAAAAAGACAAAAUAUUUAGUUUUUUUGUUGAAUGCUAAAAAUAACUUUAUGAAAUAAUUAAAAUAUAAUCUUAAUAUAACUCUCACCCUAUUAGUAUAUAAUACUUAAUAAAAAUAAAAAAAUAAAAAAAUAAUAUAGUACUCAAUACUAUUAAGUUGUCUUUGGAUUUAAGUUAAAUUCAAUUUUAUUUAGAUUUAAAUGAAAAAACAAACAAAAAAACACCACCUUACACAGAGUACUUUCUUUAUAAAAAUGAGAGAAAAAGAGAGUUAAAAAGAGUGUUUUCUUCAUCUUGACCAAAUUUUAAAAAAUCACUUUUAAAAAAUUUAAAGAAUUACUUCAAGUAAAUUUGGAAUUCACAAUCCAUUUUGCUAAAAGAAUCGUUCAAUUAUAUAAUCCAUAAUUUGACUAGUUUUAACACCAAUUCUAUACAUUGCAUGAAGUUGAACCUUAUCCAAAUUACUUAGUAUUCAAUGAGACUAAAUAAAUUGCGUAUCAAUUGCACUAACCAAAGGAUGAUCAUGGUCCCCACUAAACUCUUUAACAAUUCCUUUUUCCAAUUUUCUAUUAAACCUAAUAUGAAAUGCAACUUCACAAUCAACUCUAGUAAAUGAUCUUGGCUCACAUUAUCUAUUUUCAUUUUGAAAACACUUUAUUAAUUGACGUCCUUCUUCAUAACAAACCCAUUUUAGAGAUAUAAUAUGUUCAUUCUUAUAACGUUUCAAAUCAUCUUUUUGAACAUUAAAUCUGAUCACUUUAACAUACAUGUUGUAAAAUGUUUUUGCUUUAUUUAUAUAAUUAAAUUCCUAUUUACACACUUCUUGAUUUGAAAUAUUAUUUAACACCUUGUAGACCCUGUCAGAUGAAGGGGUUUUAUUUAUUUAUUUAUUUUAUUAUCUUUUUCUUACCACCCCGAGGAUGAGCCGUUUGGACGGCCGGAGAGGACUGAUGUGUGGGCUGCUGGGGGAGACCAGAUGGGACGGAAAGACAACGGGAGCAGAGGCGUUUUGGGGGGGGGGGGGGGGGGGGCCGGUUUAAAAAAAAAAAAUUUUUUUUUUGGGGGGUGGGGGAGAUUUUUUUUUUUUUUAGGGGGUUUUUUUUUUAGUUGGGGAAAAAACUUUUUGGGAAAAAAACCAAACCUUUUUUAAAAAAAAAGGAAAAAAAGGUUUUCCAAUUUUUACAAAAAAAAAACCCCUCCUUUUUGCCCCCGGAAAAUUUUUGGAAGGCUUUGAUUUCCCCCUUUGGGUUUUUCUCUUUUUUUUUCCCCCCAAUUUGGGGUUCUCCUUGUGCCUUGAAAAAGGUUUUAAAAAAACAAUUUUUCCUUCUUUUUAUUUCCCCCAUCCCCCGGCCCUUUNNNNNNNNNNNNNNNNNNNNNNNNNNNNNNNNNNNNNNNNNNNNNNNNNNNNNNNNNNNNNNNNNNNNNNNNNNNNNNNNNNNNNNNNNNNNNNNNNNNNAGAGAAAGCUUGUUGGAAGAGAAGCAAAGCUAGUUGAGAGAGAUAGGAGAAAUAGGCAUUCCGAGUUUGAGCAGAGGAAGAGCCUGUCGUUUUGGCCCAGGUAUGAUUUUAGCAUGCUUUGCAUUUCCCAUUUCGGUUUGUUCUAUUUCAUUUCCUGCCGAUUUUGGGUUCAUCUUGAUGCUUGAAUAAGGUUUUGAAGAUCACAUUCUUGCUUCCUUUUGAUUCCACCUAUACCCGGCCCAUUGACAUUUAAGGAAUGGAACCAGAUUUAUCUGUGUUAUUUUCCAUUUGCGCAUGCUCUAUUUCUUUUUUACUUUCUUCUCUAUUUCUGGUAUUUUUGGAGUGUUGGGUAUCAUUUUUGGUGGCCCAAAGGAUGAGGACUGCAUCUUCACCAAUAUUUAUGGGUUGCAUGACCCAUUUCUUAAAAGUGCCAUGAAAAUGGGUGGAUGGUACAAGACCGGAGACAUAGUACUCAAGGGUUCUGAUUGGAUAGUAAGUGAAAUGAAGGAAUCUGGUCUCCGUGGACGUGGUGGUGUUGGUCUUCCAUCUGGCAUCAAAUGAUCCUUCGUUCCAAAAGUAUCCAAUGGCCAUCCUUCCUAUCUUGUUGUCAAUACUGAUGAAAGUGAACGAAAAAAUGUAUCUUACAUUGGAUGAGAAGUGAGAAAUGGGGUUGAGCAUCGUGGGCCAAAUGUUUUUCCAGCAGGUUCCAAAUGAAGAAUUUUCUGAGUAAAGAAAUUUACCCAGCUUCUGGUUAGUUUAGCAGCUGGAAACCAAGAAAAUCUCCACCCCAGCAAGUGAUGGUGGGUUGGUAAGAUUUGACAUCUAAGAAGGGUAAGUGCUGGUCUAUGUUAAGAUUUGAAGGGAUGGAUGGGGAGGUUGGCAGCCUAGUGAAGUGGAACCCAGGUGGGAGAAACCGUUCCAUGGUGGUGGUGCAAGCGGGAUUGCAGGAGAUGGUUUCCCACCUCAUGGUUCUCCUGGGCGUUUGAAAGAUUUAAUGGAAAUGGGUUUGUGGUGCCUUUUUUUUAUCUGUUUAUUCCUUAAGGACAUGCUACACAUUGGCCAUGCUAAGGCCAUUUUUUUUAUUAUUAUUAUUAUCUUAGUUUUCUCCAACUUUUGAUGUCAAAAAUUUCAUUUUCAAAAUUUUAAUUUUUCAAAACUCUAGUUUUAAUUUAAUUUUUCAAAGCUCCAAUUUUAAUUUUAAUUUUCAAAACUCCCAUUUUUAAAAUUUUAGUUUUUAAAACUUUGACUUCCCAAACUUUAAUUAUUUUCAAAUUUAUUUUUUUAUUUUUAAAAAACUCCAUUUAUAAUUAAUUCUUCAAAAUUCCAAUCUCCAAAUUUAAUUCCCAAUUUCCGAAAUUCCAAUUUUUCAAUUUCCGAAUUUGAUUUCCAAUUUCCAAAAUUCAAAUUUUCACAUUUAUUUAUUCAAUCAUUAUUAUUUUAUUUAUUUAUUUUUAAAAUUCCAUCUUUAAAUAAUUCUUCAAAAUUCCGAUUUCCAAAUUCAAUUCCCAAUUUCCAAAAUUUCAAUUUUCUGAUUUGCGAAUUUAAUUUCCAAUUUCCAAAAUUCCAAUUUUCACAUUUAUUUAUUCAAUCAUUAUUAUUUUCGUUAUUAUUAUUAUUUUAUUUAUUUAUUUUUAAAAUUAUUUUCAUUAUUAUUAUUAUUUUAUUUAUUUAUUUUUAAAAUUCCAUUUUUAAAUAAUUCUUCAAAAUUCUGAUUUCCAAAUUUAAUUCACAAUUUCCAAAAUUCUGAUUUUCCAAUUUCAAAAUUCAAUUUCCAAUUUCCGAAAUUCCAAUUUUCACAUUUAUUUAUGUAUUAUUAUUAUUAUUUUAUUUAUUUUUUAAAAAACUCCAUCUUCAAAUAAUUUCCAAGAUUCCAAUUUUCAUUAUUUAAUUUUCAUAGUUUCAAUUCUCAAAUAAUUUUCAAAAUUCUAAUUUCUUUCAAAUUUAAUUUCCAAAAUUUCAAUUCUUAAAUUUACUUUUCAAAACUCCAAUUCUCAAAUAAUUUGCUAAUUUCUUUCAAAUUUAAUUUCCAAAGCUCCAAUUUCUUAAUUUAAUUUUCAAAACUCUAAUUCUCAAAUAAUUUUAAAAUUUCCAAUUUCUUUCAAAUUUAAUUUCCAAAAUUCCAAUUCUUAAAUUUAAUUCCCAAGACUUCAAUUUUCAAAUAAUUUUCAAAACUCCAAUUUUCAAAUAAAUUUGAAAAAUCCAGUUUUCUCUUGAACAAUUUUAAUUCCACUCUGGUUCUCAAAUAAUCUUCUGUUUCCCUUGAUUUUACAUAAGCAACAAUGAAUUUUUCAUAAUUCCAAAGCAAUGGAAUUUGUGAGAUUAAUUCAUGCAAAAUAAAUUAGGUUUUGGUGGGGGCCCUACAUAUGAGUUUUCUCUUCUAAUGGUCAAUUGUUAUGCUUAAUGAGAAUUGUCUGAUCUUUGCAUUGCUCUUUGAUAUGCAUGUGAUGAUUUUAUACUUGAGUUGACCCUAUUUCCAUGAUAGCACACUGUUAAUUGCUAUUAAGGUAAAAUCUCAUUCCCGCCUCGCUUAUUCUUAUGCAUAAUUCGCUUUAUUAUUUUAUUAUUCCAUUUUGGUAUCCAUUGAUUUCCUUACCAAUUGUCAUGUUUGCUUCAUCUUAUUAGUAGAGACCCGUUUUUAGGGAGUUAGAGGGGUGCUACAGUCAUUGUCGUACCUUCCCAAUAAGUAACCUAACCCCCGAACCCAGAUUUGGUUUUUCACAGACCACAUUUUCCAAAUAAGGAGUCACACUUAGGGUUUUCUUUCUUAUUUUGUUUACCCUUUAAAAAUAAGUAGCGACUCCAAGUAUUUUCUAAAAAAAAAUCAUAUUUUUCACCAAAAUAAAUAAAAAAACGAGUCUUGCCAUCAAGUGGGAACGCACGUACGAAAAUGCGGGGUCCACAAAAUGGCAACUCCAUUGGGGAGUACAUAGAGGGUCAAACUUAAACUCAAGUUAAGGCAAAUGUGGCAUUUGAUUAGUCGGUUGAUGGAUACCUUUCCUAUGUGCUUCUCUAUGCUUGAGUGAUCAUAACACAUUGAGGAUUUUUAUGUGGUGAUUUUCUAUUCUUGAUUGCUAUAUCCAUUUGUGACAUUAGCAUGUUGAUGAUAUUGAUCGAUUUUGCUCUUGCCAUGAUUAUUCUGGUCACUUUGACAUGUACAUUCUUCUUGUUGCUUAUCUCAGUCAUCUUAACAUGAUUGAUUAUUUUGGUUGUAUAUUAUCUUGAUUAUCAUGGAGCAUGCUAUAUUUGCUAGAUAUUCAUCUCAAUUAUCAUAUUCUUACCUAGCUUGUGUGUCGAUAUGAGUUAUAUACAUAUACUUCGCAUGACUAUCUAUUGCAUGACUUCUCUCAUUUUGUAUGAUUACAUGAGUUGUUUGUCUAUGUGGGACACACACCUCUCCCCUUAUCUCCAAAUCCCUAGCCUCGGUCGACCUUGUUUUCCUUGAUCUCGUAUUUGAUAUGAGACUUGUUGCUUUGUUUGCUCUUCGACCAAGCUAGUGAUUAAGAGUAGGGUCUAGCGAUGGGCUAUAUCUAUGUUUGGGAGCAUUUUGGAGGUGCCCAACACAUUGAUAUUGAUUGGAGUCGGACCUUUGAAGACUUGUAUAGCCUAGAGCUAGAUUUCAGGAUAUUUGUGUGACCAAUAUGUUUCUGCUUAGUUUGAUAGGAUUUUCGGAUGCACCUAUACCAUUCACUGUGCACCUUAGAUUACCACCGAGUGUUGAGAGUUGUGAGAGCUUUCACCAUAGGAAACCCCCUAGGACGUCGAGGUAGUGCAUGUGUGGAGGUGAUGACCACCUUGCAUGGAAGUACCUUGUCUAUUUGGAGGCGUGUAGAGGGUUGCGUACCGCCAGAGGGUACAAUCGCUUUUGUUAGGGAUCCUUUAAAGUCUGUCAUUUUUCUUUUUAAAGCCACCUUGACCCUGUAGGUUGAGCCUUAGAUCAUUCGAUCAGAACUUCCUUCCAUACACAUGGGUGCAUCUGAGAGCCUUUAGAGCCUCUUUAGUUACAGUUCGGAUCCAAUACUCCCCAUUUUGGUCUCCAAUUGAGAGUGUUGAGAUACCGGUGCGAGUUUGAGUAUCAGUUGGACCACCCCUUGCUGUAUAGUUUUAGUUUCCUCUUGUCGCUCGUUGAGUUUAACACAAUUUCUCCCUAAGGCUUUAAAUAGUCUUCUUUUCUUGAUUUGACACAUUCUUUGGGUUUGUUGUCACUUUUUGCUUGACGUUUUGGGAUAUGCUAAUUGAUCAUGCUCACUUUUUUACAUUCUCUACCUGUCAUGGGCUCGAUGCUGCAUUUUUUUGGUUGAUUUGCCUAAUUUUGUUUUCAACCCGAUAUUUUUAUUAUAGGAAGGUGAAAGGCAUCUUUUUACAUUUGCACCCUUUUUGAGAUAUCCGCCUUGAUCACCUUAUCAUUUUUCUUUAUGGAGCUCGGGUUGAAAGUGAAUUAAGGAUAUUUUGUUAUAGAUUGAGUAUCGAUCUCGUGAUAAUGUUGUUCUUCGCACCUCAUUUAUUUUCUUCACACUUCAUUCAUUUUCUAGAUCAUUGAUAGAAAUUCUUUAGUCAUAUUUGUAGUCAUCUCACACUGGACAUUCCUGUGACUUUAGAGUUUUUAUCAUAUAUCCAAAUUUUGAUUGUCACCAUAGGACUAUGUAUCGCACCUUGUCAUGUAUUGGGUUGGGUUAUAUCAUGCAUUGGUCAUUGUUCGUUGCAUCCGGUGUCAUUGCAUGAGUCAUGUUUGAGUCAUUUUGUUUUGGUUCUUUUGUAGGAGUCUGUUUGUAGUCCCAGUCUUAGUUCAGUGCCCUGGGUUGAGUUAGAGAGAGGUUGAUUCGUAUCACCGAGCUGCUAUAGACGGAUUCAUGAUCAGUUUUGAUUGGUUAGCUUACCACUUUUGUGGCUUCGAUUCAAGAGGCAUUGAUUGGUUUGAGUUAGAGGAUGGAUACUCAGCAGAGUAGGCAUGCAGUGCUCGAGGACACACCAUCUGAUUUAGUGCCACCAUCACCUCUACCUGUUCUGAUGCCAACCACGCAGACUUUGCAUACUAUUUCGCAUGAUCAGGCUACUGUCAUUCCACCCACCGUCACACCAGUUACCAUUUUUGAGGAUCCUCGUUCUCGUAUGGAUAGAAUCGAGCAAAGGAUUAGACAUAUGAGAGAUCCUAAGGAGACGAUUUCUUAGGAUGACACUGAUGACGUGCCAGUGGCCACUUUGCCAGUCAGUUUCAGGAUGCCUGAGAUAGAGAGAUAUACGGGUGUUGGAUGUCCUCAUAUUCAUCUCAAAAUUUACAGCAUAGUUAUGAGGGCUCUUGGUCUAGAUGAGGCACAAUUGCUCACUUUGUUCCCAUUAUCAUUGAGCGGCACAACAUAGAGAUGGUAUGCUUCAUUAAGGUCAUCUCAUCGAAGAACUUAGGAGGACUUAACGUAGGAGUUUCUGAGACAAUAUUCAUUCGGUAAUGAUACGAGAGUUACAUGUAGAGAGCUUGAGUUUCUUAGACAGGGAUCAGAUGAGUCUGUUUCUUCUUUCAUCUCCCGCUAAAGGGAGAAGGUUGCAGAGAUGAUUGAGCGACCUACUGAGAGAGAUCAGAUGUGCAUGUUUUUUAGGAGUUUGCAACCUAGGUUUGCUCGACAUCUGGUAGGGGUACCUUUCCAGGAUUUCAGAUCAUUGGUUCAGGCUUUGUUUGAUGUAGAUGAUGGCAUAUCUAGAUGAUUAUGGUAAGAUAUUAUUCAUUCCCCAAAUACUAAGGGGAAGAGAGUUGUUGGAUCAUCUGAGAGCUAUGGAGGCGUGUAUUCUAUGAGCUUUCGACAUCGAUGACCUAGUUAUCAUCCCUACACUAGAUCAUUACAGAUACCUAGGAGUAAUUCCCCACCCUCACAACAUCGUCAUCCUCAAUCAAUUCAGUAGUAUCCUUCUAUGCAUCCUCAUACUACCACGGUCCGACCUUUAUUUUAGUUUCAGCAUCCACAGACUAGUACCGCAUGACAUGAGCAGUCUCGUCCCCAUUAGCGACAUCAGAGGACUUAUUCUGAUUUGGGGAUGCAUUUGGAUAAAGCUUUUGAGCGACUCAGAACUACUGGUCUUUUAGUACCAUUGGCCCCUAAGCCGCCUCCGAGUACUUUGUCUCCGCGUUUUCUUGCUCACGAGUUCUGUGCAUUUCACCAAAUGGCAGGCCACCAUACUGAUUAUUGUGCUUCUCUACGUCAUACCAUACAGGAUCUUAUUGACAGUGGUGUGGUUAGCUUUCCUGUAUCGACCAUAGAUACUAAUCUUGAUCCAGAUAUGACUAUUGAUUCCUUUCCAGCCUAUUCCACACAUGCAGUUCUUUCUCCUUCAGGCUUAUACCAUCAUGUUUUGACACCCAGGACAUUGAUAUUCACAAGACACCUUGAUAUUGUAGACCUUGUUGAUGUAUUCAGGAACUACAUUUUAUGGUUGUCGUUUGAGUUUUUGUUCACUUUUAUUUUAUAUUUGAGUUUUGUUUUACUGUUAGUGAUUCGAGCUUGUACCCCGUGUUUUGAGAGUAGGCCUUAUUGUCUUGUUAUUUUGCAUGAUGUACUCUUGUUUCACUUAGUGAUAUUAUUGUUUUUCUUGAGUAUGUGUUUCUGUUUUUUUUUUUAAUUAUUAUUAUUGUUUCAUAUCAUGCAUUUUAUAUGUUGUUAUUUUGAGUAGCAUUACGUGUUGCUUUGUUUUGUCUCUUGCAUGUGUUUGUUUUAGAGUCUUGAUAGUUUGAGUACUGUGACUGGUUCCCAAGUAGAGAUUAAUGGCAUGAUGGUUAUGAUACAGAGUACAUUGAGAUUAGACUUUUUCAGCUGAGGUUCACCAUGUCGGACGAGAUCGCACCAAUUACUCUUACUACUCUAUAUGAGAUGAUGGUGGAUUUGACAUGCAGGAUUGAGAGGAUUGAGCUUAUUUUGUCAGAGUAUCCAUCGUCAUCAAGAGGAGCUCCAAGAGUAGUGAUGCCUUUAUUGCCACAUUUGGCUUCACCGACAUCUGUUACUUUGGGUGCCUCACAUCCACGACCUCACCCAUAUUCAGUGUUCCAGUAGCGUUCCUCAUCCAUUACAUUGGCUACAUUGACACGAUCUCCAUCCCAGCUUCGGGAUCCUCGGAUCAUUACAGUUCCUCAAAAGCAGCUUCACCCUCGUCGACGAUGUCGGAGACACUUUUCAAACUUAGGCAUACCCUUGAGUAGAGUUUUUGAGACGUUCUAGACCAUGGGAUUUUUGGCCCCUUUGUCUCCUAAGACAUUUCCAGAUCCUGUGCCUUCACAAUUUCAACUUGAUUUAUAUUGUAUGUACCAUCAGUCAGUAGGGCAUCACAUUUAUUGUUACACUGCUCUACGACAUGCCAUACAAAACAUUGUUGAUUUUGGGACAUUUGGACAUCCUCAGUCAGAUAUGUUUUUUAUUCCUACCUUAGCUCAAGCCAUGCAUGCAGACACCCCUUCACUAGUAGUCCCUGAUCUUAUUGACUUGGGUGAUUGACUCAUGAUUGGCUUACUUUGGUACGGUGGUGCUCAAAUUUUGUUCCCUCUAUGGUUAGAGAUGUGAUGACAGGACCAGUCACUGUUUUUGUUUUUUUUAGUCUUGUUUUACUUUUGACAUUUAGAGACUAUAACUCAAUUCUUGAGUAUUAUCUGUGUUAUUCUUCUUUUUGCAUGAUGUACUCAUCUAUUAUUCCAUCGGAUGUCUUUUCCUUUAUGGACAUAUGCUCGUGUUUUGUGAUAUGAUGUAUUGUACUUUUGACUCGAGGCAUUUAUUCAUUUGCACAUUAUGGUUUUGAGGUCUAACCUAUCAUGGAGAAUAUUGAGCUUAUUAGCCUAGGAUCAGAGAUUUGACCUAGAGAGUUUGAGGUUGUGACCCAUCCUCUUAUGAUCAAAGUAGUACCUUACUCACUCUCACACCUUGACUUUGCUUUGACCUACAUCCACCCAUUGUGAGCUUUGCACAUCGUCACCUUGAGACCAUUAUAUGACCUUUUCAUCCUCAGCUUUUCUAGCUUUGCACAUCUCCUCUUUGAUCUAACCAGGUAGAGUGUGAGGAGUUUGAGCCUAGGGUUGAUAUUGCAUGGCGAGGGAUGGCUUAUGAUUUUUAGGUGGCUUACGACGUGAGGAUUGGUCGAUUGUCUUAUGGGAUUGUCACUUAUUCUGCUAUGAGCAUAGAGAUUGAUCUUGUAUGUUAAGAGUUGGCUUGUGAUGAGUAGUUGUGCUUGAUGAGAUCAUCGUUUAUUUCGCUUUGAGGGGGUCAUCUUUGGUACUAUUAUAGAGCAUCUGGAGUACAGUUUGGCGCACGAUUCCAAAAGGUUGACAUGGUUAUAUCAAAUGGACACUGAUCUUUAGUAUCGAUCAUUUAAGGGUUAGAGAGCACAAUGUUUGAGACUGUGGUUGUAGAAUGGGUGGCCUUCAUUUCGGUUAGCUCACACCUUACUACCUUCAUUGACAUCUAGACCAUUGCUAACCCUUUAAGCCUCGUAUGAGCAUCAUAGCCUUUUCUUUCUUAUAGCCUUGCUCACCUUUUACACCGGGAUAGGGGCCCUUUGGUGUAUAUAUGCUUUAUUCAGGAGUCUCAUGAGCCAUGGACUUAUUGACUCAUUUUCUUCAUUAUUUUUUUGUUGUCCUACCAUUAUUUUUCUUCAUACCUCUUUGUUCAUAUCCUUUCUUUUAUCAUUUUGUUUUUGUCAUCGCGUUUCUUUUUAUGCCAUGAGUGAUGAUCUUUCACAUUUCAAUGCAUGGAGGACAGUCAUGUCCCAUUCCACUCCUAUCUCAUGGACAUUGGUUCGGAGAUCCUUAGUUGAGAAAGUCAUCUGGUUAGAGAGAGUUCGCCUACAUCAUUGUUUGAGAGUAUAUCUAUUUCAUUACAUAUUUUCAAUGGAGUUCAUUUGUUGAUAUUCAGAGUAUGUGCAAAAAAAAAAUGAAAAAAAAAAGUGAUAAGUGCAUGUGUUUAUGUUUAUAUGUAGUGUCAUUCUCCAUUGAGUGUGCGUAUUGGUCAUUGAGGUUGCUUUAUUGAGUUAGUUGCUUAUGAAAGUUUGUAUGUGAACUUUCAGGAGGCUCUCAUCUUCUUGUGUCUAUCUCGUUAUGUAUUUUUUGUGUGAGAGACGAAUGGCCUUUUCCUAGGGGCUCCGGAUCAUUAUCAUUUCCAUCAUUACAUACAUUAGUGAUUUGACCGUUCUCCAUGACUUGAUUUGAGUGUUAGUGCUCAUUCAUUUUCCUUCGAUUUAUUUGUUUUUCUCAUGGUAUUUCAUUCACCUUGCCUACAUUGUUCUUUGUUCAUAUUGAUUUACAUUCCGUGUUUGAUAUUUUCCACACAUCACUCUUGUACAUCCCAUCAUCAGUUCGAUAUUAUUCAUUUCUUCUCUUUCAUCAUUGAUAUAUUCAUCUUGGAUUCUUUCUUCAUCACCAAUAAAUUCAUAUUGGACGUCCUCAGAUCCAUGGUUUAUGAGGCUCUCUGUACAUGUUGCAUUUUAUACACGAGAGUAUGGGGUUUUAUCAUUGGGUAUUUGAGCCUUAUUUCCUUUCAUUUCUUUCACCCUAUUACCUUAGCCUACGUUACGUCCCGAGUCUUAAGACCAGCCUGAGGCCAUGACAUCACACAUUGUAUUUGAUAGCUCUUAUGUGGGCGAUACUCGAGAUUGGUUCGAGAGCAUUCUAAUUGUGAUGGACCAGGAGUUGUGGUAUGACUCUACAUUGGGACAUAGCCACCUUAAAGAGUUUUUAUUGGGUAUGCAGCCAUUCUGAUUGAUACAUCGCAUUGGGGUGCACCCUUCUUGAUCGAGGGUUGAUUUUUUUAGAUGACCAUCAUGCUGAGGCAUACUCUUCUCAGUCGAUGAUGGAUUUUUGAGUUAUGUCAUCCAUCGGUGGAGAUCAGAUGUCUUUUUCACAUUGGAGUACGAGAUAUGACUAGGUGAUUUCUUUGAUGUGAUUAUAGGAGCAUAACCUUCCCAUCAUUGUUGACAGAUUUUUGAGAUGAUUGGAUCAGGACACACACACUUGUGAGAGCAUGUAGCAGAGUUUAGUCAUUUCAAAGAUUGCCUUAUACUGUGGCAUAACCCUUUCAUUGGCAAUUGAUCUUGGAGAUACUAGCUUACAUUUGGGCAUGAUCAUGUCAGAGCGUAUUUUUGUUGAGGCAUACCACUUUAUUUGAUCUUAUUCAAAUACUCUCUUCACGUUACCACGAUGACUUUGAGGAGCGAAGAUUCAUUUUGAUUUAGAGAUGCUUACACUGGGACAUAGCCCACUCAUUGAUGAUAGAUUUUGUGAGAUGACAGUUUAUGCUAGACACAUACUUUCCAGAGAUUAUCUUGUACUGAGGGUUUACCCAUUUUGAGAGGAUGCAUUCAUAUUGGGGCAUAGCCACCUUGAUGAUUUUGACAUUGAGGCUUCACCUCCUGUUUAUGAUUGUUGCUUUUGAUGGAUCAUAGAGUUAUUGACACCAUGGGUUCAAUCUUCUCAACAUACUUGGUCCGACUUGGAUACCCACUUUCCUUUGUUACACACCCAUACAUCCUACAUUUGACACCAUUAUACCUGGAUUCAUCUUAUCAGAGCCUUACAUCUUUUGAGCCUACAUAUUUUAUCAUCUUACAUGACCUUAUCCCCUUCUCUUGAUUAGAUGAGGAUACAGACUAGUCUUGAGCUUUUUGGUUAAGUUUUCACAUGCCUUUGGACAUUAGGUUCAACAUCUUCCAUGAUGUUAGGACCUAUUAGAUUGUUGAUAUAUUUGUGAGGAUGUUUUCAUGUUGAUAGUUGACAUGUCAUGUCUUGACUUGCUUACAUUUUAGACUUGGUCAACUUUUGUUUGGUCCCUUGUUUUAGUUUUGCUUUGUCAGCAUAGUUUCGGUGAUACUUGGUCUUGUUUAAGCAUUUGUUCAUUGAGGCUAUGUAUGUGCUUUUCAUUGCAUCAUCAUCGAGCAUAUCUUAGAGUGUUUUGUAUGGUGACAUUCUAUGUCUUAUGUUGGUUACUAUCUUACACUGGGGCAUUCCAUCAUCCUUGAGUUCCUCAGAUGUUUUGCAGAUUUUUCUCACUACUCGAUCUAUUUCUUGAUCUUUGCGAGUCGUCAUACUGGGACAUACCCCCUUUAGCACUCUUCUAUUGGGGCAUACCCCUCUUUUUGGGUUUACCAUAUCUCGUGAUGAUUUCAUGGUCGUUCGACCCAUUUGUUGAUACUUCCGAGUCUUUUACUAGGGCAUACCCCAUUUUCCUUGAGUUCACUAUCCCAGUCACUUCUUUAGGGUUCUCUUGGGCGUUUCUGAUUGUAGACCACAUUCCUUGUUUCUUGUUUUUUGCUUUAGGUGUUUUUCGUUUGCAUAUCGCAUACUUCUUCCUCUUCCGUCAGUUUGUUUAGGGCAUUCCCCUACUAUCAGUUUGUUUAGGGCAUCCCCAUACCAUCAGUUUGUUUAGGGCAUCCCCCUUAUUUCAGUUUUCACCACCAUAGAUCAGACAUCUAUGGGCAUUUAAGUUUCACCACCAUAGAUUUUCAUCUAUGGGCUUUGAUCAGUUAUCACCACCAUAGAUCAGACAUCUAUGGGCAUUUCGAUUAUUUCACCACCAUAGAUUUUCAUCUAUGGGCGUUUCAGUUAUCACCACCAUAGAUCAGACAUCUACGGGCUUUGUUUCAGUUAUCACCACCAUAGAUCAGAAAUCUAUGGGCAUUUCAGUUAUCACCACCAUAGAUCAGACAUCUAUGGGCAUUUUGGUUAUUUCACCACCAUAGAUUUUCAUCUAUGGGCGUUUCAGUUAUCACCACCAUAGAUCAGACAUCUAUGGGCUUUGUUUCAGUUAUCACCACCAUAAAUCGGACAUCUAUGGACAUUUCAGUUAUCACCACCAUAGAUCAGACAUCUAUGGGCAUUUCAGAUUCACCACCAUGGAUUUUCAUCCUUGGGCCUUUGAGAUUAUCACCACCAUAGAUUUUCAUCUAUGGGCCUUGAUCAGUUUUCACCACCAUAGAUUUUCAUCUAUGAGCCUUGUUCAGUUUUCACCACUAUAGAUCAGACAUCUAUGGGCAUUUCAGAUUCACCACCAUAGAUUUUCAUCUAUGGGCCUCGAUCAAUUUUCACCACCAUAAAUCAGACAUCUAUGGGCAUUUUAGAUUCACCACCAUAGAUUUUCAUAUAUGAGCCUUGAUCAAUUUUCACCACCAUAGAUCAGACAUCUAUGGGCAUUUCAGUUAUCUCACCAUCAUAGAUUUUCAUCCAUGAGCAUUUUUUUCAGUUAUCUGACCACCAUAGAUCAGACAUCUACGGGCAUUUCAGAUUCACUACCAUAGAUUUUCAUCUAUGGACCUUGUUCACUUUUCACCACUAUAGAUCAGACAUCUAUGGGCAUUUCAAAUUCACCACCAUAGAUUUUUAUCUGUGGGCCUUUGAGAGUUUCACCACCAUAGAUUGACAUCUAUGGGCAUUUCAGUUGUAUCACCACAGUAGGACUUCACCUAUGGGCCUUCUAGUUUAGCAUUUAGAGUUAGCUUUUUGGUUUGUCUUCUAGAGCCAUUCUUUUCUUAGUUUAGCGUUUAGAGUCAAUCUUGUCAUUCAGAGCCAUAGUUCUUGAUAUUAGUGAUCACUAGCAUUACAUGCUUUCUUUUCACAGUUUCACAUUUCAUCUUACUUCUCUUUUUGGCAUAUGUGUUUCUCACUUCAUUGUGAUAUUCUAGAGUUUCUUCUCAUCUUUUGUGUAGGAUAUAGCUGUAUGAGCUCAUAGAAUGUGUCUUAAUUGUAUUUUUAGAUGCUCUAUGUCUUGUGUCGUCGUAUGGUACACAUAUGGUUCUUCCUUUUGUACUCAUUCCUAUGCUCUUUGGUGGUUCGACUGCUACUCAACUUUGAUGUCGAUUUUUGAGUCACUUUGAAGACUUUCCAGGGGUAGUCUGGAUCCAUAGCGUAGCUCUAGAGACACUCUGAGAGCUACCAUUCUCUUAGGAUUUUAGAGCUCUUUUUGUUCAUUUGUUGGUUUGAGCAAGUCUGUGUUCUACAUGUGUGCCUUUGAGGGUCUUUCCUUUUCUUCAGUAGAGUUCACUUCAUUUCACUUAUUUUUCAAACUUUCUUUUCACUCUAGUGUUCAUAUUCCUUGCACUCAUGAACUCUACUGAAAACAUUUUAAAAGUCAAGGAAUAUGUGAAAAUUGCUUGCCUGAAAGAAAAUGGCAGCAUAUUUUAUUGAAAAAUGGGAUUUUUGAUGAACCUAAACACUCUAAGAAUGAAAAAUUAAAGAGUCGAAUUAUUUAAAAAACUAGAAUUUGGAAAAUUAUUUGCAAAAUGGGGUUUGGGAAAUUAUUUUUAAAAUCAAAGAUGAAGAAAUGAAAGAAAGAAGACACGUGGCCCAAAUGUGGCCAUGCAGAGAUGCAUAAGUGGGAAAGAUGGUGAGAGAUAACCAUGCAGGGGUGAAGCCCAAAGUGCAACUGCAUCUGCUCAGUCAUUAGGUCAUCUUCAUCUAAAUCAUGUAAACCUUUUGCAUGGGCCAACCAUCUGAGUGCUUCACCACCAACUAAUUGGAACAAUCCUUGAGUACCUCUCAAACAUUUCUCCAUAAACUCCAAUGAAACAGGCUUCAUCAAUUGAGCUGCAGUUGUCAUGAUCUCGCUCCCAGUAACAGUACUUCCCGUAAAUGCAAUCUUGUUAACAUGGAGACGGGAUGCCAAUGGAUGUUCUAGAAUGAAAGGCAAAUUCGGUUUUCUUUUGCAGAUCAGCAAGUGGAACUGCCCUAAGUAUUUUGGCACUUGGACCUGCUAUAUCUGGCUUCAAUACUGCUGGACUGGGGAAACUUGGCUCUCGAGAUGAGAAGUCGGCCAUAUUAGUUGGCACAGGUUUCCCAACACAUGUUUUAGAAAGGGCUCAACCUUACAUGGGGAUGCCUGGUCGAACUAAUGUAGUAGUGUAUCUGGCUUCCAAUUUCGUAGCUUACUUUAAUACAUGGGAAGUUGCUAAUGCAUGAUGCCUGGGUAUUUCCAGAAUUCUCAACAAUAAUCACCCCUAGGCCACGAGCUUCUCUCACAAAAGAUGCAACAAAUGUUGUCUCAGAUGUACUUGAAGUGAAGCAAAGUGCCACCUUUCCAGCCAUUGAAGUGUCAUUCAAUGAUAUAGAUAGACAAUUGCUAACACUUUCAACAUAUGGGUCAUCUAGGUACGCUAAGCUGGCCAAGCCAGUAUGGUUUCCAAUUGACAUUGCUUGACUCAUGAUCGUGCGAUUGUUGCCUAGUAUGAUGGGUAUAGGGAAGGACCGGUCAAUGUUGCCAGCUACUACAAUUAAUAUCCACGGUGUUGUAUUCUCUACUGUUUGAGUACUUGAGUCUCCAUUUCUUCUUCCUUCACUCUGCCUCCCACUUGUCAAUAAAACCCACAUACUAAAGCUAGAAAAAAAACUUUAGAUUGAAACAUAUAAAUCACUUUUUCAGCCUCACAGGCACUGUUUAGUUGAAAUGGAGUAGUAAACACCUCCAUACGCUGAAUUACUUCGGAUCCUAACUUUCCCAAUCACCUUUGGUCCAUGGAUUUCACCAAAUUUCGGCCUUCAAAAGCAUACUCUCGAACUGUAGAUGAGUGGAGAUGACUCUGAGACAAAUGAAUAAGGUUGAUAUGAAAUCAACCGUUAAUGGUGGAUAUGGUGCGUAUGAGGAUGUGGGGAAAUGAGGGUGGCCAUGCACAAGGGAAUUCGUUUGUAUGGGAAGGGGAAGGAAGUGAGCCAAGAGCGAGGUGGGUGGUGUGGUGAAGGAGGUGAUGAGUUGUACGUGUGAAUGCGUUGUGGUGAUUAGGUUUAAUGGAUAUGAAGGAUGGGAACCUGUGGGUAUGAAAGAUGUAGGUUGUAGUGGUGGGAUGAAUGGUGGAAAGUAAUGAGAGAAAUGGGUUUAGAGGGUAUGAAAGAUAAGGAAGUGGUGCGCAUGAAUGGUGAUGGGCAUUGUGGGUAUGAAGCGUAGUAGGUUUUGCAAAGGUUUGGUGGGGCCAUGCAUGGCCAUGCAAAAGUGGAAAAGUAACCAAGAUCAUGCAACCGCUUCAAUCCAUAACUAGCAUCAUCUAAUUUCUCCUCAUCCACAACACUCUUAAUGCCCAUGUCAACACCACGAGUCUCAUCAAAGGUGCACAACCCAAUUUGCAAGCAAAUCUUCUGUGGUGAUGCCUCUGAUAGCAGUAAAUCCAUAAUUGUUUACCUAUACUGUGCAACUACGGCCUUACAUUCUUGGCUAACAACUUCGGUGGCUCAAAUGGCAUGAUUUUAUCAUAACGACAACAGCUGUUGGGCCUGCCAACAAAGAAGUUCCAGAAUCUGCUAUUGCUGCACAACCUCCGGCACAAUACCCAGUUGUUUCACCAUGUCGCACCACACUAAGAGAACAUUACCAAUUGAAAUCUCUUGAAAUCCAAGUCCUAAUAUACCAUCAAACUUAGCCACCCAAAAUAUGACACUGGGCUCUCUAGUUGCCUCAAUAAAUUCCUGAUUCUUCACAAUAAGAACACCAACUUUCACAUUGUCUUGACUAAAGAAACCUGAGAUAGCUCCGGUACCAUAAUGGAUAUCAGUAGAUUUUCCAUUCUUCCUGUAGGUAUUUGAUUAGCAUGACUUGUACUUUAAAUUGAAAUAGCAAGGAAACGAGAAAUAGCACUUAGAUGAUGGAACCCAUAGGUUUGAGCCACUAGUGUCAAGUAUUACGGUGAACGUUUGAGGGGAGGGGGGUACCAAUACCAAUUUCACCAGAGUAUUGAGCAUCCAUGUAGCUUUCAAUCCCACAAUAUCUGUAUCCUGAGAGUCCCCAAGAUUACCACGGCGAAGACACUUCCUAAUAGAAGCUUUCAAUGACUCCCCUUACUUGGACUCGAGCCGUGCAGCAAUUUUUCAUACCCACAGAUUGAGAAUACAUCCUCUGCAGUUCCUUGCUCCCUUAGGCAAAGAUGAGAAAACAGAUGCACACCAUGGACAAGUACCAAAAAUAGGGAAAGACAGCAAAAUAGAGCACAAAGGGUAGAAAAAAAUGAACCCUUACAAACUACGUCUCAUGUUUCAAUCAACGAGCUUAGAUGUAGAAAGUAGGCAAAAAUGGAUUUCGAAUGGGUUUCAAAGAGAAAUCAAGACAUGAUUGCCAAUAUAUCAUAUAAAAUCUCCAAAACAUAGCCCAAAAAUUAGGUUAGAGAUCAAGCAUAAAGUGAGUAUAAGCAAACUCAAAUUCCAUAAAAAUAUGCAAAAGACUUAAAUGCUCACACUCAGGCAUCAAAAUGAAAUCUCAUUAUAUACAGAAAACAUGAUAAAAAUGGUAUAAGAAUGAAGCAAACGAUAGCUUGUAGACAUCAUACCUGUGUUAUUCCCCUUUCAAGCUCAUUUUCUUCUCAUCUUCAAAAGAAAACACCCCUCUCACAACCUGCUCACCCUCCUUCCUUGCUUCUGGUUUCUUCUUUUUUUAAGCUAUCUCCCUCCGCUCAAUCUCACUAUUCAACUCAUUUUUCUUCCCCUGUUUCAGUUCUCUCCAAGAGGACCUCUCAUUUCUGUAUCUUUUUCGUCCUCUGAAAUUUUCUUUUCUUUCCUCUCUAUACUCACCCCCCUCCCCCUCCUCCUCCUUACAACUCUAUCUCUUUCUCUGGUGAUCUCCCUCAAGUUGUCUCGCUCCUCAAGCAACAGAACACACUCUCCUCUAACCUUCUCGAGAAAAUCCCCAGCUAAUUUUCUCCUUGUCCAAGCAGCAACCCAACACACUAUCAAGCAACACCCCGCUCCUCCUAUAACGACGUCCUACAGCUCUCAAAUCUUCAAAACUGUUUUUGAAUAUUCUCCAUUGCAUGUGUCGUUCUCUCAUUACACCUUCAGCCCACUAAUGUGAUUCCCUAAUGGCCAAUCCAAAUGCAACACGUGGCCUUCAAAGAUCGUAACACCCAGAAAAAUAAACACCUGCAAGAAUGACCUAAAAUGGGGAUCUACAAUAGGUUUUACAAACUGGAAGAUUUUCUUAUAUCAAAAAGUCUAGACUUGACCAGUCUUUGGAUCCUAUUUAGAUUAAUAUAACCUAGGUCUAGAUACCAAAUGUUUAAUUAGUAUUAGGUUUAAUCCUAAGAUUUGACUUUUCUCAUUACUUGGUAAAGUGAUAAUGGAAUACAUAUAAAAGAUAAAGACAUUACCUUCCACUAACCUGCACAACUAUCCUUGCAAUUGAAGUUAAGCUAAGUAUAAUCUCAUCAUUUAACAUUCUCAUUUGUUGAAUACCUUGUAAGGACUUACAAACAGUAGGCUUAGAAUCUAUUCACUAUAAAUGUUGAAAUCCACCACUAAAUAUUCAACAACGACAAAAUGAUGUAUACUUUUCUUUUUCCUUAGAUGAAUGGGGCAUUCUUUUUCUAGUGUCCUAAAAGGUCACAAAAGAAUUAGCUAACCUUGAGCUUGCUUUCUAAUUCCUUCUCUUGAACUUUCCUUAUUUAGUGUUAUUGUUAUUCUUCUUAGUAAAAGAUCUUGAAACAACUUUGACUCCCAUAUGAACACCUCUAUGUUCUUUGAGAAUCCCCUUAACCAUCCUGAAUGAAAUUGGCAAGGUCUAAGAUCAUAUGAACUUUGGUGUUCACAAUAGUCCUAAGGGUAGCUUGUCUAAGUUGACAUAUCUUCAUCACCAAAUAACCUUAGUAAACUAGAAAGGAAAUAUCAAAAUCCUUGGUAAUAGGCAUGCGUUGCUAUUGCAACACAUUAUCCAAAGAUCCAAGUAUUAGACACUUGGUCUUUUGAUUUGUCUAAUACCACCUUGAUAUUUUACUCUUUCCUUAUGCUAGGUUGGUUCGUAAGGAAUAGCUAGUUGUACCUAAACUAGCUUCUAUGCAAUUAAUUACUAUAUCUAGAAUAAAAUUAAGUUCAAAUGAUUAGUUGGGCUAGGUCCAAGUGAGAAAAAGAGUGAUAAUAAAUAACCGACAUGAUAUCUGUAAAAAUAAAAAAAUAAAUAAAACCAUUCAUAUGAGAUAGUUAAGCAUUCAAGGCAACUGAUAAUUAAUUUAGAAAAAAUGUAGUACUUUUAAACUACAUAUCCUUUUGAAAAGUAUCCUAGUAUCAUAAGAAUCAAGCCUAUAGUGGGCAGGUCAUGAUCUUAUUUCUAGUUAGAGACCCUCUUAGAUUGAUCUCACUACCUUAACCAUGAAAGGUAUCUAAAGGCAAGAUCAACAUAGACUAUGCAAGUGGGACAUAGAUUAUGCAAGUGGGAUCACGAUGGAUGAUUCAACCACUUCAUAUCCAAUGAUAAAUAUAUAACCAUCAUCCUUGACCUAUCAAUGUCACCAUGUAAGGAAGCCCGCCAGUGGAGUGGUUGCUCCUACUAUAGACAUGUUUAAUCUCAUCCUAAUGGAGACUCCAUAUCCCUUGAUUUCUAGGGCUCAACUCACCAAAGGGGUGAUGAUAAGCCCAAAUCAAGAUGAGCUUGACAAUGGAGGCCAUGGGCUUGGCUAAAGCCCUCUCCCACUUAAUCUUUUAAGAUAGAUAAAAGCAUUUUAAAUCAUUAGUAAUUACUUUAAUGAAUAAAUUAUCUAUUUUGAGAAUUUAAAAAAAAUAUUUAUUUCCAAAUUGGAAAGCAAGUGUAAUAGGAGAAUGUCAAUCAUGAAAAAUUUUAAAUUUUCAUGAGUGUUUUUCAAAAUAAAUUUUGAUAAAAUAUCUACUCUCAAAAUUUAAAAAUCUAUUUUCAUAAAGUUAUCAUUCUAUACACAAUUCUAAUUAAUAAAUAUUUUAUCUAAAAAAUGUUUCAAAGAAAUUUAUUUCUAUCAAAUUACUAAGCCUUUUGGUAAUUAUCUUUUAAUGAUAAAUUAUCUCUAAUAAAAAUUUCUAAAAUAUUUAUUUUUCAAAUUAGAAACUCUAGUGUAAAAAGGAAAUUACCAAUUUAUGAGAUUUUGAAAAUCUUGAGAGCACAUUAUCCAAGAAAGGAGCUUUAGCUUUUCAUAUUCAAAAUUCCUCACAAAUUUACUUUCCUUGUCCUUACACCUUUCCAAUCUAAAAAGUAUUCUCAUGGAAACUUUAGAAAAUUUAUUUCAUUAAAUACUAUCAAAAUCACAACCUUUUUAGUAAUUCCUUAAUUGAUAAAAUAUUCUCUAUAAAAAACUUCAAAAAAUGUUUAUGUCCUUAAAAGUAAUUAGACAAUCCAUUGUGGAAAGUAUUUUCAAAAUUUUUUAUAUCUCCGUUAAAUUACUAACAGUUUCCAAAAAUAUUUUAGUAACCUUCCUUAUCAUAAACUCUCUAUUAUGACAUUUUUCAAAUCCAUUAUUUAUCUUUUAAACUUGGACUCCUAUGCUAAAAGAAUUGCUCUCAUAUUCCUUAUCCUUGAAUUAUCCAUAUCCAAAUUGAAUGGUCUCCUCCUUCUUUAAGGGGAAAAGCCUGGAGAACCACCUAUCCAUAAUCAAGUAGAUGGUUUCAAAAGGAAUAUUAUUCUCAUUAGCAACAACCAAUUUAAAUAAUUAAUCUUAGAAAAAAAUUCUUAUGAAAAUUUACUAAGAAGACCAAAAUACAUUUUUUUUUAUAGAUUUAAACAUUUAUUUUGGUAAACUUUUUAAUUAUUAAUUAUCAAUAUUGAAUUUCCAAAAUUAACUUAUUUUCUUUAAAUCAAAAUCUUAUGCAAAAUAGGGAAAAUAUUAUUUUAAAAAGAAUUAGAUAAACAAGAGCUUUUUUAAUUAAAAAAAAAAGAUUUUAUUCUUAGAGAUUUCAAAGAUUUGAUAAGAUUUUAAAUAAAAUUAAAAUCUUUAAGAAUGAAUUUUAAAAAGGAAAGAAAGCACUUAAUUCUUUUCCAACUUAUCUUUUCUUAAAAUAAAAAUUUUUAACCAUGCACCUUACAAUUUAAAUAGGUUUUCCAAUUUUGAAAACUUCAUGAAAAUUAAUGUAACUCAAAACAAGUCCUAAUUGAUUAAUUAACCACAUAGGGUCAUCAAAUUAAUUAAUUAGUCCAAUCUAGAUAAUUUGAUCAUGUUGGAAUCUUUGAACUAAGCAAUGGAAGUAAUAUCAAUUUUUUAAAAAAAUUGAUCUUUUAGCGUUUGAUGUUCCCAAAACUUAAAUUAUAAGUGUUGAAGACAACUUUAAAGUUGUUGAAGGUCUCGUAAACCCAGAAUCUUUUGCCCAAUGACUCAACCUUCUUCUUAGUACACUUUCAGUGGGGGAGGAAAAGAGGGUGGAGGCUAUGACUCUUUUUUCCCCUGUCAUUCUAAAUUAAACCUAGCUAGUAUUAAAAAAUGACCAAAAUGACUGCUUAUGUAAAUCAUUUUUCUUAACUUAUAUGUAAAUGUGAUUUUAAUAAAAAUCAAACUCAUAUUUUAUAGACAAGUGGCUUUGUAACUAAUUUUAAUAAAAUCUUUUUUUAAAAUAUUGUCUUCAUAUGAUAAAUAAAAUGAUAAAUAUUUUUAACAAUAAACAAGUCAUAAAAAGUUUUUUAAAAUUCAAGACUUGUUUGGUAAUGGUUUUAAAAUCAAAUUUUUUACAUGUUUCAAAGCACGAUGACUUGAAAAACAAGUGAAAUUUAUUCUCAUAAAGACAUUAUUCCCGUGUUUCAAUGAUUCUCAAAAUAACUAAUAGUGAAAAUGUCCAAAAUUUGUUUUAAAUAAAUUUUCAAAAAUUUGCUUGGGCAAAAAAAUUGUUUAAUAUGUUUUUGAUAUUGGAAACCUUUAUUUUUUAUUUUUUUUAUUUUUAUUUUUUCUUUUAUAAAAGAUAGGAAACUAAUUUGAAUAGUAGUAACAAAACAUCUCUAACCCUGUUUGGUAAUUUUUUUUUUUUUUAUAAAAAAAACAGUUAUGAAAAAUAGGUUUUGAGAACAAUUUUUGAAAAUUGUUUUAUGAUGUUUUAUAGAACAAAAAUCUAUUUUAGAACCUGAAAUAUCUUUAACCUAUUUUUAAUAUUUUUAAAAAUAUUUGUUAUAUCUAGUACUUUAUUUUUAAUCAUUUUAUAUACUUGUAUAAUCAUUUUUUUAAAAUAAUCCUAAAAAAAUAAGUGAAAAUAUCAAAAAAUAGUUUUUAGUUGUUGAAGGUAUUUUCUUUCUUUUUCUUUUUUUUUUUCUUGUGAAAAACAAAAAUAUGUUCUAGAGAACAAAAUUUUGUUUUCGAAAACAAUUGCCAACCAGGACUACUCUCUCUCUCUCUCUCUUUUCUUUUUUUUUUUUUUGGGGGGGGGGGGGGGGGGGGGGGGGGGGGGUGGGGGGNNNNNNNNNNNNNNNNNNNNNNNNNNNNNNNNNNNNNNNNNNNNNNNNNNNNNNNNNNNNNNNNNNNNNNNNNNNNNNNNNNNNNNNNNNNNNNNNNNNNUGGGUUUGCAAGGUAGACCAUUUUAUUGAAGUAAAUUUUUAGCUAAUUAAAAUUUUGAAAAUGUUAAUAUUAUUCUUAUUUUGACACAAAAUUUUCAAAAUACAGUUUUCAAACAUAAAAUUCUAUUUAUAGAUGAUGAGUUUUUUAUUCAAAAACUUGAUUUCGGAUAUGGGUUUUUUAUCAUAUAAAUUGCAUAUAAGCACAUUUGCUUGCUUCCACAAUUGGAUUCAGUAAUGGGGUGGAUUUAUAUUUGCAUUUUGGGGUUUUUCUUUUUGGUGGGGGACAAAGAUUGUUGGUAAAUUUAUGAGGUUGAGAAAGGUAUACUAUAGAUUCAGUUCUGUUUCCAUCUUUAGAAAAAAAAUGAGCCCUUGAUGACAUGAACAAGACAAGGAGGUCUAGUCUUGGAUUCGAUCCAUGUCUUUGUACUAUAGACAUUACUACAUCAAGUGGCUACCACAUUUUGUGUUCUUUAUUGAUUGCUUUAUAGUUAAUGGGUUCUAUUCGGAUAAGCUUUUUUACAUGAUGAUUCUUGGCUCGGCCAAUUGGGAACUUUUUGGAUUAGAUUUUGACUGUCUUUGUUGUUUGAGGAUUUCGAUGAUGCUUAUGCUAUUAUUGUUGUCUUAAGGACUUGGAUUGUGGUUUUGCUCUGUUCACCCUGUAUCUUAAAUUUGAUUCACUAGUGUAACAGAGUAUCAAAUAAGAAAAAAAUCUGAGGAUUUUUCUCAAAUUGAUUGAAAUAAUUGUUUAAUUGUAGUAGCUGAAGCCAUAGUUAUUGGGCUCGAAGUUAUGUACUUCUGCCGUUUCCAGGCAAUUUGCUACUCCAGAGAUGUAUAUCAUCUUUUAAUGGUUGGUCACAGGAAGUAGGUGGAAUUUUAAAUUUACCUGAAAACUUCCACCUGCAACAGGACUUUUGUGGAUGACUUCCAGCUUCAUUUUCAAAACGUAUGAAAAUUUCCCAACAUUAAUGGGAUGCUGUACUGUAUAAUGCGCUGGAAAAUCUGAUACCCAGAUCAUUUCAAGUUAAUUACAGCUAAUUUUUAUCUGUUUAAUGGCUUGAAAGAUGAUAUCAGUGGUCAUGAGCAGGUGGUUUCCACUGAAGCCAGAGCAAUGUACAAUGUUGGAUUAGCAGGGUUGACAUUUUGGUCCCCAAACGUCAACAUAUUCCGAGACCCCAGAUGGGGAAGAGGCCAGGAGACUCCAGGAGAGGACCCACUGCUUUCAAGCAAGUAUGCAUCAGGUUAUGUCAGAGGCCUGCAACAAAGCGAUGAUGGUAGCCCUGACCGGCUUAAGAUUGCUGCUUGCUGCAAACACUAUACUGCCUAUGAUUUGGAUAAUUGGAAAGGAGUUGAUCGCUUCCACUUCAAUGCAGUGGUAAUUUUCGUUUGAAGUAUGUUCCAUUACACUAAUAUUUCUGUUUUGUACUACCAACACUAUUGCAUAUUCUGUUGGGUGAGUUAGGUGACAAAGCAAGAUAUGGAUGAUACAUUUCAACCCCCAUUCAAAAGCUGUGUUAUUGAUGGGAAUGUUGCCAGUGUUAUGUGUUCUUACAACCAAGUUAAUGGGAAGCCAGCUUGUGCUGAUCCUGAUCUCCUCUCAGGGAUUGUCCGAGGCGAAUGGAAACUAAAUGGGUAUUAUGAGUUCUACCUAAUCUAUAAAUACCAUUUACAGUUUGGCUGAGCUAAUGCUCUGUUAUAUUUACAUGAAUCUUGGCUGCUGCAGAUACAUAGUUUCGGAUUGUGAUUCAGUAGAUGUGUUCUACAAUUCUCAACACUACACCAAGACACCUGAGGAGGCUGCAGCCAAGGCUAUAUUGGCAGGUGACUUCACUGCUUACAUCUUUAAAUUUAUGGCUUCAUGUACAUUAAUACAGCAUAAUUCUUGACUCUGAACAAUACUAAAUAGUAUGAUUUAUGCAGAUAGAAAUGCUUAGUGGUUAGUUGCUAAAGGGGUUUGUGUUGUUGCUGUAAUGCAACAGGGUUGGACCUCAACUGUGGAUCUUUCCUUGGCCAACACACUGAAGCUGCAGUGAAAGGUGGACUUGUGGAUGAGUCUGCAGUUGAUAAAGCUGUCUCCAACAAUUUUGCUACACUGAUGCGACUUGGCUUCUUUGAUGGCAACCCAAGUAAGGCAAUUUAUGGGAAGCUUGGUCCAAAAGAUGUGUGCACAUUAGAGCACCAAGAGCUGGCUCGGGAAGCCGCCAGGCAAGGGAUCAUGUUACUUAAGAAUAGCAAAGGAUCCCUACCUCUGUCUCCCACUGCCAUCAAAACCUUGGCAAUAAUAGGACCCAAUGCCAAUGUCACCAAAACAAUGAUCGGAAACUAUGAAGGUAUUCAAUGAUUAGUGCAAUCUCACUAUGUAUCUCUGCAUUCUCCUCAACUAGCCAUGUGGCCAAAUGAUUCAAGUAUUGUUACUUUUGCUGAUAUUAUUGGAAAGUUUUGCAGGCACCCCAUGUAAAUAUACAACCCCUUUGCAGGGCCUUGAUACAUGCCCAAUUGGUGUAUCAGCUGAUUCAUGUCCAGCUGGUGCUCCUUGAUUGAGGGAGUAAUCAACAAAAUUUAUAACCUAUUACACCAUGAACUAGGGUAGCAAAGACAAAGCUACUAUAGCAUAUUGGCUCUAGGAUCGUUCACUGGGAAGGGUUUUCAAUUCAUAAAUGAUACCAAUUCAAAGUGAAUUGGUGCUUUUUCAUUUCAAAGUUAGCUUAAGAAAUAAAACACAAACUUUGAUUGAAAAAGGUUUAGGUUUAAGCUAACGGCAAAGGAAGUAAUGGAAAUUACUUGUGAAGAAAAACAUUCCUUGGAGGUUUAGGUUCACAGGGGAGGUUCCUCGUGCAAAAACAGAGCUCUGGUCAUUUGGUUCAUUUCCUCGCAUUAGAGAAUUAACAUAUAGUCAAUUCUCUAACCGGUGUUGUACAGAUGUACCCUUUAAAUGGAUUUCAGCUCUAAUUCCCUCUCAAUGAUGCAACUUGCAAUGGCUCGUGCCUCUCACCUAGCAUUUUCCAUUCAAGGUGAUCUUUAACUUUGGACUUCCCUUCUCAAGUUCGCAAGAGAUAACUAAUGGAUGUCUCCUUGGAGUCCAAAAGCUUACCAAGUGUUGGCAAUUCUAGAAAAUCCUACCUUCAAGUCACUUCCCAAAAGCUGCCAAGAGGUAAACUAGUGCAUCUCCAUGGACAGAGAUCACUUGCCUUACCAAGUGUUGGCUCAAGUGAAUUGAAGGUGUUUUAAGUUAACUAAAAACAUAGAAAUCAUUAAAGGAUCACACUUUCUCUUCAUUAAUGGCUGAAACCACAAAGCUACUAACUCUUGCACUUGGAACCUUUCCCGGCAACCUUAACUCCAAGGAACUAAAAGUCUAGCCACUCAUUCUCUGAGGAAACAGCCUCAGAGCUUGUUUGGAUAGUAAGACAAUACAAUCAAAAUGAGGAGGUAAAGCGGAGCAAAGCUCUGUAUUUUUCUUCCUUUUAAAACUAUACAAAAGUUGCGUCGUCCCUUGGGAACAGGCUCCCGAGAGAUAUUUAUAUGAAAAUUACAAUAAUAAUAUAAACAAGGUUAUUCAUCCUUUUUCCAAACUUAAUAACUAAGGAAUCCUAUAAUUUGUGGGUUACAAGGAGAGUUUAGGGAUUUAGACAUCAAAUAUAUAAAGCAAAAUAUCUCAAAAUAUCUAAAGCAAAAUAUCUCAAAAUGUCGGUCGCACAUAUCGGGAAGCUUCAGGAGAACACCGCGGCACUGUACAAAAUGGCUGCGAAACUCUCCAGGUAAGCGCUAUCAGAUGAUCCGGAUAUGUCCGACCGGGGAAGUUCAAGCGCCCUCCUCUCCCAUCCGGCGUCAAGCGCCGGAUGCGAAAUAUCCGGAUGGAAUGGCGGCGGAGCAAAAUUCCGGAUGUGAGACAUCCAGGUGGAAUGUCAGCGGAGCAACUCCAUCCGGAUUCCCCAAGAGGACACGCGGCGUGCUCCCUUAUCCGGACUCCCUCAGGGAGAAGCACACGGCACUCGCGAUCAUCACACCCGGACGAUAGCAUAUCUUAUCCGGAUAUGUUGUCCGGAUGCCCUCCGAUGGUGUGUCCGGACGCCCUGUCCGGACAUCUUUGCCAUGGAUUCCAAAAAACUCUCCUCAAUCUCGGAUUGCUUUGGUGAUCAAAAAGUUAUCAAAACACCAAAACUUAACACAAUUUGAUUAGAAUUGAUUGCAAGGGUCCUUAAUAUGUUAAUUGGGUUAAAAGGUGAUAACUACUACUCAAAAGUGUUUAAAAAAGUUAAUUACAAGCUAUCAAAUAGCACUUUUUGAGUAGUAAUCAGGCCUAAUGGCCUUGGUUGCAACUACGUAUUUGUCGGGAUGCUCCAAUGUGGCAUGUAGCACUGCACAAAUAGACGAAGCUAAGAAAAUAGCAGCAGCAGCAGAUGCCACGGUUCUUAUAGUCGGUAUUGAUCAAUCUAUAGAGGCGGAGGGCCGUGACAGGGUCAACAUUCAGCUUCCAGGACAGCAGCCACUUUUGAUAACAGAAGUUGCUAAGGCAUCCAAAGGAAACGUGAUUCUUGUUGUAAUGUCUGGAGGGGGAUUCGAUAUAUCAUUUGCUUAAAAUGAUGACAAAAUUGCAAGCAUCCUGUGGGUCGGUUACCCUGGUGGAGCUGCCAUAGCAGAUGUGAUCUUUGGUUUUUACAAUCCAAGUAAGUCCAUCUCUCCUUGGAUUAGUUUUCAACUUAUCAGACAUUUUUCAUUUUGGUAUAAGUCUUAAAACCAUGAAUCAUUAUCUUUCAGGUGGAAGGCUACCCAUGACAUGGUAUCCUCAGUCGUAUGUAGACAAGGUUCCGAUGACAAAUAUGAAUAUGAGACCAGAUCCUGCCAGUGGCUAUACUGGUCGGACUUACCGGUUUUACACUGGGGAAACCAUUUACACAUUUGGAGAUGGACUAAGCUACACCCAGUUCAACCACCACCUUGUUCAAGCACCUAAAUCAGUCUCCAUCCCCAUAGAGGAGGGUCACAGUUGUCACUCAUCAAAAUGCAAGUCUGUGGACGCUGUGCAGGAAAGUUGCCAGAAUUUAGCCUUUGAUAUCCAUCUAAGAGUCAAUAAUGCGGGAAACAU